rnacentral:lncRNA from 1 species
UUUCAUUCAAAAUCACAUUAUAACAAAAACAAUAUAUUCAUUACAAAGUAAAAUAUCGCGAGUGAAAUCUAAAAAGGAUAAAGAGCACGUGGAUCUUGAAAGUGCAAGUCACAUUAAUCAUUAUAAUCUCAUGAGUAAAAUCUGAGAGAUCAUCUUCAAUAGACCCUCGACUUCAAAAUCAUAUUAGUAGUUGUAAAAUAUGUGGCGGGCAAAAAAGGUGGAGGUUUAUUUGGAGCAAUCCGUCAAGCUUUUACUGGACUUGAUAGACACCGACUCGUUAUCCUUCCACUACACAGAGCGGGAGCUGUUUACUGCUCUAUGAAGCCAGCCUCGUGCGAUCCGCCCCACUUUAGGAAUCAAGAAGCCCAUACUUACAUUUGGGCCUCAUUAUCCAACACUGUGCUUGGAUAGGGCAGGCCAGAAAUAAGCCCAUCAAGCCCAACCAUUUGGUUAAGCCCAAUAUUCUACCACCUUAAUGCCGGGUUACAAGCCCACGUUACUAAGCUCGACGUGCAACAAAGUGUCAUAGAUUAUUAUAAAUUCAUUAACAUAUGGCGAUGUGGGAAAAAUUAUAAAUUCCAUGAGAGGCAAUAAAGAGAGUUAUAUUUAGUUUAAUGUUGCACCAUUUCUUACUUUAUUUUCAUUUUGUACGAAUUGUACGUUUCAUAUAAUUGCUUAUUUCUUGUAUUUUGCUUUCAUACUUAAAUUUUGUGAUGUUAUACUUGAGUUGAGGGCUUAUUGGAAAGAGGUUUUUUGUCCUCACUAAGUAAAGAUUAGAUUGCGUACACAUUAAUAUUAUCAAACUUCACUUGUGAAAUUACAUUGAGUGUGUCGUUGUUGUAUUUUAUCUUGUACGACAAUGGCAUGAGUUGAGUUUAAUGAAGUGACGAGAAUUCAUAUAGCCGAUCCCAACUUAUUUAAAAUUGAGGGACCAAAUUCCGUUAAUAUUUCCCAUGUUAAAUUCGUGUUUUGAAUCAUUUCUUGCUUCGUUGUAGAAAGAAGAAAACUUAUAUAUUUGUUUUGUGAUUUUGAGACAUAAGAAAACUUAUAUAUUUGUUUUGUGAUUUUGAGGCAUAAGAUCUAAUAAUAUUAACUUCUUUUAAAUGACAAUACUUUUGUUGUGCUUCAUGAUUUACAUCCCAACAACCUAUGUGGUUUGAAUGAGUCAUUUUCUUCGUUCUUAAUCAAAGAUCUCAAAUUUGAAUCACAUGUAUAAAGAAUUCAAAUUAUCAAUCUUUUUACAAGGAUUUCGUACUCAAUAUAUAUAUAUAUAUGUGUGUGUGUGUGCAUAAAAUAACGGAAUAAGUAAGAACUUACAAUAUAAUUUUCGAUUGCACUGAUGAAAAUAUUGUGUGAAAAUCCUGAUUAGGCUGUAUAAAGAAUUCAAAUUAUCAACCUUUUUACAAGGAUUUCGUAUUCAAUAUAUAUAUAUAUAUAUAUGCAUAAAAUAACGGAAUAAUUAAGAACUUACAAUAUAAUUUUCGAUUGCACUGAUGAAAAUAUUGUGUGAAAAUCCUGAUUAGGCUGUAUAAAGAAUUCAAAUUAUCAACCUUUUUACAAAGAUUUCGUACUCAAUAUAUAUGCAUAAAAUAACGGAAUACUUAAGAACUUACAAUAUAAUUUUCGAUUGCACUGAUGAAAAUAUUGUGUGAAAAUCCUAAUUAGGCAAAAAAAGAUUUCGUACUCAAUAUAUAUGCAUAAAAUAACGGAAUACUUAAAAACUUACAAUAUAAUUUUCGAUUGCACUGAUGAAAAUAUUGUGUGAAAAUCCUAAUUAGGCAAAAAAAAGGUGGUUGUUUAUUGGAGCAACCCAUUAGGCGUUACUGAACUUGAUAAGACACCGACCCAUUAUCCUUCCACUGCACAGAGCGGGAGCUGUUCACUGCUCUGUGAAGCCAGCCUCAUGCGGUCCGCCCCGCUUUAGGAAUCAAGAAGCCCAUAUUUUCAUUUGGGCCUCGUGAUCCUACUCUGUGCUUGGACAGGGCAGGCCAGAACUAAGCCCACCAAGCCCAACCUUCUGGUAAAGCCCAAUAUUCAACCACUUUGAUGUCUCCACUUGGAUUACAAGCCCACGUUACUAAGCUCAACAUACAACAUAAUAUUAUACAUUAUUAUAAAGGAGACAAAUUCAUUGUUAUAUGACGAUGUGGGAAAACUUGUUCAUUCUAUGAAAAGAACAAAUAUUGUAUGGUAUAACAAUUCAUAGAUACAUAACCAUUUAUACUUCUUUUUAAAUUCAUCAACGAUAAUUUCUCGCUUUUUUCCAUCGAGGUAAUUAUGCAUUUCUUCAUCUUUAUAAUUUGUAUCAAGUAUUUUUGUUUUUAAUCUUAUGUUUUUUUAGUAUGUUCGCACAUCUAUCUCAACACUCUUCUUUUCACUUUUCUCAUUCUUCGAAUAUAAGCUAAAGAGUUUUUAAUCGUUCAUUACGUUGUCCAAUACAACAUAAUCAAUCCCACUAUUACUCUAUUGAUCUUACUUUCUAAAGUUUCGAUAAGACAUUCUUACCAAAUUUAUUUUAUAAAUAGAAUUUGAUUUUUUUAUGUUAAAUUAUUUUGGGAAACGUACAUAAAUAUGGUAUAUUCAGAAAAUAUUUAUCAUUUAUAGAGAUAAUAUUUUUUUAUUACUUGAUCACUUUUAAUACAUUUAUUAUACUUAUUUAUUGCAUAAAUAAUUUAUCUUUCAUAUGUAUUACAGAUUUAACAUAACAUUCGUAUAAAUGAUGACAAAUAAAAAAUAUUACUAAAAUUAAUAAUUAUUUAUUAAAAGUAAUUUUUUAAAUUAUAAUUAUUUUUAUGGUAGUUUAAAUCCUUUUUACUAUAUCUCAAAACCCAAGGUAUACUCAAAAAUUAGCUGACAACAGUACAAUCUCCUUCAUCGGCGGCACAACCUGUUGCUUAUCUCCGAUCUACUCCGGCGAACGGCGAAAUUCGAGCUGUAAGUUCAAUACAUAUAUACAUAUAAUAAUAAAGUUUUCAUCUUUUUAUGUUUUAACAAACCCUAGUCCUUAAUUCUUUGUUCCAUGAUUUUUAAUGGUAGAACUAUCAAAUUGUGAAAGGUUUUUGUUCUUUUUUGUAAUGCUUUGGUGGGUGGUUAGGUGGUGGGUGGGUUGAAUCAGCUCUGGAAACUGUAUAAUUCAACAAUAACAAUAAUAUACCCAAAAGUGUAGUUCCACGAGCGGGGUCUGGAGAGGGUAGGAUGUAUGGAGACGUAUCAUCUACCUUUGUAGGGUAGAGAUUAUAAGGUCUGUUUCUGAUAGAUGCUCGACUCGAAAGAAGACUGUCUAAUUCAGUAUUUUGAAGUAAAACUGAAAAGCUCAAAUAAAGAGGCAAUGGUUCUGGGUCUUUAAUCCAGAAAUAAGCAGCAUAACAAACUAUUGUACGAAGCGAAGUGCACAAUUUGUAAUGCGAAAUUAUCUUAUGUGUAGGAUUGAGUACCUAUUUUAACAUUUUCACUGAUCAAUUGUAAAAUUGAUAUAUAUCCAUUUGUUGAUUGAUAAUCAAUAAAAAAAGUUAAUUUGUUGUCAUUAGUUUGGUAACUUUGGUUAUAAUGAACUUCAAUAGCUAGGGUCAUCUUUUUAUUUUCCAACAUCUGCCUGUAAAUAGGAACAAAACAGACGAAUACGCAAGAAAAAAGAAAUGUUGACAGGAAGAGUAUAAGAGAGAAGUGACGAGAAGUCAAUAUCGCAAGUAUCAACUUGAACACAGAAAUACAAAGAGUCAUUUGGAUGUUCCUUUUUGCUGUAAUUUGGAUGUAAUUGCAGCAACUUCAUGGUGCUGAUUUUUAACAUCUUUAACAGUUACCAUUAUAAAAAAAGAAGGAAAGAAGCAAAUUAAGAGAAUUCAAGAAACAUGAGUUGAAGAAAAUUGAAUGCAACUUAUAGAAGUGUAAGACAAGGAAAGAACAUUGAAAUGUAGCUUUAAGAGGACUAGUCCUAGUACCAAUAGCAUAAGAAUUGUAUUUGAUGGGAAGAGUAUGGAUUUCAUUUACUUUACAUUCGUUAUUGGCUGCAAAAUUGUGCAAUGUACUACUCUCUUUUGAGGAUAAUAAGUGGUCGCUUUUCUAACAUUUUUAUCAUAGAGAAGAUAAAAAUAAAAUUAGACCAUUAAAUGUGAAUGUGUAAAUUUCAAGUCAUGUAAAUUUCCUUAUACAUCCACUAUUAUGUGAGUAUUUUGUGAAUUGGGUGAGGUUUUAGCUUAUUUAAUGUGACAGGUUUUGAAGUUGUGCAAAUGUUAUUGUGAUUAAUGUUUAUCUUGUUGACCUUAUUAAAUUGAUGUAGUUUCUCUAGAUUUUGGGUUUAAGCGUUUUUUUUUUUGUGCUGAAACAAAGUCAGUGAAUUUCAUCUAAGAUAAAGCUAUGUCUUAAUCAGAUGGAGAAUCUAAACGGCUUAGUUCCUGACAUCCCUAUACAAGAGCAGAAAGACAAUGCUACUGCUUCUGAAAAUUUCGGUCGAAGUGUUGAUGAAAUGGUUGGGAAGGUUGAUCAGGUAACUUGGUGCUGAGGAAAAUUGUAUACUUGGUUGUGGUAUGCUAGUUGGCAUCCAAAUGGAUAGUAAAUCUGUUCAAACAUUCUUUGAGAUUGUCCUUUACUAUUGUACUUUACAUUGUUGUUUUUUCAUAUUAUCAUAUUGUUUGUCUACAUGAUCUUAACACGCUAUUUUUAGCUUAUUUGUAGCGUGUUAUCUCUGAUAAAUUAUUAAUAUAUAUUUAAUAAAAUAACUGUUAUUUCUAUGUUAUUAAAAUUUUGUAUAAUGUUAGCCUGAUCCAUAUAGCCGAACUUGUUGAUGUACAAGUUGUUGUUUUAGAUGAUACACAAUUAACAAUUCAGAAAAAUGAAACGCGAUUCAAAUUGUCCACUUGAUAGAAGUGUUCAUUCUGAUUGACAUUAUGGUUGCCUGUAGUAUGUACAAUUUUUUAUGUGCAAAAGCUGCAUUUCUUAUAGGAGAAAGUGUACGGCAAAGAGAUUAUUCAUUGCAUCUCUCGAGUUCCUUUUUACUUCAAGAAAAUUGAGAAAAAAGAACAUUCAGAACAUUCUUUUGAUAGUAUGCUCCACGCAAGAAGAUACACUUGGGUACUCACCAAGAUUCUUUGGCAAGAGCGUGCAAAAUGAAGAUAUAGGAUUUUUGCUUUAUAGUUUACUUUUUCUUGUUUCUAUUUUUUUUUCUUUCAAUCUUAGGCAGGAAAAGGCUGCUUGUUAAGCUAAAUUCUUUCAUAAGUGAUCACCUCAUAGCUUCACUCUUAAUUCUCUUUGACAAAUUAUUUCUGUUAAAAAGCUUUUGCCCAUAGUUCAUAAAAAAUACAGCAGAUGUUAUUUCUUUUGGCAUUGUUACUCUCAUCAAACUAUUUCUGUUUUACCAGCGCACAAACUGUAUAUUACCCAGAAUUUGCAAUAUAAAAGAUAUUAUCUCUCAGCAUCUAUGCGCUGAUAGCUCAUGUAUUUCUGCUUUCAUGAUUUGCUCUUAAAUAUAAUCUGGUCACAAGUUUGUUACAUCAACAGAUUGAGCAGAGACUGAAUGAGGUUGAGCAUUUCUAUUCCAAUACUAGUAAAAAACAAUCAAACACGCCAAGAGGUGGCUCUAUUCUGAAAGACAAAGAGAAACAGAUGUCUAGCUUUAGAAGGCGGCAGCAGGAUGCAUCACGUAGAGAAGCAGCUGGUUCCAGGAGAAUGCAAGAACUUAUGCGCCAAUUUGGUACUAUAUUACGUCAGGUAAUCUCAUUAUUUUUUCCGUGCCUUGACACCUUUUUGCCUGUCUAAAGCUUGUGUGCUACUAAAUUGUAACUGCUGUGAUCCUUCAAACUUCUAGCAAUAGAUGUAAUUAUUUUGUAACCUGAAGCAGUACUGCAAAGAACGCGAGAAAAGGUUUGAGUAAAUACUAAAUAGUGGUACAUGCUGAAUUUGCAGAACAGAAUUUUUUCUGAUAAACAUUGAAGCUUCUGAUAAGUGUUGAAGAGAUCUAAAUACGGUUAAGCUAGUAUUUUUUUAGUCAUUGUGAUUUCCUGUUACCUGUAAGAGUAUACAAAGUUUCGAAAUGCCUCAUGUCAGUUGCUCACUUUUUGGUACCGAUGAUGUUUUACUCUUUUUACUUUUUAUACGGAGGUACACGUACUUGUCCUGCUGUUGGUUAUACAUUCUCUUCCUGUCUCUCCUUUGCAAGUAAGCUUGCUGAUUUACCCAUUGAAAGAUGUAUUUUGUCUGAUCUUAGCCUUCAUCCUUCUCUGUCUUUGUAACUUUCUUUAGUUUAUUUCUUCUUACUAUAGGAAAUAAUGGUAAAAGAAAGAAGUGUAGGGCAUCUGAGCAAAUUAUGGUGAUGCACCUUGUUUAAGAUCGAAUGUAGAUUUGCUCCAGUUAAUUUAUUUAUACUCAUUACUUAGUGUAUUUGUCAGAUCACUCAGCACAAGUGGGCAGAACCUUUUAUGGAACCUGUGGAUGUCAAGGGUCUUGGAUUACACGAUUAUUUUGAGGUAAAAGCUUUGAAUUUUCUUGUUUGUGUACUUACUGUAUCUGUGAUGUUCUUAGGAAUCAUAUGCUCCUUUUAUUUCUGCUAAUACAUCAUGGGAUUUCUAGGUUAUUGAGAAGCCUAUGGACUUCAGUACUAUCAAAAACAAGAUGGAAGCAAAGGAUGGUUCUGGCUAUAAGCAUGUCCGAGAGAUAUGUGCUGACGUGAGGCUAAUAUUUAAGAAUGCGAUGAAAUACAACGAGGAAAGGGAUGACGUUCAUGUAAUGGCGAAAACCUUGUUGGGAAAAUUCGAGGAGAAAUGGUUGCAGCUUUUGCCCAAAGUUGAUGAAGAGGUAUGACUCAUAUCCAUGUAUUAUCUAUAGUAUUUUUCUUCAGCAUCUCAUAGAAAUUGCUAAGAUAAUUGAACCAUUUUCUUCUAGGCUAUUGAUAUAUGCUAAAUGAGAUUUUUUCAUCAAGAAUAUGCUUGUAUGAGAUUAAGAUAUUAAUCGGGUUUUCAAGUAAAUGAUUGAGAGAUUAAUAUGUAGAACUACUGCUCGUAGGAAAAACGGCGAAAGGAAGAGGAAGCAGAAGCCCAACAGGAUAUGCAGCUCGCUCAAGAGGCUGCUCAUGCAAAAAUGGCAAAAGAUUUAACUAUUGAGGUAGUUAAGGCUCAGAAUCCUUUACACGCAAACAUUAGUCAUAUUGGCCUAACUAUUUAUGGAUCUUCCUCUUCACGCAAUAAAUUUAACACCCUGUAGAUAAUAACUUAUAUUUAUCUUUUGAAUUCCAGCUUGAUGAGGUGGACAUGCAACUGGAAGAACUCAGGGACUUGGUGCUUCAGAAAUGCAGGUUAGAACUUUACAAACUACUCCUCAGUUAAGUUGUGCAUUGAUUAAUUUUAAAGUAGCUGAUUGCUUAUAAAUAUACCUUGUACUCUGGUCCUUCCUUUCAUUGAAUGGGUUACGAGAUAUUCUUUUGAUUGAAUCCAAAAUAUUACCUAAAAUGAUCCAUAAUUCUCUGUUUUGCCUGAAAGAUGACAGAUGUUUCUAUAGUACAACCCUUUUUCUCAUUGAACAUUUGAGUGUUUUAAAGAAAAUCUCCCUAGCAUAUGGUGCUAGUAAUUGGUGAAAACCCCAUGAACAUGAUUUUUUGUUGGCAAAAACUGUCAGACACUAGAAAUAAAUAGAACUAAUGCCUAUAGGUUGGCCCAUUUAUGAAGGAAGGUGGAGAAGAAAUGAAUUUUAGGAGUCUUUUGCCUGGAUAUAGGAGGGGAGCAGUUGUAAUGCCUGUUAAUUGGUUGUAAAUUGUAAUAUAUUAAGAACAGACAAUUCAAAUGGAAAAGGAAAAAUCUAUGCUAUGAUGACCUUUUUCCAAUAGUGAGGAGAUGGAUAAGCAUUGGCUGGGAAAUCAUAGUCAAUAGUGAUUGCUUGCUCAUGACACGGUUUCGACAAUGAAGCUUCUUUUGUUUUGCUUCCUGGCUCUGGUUGGCUUACUUAUGUGGAGGGUAAAAUUAGUAUGUUGGACAAACCCGUCAUUGUACAAGAUCCAGAUGCUAUAAUACUAGACACCGUAGAGAAUUUGCACUUGCUAUAAUACUAGACACAGGAGAGAAUUUGCACCAUCUGUAAUUACACCUGAUGCACUGGCUUAAUGGAAGUUCUUAUAAGACUUGUUAUUACUUGUUAAAAAAACUAUCUAAUAGCAGAAGGAGAAGUCCAUAUAAUCAGCGAAUUUAGAAUGAAAGGUGAAACGCUAACAUAGCAGGCAAACAGGAAAUGCUCCAAGUACAAUUUGGGCCAUUGAUAUGCUUACGUGAUACAUUAGUAUGUCACACUCAUGCUCCUGAUUUAACAAGGAGGCAUGGAAUGUGGCUAGCCUCUAUAACGACUCGCUUAGAUGUGUGUUGCCUAUGCGAGUUUUUAUGUGAUUCGACUUUAGGUUAACUGUAGUAUUUGUCGCUAAGUUUCUAAUAUAUAUUUCAGAAAGAUUUCAACGGAAGACAGGAAACAACUUGGGAAUGCGCUCACUAAGCUGUCUCCUGACGAUCUUAAUAAGGCACUAUUGAUUGUGGCACAGAAUGAUCCUACUUUCCAACCAACAGCAACAGAAGUGGAACUUGAUAUGAAUGCUCAGGUCAUCGAUCGUUUUAUCAUUUCAUAUUUGCAGCAUUUCUAGUUCUUAAUCUACUCUUGCUUUACAUGACACAAAGUAUUGACCUUUAUGCAGAGUGAGUCCACAUUAUGGAAGUUGAAAUUCUUCGUACAGGACGUGCUACAUACACAGGGAAAGAGCCCAGUGAGCGUCAAAACAAACAACAUCAAUACCAGUAAUCUCCUUAACAACAACAACAACAACAAACGUAGAAGAGAAUUUUACGAUGCACUCGCCAAAUCUUCCCAGAAAAAGAGUAAAAAGCCAUCCUGAUUUUACUUCUAAUCACUUCUGGAGGUGUAAAUGUUUUGAGUCGUUGAUGACACAAUAAUCGAUCUAUCUUCAUCGUUGUUAAUACCUCAAAAAGGACAGACAUAGCCAUUGUAGUAAGUAGGUUUUGUAUAGGAAAUUCCUUAUGGAUAUAUCUUUACUUGGCCUGCAAUUGCAGAUAUACAAGUUCUUGAAUGCUUCAUUUCUUUAUAAUAUAAAGUCUCAUCGACUAAAGUAGAAUUAGUGAGAUUCGAAUACACAAACACUUCCUCAUUCCAACGAGGUGAAAACCAUUGGGCUUUAACAGUUUGUUACGUUAAGGGUGUCCUGUUAUUUAAUCAUUUUACGUGUAUGUACGAAGCUGGACACCCUAACCUACACACUAUAAUAAAUAUUCGAAAGAAAUAGAGUUGAAGAAAAUAGUAAAACUAGAAUAUCAUUUUGUUUUGAAGACUCAAAGCACACCAUGAUAUUGAAUAAUAGGGGACAAAGAAGAUAACAAAGGGAAUAAUAUUGAUUAUUUUUUAAAACCAAAGUACAUAUUUUCAAAUUCCUAGUACUAGAACAAGCAAAAAAGCUCCACAAAAUAAUAUGCAAAAAUAGUAAAUAAGAAUUCUAUAAUUAAUAUCUUUUUGGGAUCCAUUUUUUUUUUUUUUGGGGAAAAGACACGAAUAAAUCUUAUAAUUUUUUUUGUCACCGACUUUUAAGAUAGUGAUUGUUUUUUCUUAAUAUGCUAAUUCAACUUUUGAAUAAUUAAAUACCACAAAAAAUAAAAUUGACCAACUGGUGUUCGCCUGUUCGGUAGGAUGGAAAAUAAUUAUUUUUUAAAAAAUAAAUAUUGUCAAGAAAAUAAAUAAGUUAUUUAUUUGUGUUCAUACGUCACCAAAAAAAUAUUGUUAUGGAAGGUGGGGUUAGAGGUAGGAUCGUAGGGAUAAAAAUGAGGUGUGUUGAAUUUUACUAAAAUUAUUAUAAAUAUCAUUUAUAAAACUUAUUUUUCUUACUAUUAGAUAAGUUAUUUUUGUAAUUUUAAAAAUGAUUCAUGUAAAGUGUGAUAAAUAUUUAUUUAUCUCAUUCAUUUUACAUGAUGAUAUUUAAUUUUUUUUAAAAAAGUUAAAAAUAAGACUGACUUGUCACAUAUAAGCCAAAAUUCUGUGAAUUUAAGUAUAUAAUUAUAUGAAAAUAUUAAUGUUAAAAUUUUUCUAAGUUUGGCAAGUUUUUGUCUUCAAUUGCUUUCAAUAAAUAAAAAUAAAAAAUGAAGAAAAAUGAUUUAUGGUCACUAAAAGUUACGUAGGAAUUAAUAUUUUAAAAUUUUGACAUUAAGUCUAUCGAUCUGUUAAAAUACCUCAAUUAAAUAUGUUAUUAAUAUUAUCGAUCUGUUAGAAUACCUAAAUUGAAUAAUAAAUAUUUUAUUAUAUCGCGAUUUUUUUUAAAAAAAUAUCAAAAUAAUUUAUCUAGACUAUGCUAUUGAAGACCAAAAAAUAAUUGGAAUAAUCUAGUUUUUUAAAAACCUUUUGGGUUUUAUUAAUUAUCAGAGUAUGUCUUUUCAACCAAACAAAUUUAAUUUAAUUAUGAUUUUUCGUUUUUUUUAGAAAAAAAUGUUUUGAAAACUUUUAUUAAUAAUCAACGGGUCCUACCUUUUUAUUGUAUGGUCCAAAUUAUUGGAUGUGCAAUAUUAACACAAGUCACUUUCAAAUAUGUGAAGCAUGGCUAACACAUAAUAAUUUCUUUAAAAAAUUACGUGACUGAGCUAUCGUAAAUAGUAAGCAAAUGUUCUUCAUCAUAGUUGAGGCGUUGGUGCUCUUGACGUCCAAAAACUAGAGCAUAUAUGUUAUUCACUCUAGCGCGAGACUAAAUAUAGACACAUGAACCAAUUUGAUUCAUCGAUUCGAUUUUUAAUAAAAGGGUUGGUGGAUAAGAUUAUGACAUGUGUAUAUUCAUUAGUAUAAAUGGUAUAUGUACUCUAGUUUUUGGACAAUAGGGGCAUUAAUAUCACAAAAGUAUGAUAGAGGGUAUCUGUAUAUUAUUUAUGAUAGUUUGGGGGUAUAUUAGUCAUUUUCCCUAAUCAUUUAUAGUGUGUUUGGUUGUGAGUUCGAAGCCAAAAUUGCGACUUUUUAUGAAAAAAGUAUAAAUACGAAUAAUUCUUUUGAAAAACAAUCGAAAAAAUAUUUUUUCGAAACACCGCUAUAUUUGCUAGUAUAUGUUGCUAUCGAUUUUUAUUAAAUAUAUUUUUUGGUGAAGAUUACACACGACUUUAACUCUGUAAUCAAAUUUAUAUAAAACACAUUUCUAAAAUAUAUAUUUUAUUAUUUACCAAACACACAUAAAAUGUGUAUAAUAUGAAUCCUAUCUAUAUACGGCAUCGUAAUAUUUUAAUUUUAUUUUCUUGUUCCAUUAGGUCUUUUUUAUUUUUAUUGAAAUUAAAACGUUUGACUUUAAAUAUAUAUAUAUUAAAUAUUAAAAUAUGUAUCAAAAUUUAUAUAACUAAAUCUAAAAUCUAAAUAAUUAAGAUUAAAAUAUCCAAUAAGUACAAAUAAAUAAAGCUUUAAAUAUUAAAUAUUUCGAUUAAUAUCUUAUUGGUUACUAGUUUUGCUCUUCCGUCUUCAAUUCACAUUAUUGUCUUAAUUUUUUUUAUUUAUAUUGCACUUGAAUAAUUUAUUUUAAUGUUAUUUUACUAUUGUUUCUAUUUUAUUAGCAUUCUGUAAAGUUAUAUUAUUGUUAUGUUACGUCAAAUUAUCGGAGAAGUUAUAUGAUUAUUUUAUAAGCAUUUUCACGUAGGUUAAUUCGAAAAUAAAAAAUCAAUAAAACAAUCGAAUAAAAAUAAAAAUCUCAUAUUAAUUUAGCGUAUUUUAAAAAUUAAAAAUUGAUAAACCGAACCGACCAAUAUCGUCCUAGAAAAACGUGACUUCCUCACUUUUAUUGGUGGCAAUCGCUUUCCUUCGCAAUCUAACAUUUAAAUCUUAUAAUCAACUUUUAAUAUAUAUAUAUAUAUAUAUUCUAACACAAUUAUAAACAUUGUUUUCUUAAAAAUUAACUUUGAUAAUAACAAUUGACGAGGAAUAACUAUAACUAUAAGUUCUGUGUAAAUUUUAAUGAACAAGGUUAUUUGAUAUUUUUAUAGUUAACUUUUUUUUCUGUGUAAAAUUAGUUGAAGUGUAUAAAAAUUAAUCAGAAUAUAUGGUCAUGUGGUCUUCCACCACCUAUGAUCGAUUAAUAUUCUUUCUGUCCACUUUUAAUUUUUAUAUUGCAUUUUUUGAAAAUUAAUUUGAUUAAUUUUUAAAAUUGAAUUAGAUUAGAUUAUUCGAUAGUUUAAAUAAAAAAAAUUAUAUAUUCAAAAAUUAUACGAAAAAAUACUAUAAAUUUCAAAAAAAAUUGCAUAUCUGUAACAUAAUUAUAGUUUGGAAUUUAGGAUAAUUGCCUACCUUGCAUAUGCUCUCAAAAAAAAAAAAAAAAAAAAUUGGCGUUACGUUAGCUCACAAUUUGUAAACGUAGGAAGUUAGAUAGAGUAGGAUGGACCACAAUUAAUUUCCUUUUAAUAAAAAGAAAAAAGUGUCUGAAAAAUAUUUUAAUUUUAAUCGAAAUUGUUGCGAUAUCAAAUUUUCUGGCGAAUAUUUUACCUCUUGCACUAUUUAAUAGUGUACUUUAAAGUUAUAUAUGUGUCUACUGGACACAUUAUUUAUAAUGAUGCAAUGUUUAUAAUGUCCACAUGGACACAUAUACACAUUUAAAAAUGCUCUAUUAAAUAAUAUAAAGAGAUAAAAGGUUCUUUCUCGUAACAACAAUUUUCGUCAAAAGUUUGAAUAUAUUUCAAACCAUUUUCCCUUUAAUUAAUUUAAGUUUGAAUUGAAAUUUGACUUGAUUCUACCUAAAUAAAUAGGCUUAACAUAUUGGUUGUCCUUUAAAUUUAUCAAUAUUUUUUUUAGAUAUUAAACUGUGAUUUGUUCUGAUUAAGCAUUUAAAUAUAUAUAAUAAAGUGUCUUAAUUAUAUAUUUGUAGUCAAAUUUCAGGGGGAAAAAUAUGUACAUGUGUUCGUAGAUUUUCAUUAUAUAACGAGUUAAUUAUUAAAAUAUGUUAUCUCAUUUAACUAUACGAAUUAACUUUAAUAAGCGGUAGAAUCUCCAUCUGAGGAUGAUGCAUACAAUUAAAUAUUUCACCUCCUUUAAUUAUUUAAAUUUUGAGCAUGACAAUAUGACAUAAUUUAUAGGUUACAAUAAUGUCAUAAUAAUUUGAUUUUGGUUUGACUUUUUUAAUAGUUAAAAUUAAAGCAACCUCAAAAAUUUGAGGGUUUUUUUAGAUAUAUUGAAUUAAAUAAUAAUUAAAUUUUGUUUUUUUUUAUUUGACUUGGAUUAUCGAUCUGAUGUAAUUUAUCGAUUUUCUCUAUACUUAAUCAAUGAUAGAAAUAAAAUCUUUCUAUUAUCUAAGCUUCUUAUAUUUUUAUUUAUCAAAUUACAUUGAGUAUAUUAUCAUCGUGAGACUAUCACCAAAAUGUGAAUAUUUAUAAGAGUGCAAUUAUGACUUGGCUCAUCCAAUUUUGAAUUUGUAAUAAGUGUAUUUUGAAUGCAUGGAAACUUGUGGGGUAAUAAUAUAAUAAUUUCUACAAAUAUUUUUGUCAGUUUUCAAUCUCUACGUGCCAAUAUUUUUCUUAGACUCUAACGUUAUUUUCAUGCCUAAAUAAUUAUUCAUAUGUAUUUCUUGUAAAUAGUGAUGUUACGGAUCAAUAACGGAUUCGAUUGAAUUCAGUAUUAAUGUAUAUUAUUAAUUUUUUAAUUUUAACUUUGUCUCUAAAUAUGAUAAGAGAAUAAUUCCGUUCAAAGAAUCAACAUAAUAUUUUUAAUUUUUAAGAUUCAAACUCGAAAUCUGUGAUCAAGAGUAUAAAGAAAUCUUUUCCAUACGACCAAUCUUUGUAAUAUAUUUUAAUUUAUUGUCUUAAUUAUAGGAAAUAUUGAAGCUUUGCUUAUUGAGAGAAAAAAAAAUGGUUUCUUUACUUAUCUUGUUUUGUUUUUGGUCAGAAAUACGACCAAAAUAUAAUAUAUUGCAUACUGACUAAAACUUAAAAUAUAAACAAGAUAAUUAAUAUUACAAGUAAAAAGUUUUUCUCCUUCAAGAAUUGAUUAUUUCUGGAAGAUUAAUACAAGAAUAUAGUCAAACUUUAAUUAAACCAACUAUAUGUUUCAAAAACAACAUAAAGCAAUUGGGACAAAUUAAAGAAACACGUAACGUGACCAACAAUUGGGACCAAAAGGGCCAUACUUAACGUCGAUAUAAUUAUUUCUUUCUUAAUUAGAUAUUUCGAAAUCAAAGUCAUUGCGAGAGAAUGUCCUCCCAAAAUGAGUUAUACGCAAUAUAAAUUUAGUUAUAAUACUGCAAUAUAAACAUUAAAUAUCGAGUGAGAAUCAAAACAACAUAAAAAUUGGACCAAACGGGGUGGAGUUUUUUUUCUUUCAUAUUUAUUCUUUUUUCUCUUUUGAUCAAUAAGUUGUCAUCUUCCUGUCUAGCUUUAUAGUUUUUUUGUUUUUUUUUUUGUUUCUCAUUCAGUCAGUGUGUGUACUCCGACUAAAUUCGCAUUGCGUCCGGCAACAUUCACUGUGCGUAGGGCUCCCAAUAGAAUUUUCUCCAUACUCAAGACUCGAACUCGAGACUUCCGAUUAAGGGUGGUAUCUAGAGCUUUAUAGUUGGUUUGUCGUUUUCCAUGGUACGAAUUGUAGUAUUCUCUCUCUGAUGUAAUAAUGUAUUCGAUGCGCAUUUCUUUAGCUUUUUCUUUAAAAAUAAAAUGUUUCAUUUUUUAAAUUUAAAAUAAUUUAAAUUUGAUUUUAUCAUUUCUUCUUUAAUAAUAUGAUUUAUAUAGUCACCGCCACCUAAUUAAAUUGAGACAAUUGAAUUAUCUAUAUCGCUACUCCCUCCAUUCUAAUAUAUUCAUGUGAUAUAAAACUUUCGAAAUGUGUAAAUACAAAAACUUCUCAUCAAAUGUAUAUUUCGAGUCAAUAAAAUAUUAAUUAUUUUAAAUACGAAAAAUAUGUCACAUACGUAAGUUGAAAUAAAAAUUAUAAAUAUUUAUAUAAAUGGUCAUGACCAACGACGUAGUCACAUAAUUAACUGAUUAAAGGAUAAUCAAUUGAAUAAUCUUUAUCUAAAAAUAAUAUAUUCUCAAAUAUUCUUAAUAAAUCUAGGUUAGCUAUUGGUGAUGACUACUUUUUUACUUUUUAGGUACAAGAAAUUCAUUAAUAAUUAUCAUAACUUUAAACUGUAUCCAAUUAAUACCCAUUUCCCCAUGAACUAAUCAACGGAUAUAUUGAUCAUCAACAAUACAGUACAAUUAAUUAAACAUAGAAUUUCACAUCCUACCAAUCAUCUUACAAAAUAUAGCUAAAAUGUAAACAAUUCUCAUUUAUUACUAAAAAAAAUUUAUAUCUCGAGAGUUAAAUUUGAGACUUUUAAUUAAUGAAAUAGAGUUAUCAAUUUAUUUUUUUAAGAAAACAAUGACCGAUCAAUUUGAGCGCAUCUUAAUUAUUAUAAAACAUAGGUAGCCAAUAUGUUAAUAUAUCUUUGAGUUAUUUUACUCACACAAGUAAUGUCCAGCCCUCUUUUGCUGUUGUUAUUAGUACUUGACUCUAUCGGUUCGACGAUUUGCGAAGACCUACUCUUACUCAGUACACGUAAUUGAAAUAAGAUCGAUUGACUUGAAUUCUACUUCUCUUUAGUAGCUCGAGUUACACAUUCAAGAGAGGAUGAGUAGUGAGUUGAUGUAUGUUUCCAUUCUUUGGGGGCUUUGCGACUAGCCAUCUCGAUUAUUUUCAUAAUUGAAAAGGGGAAAGAAAUCUAAAUCAAUGAAUAUUAACGAACCAUUACUAAUGGACAUCGCAUAUAACACAAUCAGUUCGAUAUAAGCUCUGAUUCUAACAGAAAUUGCUUACUUUCCUACUACCAAAGCAAAGCGCAUCUUUGUUUUUUUUUCAUAUUAACUAGCAUGAAUAUUAAAUAUCUUCCAUCUCUAUAUUCUAAAUUGAGAUAUGAAAAUAAAUCAUUAAUAUCUCAUCUCACAACCACCACCGCCACCACCCCACCCCAGCUCACCUUAACACAUUGAUUGCCUCAACCUAUCGAUUGACUGAGUUGGAGAAGAAAGUAGAAGGUUACGACUCUAUAAGUUUCGUGUAUCCAGACUAAUACUAAUCCAAGUCAUUUCAUGAAUAAAAUGUGACCAAUUAACCAACCAAAAAAAUCACUUGUUACAAAAAAAGACCUUAUUGUUGCAUCGAAAGAGAUAAAUGUUAACUAAUCUAGCUAACAUUAAACUUGAUAAAAUCAAAUAAUUGAAUAAUUGAAAAAUUGAGAUUAUUCAGGAAUACACACACUCUAGUCACUAGCCCUGUCUUCGGCAUUCCCUCCUGGUUGUUAAGAUAAAGACUUCAAACAUGGCCAACCCGAUAGUAUACGCAAGGUCCGGAAACAAAUACACAAUCAUAUAAUUUGAUCGACGAUUACUAGCAAUUCUAACUUCACACAACCCGCAAUCCAUACUAAGGACGGAUUUUUGAGAUUAGCUCGCGAGACACGAUAUCCAAAGCACCCACCCAAGACACACAUUUACACGUCCAUGCAAAUAUGUUUUUUUUUUUUUGCAUGCACAUAUGCGAUGAUCGAUACAUGAAUAUAGUGGUAUAUAUAUACACAUAUAUCCCAAAAUCAUGAAAAUAUCAUGACAAAUUAAUAAAUAUAUCAAAAAAUAAAACAUAAGAAAAAUAAACAAGAUAGUAGUAAUAUAUAUAUGAAAGCUGGCUGUCUAUAGUCAGCACAUAACAUUCAUGAGUCAUCUAAUAACAACAACACAAAAUUCAAAUAAUAAUCAAAAACAACAAUAUAACAAUAAUAAAAAACCGUAUCAUUUUUUUCUGUUCCGUUCCGAUACGUCUCGUCUCAAGCCUCCGCCUUUUUUUUUUUCUUAAUUUUUAAAAUGUCACAUCUGAAUCCACUGUCCCAGCUGCGUCGGAUUGACAAUACCAGGAAUGUGGGUCCCAUCACUCCUCAACAAGCUAGAUAUCUCAACAUAAUUCUGGCUCGGCUUCGGCUCAUCCGGGCUCGACUUUCUCUUCUUCGGGUCGGCUACAGGAGUAGCAGCAGCAUUAGCUCUAGGUCGAGCCGGGUCAAAUUUCUGACCCAAUAAAGUACCUUUAGUUAAAUACUCAUAAGCCAUAUACCCGGCUAAAACUGAAUUAGGCAUUUGAUGAGGAGGAUGACCCUUUUUUUUGGGGUCGGGUUUAGGAAACGACGUCGUAAGGUUAGCAUUACUAACGGACGUUAGUGGAUUUGACGGUCUUGGAGACGAAUAAAACGUGUCUCGGUCUUUUCGCUUCCGUGAUGACUCGUCAAGAGUUAAGAUUCGCCGUGAGUGAUAAUUCAUCCUAGCCGUCCAAUCUUAAUCUACAGCAUGCCACGUCACCGCACUUUUAAAAUAAAAUAAAAAAGCGAUAAAAAAGGAAGAAAAAAAAAGUGAAGUUACGGUUAAGGAAUUAUGGGGUUUGGAAAGAUAAAAACAAAUAAAGCAAAAGGUUAGAAAAGUAAAUUCACUCUAACAGGUACAUUUCUCGUUGAGAAAAUUAAAAAUAUAAAUAUAAAAAGUAGAAUAUAUAAUUUUUUUUUCAAUUAAAAAUACAGUAAAAAAAAGAGAUUAAAAUUGAAAGAGAAAUUACUGGAGAAGAAGAAAAGAAAGAGGGUAGUGAGUUUGACGGUAAGUCGACGAAAGAUCUAGACAAAGAUCGCCGGAUUCCGGCGAGAAACGGUGGAUUCCGGUGUACGGACGGUGGUUUUAGCGGUGGCUCCGCCGUAGAAGAGGAAGAAUUAUUACCGGAGAGAAAUAGAGAGAGAGAAGAGAGAGAGAGUUUGGGGAAUGGAAAGAUUUAUAUAAGAAGAAAAAAGAAUGACAAGGGCAACAAGUGUGUAUAUAUACACCUAAUAACUGAAAUUACCCUUGGUUUGUGAAUUAAUAACUAAAAUGCCAUUGGGUUUAAUGGAUUGAAAUGGAUAAUGAAAUUUGCUUGAAAUGACAUUAAAGUCCUUGCGUUUAUGUCGCUAAAAGGGUGUUUUGGGAAUGGAAAGAUAAUGGGUAUAUUUGGAAUAAUGAUUCUAAUUAAGGGGUAUGGUAUUUUUGUAAUAUAAUUUUGAGUUGAGGGUAAUUUAUAUUAGGUGAAAUAAAAUUUAGAGCCAGCGGUGCUAGCUCCGUGUCUUUAGCAUUGCUCUUUAGAGGUCCCCAUUAUGGUACCUCUUUGUAUUUUUGUAAAGCUAAUGGGGCUAAAAUACAAAUAAAUAAAACUUUGGGGACUAUUGUUGUAUUAUUAAAAGAAAAAAACUACUAUACUUUAUUAGAGGUCCAAGUCAAUUAAUAUACUAUGAGGAAAAUCUUAAUACAUAAAUACUUAUAAAUACAAAAAGUAAUCUGGUUAUCGAAGUGAAGUUUGGAAAGGAUACGAUUAUAUAAUUAUGAAAUAAGUAUUUUAAUUUCUCAAAUCGAAAUUUAUGUGAGAUUCUAAAAUAACAAUUAUUUUUUAUGUAAAUAUUAACCGUAUAUAAUUUAUGUAUAAUUACUUUACAAUAUGGUGUAUUUGGAAGAUAAAUGGAUUAUUGAAUAUGUCUAAGAAAAGGGAGAAAUGGGUGGAAUAAAAAGAUCUAAGAAAUUAUGAAUUUGUUAUUUUAUAAUGAUUGUAAUUAGUGACCAAACGAUUACAAUAAUCUUUUGUCAAAUAAUUGUUGUCUUGGUGUGAUGGAUUUAAUUAGUACGAGGAAAUAAUUUUCUAUAAUUUGAAUAAAUUAUAAAAUAAAAUAAAAAGUUACAAAAAAAUUCUACACUUUAUUUAUGUUCUAUAAAUCUCAUAGGAAAAGAGUCAUAAUUAAAACAACCUUUAUAAUGAAUGCAUCAUGACCUAAUCUCAAAUAGGUAUAAAGUUUAAAUCUCAAUCAAAUAAUUACUUCUUUUAAAAAUUAAUUUUCUAUAUUUAUUUCGUUGUUUAUUUUAAAUUUUCUUUUUGGUAGAGUGGAGUAGAAUAUCGAAAUAGACAAAUUUUUUAUAGGUAAGCACUUCGCUUUCCAGAUGAUUAAACUCGAGGGGGGGGAGUCUCGAGGAUAGACAAUUCUUCAUAGGUAACGUUUUCAAAAUUAUUAAAUCGAUAAAAGAGAAAAUAAUUUUUAAAAUUUUUUUAAUUGUUUAAAUAAAUAAAAGAAUAAAGUACUUAUUCGUUAUGCUAUUUAGGAUUUAAGAGAAUAUGAAGCAAUCCUUUUAUUAGUCAAACAAUUGUCAAUUAAGUUACUUAUUUGGUGUGCUAAAAAAACCUAAACAAAAAAAGGAAUAAAAUAAACAAACCAUCAAUAAAAAAGAACAAUUAAAAAAUUUUAGUAAGAGACUUAGGGUUCCAUAAGAAAAUAAUAAUCUACUAAAGUUAGUGGGGUAAUAUUUCACGUGAUUUUAAAAAAUAAAAAUAAAAAAAGCCAUGUGACCCAAAUUAAAAAACUAUUCCCUUUAAUUAAAAGAUUAAAUUUAAUUAAUAAUUUAGAAAAAAUCUAAUUUAAGUCAGCACUAUUGAAUUCUGUUGAAUCUGUAUCUAUCUUUAAUUCAAUUUAGUCCAUCUGUAUUAGCAAAAAAAAUUCGUCUAAUAAUAAUGUGAUUUAAAUUAUAUCAUUUUAACUUGAAUUGUUUCUUUUCAUACUAUAUUUAUCUCGCUAAAUAUAAUUCUAAAUUUUGUUAAAAGUAAAAUCUUUGUUAUUGAUAAGAAACAUGAACUUUGACAACAUUUUUCAUGUGAUUGAUUUCUAGUUCUUAUUAUAAUUCUUUGAAAGAUAUGGAAUUUUUAUUUAUUUACUUCCCUUUUCUAUUUUUCAUUUCCUUUAAUUUUCCAAGUUUUCAAUUAAAAUUAAAUCAACCCUAAAAAGACAAAAAUAAAUAGGGAUGUCAAUCACAUGAGAUGAGGUCCUAAAAUGUUGGUUUCUUGAAGGUGGGGGCCAUUUGAUUGGAACAUUUUCAUAAUAAACAUUUAUAAAAAUGAGGAUUUUUUACGUAUAAUUUACAUGAUAAAAUUUUAGAUCAAACAUGAUAAUAGGAGGUAAAAUAAUUAAAUGUUAUUAAGAUUGAAUGGAAUACCUAAAUUGUAGACAAGUAGAUAAACGGGAUAUUCUUAUCUUGUUGUGACGGCGUUGAUGAGUUGUCAGCCUCGCUCAGUUUUGUUGUGACGGCGUCAAAGAGUCAAUAAGUAUCUUAUAUAGGAGUUAGAGUAGAGUACCUAAUUGCAAAUGAUAAAACCUAACGGGCCUUCUCAUUGCGGGCUUUAUUAACUAAUUUACAAUAUCAUCUCACUAAACUUAUUAGGCUCGUUAAGUAUAUGACUUAAUCUUCAAUUAUCUUAUUAUAGUUGAAAUAACAUUUUUUAUUUGCUAUACAACUCAAAAUAGUUAAAAAUAUGGAUUUUCUCAACAAAUAUUUGUCAUUUUUAGAUUGGAUAAGAAAACUUUACACGUGUAGUGAUUUGUAGUUGUUGCUAUAACUUCAAUGCAUAGUAAUUGCAUUUAUGUUUCAAUUUGUUUGACUUGAUUAGUAACGUGAGAGUCAAGUUAACUGAUGUUAGAUGUAAAUUUGGAUUAAAAAAUUAUUUUUUUGAAGUAGAAUUUAUAUAUCUAAAAACUACGUAAGAAUUAUUAUAAGUCGCAAUAGUCAAUAAUGCAAAAUAUUUGUAAUGUAUUUGAGAAAAAUAUCCAUUAGUAAUGGGUUUAUUCCAUGUUUGGAUAAAAUUGCGAGAUUACUUACUUCGAAAAUAGUUAUUACGAAAUUGUCGUGUUGUUUUAUCCCAUGUGAAAGAUAGACUAUCUAAUCUCACAAUAAUUAUCUUGAAAUAACUUAUUUCCUAAUCAACUGAAUGUAUAAUCGGUAAAAAAAUCAAUAGAAAUACUUUGUGGGGAUUUGUUUUUUUUUCAUUUAAUGAUUUUCACAAUUUGAUGGCCUCAAUCAACUUAUCUUUUGAAAGUCAUUAUUGAUGUUUAAUAUCCAAACAAAUAUGUUUUUUGGCUUAGUAUCACUCUUUUAUAUUUUUAAAAUUUUAAAGUGUUCCUUGACAUCACACCUCUUUGCUUUUCUUUUUCAAUAUCUUAUCAAAUUUAAGGGCUAAAAACAAGAUUUAUUUAAUUCAAUUUUCACAGUUUAUGAAAGUGACAAGAUUUACUUGGUUAGGAUUUUAACUUGAUAUUUUUACCCUUAGUAUAAUAUUGGAGUUUUAAUUUUCUUUCCAAAAAAUCAAAAUAUUAUCAUAAUUGUUUUAAUUCAAAUAAAUUAUGAUUUUCCAUAUUUAGUUAUUCUUUUCUCAUACCACACCAUAAGAGUAUCCAUAAAAGGAAAAACGUACAUGCACCGAGUGUUUAGACAAUGCCAAUGUAAUUGACCAAAUCAUAAUAAUAUUAUGCUUUAUAAUCAAAUUUGAUUUGAAAUAUCGGACUUGAAAAAAAUAAUAAUAAAAUCGAUUAAUAGUGAAUUUUCUCUUUCAACAUGAUAAUCUAGGUCUCUCAUCUUAUUUUAAAGAUUUUCACGAUACGUUUCAUAGAUUUAUCAAAAUUACAAAAUCAAGAUUUCACCAUAAUUUGUAACUACGAAAUAGUGAGCACAUUUAUAUAGAGUUGAAAUUAUAUAUAUUCCCUUUUUACUUAUAAAUUUAAAAUCUUUAUUCAGUUUUGUUUCCAUUGCACCAAAAAGUAAUACUGAAUGAAAUUAUAAGUAAAUUUGGAUCCACUAAAUUUUGAUGUGCUAAAUCUACCUCUAAAAAGUAUAUCAUACACAAUAUAUUUUGUCAAAUUAAAUAAUUUACAUUAGCAAAAUGUAUUUGCACAUAUUUUAAAAAUUCCUUUUUUUUUUUUUUUGUAUUUGCACAUAUUUAAAAGUUCUAUUUAACUAUAUAAUUUUUGUUCAUUGGUUUUCCCAAAUUGAACAUGUAUGGUUCAUCCUAAACAAAUAUAAGUAAAAAAUUUAAGGUUUAAAAAAUAAAGGAAAAAGAUCCUUUAAAAUAUUUAAUGAGAAAAUUAAUUACUCCAAUAUAACAGCUGACCUUUAAUUAGACUAGGGAUAACUCUAAACAAUAUUCUCUUAAUUAACUAUUAGAAGGUUACACUUUCACAAUCAAAUUAAAGUGAUUUAAUGAUUGUGCAAUUGAUCAAAAAUCAAAUAAUGGUUUUUGAGUUACUUUAGAAAACAAGAUAAGCAAUUACCCCUCGAUUAAAAACAAAUUCAAAAUUUAAAAUUUAUGAGUUUUUGUAAUAAUUUUAAGUUAAUUUAUAAUAAUAACUGAGUUCUAAUUACAUAUUUAUAAAAUACAAAUAAAGUUUUUAAUACAUAUACAGAGUGCAAAUAAAGAUUAUUAGAUUCUCGAAAAGUCACCCCUAUCUCAAUUUCCAUUUUGAACAAAUAUAUAUAAUUUUUUCUUUUUAAAAUAUUUAUGAAUAUGAAAUUCUAGUCCUUUUAUGGUGUUACUAAAUUUUAAAUCAAUAACGUAUAUGUAUUCAAUUAAUUUCUUAAAGACAAAAUAUAAAAUCUGGAAUAAUUGCAUUUGAUCAAAUUCGUAACUUAUAUUCUAGCUCUGAUUCAGUUAUAUCCGAAUAAUAAAAUUAACAUUAUAUUCAAUAACAUGACUCAUAAAAUAACCCUAAGGGGUAGCUCGGCUGGUAAAGGCCUGAGGACAAAGUCCUUCAUGUCGCCAGUUCAAGCCCCAGCAAAGGCAUUACAAAUCGACCGCGUCUCCAGGGCCCCGUGGAACUAACCGCCUUGAAACUACGGGACCCGAUGAAUACAACUAGUCGGAUUCGCAAAACGAUAUCAGAAACCCCGGCAAAAAAAAUAAAAAUAACCUCAUAAAAUAAAUUUUCUUUUGUGUAUAUAUAUAAAAGUUCAAUCCACAUUAUAUACCUAACUUUUCUAUGUAAGAAGUAUCAAAAUUAUCCAAUCAAUUAAUCAUUUACAUGUUCUAUGUCGAACUAUUCUGAUUACAAUUAAUUAAACUUUAGACCAAACUUUCUAAUUAAUUAUAAAAAAAAUUUGGGCUAUAUUACUGUAGCAUGUAGGUACACUACCUACCAAAAAUUAAUUAUAUUCACCUCAUAAUUGAUUCCUCUAAAAAGGGAGAUGUGACAAAUAAAGUGCUUAAAUUUUCAUAUGAAGUUUCCUAAUAUUGUUUGUUAUUCCAUAAAAUAAAAAUAAAAAGAAAGAAAUUAAUUUAUGUGUUAAUUAAGCAGCCAAAAGAUCAUGUGAGAUAUUUCUCAGUAUUUAAAUUUUGUUUGAAAUGAAUGUCAAAUUAGCAUAGAGAACUAAAUUCACGGCCAAGUGAAAGAGUCUAAAAACUCAUAUUAUAGCGUGUUUCAAGAUUUGUAUUAUUUAUCUGUUAUAGCGAUAUGUGAGAUGAGAUUAAAACGUAAAACUUUCAAAGGGUUUAACAUGUCGAAUUUCAUACUUGAUAUACCAGAAUGACUAUUUAUUUUUACACCAAAUGAAUCUAAUCAUAAGUGAAAUAAAAAAACAUGCAUAGCAACGAAAAUAACGUAUCACCUAUUUAUCGUUCUCGCUCAUAAAUCUAACAAAAUAAGUUUUUUCUAUUUAAACAAAAAAAUUUAGGAAAAAUUAGUAAACUAGUCAAAAUAAAUAACAUAUUUAGUAAAAAUAUCGAUACUUUAUAAAUAUUAGCAAUAAUGUCAAAAAUGUCAUUAUUUUAAAAAAUUUAUGUGUCCCAAUUUUUCUCCUAUUUUAUCUCUCUUUUUCAAUUAAUUCUAUAUAUCCUUUUUUUUAAAAAAAUAAAUUAUUCUCUCUCAUAUUUAUCUUUUCAAAUUGUUAAUUCUCUCUCCCAUUUAAUUUUUUUUUCUCUCUCAUGAUUAUUUUUUCUGAUUUUCCUCCUAUUGCAAAUAUUUUUCUGCCAUAUAUUUUGGUUGUUUUUUUAAUCCAAAAUUGGAUUAACAAGAAUCCCUUUGAUUAAGGUAUCUCUAAUUUUUAUCCUAUUUUCAGAUUUUUUUCUAAUUUUAUUUUUGUUUAAAUCUUAAAAAAAUGUUGUUUGUAUUUUUCAAUUUCCGUUAUGAUUUACUCUCCAAUGGCUGAAUCCAAGAGGCUUACUAGAGGUAUUCAUCUUAAUCAACCAAUUUCUGGCAAUUUUUCAUCCUUUAAUUUAUUUAUUACUUAACAAAUAGUGUAUAAUGUAUGAUUAGCUGCUAAAAUGAGGGAAGAAAGAGGAUAAGAACAUUUACAAGACUCAUUGGUGUGCAAAACCUUCCUCAAAUUCAAAACGCAAAUGUAGAAUCUUUGUCUACUCGUGAGGAUCUUGAAAAAGACGACGAAGAUCGGAUAGUUGUCGAACAAUUUUCUAUUAGUUUGUUUUGUAUUUAUAGUUCUUUUUUAGAAUUUGGUAUGCUUUCUCAAUUUGUAUUCAAAUCACUAUGUAUACUAUCAAUAUUUGUAUUUAUUAAAAAUUUCAUGUUGCAUGGGUUAUGAAUCUUGUAUUUGUCCCUAAUUUGUAUUCAUCCAAAUGUAUGUCAACUAGUUAUGUAUUUUAUUUAUAAUAAGAACAACUUUCUAUUAGUUUAUUUGUAUUCGAAUACAAAUACAAAUAAUAGACGUAUUGGAAUGAAUACGACUUAGAAAAGGAAACAAAAUUUUGAAAAGAAAAAUAAAUACACAGUGAAAAAUAUAUACGAAUACAAAUGUAUUUCUUAAAUAGCUACAUUUUAUUUGACAUACAUAUUGGAAUGAAUACAAACUAAUAAAGAAAUACAAGCUUCAUUAUACAAAAUACAACAUGAAAACUAGAAUGGAUACUAAUAAAAACGAUAUACAUAUUGGAAUAAUUACAAUUUAGGCAAGGAUACAAAAUUUUAAAAAAUAAAAUAAAUAACUGUGAGAAAAGUAUGACAAUUACAAAUAAAACUAUAGGUGUUCAAGUUUCUAAGUUAAAGAAUAAAUAAAUUUAAUUAAGAAAACUAUAAUGUAUUAUCAUAAAGUUUCAUAAUAAUAAUUAGUGAGAAUGAGAUAUUAUAUUUUUUUUAUCAUGAUUUUCAUAACAAUAAUUAGUGAAAAAUUGAUAUUGAAAUUUUAUAGAUGUGGUACUUCUUUAAUUCCGUGAUUUUUAUAACAAUAAUUAGUGAAAAUUGAAUAUUUAUUUUGGUUAAUAAAAGUGUUUAGAAACAAAAAAAAAAGAUUACCAGAAUUGAAUAUUGAUUUUUUUUAGAACAAUGGAGAAAAAAAAGAAUUCUUUAUAACAUGAUGAAAAAAAGAAGAAAUAGAUGAAAGUUGGUGUAUUUUAAUAAAUUGUAACUGAUGAAACUUUUAACAUUUGUUCCUUUUUAAAAAUAAUAAUCUCCCCUAAAUUCCUCUCAAUCGAUUAUAUAAAAAUUAUAUUUUUUUAAAAUAAAGAUACAUAACAAACUUAAAUUUUGACAUUUUUACUAAAUAUUGAAAGUGUUGUUAAUGAACCCUCUUAAAUGUUAAACUAUUGACAUUUUAAAAAAUUUCCCAAAAAUUUAUACAUUGGAUUCACAAAAGGCCCAUUAAGAAAUUAAAUUGAGCCCGUUUUACAUCCGGCAGCCAAUUUAGAUUACUAUUUAAGCUAUAGCCAGUUAAAUAAAAUUAUUUAACUUGUAGCCUUUUGACAAUUUUUUUUAAUUUUCAAUUUAAUUUUGAUUAGUUUCGAUUGAAAAGGGACAAAUGAAAUUGGCUUAUCGAAAUUAAUGAGGUAAUCAUGAGUGAAAUAAAAUGAAUGAAUUGUCGAAGUUCAUAUAAGAGUCUGAAGUUUUUGGACAUUCACUUAAAUUUGAAAUAAAAGUAUUUAAAUAUCUAAAAUUUAUUUGCACAAAUAAUAUAUUUUAUUUAAGAUAUUUUUAUCAUUAGUUUUCAGUCCCGUAUAUAUCUGAAGUUAGUUAACUUUAUAUGGAACCAUUUUUUUUAACUAAACAUGUUUUACACUAAUGGUAAUCACUAAAGUAGUAGUAGCUCUUAAUUAGGAAGUACGUAAAUCAUAAGAAAUUAAGAAAUCAAUUUUCAAACGUAUUUCUAUUUUUGAGAAAAGAAGUUUUCAGAAAGUAAAAUAAAUAAAGCAAAUUUCUUUUUCUAUAAUAAGUAAGAACAUUGAAAGGCACAAAUGAAAAUAGGUAGAACUAGAAAUCUGAAUACGAGUUCAAUCGAAUUAAUUUAGUAACUGUUGUUCAAAUAGCAUAUGUGUACUAAAAAAAUCAUUAAAUAUGUAUAAAUGUUAAGUUCUACUCUUACUCAGAUGUCUUGAGUUUGAAUUGUUAAAAGUUAAAAAAAAAAAAUAUUAAGACAAUCGCCCUCAGAAAAGAUCCUGUAAUACACCAAUUCAAAUUUAAUUAAUUGAGCAAAUUCAAAUUAAUUAAAAUCUACCAUAAAUAUCGACUACCAAUCGAAAAAUUCACAAUAAUAUUGAAAGAGACUCUGAAGAUCUUGAAAAUAAGAAGGGAGUUAGGUAUUAAGUACAAUUUUCUACCAAAGAAAUGAAAUUUCUUCAACAAAUAUAUAUGCCUUUUUCACAUUAACAAUGAUGGAUACUUCACACUUGUAAUGGUGACUAUUUUACUUUUAAACAAUAAUAAUUAAAUGCAUUGAUAUUAGGGAAUUGGGAUGUUAAUACUUUUUUAAUGAGAAAAUUAAUUUUAUUUAUAUAUUCAUGAUUGAAAAAUAUUAUUAUUGUUGACUUAUAUUUCGUAUCUAAUAAGUGUAUGAUAAAUACUCACUAAUUAUGUACCUACUUUGCACUAUAGAUCGACUAAAAUUUCUAAUUAAAGUUAAGCUCAGCAUCUCUCAUAAAUCAUUUGAUUGAAAUGUCCUUUUUUAUAUGCAUAAAUUUAUGUAUUAUUUUAUGUUGAAUAGAAUGUUAAAUAAAAAUAUUAAUAUUGCAAGAAUUAGAUUAUUUAAAGAUAAAAAUAUGUUGAAUUAAAGUAAGAAAUUCUUAUAUUACGAUUUCUACAUUAUUAAUUACCAUAUAUAACAAUCUACCUAUACCAUUCUUAUAUUACUACUAAUUACGAUUUCUAAAUAACUUGUUGCGAACAAAACGAUCUCAGAAACGUAAGGCUAAAACCUACAUCCUUGAAUCCCCUCUACCCCUAUCCCACCCUACCCCUACCCCCACUUCAAAUUUUAAAAGAUAAUUAAUAUAUAUAGAGCCAUCAAAAUGGGUUUGAUCCGCGAGGUCGGUCCGAUCCAAUCCUUAAAUUAAGUGGGGUUGGGCCUAAUUUUUUUUGGUCCACUUAGAAACGAGACUUUUUAAUCCAACCUCACUUGACCCGCUAGCCUCGUAGGCCCAACCCGCUAGCCUCAAAGGCCAGCUCGUGGGCUUUGAAUAUUUAAAAAUAUUAUAUAUAUUUAGUAGUGUUUUAUUUGUAAAUGUUUUAUCAAUAAAUAUGUUAAAAACAUAAAUAAUCAAGUCUUUUAAACUAGCUUGUUUUUUUGUGGGAGAAAUGGUUAAAUGAUCAAUAUUUUUCUGUUAAAUCUUACGUUGACUAUUAUGUAUUCUAGUAAGCAUUCACCGAAGUGUGAUAUUCAUAAAUGUAUUUCUACAAGUAUUCGCUGAAGUGUGUGAUUCAUAAAUGAAAAUUUGUAUGUAUUGAUGAUUAUUUAUAAUUGGUAUAUGAUUUUUUUAAUUCAGUUGGUUGCAUAUAAUGAAUAGUUUGACAUAUAGAUAAAAAUAUGAUGAUGAAUCUCUUUGCAAAGGAAGUUGGUAGAAAAAAAAAAGUGAAGCAUUUAGAGAUUAUUUUUUCACUGUGAAUUGUAUUAGCAACUUAGUUACUUUUGCUAGAGUUUUUUAAAUUUUGAUUUAAUAUAAAUAAUUUAGCUAAAUAUAUUAUAUUGUCAAUGCUAAUCAUUUGAUCCUUUAGUAUUCUAUUUUCUUUUUGCUAUGAAAAAAAUUAAUAUAAUUAUUUCAUUUUAACAACAAAAACGAAAUUGAUGAUGAUUAGUUUCAUUUUUAUUAUAAUUAUAAAAAGUAAUUGAAAAAUAAAAUAUUAUUUUCAUGAUGUCAUUUUUUGUGUAUGUAACAAUUUGUCACCAUUCUUUUUGCUUCGAAAUGUAUUUAUAAUUUUUAUGUAGUCACCAAUUAUUAUAUUUUCUCUGUUCAAUUUUUAUAUUUUCACCCCUUAUUUUAAUUUAUUUAUUUUACAAAUAAAAUCAAUACAUAAUUAGUAAUACAUUAUAGUCUAAUAAAAUUAUACAUAUUAACUAUUUAUAACUCAUGUCUCUUCAUCUUACUAGUAACAUUUGAUAUUAAAAAUUAUUCAUAACUUUUAUAUAUUUUAUUUUUCGAAAGUCUUACAAAUAUUAAAUUAAUGUUUAAAAAAUUACAAUAAGUAAAUGCAAUAAUAAAUUUAAAAAAAGAUCAAUUUUGUUUUGAUGAAAUCAGAAUUUGAACAAAACAUUAGUACGGCCUACAAAAGAUAUAGAAAAUUAUAACAUAUAAAAUAUUUUCACCCUAAUACAAUAUAUUGUUAUUUCAACAUAUUAUCUCUUAUUCCAUUUACUUCACUAUGGUAAAUAUUUUGUUAUAAUAUAUAUAUAUAUAUAUAUAUAUAUUAAAAGUCUAUAAAAAGCAUACAAGAAAAAAUAUUAAUAUUAUCUAUACAUUUGAUACUAACCUAAAUAUUACAUAUUUUAUGUUAUUAUCUUAUAAAUAUUUUAUAUAAUCGCGCAAAGCGCGAAUAAUUUCACCAGUUAAUUAAUAUAUCCAAAUUGAGAGUCUUUUUACUAAUAAGAAAAGCUAUUUUUGGACAAUUGUUUCGUGUAAGAUUUCAUAGAGUGAAUGAAUGAAAAAUGACAAGUGCAAUACAAGCAAGAUACCAUUUUGUUUGGAUGAAAAUAAAAAUAAUUAAAGUUAUAUAGUUUUAAAAUUGCUUAGCCAUGAAGAUAGAGUCAACACUAGCCAACUUGACUAAAAUCACAUUCGUCCCAUCAUAAAAAAUAAACAAUAUAUAUCUCGUUUGAUAUUAUACGUGAAAUUUGAGGAUCGAAGAAUAAAAUAUAUGUAAAUUUUAGCUUCGCAGAGUAUAAAGAUUAUUUUGAAAGAUUCAAGAUACGUUACUAAUACAAAAAUUAAUAUAUAGGAUGAAAAUAAAUUAGGAAAAAAAAUUAAUGGCAAACAUUAGUAAAUAUAGCCAAAGUACCCUAUGAUUAAAUUAUUAUUGGAAAAAGUUCCUUCUCAGAAAAUUAAUUAUUUUUUUUAUAAAAGGUGUAGUGAUGAAUUAGAUAAGAGCUACAUUUGAUUAAUUUUUUUUAAAAAAAAGUAAAUACUACCUUUUAUUUUCUCCAUUUUUUUAAAAUUAGUUUUUAUCAACUAUAAAAAUAGAUUGUAUUUAUUAUCAUAUGCCAAACAGUUGUACGCAUGUUCUACACAAAAAAAAAUCUGAAACAAAUAUUUGUUUUCUCACCGCUAAAAUAUUACAUUAUAAUUGCAAAAAUUAUUAAAUAGUCGAAAUUUACCCAAUAAUUGAAAAAUUAUUAAAUAGUUCAGAUUUACCCAAGUUAAUUAAAAAAUCAGUAAGAUAUUGCCUUUCAAGUACGUACUAUUUUUAUAGUUCAUUUUUUUUCUAAAUCAAAUUAGUGGGGUAUUAAUUAUAUGUGGUGUUUAAAGAUAGAUAAUAAUGAGUAAUUUAGACAAUGCACUCGUAAUUGGCAUAAUUAAAUAUUUUUUUAAAGAUGUAAAAAAACUUUUAGAAAUAUAUAACAUGAAUCGAAAUAAGUAUUAUAUUAUCUACUUGCACUAGCUCAUAUAUAUAUUUUAUAUUGGUCAUGGUUAUGAAAUCAAAUUUCUGUUGUUUUUGAGUAACGUAAUGACGUUAUAAUCGAUUGUUAUGAUUAUAAGUUCGAAUCAAGCUCGAAGAAAUCUGGUCGAUUUGAUUUUUUUAAAAUUUUGAAAUAAAGGGAUAUAAUUUGCUUAUUUUUAUUUCCAUUGCACAUAUUCUAUUAUGUGUGAUUAAAAACUCACCAUCAAUGAAUUAAUUUAAAUUUAAUCAAUAUAUAUAUUAAUUUUUUGUAUAUAAAAUACUUUUUAUUAAAAAUAAUUUCAUGAUCAGAAUUCGAACUCGAGAACAAGUUAAUUACCGUAGACGCUAGACAGCAAUGCCAUACAAUUAUUUUAGUCUGAGCUCAUGACUAACGUGAUCUUUUCAUGCCAUGUGAUCAUUUACUGCCACCAAAUAUUAAAUUUAUUCAGUGGGUUCAAUUUUUCAUAUUUUUUUCAAAUAAAUUAAUAUACUUUUCAUCUAUUUAUGUACAUUUUGUACAAAAAAGAAAAAUGAACCUGUUUGAUUAAUAAGGGGAAUUAAGUAGUUGCGAUAUUAAAUUAAUUCGCACCCAAUGGCAAAAUACUAUUCAUAGGGCUUAUUAACUAUUAAUGUUUGAAAAUAGAAGGUUAUAAUUAUAUAGGGUUAAAAUACUUUUUUCUGAUGGCGUCAUCAAUAAAUUUAUAAAAAAUUAAUUUUUAUAUUUAAAUAAAGUUAUAUAAUACUAAUUCGAUUAUUUCAAUUUUUUAGUAUUAAAUAAAUUUGAAGAAGUUAAAUUAAUAAAUAAAUGAAUUAUUCAAUCUCAAUCGAUUCAAUUUUUUUUUAUAGACUGAUCUUUUCACCCAUAUUAAUCUCUAAUAUACAAACUAAAAAAUACAGGUUGUCUUGGAAAUAAAUUAAAAGUGAAGAAAAAUAUAAAAAAAAGUGCAAAGCAUUUUUGCAACUCUCCAAUUGGUACACAAAAAGAAAAAUAAUAAUUGGUGAUUCUCUUUAUUUUAGCACCAGAAAGUCACUGUGUGUUUGCUGGAAAAGGUCAAAAAAAAGAAGAAGCAAAUAAAUAAAUAAAUAAACCAGAAAUAAAUUAAGUUUGGUAAUUUUGAUAUAUAACUAUGUGCAAUUACUUCUUACAUUAUUAAAAAAAGUGCAAACUACAUGAGGAUAUUAUUUGAGAAAAAUUGUCACAAGUAAUAUUUGUCGAUUUUUUUGGAAAAAAUUUAAGUUUCUUAAUAUAAAAAUAUAUUAUCUGCGAGAUAUAUAUUGCCAACAAAAUUAGCUCAUUUUGCGCAAAAUGAGUUCCCACGAUAUUACCUAGGAAAAUAUAUCGCGGGAAUAAUAUCUCUAGGUAAAUCCCUAGCUACGUGGACCUAAAAGAAAAUUUAAAAUUCCUUUUUAAUUUGUAGGAAAAUUAAAGGUUAUUUAAAAAUUAUUUUUAGAGAUUUAAGAAUGAUUAGACCAAUUAUCUUUUAAAUGGUUGAAUUCUUUUUCACUUAUAAAUGUUUGGAUUAUAACCAAUUAAAACUCACUUAAAAUUUUAGAAAUUAGAAAAUAAUUAUAAGACCAAUUAAAAAUUUAUUUUGCUUCACGCUAACCCACUAAACUAGAUGAAAGAAAUUUCACUGCUGUUUUCAUCUCCAAAGUUAAAGACGAAAACAAAUCGAAUUUUUCAUCUCAAAGAUCUUAUCGAUGGAAGAAUUUCAUCUCAAAGGUCCCAUGCGAACCUUAUGUUUCUCUCCAGACGAAUUUUUUCAAUGUAGAGUACUGCAGAUCCAGAAGAUUUGCUUGUCAAUCUACCAACAUAUAUAUGUAUUUGUACAUAUAUACCAAAGCAGUGAUUUGAUAGAUUGACCUCGCUUUUUUGGUAGAUUGACAAGCAAAUCUUCUGGAUCUGUAGUACUCUACUUCGAAAAAAUUCACUUAGAGAAGCAUGAGGUUCGCUUCGGAGCUUUAAGAUGAAACUUCUUCCACCGAUUGGAGUUUUGAGAUGAAAAAUUCGAUUAUUUUCGCCUUAGCUUUGGAGAUGAAAACAGUAGUGAAACUUCUUCCACAACAUUCGAGUUUUGGAGAGAAGCUUCUAGUUUAGUGGGUUAGAGUGAAGCAAAAUGAAUUUUUAAUUGGUCUUGUGAUUAUUUUUCAAUUUCUAAAAUUUGAAGUGAGUUUUUUAUUGGUUAUAAUCAAUUAAAUUAUAAGUAAGUGUAAAAGAAUUCAACCAUUUUAAAGAUAAUCGGUCUAAUUAUUUUUAAAUCCCUCAAAAUGAUUUUUUAAACAACCUGAAAAUUUCCUACAAAUUAAUUAAGCACGUUAUAAACUAAAGUUGAUAUUUUAUAAACUUGUUAGGCCUUAGUUAUAAAAUAUGUAUUAGUAUUCAUAAACUUUCCAUCCAUUUCAUUUUAAUGGUUGCUUUAGUUGAUAAAACUAUUUCGUUUCAUUUUAAACAUCGCUUUAAUUUAAAAAAUUUAUCUCAAAAUAAUUAUUAUUUCAGAAAUUCAAAAUUUAAAUUGACAAUUGUUUCCAACUAUACCCUUAAAAUGAAAGAAGCACUCAAUUCUUUUUAACACUACUUAAUUUAAAAAAUAAAUCUAAUAAAUAAGGAUAAUUUAAUAAAUUAUACUUGUAUACAUUUUACAUUUUAAAUGUUAAAAAGCUAAGACGAUAACUAAUAUAAAAUGAAGUAAGUAAAUAAUAUAUAUUCAAAUUGACUACUAUUUUUUUUCUUAAAUACAUUAAUAAUGUAGCAUAAUAGAAAAAAACUUUUGGGUGUAAUUAAUUAAUUACACAUAAAUAAUUAGGUAUGAAAAGGGAAGUUCAAAACUUUUAUGAAGGCUUUUAAGAACCUUUUGGUUCUUAAUUUUUACCCCUUCUGUCUCAAUUAUCAAUCACAAUUUUUAAAAAUAAUAAUUUUGAAUUAUUUAUCAUUUCAAAAGUUUAAAAAAAAAAUAAUUUUAUUUAUCCUUAAUAUCUUAAUACAUAAUAAAGGAAAAAUUAGCAAAAUUAUUUUUAAAUAAUAAUUUUUUUAAUAAAUAUAUAUAAAAAAUACGAUAAAUAAUUGAAGACAGAUAAAUAAUAGAAAUCAAGAAGCUAUAUAUUAGCAUCUUAGCUGAAAACCAUCAAAAAUUAAAUUUUAAGUUAUAAUUCAAAUUGAUGAAGCUUUAAACAAAAGCCACUACUGCUGUCAAUUUUAGAACCCAAAAUUAAUUUUAUUUCGCCAACAAACUCAAAAUCACAUAAAUUUAUUAAUAUACCCCCAUUAGGCAUACACAAUAUUACUUUAAAAAAAUAGUUGUCAAAUUAAAUAAUUUUAAUGUCUAUAUACUAAUAAUGUACACAACUUUUUUAUACAAUUAAUGUAGUUUUAACUUUUGUGCUAGUAAGUCAAUCACCGUUCACACGAAUGUGAAUGUAGCUGAUUCAUUUGAAUUCACUAUUUUUAGGUGCAAUAUAAAUUUAAUAAAAUUCACUAAAAUUAUAUAAAAGCUCACUUAAUUAAAAUUACAAUAAGGUCAAUGCUAAUGACCAUAAAAUACUAAAUCAAAUUCAGAAUUUACUUAUGCAUUUAUAUUGGAUUACCUAGCUAUUAAUAUUUAUAAAAAAAUGUUGAAUAGUAAUUAUUUUGAGCGAGUAAUUUGAUUGUGUAAGUAAUUUAUUUGACUGACGUUGCGUAUAACUUAAACAAUUUGACUGAGAAAUUCUAACAUUUAAUGCAAAAUGAAAGAAAACACUACUUCAAUUCAAUUAUGGACAGACAAUUUUUUGAAUUCAACAUUGAAUUAGAGUAUGGACCAAGGAAAUAAUAUUUGACCAUGUUGUCUGAAAGCAAAAUGGUUUUGUUUCAAAUUAAGAUGAAAAUUGUUUUCUUAUGAUGAAGAGAUAAAAGUGUCAUUAAAAAACAGGUUCUCAUUAUUAUGUAUGAAUCCCAACUCUGAAUGUGGCAAACGGGUAGUAGUUGAAGCAAAUUAAUGCAAAAAUAUAUAAUCAAUGCAAGAGCAAGAAAUGUCAAGUUUUCUAGCAAGUAUAUAAUGCCCUUUGGAUCUUGAUGCCAUUUGCUCAAAUUAGUUGUUUGAAGAACAGAAAAAUAAAUAAAUAUAGGGUCACAUACAAUUCAAAAUUUUUACUCUUUGAAGAUGAUAAGUGAGGGAGUGAUGAGGGUAGGGGUGUUAGCAUUAUUUUGUUUUUAUGUUCUUGUGGGGAGUGUGGCUUUAGCUAGAAAUGUGAAAGAUUUCGAGGAUGAGAAGUUUUUUACUAUUGGUGAGGGAGGGGGACUUGGUGGUGGUUUUGGUGCAGGUGGAGGUUCUGGCAGUGCAGGUGGUGGAGGGUAUGGUGGAGGCGGAGGAGGUGGUUAUGGUGGCGGUGGUAUAGGUGGUGGGUUUGGAAAAGGUGGUGGAAUUGGGGGUGGUGCAGGAGGCGGGGGUGGAAUAGGUGGAGGAAUUGGGGGUGGUGCGGGAGGCGGAGGAGGAAUAGGUGGAGGCAUUGGCAAAGGUGGUGGCAUUGGAGGAGGAGUUGGUGGCGGUGCAGGAGGUGGGGGCGGAAUAGGUGGUGGCAUUGGAGGUGGAGCUGGUGGUGGGGGAGGAAUAGGUGGAGGCAUUGGUAAAGGUGGUGGAAUUGGAGGUGGAGCUGGUGGUGGGGGAGGAAUAGGUGGAGGCGUUGGUAAAGGUGGUGGUAUUGGAGGAGGAGCUGGUGGUGGUGCAGGAGGCGGGGGAGGAAUAGGUGGAGGCGUUGGAGGUGGAGCUGGUGGUGGGGGAGGAAUCGGUAAAGGUGGUGGCAUCGGUGGAGGAGCUGGUGGUGGGGGAGGAAUCGGUAAAGGUGGUGGCAUCGGUGGAGGAGCUGGUGGUGGUGCAGGAGGUGGGGGUGGAAUAGGUGGAGGCAUUGGUAAAGGUGGUGGUAUCGGAGGAGGAGCUGGUGGUGGUGCAGGAGGCGGGGGUGGAAUAGGUGGAGGCGUUGGAGGUGGAGCUGGUGGCGGCGGAGGAAUCGGUAAAGGUGGUGGCAUCGGAGGAGGAGCUGGUGGCGGUGCAGGAGGUGGGGGAGGAAUAGGUGGAGGUGUUGGUAAAGGUGGUGGCAUUGGAGGUGGAACGGGUGGUGGUGCAGGAGGUGGUAUUGGUGGGGGAGCUGGAGGUGGAAAAGGAGGAGGAAUUGGUGGUGGUGCUGGUGGAGGAGCCGGUGGUGGUAUAGGAGGAGGCAUCGGUGGAGGAGUUGGAGGUGGUGCAGGAGGAGGUAUUGGAAAAGGUGGUGGCAUAGGUGGAGGAGCCGGAGGUGGUGCUGGAGGCGGCUUUGGUAAAGGUGGUGGCAUAGGAGGUGGUAUUGGCAAAGGUGGCGGCAUUGGUGGAGGAGUUGGGGGUGGUGCUGGAGGUGGAAUUGGCAAAGGUGGAGGCAUUGGAGGUGGCGUAGGCGGAGGUGCCGGUGGUGGUGUAGGAGGAGGAAUUGGCAAAGGUGGUGGUAUUGGUGGUGGUGCAGGAGGAGGAGUUGGUGCUGGCAUUGGUGGAGGAGCCGGUGGUGGUGGAGGAGGAGUUGGUGGUGGCGUCGGAGGAGGUGUCGGUGGUGGUGCAGGAGGAGGAGUUGGUGCUGGCAUUGGUGGAGGUGCCGGUGGUGGUGGUGGUGGUGGAGGAGGAGUUGGUGGUGGCGUCGGAGGAGGUGCCGGUGGUGGUGGUGGUGGAGGAGGAGGAGGAGGGGGAGGAGUUGGUGGUGGCGUCGGAGGAGGUGUUGGUGGUGGUGCAGGAGGAGGAGUUGGUGGUGGCAUCGGAGGUGGCGGUGGCGGUGGAGGUGGAGGAGGAGGAGGAGUUGGUGGUGGCAUUGGCGGAGGUGUUGGUGGUGGUGUAGGAGGAGGAAUUGGCAAAGGUGGCGGCAUCGGAUUUGGUGGUGGUGGUGGCGGAGGAGGAGGAAUCGGUGGCAUUGGAGGAGGUGCCGGUGGUGGAUUUGGAGGCGGAUUUGGUGUAGGAGGUAGUUUAGGUGCAGGUAUCGGAGGUGGUUUUGGUGGAGGAGGUGGUGGUGGAAUUGGAGGAGGUUACUAAAUAUCCUUAAACACCAAAUUAAGCUGCUGCAUUGUUAUUAUUAUCAUUCUAUUUUCAGAAUUGUAAUUCAUUAAUAUUACAUGUAAUGAACUGAAAUUCCUACAUCAAUUCUAUUCAUUAUUAAAUGGAUACUAUGUAAUAUUAUUUUCCUUUAUAAAGACCCUAAUUAACAAUAUCCAUCAAAUUUAUGAAACUGAAAUAUACAAUAUUUAAUGUGCAAGAAAUUAAACAUGAGGCAAAAAUGAACAUAAACUAUAUUAUAUAGCAAAAAAUAGCUAAUAAUAUACACUAUGAACAUAGAGUAUCUUUUAAUAAAAUCUGUAUAAAUUGUUGAAUUUUCUUAACACAAUUUUGAUAUUUCUUUUUUAAAAAAGUAAAAAAAAUAUAACACCUAUAAUUCAAAUUCUCAACCGCAAAAUCUAAUUUUUGAGUCACCAUUGGCGUUUGGCAUUGCACAAUAAAAGUUCUACUACCAAAGACAAAGAGAUUCAAUAAUAUUUUAUGAUUAUUUUUAACUCGAUGUAUAAUAUCCAAAAUUCAUUUUCUAAAAAAAGAUAACUUAAUAAAUAUUUCAUUUGAAUUGGCUCGAAAAUAAUCAAAAGAAAGAGAUAAUAGCCAAAAUUAUAUUUGAAUAAUCUACGAAUUUCAUAUCUAAUUAGUAUCAUUUUGUUCUCUUUUCAACUUUUUCAACCUGAAUUAAGUUUUAAUGCAUAGAUAAUGAAGUUCAGAAAUGAGAAAAGAACAAUUAAUAUCUAGAGGAUAAAAUUCACCAAAUAAUAAUAAUAACUCAAAUGUGAGUUUUAUUAUAAUCCUUAUAAGAAAAAAAAAUACGUAUAAAGUGAGUUAAGAAAUAUGAAAUCUCACGUCUAAUAAACAUCAAAUAAUUUCUUUCCAUACUUUAAUAAAUAGAAUUACGUGAUAAUUAUAUUAACAGAUAAAAUUAAUUGUAUUGCUCGUAGACGUAGACGAUCACACGAGAUACCGUGAUUAUAAAAGUAAAAAAAAAAAGGUUAGAGCCCUAAAACCCCUUUUAAACCCUUUACAUUUCUAGGACUGUGGAGUUCCCAUUUUCAUUGCAAACAAAAUCUCUGUUAUCAAAAGGUAAAAUUACUAAUACAAAAUUCUAUCUUCUGUAAAUCCCUUUUAAUUCAUACCUCUCCAUGUAUUCAAAAAAUGGUAGAAAUUAACAAAUAAUUUUUUUUUUUAAAUAAAAAAGAGAGAAAAGAUUACAGCUUUUCUUCUCCUUCAAUUUGGGGUUGUUUGUUCUUGUUGUUCUUUUUUUUUUUUUUUGUGGUUAAUGGUUAGUAUAUUGAAGCAGUAAAUUGUGGUUGGUUUCAGAUUUUAACUAAUAUAUUCAAGAUUGCUUCUUUUUCUGUUUUUUUUUUAAGAAUCAAGAAUGUAAGUGAACAUGUUAAAAAUUUGUUCUUUUUUCCAGGUUAUUGUCAUUUUGUGCAAAAGGGGGGUGUUUUUCUAAUCUAUAAGAGUUGUUCUGGUGAUUUAUUGAGUUGGAAAAUGCCGGAUAUUGAGAGACUUGUGAAUGAUUUUGUUGCAAAGCUCAGCAAACGGUUAGUACUGCAGUUAUAGGAAUUAUCUGGAAGUAUCACUUGUUUGAUUUGAUUGGCUAAUAUGGUUAUCUGCUUUUCUGUUUUUGAAUGAUAGUAAGGUUGAAGGUUCACAAGCAACUUCGCGGCUAACAGCAGAGUUGCUUCGUUCUGUAGUUUCGUUGCAGAGAUUGCCACCUACUAACUCAGCUGCAGUGCUCAUUGAGGCUGUGAGAGGUAUAGGUGUUAAAUUGGUUGCUGCCAACCCCGUUGGUAAGCGUUUUAUCCGCUAAUACAUGAAUGAGGAUCUGCUUGUAGUUAUUUUGAUGUUCUAGAAUGGAAUUUAUUUUUUGAAGUAGUUAAUGAGUUAUUCAAUCCUGGUUAGUAGUGGGAAAUUUGGAUGCUGGAGAUGUUUUUUAAGCAUAUAGUUUGGGACAGGACAUUUGUCUCUGUUAUGCAAUCUUCUUGUGUUCCAAAUGAAUUCAAUGAUAUAUUUGCUUCGUGUCUAGUUUGAUACCAGUUGCUUCACUUGCUCGAAAUAUAGAAAAAUUUGGAUAUAUCUGAUUAACUAGUUGUGUUAACUUUGUUUACUAGUCAUGUGUAGGAGUAGGACUUAUUUGAUCUAUGGUUUAGUGUAAGUCAUUAACUGCAGCUGCCGCUCCAUUUGUUUGUUUCAUUUUUGAACUCGAAUUCUGCUAACAUGUAGUGCUAUACAUUUUUUUUGUUGAACUGGUAACACCUUCGUAUUAAAAUCAUAAAAAGGCUGUGAAAGCCAUAAUUAAGGAGAAAGUGAAGCAAAAUAUAAACUGUGAGUUCCCAGUGAAAUGAUUUGAGUGUGUUGAGGAAUUCAGUGAAUCCGUCUACCUCCCAAUCAUUUAGGAGUCUCCUGAAACUGAAGUUCCAGCCUUGAUUGCUCCAAACUUCACUAAUGUUAACCCUUUGUUGUUGAUUUAAAAUGAAAACAUACGGAUAUAAGAGUUUGAAAGAGCUAUCUCCUAUACAGUUGUCCUCCCAAAAGGAUGUUUCAAGCCGAUUACCAAUUUUUAGUGCUUAUCUUGCUGCUGAAAAUUUGCCAGAGAUUUCUGAUAGUCUUCUGGACACUGACCCCGUACACAAUGUUGACUGAUUUUGUCUUCUAUGGUCUUCAUCUCCGUAUUUGAUCACCUUCUUCUACAAAGAUUGAUCUUUGUUGGAGUAUCUCCAUAAUCUCUUUAUGAGCAGACUUUAGUUCUGCUUUCAAAGUUUUUUUAUACCUACUCCUCCUUGCUUUUUAACGAGGGUAAGAGUUUUCCACUUCACAAGGUGGAAGCCUCUUCUUCCCUUGCCAUAAAAGUUUCCUUGUUACUCUCCUCCCUCUGUCAAAGCUAAGACAUAUACAUCUGCUAUGAUAGCAUUUGCACACAUGCACAUAUAGGGAGAGGGGGAGAAGAGAGAGAGGUGGUGCCCUAGUUCCGAUUUAUUCCAGCGUGUUGGGUGUCCUUCUGCACAUUUUCUUUGGCAUGAACCCCAUUUCUCAUUAUUUGUCAGUCCACUUACUAAAGGAUGUGUACAUAUAUGUAAAAGGGCUCGGUGCACGAACAUCCUGCGUCCACGCAGGGUCCGGGAAAUGUCACAUCUGAAGGUGUAGUGUAGGAAGCUAUCUUGAUGCAAGCAUCCGUCACUAAUUUCACUGCUUGAACCCAUUGAUUUCAAUGCAAGGAUUGUCAACAGACUUCACAUUGAGAACUUAUAGUAAAUUAAUGACCUCUGAAUUCUGAUAGCACUCUAGAUUAAGUAAUCAUAUUUGUUUAUGCCAAGAAUGAUAUGACCAAAAUUUGAUGAAAUUGCAGAGCUUGCUGUUGGAAAUAUUGUUAGGCGUGUUCUUCAUAUUAUCCGGGAGGAGGAUCUUUCUCUUUUGACCAGUAAAACAAGCGACUUAGAUUUAUCAGCUGCAAGUGAUGAUGAACGAACCAUAGACCAGGAUUAUGACCCAACUCAGUCUGCUGCCGCAGCUGCAGCUAAAAGUUUUCUACGGCCUCCUUCAUUGCAUGCACUUCUGGAGAAUAUGUUGGAUAAAGCUGUACCGACUAACAAUUACACCUCCUCUUCAGGUGGAGAUACUGAAGAGAAAAGUAAAGGUAAACGCUCCUGUGCACAUGAAUUUGAAGCAAUCUAGUCAUUUUUUAGUUUCAGUACUGAAUUAUCUGUUAUUCUGUGCUGUAGCUGAUAAACUUGCCAGGACUCGGAAGUUAAAGCAUGAUGUUAUUGAGGCAAUUAACAUAUUAAUUGAAGAUAUUGAUACUUGUCAUGAGCUGAUCGCGGAACAGGCAGUUGAGCAUAUUCACCAAAAGUAUUUACCUUUCGCACGUACUGGAAAAUAUGUCUUUAUUUUGUUAUGCACACUACAGAUUUCAAGUAACAUUGUAGCAUGAUUUGAACACAUGCAAUGGAUAUUGUCAUUUCACUGUUCCCCAUUGUUUGUUGUUCAAGGGGAUUCCCUUUGCAGUUCAAAAAAAUUGUGAUAGGUUACUCAGGACUCACAGCUUGGGUGCGAGGAAAAUGCCACUUCCCUUGAUGGAUAGACAUUUUAUCUGAUAAAUUAACACAUUUUGUUAAUCAAUGACAAAUCUACUGUUCCAACCUUGCUGUGAAAAUGACAAAGAUAAGCUUGUAGCUUAAUUUGCAGUUGCUGUCCUUCUUUACAUUGCUCCGGGGUGAUAUAGUUACGAUUAUAAUUGUAAUGCAAAUGCUUUUUUUUGUUUUAACUUUCACCUCUAAUUUAUUUAUUUGUUCUUUUUCACUCACUUUUGUGGGCAUAUAGCUGCAUAGUUGUGGCGAAUGUAUUUUUUCAAAUCAAAAUGCUAUAGCUAAUUAAAAAAUGCAAUUUUUUCAGUGAAGUAAUACUAACACUAGGUAGUUCGAGAACUGCCUUUGAAUUCCUCUGUGCUGCAAAAGAGAAAAAACGGUCUUUUCAUGUGGUUGUUGCAGAGGGCGCACCGAGGUUUGUGGAGUAUUCUCUAAUUUCCGGGAAAUAAAUGAAACAUGAACCUUCUUUUUCAUUGUAACUAAAAUAUAUCCCCUCUUUGUUUGUGCUUGAUCAGGUACCAGGGGCAUGCUCUUGCAAAAGAGUUGGUGUCAAGAGGUCUACAAACUAUAGUUGUAACAGAUUCUGCUGUUUUUGCAAUGAUUUCUAGAGUAAAUAUGGUAACUUUCUGGAUUGGCUCUUUUAUGUGUAGUACCAAUCUGUAACCUUGUUCUGCUGCUUCGGCUACCUGUGCUCAGAACCGUAACCUUGUUCUGUAGGUUAUAGUGGGAGUUCAUGCAGUGAUGGCCAAUGGUGGUGUCAUUGCACCUGUUGGAAUGAAUAUGGUUGCACUUGCCGCUCAAAAGCAUGCUGUUCCAUUUGUCGUAGUUGCUGGCAUUCACAAGGUAUCUGAGCUUUAUUAUCUCUACAUAUUACUCCCUCCAUUUAAAUUUGUUUGUCUUAGUUUCCUUCUUAGUUUGUUUCAAAACGAAUUCCUCUUUCCUUUCUUGGCAACUUCUUGAUUCGAACUUUCCACAUGACAUAUUUAAGGACACGAAGUUGAAGGGCAUUUUGGUACAUUCCAAAGUCUUCUUUACUUUCUUAGGGAGUUCUUUUUUCCUUACCCAUCCCCAUGACACCCACCCUUUUGCUCCUUUGGUGACUCAAACCCACAAUCUUAGGGUUGGAGGUGAGAGGGGCUUACCAUCCAUGCAACUCCUGAGUCUGCAAUGGAGGGACUAACUAUCAAAAAGGUAUUAUUAAGGUGGGUGGGCGGAGGUGGGGGUGGGGGGGUGGAGAGAGAGAGGUCAUGAGAACUAUCAACUUGUACAGUCCAAACCGUUUAAGUGGCUAUUCUCUCAGCUCUUACUAUUGGCGAUUUUUAUACAUCUUGCUGAUUAUCAUUCUCAAUUUAGAAGGCUCUGAUAACAUGAGAAGAACUCAGCUUUUCAGGUUUACUAUGAUGUUCAGAACCUUUAAAAAUGGUGUAUAAUGUUGAUGUAAGGCUUUGCAGAUCCUUGAAUCCAUUUUGAGUUGACCAUAAAGUUAUCCUUUUUACACUUGCCACUUCAGCAGCAAACUCUUUUUCUACUUUUUCUUGCAGUUAUCAUUAGUUAGUCCGUUUAACUAUUUUCUUUCUGCUACAGUUGUGCCCUUCUUAUCCACACAAUCCAGAGGUUUGUCUGAAUGACAUGCGAUCCCCUGCUGAACUUCUCGAAUUCGGGCUAUUUUCAAACUGCAUGGAAUUUGGAAUGGAUAGUGGGGCUCCUCUUCAAGUUGUCAACCCUGGUUUUGAUUAUGUGGCACCCGAGCUUGUCAGCCUUCUCAUCACCGACAUGUGAGGAUUCUUUACCAUUUUCAACUUUUUAUUCGUCUUUGCAACAACGAUGUCUCAAUCCCGAGCUAAUUUUGGCUUGCACAUAACAAAGCAGCGUGGAUAAUACAGUUCUACAUUGUAUCCUCUACUAAUAUACGGGAAUCUUUUAUUUUGUUAUGUUUAGUAUGCACCAUUCAGUAUGAUGAAGUUCAGUUUACUUUUCAAAGAAAAAGACUACUGCGUUUUAACUCCACCAUAGUUUAUAGUGCAUAAAAUAAACUACUAAAAAAAUCGAGUCAAGGUUUUACAUGCAAAAGUUUGGUGUAUUUGGACUUAGAUAGGCUGAAGGGAGCAACAUGGACCAUGAGGAUUCAUGUAGCCGACCCCACGUUGCUUGGGAUUGAGGUUUAGUGGUUGUUGUGUUUAAGAGGGCGUGCAAUGGGAAUUCGUAAUGUAUUAUUUUGCCACUUUAUGAGUUAAUAAGCAGUUUUAUGAUAAUAAUACUUCUUGCAUCUUUCUGAUUUACAGUGGAGGGCAUAACCCGUCAUAUAUGUAUCGUCUCAUAUCGGACUACUACACAGCUGAUGAUUUUGAUUUGCAAGGGAGGAUACAUAAAUGAAGGUGAUACUUCCUUUAAAUUCUGGUUUUGACUUCGAAAUAAUCUUUCUGAACAUUGAACAUGUUUGUUGGCCAUUUUUAGGAGAAAAAAUUGACUGCUUCAGCAAUUAAAGCUACUUUUAUUAUUUAACCAUGGUUAAAUUGCCAUCCUCUGUACAUAAUGUCAAAUAAAAAUAUAAGAAAAUGAGGAUCUUUUGAUAAAGCGUCGAUAUACACAUCAGAAUCUAUAGCAUAGCAAGAACUAUAAAGAAGGAAAGAAAAGCAAAACAAAGUUUUAUCUCAAUUUCAGACUACUGCACUUCCUGGCCUUGGAUUAACUUGAUUCAGUGCUUAUAUUGGGUGCGAGUAAGUUUUUACCUUCCUGAAAUCAAUCUUUGUUGGCGAGUUACUAUGUAUCUUUAGUCUAUUAGACUCUUACUACGACCACACAAAAACUUUUAUGAUUGUUGCUUUGAUCAGUUUUUUUUGUUUAUGCAGAAAGUAUAUUGAACUCCUUACUGAAUUUAAGCAAUACAUGCUGAUUUCAGGUAUCUUUUGGAGAGCUGUAGUUGACUGAUGAAGAGAAGUGGCAACCAAAAAAUCAAAUGGAACGUGUUUGUUAUCCACUUUGUUGGAUAGCUAUAAAUGAGCUUUUUAGCAUAAACACUUUCUGAACAUUCUGUACUUUGUUCAGACUAUGUUUUGACUUGUUUAAUGUAUUGUAAUGUGUCAAAGGUGGUGAUAUUAGUUUGUUUCGUUCUUGUUAUGGGUGAAUGUUUAGAUGAACUUUACCUCUUGAAUUACAUGUAUCCUCUAUGCAUUUGUCUCUUGAAUGUAAAGGUUAAACGAGUAUCGCGCACACACAAAUAUGGACCUUUGAUUCCCUUUUUUUGGUUGUGCAUAACCACUCUUAAGAAGCUCAUAGAGGGACCAAAAAACACCUUUCGUUUUUCACCCCUAGUCCGCGACUAAGUGGGAAUUAUCUGAACUUCAGAAGCAGUGUCACUAUCACAGGGUUUAUUAGUGAACAGCCUGCAUUUCCAGGCUAAACUGUUCUUUUCUUGAGAUAUGAGAGAAUGAUGUUGAUAUUCAUUGAAAGUAGGUGAUCAAGAUAUGCUUGGAGAGUAAUAUCAUGAAAACAUAUAACUACAAAUCAACAAGCAAUGCCAAAAAAUAAAGUUAUGGUUUUUGAGGGCAUCAAAAUUAGUGUCCAAACAAAUAUGCUAUCAGGUUCCAGGUUCUACUUCUUGCUGAGAUCAAUCCCAGCUUUCUUGGCUACAGCAUCAAGUCCAUUUUUCUCAAUGGUCUUUAUGGCCUUUGUUGACAACCUCAGUUUCACGAAUCGUUUGCCUUCCUCCCACCAAAUUCUCUUGUAUUGAAGGUUUACGAAUUGCAACUUUUUCGUUUUGUGGUUUGAAUGAGAGACCUUGUUUGCCCUGUUGGACUUCUUGCCAGUGAAGGGGCAUACUCUACCUGAAAAAACAGAAUGUAUUCUCUUAAUAUUCUAUACGCUACUUAUCAUAAAGAGGCGCCAAGAUAUUCGAGCACAACCGACAAAAAUGCAGGAAAGCAGGGGGGGAAAGGAAAGAUCAUGAUGAUGUAAGGCAAAGGAUGCUUCACUGGGAAUAUUUGAUUACUCUUGUCCCUAAUUUGUUUUAUUUUACCUAUUAGCUCAAAGGCUUUAAGUAGUUUUGGACUAAAAAAACAAAGGAAUUCAGGAUGCAGUUUGACAAAUGCAGCAACUUAGAAAGGGAGUCAAAGCAAGCAAGAGUGUCAGUGAUAUAGUGCUCCUAAUGACUCUCAUAAUGUGCUUUCUGAUUAGUAAACUAAAGCUUCAUCAGUGAUCUAAAAGCCAAAUACUCUGCCAUUACUGGAUUUCACAAAAGGUAAGUCAACCCUUUACAAUUUGUUGUCAUACAAUGAGAACGAAUUAAACCAAGCUGUUAUCAUCAUAUUCAAAAUAUAAUGUACACCAGAGGGGCGAACACACCGAAGAUUCAAGUUCUGUAGAUUUUUCCUUCCAAAUCUGCAGCUAACACACUCUCUCAGCCUCUCAUUAUUGGUUUCGUCUUCUUUUUAACUAGUUUGGUCACUUGUAAUAAGGACACAGGUGGGUAAAUAAAUAUUAAAAAAUGCAGAAGGUGAAUUUGAGAGGUAAAUGGAUUUACAUAUUCUUGAUAGCGAGAAAUCUACUUUCAUAAGCUUUGAAUCUCAUAAAGCUUUUAUUUCACUAUUAGGCUGCAAGUUUCAUGGAGAGAAGAAUAGGCAGAUGGAAAUCCUGCUCAUUAUCAAGAGAGGUGAAAGCAAGAAAAUGAAGCUCCCUUUAGGCUGCAGUCAGUUUUUAAUGAGACCUAAAAGGCCUCGACAAGAAUUAUAAUAUCUUCUCAUGCAUAUAGUAUUUCUUUUGCAGCUUUGUCUAUGAAUUGCAGCAAAGGAAUGCAAACUUUGUUAACCAAAAAACUGUUGAUACCAUCUAUAUAAGAAAUUUAUCAUGAAAUAAUUUAUAAUUCUUCACUUGGACAAUCUGUUAUGCCUUAAAUAUCGGCAAUCCUUAAGUCAGAGAACAAAGAGCCAAGGAGGAAAAAUUAGGGAUCAUUCAGUAUAUGAAGACAACUAUGGACAAACUUCCAAACUAUAUACCGUAUUUUAUUGAUCUUGUUGUUAUUAAUGCAGUUAACGCGGCAGCUCCCUUUAAUCAAUAUGCUGUAGUCCAUCAAGCUCUUCCCAGUUUGUUAAUUUUGCACAUGGUGAGGUUGUCCUAUCCCUAUUUCUUGCGACUGUAGACAGACUUUUAAACCCCUGGAAUGAUGACACCCCUUUAAUCUCUCCUCUUGAAGUUAUAUAAGAAGUUGUUUAGAUAGUAAACUAUAAUAUGGUUUUUAAUCAUUGAUUAUCAUAUGUAACUUAAUAAUAUGUGAUUAAUGUCAAGUGCUCAGCUUACCAUACCACAGAUUUCAAGAAAACAAUAUAUUUAGUUUGCAAAUUGCAACUGAAUCAAACUUUUUCCAACUUUGGCUAUGUCUUCAGAUCCUCCACAUUGUAAGGGAUAAUUUUCAUCCCAUAUCAGCAAUACUAACUUUCACUUGGUACUAAACAAUCUAACGUAAUGUGCUAUCAACACAAAGCACAUAUCUGAAUUCUAGACACCCGACUACUAAAUGGGGUCUCAGGUAUGGAAUGAGCAAUUAUCUGAGUAACACUCAUGAUGAUUUCGGUCCUGUGACCCUUUGAGUACGGCCACUCCACACACACACAAAUAAAAAGGCUACCUGCACCAAAAUGAUGAUUCAUCGUAUUAACAUUUGAAAGUUAUCAUCUUUCCUUUUUCCCCAUCAAUGUUCAAGAAGAACUUACUAUCCCUACUUCAUGGGUAGAGGGACCGAAGGUGUAUACCAUACAGUAUCCCUUUGCAUGUGAUCCAAUUAAUUGAAAUUCAGAAAGCUGAAAUGUCACCUCUACCAUCAAUAGGUCUACAAAGUUAAUAUUUCCGCCCCUCGAACUCGUAACCUUCAGGUCAGCAAAGGAGCAACCUUGCAAUUGCACCAAGACUCUUUUUUUAUUUUAAAUAAUGGUAAUGUCGGGGUCAGUUUGCACAUACUUCAACAACCAUUACCCUAAGUAACAAGUACUUAACUAAACUUCAAAUUAUCAGAUACAAUUUCCUUUUGACAAUUGUGGUGUAUGGCCAGUAUGCGCACACCUCGACUAAUUCUAAGGUUACCUACUGCCUCCCCACAAGCACAAUUUCUUACACACAAUUCACAAUAUUGUUAAAACCCAACAAUUCACUGAAACAAACAAAACAACAAACAGUUCAUGUGCAUAUUACUAGACCAAAAAAGAAACAACCCCAACAACUAAAAACACAGAGAACACAACAAAAGGGUAGAGAAAUUACGAGCAACAGGUUGAAGGGCUGUCUUGAAAGGAACAGAAAGUGAAGCAGGAGAGCUCAAAUGGGUGCUUGAAAUCUUGAUGCCACUCAAUUGAGAAGUCACAAAACUCAACUCUGAGCUGAAUUUCACCUUGGGUAAAGCCCUUUUGGUCACUGCAAAUGUCCUGUAACCACCCACUACUGGUCCUCUGAGGCUUAUACCCGCUGUGAUUGUCGCCAUUUUUGCAACCAAUUCCUCAAAGCAAGAAUCUUUUUUGUCUCAAGAAUGUUGCUUUUUUUUUUGAAGAAGGAAGUGAAGAGUGGAUAACGAAAUGGAUGUGGGUAAUGAUUUUAUUUGUUGGCCUUCAUAUUUUUUUUUAUUGUUAUUAUAUAUUUAACUUAUUUUUUCCUUUAGUCUAAUAAUAUCAAACGAUUUAAAUAAAAGAAUAAAUAAAUAACAAAAUCUAACUUAUUUGGAAGUAAUAUGUUAUCAUAGUUAUGCUUUAAUUUUAUUUGCAUUACUUGUGUUAUCUUAGUUUAUGCUUUAAUCUUAUUUCCAUUACUUACUCACGUGGAAGUCUAAUAUCACAAACCAAACAAAGAGAGUAUUAAGCCUAUACCAAAAUCAAAUCAUUAUUAAGCCUAUACCAAAAUCAAAUCAUUAUAAUAUUAAGCGUUUUCUCCCUCUUCAGGUUCCACUUAUGAUAAACCAAACAAAUAGACCAAAAUCAAAUCAUUAUAAUAUUGAACGUCUCUACUAUCUUCAAAUCAAUCACACUAUGUUAUGAAUGUCCUUAUCUCUCUAACCAAACAACCCCUAAAAUCUGUUAUCCCAUCAACUGUCCAACUGAGUCAGUGACCAACAUCAUUUAGAACUACAAGCACAAGACAUUAAGGCAAAAUAAUAAGAAGGUAAAUAAAAGAUUUCAAGAAGCCAUAAGAUUGUGCUCCUGUAUAUUGUAAGUAGUAGGUAAACUGUUGCAACUUAAAAACAAAGUUCAUAAUUUUUAGAUGACAUAAUACAAUGGCUCAUUCCUUCAUCCCAUUCUACAUCUGGGAGAAAACAUGUAUUCCGCUUCAAAUCGGGUACGACUCUCGCACUAACAAAAGGGUUAACACCAAGGCAUCUCAAUAAUGGUAAAAAUUGCAAACAAACAUUCAGUUAAGCAUUGUGAAAUCCUAUGUUAACGUCGUUCAAGUUUGGGGAGAUCUGCAUAAGGUUUUGAAUGGGCCAAAAGAAAUUAGUUUUGUUUAGCAAACUUUGUCUGAUAGAGAUCAAGGGGAACAUACUCCACAGUCACUAUUCGGUCGUCAAACAGUCGUCCAUGUAGACAAUGAGCAGCCGUGCAUGCAGCUUCUGCUCUUCUAAACUCCACAAGUACACAGCCCGGAUCAAACACUUCAGUAAUAGGGAUUUCUUCCUUUUUCUCAAGUUCCUCUGGAGCAUCCAACUCUUCUUUCGAUGAGAAUUCUGGUUCAGAAGGUCUAUCGUCUACAUUUCCAUUGUCUUCCUCUGACUUAAUUGCUUCCUUAACUGGUGAGUCAUUGUUUAUCUCAAGAUGCUCCAGUGGACUGGGAUUAGCAUUUUCAUCUUUCCUUUCUGAAACCAUACCAGUACGGGUAACCUCGAGAUUUUCUUGGAAGAUUGUCUCUUGAGCAGAGACACUACUGUCAUCUGGUAGAGGGUCAGAGCUGUCGUCUUUUAUUAGCUCCUCAGAAGGUCUAUCAUCCGAAUGACUGCCACCAGCCAAAGCAUCGUCAUCCCCAGCCUUUUGAGAAUCAUCUUGUGAAGAUUCUGAUAUGUGUGUUUUACUAUCAGCACAUCUUUCAGCUUCCUUAUCACUAUUGGUUUCCAUGGGUUCAUCACUGUUGGGGAAGUGUGGCCUACCAACUUCCAACUCAUGAUCAUCACUGUUGGGGAUGUGUGACCCACCAACUUCCAACUCAUGAUGAUCACUGCUGGGGAAGUGUGGCCCACCAACUUCCAACUCGUGAUCAUCACUCCUAGUGAUCGGAUCAUUUUUGUCACACUCUUCCCCAAAGUCCAUAUUGCUAUCGUUCAAGGUAGAACUAGUAUCCAUAGCAGCAGGAUCAGAUAUGAGAGAACAUUGACUUUGCUUUACAACAUUAAUUGAUUUAAUAGCGCCAAACCUACAGAUCAAAAGAAAACCUUCCAGAUCAGUAAAUAAUUGACAAGGAGAAAAAAAAAAGAAUGACAUUAAGAAAUGCGACUUUUCAUAAAUGACCUGGCACACUCCAAUCUGAUGUCUUCCAGUAAUUCUUCAAGUUCUGCUUCAGACAAAAAACUGAGUACAUUUGCAUCCACCUGGACAGGACACGGUGAUUAGAGGAAAGACUUUAGUAACCCCUUGGUAAGUUUUUUGCAACAUCUAAGAAACAUAACCCCAAUAACAGAGUUUUUAACAAAGAACACCUCCAAAAUAUACCUCAAAGGUCAACUACAUCCUUAAUAUAUCACUGUUAGCAAGUAACAUUGGUAGAGUGUAUAAAAAUAAUGCUAAAUAGAGUGUAUUAGUAAUGCUUGCAUUAGCAAUACAUGUAUUAGUUAUGCUUGCAUUAGUUAUACAUAGAUUAUUUUUAUGCAUUGUUUGAUUUGAUGCAUAAAAAGAUAGCAUGCAUUGCAUAAAAAAAAAAUUAAGUUACAAAGAUACCCUCCACUAUUAUAGCAAAAAAGAUGUAAAAAGGUUUUGAGGGACAAUUGGGUCUUUAAUCAUGCUAAUGCAUGCAUUAAAACCAUUGCAUUGCUAAUACCUAGAAAUACAUGGCAUUAGCAAUACACACCUUAAUACACAGAGUGUAACUAAUGCAAGCAUUAGUUAUACGUAGGUUGAAAAAGAGUAUCAAACAAGGUACUAGUAAUACACAGGGCUAAUGCAUGCAUUAUUUUUCCUAAUACACGCUACCAAACGACCCCUUAAAGUAUCAAAAAGUUAACAAGUUCAGUUCAAAGGUAGUUUUCAUGUCUAAAACUAACAGUGAAGCCAAGCAUACACAUAUACUAGUGACGAAAAAAGAAACAAAAUUGAGAAAGAAAAAGUGGUCGUGAUCCCAUAGUCUUCUUCUUCUGCAAAUUAGGCGUCCCACCAAGCAUUAUUUUUCUCUAUACCCAGUGAAAUUCUUCAAGAGUUUGCACGUACUGGGUAUUCUUCAGUGUUGGCUUGCUGCAAGUGUACUCCCUAAGUAUUAAAUUGCAUUUCUUGGUGGGUUUGGUUUUAACCUAGCCCAAGUUUAUUGAUUUCACAGGUUAUAAACCAAAUCAGUCACGGGGAAAAAGAAGACCAAACCAGGUAAGAUGUCUUUGUUUUAAUAUUUCAAAAGUUGUCCAAUUCCUCAUUAACAAAAAGAAAAUUUCUCGUAUCUUGAGGCAGAAACUUUAAAAGAGUACAGAAUAAUAUGAAACAAACUAUUGAACUCUAUAGACAAAGUGCAGUGCCUCUCUUUGCUUUCGAGUGCCUGGUUAUCUUCAAAAAUACAUUCCCUUUGUUAAAUAACGAAGUUCAGAGAAUAUACAAAGCAGGUUUUUGCCUAAUUCUAAAUUCCAAGCCAACACUUAUUAUAUUUUUCUUUGUUUUUCACCCAAAACAGAACCUCUUAAACAAGCCUUAAUAUUGAUUUGGAAGGAUGAUCAAAGGUAAGAAAAGUUGAACAUGGAGUUGAAAAAAACAACAGAUUUGCAUAUAGGCAACCGACCGACGUAUACAAACUAAAAAAAUAAGCAACUAAAAAAGCUAGUGGGUUGACGAAUCCAAAGCAACUUGGGGACGAAACAACAAUGUGUUUCAUGAAUCCAAGCUUCUUGACUUUUUUUUGGGUAACGUGUAAUGCGUUUGCUUGGCUUUUCACUGUUAGUUUAGACAAAACACUAACUUUGCACUAAACAUGUUUACUUUAUGAUGCAUUAAGGAUGUUGCUUGUUAAUCAAUGUCAUAUUAAGGAUGUAGUUGACCUUUGGGGCAUAAUCCAAGGAUUUUUAUCAUUAAAAACUCUAGAAAACAACCACGCAUCAGACCCAAGCAAGUUGGGCUCAACUAUCUGAAUAUUAUAAAAGUUUAAGCUCCUCUAGUACAAUAUUAUAAAGUAGAAUUUCUCUAGCACUAGAGAUUCUCUACAAUUUCUACUAGCAUCUACAUUUUUUACUGGCAUAACAAGCAGAAUAUUUAUUUGAUGAAAAUGAACUUGACGUCACAAAAAUAAUGAAUACAUACCACAUUUUUCAGCUUUAGAACUUCCGUGUGCUUCUCCAACAGUGGCUUUGCAUGCUGCGGAAUCCGGUAUAAAGGUGUAUUUUCAUCUUUGUCCUGAGUAUUAUGUGUAUCUUUUGGUCAAACUCAAAGAUUAAAAAAUGUACCUAAAGCCAAAGUAAUCAGGAUAAGAGGACUUGAGAUAAGUACCAGUAAAGCAGUAUCUGGGACAGCCCGAACAACAGUCAACACUUUCCCACCCAACUUCAUACCAUUAAGACCAGCGCAAGCUUUAAGAGUAACUGAAUGGUCAACAUACUGAAAUGGUUGAAAUAAUUACUUUAAGAUCAAUGAAAGACGCAAGAGGAACUUGAACUUAAAGAAGACUUGAGAGUUCAGCACUUGAUUCAUGGAGAAAUACAAGGGACCGAGAGGCUCAUUAUGUAACAAACAAAGGUAUCUAGCUGAUAAGUUUACUGUUGAAGCGAUAGUGUCGCAUAAUCUAAAGCAUGGUAAAAAACUAUUAUAAAAGGAAUACUCUACCUGCGAAGAAAAUUAAGUCAAGCAUAUGUGAAACUUAAGUGUGGCAAGCUACUUUUGGCACUAAAGAGUUCCACUGGAGAAUUGACACAAUCACCAGUACAAACAGGGUUAUUUAUUCUCAACCAUUAAAAGGGAUGAAGAGGGCUUGCGAAAUGCUCUGCAGAUCAUUGAGAAGGAAGGAUAUUAAAGAGUUUGAAGGCUAGAAAAUCUAAUAUGAAUAGUUAAGAGCUCCUCUUCCUUCUGAUUUAUUUCCAUCUGAAAGAUGAUAUCUUUUUGGUAUUGGCUCACAUUAAUAGAAUUGAUGUGGAAGCUCACAUAAGGAUCUGAAGCAGUAUUGGUUGUUCUAGAGCAAUCAUUUGACAAAUGUGUAGAGUUUUGGCAUGUCUUUCUAAAAAGAAACGUUUACUUGUCCUACCUUAGAGAAGCAAAGUAGUAGAAUGAGAAGAUAAAAUUUACAACACAAAAAGAGUUCCAAGAGGACAGAAAGCCGCUGCCUGAAAAAAAUGAUAAUAGUGCCUUUUUAAGGUAUAUUUUAUUAUUAAAAUAAAGGUAAAGUUUUGUCAAUACAUAGUAGUAAGAAGGUGCAUGAUACAUCCCCUUUCUAAGCCAAGCACACAACCACAUCGUCUAUCAAGCCAACAGGUACAAAGUCAUAAACAAUCUUUCCUUGGACAAUUUCUACAAUGAUUUGCAUACAUGUCUAUGAUUCAACUUUAUCUCUCCCAUGCUCUUUACAUGCUUAAAGUGGUAAAUCUAUUUGUUUGGCGCGACGGACCAACUCUGUUUUAAACAUGUAAAAAUAAAUACUUUUUCUUCAUUCACCCUUCAACCCAGAAAAGAUUGUUGAAGAGGAAAAUGAUUUAACUUCUAGUAAAACGACAAUUUGCUCAUUUUUUCUACACUUGGUACUUCCAGUAAUUCACUAGACUGAAAAAUAAUCUUAGCCAGCAAAAUACAAUAUGUUUAAGACUGUUUGUUGCAUAAAAGCUACCUUUGAACCAGAAGGAAAGUGCAUUUCUGUAAAGAAAAGGAUGCUUCAUUUAAUAUGAGAAAGGUAUAUACUAUAAUCCAAGAGUACCUCAAGAAAUGCACAAGGUUCAUUGAGAUCUGAAUUCAUCCUGAAAUGGUAAGCUUUCAAAGGUCCAAAGGCUUUAGCAAUCUCCAUAAGCUGAAAUAGCAUCAGGUAAGAUACAAAUCACAAGAGAGUGUGAUAUUCCAUUGUUCCUUCUUUUUAAUUAAGGAAAGGUUUCAAGACAUUUUUCAGUCUUACCAUCUCUGAUGAAAUAGUUCUUGAAAUUCCACCAACAAAAAUCUGCAAGACAUAUUAAACAAAAGUGUUAUGUAAGGGGAAAGGGAACCACAGGACUGGAACGGACUUGAAAUAUAUGGGAAACAUUAUAUAGAAGCAUUCGAUGACAAACAGACAACAAGUGAAAUACUGUAUGAUCAGAUUCCAAAGAAGUCCUUGUGGAAGCCAAAUUAAAAAAAAAAACAUAUUCUGAAGGUCACAAAUGUGACUCGUCAGGGAGUUAAGGCAACACCAACAAAGAAGAAAAGCAAUUCAUAUGUGACGUCCUCACAAUCCCACAGGUUCAAAUGAGGAAUUCUGUAUCUCAUCUUAACAGUGAGGGAACAUUCAUACAUCAACAUCUAAAGAAAAUCGAAAACAUACAUCAUAAUCCGUAACCUCACUGUCCAACAUAUAAUUGACCUACAUGAAUUCAUGUAUUGCAGUAGCGUAGAGCAGCUGUUGAUGAGUUUACUCGACAGAUGGAACAUUGCUUUCUGUGUAUACGAGUACAUACAUAAAAGUGCAGCACAUGAAGAAAUUAUAGGUCUCAAUUCUCAAAUAUGUUGUCCUAUUUCAAUCAGAUCAAGUGUUGAUAUUAGUUAUUACGCCAAGCUGCUGCCAUAUUUACAUCUUUUUCAUACUACAUUUUAAAAUCAUCUUGAGAAACUGUUUCUUAUUUAUGCUACCCAAAAAAAAAAUGCAAACAAAAGAAAACACAAUUAAGGCUAUUAGCUCCCCUCAAAAGUACUCCCAUUCCUUUCUCAAACUAAAAGCUAAAAUACAUGUAACAUUUUAAAAUACCUAAGAAGUUCUUUUACAACUAUAAUAAACAGAGCUCAAACUCUUGAACGGAAAUUCUAAAUAUUCAGUAAAGCAACUUUUCAACUUUUAAGAAGUCCUGCUAAAUCUGAUUAGACUGAAUUAACUGAAACGGACAAGACAGGUACUUCUAGCAAGAAUAAAUAGGAGAUUUGUACUUUAUCACAAGAAGUAAAGAUUGAUGGAUAUUGCAAGUACAAGGACAACACAUACAAGUGACUGUUGCAUCCAGUUCUGACAGGCAGGACUGAAGGUCAAUCUCAAAUCAUUUGUGUUGUUUCAGAUGCAUACCUUAUAAGAAGAAUCCUCUACAGUGUUAUCUAUCCUAUCAGCAGCAGCGACUGACUUCUGAGGAACACCAGUCUGCACGAAAAUAGCAACUGUCUGAAAACCUGCUACAUGAAUAAUGACCACAGUAUACCUCAGAAACUGAAUACAAGAGCAGAAUAAAUCACAGUUUCAACAUAAAGAGGUAGCACCACCUUCCUACGGCUUAAAUACACAUUUUAAUGCAUUGUCAAAUUGUAGAAAAUACAGAGCAACAAAUGUUCUACAUUAACGAAACUCCCCUACCAUAAUGUCCAUACUUUACUAUUUUACUUCAUUUGAUAUAAUUCAACUAUAUUCUCCCUCCAUAUAUGCAGUGAAAUCCACCGUCCUCAUUAGCAAGCACCAUCGUCAUCCUCCAACAUCCAAUUAAACAGAUGAUCAAGUGAGUUAGCAUCCUUUGUGCUGAGAUAUGAGCUAAAGGGUAUUGAGGGUACUAUAAGAGAAGAUCAGAAGGACUUCAUAUUAAUACAUCCUAAACAUAGGAUAUACCAAAAUCUCGGUGCCUAUAUUGUUGCUAACAACAACUAAGGGACUCUAUGAAAUUUGUAUCAAGUCAGAGGUUAUCUUCCACACUGAACAGUCCUUCAAGCAUUGAGGACAAGUCCAACCUCUCCAUGCAUCCUACUCAUUGACUACAUAAAGAUCUUGACUUCUAUUUCUGAUAAAGAUGGACAACUUGAUUUUUACCUGCAAGAACACAUUUUACUGGGGACUUCUGUUUGUUGCCUGUCUAUUUAAUCUUUAAUCAUAGGUCAAGAAUGGAUUUAGAGUAAUCUGUAUUAAGGGGGAAAGAGCAGCUAAGACAGUCAUACUUAGCAUCCCUUCCACAACAAAAGACAAAAUUCAUACAACAAUCAAACUCCAAAAGGCAUAUAUAGAACGGAAGGAAAGGCAGAAGAAAAUCAGAUUCAUUUUAACUAAGAACACAAUCUUUUUAACCCACGACAAUCCUUAUUUGUACCCCCACUUAGACCUGCUCAUUAAGAUGAUAAAAUAAGCACACCACUCAUUUCAUAUGAAGGGGUGCUUCGGUUUAAAAUGUGUAUCGUUUUUCACAUCCUCGUAUGAAGAUUACAAUUGAAAGAAAAAAAAAUUGUUUCCUCCCUUUAUCUAAGGGUUUUCAAGAAAAUUAGUAACCAUGACCAAACUUUCUUCAGCAAUGUCUAUAUCAGUGGACACCAGAAUAUACUGAUUGUUACAUAUAAUGAUGAAUACCGGAAUUUACUCAUUGUUACAUAUAAUGAUCAAUAAGAAUUGGCAUCAAAACUUCAAUUCAAGCCGCUUUUAGCACAAAACUGACAACCAAAUCUUAACUCAAACCUCUUUGACCCAAUUCAAUUUUGGCCCUAGUGGUAUCCAGUACUUUCCUUUUUGGAAUCACUUUGAACCUGCACAGAUUUUAACCCAACUACCCAAACGAUAAUGAGGACACUUCUUAACCGACACUGAAAUAUAGAUAAACUGCGUAUUGCAUAACUAUAACAUGUUACAUAAGUUAAUAUGCAAAAUCCCAUCAACUUCUCACACAUUUAAUACAAUAAUAGUAAGAGAAGAGCAAAAAAAGUUCAGUCUGAAAGAUAAGCACAAUCUACAAAGAGUCUCAUAGUUAUAAUUCUUACAGCCACUUCCACGAAGUCUUUUGGGCGUCUGAUUUUAAGAAUAGAACCAGAGAAAGAUCUUCCAUCAAAAGAUAGUGCAGCAGAAGCAUCUUCGGGCGUUAAAAAUUCUAAAAGAGCUUGACACUUCUCCUUGUGUAUCUGCAGUGUAGAAACAGUAAGCAACAGAAAUCUCCAUCCGGCUUAGAACAAGAAUAGAAGAAGAAAACAUACCAUACAGCUGAUACAUGGUUGGGUUCCUUGAAUGCGAUUAACUCCUGAAGACAUCAAGAAAUUAUUAAUCCAGUCCAGAAUCUCUUUCUCAGAGGCAGAGUUUGGCAAGUUCUCUACAUAAAGCCUUCUCAUAGGUCGUGUGGCUUGUGUCAGCUGGACGGAAUCAAUUGCAUGUACAGAUGACGUUAAGUAACUAUAUGAAACACCGGCGGCCAUUGUUGUGUAUGAACUAGCAGGAAUCAUGCUAGAGAACUGGUGUGUAUUUGGUAUUACAGGCUGCAUUGAAGACUUAACACUAGAAGGAACAGAACCAGUAACACUGAUACCACCUGAUGCAGGCGGUAGAUCCCACCAAGCAGCUUUUCGUUCUGGAGAGCGGUUAGUUGGGGGAGGAGUUUUAGCAGCAGCCUCUGAUUUCCUCUUUCUUGGUGAAUAACCACCAAGACCACUUGUAGAUCCUUCAUGGCGGUUGGAAUGGCUAUCUGAACCAUUGCUGGAUAUCUUUUUAUCCAGAUCAUAAUGUGAUCUUCCAGAUUUAUCUUUGGAAGAAUGAGAGGAAAACUCACCACGCUCUCUGAGAUCAUGAUCUGAAUGCUUACGUCCUCUCGGUGAACCAGAACGAGACCUUCUACCCCGAUCUCUAUCAUUCUCUCGACUUCUUGACCUUCUUCUCUUUGGUCUUUCUUCCUCUAGAUGAGCCCGAGAAGCUUCCACUCUUCCAGUGAUUUCAGAAACUUUCACUGAACUGUGUUUUUUAUCGGCAUUCUUCUCUCUAUUUCUCUCCUCCUCAUCACUUUUCCUUCUAACUGAUUCAGACUUUUCUUUAGUUCUGUCAGCAUAACUAUCUCUCCGCCCGUGAUUUCUUAAAUGCCUUUUCUCAGCCUCAUUCAGAAGAGCACCGUUUCUCUCCUCUUCAUCACUUCGGUGCUUCCUUCUACCUGAUUCAGACUUUUCUUUAGUUCUGUCAGCAUAACUAUCAAUCCGUCCAUGAUUUCUUGAAUGCCUUCUAUCAGCCUCAUUCAGAAGAGCAUCAUUUCUCUCCUCAUCAUCAUUUUGGUGCUUCCUUCUUCUUGAUUCAGACUUUUCUUUGGUUCUGUCAGCAUAACUAUCUAUCCGUCCAUGAUUUCUUGAAUGCCUUUUCUCAGCCUCAUUCAGAAGAGAAUCAUUUGACAUUUCCAUAUCUUUCCUCUUCCUGUAUGACUGUCUCUCCUCCUUAUCAGGAAUUUUGUCUUUUCUUCCCUCUCUGUGUCUACCAUCAGUCUUGUCUGCCGAUUUCUCCUUCCUGGUCAAAUCUCUUGAACGUCUUUUACCAGUUUCAUUUCCAGAAUCAUCAAUAAGAUCCUGAUCUUUUCUUCUAAUGACAGGACAAUCUUUAUCAGUGUUGCUACCCGCUAGUCUCUUAUUGCUUACAUCUUUAUUCACUGACGUCUUCAAUUUGAUUUCAGAUUCUCUACUUUCCCUGUGUUUAUCCCUAGCAUAUUUAUCAGCCAUCAUAUUAGCCUCGGUUGGAUUUGGCCCUAACUUCCUAGAAUUCUCUGAAUUAUGCCUGGAAACACUAGGUAAUGAUUCAUAGCGAUGUCGCUCAGGUUCCAAACGAUCAGUGGUUUUCUUAGGCCUGUCUUCUUUAUGUGAUACAUCGUCAACUCCUAUAAAAUUGUUCUUAAUGUCCCUUUCCUCUGCUUUACUUUUCCUUCUAAGCAUAAUUUCAUCAAAGCUGAGAGGUCUUGUCCUAGCUGAUGUACCAUCACUACUGUCACCCUUUGAUGAAUUAUGUUUACCAUUCUUAACUUUUUGUCGACUGGAUCCCAUAAUACUAACCUCCAAGAAGCUAUCAAUCUUUCAAUCAACUCCUCAGCAUAUGGGACACAGAAGGAUAUGUAACCACCUGACUAGAUGCAGUAGUCAGAGACUCAUGAUCAUGCAUCCAAUCGAAACAUAUUCAAAGGACGAAAAAAUAGCUGCAUGCAAGGAAAACAUAUUCAUCAUACCUUCUAGGUAAUUAGCCAUGCAUCUAGUUGUAAGAAACAGUAGAGUCAUGGGUGCUCAUUUUUUUUACAGUAAAGUUGUUAGACAAGAAGGGCUUCUUUCUUGAAGCUUACUAAUAUUUCUAUAGUUUAGUUAGUAAAUGAAAUACGAAAAAAAAAAGUGAAAAUCAAUAAAGAAAAUAUUAGUAAACAGCAGUGAAAAGGUAAAAAAAGAAGAGUAAAAAUGUUAAUAAAAGCUUCAGUUUGCUUUUCCCAAUCAAAAAGAUAUGUUGUUUAACAAGAUUCAAACUCUCUCUACAGGGCAUCAGCAUACUCAAACUUCAGCUUCAGCCAAAGCACCCAGCAGACCUUUAAGUUUAUGGAUGCUCACGAAUAGGUUACAAUCAAUUUUCCAAUAUUUUCUAUAUACAUAUGCAAAGAGAAAACAAAUCUGAAAGAAACGUUAGGUCACAAUAAAUGCUUAGUUUUCUUUUUCGACAACCAAUAAAUUCUUAGUGGUAACCAGUACACCUAGACUAAACAUGUAAGCAUCCAGGUGUCCUGCUUUUACCUUAGGUUAUCCGUUAUAGUGUCAUUCAACUUUCAACAUAUACAACUUAUGUUUAUUUAUAAGAAUGUGUUCUGACAUAUUCUAGUUUCUUUUUCUUUUUUUUUUGAAACUGAAAUCUAGUUUCUAGUUAUGGUACACUACUUUUAACCUCUUGUAAUUGGCAUCUCUUUAAAGCCAAACAACAUCCCAUGUAGAUAACAAUCCUCAAAGCUGAAACUCUGAUUUUUUAUUUUCCGUACUUGAACCAUAAUUUUUAUGAAAAAGAUGGAAGCUUUCAGAAAUGAAGAAAAUUUUCUCUUCUUUUUCCUUUUCCAGGAGUUCAGAAGGUCGAGUGCAAUAUUGAGAGCCUGAGCUUGCAAGAACUGCACAUACUUCAGAAAAAUCAUUGAAAAAUACCAAGACAUCCAAGCUAAUAUCUCAAAUAUAAUCACCACUCUGAGCAAUGAACUAUGUGUCACUUCAUUCACAAGACGACCUAGCAUAAAUGAGUAACUAAGUAACCAAUCUACCCAAGCAAAGAAUUGAGCUACUGCACCAUUUUAACAUAUCCUUAGUCAUUCCCUCCUAAACAGAACUCCGCCUACGUGCACAUUGCUGAUGCCAACACCCAAUCAAACACAGAGGUGAUACCUAGCUCAAACCAAGAUAAUUUACAAUGAAUCUCAAAAUAUCCCCACCUUACUUACAUUUUUAAAAAUCCACAAAUUUCACUCACAACUAUACAAUUCUGCAAUGUAACACAGCCAAUUCAAACUUCUAUAAAAAUCCUCACCAGUAAAAUUUUUUUUAAAAAAAAAUCAAAUGUCAAAUGAAAUAUAAAAUUGCAAAAUGAUAAACCUUUAUAGGGAAAUUCCAAUCGUUUAUGCCAAAGAAAUCAAAAAAAAAAAACUUUUAUCUAACUUAACACAAAUGAAAUUAUCGUCUGCUUAUCCGCAAUGUACAAUGAGAAAUUUAUCGGCAUAUGAGUAACGAGCAACGUGCAAUAACAGAGAGGGCUAAUUUUAAGUAGAUAAAGCAGCUAAAAGUAUUGAGCAAGAAGUUAGCUUACCGUAGAUUCGAACGGACGGUGUGCUAACUCGCCGGAGAAUCGCCGGAAAAGUAUGGAAAAAACCCGAUAAAAGUGGUUCCGGGGAUUAUCGAUUGGGUUGAAUGUCAGUGUAAAAAGCGUAGGAAGAAGAAAAACCUAGACAUGCUAAGAUAUUAUGCAUAUUUAUGUUUCCAAUUAUACCCCUAUAAUCACUUUUAAUAUUUAUUUAUUUUUGGAAAAAAUGACAAAUAUAGUCCGAACUAUCGUAAAUGAUAUGCGCAUGCCCUUCGUCAUACUUUAAGGAUAUUGGUGUUUGUGCCAUCUAAAAACUAUACUAACGGACAUACACGUGUUAUAAUCUUACUCAUUGACCUGAUAUCUGAUCGAUGGAUUAGAUUGUGUCACGUGAACCUACUUAAUCUCCUGUUAGACCGAAGGACAUAUACGCUCUAGUUUUGGACGAUAGGGGCACCAAUGUCCCGAAAGUAUAACAAAGGGUAUGUGCAUCCCAUUUUAUGAUAGUUCGGACGUAUAUUUGUCCUUUUUCCCUAUUUUUAAAUACAAUUUAACAAAUUAAAAGAAAAUAAUUUUUUUAUAUAUAUAUUUUUUACUCUUAUUAUUAAUCAAGAUUUAUAUUCCACUAAUAUGGAUAACUAUGAUAAGAUUUAUUAGAUUAUAGUGUAAUUAAAACAAAACGCUCAUUUGUUUAUGUAUUUGUUGAGAUUAGAAAUUUUCUCGUGAUUAUUGUUUCAAUUUCGUUUUUUCCUGAACGAGUUUUUUAGACCUACGUAAAUGAGUAAAGAGAAGUAAAAUUGAUUGUUCAUCCAUCAAACACAUGCCUACCAACAACAUAUCCACUAAAAUCUCAUAAAAUAGAGAUGAGGUCGAGAACAGUUAGGAUAUACGUAGAUCUUGUCCUUACUAGAAAAGUUAUUUUCGAAGGAUAGAAAGUAAAAUAACGACAAAAAGAUAGCAAGAUAAACAAAGGAAUCGAAGUAAUAGAUAGUAGUAAAAAAAAAUGAAUAAGAUACUAUCGAGGCAAGACUACUAAAUAAAGAGAAAGAUGAGAAGAGGAGACUAUUAUAUAUACCUGUUGAACAUAUAUAUAUUGGCAACUGAAGAACAUACUUAUACAUUAUCAAAUCUUGGCAACUCAGAAAUACAUAUACAAAUACAAAUACCAUAUUGAAACUCGACUAACGAGUGAGUAUUAUUGAACCAGUCUGAAACAUAGACGAGUGAAAAAAGAAGACAAGUACAUAAUCAGACUAUAAAGAGCAACAGUUUGCAACAGAGAUGCUUAUAGUAACUAUGCUUAUUCCUUUCGCAUCAACCUUGACACCAUAUGCUCAGUUUUCUGCCAAAAGAAGAAAAGGCAUUAGCAAAUUGGUAUCACUCACUGUGCUAUAGAACAAAGCUAUGGAAUUCAAGCAAAAGAGCCGAUGUGACUGUUUUAAGCAGUGACUUGUGCAUACAAAAUCUAUUCAUAUGAUCCCAAAGCCACACAUUAUAAAUCCCAUCGUUAAAGAUAGCAGAAAACGGUUUAUUUCUGGUUCUGUUGGGAAAUAUAUCCCAACAGAUGCACAGAAACAACCAUCUAGCCCACAUACAAACCAAGGACAUGUGUCCUAGCUCAAGAACUCGGAAGUUCAGAUCUUGUCUUAUUUUCCUGAUCAGUUCAACUUUAGAUAAAAAUCAGAGUUCACAGACAUGGUUAUAGACGUAGUAAGAGUUGAUUCUAUAAGCACACAUGCAUUAACACACCUUAAUUAUAAACUUACAAGGCCCCACACAGUUGCUUAAACAGAUUAUCCCUUCAGUCUUGCAAUAUUUUACACCACACACCUUGCUUUUGUAUGAAAGUUGAGUUCAAGCACGAAGAUUUUAACUGUUAUUUUGCAAGAUAAGUUGAUAGGAAAUUUAAUUUGGCUUUGUCACAUUUGAUUGAUGAUAUCUGAUUUACGUAAACAUAUAUGAUAUCGUGUAAGUACCAUCUAUGAAAUGCUAAAACUAGGAAAAAAGAUGUGAAUGGAAGCAUUAUUUACUGAUUGUUGGAGCAACGAGCUCUCUGAUUACUUAACUAAAAUACAAAUACAAGACGCUCAGAGUUGAAAUCAUGCACCAGUUUGCUUGGCUCACACAGGAUGUGCACAAGGGUACGGAAGCCUUUAAUAUCAGACCUUACAAAUAAAAAAUCAGAAUCCUCUAUUUUGUUGCACCUAGCGGGUGGGGAGUGUGUGUGGAGAAGGAAGGACGAUUGUGACGAAGACCUAGCGGUCAGUCAUCUUUAUGGACAAUAAUUUGGAGAACAAACUUUACAAUUAUGAAAUGUAAAAAAGGAAACUAACCUGUUCAGUGUGUGGCAGAUACUUUCCAUCAAAAGUCAAGACAACACGAUCCUUUCCAUCCACACCUUUGAUUUUAUCAACUGAGCAGAAAAAGUCUAUAGCUGACAUGCUAAACAUUGAGUCGAAAGUUAAAUCUGACAUAUCAUCCCAGUACAAGUAUAUCAUGUGCAGGAAGCAAGUGAAAAACAACUAACAGUAACAUAAACUUGCAUUAAACACUCGCAUAUAAACUUGCAUGGCUCAUAACAUCCUCUGCUGUUUUUCUUUCUUUUUUUUUUUAUAAAAGAAAUAUGUGAAGACCCCUCUGCUCUUUUUUUUUUAAAUAGAUCCGAAGGUGGUGGUGCCAGCCAAUUAUAAUCUGUACAAUGUACAGAACAUGUGUGCAGCCGCGACAAAAUAGUUCAUGCUAGUUGUAUAAACAAUCUAAUAUGCAGAGAGGUUGUGUGAUUCACCAGACAAGAGAAAGUCACUAUAUAGAAUCACAGGAUUAUAAUAGGAUAAUGGAUGAGACUACACUAAGUCACUAAGUGCAUCGGGUUGAUAAUUAACAAAGACAUAGUGGACGAGCCGGAAACACUUGACUAUCACUUACCUUUGAAAUUGUAGUUAGAAUUUUUUUUUCCUACUAUUUAUCUAUUAAAAAAAUCGGAAUGAGAUGGGAUUAGAGAGCUUGGGUUUGCGAACGAGAAAGCAUAGACAGACGAGUGAGUGCUAGAGGGCAGGUAAUAUGGCUUAAUCCUAAGGAAUACCAAUAUCAUUCCUAAUUCCCUUAGAAAAAAGCACUAAACAAACAACAGAUAAUGAAGAAGGGGUUAUAAUCCCCCUGCUAUAGAUCAUUUAUACAGUGAUCAAACAACACUAUAGCAUAGCAGCUUGUUGACUCUAAACACACUGUGCAUGCUCUAGUUCAUCUUCAAAAGACUUCUUAUGAAUCAUGCUUGCACCAAACCCGAGAUAAACUUAUGCAAUUCAGAGUAGUUAACCAUCAGAGGCAAUUCAUUAAGGUUCACAAGAUCCAGAACUCCUGAAGUUUAAAGGCAGAGAGCAUUUCCAGAGUAUGAAUCUAAGUUCUAAACACAUGCAGAGACCCACAUAUAAGAGAAGAUUAUAUCUUUCACCACAAUAUUUUUUGAAUCAAUAAAAUAAGGACAAGUAUUUAAUAUGUAUGCUAACUGGAGUGACUUACAUGCCAUCGCCAAAUUCUUCAUUAACAAUUUCCUUGAUACUCUCACCAAAGUGCAUGACAGCCUCAUUCAAUCUGUUGAAGGAACACAAUAAUCAAAUUAUGUAUGAAAUGCAACAACACAAAGUUUUCCGAAAAGCUUUGCCCAAUAGAUCUGGCUUACAGCUUCACAACUUAAGCGCUACUAUAUGCUUUUACCUAAAUUAUCUAAGGAUUUCACAGGAACAGUAAAAAUGGUAAGCUAGAAGCUCUUCCACAUUCUGUUUCUUCUGUGUUUUCUUGUGCCUUAGUAUCUACACUAACAACACUUUAUGUGAUUCUGGUAAAGGCAGAUUAGGGUUUAAAGACAGUGGUAACACCAAUUAACAUAUAUACUAACUUUGUACAUUUUAAGAAAAGAUGUAUAGCGCGGGCACAAAAUUUCGAGUGUACAUGCACCAGUGCUUAUAUUUUCAAUCCACUUCUGGCUACUAGACAUGACGACAUGUAAAUGUUAUACAACAAUGUUUUACUUUCUAACUAGGAGCACAACUUUCCUCCAGUCUCUACAUAAGAAUUUCCAAUUUCCUGAAUCCCGCAUCUUCCUCUAGUUAUAUCAACUACUGCACACUAUAGCAAGAUCAAAGAUUUUCAGAAAAUGAACAAUAAAGACAUAAUGAAGUGGACCACUUUAUAGAAUGGUUUGUCGAAUCAAGUUAAUAGGUAUUUCCAAUAUUUUGAACCCCAUUCUAGUUGUAUCAACUACCAUAUACCACAACAAGAUCAAAACUUUUCAGCAACAAAAGCAAAAAUUCUAGAAAAGGAUCAAGUGUUCACCUCUAGAAUCAAGAUAUCAAGAAUUUCCAGUUUUUCCAAUUGCACAUCUUUUUCUAGCUCUAUCAACUACUACCAUACACCAUAAAGAUCAAAUUUUUAUAUAAAAAAUCAAGAAAUGGGUGAAGUGGUCAUCUAUAAAUACUGAGGUCUUGAAUCAACUGCUAUUCCACUAUCCACAUCUUCCUCUAGCUCUAUCAACUACCAAACACCAUAAAGAUCAAAUCUUUACAUAAUAAAUAAAUAUAUAAACCAAAAAAAUAAGUGAAAUAGUCACCUAUAAAAUAGUGAGUCUUGAAUCAACUUAAUAAAAAUCUCCAAUUUUUCCGAUUCCACUAUCCACAUCUUGUUGAAGAGUCACACAGUGGAUAAUAAAGGAUGAGUACUUCCCUACCAACUAACUUUUGGGAUUGAGUUAGACACAAAGAUUCAUUUCUUUACAUGAUAUCACAGCACGACUCAUACCAAUUGUUGUUCACUAAAUGUCUAGCCUGGGCGUAACGGGGAUGUUGAAGCGUACCACAUCCAAUAAAAAAAGAUGGAUAGUCUCCCCUCGUAAGUUAGCUUUUCGGGUUGAGCUAGACCCUAAGAUUCAUUCUUUUUUCACACCUCUUUCUCUAGCCCUAUCGACUACCAUACACCAUAAAGAUCAAAUCUUUACAUUAAAAAAUCAAAAAUCAAGAAAUGGGUAAAGUGGGUCACCUGUAAACAGUUGGGUCUUGAAUCAAGUUGGGGUCAUAAGACCUCAAAGGUGCCUCCAUCAUUUGAUGAAUUUGUUGAUCAGAUAAAAGCGGAAGUGCAGCCUUCAGCUUUGGUGCAGUUUCAGGUUUAAGCUGAGCUUGACGUCUUAGCAACUGAGCCACAUAGACAUUUGUGAGACCAGUUUCUUCAGCUAUUUGACUAAACGUCUUGCCAGAUUUUUGUUUCACUGACAUAAGAGAUGCCACCAUGUUUGCCUUGUUCUCCAUUACUGCUUUUGCUUACUGCAAAGAAGAAGAAGAGUGAUUUUGGAUAUAUAUAUAUAUAUAUAUAUAUAUAGUAAGAGAAGAUGAUUGUAUUUUUGCUUUUUUAGGGGCCCAAUUAUCCACUUUGAUAAGUCCAAUUUGGUUAGAAAUUUUGAAUGGAAGAAGAAGAAGGGCUGCUAAUUUUGAGUUUUGCCUCUUUGACUGCUAAUGGGAUAUUUAGUAGAUAUUAAAAAAUUAUAAAAAAGUGAAAUAAAAUAAUUUAGCUAUUUAAUCAUAAUAAACUGACAUAUUUUGAUAUGUGCAUUGAAGAAAAUCAGGCAUGCCAAUGAAUAGGUGCGUAUAAACUCUAUUUCUUGCUUUUUUUUUUACUAAACAUGUUGUUGAAUUUAUAUUUUUGUAAGCACAAAGAAGUGUUUGGUAUAUGAGAUAAUAAUAAUAAUAAUUACGAAAUAAAAUUUAAGAUUAGCUUUAUUUCACAUCUAAUAUGAUGUAUUAUCUAAUUUAAAAAUAUUUGUUAUCGCAUAAUAAAGGGUAGGAUGCAAUAAUUCUACGAAUAUUCUUGCUUAUCUAAAAAUUUAUUGGGGAUAACUAGGGAAUCAUUAGUUACUAAUUUGAACUUGUUGGAAGUCUGUUGUUGUAAAUGUAUGCAAUGUGUUUGCUAAAAUGCCUAAAUGAGUUUUAGAACAAGAAAACAUUUUUUUUUGUUAUUAGUUUCUUUGCUUCAUAGUGAACAAGGUAUUCGUAGAUUGGGUUAGUUACCAAUUUUCUUCUUCUUUGUAUUUGGAUUUACUGCAUUUGAGCCGAAGGUCUUUCUGAAACAGUCUCUAUCCCUCCACGAGGUACUGAUAAUGUUUAUGUACACUCUACUUCUCCCCUCCCUAGGGGAAAGUUGUUAAUUACAAAAAUUUUGGGAAGUUGGACUGGCUAUUUCUGGAUGUAGUUUGUGAAUUGUAAUACUUGCUUUAUUGGAUACCGCAUACUCUUGGAAAAUGUUGCUUCUAAAGCGUGGAUGCUAUUGUUUAUUUGUGUUUUGAAUUGUCGUUUAUCAUUCACAGAUCUUGUUGGCUUAUUGCUUUUCAGUGCCAGGUCGAGUCAGCUACAUUAGCGAAAAUGUGUAGACAAUACCAGCCAACUUUCACUACAAGAACUUGUAUGACACUUGCAGUUAGGAUAUACAGGUAUGAUGAAUCUUUAUCAGCCAAAACGAAGAUAAUAGAGGGGAUGAAUGAUUUUUGCUUUUUUAGGGACCCAAUUAUCCACUUGCCAUGUCCAUUUUGUUUAGAAAUUUCGAAUAAGAGAAGAAGGGCUGCUAAUUUUUGAAUUUGGCCUCUUGACUGCUAUUUGGACAUUUUAACAGUCCUGCUGCUCUUCUCCUUGGAAAAAUAUGUGUUGAUAUUCUUCCAUUAUUAUUAAUAAUAAUAUGCAUGACUUUAAUAGUAACCUGUCCAUUACUUAUCAACUCAAUGUACUUUGAUCUGUAGGAUAACGAGGAUUAGUAGGAGCUAGCUUUAGGGAUAGAAUCGAAGAAUUUAACACCUCUAAGUCAUGGUUCAUUAAUGUGAAAACGUAAAUCCUAACUUUCUAAUCAUCAUUUAAUCUUAAUAAACUGAAGUAAUUUGAUGUGUGCAUUGAAGAAAAUUAGACAAGCCUAUCAAUAGGUGAGUAUAAAAUCCUCUAUUUCUUGCUUUUUUGCAAUACAUUAUGCUGAGUUUCUGUUAUUGUGUUUUUGUAUGAAUGAAGAAAUGUUUGGUACGUGAGAUAAGAAUAAUAAUCACGGGAUGAAAUUUGAAAUUAACUUUAUUCCAUAUUUGGUCUGAUGGAUUAGCUAAUUCGAGAUUAUUUUAUCUCAGCAUUUGUACUAAAAUGGUGGGAUUACAAUAAUCUCAUGGUAUUAUUCUUGCUUAUCCCAUCCCAUGUACCGAACAACCAUAACUAAGGAAUCAUUAGUUACUAAUUUGAAGUUGUUGAAAGUCUAUUGUUCUAAAUGUAUGUAAGGUGUUUGUUAAAUGCCUAAAUGAGUUUUCGAACACAAAUAACAUAUUUCUGUUAUUUAUUUCUUUGUUAUCGUGAACAAGGUGUCACUUCAUUGUAGAUGGUUUAAUUACCAAAUUUGGGAAAUUCGACUGGCUUUAUCGAAUACUGCAUACUCUUGGAAAAUGUUGCUUCUAUAGCGUGGAUGUUAUUGUUUAUCUGUGUUUAAGAAUUGUGGUUAAUCAUUCACUGAUCUUGUUGGCUUAUCGCUUUUCAGUGACAGGUCGAGUUAGCAACAUUUGCAAGGAUGUGUAGACAAAUCAGCCAACUUUUGUCACAAGAACUUGUACUACACUUGCAGUUAGGAUACACUUGUACGAUUAAUCAGUAUCAGCCAAAACGAAGAUAAUUAAGGAUCAGAAAUUGGUUAAUAGCUACGUCAUAUGAGAUUCCAAGCUGGUUUGAAAGGACGGAUCAUGUAUUGGGAAGUCAUUGGACUUGUAUGGAAAGAAUGAUAUGUCAUUUUUAACAUUCUAGAUGAUUCUAAAAGCAGUUAGCGAAACUCAUUCUCCCCUGACGCACUUAAUGCAAAAGUGCAGAACUCUCAACCAUCUAAAAGAGCUCCAUUGCCAACUCCUCAAACUUUACCUCCCAGAAACUCCGUCAGCCAUUGCUCCACUUCUUUCAUUUGCCGUCAAUUCUAGGAUUCCUUCUUUCUUCAACUAUUCGCGUAUUGUGUUUCAAAAUCUUGGCUACCAAAGUACCUUUUUGUACAAUACCAUGAUCAGAGGAUACAUGCAAUCAGAAAUGCCGAUACCAGCAAUUAUAUGCUACAAAGACAUGCUGAGAGAUAAACUUAUUGUGAAUAAUUAUACCAUUCCACCAUUGAUAAAGGCUUGUUCAAUGGUUUCAAAUGAGUUUAGCCUACUUGGGUUUUCAGUCCAUGCCCAUUCACUGAAGUUGGGAUUACAAUAUGACCGGUUUAUUGUUGCAUCAUUGAUUGAAUUUUAUUCCCUACAUCUCGAGAUGGACAGAGCGCGUAUUUUGUUUGAUGAAAUUCCCGACAGGGAUGUGGUUUUGUUUACUACCAUGAUUGAUGGAUACGGGAAAAUAGGGGAUGUGGGAAAGGCCAGAUUGUUGUUUGAAGAUAUGCCGGAGAGGAAUGUGAUUUCUUGGAGUGCAAUGAUGGCAGCAUAUUCACGGGCUAGUGAUUUUAAGGAGGUUCUUUGCUUGUAUCGGAGGAUGGAAGAAGAUGGUCUUAAGCCCAAUGAGUCUAUUCUUGUAAGUGUCCUCACCGCUUGUGCUCAUCUAGGUGCCUUAGCACAAGGCUUUUGGGUACAUUCAUUGGCUAAGCAUUAUAGUUAUGAGUCGAACCCAAUAUUGGCUACUGCAUUGGUUGACAUGUACUCUAAAUGUGGGAGAAUAGAGUUGGCUUCAUCAGUCUUUGAAGAGAUGAAUUAUAAGGAUACUGGAGCAUGGAAUGCCAUCAUAUCAGGCUUUGCAAUGAAUGGAGAUGCAAUGAAAUCAUUUCAAUUGUUCUAUAGGAUGUUAGCAAGUGGGAAUCAACCAAAUGAAACCACAUUUGUUGCUGUGCUCUCUGCUUGCACUCAUGCAAAUUUGGUUGAAAAAGGUCUUUCACUGUUUGAAAGAAUGAGCAGUGUUUAUGGGGUUGAACCCAGGUUUGAGCAUCGUGCAUGUGUGGUAGACCUGUUAGCCAGAGCUGGUAAGCUCGAGGAUGCAGAGAAGUUCAUUAUUGAGAACAUGGGAGGGAUAGAGAAAGGGGAUGCUAAUGUAUGGGGAGCUUUACUUGGUGCUUGUAGGGUCUACGGUGAUCUUAAAGUAGGUGAUAGAAUAUGGAGAAAAUUGUCUAACAUGAAGGUAGCUGACUAUGGUACUUACGUACUUGCAUACAACAUGUACAAGGAAGCUGGUUGGGAAAUGGAAGCCAACUGUGUUAGGAAAUUGAUCGAGCAGAUGAGGAUAAAGAAGCAGCCUGGAUGUAGCAUCGUGGAGGUGAAUGGGGUGGUUAAAGAAUUUCUCGCGAGUGAUCUUUUACAUCCCAAGUCACGAAUAGUCCACGACGUGCUUGAAUCCUUACCUAAUGUAAUGCAUCUUAUUGAUUGAGCAUGAUGUCGUAUGAUCAGAUUAUGGACAAAAGUAUUGCAGUUCUCUUUGUUUUUAUGUAUUCUGAAGCUAGAAUUGCUCCAUGUUAUGCAAAAUGGCCAGUGGAUAUUGGUAAUGAGAUCAAGAAUGGUUCUUAUGCAGAGCUAUUUGGUUCCCAAGAUUGCUCCAACUCCAUGAAUUAAGGGGUCGUUUGGUAGCUGAUUUGGAGGUGAGGUAUGCAUGUAUUAAAUUUUGUAGAAGUAAUACUACAUUCGGUAGUUGGUUAGGAGGUGAAUUAGUCAUGUAUAAAAUUAAUACGGCGUUUGGUUUGAAAUUUAGAAAGCCACAUGACUAAUACAUGUUUAAGUUGUAAGGGUAUAUCUAUGUGUUAUUUUAUGCGGAAUAAGAAGUAAAAUAACUAAACUCCGCAUGAAAUAUUAUAUAGAUUCAUUACUUAUACUUGAUUAAUUGUAACCAACUCUCAAAUGACACCUGUUCUGUCAUUUACUUUCUUACAACUUAUGCCCAUUAAUACCAACCUUGUACCAUUGUCUCUGUGAUGUGACUUGAGUGGUCCUAGUAUCCAAUAGAGAAAAUUCAAAAAUGGCUCAUUAUGUUUGGGAUAGGCUUAGAAUAAUCCCUGAAAUAUACUUCCUCAACAGUUUUGGGAGUUUUUAAGUUUGUCAUAAGUGAGCAUUGGCUGUUAGAUUUAAUUAGAAAUUGUUGAAAAGAAAGAAUUAACAGGAACUCACAUUAUUUUUCAGUUUCUGCUCGUUUUUUUUUUAUUUCUUAAUGUCUUUGGGUGGCUUGAAGAUCUGUCUACCUCCUAAAGUUGGGUUACAUACCCUUCCCAGACCCCACUUGUGAGAUUACACCGUUGUUGUUUGCUGAGCGACUGGAAGACAAAGUCAACACAGAACACCAAGUUUACAUAUUAGCCUCAUGUUUCAUUUGACUGAAACCUCUAUCCAGAUUCCAGUCCUAGAUCCCAUAUGAUCAGUUUGUUUAUCUAGAUAUCCAGGACACUUGAAAUGGCUGAGGCUGCCAUAGUCAAAGCGAUAUCAAAAAUCUCAGAACAAGCGUUUUUCCUAUAUGGAGUGAAUGAAUAAGUAAGAGAACUUGUUACAGAGCUGGGACGUAUGCGGGCAUUCUUGAAAGACGUUGAUACAAGAAAACAGAAAGGAGAAAGAGUAAAAAAUUGUGCUGAUGAAAUUCGAGACCUUGCACAAGAUGCAGAGGGCGUAGUUGAGAAGUUUGCCGCUGAGGUAAUGAAGAGAUCAAACGGGGAAGACACUGUUUAUUGUUUCUGUACAAUGUUAGCUAAUGUUGUGAAAGAGGUUAUUCCAAGGUACAAAAUAGGGUGGGAUAUAGGAAAGAUCAACAAGAGAGUUAAAAGCCUCAGAGAAAGUUUAACAACUUAUGGUAUAGUUUUGACUGAUACUAUAAAUGAAGGAGAAACAUCUUUACAGAGUGGAGAUACUGGUGUUGGUAUAAAUGAAGGAGAAACAUCUAUUAUUAGAGAAGUGAAAUUAGAGAGUGGAGCUAUUGGUGUUGAGAGAUGGGGAGGUUCUGGAGGAAGUCAUUGGAAUUAUAGGCCUAAAGGUGUAGUUAAACAGAUAGUAGUAAGGCAUGGAUUGAUUAUAGAUGCUAUAAUGUUUAAGAGCAUUGAAGAAAAUGGUGUCAUGAAGUCUUCUAAAACAUUUGGUGGUUCUGGAGGCAAAUUGACUGAGGUAACAUUAAUGUCUUUCUUUUAGUGUAUAUAUGUUGUUCAGACAUGUCGUUGGAUCAUGAUACGUGUGCGGGCGAUGUUUUUUGGAGAGGCCUAACAACAUAGUUUUUAGAUCUUAUUUGUUUGCGCUUAAUGAAUAGCUGAAUAGAUCUUAAUAUCAUUCAGUGGUAUUUUUGUGGAUAAUUUUCACCUACCAUUCUAUCCACACAAUCACCGGCCGCUGCACUAAACACCAACCACCUAUGUCAUCACAACCCCUACCAUUCUCAACCACCAGUACCGUCAACAACUAGGGGUGUAGCGUUGUAAUCAAUGUCGAGGGGGUUAGGAUGAAACCACUUUGGGAGAAAAUUACAUAACUUAUACAUCGUUUUAAAUUAUUUUCUUAUAUAUAUAUAGUAGAUGUUGAACCUCCUCUAGCUUCUUCAUGUCUUUACUUUAUAUUUUGACCUCCUCAGUGAAAAUCCUAAUUUCACCAUUAUCACCUAGAACCAACCACCUCUGUCAUCACAACCACCAGCAUUAUCAACUACUACUACCAGUCACUAUCACAUCUACCACCUCAAUAUCAUUAUAAUUAUAUCCAUUCUCGCCACCAUUAUCAACCACUACCACCACUAUAGUGUUUGAUCCUUACUGUCAACCACUUCCACCAUCACAUCUAGCAUUGCCUUCAACUACACACCAACUAGUAUAUACAAUUUUCUAAAUCAAUAUGCCUUUAAGAAUGAGUUUAGUUUCAAGUGAAAUAAUAAUUUUUUUUCUUUGUUCCCAACCAUCACUCAAUAUUCUCCUUGUUUAAUAAGGCUAAUUAUUUUUUUUUUGUUGCAUUUUUGUAGAUCAAUAUAGACAGUCCUUCAGAGUAUUUGACAGGCUUAAGUGGGACAUAUGGACUCUAUGGUCCCUAUCUUAUAAUAAAAUCCAUUAAGGUUCACACUAACCUUAGCCAUCAUGGCCCUAUGGGUUCAGUAAUUGAGACUGAUACCAACUUCUCAUUCAUUAUGCAAGGUGGGGUUAUUGUUGGAUUCCAUGGAUUUUCAGGCUUAUUUCUUGAUGCCAUUGGUGUGUAUGUUAUGCCAACAAGCAUAAAUUUACCUUCUUAGUAGGCACACUAUCUCAUCAACAUAUAUAUAUAUAUAUAUAUAUAUAUAUAUAUAUAUAUAUAUAUAUAUAUUUGAGAUAGCUUAUGUUGAUAAGCUUUUAAGUAUUUUGAUCAAUAUCAUCUUGUUUGGAUGGUAAUUGUUAUUCGUUGUAUUGUAUCGUUUAGUUUAAAUGUCAUGUUUAUAUUUUGUAUGGCGUUGUUUAAAUCCAUCGUUCAGUAAUGACGAAAAGUUUAAUAACCAUCAGUUUGGGGCGUGAUCGCGCUCGUUGUGUUGUAUUGUGUUGUUAGUUUAAAAUGUCAUGUUUAUAUUUUGUAUGGACUUAUCAUUUCAAUCUAUCGUUUCUCAUUUUAUUUAACCAUGAUCUUGUAGUAAUCUUCUCAUUUUGUCAGAGUUCUAUCUCAUAUCCUACUUUUCUUAUAGGUUUAUCAUUUUUAUAUUGUUUUUAUCAUUGUUGAUGUGCGACAUUAUGUCUACUUUUCUAGUUUUUAUUUUAUUUUAUAUAUUUAUCAUCUAAAUUGUUGAUAUGUGACAUUAUGUAACGACAAAAAAUAAUGUAUUCAAAUAUUGUAUAUAUUCAUCAAAAUAAUUCAAGUACGAUAAAUUAUAUAAGUCAUAUCCAUUGCGACACAACAAUGACCUGCGUCUUAAUUUUUUUCUUUUAGUAAAAGUAUUUUAUUUAUUUUUUUAGUAAAAGUAUUUUAUUUUAGUUCGUUUAGUAAAAGUGUUAAUAUUUUCUCUUUUUUGUCAAUUCUUAAAUACAGACAAUUCUUCUUCGUUUAAUAGAAGUGUUAAUGUCUUUUUUUUUUUUUUUCAAUUCUUAAAUACAAACAAAAGCAAUAAACCACUAAAUAUAUGGUUAAAAUGCUAUUAAUUUGAAUAAAAAUAAUCAAUCAAUACAAACGUCGUGACUACAAGUAAAAAUUAAAUUGCAACUAACAAUCAGAUUCAAAACAAAAAAAAUAAAAUAUACCAAGAUCAUGCAACGAUCGAAUAUCAACGAUGAAACGGCCCAGUUGGAUCGACUUGUCUGCACAACGUUAGGUACGUCAAAAAAAGAACACGAUCCUUUGCACCCGUUCGAUGAUUAUUUGUAUGUUCACAAAAAAACUUAAGUUCAUCAAGUGUACAACAUCCCAACAUCUGACCAAGUAACAAAAACAGCCAAUUUAUCUUAUUCUUAUCUGAACAUAUAAUCGGUUUCGCGCUAUUCUCUUGAUUACAAAAUUGACAUGUAGGAAGAAUCGGAUUCGCCCAAAUAGACGGUGCACGUUCUUUGAGAAAUGUUUUAUUUUUCAUCACGUAAGAUCCAAUCUCAACAAACUUUUCUUUCAAAUCGAAUUCCAUAGUAUAUCUCUUCUCACAUCUCCUGCAUUGAACAUCUCCGCUUAUUAUGAUUAAUUGCUUCGACAACAAGUAUUGCAACGUGUGUACUGUAGCUAUUGAGUUUGUUGCCCAAGGAAAUGGAGGAGUUACAGUCUCAAUCUUCACCUCCUGCAUUAGUUUUGGCUUUGAGGAGUUACGUCUUCUGCGUUGAAUAGUUUCUUUUGGUAUCAUGAUCGGUUUUAAAAUCUGUUGGUGAUUCAAGGUGCUCGAUUGAGCUGUUUCAGUUUCUUUUGGUAUUAUGUUGAGUUGUUGGAGAUUCAAAGUACUCGAUUGAACAGUUUCUUUUGGCAUCAUAGUGAAUUGUUGGAGAUUCAAAACAGUUUCUUUUGGUAUUAUGUUAAGUUGUUGGAGAUUCAAAGUACUCGAUUGAACAGUUUCUUUUGGCAUUGUGGUGAGUUGUUGGAGAUUCAAAACAGUUUCUUUGGGUAUCAUGUUGAGUUGUUGGAGAUCCAAACAACUCGAUUGAACAGUUUCUUUUGGUAUUACGGCUGGUUUUAAAAUCGUGCAUUGUCGGAGAUUCAAAGUACUCGAUUUGAGAUUUUCACGAGGUUGUAUUCGAGGUCUAGUAGAACGGGAGGGUGUUACUAAUGAAAGUUCCAAAAAUUCAUCAUCGUCAUCUUCUUCUAGUAGAUUUUCGUAAGGAUUUUCGAAAUGAGUAUGAAAAUUCUUCCUCUUUCUAUUGAUUUCAUCAAUAUUGUUGUGGAUGAUCAUUGCAAAAAGAAAUUAAAUUUAUACAAUAGAAAAAGAUGUCACAAAAAAAAUUAAAAUGGAAGAGGUAUACAUAUACUUAAAGAGUUGCGUUAAAUAUAAGUCCGAAAAAACAGAAUUUUAGAAAUUUCAGCUAAAUUAAAAUUCUUUUAAAUUCAAAAGAGUUACACAUCAUUAUAGUUACCUAGUUAAAUUAAACAAGAAUUUUAGAAAUUUAAGUGAGUUAGAAUUUUCAAUAAAUUUUACGUCUUAUUUCAUAAUGUACUGUAUUGUACUUAUUGUACUGUAGAUUUAUUGUACUGCACUAUAUGAUAGAUACAAUGUUUGACUAACUGUACUGUUUGUUGGUGAAUAAAAACAAAUAAAAAUAUUUUUAUUUAUGAUUUGACUUUAUCGUAUUGUAUUGUAAUCUAUGAAUUUACUAAAAUUAUCUUUAAUUAUUCUAGGAUAGGAGAUGUGACUAGAAUUAAAUAACAUAGCAUAAAUUAUGAAUUUACUGAAAUAUCCUUAAGUAUUCUAGGAGAGGAGAUGUGACUAGAAUUAAAUAAUAUAGGAUAAAGGGUAAAAAAAUAUUAUGAAAUAUUAUGUGUUAAGUAACAAUGGGAACACAUGUUUCAUCAAAUGGGGUUUUUCAUUCUUACGGAACAACGAAAUUUGACAAUAUAAUACAAUACAUUAUUAAAUAACAAUCAAAACAAACAUUAAAGGUACAUUACAAUACAACGGACAACAACGACCCAAACAGAGGGUAAAAUGAUUAAGAUUAAAAUCAAGACAUCUUGCUCUAUCAAAAGUUGAAAAUAUUUUGAAUUGUUAAUUUAUAGUAAUAAAUAUGUAAAUUUUAUUUCAAGAAAAUUAAAAAAUUCUAUGUCGAAAUUUACCCUGAAUAUUAUUAGUUAGUUUUAUGUACUUUUUAUACGUGUAAACUUAUGUGAAAUAGUAUUAGUUUAAUCAAGUUAAACAAAUUGAAACGGGAGUAAUUAUUUUUAAAAUGGAAUUAAAAAUAACUGUGAGAUACAUGGACAUAUAUUAAAUGAAACUUAUUAGAACAACUUGUUAUUUCAAUAGAAUAGUUACGGUCAAAUAAAAAUACAUUUUAAUUAAAAUUAUCUGAAUAACACGACUCAUACAUAUAUUAAUUAAAUGAAACUUUAUUUCAAUAGCAUUUUAAAUUAUGUAAUUUUCACUUCUUUUUUUAAUUUUCUCGACAAUGUGAUUAGUAACGAUCGAGAGUCAGAAAAUUAUAUAAUUUGUAUAUAAUUAAAAUUAUUUUUUAAUGUAUAUAUAUAAUAGAUAUUGAACUAUGUACCUCUUCGGGUUUUUUUUUGAUAUAUUUUUAGGUGUAAACACAAAAAUUAAGAGUAUACAUACACGUUGGGUUGUUAGAAGCACACAGAAUAAACUAAUAAUAUCCUUAUUUCAUUUGAAUUAGGAGUAUUUCAAAUUAAAAAAGAAUGAUUAAACUAUCUAAUUAAAUUAUUAGAGAAUAAUAAGUUAUUAUAUUUUUCUUUAGAAAACAGUUUCUUCUUUUUUUUAACAAUAUUUAGUUACUUAAUUUUCUUUAUUCGGUUCAUUUUUUCUUAUUUCGUUAAUCUUUUUAACCAAAACUCUCUUAAAUUCUUCUUUAUAUUAGCGUUAUAAUUAUACAAUGUCCCAACUUUUAUUAGAAAGAAAACUAUAGCAAAUUAUUAUCUCGAUUAAAUUUGAUUGUUGCAAUACAAUUGUCAUUUUAUUAAGAAAAAAUUGACCGUUGAGUUAUAUAAUAUUUUUUAUAUAAUUUUUAAAUAGAUAAAUUUAUCUAAAAUAUUAAUUAAUUCGAUCUAGUUAAACAAAUUAAAAUGAAAGUAAUUAUUUAAAAAUGUGUAUCGAGAGAUGCAACACUUAUAUUAAAGGGAAUUUAUUGGAAGCACUUGUACUCUUGUUUGUUUGAGAAAAGAUAAUAUGAAAUUUUGUUAUUUCAAAUAAAUAACUAUUUGUCUAUAUUAAUGGGACCUUAUUAGAAGCACAUGUACUCUUAUUUGUUUGAAAAAUAUAAUGUGAAAUCUUGUUAUUAUUUCAAUAAAUAGCUAUUGUUAGAGUGCAGACAAAAAAAUACAUAUAAUAAUUAAAUAAAAAUUUAUUUAAAUAACAUUUUAAAAUUAGAUAAUUUUCACUUCUUUCUCGACUGAGUAAUGAAAAAUUAUAUUGUUCAUACAUGCUUAAAAAUAUUUUUUUAAUAUAUAUAUAAUAGUGGUUGAACACUUGAAACAUUUUUUACUUUUUUAUUUGUGAAACUCACCUAAAUCUCAUUAGUUUAAGAGCUAAUUACUUAGAUGCACACUAUUUUUCAAUAUUAUGAAUCUUAUCAGAGUUGUGCUUUUAGAUACAUGUAUUUCGAUAUACAUGAGGUCAAUAUUAGGUAUAAUUCGUUCUAGGUACACUGCAUUCAAGUGAUUCGUAUGUAUCUGAGAUACAUAACAAAUCUCACAUCACCUCUCAUCUCACUCGACACUCUCCUUUAUGUCUACAUAUAAAUCACAACAGAUACAUACAAAAUAUUCCUCCCAAGUAACUACUCUACCUAGAAUAUUUUUCUCGAUUCCUAAAUUUUACUACAUUUUAUUUUUUUAUUCGAUUAAUUUUUCUCGAUCUUGAUCUAAAACUUUUAAAUUAGAUUUAAAACUCAUAGAAUGAACCAAUUUGAAUUAGAACCAUUUUAGUUGCAAAUCUUUAUUUUGUUUGAGAUUGAAUUUGAUUGUUGCAAUAUAGUUGAAGUAAGUUGUCAUUUUUCAAAUAUUGACUGACCAUAUAACUUUUCAUAAUAAGCGGAAAUAUUUAAUGCAAACUUUUUUCAUAAUAAAUAGAAACGUAGAAAUGUUCCAUAUAAAAAAAAAUAUAAAAAGUGAUAUAAUAAAUUGGUUAUUCUGAUAUUGUAGGCUAGAUGAUAUUUUGAUAUUAUACAUCAGAUGAGCUUAAGAUGAACUUGAAUUUUUUUUCGUGAACAUUCGAAAAAUAAAAAUAAAAAUUAUAUUUUUUUGUGUGAAUAAUAUUAAUAUGUAGGUAGCACCCAAUUUUGAAACGUCCCUAAUGGGUCUAGUUGGGUUCACGAAUCCUGAUUAUAAAAUUUAAUUUAUAUACAUUGAUAAUAUUAAAAAAUAUUUGCACCAUCAAAUUUAUCUAAUUACUUUAGGUGACUUAAUUAUAUAAACAAAUAACAACUAAAAUUAACACUUUUGCCCUCUUUUUCGAAGGAUAAAUUUGUAUUUUGGUAUUGUAUCGCAAAAGGGAAAAUAUAUAAGUACUCUUAAUCUAUGUUCAAAAAUCUCAGAAAGACACUUAUAUUAUACUAUAUUAUAAUGACACCAAACAAAUUUGAAAUAACAAAAUUUUUUUUGUGAUGAUUUUCGAUUAUAUUGAUAACUGAAUUAGAUACAAACUAAGCAAAAUAACAGAAAAUGGAGAAGUCAAAUUAUAGCUCCAUGGCUCGAUAGAUCUACAGAAGAGAUUGAGAAUGAAGAAAUUGGAUAAAAGGAGAACGAUUUUGGAGAAGAAGAUAACAUGCAAAUUCAUGCCCUCUCUAUUUUGUUAAGUCGUUUAAUCAAAUUGACUGAGUUGACAAAUUUGACUAAUCCCAACAAUUGAAGCUCACUAACUAUCAAUCAAUCUCAACCCUUCACGUGAUAAUUAUUACGACUAUAUUCUAAAUAGGUCUCAGCUCAUGACAUGUUCUAUUAUUCCUCAAACUUAUUUUAUAAAUAAUUUUUUUAAUUUUUUCGACUUACCUGAACACUAUUUUUUGAGCUCAAUACUUGUUCAUAAUUUUUUCAAUCUAUCUAUUUAAUAAUGUUACAUAUACAAAAAAUGAAUAGAAAAUUAUUAUAAAAUAACUUUUCAGUUAUAAAACUUUAGUAUAGUAUAAUUGUAUCUCGUUAUUGCAAAUCCUUAUUUUGUUAAAAGGGCGAGUACCACUACGGUCCACCGGUGCUACUCAGAGCUCAGCGCUAAGAGAGAUAUGAGCGGCACUUCAGGUCUUCUUCAGCUAUGGCAAGUUCCAUCCUCAUCACUGUUCUUCGGCCGUUCCAAAGGUACUGUUUUGUGUUUUUCAAUGCAGUGAAUUUAACCUAAAACACAAUUUUUUUUCUCCAGAUUGUUCUUACUCCGUGCACUUUGUAGAAAAUUUCAUUUCUCUAUAUUGUCUACCUAUUGGUCCUACACGAGAUUUUCAAAUAGCUUGAAUUUUGGUAAGAAUUUGAUGAACGUUCCGGGGCGCAGGUCUGUACUUGGUUCCUGUGCGUGUUAUGUAUCCAAUGUCAUGUUUCUGUAAGCAAAUGCAAACUACUACUUAUGCAAUUGUUAAAGGAAGCUAUGUAUCAAAUCCACAGAACCAACAAGAAAACAAAGUAUAGCUACUCCAUUACUUUCAAUUUUAGAUUUCUAAUACCAUUUUGAAUUAAUUUUUAUAGUUGGAUACUUACUGUGAAUUAGCUGAAUGAUGUUCUUUAAUUGUUUUUGUAGGAAAAAUUGACACCUAAGGUAGAAAAUGUAGGUGCUUUUCAAAAAUUACCCAUGGUAAUGCCGUCUGUAGAUAUUCUACAUUCAGCACUGAGGAAAGCAAAGAGGGUCUCGCCUACAAAGGGUAAUCUCGUGUUCUGCAUUUAUGUACUUUUUACUUCCACCUCAUCGUUGUAGUAUCAGUUCUUGUACUUGACUUAAGCAUGCACAGAUGAAAGGAAUGAUUGCAUUUAGUUAAAAUGUUUAACAGGCAUUGCUAAUGCUGCAAAACGUGAGAGAAAUAAAGGCGCAAAACAAAUUGACGCAUUAAUGAAGGUGACAGACUAAUGCUUCUCAUUGGUGGAUACAUCUAUAAUUUUGAUAUUCUCAUACGAAACAAAAUUUACAUUUAUCAUUCAUUUUGUAUAUGCAGGAGUUGGCUGUGCCCUUGAGGACAUACAAAGAGAACUUCCCAAACAAAAAAUAUUUGCACCCUUAUGAAAGAUCUUUGAUUGAGUUAACGCUCGGAGACGGAAACUAUGAAGAUGUAACUUACAAUCACCCUAGUAUCUUGUUCCAAAUAAUGUUAUUUCAGGGAAAUUUAGGUCAUCGGUAACUUUUCCUGCAGGCAAAUAGCUUUGAAUUUUGAAAAAUGAUUUUUUGACUCUUCAGAAAAGUACAUGUAGUUUAAAUUGGAAGUCUUAAAUGUCUCUGUCCUGAAAAUUAAAAGAUAGUAUAGAAGAAAAAAAGGAUCAAUGCUAGGAGCAUACAUCUUGGGGUUUGUUUUGUUUUAUGUCGUUUUUAGCUAAUCUAAGUAAAGCUCUGAGUUUGUGAAGUUAUUUGACACGUAUAUUUGACAGACAUGUAAUGAUUCUGUUGGGUCCUUCAGUUGGAUGGAGUGAUUUUCAGGGUCUGGCUUUAUGUUUCAAUAUUCAUUGAACUAGCAUUUUAGAUAUCCUCAACCCCUCUCAGGAGGUUAUGGUUUUCAUUUUUUGCAUGUUUUAAUGAAAGGUUCAACUGUUGAAACUCUAAAUUUAUCUGAAGUUUAUCUUUAUUACAUUUUGUUCAAUAUUUGGGACGUAAUGCUGGCACUCUGCUAAUUUUGAGUUAAUUGAUUGAGAAGAGAAACUAAUGUAUGUAUUCCGGGUUUUUUUUGGUGAAUUGAGGUGUCAACAUUUAGUGGUACAUCAUUUUUUUCUCUGUUCUUGUAUGGACUUUUUUUUUUGGGGUCUUUUCCUAUGAAUAGAACUAUAAUUUUUUUUUCCUUCUCAAAAAGGCAAAAAAAAAAAAAUGAAGAUGUGUAUCCAUUUUUUUCAUUUUCUUCUCUACCCUAGAUAUUUAUUUCAAUACUUUUGGUUUGUACCUCUCAUGUCUAACAUCUAAGUAACUACACUUUUGCAGGUAUUGGGAAAGUUAGAAGCUCUAAGGAAAAAGGUGGUAUCAGUUGGAAAGGAACAUGCAUCAUUAUGUGCUAAGGUUGGAAAACUAAUUGCAUAAAAUAGUAACCUACUUUGUAUUGUAUGCUGCUAUUCUUCUCACGUCUCCACGUUAUGUUGAAACAGUUUUAGGUAAAAUAGCCCUCUUGAUGACAUUCUUCUUUUUGCCCCGUAUGUAUUCCAUGUUAUUGCCAAGAUCUUUCAUAGAAAAUUCUCUUCCAAGUUGUAAAAUACCAACUCUGAGACAUGUGAUUGAUUUCUUCUUGUUACAAUAAUGUCAUCUACAUAUAUCAAGAGGAAUAUGAUACCUCUGUGAGUUUGCAGUGUGAACAAUGAGGGGUCUGCCUUACUAUAGGUGAAGCCAAGGUGUAGAAGAUGCAUGCUAAUCUAUCAAACUAGGGUCUUGUUGUCUGUUUUAGACCAUACAGUGCCUUCUUUAACAGAUAAACAUGGUGUGGAUACCUAGAGUCAAUAAAUCCAGGAGGUUGACUCAUGUAUACCUCUUCUUGCAAGAGACCAUGUUGGAAUGCAUUUUUGACAUCUAGCUGCCUGAUUUCCUACUUAAGCUAACAACAACUGAAAAAUCUACCACUCAUCAACCCAUACACGAUCUUGAGAAUGGAUGACAUGCUAACAGUUCAUGUUUAUUACAGAUGUUAUUAUGUUCUAUUUUCUCAUUAUCGAUUUGAUGAAGUAUUUAAGAAGUUAUUACUUUCUACUUUAUGGUUUCUGUUUCUAUUUAAGAUACAAAUCAAGUAAUUGAUGCAAUUUGUGCCAGUCAUUAUCUAAACGAGAAGCAGAGGAGCGACUGAAUGAGGUAGUCUGAUAGUUUCAGUUUUACUGAAUUUUAUAUUUAUCUGAUAUAAUCCAUAAGUUGAUCUGUGAAAGAGUGUCUUUGUAGGGAUUGAAAAGAAUUGAGGAGAUAUUUGAUGGCGAUGGAAAAGCUGUUGAUGAACUAUUGAACAUUGCCAAGGUAAGGCCAGUUAGGGAUUCGCUAUGAGUCGUAUAGAUGAACUAAAAGUAGAAAAAGAAGAGGUUAGAUCUAUGCUGACAUUAGUAUACUGAAAACUGAAAUGAAGUUUCAAACAAUUAUUACUGCGAACCUUCAUUUAACACAUCAGAAGGAUGUCAAGAAAAAAAGGGACAUGAUGCAAUUACAUCCAGUGUUAUCUUAAGAAAAAAGUGCAAAACAACUUCAAGGUCUGUCGGGGCUUUACGCGCAAAGUGCAAAUAAAGCGUAGGCUUUAAUAGAAAAAGAUGCAACUGGAGAAAACAUACCAAUAUAUAUGUUUAGUCCAAGAAUAAUAAUUAUAAGCAUGAAUAAAAAUAUAUGGAUAAAGAAACUGAUUUUUUGUUAACAGUUAAGUGAAAUAACAACUGCUUAGUGUCUCCUCUUCCUGAAAGUAUACAAGUAUAUUUGUUUAGUCCAAGAAUAAUAAUCAUAAGCAUGAGUAUCAUAUAUAUGGAUAAAGAAAUUGAAUCUUAGUAAAAGAUAAAGUGAAAUAACAAUUGUUUAGUGUCGUCUCUUCAGGAAAGUUUGUCUUAGAGCCUUGAUGACGACAUCUAAGCACACAUUUAGCGAAGCAAAACACUCAACAUGUUUUGAGCCUCGCUUUAGGGCUUAAGCACGCUCCUUUGAGCUUUGACAACAUUGAUUACAUCAAACGUCUGUGUCUAUGAUUUUACAACAAAAUACAGUAACAUUACAUGUCAUGAUAGCUGGCUUCCUGAUUGUGUGGAAGCAUUUUAGUUGAAUUUCCUAACAGAUGAUUAUUAAACAAUGAUCUUUGCUUGCGUAAUCGAAGAAAGUGGUUUCUGCCAGUCUCUGACAAAUUUCAUGGUGGCAGACAUUACGGGCAAUGCCAGUUGUCGAUCUGGAAACACCAACUCUCUGUCUUGUCGGUGCUCCCAAUGUCGGAAAAUCAUCUUUGGUUCGUGUACUUUCGACAGGGAAGCCUGAGGUAUGUACUAAGCUGGCUAGCUUUCGUUCCAGUUUUACUUGUUUUUUAUCUGGGAUAAGGGAUUUCACCCAUCAUUCUUUAGAUAGUUAUACAUAAUAAUAUGUAUGCUCUUGAGGAAGGCAAAUAUUCUAGAGUUACCAUCCAUUGAAAAAAGGCUAGUGCUAGUUUUUCAACCAUGGUUUUUACUUGGGUGCGAAGAAAUUUCUUAAUCUGAAUCUUGGUUUGCCUUCAAAUGCUUUUCUAAAAUUUGACCCGUAUUAGUUUUGCAAACUCAGGUCUCAAAUGUUAGUAUCUGUAAAAGUAAUAGUAAGGAAAAAGUGAAGUGGAAGAUAAGCAAUGAGAUGGAAGCUUAUGAAAUGACCAGAUAUGAUUAUAAACUAACAAUUAUUACCAAUCAAUUUAGUUUCCUCUUUACCUAAUUACUUUUAGUCAGUUAUUUUAUCUUGCUUGUUAUAUAGAUGUUUCUUAUGCUAGUAUGGCAAUAUCACAGGCAUGGAUUCAUUGGCAGACAGAUGAGUUUUGAGACUUGUCUGCAGCUUUACGAAUGAGAAAGGAAUUUGGUUUGAUGGUUUGACUAGGACUAAAUCCAAACUAUACAUACUUCCUUGCAUGCCCCUAUCAACCAUAUAGAAAAUUUUCGAUGUACUUUCUCCAGUUGAUGGCAUCCUUUUCAUCACAUACUUUUUUUUCCUUGAUUGAAUUCCCAUUAAUGUAACUGAAUCUAAUCAGAUCUGCAACUAUCCCUUCACUACUAGAGGAAUUCUGAUGGGUCAUAUUAAUUUGAGUUACCAGAAUUUUCAGGUUAGUCUUUAUUUCAAAGUGAAAAGGUUUUCUCAAAUGCUUCAUACCUUUUUGCUUCUUGUGCUAUUGUACUGAUUAAGCAUUUUCAUCUUCAGGUUACUGAUACCCCUGGUAUCUUAAGAAGAGCUGAUGGUAAAAGUUUCUUCUUGAUUUACCAUUUGAAUAACAUGAAUAUUUUUCUUAUGAACUCCUUUACUUUCUCCUACAUAAUGUAAAGAAACCGAUGACACAUUGUCACUUUUGUUGGUCACAAAGAUAAUUUGUACCAUAUGAUUUGUACAAAUUCUCUUGGUUUAUCUGUGGAUAAUGAUGUGUUUAUGGGGAAGAGAGUUAGUUGGAUUAAAACUUGGUAUACGAUUGACAGAACUUUUACCUUUGCAUGCAAAAAUCUUUUGGGUAAGUGUACUACUUAGACGACAAAUUAUUAUACUAAUAGCUGCAAUUUUGCUUAUCCAAGUAACAGUAUAGUUCUCCAAAGAACUAGAAUAAAAUUGGCUUGUUUGAGAUGAGGAGGUAUUGCUCAAUUUCUACAUUAGAAUGAAUCUAGUGAUGGGAAGUUGUCUGGAAUAGGUGUAAAUAGAAUUUCCCACGUUUUGACUUAAAAGAAAACUAAUGCAACUACAGUAUUCUUUUUGCUAGCUUCUUAAAACAGUGAGACAUUACUCAUACUUCUCUGAAUUUCUUUCUUAUAAUCUGGACUUUUGUAUUUUGCUGUAGACCCACUUAGUGGGAUUUCUGGGUAUGUUGUUCUUGUGUUUUGUUGUCAAGGAUUACAUCUCUUAUCUUUUUAUAUUUGUUUUUAACAGUUUUUCCUUUUAUUUUGAUUGAACCUGCAGAGGAAAGGAAUAACUUGGAAAAGUUAACACUUGCUGUUCUCACUCAUUUGCCUACUGCAGUACUUUAUGUUCAUGAUUUAUCUGGAGAAUGUGGGAUGUCACCUUCUGAUCAGGUUUCUCAUUGAUUUCUAUGUUUCUGUUUUUUACUGGAACUUUAAUCUUCAAAUCCACUAGUGGAGAGGAAUUCUUAAUUGUUGUAUACUGGAAUGAUUUAACCUGAAGGUGGGAUCUAUUAUAUAUGUGAAGUAAUUAUGCAUGUGUUGGAACUUGCGCAUUCAUGAUUUUGAUAAGCUAUUUUAUAUUAUUCUCCAAAUAAUGAGAAGAUGGAUAAAACGGGAACCAUCAUGUACUAGUAGUGUAUAUGGACAAAAAGUUGACGUACUAGACCUUGCAUAUUGGUGAUUUAGGAUGAACUAUUCUCUUCAAUAAUGAGAAGAUGGAUCAUAUGAGGAUGGUCACGAGCUAGUAAGGUGUACAUAUUUUCUCUAUCAGGAGCUAGUGAUGUAUAUAGUAAGGCGGUAGCUGUGCUAUUUAAGAGAUUCCAGUGAAUGCUUCCCGUUGCUUUCUAACUGUUUUAUUGUUUCUUCUAUUUGAUUUGGGGAUUGGCUGUCUCUACAUAAGAGCAUCUGUCUGCUAUAUAAGGUUUCGUCUGCCAUACAAGAAACUCUUUUCUUGUUUCUUUUGUUUGAUUGGGGGAUUGAUAUGCAAUGUUGUAAAUGUUCAUCAGUCAUCUGGAAAGCUUAGGAGAACGUCAAUACGCUUUGUGAUACUGUUUUUUGCUACAGCCAAUUUUUAGUCUUCUCUAUUUUUUCUCAUAGUAUAGAAAAUGUUUGAUUUCCAAGUGUGGUUUAUGCAGUUUGUGAUCUAUAAGGAAAUGCGAGAGAGAUUCAGCAGCCAUAUUUGGCUUGAUGUCGUGUCCAAAUGUGACUUACUGCAAGCAUCUCCUGUCAUCUUUGCAACAGAUGAUUGUAAUGUUGAUAACUUUGAGCUGGUGAGGUAUAGGAAGAUGGGACCUGAUGGAGCCCUAAAUGUGUCGGUAAAGAAUGAGAUUGGUCUUCAUGAGGUACCAUUCUGUUCCCCUUCUGGCAUAUUGCUAGUUAUUUUUAGCUUGGACACAAAAUAUAUAGCUUAUGAGCACCUAUCUGAAAUUGGCCGUGAAUUGUUAGUUUGUUUUUAUAAAGAUUUAAUUCUGUAUCAGCAGCAGAGGCAGAGACAUAAACAUGGAUGUUGAGUAUUUUUACUUAAGUUUCUUCUGCUUUCACUAUCCAUAGUUUCUCGGAGUUCACCCUAUAGGCUGAUAGAACUCUAUAGUCAGCAUGAAGUGCUAUGUUAUUUCGCUGAAGCAUUUUUCUUCGUUAGUAUGUUCUGAAAUGUUCGUUUGGGUUCUUGUAGUUGAAGAAAAGAGUUUACGAGCUGCUUGUUUCUCAAUCAGAAAGGAUCAAAAAUCAACAGAGCAAGGAGGAAGAGCUGGAAGUUCCAAGCUAGUUCGUCUAGUGAAAUUCCUACCAGAUCUCUAACCUGCUGGUAAUUAGCUGCAGGUUUUCGCGCUUGGUAAUUAGCUGGAUCAUGGUCUAUCGUGUAUGUACAUUCGUGAUUCGAUCUGUGGUGACACUAACACACAUCUGCAGGUCCAAGAAUAUGACAUGUUUCGACGCGUAUUUCUCGUGCAGUUGGACAAUGAGGUGCUCUAUAAGAUACACAGAUAUUCAGAUCAUUUGUCAAAUGGUGCAGAUGGGGUUGCCAUAUUCUGUAAGUUUUAGUUAUAGCAAUCUUUGAUAAUUUUUCUUUGGAAAAAUCUCUCAAAUGCUUUUUAAAUUUGAUUUAUUUUAUCUUUUUGUAAAUGUUAUUAAAAAUUUCUCUUAUUUAGUGGAUGGAGAUAUACCAUUUGAAUUUUUUUACAAGAACAUAUAAGCAUUUAUUUUUUCUGAAAUAAUGAUGUUAUAAUGUGUCACAAUUGUUAACAUGGUGGUUACUAUCAUCUUCUCUAGACUCAAUUAUGAAAAUUGAAAAGUCAUUUUAGCAUAUAGUUGACAUUUAUUAUAAUGCAAAAUAAAAAUAAAAAUGAAUAGACAAGACGAAGAGGACAUUUUAAUAUGGACACAUGAGCUUUUUCCAAUUUUUUGUUAUCCUCAAAUUGACCCUAGUGUCACGGACUUUUCAAUCUAGAUAAGACUCCGUGCGGCACUUGACGGUUUGCUCACGAAUCUUUCACGUAUUUCACAAACUCAAGUAAGCCUCACAAUUUUGGAUCGCUAAGAGAAAUCAAGAAGAAAGACAAAAGACAAUUUUGGAAGAAAAGACUUGUAUUGAUAUGUUGGUUGAUAGAUGUAUUACAAAUAUAAUGACUACCUAUUUAUACUACUCUAAACACUAAGAGUAAAUAAAUGCUACUCUAUAUACAAGCCCCUAAGUCCAUGCCCACAAGACAUGCUUCUAAGUCUUCCAAAAAAGGACUCCUAGCCUUGACUAGUCUGCCCCACGUCCUAGAGGCCUUGAGCAAGCCUCAUCAAGGCUUGAAACUGCUGCCCCUGAACCUUCUGUGACGGCUGUAACUGCUGUAACAGCUGAAACGACUGAAACUGCCGAAACGAUUGUAACGACUGCCCCUCCAAUUGCUGCCUGCUUGGGCGCCUGCACCUUGGUCUGACCGGUGUGGGCCACUAGACCCUUUGCGCCUGCUGCUGGCUGCCUAGGCAGGUCACGAUCUGCCUGGGUAUCGGGCGGGUCGUGACACUAGGCUCAAUGUGAGUUUGAAUCAUUUAGUUGCACUUUAUGAUAAAGAAAAACGAACAUUAUAGAAAUAUCUCAUUCAGUUUAGAAAAAUAACGUAAAGUUCGUUGAAAUGCAUAUCAAAUACUAUUGGAGAAAUUAUCAUACUUUAUUAAUUUUCUUUUGUUUGACUGAUUGAAGUCAAAGUUCCUACCUCGAUUGAUAAAUUUAAUGUGUUGAAAUUAAUUAUCAAGAAAUGUCACUUUUAUUUUCAUUGAAAUUACUCCUAUAUACAGAGUCGUUUUUGUAGACUAAACUUCUUUAGGAGCGAAAGAAAUUGUUGAAAUUUUAUGAUAAAUAUUCACUUUUUUAAGAAAAAUUGUCAAAAAAUUAAGCAAGAAAAAAAAGAUCCUAUUGGCUAGGGUACUUUUUUUUUUAUUUGUUUCACUUUGACUGAAAAGUAAUAUUUAAAAUUAUAAUAUUCUUAAAAACAAAUACGAAAUUAACAUAAAACAUGUGUAAUUUAAGAAUUUACCUUUUUUAUAAAUUCAUGAAGUUAUGAAGAUUCACAAGUAGAAUAACUAAAACAUUUAUGUUUUGAUUAAUUGAAAAAAUUAAACAUAAUUAAAUAUCGUAAGGAUCUACUCUUAGAAAAUAUUAUUUGAGAAUAAUUUGAUUAGCUCCAAGAGAUAAAAACAAGUAAUUAAUGUGUCUUUGAAGCCCUAAAUUGACAUGAUAGAGAAGUCCUAAAAGUUAUCUACGUAGUUAUCUUGGGAUGAUUUAUGAAUUCUUCGUUCUUAAUCAGAGAUAUAAAUUUGAAUAUAUAAGAAUAAAAAAGUUUGUUGGGAGCGAGCAAAAAUUGAAAUUUGAUUAAAUUUUAAUACAAAUAUAAAAUAUAAAGCAAAAAACAAAAACGAAACGCAAAAGAACACAUUAAAAGAGCCUUUUGACUAAGCACAGGCUCACUGUACGCAGUGGCUGAGAUUUCAAACAAGCAAUAACUAUCAUCAGUUUGACUUUGUUUUUCUUUUUUUUUUAUCGAUGUUCAGUAUUCAUAUUGAAAUUUGAUUAAAUUUAAAUAUAAAUUAGAAAGUCUUAAAGAUAAAACAUUCUCUGCCAAAAGAGACUUUGUAACAAGAGGGACUCAUACCCUAGACUUCGGAUUAAGAAUAAAGGACUACUUAGCAUUCUAUCACAAUCCUAAAUGCAAUCAUUAGUUGUAAUCAAUUUGGUUAAAUCAGAUUUAUAUCACAUAGAACUCAUUAAAGAAAAUUGGUUCAUACAAAAAAAAUAUUCUUCAUUCACAUAGGCUCAAAUAUAAAACCUUAUAACCAAUAAAUUGAAUUUGCAUCAUACAUAAUCAAUUACAAAAUGCUUAACACAAAUUUGAGAAAAAUUAUAAUCUCAAACACUUAAAACUCUGAACCUUAAUCCAAGCACUUUAAUUAGAGUCCACCAAAAAGAGAGAGUUCUAAAGUUCAUUGAUUAUAAUAAAUAUAAUAUUUUAAUGUCAAACUUUAUAUUAUUUUAUAUUAGCACACCUACAAACUUAGAGAUACAUAGUAAGAGAGACAAUACUCUAUAUUUCUAGGCUCUUUUUUGAGCCACUUAAAUUUAAAAAUUUUGCUUUUUUAUAUAUUGUGACAAUUACCAUCGACUAGCAAAUUUAAUCGCGAUUCAUUUUAAUUUUUUAACUUUUAAUUUAUGAAAAACAUGUAAGUUCUUGUUUUAAUGUGUUAUAUGUUCAUUCAUAGAAGAAAAAAGAAGAAGAGUUUUUUGGAGGCUGAGAAUUGACUAUACUUGCACAUGUUUUUGUAUGGUAUAUCUAGAAGAAUGGAAAUAUAAGUCAAAAAGGAAAAUGAGUGAGAGUGAUUUGUAAUAAAUCUUCAAAUGGAAGAAAAUUAAUAAUGUCAUAUUCAUUGACUAUUAAUCAACUUUAUUCCAAACCCUAAUGUGAAAACUUAUUUAGAAAUAGAAUCAUAUUCGUACUUUUUUUAAAAAAAAAAAAUAUCCCCACUUUUGGGACCUUUAAUAAUUAUUAGUAUAGUAAAAUCUGAUACUUUAUGAUCAAACGAUGUACUACAGUGAAUUUAAUUGUUUCUUUUUUAAUUGAUGGUUUUGAGUUUAAAUGUUGAGUAUAGUAAAAUCUAUAGUAAGAAGUGUUCUCCUUGUUCUCCUGAAUGAGCCCUAUGUAGCAUGAAUUUAAAUUAAUAAAAAUAUAAUAUGAAUAUCGAAUAUCAAAUCAAACGAGAAACGAAUAAAAAGAAUUUGUACCAUGCUUAGCAAAUAUGCGAAUAAAAGAAUAUAAUCCCUUUACUGAUGCAAAUAUUCUUUUUUGUUAUUCUAGGUGUAUCUUGUUAUAUACAUUCUUGAAUAUCGUGUAAAACAUUUUUAAACAAGUGAUGAAAAUUACGUUUAGAAUUUAAUUUGUUUUGUGUUUUUUGACUUUCAUAUAUCACACCAAAUUAUAUAAAAAAAAAGACAAAAAUAUUACAUAUGAAAUCAUGCCAUAGUUUAGGGUUAAUUACUUGUCUAUUACGGAGCAUAAUUAUUUUAAACUGCUUUAAGAAAACACCAAAUUUGAUUAAGACGACCUUAAUUAAGAUAAUUAAUAUAAAUUUAAAUUCAUCGAAAGUUAAAGCGAGUAUCAAGCAUAAACGUCGUCUGAUAUAUCUUUUAUUUAUAAGUUAAAUGUGAAAAUUUAUUUUUUAAAAAGACGCUAAAUAGUAUUAUUAUGAAAAAAAUCCCUUUUUAAUAAUAUGGAUAAAAGUCCAAACAAAAAUAAAGUAUAUAUAUAUAUAUUGCAUAAAAUGUCAAGGCUCUACUAAUACCCGCUCCGUUCCGUAUUAUUUGUCAUGUUUUCUAUUUUCAAAGUCAAACUAUAAAAAUUUUGAUUAAUAUUUUAAAAUGUAUUUUUUCAUUAUAUUAGUAUACAAAAAUUGCAAUUUAUAGUACUUUUCAUAUAGUUUUAGAAUAUCUAAAUUUUUGUUUAAAAUAUCAAAUUAAUGUAAUUCAGUUUAACUUUGAAAAUUAAUCAAAUUUUUGAAAAGCGCAACAUGAUAUACAAUACCGGAUGAAGGGAAUAAUGAAUAAAUAACAAACUCAAUUGGACUAUGGCUGAUCUAAUUAAUGAGAUAUAAUAAAUAAAUAUCCAAAGUCAAAAGAUUUGGUUAUUAGGGUUACUAUAGUAAUUUCGAUUCGUAUAGAAAAAUUUCACAUUGCAGAUCUUCAUAAAACGACUUUAUAUUCAGAGGAAUUUUAAAUUUUAAAUUUUUGAUUAAAUAUAAAUGAUUACUUAUCACUUUAUUCAAAUGCCUCGUACUCAAUAUCACGAGAGUGAAGACGAAGAAUAUUAAAAAGAGAAAACAAUAUCAUUUGUAAAACUUGUUUUUUUCUAUUUCCACUAUGAAAAUAAUUUAAUUUACUUUUAAAAAGUUAUUUUCAUAACAAAAAUAAUUUUCAAAAAAGUUUGACCGAUCAUUAAACAUAAAAAAGUAAAAAAUAUUUUUCUUUCACACAAAACACACAAGUCAUUCUCUAUUAAUUUUUCUUUCUUGUUGGCUGGAGGAGGUGGGGUUAGAGUUUUAGACAUCUAAGUUUGGUAGCAAUAAAUUAAAUUAACAUAAUUAUUGUAUAAUUAAUCCAUUAAAACAAGGUUGAAUAUUCUGCAAAAAAGUAAUUAAAAAAAAAGGAAGAUUCAAAUGCCACGUAGCAUAUAGACUAAUUGUAAAGAAAUGUGCUUACAAAAAGAAUUCAAUCUUUAAUUUAAUAUUUAGUCAAAUCAAACACUAAUUAUUACCUAAAAAAUUACUAAUUAUUUAUAUAUCAAAGUUUGGUUCGAUUUCCUUCAUUGGCGGUUGUAAAAUCAAAGUAGGAUUUACUUUAGAUUUUUCUUUUCUAACCAACUUUGAGAUAUUUUAUUUGAAUCGAGUGAUUUUUUAAAUAGUUUUAUAUUUAUCGUAAGCUUUACAGAUUCACCCGUUAUGAGAUUAUACUGAAUAUAUAUAUGAUAAAAUAAAAUUGACAAAUUUAUUAUGAUUCAUUAGAAGAUUUUUUUUUUUAAACAUGGAUCAAAUAAUUCAGUUGGAUUUUCUUAAGGUCAAAAUUAGCACAAGAUUUUAUAUAUGGAUUUUUAUCUAAUGUGGGUCACCAAAAUUUAGAAUCUUAGGUGGGAAAAUUAAAUGAAAUGAGAAAACACUUUUAUAAGUUUCUCUCAACAAAGUCAAAGGAAAUGAGUAAAUGGUCAACAUGGCAAUUGCAGUAUUUAUUAAUUAGCGGCGGAGUCAAAAUAUUUAAUUAAAGAAUUUAAAAUAUAAUGAAAUAAAUAUAUUAAAAAAGUUGAAAAUAUUUACUAUAUAUACAUAAGAUAAAAUAAUUUUAAUUGCGUACAAACACAAUAAUUUUUCGAUAAAAAGGGAUUCGAAUGGAAUAUUUAACCUUUAUUAGGCUUUGACUCUGAAGUACUUCAACAUGUUGAUGAUUAAGAUCUCUUCAUUCUUACUUUGAAUGUUGCCCUAAAAAGCGAGUUUUAUAACGCAUCAAUUUGAAUUAAGUCAAAUUUCAAUGACUAUCAAACAUUAAAUGAAAAAUAAUUUUCUUAACAAAAGUUUUUUUUUUUGUUUCUCACCUAACUUCGAGUUUAGAAAAUAGAAAAAUCUUAAUAAAAAUUUUCAAAGUGAUUUAAAUAGACGUUCAUUCCACUGCUUAAAUAAAAUAUUAACACAUGUACAAUAUAAUAAUUAUUGAUAAAUCAAGAAUCAAUCAAAUUAAAAGAGUUUGAAGAAAUAUUCUGUAUUUUCUUAUUUACAAUUAAUAAACUAUUGACUAUUUAUAUACAAAAAAAAAAUAUAAUUACAAGCAUAGCAUUAUGUCUUACACUACAUCAAAUCAUAUCUUACAAAUAUUAAUAUUAAUAAUAAUAUUAAAAAUGUGAUUUCUACAUAAUUAAAACACAAUAUUCUUCUCGGACUCUUAAAAAAUCACAAUUCACAUAUGCUAUUUUUAAAUCAUAUCAUAUAAUCAACACAAUCCAUGUUCCCUUAAUUAUUUAUCUACCUCCACUAAAAAAAAUAUUUACUAACAAAAGUUGAUUGAAAUUAGCAAAUUUAAGUAUAGUAAUUUUUUUAAUAUAAUUAUACUAUCAAGAUUUAUGUCUAUAUAUAACUAUCUUAUUUAUAAUUAGACGAUAUAAAUAUUCUUUUAUAUUUUUUUUAGUAUCUGAUAUUCAUAUUAGGUUGAUCAUAAUUAAUUAAUUUAAAUAUAUGUCACAUAAGGCUCAUUUAAGAAAAAGAAAACGUCUUAACAGUAUCUUUUUUAUAUUCACCAGAAUCUCUGAUUAAAAAUAAAAAUAUUCUAUUCAUCCCAUCCCGAAAAUAUACUUUAUACUUUUGAAAUGACUUAAGAUAGAGAAAAGUUGUGGUCUAUAUAAAGGUAGUAAUGAAAACAAACUUUCUAUACUUUCUCAAUAAUAUUUGACUUAGUGGUAUUUUAUCCAUUUCUCUACAAUUAUGACAACUUCUCAAUAUGUGGAUGAAAAUGGAGAAGAUGAUGGAUACACAAAAGAUGGAACUGUGAAUCUCAAAGGCAAUCCUAUACUUAGAUCCAAUACUGGUGGAUGGAAAGCUUGUUCCUUCAUUGUUGGUAUGUUAUGUUAUUAGCUCUCCCCCCCUACCCCCUACCCCGCUGCGGUGUCAUAGCCACAUAUAGCUUAGGAUGACCGAUUAGAUAUCUUUCGUAAGAAAAUUAUAAAAUGGCUAGUUAGAUAUCUUUCGUCAGAAAAUUAUAUUACAGUGUCUGAGGUUAUAGACACGCAAAUAGGCAUUUGUAUAUAGUCAACACUCUUUUUGAAGCCUAGAAGAGAAAAAAGUUCAUGAGUUAUGUUAAUGUCAUAUGUCCAUGAAAACCAUUCUAAGUGUAGGAAUCAUCCUCUACACUUACUUCUUUCCACUUGAUCAAUAUUUUUAAUGUUCGUGUAAAACAAGAGCUUAGUGUAUCUGAUUUUUUUAAAAAAAAGUAAAAUAUGAAUAUAUAUUUGUUUUAAGGAGGUUAAUUAAAUAGAUAAAUUAGAUAUAAAGUUAAGAAAAAGAAAUAUCUUAGUACAUUUGUGGCCUUAGACAUUAGUACAAUUAUAAAUUAUUUCAGAAAAAAAUUAAGAUUAAAUUAUUUUUAACGAAAAAAGAAUAUAAUAUUAUCAUAUAAAUUAAGACGAAAAAAAUUAUGUACGAUAUAGGGGCGCCCCUAGUAAACCAUUUUCAUCACUUUUAGCACGUGGCUAGACUUUGUCCAAUCGUAUAAUUCAUUAAGAAUAAAAAAGCUAUAAUAAUGUAAAAUAUAUAUAAAAAAUUCUUUUAACCUAUAUUAAAAAUACUAAACGACAAAUAUUUUAUUUCAAAAAAUGCUAAAAUUAUAGUUUUAUCAUAAGAUAUUGAUCUUUAUAACUUCUUGUGUUUUUAUUUUAAAUAUAUUCAAAGCUAAUGAUAACAACAUUUAACCAACUGGCUGAAAAACUAGUCAAAUAGUAAAAUAAAUAUACACAAAAUAUCUUUUUUUUUACUAAAAGAACUUAUAUCUCCAAAUAUAUUCUUUGAUACUUCCAAAUGGAUAAUGGAGAUCAUAUUUAGACAUCCCUUCUUCAAGAAUUUUAUCGUUUAUUCAUUGUUAUUUUGUUCGUAGCUGAUAAAAAUAUAUUACUAAUUUAUUAUUAAAUAGAAUUAACAAUGAAUUUUAUUGUUUAAAUAAUACAAUUUAGCGAUUGCUAAAUUCUUUUUAUGAUAAUGCUCUAAUAAUGCAUAUAUAGAUGUCCCAAGUCACUAUAGUAAAUCUAUGUCCAAUAUAUGUGUGAUGUCUUAAUUAAAUGUUUUGAGUUUGAGUGUUAAAUUAAUUUUAAAUUUUUUUUUAAAAGUGUCAUAUUUAGAACUGAGUCUUGCAGAAUUAAAAUUUAAACGAAAUUUAAUUAUAUGUCUAACGUGACAUCAGAUGGAAAACAAAACAAAAAACCUAUGUCCCACCUACUCAUUAAAUCUAGUAAAAUAAAUAUGUUAGUUUUUAUUUUGUUUAAGGAAUCAGCUGAUUUAUUUAUCCAAUUAAAUUAUAAGAUUUAGGAGUUAUUUCAUAAGGUAGGUUAAGGCUAAGAGUUGAGAUAUUAAAUUUAUAAGUUUUCAAGAAAAUAAUUUAUUUAAAUAUAAAUAUAAAAUUUAUUAAAUUUUAAAUUUAUAAAUAAAAUUUUAGAUACGCCUCUAAUUUUCGUAGAGUUUUUGAAAAGUCAUGUAGUUGCAUUUUAUUAAUGAGUAUACUACGUAACUAUGUGGUACUCAUAUUCUAAAUAAAGAAAAAACUCUAAAAAUUUAGACUUUAUAAUCUUAAAGAUACAUAUUAUAUAUCUUUUUUUUUUAAUAAUCUAAAUAUAUAUACUUUAUUUAAAUUGAAGAAAGAAAUUAAAGUCCGUUUUAUUAUAUCGACUAUUAAAUGCAUUGAUUUCUCCAUCAAUCUUUUGGCAAUUAAAUUAAUAACUUGUCCUACACAUUCAUUUUAAGUUCCACCAACUCUUUGUUGCAACCAACUCAACCAUAAAUAAAUAAGUUAAAAUACUAUCGAUAAAUAUCGUGCAGUGGCUGAUAAUGCUUUAUUUUUAAUUGAAAAUUUCAAAUUCUAAUCUAAGUAUAAAAAGAUCCUUUAUAGGAAGCUUUUUCCCUCAAAAUGACACCCUAUGCCAUAUGAAUCUAAAUUAGUCAAAAUUCAAUAUAACUAUCGAACAUCGAAUGUAAAACCAUAAAAAAAAAAUUAAGUUAGAACAACCCAAGACCGAUGAGCUCAUUAUCAAGGGCGAAUCUAAUAAUUUCUCCUCCAAUUAUACUAUAUAUAUUAUUAUUAUUAUUAAUGGCGCGACUAAAAUUUAUAGUUUAUCAUAUCAUAAUUUUCUUACGUAUUGAAUUUACAUAGAUUACUGAUACAAAAUAAAUAUUAUUAUUUUAAAAUACAAAUAUAAUAUUUAAAUUAUUUUAUUGAAUUUAAUCGAAUUCGUAGUUAUUACCGUGACUUCAUCCUCAAUUAUUUGACUUUGUUAUUAUUGUUAGCAAUAUAAUAUUUUGUUUGAUGAAUUUGCAGUAUAUGAAGUUUUCGAACGUAUGGCAUACUAUGGUAUAUCAUCAAAUUUAGUAAUAUAUUUAACAGAAAAAUUGCAUCAAGGCACUGUUAAAUCAUCAAAUAAUGUCACAAAUUGGGUUGGAACUAUAUGGAUGACUCCUAUUUUGGGAGCCUACUUUGCUGAUGCUUAUCUUGGACGUUAUUGGACUUUCUUGAUUGCUUGUGGCAUAUAUCUCUUGGUACGUAUCGAUAAUUUUCGUAGCUAAUUUCAUAUUUUUUACUAGCCGUAAACAGCGGUAGAGUCACCUAGUUUGAACCCUCUUUGACAGAAAUUUAUAUUAUUUUCAUAUAAUUAAAAGGAAAAAUGCACAAGUAUCCCCUCAAUCUAUGUCCGAAAUUUCAGAGACACAUAUACUAUAUAAAGGUUUAUUAUCCCUCUGAACUUAUUUUAUAAGUAAUUUUCUACACCUUUUCGGCCUACGUGGCACUAGCUUGAAAAAAAAUCAACCAGCGUUGGGCCCGCAAGAUAGUGCCACGUUGGCCAAAAAGGUGUAGAAAAUUAUUAAUAAAAUAAGUUCAGGGGAGUAAUAGGACCUUAGUAAAGAAGUAUAAGUGUGUCUCUGAAAUUUCAGGCAUAGGUUGAAGGGAUACUUGUGCAUUAUUCCUUAUUAAAAUAAUUUUUUAGGUAUAUACCGUAGAUGCCUAACUCCCUUUGCUUACUUCAUGUGUAUAUUUCUUCAGAUUUUGAACUCUCUUAUAAAUUUUUUUGACCCCGCCUGUUAUUGUGAAUGCACCAAUCCAAACUCAAAUAUUUCUUUUGUUAAAAUGACAUUUAAUUUAAGACAGAAGAAAUAUAUGAAUAAGGGCUAGGGUUAUCUGAAUAUGAACGAAUUAAAAUAAAUUGAGUUAAUAAAUAAAUACGUCACGAAUAUAUAUUGUUGUGUAAUUUCCAUAAACCAAACUUGUUGACUUAAUGUAAGAAUAUUCAUGUCCAAUAAUUGGGUAAGAAAAAACUCUUAUCUUUUAUGUCAUUAAUAUGAAAGAUUGACUUAGGAUGAAUUGUCAUGUUCAUGUAUAUAAUUUAAAAUAAUAUAAAAGCUAAGAAAAAUUUCAUAAAUUAUUUAUUUUUGUAACUUGACAACUUGAUUUUACGUAAUUACCAAAAAAAUAAAAAACAAAAUAAUGAAGUCACGACAAAGAUAUAAUAGGACCAUGCUAUUAUAUUUUCUUGUAUUUAAUUCUUCCAAUUUAAAAUAGUUUGAUGUUUUAAUCUCGAGUCAAAAUAAUUAUAAUAUUUUAUAAAAUCAAGAAGAUAUUUGAUUUUUUUAUUGAUCCAUUUUUUUUAAAAAAUACUAAUUAUUUUGAAUCGAAGGGAGCAAUAUUUGUCAGUUCAGUCUAUUAUUGACUCUACAGAGUCUAUUUUUGGAUUUUUGCUUGAAUUUUCCACUAUAUACAAAUACUUUUUUGUUGUUUUUUUCUGCAAGUUGUUUUCCUCUAAAUUAUGUUCAAAGUUGGUGUACUUAUCUAGAAAAAUUAGUUCAAAUUAAUCAAUAAUUAUCUAUUGGUGGAAGCUAGCGAAACGCAUGAUGUUAAAAUUAGAUAUAUAUUAUAAAUAUUAUUUAAGUUAAAAACGAUAGAAUUGACCAAUAAUUAUCUAUCAAGUUUGAGCCUUAGCUAGUUGAUGUAAAAGAUUACUCAACUAUAAAAAAUGAGAAAAACACCAUUUUACAUAUGAUGAAAAGGUCAUGUAAUGUCUGUAAGACUCUAGCCAAUAGACUAAACCUUCAACUCAUUUCAAGAGGUGUCAGUUUAAUCAUUAUAUACAACGUAAUUUUUCGACGAAGGAGUGUCGCUCGACACCUCUUGGACCAAGGUAGGUUCGCCACUGGGUCGAUCCUAUACUAUUUGAACUUAUCUUGAGAACACAUUAUGAGAGAUGUUUGAAACAGGUUAAUUGAUUGAUUAUAUGCAUAUCGUGUCUUGAAAAUUGUAAUAUUUUACUGCAUGUUAGUACUAAUGACAAUAGGAGACGUUAUAAUUAACCAAAUUUCAUUAAAAAUUGUCACAGGGUAUGUCAUUACUAACCCUAGCAGUAUCAAUCAAUGGCCUAAAGCCUCCUCAUUGUUCCAAUCCAAGUUCAAUUGACUGCAAAAAAGCAUCCACACUUCAACUAGCUGUGUUCUUUGGUGCACUCUACACCUUAGCGGUCGGCACGGGUGGCACGAAACCCAACAUAUCGACGAUAGGAGCCGAUCAAUUCGACGAAUUUCACCCUAGGGAAAAAUCCCAAAAACUUUCAUUUUUCAAUUGGUGGAUGUUCAGCAUUUUCCUAGGGACACUAUUUGCUAACACUGUGCUUGUAUACAUUCAAGACAAUGUGGGCUGGUCACUUGGAUAUGGGCUUCCAACAUUGGGCCUUGCUAUAUCUAUAGUGAUAUUUUUGGCUGGAUCAUCUUUUUAUAGACAUAAAAAGCCCAGAGGAAGCCCAUUUACAAGAAUGGCUAAAGUCAUUAUUGCUUCAUUAAGGAAAUGGAAGAUUAAAGUCCCUAAUGAUCCAAAAGAGUUAUAUGAGCUUGAUUUGGGAGAAUAUACAAAAAAUGGAAAAGUUAGAAUUGACUCCACUCCUACUUUGAGGUUUGUACAUAUUAUACUUGUUCCAUCGAAAUUUCUAAGAAGUCAAAAGUGUUUAUUUUAGAAAGUCGAGUCGUUUGACCAAGCUUUAGAGAAAAAAAAAAGAAUGUUUUUGAGUGUUAGCACUCUUUGAUAAAAAAAAAAAAUACGUUUCAAGAUAAGCAGAUUUUUGAAGCUUGACCAAACAGACUAUUAGUUAUAUACACUAACAGUAUUAGUGUAUAACCUUAUUUGUUUAGAACCUACCCUUACUAUAAACAAGUACUGGUAUUUUAAUUGACACGAAGUUUAAUAUAUUAGUUUAGCGUGUUUAUAUGAUAUAGGAGUGCUAAUGAUGAAGGAAGAAUAUACAUAAAAAAAAGUGUGUAGUUCAAUGAAAUUUAAUACGAUUUCUCGAUAUGACGGAUUUUCAUGUUUGAUGUAGGUUUUUGAACAAAGCUUGUGUUAAAGUAGAUACAACUAAUCCAUGGAUGUUAUGUUCAGUUACUCAAGUAGAAGAGACUAAGCAAAUGCUAAGGAUGAUACCAAUUUUGAUUGCUACAUUCAUUCCAAGUACAAUGUUAGCUCAAAUCAACACACUCUUUGUCAAACAAGGCACAACUCUUCAGAGAAACAUUGGUAGUUUCAGUAUCCCUCCAGCUAGUCUAAGUGGAUUCGUUACCAUAUCGAUGCUAGUCUCCGUUGUGUUAUAUGAUCGUUUCUUCAUGAAAAUCGUCAAAAGAUUGACGAAAAAUCCAAGAGGGGUAAACAUACUUCAGAGGAUGGGAAUUGGAAUGGCUUUUCAUAUUGUGAUCAUGUUAGUUGCAUCGUUUGUUGAGAGGUAUAGGCUUAGUGUAGCAAGGGAUCAUGGACUAGUCGAAAAUGGUAAACAAGUACCGUUAACUAUCAUGAUUUUGUUGCCUCAGUUUAUUCUUAUGGGAACUGCUGAUGCAUUCUUGGAAGUAGCCAAGAUUGAGUUUUUCUAUGAUCAAGCUCCAGAAGGAAUGAAGAGUCUUGGAACUUCUUAUUCAAUGACUAGUCUUGGUGUUGGGAGUUUUCUUAGCAGCUUCUUGCUUUCGACAGUUUCUCGUAUCACUAAAAAGCACGGGAAUCACAAAGGAUGGAUAUUAAACAACCUGAAUGUAUCUCAUCUUGACUAUUACUACGCGUUCUUCGCGAUACUCAACUUAUUGAACUUCUUCUUUUUCCUGUUUGUGAGCAAGUUUUAUGAAUACAAAGCUGAAGUCUCUGAUUCACUGUCUGUGCUAAGGCAAGAAUUGGAGAUCGAAUCGAGACAUCGGGUAACUAAUAGCCAAGAAGGUUCAACCAACACACAGGUGAAUGGUUCUACAUAGGAAUUUAACUAACAUUUAUAUUUUGCUCCAUACUUCUUUUCUGUUUUAUAGCUAGGUAGUGUAUACUAUAUUGUUUAUGGCUUGAAUCCUCCAAAAAUUCCGCUGCACCCAUGUCAGAUCCUCCGAAAAUGCAGCCUCAGUAUUUUGCAUUUUUAGAGGAUCUGACACUGAUGCACCAGUAUUUUUGAGAAUCUGAGCAAUAUAGCUAUACCAGACAAUAGUUUUGUGUACCUCCCCUCUCUUUGUUAUGAUUUUCACACGAUUGUAAUGAUAAUCAUUUAAAUAUAGUUGUUUCGAGAUAUUCAAGGCCAUGCUUAUCUUAUUGAACAGCAUUUUCAAUUUCAUAGCUGAUAUCUCUAAAUGAAAUAGUUCAUAAUCUGAGUAGAACUUGAUGAUCUAUUUAUUCUACCUUUGCUAGAAAUACCGUCUCCAACUCGUAUGCUAAUAUGAUAAUAUUCACUAUAUACAAUAAUAUGUGGUCAAAAUAAUGAUCUCUCAAGACAUGCAGAAGAUAGCAGAAGUAUUGUACAUUAGCGCAUUCCACCACGUAGAGUAAAGUACUCGUAAUGCCUAGUUAAUGAGGAAAAUAAGAAGAAAUAUUAGUACACUUGCUAUUACUCUCAAGUGAUUCAGGGUUUUUUAACUUAUCAUCCAUCCUUUGAAAUCCUUCAAAUGAAUCAAUCUUAUAGCAGAUUACCUGUAAGAAUCCGUCUUUCUUCCGUUAUCUUUACCCUUUUUUUUUGUACAUGUGAUAUUUUUUUUAUGAUAUGUUGGCAUGUUUUCUCUAAUAUGGCCUCCUUUUUGCUAAUUGGAAUGUUUUCUUCAAGAAGUGAUUAGCAACUUUGUCAUUUCUAUGACAAACUACCCUCAAGAUUGUAUUGGGAUCUGCUCGAUUCCAUCGUCCUGUUGUUGGAGGCAUAGGUAGUUUCUGUCCUGAUCCCACAACUCCCAUUCCGCUAGUUUCACAUGCCACGAUGCUGAAAUCUUCAACCAAUUGCUCAGUUGAUUGUCCCAUUAAAGCUAUCACCCCCUCGACCGUCUCAGCUUCUGUGUCCACAACAUCCUCUACUACCAAUCCUUCACCACAAGUACAGAACACCCUCUUUAGGCUCUCAAAGUCCUCUUCUAUUAUCUGAUGAUCCGCUCUCGAAAAGAUUCUUUUGCUUCCUCCUGCUAGUAGAACCAUGAGGUAGGCCUCAAAUGAAGCCUUCAUUACUUCUUUUAAGGCCAAUGGCUGAGCCUUGUCAGUGAGGAUCGCGCAUAAAAGAGUGAGGUUUUGCUUGAGUGCCCUUAAUGCGGGUCGUAUACGUGUGCUCUGAACAUCCCUGAUAUAGAGGUUACCGUAGAAUACGCAGUGAGAAUCGAAGAAAAUGAGACGAUAAGCAGCAACUUCUGAUACGUGUUGUAAUGCUACUUGGAUGGCUGAACGCGUGUGAUCAAAGUAGGAGUAGCUUCCUAUCUGCCUAUUCUUGCUGUGACGACUUCUUGGAGUAGGGACAGUUUUCGAGGAGAUUGAUAGAGUUUUAUCAAGGGAAUGGAGUUGUAGAAGAAAGUAAUGCAAGGUGUUUAGCCUUAUAUAUAGGCGUUGUGUCCCUCGGCUCGUUGAAAGUCGGGGAUGAUUGCCUUCAUCUGCUAUAUGAUGGUUCUGUUCAUCUGCUCCUACACUGCAAACAGCAAACUUCCACAGUUUGGAAAACCUCGAAUCUUGGCUACAUCUUGUUAGAGGAGGAAGUGUCGGAAUGUAGCUUUGCUUUGACCCUAUAAAAGGAACCAAAGACAAAAGAACAGAUUAACUAUUUGAGCACUACAGUUACGAGUUUAGCAGAACCUAGUAACUUUGGCUCAAACUUUGUACAUUCGUUAAAACAUUUCAUUUAAUAUGUACACAUUCAAAACUCGUAAACUAAAAAAUAUGGCGUUGCCUCGUUCUUUAGGUAUGAAAUGAAACGAGUUUUAGGAAUUAUGUUCUUACCACAUGAUGUGGCAAAGGUAACAUAUUCCUUGAACAGAUGCUCAAAGCCAACAGCAAGAUCCUCUACUAAGUCCUCUGACAUGGCCAUCGGGAUUUCGAAGAAAUUGUCCACAGCUUCUUUAGCAUGUCUCAUUAGAUCAACUGCUGAUUGUGCAUAUGGCUCGCUUUUGGAUUUUGGAUUCCACGUCUGCAUAUCAAAGUUUACUACAGUGUCGGAACCAGUAUUUUCACUAAGUGAAUUCAAAAUAUAAAGAAGUAAACACACGAAGACUUACUUCAGUUUCUUUUGCCCUCAUUAUAAUCUCUUUCCCUUUCUUCAACCUUUCUUGAAUCCAUUUCCGCAGAAGAUUCAUUAUGAUUGAAUCAGUUUCAUAAGGAAUCAUCUCUGACAAUGUGGCUUUGCCUCCAUCUUCACAUUCAUCCGAAUCCUCCACGACCAUUUGGAUUAAUACUUUUUCGAGUUUUCCAGCCUUCUGCAAUACAGAAACUGUCUGUUUUGUGAGUAAAGUCGCGCCCGUGAGAUAUUGCUUCAACAAAGUUCCAUAGCAAGAAUGUAAUGCCACAGCUGCUACUCCUGCUGCAAUAGGAUGCCAUUUCUUGAGUAUAGGGCUGAAAGUUUCCUUCUCCUUAUUUGCUAAUUCUUCAGUUUCAUAGGCUAACUUAAUUAGUGUCUGACUCACAUCUUCCAAUUCAAAACUUGCACCAUCUAUGCUCAUUUCUUCCAAUAUCUGUUUUGCACAAUAAGAAUAGUGUUACAUCAAAGAAACUUGAAGAUAAAUAAAACUAAAAGGACGUCGACAACCAUACGGUCUCAUGUUCCAUCUGUCCUAGCCUUAGUGGACAGAGUUAUCUAGUAUCUAUUACUAGUGGGAGGUGACAGGUAUCUCGUAUCGGGACACUAGGGUCGAAACCUAUGCUGCUCAAACCCUUCAAAAAUCUUUCACACCUCUUUCGGAUCCUUCAAAAGUGCAUAGCUUUUGAAGGAUUCGACAAACACCCUCGAGAAUAUUCUUAAAGAGUCCGAGCAACAUAGGUCGAAAGAAAGGCUAAAAAUACUAAAGUUUAACAUCAAUGACUCAACUUCAUAAAGUUAAAUGUAAACUAAGGAAUGUGACAUGCUAUAAUGAGAUUGAAAUACACAUUCGUCAGUAUAUAUAACUUAAAUCCAGAAUACUAACCUUAGCAAAUGCAUCCCUCAUUGACGAACGAAUAAAGUAACAAACUUUAUUUCCAUCUGAAUCAUCCUCCGCGAGUUCAUCCCUUUUCUCCAAAACAUCAGAACUAUACCCCGGAACAUCUUCCUCUAAUAUCUUCAUGGACGCGAAGAAUAAAGGAAGAUUAUUCUCCAACAAACCAGCACUCCCCCUAUUGAAACUAUCGUGAUAGUUAACCAAUCUUUUCUCCGACCAUUCCCUUAUCAAUAUCAAAACAUUUGCCAACAUCUUAACAUAAAAAGGAUCAUUAUCAGCUUUCUUAGCAUCAGUAGCAACUUCAGUACUCAACAUGAUCAUCGCUGCGCCUAAAAGAUCAGGCUCAACCUGACCAGUAACGAUAUACUGCUCGAAUAACACCCAAGUGAAACACAAGUUAUGAAGUGAUUUGUUUACACCCAAAAUCACCCAUGUUUUUUUCAUCAAUUCAAGGAGCUCGUCGACUUCAUCAAGAACCAUUGUAUCGUCUUUUAAGUCGAAAACAGAGGAUAACAGAGCAGUAUAAAUGUGGAUAUUUAAAGGGAAUCCAUCAGCCCAAUGACAAAUAUCAGUUGCUGAACCAUCACUUGUUCUCCAAGCUAAGGACACUACUGAAUUGCAAAGUGCUCUCAUUGUCUCCGAAUUCUUCCCAGUGUCGAUAGCUUUCGUUUCAGCUGAUCUUAUGAUAUCUCUGAAGCGUUUCGCGGAUGUGUUUGAUUUUUCUACUGGCAAUGAAGGGUAAAGGAGAAGCCCUGCUUCAAGGAUUCUGAACUGACGUUUUUGCCAUUGAUGAUACUCGUGUGAAUCGUUGAAUUCGGAUGGUUUAAGAUGGCGUAAUAGCUCUAAUGGUAAGAUUAUUGUCUCUGCUCGUCUUCCCAUCUGUAUAAAAUUUCACAAAUAUUUGUUCAAUUUGCCAUACUCUUCAAAUUUUAAACUCAUUCACAUAAAAAAAAGGUCUUAUAUGAGCUAAUGUUGCUCGAACUCUUUAAAAAUGUCGCUAACUGCGUGCUCGAUUCUCCAACAACAAUUUAUCUUUUGAGAAUCUGAUACACGUUUAGCAACAUUUCUGAAGAGUCUGCAUAACAUAGUUGUGGCACUACAUCAAAAAUGAGUUUUAGCGACAAUCAAUUAGCAAUUGCCACUAAAUAUGUAUUUUUAGCAGCGACAUGUCUAAAACAUAAACAUUUGAAUCUUUUGAUAUUAAAAGUGUCAUAAUAUUUCGAUGGCAAUAAGUAGUUUUGCAUUAAGGGUAAAAUGAAAAGGGAAAAUGAUUUUCAUGAGAAAAAAAAAAUAGGUAUACUAAGGGUGUGUUCGGUGCGAACUAAAUAUUUUUCUUCGUAACAAACACGUCGGUUUGGGUGCACCCAAACCGCUCUUCAACCGCUUGCGGCAGAAUUUCGAUAGAGCUACAAGCCUAGUUAUUUUUUUUUUUGUUUUAUGUUGUGUGCUUUUAAAAUGCAUGCAAAAAGACAUUAAACAUGCAAAAUAAGACAUAAUGUACGUACUUGUCCAACAAGAGUUCUCAUGAGAGUUUUACGUAGCCUACUAUCACUUUGCUCCGACACCCUCAUUUGCCGCCUCAUUAUCUCGGCCGACGUCAUCGGUCUUCGUGCCCUCGAAUGGGGCACGGUGAAUCCCACCUUAGGGCUAGUACCGCCCCCGGGGGACGAGGGGUUGCCUCCGUAAGAGCUAGCUCUUCGUGAACGUGACCGUUUCAACAUCUUCAACCCUAGCGCGGUUUUCACCUUGCUAGUCACGGCCAUCCCUACCCCGGAUGGCUUCACCGGUGAUCCGGGGCUGGUAGAUCCAGCCCCGGACCCGCUUCCAUCUCCUCCUUCAGACGGAUUAUGAUACGAGAUAGCCAUCCUACUCCCGAACCCCGGUGAUGACCGACAUGCGGUGAAGAAUAUCUCGUAAGCCGCGUCGCGGAAAUGGUCACGAUGAAGACCGUCAAUAUUUUCAAAUGGACAAAUAAGGUCAAUGUCAAUGGACGCAACAUCUUCGCCAAUAGUAUUUGCAUGGCGAAGAUGUUGCGUCAUGGUGGUCGUAGUAGGUGCCAUUAUAUAUAUGAGCUAGCUACUACGACAAACUAUGUGACGGAUAUUUUAAAUUUGUCAAAUAUCCGGCCGUAGAAGGCGGAGAGAGAAGCCGGUGAACAUUAGAAUUAUUAUUAUUUUUUUCGAGGCAAAGAAUGAAAGAAGCGAGAAAGAGAGAAAGAAAAAACAAAUAGUAGAGAGAAUAAUAGAUGGUUAUGUGAAACUCUUAAUUUGUAUUUCUCCGAUAAUAACGAAGAACCAAAGGUGGUGAAACAAGAGAUAAUUAGACGCAUACCUAAUUUUUUAAAAAAUUAGUAAAGAAAAAAAAUGGUUUCUCUUAUUUAUUAUUAAAAUAUUUUGACACCAUUUAUUUAUUUCCUUAAUCUCUACAAGGUAACCACACAGGUUUUUGUUUUUAAUUUGAUUUUCCGCUCGAUGUCUGAUAUUACUGUUCAACUAAAUCCAAAUUCUAGUUGAUUAAAUGUCGAUACGCAUAAGAACGUCAUGCACACAUGACACAACUAGUUAUUAAAGAUGGAUUUGGGACCCAGACAAUAAUUAACAACUAUCUAAAAGGAAGACGGAUGAGAAAGAAUAUUUUUGUAACGUAUAUCAACCUAACGCUGUUAGUUUUUUUUAAAAAUGAAAUAUACCCUAAAAUGUUACUGUGAUAUACGUUUAUCUACUUUUGUAAAAAAAAAAUUUAAAAAAAUAUUAUUUUAAUGAAUUACUUUAUAAAAUGACUUAGUUUGGUCAAUAAUUCUAUAUAAAUGUCUAUAUAUGAUUAAUAAAAUUCAUAUGAAACAUUUUUUCGUUCAUAUUUUCUACCUUACUGCUUACACCCUCCCUAAUAACAAUAUCAAUUAGAAGAAAUUUUUUUACUAUCAUACAUAACAUUAAAAAACAAAGUUAAGGAUUUAAAUUAUGAGUUCAGAAUUUUAUAAUAAUUAUUUUAAGUGAUAAUAGUAGGUUAUAAAUUUAAUAUCUAUACAUAUUUAAUAAAUUUAUUAACACAAAUACAUCAUUUAAACAAAAUUUACAGAAUUCAAUCAAACUCGCAUGCAGACUAUUAACUCUGGCCUUGCAUAAUACGAUAAACAUUAAUAACAUAAUCCUUUGAGAUUAGAGAGUUCAGUUUAUGUAGAGAUUUAUUUCUUUGUAGUUUCAUCUCAUAUAUAUAUAAAUAUAUUUUAUGUUGCUUUUUAUGUUCUUUAAUUUAUCAUUGUUCAAUAGUAGUAAAAUUAUUUUUUUCAUAAACUAUGACAUUAUACAUCCAUUUAUGAUAUUACAAAGUUUAGCCUGCUUGAUUUAUUAAAGAACUGGAUUAUGCUGAAAGAAAUUAGUAGGCUUGAGCUCAAAACCAGUGCUUAAUGUUGGCAUAAUUGGAAAAUCUUCUUGUUUGGGUACAUGAUGAACACCAAAUGUAUACCAUAAUAUAAUAUCCUUGUUCUUGAUUUUCCUAUCCCUUAUCGUAAAACAAAUACUCCCGAACGUUAGAAUUAAAAAGAGUUGUCAGAAGAGACGUUAACAGAUUAAAAAAGAAAGUAAGACAAACGACCUAAAACAAGAGAGUAGUACUAUAUAGAAUCUAUUGCGCGUAUUACCUAAGGCUCCAUACGGCUAAUGUAUCAUCCCCAUGGCUUUGAUCAGUAUACAAUCCUCCUGCCCAUUUCUCGGACUUGUUAUAAGGUGUUACCCACACAUUAUACUUGGUAAAACCUCCGCGCGCUUGAGGGUAAUCGUUGUCACUUAACAAUGGACUUGUUGCAGAUCCACCCGGGAUCAAACAGUAGCCUAUUUCAUUCCCAAUCUCUGUCUUCUUGUUCGGGUUCACCACUACCAUUUCAAAGGCGCCUCGUGAUGAACCUAGCUGAAUCUUUGCAUCUGAUUCUGUUUCAGCUGUUUCACUAACAACUGUCCAAUAACUCUUUCUUGGUGAACUUUUAUGGAUUACGCGUCUAGUUUUUAAGUUAUUUUUCACAAAGGAGUUUUCAUGACCGUCUACGUCUAAAUCAAGGUGAUAGGUAAAGAAAUGAUCAUGAUAUGCACCUAGUGUGUUUUCUGCUAUUAGUGUACCAUACACUUCUUCUUUUAUCUGAUCGCUAUGAGUAUAUAUCGAUCCCCUUACUUCAAGUAGACCAGUUAACCCAACCUGUACAUGUCAAUGAAUUCGGAAAAAGUUGAUACUUAGUGUAAGCUACGGCCUAAAACAGACGUUUUACCUUACUCAUGAUAUCGUGGUUUACUUACCGUGACUUUGAUGGUGCCACUUCAUUUGAAUUCAUAGUCAGUAAUGUAAUCAUAAUUCCCUACAGUCGACACCAUUCUCACCACCAGGCUUACCUCCGGUCUAAUCUUUCGUAUCUGCAGCUCCAAAUUUUUUGAAAUGAACGAGAAGUACUAAAUAAUCCGAAAACACUUUAUCAAACAAGAGGAUUAUAUACUAUACUAACUUACCUUUUCUCCGGGAAUUGCAUCCUCUGUAUGGCGCCACAUGAUAUCUCCAGCAUAACGUUCGAAUAUACAAAUUACAUUAGGCAUUUUUCCUGGUGUACCAUCUUGAGAUAUGAAGUAGCCAUCAAUAAACUUCGCGUUCUCUGGACAAUCUUUUGAUGGUUCAAGCUCUACAGCGCAUAGACCAAAUCCAAAUUCACCUGCAUUGAAAUAAGUCCUGUAGUACCAUUCUUCAGUUAAAUCCAUGUAUGGCACAAAAACUUCAGACGCAAAUCCUCUGUACAUUACACUCCGAAAUUCUCCUUUGUCAUCAUCAAACAUCGAUGCUAGUGAUAUGAUUAUUCCCGCUCUCAUGUCAUACGCUACGUGGAACUUCCAAUCAACCCACCUAAAGCAAGAAAAAAAGAUAGUACUCUCAAUUCUCAAAACCCUCCAUUUCAAUUUGUUUGUCUAGUUUUGACUUGACACGGACUUUAAGCAAGUAAAGAAGACUUUUGAAUAUUCUGGUCUUAAACAGAGUAGAUAUAUUGUAGAAUGUACCAGAACGGACUAAAAAGGAAAGUAAGACAAACAAACUGAAACACAGUGAGUAUACUCUUUACCUCACUGUGUUUCCAUCAUCUAGAGUAAAACUUGGUCCAUCAGGCUGCACUAUUUUUAUUGAGUUAGAUUCAUGAGAUGAUCUACGCCGCUUUGAUCCCAUGUAAUCUGUCCCAUUAGCUUUAGGGACAGGAACAAUCAAACGAUCAAUAUAACUCGCGAUUGUCAUUUGAUCAAGAAGAACAAUAAUUGUAAUUCCUUCAAUUGGUCUCAUAUAAAGAUUAACUGUGCCAUCUAAGUAAUAGCAAAUGACUUUAACCAUUCUGUUAGUACUCUUCUUUUCCUCUCCAUACCAUCCAACAGGAUAGCCUUGACACGCGACUUCUUUCAGCUUUAGCCUUCUCUUUUUAAUGGACGAUAUAAAUGGUGGAUACGAUAAUGGUAACUCAUUUGCAGCUGUUUGCUCUUGUAAUGUAAGCAUGGGGUAGCCAUGUCCAUUAUAGAUUUUAUCUGAUAAAAUUGAAACACUCGAUAAGUCUACGAUGAUUUCAUGUGUUUUUUGAUCAAUUCGAGUGAUAACAAUAGCUUCGCGAGGUAGAGAAGGAUGAUGAGUGGAUGAUAGCCAUGAAAGGACUAAUUGUUUGUUUGGUUCAUUUAAGCCAACAUAAUGAAAUGUUACAUUGAGUGGAAAAUAGGAAUUUUUGACUAUGUUUGUUACUUGAGUUAGUUCAAAUAGAGUGAGAGACUCCAAUGGGUGGUUGUACUCAAGAGGGGAUGAUGAUAAUGAUGUACUAACAAAGAAGAAGAAGAUGGAAAUUUUGAAGAACAAAGGCAUUGUAAGUUGAGAAGCUAUGAAUCUCAACAUUUGUUAAUCCAAGUAAGACAUGAUUCUUACCCUUUAUAUGGUUUGCGAGUGUAUUCUCAUGAUUUCUUUGUUGUUAAAAUAAAAGGGAAAAGGACCAAAAUACCCCUGAACUAUUCGAGAUAGGUUAACUUUACCUUUUGUAAUGUUUUUGACUAAAAAAUGUUCUUGUCGGUAAUCGGCUAACUCAAAAAUGUCAUCCAACUAGACUUGACCUAUUUCAAAUAGUUUAAGGUUAUUUUUUACGACCCAUAAUAUAUGGAUAACUUGGAAUAAUAUGUGUAUAAAAUCAUGGGUGGAUUUAUAGGCAAAUUUACGAUGAUACAUGUAAACUCAUGGUCGUCUCUGCGUCAAACUAGGUAUUUUGUAUGCAUGUUUCUAGAAUUGAUACAAUUUGAUUUUUUGGUACCUCUAACCUAGAAAUGGUAAAUGGUCCACUUGGUUGAAUGUUGAGUUACUUACCGAGAGGGACAUGGAUCAACUUUACCAUAUUAUAAAGGUAUGAAUACAUAAAUAUGCACUUUAACUUGGCCUCAAAUCACAUAUAUGCCUUCCAACUUUGAAUCUGCACAAGCAGACACUUAAGCUUGUAUAAAGUAAUUAAUAAGCUAUAUUCGAUGCAUACAAUCUAAUACACGUUGAGUCUGGCUAUAUUCGAUACAUACAAGUUCUAUCACUUGCAUUUAUAAUUCUUGUAUUGCUUGUGAAUUCAUUUGAGAUUAGAAAAAAAAAAAAAACAAGUUCAGUUCCAUAUGGAGCUUGUGACUUUAAUUUUGACUUUUAACUUUAUGUGAAAUUGUUGCAUGUGCUUGAGGGGGUGGCCCUAAAUAUGGAGUGGCCUUUUUCUGUAACUUUUAUAUACAUUUUCAAGUGUUUUGGUUGAUGUGUUGGUCCUUAUUGACUUUAAUGUAUUUGGUGAUUUAGGGUUAUGACUUUUAUACCCCAUUUAUUUUAAUUUGUUUGUCUGUUAUUUUACUAGAAGUUCAAAAAAUAGAGAAGAGACUUUUGAAUAUUAUGGUCGUAAAUUAAAGAAAUGUCAAAUCACAUACAGCCAUAAACAAAGGUUUUUUCACCACGAGUAAAAUAAUUGUAUUAUAAAACAUGAUUUUUCCACUUAUUUUCCACUGAACCAGCUCACUACGAAAACACAUGGUGGAAAACAAAUUUCUAAUUUUUUCAUCUGCUUUACUUCUUUUUUCAAUGUUCUCAUCGUUUCAAUUAAAAUAUACAUCCGAUUAGUCCGGCCGUAAACAUUUUUCAGUGAAAAAUUUUAAUAGGAAAAUAGUAAUUUUUUUAGUACUGAAUGAAUCAAAAUGUUCUUUAAUUUUGUGGUUUUAAACAUGUUACGUGGAAAGGUAGAAUCAACAAGUUGCCAAUAAAAAGAGAUAUUCUUGUUUAAAUGAAUUAAAAGAAUAAUGACAAGCAACUCGAGACGGAGAGAGUAAUAGUUACUCUGCUCUUUUUUUUACCAUCUCGACGUUAGGGGUGGUGGAAAAAAUUUAGUGUUCGGAGACUUGCUUAUACCUUGUUUUUCAUUUAUCUAAAGACUUUUAUCUCUCAUAUGUAUCACUCCUACUCAUGUGGCUUGUUUGGAAAUUCGUUUCUAUUUUGUUAUUAAAAUUGGUAUUACUUGUCAUAUUUUUAGAUCUCAUUGAAUUAUACUGAAUAUAUUGUUGUUUUCAGAGUUAAGGAUUAAAAAAACACAUCUAAAAUAUCUCAGUUUUUUUUAGGUUUACACCUGAAAUAUUAGGGGUGUGAAUUUUCUACAUGAACUCAUUAUACAAAAAAUGAUCGUUAGCGGUAAUUGAUUAAUGACCGUAACAUAGUUGCAGCUAAAUAUGUAUUCUUAGCGACAAUUAUCACUCUUUGUAAAUGUUCUCAAUGCAUAUAGCAAAAUUGUAUCCAAUGACAAUUAGUUAGAUAAAGACUAAGCAUUCUUUGUUAAUGUGUAUAUGUAUUGCCACUAAACUAUUUUUGUUGUAGUGACUACCGCCAAAUAUUGACCUAUAGUAUCAGUUAUUCACUUUUUCUACUAGAAAUUCCAGGUAUGAAACCCAAAGAACGUACAGUUCAGAUGUAUUUCGAUAAACAUUUGAUGAUAGUUCAGGUACACCCCUGAUAACCCCUGAAGAUGACUCAAGCUGAAAUUACUUAUGAGAAAAUCUGCUGUUUCAGAUUCAAAACGAAAAUCGAUAUUUUUUUUGGAUUUUUGGAUGAUGAAUUGAGUUUUUAAUUUUAUUUUUAAAAUUUAUGAAUUUUGUAUUAGAUAACGGUCUACUUGUUAGUUUAACGGUCUACUUGUGCACAUUCAAAGUUGAAGGGCAGAAACGUUAAAGGACACAUUUAUGUAUUAUGACACCUGAGUCUAACUCAACCCCAAAAGCUAGAUCAUGAGGGGAGAAUUGUCCAAGUCUAUAUAAGAAGACCACUAGUCCAUUCCAUAGCCAAUGUGGGACUUUUACCAACUCUAAAACCCCCCUUCACGCCUAGGCCCAACUGAUGCGUGGAUCGGGAGCCCAAACGGAGAUAGACCUGGCUCUGAUACCAUGUGAAGAUAUGACACGUGCGCUAAUUUAUCCCCAAAAUUAGCUCAUGAGGGGAGGAUUGUUCAAGUCCAUAUAAGGAGACCACCAGUCCAUUCCCCAACCAAUGUGAGACUUUUACCCACUCUAACGGCCUUGUUUAACUUUGCCUCCAAGGACGAUCUUCUAUCUAGAUAUUGGAAAAUAGGCUUAUGUCUAUAUAGGAUGAUAUUAUUGUAUCUAGAUAUUGGAAAAUAGGCUUAUGUCUAUAUAGGAUGAUAUUAUUGUAUCUAGAUAUUGGAAAAGAGGCUUAUGUCUAUAUAGGAUGGGCUCCAUUUGGCCAAAAGAAUAGUUCACAUUACACACUCUAUGAAACAAUAAAACUUCUUUCCCUGGACUUUUUGAAGUUCUCUCUGUUAGUCCAAGGGUGAUUGUCUACCUUUCAUUCUCCUCAGGUUGGUGUGGUUGCUUCAAAUGGAAUUGUCACCAACAUGGACUGAAACAGGCGCACGCCAUCUCGUUACGAGAUUUUUCAAAAAUUUCAUCCAAACAGGAUGCAUAAUGUGAGUGCUGAUCCCAAAAAUAGCAGCAGAGACAUGUCUGACAGUUUGUUUAUUUCUUAUUUUAUCACACCCAUGAUCUUUUUAUUUGAAUGGUAGCGAAACGCAGAAUGACCUUCUUUAUUUAGAAAGUACACUUCUUUUUGUCCAAUAUCUUUGGCUCAAAAAUCAUAUACUAGUCGAAAAUCAUGCUGCAAGACAUAUCUAGUGUGUGAAUUGCGACAUAUUUUGUUCUACUCGGAGAUUUUUGAUAUCUGGAUGAUGGUUUUAUAUGUUUCGAUAUACAGCUUGUUGGAAGAAGGAGGUUCAACUUUCACAUUCCAAGGCACGGAGGGGAAAUGCUCUCUCAAAGUUUCUCUUACAGUUCGUAGUAUGCAGUUUUACUGGAAGGUAAAAUGAAAUUCCCUUUUGCCCCUACAAGUGAUAAAAACUUAACCCAAAAAAGUUGAAAAGUUUCCCAUCUGUUAACAGGUUGCAACUCGAGCUGACAUAGGCCUUGCUGAUGCUUUUAUUCAUGGAGAUUUUUCUUUCGUUGAUAAGAACAAGGGUCUUCUUAAUCUUAUCAUGGUAAGGAAAUGACUCGAUAUCUUUGUAAAUAGCUUUUUGUUGGUACUUAGCUUCCCUGAGUUCUUUUUGCAGAUAUUUAUUGCCAACAGAGAUUUGAAAGCAUCUGUUAAAACAUCUAACAAGAAGAGGUAAAAUAGUUUACUGACUUUGAAUCAAGAAAUGUUAACUUCUGUUCACAUGUUAAAGCUCUUCAUGACUUUUCAUCGCUGUAGAGGCUGGUGGACACCACUGUUUUAUACAGCAGCACUAUCAUCUGCAACAUAUUUUAUUCGUCAUGUUUCAAAUCGAAACACCCUGACUCAGGCUCGUAGGAAUAUAUCUCGUCAUUAUGACCUGGUAAUUGAACUACUCAAUUCUAGUGUAUGAUUUUGCUAGUUUCUAUGUCGUAUAGAUGCUAAGCAUUUUGGUGUUUAUUGUUUCAUUCCAGAGUAAUGAACUCUUCUCACUCUUUAUGGAUGAGACAAUGCUAUACUCAUGUGCAAUAUUCAAGGUUAGCUCUCGAACUUGUAAACGCUCUACGUUUCUGUCCUGUUAUCUAAUUUUCUUUCUUGUUUUUUGUAGAGUGAGGAUGAAGAUCUUAAAGUUGCACAGCGGAGAAAGAUGUCUGUUCUCAUCGAAAAGGUAAGUCAUCAUCAACUAAGUAAAAGUCUUCACUUUUUUCGACAUAAAUUUGAUAAUGAUUCUGUUCUAUUUAGGCAAAAAUCAGCAAAGAGCAUCACAUUCUAGAGAUUGGAUUUGGAUGGGGAGGUUUUGCCGUUGAAGUUGUCCAUCAAACAGGAUGUAAAUAUACCGGUAUAUCUCUCUCCGAGCAACAACUGGAGUAUGCACAGUUGAGAGUUGAGCAAGCAGGUCUUCAGGUAUGAUAGUAUGAUUGCUAUAAACUGACGCAAAUUAUAAGAGCUCCCAAACAAGCUAACAUAUGAUUAGCAGGAUUAGUAUUUCAAUUUACUGAAUUUUUCGACAGGAUCAAAUUACACUUCUCCUAUGUGACUAUCGCCAAAUGCCAAAUAAGGACAAAUAUGACAGGAUUAUAGUAUGGUGAGCUUUUAUCCAUCAACAUUUGUACAUAUUGUAUUACACAUAACAUGUUGAGCCAGUGUUAUAAUUGUACUAAUGAUUAAUCAUUUUCAGCGAGGUGUUAGAACAUGUUGGUCAUGAGUUCAUAGGGGAAUUCUUUAGUUGCUGUGAGUCAGCAUUGGCAGAAGACGGGCUUCUAGUUCUGCAGGUAAUGAAUCAAAAGUUUAAUCUUUGUUCACUUUUUUCGUUCAAUUAUUAGAAAAUUGAGCACUCUCAAAUUCUCUUGUUAAUACAAGAACUAAGAUAAUAUCAUUUCUUACACUUGUUCCUUUGUACUGAUUUCUACAAGUGUUGGCUUUCUUUAGUUCAUUUCACUGCCAGACACGAUGUAUGACGAAAACAGGCUCAGCUCAGGCUUCAUAAAAGAGUAUAUAUUCCCAGGUGGAUACUUGCCUGCAUUAAGUCGCGUAACAUCAGCCAUGGCUUCUGCAUCCAGACUAUGGUAACAAAGAGUAGUUGAUUUUGUCAUUUCGUUCUAACAUGCUUGUCGAUCUUUAAAAUGAAUCUAAUAAAUGAUAAAAAUGCAGUGUAGUGCACCUGGAAGAUAUAGGAGUUCAUUACUAUCAAACACUGAGGUGUUGGCGAAAAAACUUCCUGAAUAACAAAAGGUAACAAAGCCAAUAUAAGUAAAACUCGAUUUCUUCAUGAAUCAUUUGUAGCUUGAUCUGUUCUAAAUUCUGAUACUCAACUAUUGAUAACUCUGUGUCACUAGCCAAAUUCGUGCUUUGGGAUUCGAUGAAAAGUUCAUCAGGACAUGGGAGUACUACUUUGACUACUGUGCUGCUGGAUUCAAAACGCGCACGCUAGGAGAUUAUCAGGUAUAUAUGUAGAAACUAUUUCGCCAAAUUUGAGUAGUAAAACAGCUGAUCAAGUGUUGCUUCUUUAUUACCUUUGUAGAUUGUAUUUUCAAGGCCAGGCAAUGUUGCAACAUUUGGUGAUCAUCCUUACAAUGUUACUAUAUAGGCCUUCAGCUUAUAGAGUUAUUCCUUUAUUUGAAUUAUAUAUCGUAGUUUUUUCUUCGCAAAUAAAUCAGUUCUUCAAACACAGCAUGAAAGACUUUACAAAGACAUAUCAUGUCUCAUUGGUUCAUGCUGAAUUAUGUGAUUAAAUUUCUUGUAUAAUUAUAUUGUGUAAACUUCUUUCAAUUACCUAAUAAAAGUCAUUCAAGCAAUUUUACUGUUAUUGUAUUGAGAUAGAAAAAUUUGGGCUGGUUGAAAUUUGAUAUUAUUCAAUUAUAUACUAAGGAAAGAAGCAACAAUAUGGUUUUGGAGUGGAACAAAAGAGGAAAACCUAAUCAGACUAAAAAAGAUAUUGUUGGGGUUCAAAAUAUGAAGAAAUAAAUAUACAAAAAAGUCAAAAGGAGUUCCACGCAUCUACUAUUUAUACAUAAAAAAUAUAUAUAUAUAUUUUUAAUCAUGUAUGAGUAGUGUUGUUUUUCGUCAAAUGGGGCCCCUACUUGUAGGCUCUAUCACUGACAACAACAACAUAUCCUGUUAGUCUCACAAAGGAGGAGUCUGAAGAAGAUAAAAUAUACAUAUAUCUCAUCCCUACUUCAAAUAUAAAGAGAUUAUUUCUGAUAAAUUCUCGAGAAGAAAUAUGUUUAAUACUAAUUGUGAAGAUUGUGUAACAUUAAUGAAAAUAAUCCAAAAAAGAAUUGCCUCAACAUUUUUUCCCUCAAGAAUUUAAAUGGUCCCUUUUUUCAAUUUGCCAAAAUUCAUGCCCCCUUUCAGUGCAUGUGAGAUUUUAUCCAAAUUAAUGAUAAAUGUGGUCCAAAGUUUGUUAUGCAAGGAUAAAAGAGGGAUUUUCCAAAAAAUUAUCUUAAAAUGUGAUUAUUUUUUUUUGUGACUUUUUAAUUUUCAAAUAAAACCUACUAAAAUGAAAUAAAAAAUAAAUAUCAAAAUUAAUCCUAAAAAGAACAUUUAACUCCAGAAUUCACAUUAAUAUCACAUGGCUACAUUCACUAAUUAAGUAUUCUUUAUAUAAAUAAAUAAAAUAACUAGGAAAAUAAGGCUCUUUAUAAUUGAGAAAUAUGACUUUCUUAAUCGACGUACAUAUGAAAAAUAACAAUUCAAUGACAUUUCAAGUUUAUCGUCUCCUACCUAUCAAUCAAUGCCCAGGGGUGGAGCCACCUUAUUAUACUAUGGGGUUGUUUGGAUUCCUUCGAUAAAAAAUUAUAUUAUUUGUACAUGAUUAAAAUAUUUUUUUAUGUAUAUAUACAGUGGCGUAGCCACAUAGUGGUAAGGGUGUCCAACUCGUCAGGGAAAAAAUAUCAUAUAUAUAUGGGAUAAUGCACAAGUAUCCUCUCAACCUAUGCCCGAAAUCUCAGAGACACAAUUAUAUUAUAUUAAGGUCCUAUUACCCUCUGAACUUAUUUUGAUAAUAAUUUUCUACCCCUUUUCGUCCUACGUGACACUAUCUUCUGGGUCCAACGCUGGUUGAAUUUUUUCAAGUUAGUGUCACGUAGGUCGAAAAGGGGUAGAAAACUACUAAUAAAAUAAUUCACGGGUAAUAGGACUUUAGUAUAGUAUAAAUGUGUCUCUGGAUUUCGGGCAUAAGUUGAAGGGGUACUUGUACAUUUUUCCUAUAUAUCAUAUAUUACUAAAAUCAUAUUAAAAAAAAGUUGAAAGUUGAAUUACGAUUUUGCCCCUUCUAUAAAUUAAAUUGUUAUAAAAUAUUUAAAUAUUUGAUUGUAUAAAUUUAAUUAAAUGUCAAUGACUUUUAGACUUCCUAAGAUUAAUUGCUAAUUAAAUAUCUAAUUUAUUAAUUUUAUCAUCUAAAAUCUAAUAUGUAUAUAAUAAUUAUAAUUUUUUAAAAAAAAAAAAAUCUUUACUUAAAUUGCUAUACUAUAUUUCUAAUUAUCAAUAACCAUGAAUUUUUAGUUGAAAAAGAAGAUGGAACUUUAUUUCUAAGGGAUAAACAAUGAAGAAGUUGGAAAGUCAUUACUAAUGGAUAAAUAACCAUUAAGAAAAUAACUUUUAUACUAUAAAUAAGAAACGGUGCAUGUCCUAUGCAUAAUGCAUUAAUGAAGUGUUAAAGAUUGAUUUAUUGUUUUAGUAAAAUAUAAUUUUUUUUUCUUUUACAGAAUUUCAGAAGUUCUAUAGUAAUGUAGGCUGAUUUAAUUUAAUACAUAUAAUCAAUACAUCUGUUAAAGGAAUCUUAAAGAACAUCAAAGAAAAUUAUUUCCAUUUUCCUUAUGGACAUAUUUCAGCUCAGUAGGAUUUCUUUAAUUUUUGUUUUUCGACUUCUUUUUCAUCAUUUUCCCCUUUUAUUUAAAGCAAUAUUUGCAUGAAAUAAAAGAUGGUGAAAUAUGUAGAGUUAAUGAAUAUAUAUCGAAAUCAUAAAAUCGUCAAAUUCAAACUUUAUGGGAUGAUAUAUGAAGAUUACUAUCUCCAUAAUCAACAUUAGCAAGAUUAAUGAGGUAUGAAAGAAAGAAGAGUGGUUUCUUUGGAAAACAUUUUUAUAAUUUUCAUUAAUUGAUAUAUUCUUUAUAAUUUCUUGUGAUUAUAUUAUUUGUAGAUGAAAAACAAUGUGUACAAUUUAAUAUGUUAGCAUCACUAAAGAAGUAGUGUAUAGUGUAUUUGUUGGGAGUGAUAUCAUGCUUAAUUAUUUUUAUUCAAUAAAUUUCUAAAAUUUUGCUCCAUGUCAUUUUUUACUAAGGUUUAGCAGAUCAUUAUUUUGAAUUUUAUUAUAAUGAUGAAUAUCGAUAAAUGAGAGUGUUAAUGUAAUUUUACUAUACUAGAUAUAUUUAUUGUUCUUGAAAGAAAUAAAAAAUAAUUAAAAUUGCCACUAAAAUUAUUUUUAAAAACUCAAAGGGAAGCUUCAAAAGCUUAGAUAAUCAAUUUCUCCGGUAUACUGAUUUUGUUAGUUUACUUAAUUGGUUCAUUAUUUAUAGUUUCCACAAAUAAAUAAUAGGCUAUUAAGAUCAAUGAUUAUUAUACCAUAUAAACGAAAAGUCAAUUCAAAAUACAUUUAAAAAAAUCAUACGUAGUUUUUCUCAUUUAGUUAUUCCUCUCACACUACUAAUAAAUAAUAAUCUCAAAAAUAUAUUUUAACUAAAGUAAAGCACUCCAUCGAUAGUCGCAUAUCAAAUUAACUGAUUAAUCUUCAUUAUGAAUUUCAUCAAUAAUUAAGAAAUAUAAGAGAACAUAAAUUGUAUAUCACUAAUUUUCAUACAGGACACAAGAUAUUUCAAUCGAAAAAUAAAAUCAUAAGAAAGUAUCGAUCAAAAUAUUAAAAAAAGAUGUACAAAAUACUUAAGCUUGACAAGGAGGAGCGGAUAAAAACAAAAGAAAAUUACUGUAAUACAAAAUGAUAAGCAAGAUUAAUUUUUUGCUUGAUAAUCUCUCAUCCUCCUCUUAUCACUUACAUGAAGACCAUGCUAGGUAUUUUAUAGUAAUAGGUAGGAUGAUUUUUGAAUAGGUAAAAUUAAUUUGCAUUAAAUUAGUUCGACGAUUUUAGUCCAUAUAAAAUUUAUUUAAAGGAAAAACUCUUCAGAUACUCUUGAUUUUUACAACAAAAGAGAAUUAAUUAUUAAUGUGAAUUUGAUUCAUACACUGAUCUAAUGAGUUAUUUAUUAAAUAUUUAAUCAUAUUUUCUAACAUUUGUUUUGAUUAUUUUAAUAUAAGGGUAAAAUAGUAAUUCAAUUUUAAAUUUUAAAUCUUUCCACUUAUAAUAAUAUAUAUGAUAUAUGAUAUUAUAUGAUUUCUUUAUACAAUUGAUCGUAGGCUUGUUUUUAUAAAUGUUUUGAGUUCAUUGUUCGAUUCUACUCUUGAUUUGUUGCUUAAAAGCGGCGGUGAUUUUUCUUAUAUUACUAUAUAAUAACCUACUUUAUGCAAAUAUAUUUUGAUCCCUUAUUAAAAUUGUCAAUCCAAACAGGUUCUAAUUAAAUAUCAUAUUUGAAACGCGCAUUUGCAUGAAUUAAUGUCCUUUAUUUUUUGAAUUUUUUUACACGACUCAAAAUUUAAUCGAAUUUCAAUAUAAAUAAUGACGUGGGUGGAAAAUAAAAUUAAUAAUUUUAAAAGGACAAAUUGUAUUGGACUUUUCAUUGUUCUUGAUUUGUCACUUGGAACUCUAGUUUACCAAAUGUAGUGAUAGGUCUCCAUCAUGCCACGUUUCUCUUAAAGUCCCCUUACAAAAAUGUGGUUUAAAAAUCCAAAAUGACUAUUCAAAAUGCAUGUGUUAAUUGACUUUAUAAUAAAAAUUGACAUUUUUUAUUUUACGCAAUUAUUAAUAAAUUAUUAAUAGAUUGAUUAAUUUUUUUUUCUUUCAAUUAGUUGCAGGGAUAAUAUAAAAAAUUGUUAUACUUUAAUUUAAUAAGUGAUCAAAUAAUAUAAUAAAAUAAAUACUUUGUAAUAAAAUGUUUAUCUAAUAUAAAACAAAAGAUGGUAUAAUUUGUUAUGAUUAGCUUCACUCUUCAUGCUAACAACUUUUUUGAGAACUCAAAUUUCAUCUUUUUCAUUAAUUUCCUUAUAAAGAGAAAUUGAAACUAAAUUACUCCACUUUAAAUAGAGGUAUUGAAGAAAAUUUGAAAAGGAUUAAGGUAUUUUUGGUAUAGAAGAAAAUUAUUUUAUGAAAAAAAAAGUACUCUUUCCGUUUUUUAUUCUACGUGGCAUUUUUCGAAUUUUGAGAUUUAAAUAAAUUUAUUUUUGAUCGUAAAUUUUUCAUAUAUCUUUUAAGCAUUUUGAAUUAUCAGUUAUUAUUAUUUUUAAGGAUCAGUUGAUGCGCUGGGAUGAAAGAAAGUUCUUCGGUGCUCCUCCGGGACGAACAGUAAAGGCACAUGAAGGUAUUGGCUCUUACUAUCGAUCGGAUGGAGAGAACCGCGGCGCUUUACCUUACGAAUAUCUAAAGGCGAAGAUCUCUUUUCGACUAGCAAGUUUACGUACCUAGGUCCUAAGUUUCUCAUUACUCGGUGAAGUCUGAUUUGAGCCCUGGUCAAACUGAUCUCUCCGGCGGGCGGAGGAUGGUCUCAUAUUAAGUAGUUUACAAAUAUACAAAUUUCAUUUAAAAAAAGUUGAAACUCUCAUAGCAGAUUUCCAGUCAAACUUAAACUAUUUAACUUGAGAAACAAAAAAAAUGACACAUAAAUUAAGACAAGAAGGAGUAUUAUUUUUUAAUUUGUUUUUCAAUAUUCGAUAAGUAAGUUGAAAACAUUAAUAAAAAAAUUCCUCCGCAAAAAAUAUAUAAAGGUAAACAUUUUAGAAAAGAAAUCCACCAAAAAAUAAGCGAUUUUCUCAUUUAUUUUCAUUUCGCGUUUGAAGUAUUUAAAACUUUCGAUGCCUAAUAUAAAUUUAUAUGCAUUUCGCCUUUUUAAAAGAAUAAUUAUUUCAAUCUUUCACCAUUAUAAUGUCAAGUUAGGACUAAAUCGAAAGACUUUGUAUACAACAACAAAGUAGUCAUUGUCACUUUAAAUAAUGUAUUGCUUACUCUAUAAGUUAUGUUUUAUAACUAUUAAAUUAUUUAAACAAGAUUUAUAAGUAGAAAAUAUGAAAUUUAAAUGUUAUCUAUAACCAUAAAUAAAGAUGAUCUGAAUAAUAUAAAAAAAAUUUUACAUUGUAUAUUAAUCUAUAGAUUUGUUCAUCAAUAUUUAUCAUUUUAAACUUUCUAACCGCCAAUCUAUAUGUUAUUGUGGAUUCGAAUCAUAAAAAUAACCAUUAAUAUUUGUGUUAUGAUAAAUUGUUUAUAUCACCUUAAAAUACGAUUCUUUUCUAAUUUUACUAAUGGCAUAAUACAUAUAUUGGAUCCUAAACAUGGCUUCAAAUUUUAAUGUUGACCUCCAACUCUCAUAAUGCACAAAAAACACUUUAACUAUCCAAUUUUUAAAUUAAAAAACACGUGAGUCCUACAUGACACAAUACACGUAGGACACCACGUAUGACAAAAAAUGACAUGUAGGACAUGUGUGUCUAUUUGUUCGACUUUAUACAAGUUUAAGUGUCUACUUGUGCAUACCCAAAGUUGAAAGACAUAAAUAUGAUUCCAAACUAAGUUAAAGGGCAUAUUUAUGUAUUAUGCCCUUACAUGAUAUGUUGAAAAUCUUACUAAUACGAUCUUAACUAUCAAAAGGUGUUAGCUAAUUUAGACCUCAAGUUGCCCUUUAGAGAUUACGAAGGUUAUAAUUAGCGUUUGACCAUAAAUUUUUAAUAGUUUUUAACAUCAGAUUUAGGUGCAAUUUGGGUUUAAGUUUCAAAAUGUGUUUCGCCAUAGUUCUUUAAAAAAAUAUAUCUCAUCUUUAUUAUUUUUUUGAGAAAACAUAAAAUGUGAUUUAUAUUUAUAAGUUCUAAAAGCUAUUAAAAAAUACUCAAUUGUACCAACCAACAUAAUUGCUAAUUCCAAAUAUGUAGAAUAACGUUCAAUAUCAUUAUCAUAAAUGUAUAAUCUAUAUACAAAUAAAUUCGACAGUGAAUUAUAAUUUUCAUAAUAAAUUAGAUAAUACAUUAUCCUAAAAUCAUAAUACAAUAUUUUAAUAAAAACUACUAAUAGUAGUGCACUUACUAGCCAUAUUUAUUAUUCGUAAAAUUACAAUUAGUUACGAGGAUACAUCAUUACAAAAGUAAAAUAAAAUUAUAAUAACGGUAGAAAAUGAAAAACCUACGUAUUAGCAAAGAUUUAUAAAUACGUAGAAAUAUUUAUACAUUACAAGCAAAUUAAAUACUAUUUAUUAUUAAUGUAAGAGAUAAAAUAAGAUUAUAUAUUGACAAAGAAGUAUAAAUCAUAUAUACAAGGAAUCGUAACAAUAAUUAUUAUUUUUUAAGUAAAAGUAUGAUAAUAAAAGUUUUAUUUUUUCAAAAUGAUUUAUUUAAAAAUGUAACAAAUCAAGGCUAUUGAAUUCGUCCAAACAUUAACUACUAACGGAAUAUUGAAAUCUGAAAAAAAUUAGAUGGCGUUUGAAUGAUUAACUAUAAACAAAAUUAUUAUUUUUUUAAUUAAAAACAUAAUUCUUUAUAAUUAAUAAAAUCUAUAAAAAAAAAACAUGUUUGAAUUUCGUUUAGGUUUAGAAAUCUUUUUUUAGAUGUAAUUAUUAUUUUAAACUUGUUAUAUUAUAAAGUUAAUUUUUCAUAUCAUUUAAAUUAUAUUUAUGUUGCUUUAAAAAAGAUUGUUCUCAUUCAAAUAAGGAGUCACGUGUAAUAUAGGUACACUAAAAUUAAAUUAUAUUAUAAAUAAAAAUACAAAAUAUCUUAACAAAAUUUACCUUUAGGUAUAUACAUGUUCUAGCUUUGAUAAAAUAGUAAAUACAAAUAAUUUUUUUUUAAUAAACACAAAAAGAACGAGUAUUAAUAAGAACAAAACUAUAUUAUAAUGAAAAAUUUAUAUAAUCGGAGAACAAAUAGGAAACUUGUUAAUUACUAUUUAAUCCUAUUAAAGAGGGUUUAAAAACUUCAUUAGUAACCUAAUUCUUUAUUCUCCAUGGAUAUUAAUUGAUUGCUCCUAACCAGGUGAGUUCUUUAAGCUAUAUUUAUUUCAUUUUAUAUCAUUUUAUUUUUUUUAAAAAAAUGUUGUUUUUUCGUUUUAUAUCAUUUGAUUUUUAGAAAAAUUGGUUUUGUUUGUUUUUACCUUCAUGUUUUCAAUAUGAAUUUGGAAUUAAUUUGCAUUGAGAAAUCAUAUUGAGAUUAAUCUAUUUCAUCAAUUUUUUUAAAAAAAAUGUUAGGAUAAUUCAACAAAUGGAUAUAAUCAUAUAAAACAGUGUUUGAUUAUACAUUUGAAAGAUUAUAUUUUUGAUAAGUGUAAUCACACUUUCCAUAAACUUAAUUUUUAUUGUAAUUUUAUUCAAUGGUUAAAUAAUUUUUGUUUAAUAAAUAAUUUAAUGUUGUAUAGGGUAUAAAUUUUGUUCAAUAUUUGGGGGAUAUUUCUGUCGAUUAGUAUUUGAUAGAAGCAUAAUUAAAACCCUAAUAAGAAAUGUUGAUAGAUUAUUUUACUCUUAAAAAAAUUAAAUUUUUUACAUUAGAUUAAAUUAUAAUUUGAAAUUAAUUCAAAAAGAUAGCUAUUAAAUCUUUAUUAUAAAUAAUGUUGAGGCACAUACAAUUACUUAUAGGUUUUUUCUCUUGAAAAAUGCAUGGUAGAAAAUGUAUGGUGAAAAAUAUAUUAUAAGGUUCUUUUCACGGUAAAUUAGUGAGAAAUUAAUGCACGACGAAAAAUGUAUGACCAAAAAUAAAUUCUAUUAUGUCCAAGGAAAAAGAAUUAUUUUUUAAAAUAAUUUUUAUCCUCAACAAUAAUUACUUAUUCUUCAAAUCAUUUCACAAGGCCUAAAACUAAAUGCAUCAAUUAAUAUAAACAUCAUUUAUUAAAAUGUGUACAAAUUAAAAGUGAAUAAGUAAAAGUAAUCCAUCUUCUAAAUCCAUCUACGGCCCCUGAAAGGUCUUUUCACUUGCAUAUGUAACACGAAUUUAAAUUAUUCAAACGAGCGAACAGUAUACACUAGAUAUCUUCAUUCUUUUAAGAGUUAAUAUAAAACCUUAUCUUAUAUACUCCCUUCGUUUUAUAAAGAAUAAUCUAGUUUGAUUUAGUACAGAAUUUAAAACAAUAAAAAACUUUUAAAUCUUGUGGUCCUAAAUUAAAGUCAUGUCAAAUAUACUGUCCUUUAAUCUCGUAACCUUAGACAUGUCACGUGAAAAAUUGAAAUUAAAAUAUUAUCAAAAAUAAAUAAGAAAUCGUUCUUUUUUAAACGAACGAGUAUUAUAUAUAUAUAUAUAUAUAUAUAUAUGAUGCCCACUCUCAUUUCUUUUUCCACUGUGUUCUGUGUCCUUUUGUACUGAGCCAACCAAUCCUCACUGCUUAAUUUUGUGCUUUUUUUUUUCUUCCUACAUUUUCUUCUUUGCUUCAACUUCAAUCAUUAAGGUAAGUUCAUUUCAUCACACAAUGGCUAUGCAUUCUAUAUUUGUUUUUCUACUAAUAAUGCCAACGACUAAUAAUAGUCAUUCAACUAACAGUUAUUAUCGGAGAAAUCCACCCCUUCUUAUGAUUGUAUUAUAUUAUAUUGUUAUAUAAAAUGAAAUGAAGCGAGUAUUAAUAUUUUUUAAAAUUUGAUGAUUAUUUUUUUUAUUGCAGUUAUAAUAUUUGAUUGAAGACGAGAAAAAUGAAAGUAGCAAUUGUAGGGGCAGGGAUAAGUGGAUUGGUUUCUGCAUAUGAAUUAGCAAAAUCUGGGGCUAAAAUUGUAAUUUAUGAAAAAGAAGAUUAUAUCGGCGGCCAUGCUAAAACCGUUACCGUUAACGGCGUUGAUCUUGACCUUGGAUUUAUGGUCUUUAAUCGGGUAAGUACAUAUGUAAUUUUUUAUAUCUGUGUUCGAUAACAAGAAAAAUAGUUUUUCGAUAAUUAGAUAUUUACUUACUUUCUAAUAUUUGAUAAAUGAAUUAUGAAACGUCAUUUUGAAAUCAUUGUAUGUGUAAUUUCGUAAAACAGUAUAGGAGAUGGAAUGGAUCGAAGAUAAAUUAUUUAUAUGUAAUUUAGUAAAAUACUAUAAGAAAUGGGACGGACUGAAAAUCGAGGAUUUGGAGUGGUGGAGGUAGGAUUGAAAAGAAAAAAGAUAAUGGACUUGUUUCACUACAAAAGUUAUUUUCGUAAGAUAAAAGACUUCGAUCAAACAAAAAUGAAAAAUAAAAUAAUCAUAUAAAAAAGUUUCAUAAACUUGUUUUUUUGUUUGUUUGUUCUGAUAUUUGGUAUUCAAUUUGAGGUUGGAUUAAUUUUGAUUCAUGCUUAAAAAUAUAAACUAUUUUUCCCUUUUUUUUUUAGUUUGUUCAAAAAAAAUAUCUUUUUUUAAUAAUUUUUAAAGAUAAUUUUUCAUGUGAUAUAGUUAAAAUCAUAAAGUUAUAAAAACAUUUUAGUAUAAUCUACGUAUUUUUAAUUUAAGACUAUCAAGUUUUUUUAUAUUAUGUAUCAAUUUAAAAUCAGACAAAUAAAUUAAAUAAAAAAUAUAUAUGUAUAAUUAUUUUUUCCACUUGUAUACCUUGUGUAAAAGGUGAUUUUUUCAGAUUUUUUUUCUGUCUCUCUCUAUAUAUAUAUAUAUGUACGUAUACGAAGGAGACAAGAAAGAAAGAUAAGGUUUUAUCUAAAUAAACAAAUAAGUAAGUAUUUUGAUGUGACAUAUAAAAUAAAAUAAUUUUAUAAUGAAAUAUAGAGUUAUUUUAUUUCACAUUUAAUUAAAAAUAUUAGAUAAUAUCACAUAUACAUGACGAAGUAACAAACGAACAUUUAGAAAUAAAACAAUGAAGUUGAUCAAGAAUUUAAAAGGGGGUUUUAUAAAAUUUUACAAAUAAUGAAAGAAAUAUCAUGUGAUAUAGUAUUAUAAUACGAAUAUUUAUUUCUUGUGGGUUCAAAACGUACAACGUGUAUCACUGUGUAUCGUUCAUAGGGACAUUACAUUGUCUUAUCUUUUCAUCAAGAUACUUUGUCAUUGUCUCCCACCAAAUUUUAAAGGAAUAUUGCAAUAUUAUUAAUCGAUCAGCGUAAUUUCAUAAGUAAAAUUUAAUUAUAAAGAAUGUGAGUCUCGUAUUUGUAUUUUAUAGAAAAAAUAAAGAAUAUAUAUUUCUUGAUCUCUAAGAAUUUUAUGACUAUGUGGUUUGAUUCUUGUUGAAGCAUAUGUUAUAGAGUGUGCGGGAUUUAAAUACGAAUUUUUCAUUUAUUAGAUAAAGAAAAUUAUCAAGAUAUAGUGUUACGUCAAUUUAAUUCGAGCUCUUUUAUCGAGAAUAUUUAUUGACUUUAUUUUUAUCUUUUGAAGAUUAGAAAUAUUAUUCUAGUAAACUUUCGACUCAUAUAAAACAAUAAUAAAAUCAUGUAUAGAAAUAAAAUUCCACACUAACAUAACUUUUUAAUUAUACAAUGAUUAUAUAUUAUUUAUGCGCUAUAUACACUAGAUAAAAUAGUUAAAAAUAAGGACUAUAGUUAUUUUUUGUUAAUGAGUUUUGCUAGGCUGUUAUGUGGUGUAAAAAAUUCAAAAUAUAAAAUCCAAUAUUGUCAUUGCAUGGUUCCUAAAGGGCUCGUUUGGUCGGGGAACAAGUUAUUUCAGGAUUGUUAUUUCAUUUUUAAUAUAGGAUAAAAAUAAUAUUACUAAUCUGAGGAUAACUAAUCUCGAGAUAAAUCGUCUCAUGAUUUUAUCUCAACUAAACAUGAAAUAAACUCAUCCUAAAAUUAGUUAGCCCUUAUCUCUCAUACCAAACGAGCUCUUAAGAAUCAAACGUCUAUUAUUGAUAUAUGCGUUAAGUAAAAUGAAACGUUUAUUAUCGAUAUAGACUUAAAGUAAAAUGAAACAAGUAGUUAAGGAGGUAACUAACAACAAUUUAACUUUUCUUUUUAGGUAUUAACUCUAUUUUAAAGAAGAAAUUUAUUUUGAUUAAUUCCUAUGCGUCACAUGUUUGUAAUUGUCGUUUAUAUAAAUGAGAAUAAAAGUUAAUUUUUGGACGUGUUUACCUAAACUAACAAAUAUAAGAAACAAUAAAAGAUUCCAAAUGAACAUUAACCAAAUCAAUCUAUAAACUUACGACAGUGCAAUCAUUUUCAUACUUUAUAAAAACAAUUAUUUUUUUUCUUUAAUAGAAUUGAAAAUUAACAUUUUUUCUCUUAAAAAUCUAGUUUAUCAUAUAUUGAAAGGUACAGGAGAAGAAAUAGACCCAUCGUUACGUGGUCUAAAGUGAAUUUCGGCUCAAUUGAAUUCAUGUAGGACGGGUAUGUACCGAUUUAUUCGUAUCUGAUUAGACAUAAAAUUUGAAGAAAAAUAAAAUAAAAUUUGCACCUAAGUUUAAUAUGUGUUUUAAAAUGAAUACACUCUCUUUUAUAUGACAUUCGGAAAUCUUAUUGCAUAUUUAAAUUCACAAGUGUAUAUAACUAUGUGUCACGGUUCAAGUCCAUGACACAUAUUAUUGACUUUGGGCCAACCGGCCUCACAUAUUUGUUUCUUGGGCUACUUUCAUCAUCGAGUUCAAAAGCUCGAAUAUUAUGUGAACUUUGAACUAUAUAUCUUAUAAAAAUGAGUUGGCUUUUCAUCUCGAUCAUUCCGGUGUGGGAUUUACAGGCCUCACAGAUUCGUCCCUUGGGCUAUACUAUCAUUUACCCCAAAAGUGCGUAACCAUAUGAAUUUGAGUUAUGUUUAUAGAACUCUUCACUUUCCUCUUCUAAUACGAUGUGGGAUUUUCUUAAGGUGUCACGUGCACCUCAUCUUUAGAAGCUUAUGAGUCUAGAAGUCUGUUGAUCCUGUCUCUAUCUCUCAAACUUCCCUUUUAUAACUUUUUUAGUUAGGUUCUAAAAAUGCAUAGUUAUGUGUCUAAGAAGAAAGAUAAGAAAUGUAUUAUCAUCAGCGUUAAACUCAGUUGAGUUAGGCCCAAUAUCCAUUUUCUUAAGAUAUUCCUUCAUAUUGGUUUAUUGAAUAUUUAGCUUAGCCCCCAUGAUAUGUUAUCCACGUUCCAAAUGUUCAGUCCUAAGUGUUACGGGCAUAUGGUCUUGAACAAUACUCACCGAUCAAUUUCUUAAUGGAUUUCAUGUGCAUAGCUAGAGUUAUUUUGAACUCCAUAUGGUUUGAACACUAGUAUAUGUCUGAAAUGGUGUAUUUGACAGGUAACUUAUCCAAACAUGAUGGAAUUUUUCGAGAGCCUCGGUGUCGAUAUGGAGAUCUCCGAUAUGUCAUUCUCAGUGAGCUUAGACAAAGGUCAUGGUUGCGAAUGGGGUAGCCGGAAUGGAAUAUCUGGUCUGUUUGCACAGAAAAAGAAUGUCUUGAAUCCAUAUUUCUGGCAAAUGAUCAGAGAAAUUAUCAGGUUCAAGCAGGAUGUCAUAAGGUACCGAUAACUGAUUCUUAUCAGCAAUCAAUUCGAGUUCAUGUUGUUUGAGCCACUGUUGAUUUACUCAUCUCAUUAGACACAAAAACAGUCCUCUUUGUUCAUUUGAAGAUCAUGCUUCUUUCAAUAGAAAUCGACUAACUCAUUCUGUUUAGCACAGUUUCUGUAGGAAAGACUAGUUUUUUAUUUCGAUGAAGCUUAUUCAUCUACUUCUGCAAUGCAGUUACCUUGAGGAACUUGAUAACAAUCCUGACAUUGAUCGUAACGAGACAUUAGGACAUUUUAUUCAAUCACAUGGCUAUUCGAAGUUAUUUCAGAAAGCUUAUCUGGUGAGGCUGCUGUUCUAGUUUAGGAAAUCUUGUUCAUUUCUACAAGCAAUUCACAUAUAUGUUCCACACAGGUUCCAAUAUGUGCUUCUAUAUGGUCCUGCCCCUCGGAUGGAGUAAUGGGAUUUUCUGCUUACUCCAUCCUUUCAUUUUGUCGCAACCACCAUCUUCUUCAGGUAGAAUAUAAUUCUCAUACAAACUGUUUCACGAGCACGUUUCUGUAUAUCUUAUAGCCAAUUACUAUAUCUGGUUCAUAUAAGAUGCUAUAUCUGAAUGCUUUUAUGUAUAUCAUUCUAUGCAGCUCUUUGGUCGCCCUCAAUGGCUCACUGUUAGAUGGAGAUCACAUACAUAUGUAAACAAGGUGGUACUUUUAGUCUUUUAAGUGCCAUAUAAAAAGAUUACUGAUUUCAUACAAUAAAAACUUCAAACAAGUAGAAAUUUUCGGUUUCUUGAAUGAUUAGUUAAGAUUAUAUCAUCCUUCUGAGUUAGUUGAAUGGUAUACAAAGCAGGUUAAGGAUGAGUUGGAGAAGAGAGGAUGUCAAAUAAGGAUUGGCUGUGAAGUAAAUUCUGUAUCUACGAAUGAAGAAGGUCCGGUUUUGUUUUAGCAUUUUGAAUCCCUCUAUGUUCUCCAUGUCUGUUUAUGUAUUUAAGUGAGAUUUUCCUGUCCAUAUGUCCAUACAGUUCAUUUGGUGUAGAAAAAUCUUCCGAUAGGUAGAAACUAGUCGUGAUUCUAAGUUCUAACUGUAAAAGGAGAGAGCGUGCAGGCUGUACUGUAGCUUGCACCGAUGGUUCCAAAGACGUAUACGAUGGAUGCAUAAUGGCUGCACAUGCACCAGAUACUCUGAGGAUGUUAGGCAAAGAGGCAACAUUUGAUGAAACAAGAAUAUUGGGUGCUUUUCAAUAUGUUUACAGGUACUUUACGCCUAUUAUGAACUUGAUUUUCUCAUUCUACUUUGUUUUGUUUCUUGAGAAGUUCAUCAUUUAGGCUGUAUCGGUGAUAUGAAUGGUUCAUCUUCCUCCCAGAAAUAAACAUAUAAAUGUAUGUCCGUGUUAGAUAGAAGUAUCUGUUAUAAAGAGAUUACUGAAGCUUCUCUUGCUGCUUGGUUUGAAAGAAGUUAAAUAGUAUUUAGAACCAUAGUGUUACGACGAUUUAUAAUGUCAACAUGAACACUCAUUUUCUAUUCCUCUGCAACAGCGAUAUUUUCCUUCAUUGUGACCAAACUCUCCUGCCUCGCAACUCAGCAGCGUGGAGCUCAUGGAAUUUUCUUGGAACCAUGAACGGUAGAGUAUGCGUGACAUAUUGGCUCAAUAUACUCCAGGUAUAUGGUGCUUCUCUGAAAGUUUAGAUACUGCAAAAGUAUAUUUUAUUCAUAGUAUUUAUAGUAGAACAAGUAAAGACCAAUUAAUAUAUUCUACGGAAAUCUGUCAGCUUUAUUUGUGGAUCAUAUUAUAAUCAAAUCUGCUAGCUCAAUGGUGGAGCAGAUUAUGACUAAAUGUGCCAACUCAUUCAACAAUCUCCUUUCUAUAAUGUUUUCAAUAAGGAAGUCUUCUUAUAUUUGGAAUGUGUAAACCAACAGAACCUUGGUGAGACAGAGAGGCCUUAUUGUGUAACUCUUAAUCCUCCUCACACACCGGAUCAUACAUUGCUUAAGUGGACCACCGGCCAUCCAGUACCUUCAGUUGCUGCAUCGAAAGCUUCAUCUGAGCUUUAUCAAAUCCAAGGCAAGAGAGGAAUAUGGUUUUGUGGAGCAUAUCAAGGUACUUUAAUAAUAUUCUCCUGAUUCUCUCAUCUUUGCUUCCUUCAGUGCACUAAUUUUAUAACCGCGUUGUUCUUUCACCACUCAUUGAUGUUAAAUUGCAAUACUACUUUCAGGCUAUGGCUUCCAUGAGGAUGGACUAAAGGUAGUACUAUAUAUAUAUAUCCUUCAUACAAGCUUACCACAUUUCAACUUGAAGGAGAAAUGAAAUCGAUGAACAAGAAUACACGAUAAUCUGUUUUUUAUCCUGCUUCUCAGGCAGGUGCUAUUGCUGCACAAGGACUACUUAAGAAAAACUUUAGCGUCCUGAAAAAUCCCACACACAUGGUACCUACCUGGCCAGAAACAGGAGCACGCCUCCUCGUUACUAGAUUUCUCAAGAGUUUCAUCGCGACAGGAUGCUUAAUGUGAGUUAUAACAGUUUCAUUUUCUAUCCAUCCAGUUUCAGCAAAACUAUUUUAAUGAGAAAGUAUGCUCUUAUAUACUUAAACUACAUAAACGAAUCAUGCAUACGUUGUUUUUAGACAAAAUUUUUCUGUGCUCAGCCUGUUAGAAGAAGGAGGUACAAUGUUCACAUUUGAAGGAACAGAGAAAAAAAGCUUUCUCAAAGUGUCUCUCAGAGUUCAUAGUCCACAAUUUUACUGGAAGGUAACUAGAGUUAGCUUUUUUUUCCGUUUCUCGUAUUCAUCGAGCAACUAAAGAAGAAAAAUGUAAAGGAAGGAUAAAUUCUUUGACAUAAACUAAUCACUUACAGGUAGCAACUCAAGGUGACUUAGGCCUUGCUGAUGCAUUUAUUCAUGGAGAUUUCUCUUUUGUUGAUAAGAACGACGGUCUUCUUAAUCUUUUCAUGGUGAGAAAAUGACUCUAUUUCUAUGUCAAUAGCUUUUUUAUUGGUACUUGCCAUCCUGAACCCUUUUACAGAUUUUUGUUAACAACAGAGAUUUGAAAGCAUCUGUCACAAAGUUUAGUAAGAAAAGGUAAAUAGUUGAACAGAAACUAUAAUCAGAACAUUACAACUUCCAUUGACACGUUAAAAGUUUUUUUCGUUACCUGUAUCUCCAGAGGAUGGUGGACACCACUUCUUUUUACAGCUGCAGUGUCAUCUGCAAAGUACUUCAUUCGACAUGUUUCAAAUCAGAACACCCUGACUCAGGCUCGUAGGAACAUCUCUCGUCACUAUGACCUGGUAAAUAACUUGUACAGUUAGUCACUUUCUGCUGUUUUCUUGUAACUUCAUCAUCUGCAUAAGCUGAUAAGUAUAUUUAUCGCUUCUUUCAGAGUAAUGAGCUCUUCUCGCUCUUUCUAGACGAGACAAUGACAUAUUCAUGUGCAAUAUUCAAGGUUAGAGGUCGAAGAUACAUUUUCUGUUCUUUAACCUUGUUCUUAAGGUGAUCUUUUUUUUCUUUUGUAAUUUUUCUAGAGUGAAGACGAAGACCUGAAAGUUGCACAGGAGAGGAAAAUUUCUCUUCUCAUCAAAAAGGUGAGUCGUCAACAUAAUAAAUAAUCCCUCGUUUCUACAUUAAGUUCGAGCCAAACUUGAUUCUGAUUCUGUUCUUUUUAGGCAAAGGUAAAGAAGGAACAUCACAUCUUAGAGAUCGGAUGUGGUUGGGGAAGUUUGGCUGUGGAAGUUGUUAAGAGAACAGGAUGUAAAUAUACUGGUAUAACUCUCUCCGAGCAGCAACUGAAGUAUGCAAAGUUAAGAGUUCAGCAAGCAGGCCUUCAGGUACAUAACUUCAAAUAACACAUGAUACAUUGGAACCAAUUUUGGAGAAUUGUGAUCAGUACUAACUAUAUUCAAUGAAAUGCAUUCACAGGAUCAUAUAACAUUUCUCCUAUGUGACUAUCGUCAAUUGCCAAAAAUGUCUAGAUAUGACAGGAUUAUAUCAUGGUAAGUCGUUGCAUACCUAAAUGUACAAGUCAAGACAGUGUGAUAUAAUUGUACUAAUAAUCAUUUUCAGUGAGAUGUUAGAAGCUGUUGGUCAUGAGUUUAUGGAAGAAUUCUUUACCUGUUGUGAAUCUGCACUAGCAGAAGAUGGCCUUCUUGUUCUGCAGGUAAUGAAUAUACGUUCCACAUUGUUCACGUCUUCCCAUCAAUUUCCUUACACUCUUCUUUACACAAACGUUGGCUUUCGUUAGUUCAUUUCAAUACCAGAUGAGAGGUAUGACGAAUACAGACAGAGCUCAGACUUCAUAAAAGAGUAUAUAUUCCCCGGUGGAUGCUUACCUGCACUAAGUCGAGUAACAUCAGCCAUGUCUGCUGCAUCUAGACUAUGGUAAACCAAGAGUUGAUUUUCUCAUUUGACACAAGCAUAGUAUGUUCUUUUGACAAAUGAUACAAAUGCAGUGUUGAGCACCUAGAAGACAUAGGAAUCCAUUACUAUCAAACGCUGAGAUGCUGGCGGAAAAACUUCCUGGAAAAACAAAGGUAACAACAACAACAUACAUUGUGUUUAACAUGUUUCCUACAUGAAUCAUUCUGUAGCUUGCUCUAAAGUAACAAACUAUCUUUAAUAACUUUGUGACUAGCCAAAUUCAUGCUUUGGGAUUCGACGAUAAGUUCAUCAGGACAUGGGAGUACUACUUUGACUACUGUGCUGCUGGAUUCAAAACGUGCACGUUAGGAGAUUAUCAGGUAUGGUGAAAAAACCUUCGAAAUACUUGUAGGCGUAAAACAAGCAUCCUUUUUUAACGUAUAUAUAGUAGAUGAUGAACUCCUUCCGCCCCUUGUGAAUGUUAUGUUGCUCAAUUAAUACUUGCAAACAGUUAAAGAAUGAAAAUAAAAAUGGACCUUGAUCUUCACCUUAAUACAUGGUUUCAUUGCUCAAACUCUCCAAAAAUAUUUGCACCAUGUCAGAUCCUUAAAAAAUGUCUGUUGAUAUUUUUGAAGAGUCCGAAUAACAGAGAGUGCUUCUACUUUAUGUAAAUGCUUACAACAUGUAAAAUUGUUUGUUCUCAUUCUGUUUUUUUCUGUAUAUAUAGAUUGUGUUCUCAAGGCCAGGCAAUGUUGCAGCAUUUGGUGAUCCUUACAAUGGUGCGCCUUGAGCUUAUUGGAGUUUAUUUCUUUAUACGAUUGAUCGUAGGCCUAUUUUUAUAAAUGUUUUGAGUUCAUUGUUUCGAUCCUACACUUGAUUUGUUGCCUAAAAGCGGCAGCGGCGAUAAUUUCUUUUAUGCAAAAAUAUUUUGAUUCCUUUACACGGCAAGAAGAACCUAGCCAAAGCCAAGAACCUAGCCAAAGCCGCGAGCACAAGGUUUACUCUUAUACAAUAGCUCGCAAAUCAAAGAAGUGUAUUUUAAAAAGUGAUCAUAAAUCAUUUCUAUAUGGGUUUAAUGAUUAUAGUUUAUUAAACAAUUUCCAAUACUCAAUCCAUAUAACUUACUGUGUUGCGUGUUAAUUAUUGUUAAGAUGACAAAUUUGGCAAUUACAACUUUAAGAAAACCAUGUACUCAUGAAAAUUACUGUAUAUGUGUGCCUUGUCAAGUUUCGAAAUCAUUCAAUACAGCGAUAUAAUCACAAUACCACUUUUGAUUGAUUAGAGAAAAUCGAAAAAUAUUUUUCUAAAUAAACAAAUUCCUUAAAAAUGAUUUAGUAACUUCACCAAUGGAAGUAGCGAAAACAAAUUCCACUAGUGUUCUACAUUAAUUGUAUCAUCGCUAUUGUCCAACACACCUCAUCUUCACCUCGACUCCUGAAAACAAAAUGAGAAAAUUGCAGUAUGGAAUGGAGUCUUAACAGGGAAGCCAACGUUUUCGAGUUUACUCACUCCUCUUCCCUGUUAUCCAUUAAGUACAUGAGCAACAAAACCAUCAGACUACAAGUUGUGUUUGAGCUCUAUUCAAAACAAACCGAAUCCAAUAUUUAAGUGGAGAAGGAUAGAGCGGGCAACUCAUCAUCCCCAUUUCUCAUUCACCAGACGAAAUAUACUCACAAUGGCCUCAACUUUGUUCACAAAGCAAAGGAGCUAGUAGACAUGUUAUUCAGGUAACAACUGUAGAAGAUGAUCUGUCACAAGUAAAUAGACAUGAACAUCUAGCCCCUUGAAAAGUUAGAAUGAUCAACACUCCAUACAAUCUGAAACUUCCAUCCAUACAAGGAAAGACUUAUCACGCGAUUUCAAAAAUGAAUGUGCUAGGAUAUCUCCAGUGUUUGACGAAAAGGCAGUAUGCUAAUAAGUUAACCUACUGAUAUAAAGUAACACAUGUGUGAAAAGUGUUGUAGAUGAAAAGUCGAAUCUUCUUACACAAAUGAUGCGACUUUCCAUCAUAAAAGGCUCAACUAACGACAAACUCCAGCCACAAUGGAAUUCUGAUUCUAAAAAAGGCAUAAACUACUAAGUUAUCCUACUGAUAUAAGAUGUAGCAUAAACACGGCAGACUGGAAAGCCGAAUCAUCUUUACACCAGUGACCUAACUAAACCAUGUUAAUUUCUAACAACCGAUCUGAGAAAAGAAUCCAUUGCAUUGUAAAAAACUGUUUCAAACCUAAAGAAGAAAUUCUGCAAGUUAAAUUGUCAAAGUACCUAAAUCAAGUUAUUGAGACACUAAAAGACUAAGUCACCAGUUUCAAAUGAACCAAUCGACACUCAACAGCAGUUGGAAGCAACAUAUACCAAGUGGAUGGUUGUUAGUCUCGACCCUGCACAAAAUACAACUCAGCAGCGCCUGCUUGGCCUUGGUCUGCUUCACCAUGACAACUUUCAGGACAAUACCCCAUCAAACAAGCCAAUCCAUAGUAAGAUACCUUUCUUUACUAACAUCUCCAGCACCCAGGCCGUAUUUAUCUCCGAGUGGGCUGUUCAUCACAUUCAGUACUCAGGCCUCUCCUCCUGUACAACACAAGGUCAAAUACAGGGGGAAAUGAUUAUGCCAUUCUCAAAAUUCAACUACCGCUAACAUUAUCGCUAUCCAUUACGUACUGAUCUACCAAGUCUGCUACAACUGCUCUCCUAUGAGUAAGUAGCACCACCAAAUCUCAUGGUCCAACUACAACACGCAAAGAAAAAUAGAAAGUGUUCUAUUCUUCUUAUUUAACAUUUUAACUUAAAAUAAUAGCACCGAACAUCCACCUGCUUCAGAAGACAGGUUAAAAUCCACUUCAAAUACUAAUUCCCCGACUGAUGGCUCAAUCAAAAAGUAAAUUCACGCAAGUUAAACACAAGCCAAUAUAUCUGGACUAUGGAAACAAAUGAACCACAUUAACUAACAAACAUAAUCAUAAGCAAGCGAGAUUAAGACUGCACUUAACAACAAUAACACGAAAUAGGUAAUACUAGCGACAGUACUAGUUAUUAUAAACUAGAAAUAAAUACUGCAAACUACUAGGGAUUCAAGCAAUCCAACCAGUCUCAUUUAGCAGGUGACACCUCGCAAGAGCAGCACUCUGCAUGUGAAACGCAAAAGUGACGCAAAACUCUCCAGUAAAAGAGAUGAAGUCCGAGACAACACGAAGCAUCUCAUUCACUGCUGCUGAGCUUGCCGACUGGGGGCACCACCAUAUCCACCACCAUAUCCAACUUGGCCACCAUGAGCUCCAUUUGGUGGGGCACCAUAAUUACCAGAACUUUGUGAGUUAUCAGAUCUCCAUGCUGAAUUCCCAUAGCUAGAGUUUCCACUUGCAUCAGCAUAGCCACUGUUCAUGUAACCCCCAGCACCUGAUUGCAUGUCUCCUGCAGCACCACCUCCAACGGGUGAGUUACCACUAGGAGCACCACUAGCACGUCCAACAGCACCAUAACCAGAUUGAUUUCCAUAGGCACCCUCAUUACCAGCAUAACCCCCAUAACCAUAACCUUGGUUCCCAUAUCCUGCGGUUCCAGUUGGAGAUUGACCAGAUCCUCCACUAGCAGGUCCACCACCACCACCACCAGCAUUUGCAGCACCCCAAGGGGCAUUACCAUAGCCCAUAUUCCCAUACCCAGAAGGACCCUGAGAGCCCCAUGUGCUUCUUGGUCCACCCGCUGGACCACUUCCAUAACCAGCACUGGCUGCAUUUGGAUUUCCAUAGGCUGCAGCAACUGCAGCAGCACCAUAGCCAGGAUUGGCACCCCCAUAGCCCGGAUUUGCUCCGCCAUAACUUCCAUAACCUCCAUAGCCCAUACCAUUGUUGGAUGGCCCAUAGCCAUAGCCUGGGGUACCAUACCCAGACGAACCAUAAGGAUAGCCAGCUCCAGCAUUUUGAGUUUGCAUGUACCUGUUGGAAUCCAUUCUACUGUCAUAAGAACUUGGAUUGUUACCUGAUCCACCAUACCCCUGAUAACUUCCACCACCCAUACCACUACCGCCUCCGCCGCCCAUGGAACGGCCACCAGCACCGGGGUUAGCAUCUUUAGGAAGAGCUUUCUUUACUUCUACCUGUUUACCAUUCAGAUCAUGAAAGGGCUUCUGUAAAACUCUAUCUACUGCAUCUUCAGAAUCAAAUGAGAUGAAACCAAACCCACGAGGUCGGUUGGUCUGCUGGUCAUACAUAAUUACUACAUCAGUGACAUUACCAAAACUUUCAAAAUAUUGUCGGAAUCCUUCCUCGGUCAAAGUGGGAGGCAAUCCCCCAACAAAAAUUUUCUUAGUCCUGGUGUUUCCACCACCUCCAAAAUUUCUGGCACUAUUUGUGUUUCCAGAUUUUGAGCCCUGCUGCUCCUCUCUCGACAAGGCCCUCUUAGCAUCAACCUGAACAAGAAAUAUAUCAGCUAACCCAAAAUAGAAGCAUACAUGAAACAACAACACCUCCCAGAAGAUCACCAUGAAAUAUCUUACAGCAAUCAGGUUAUCAAUUAAAAUCAUACCACACGAAUCAUAUUUGCGAUAUAGGAAAACUCUACAGAAGCUCAUGCCUGAUAGGGUGAGUAAAAUGUGUGCAACAAUAGAUUUGAUACAAUCAACAGACAAUGAGUGACUUGAGAGGCAUUGGAACAUGAAUCUUCCCUAAAAAAAAUUGAAAGGGAAUUACAUAUCUACAUAGGUAAAAGUCACUUGAGGAGUUGAAAUGCCAUCAAACAAAAUAAAAGAGCAUAUCUGCAGCAGAAGUAGUCUUUGCAAUGGAAAAUCAAGGAGAAAAAAGGGACAGAAACCAGAUGCACACUCAUAACAUAUCAGCACAAAUGCAAAACAUAGAGCAUGCUAAAGUUAUAGCUGACAAACAAGGAUGCACACAAUUCCAAGAAGCUAAACUACAGAGAAAAUCCACAAAUGAAGCAGAAAAAACUCAACAUACAGCCAUAUAUGACAUCGUCUACCUUCAAUCCGAUCCUAAACUAAGACUCAACACAACAACGCCAGCACCAAAAAGACAAGGAAUUUACAGAGCACCCACAAAACAAAUUAGGGAGAAAACCAUAAUAAAGCAUAAAAAUUUCCAAGGAAAAUCUCACUUCAUCAACGAAAUAUCUAAUCUUGAAGAACCCAAAUCAACCCUAAACUAACAACAACAAAAUCAUAUCCAGUGAAAUCACAACCCUUACACCUACUUCGUGAAGGUAAAUAGACUAUUCCCAAAGCACCCUCAGCUCAAAUGCAGCAAAAAACCAACCCUAAACUGACAAUAACAUCGUACUCACUGAAAUCACAGACCUUACACCUACUUCGUGGAGUUAGAGAGGUUGUUUCCAAAGAAAACUGAGCUCAAGUUCAGCAAAAUCAACCCUAAGCUAGCACACUAAGAACACAUCAUCUCUAAAACCAUAAAUCAAGUAAAUACACAACACCCACAAACAAAAGUAGACAACUUUACCACGAUACGCAGCUAAACAAUCAUACCUCUAAGGAAAACCUUACCAUACACCCCCAUCAAUAAAAACUCCAUCUUUAACAACCCAAUCAAGCUUAAAACAAAAACCCACAACCAAAUAAUCUCAAUUAACAAUAACCCAAUAAAAUCACACUUAACCAGAACCCAAAUUAAUGAACCCCCACCCCACCCACCCACACACUAAAGAAAAACGUAAAUUUCAAUAAAUCUAAGAACCAAAUCUUACCGUACGUCCAUCAAUAACAUGUUCAUCUUGUAGAACCCUAUCAAGAACAUUAGGAUCUGCAAAAACAACAAACCCAAAUCCUCUUGGCUUCCCAGAAAUCUUAUCCCUCAUAACAACUGUCUGCAAAACAUCCCCAUAUCCUUGAAAAUACUCCUUAAGCUUCUCUUCAGUUGUUUCCCAUGAAAUCCCACCAAUAAAAAGCUUUCCUUGAUCUGAAUCCAUUGGGUUUUCUCUGAGGGAUUGAAGAGAGAAGCGCCGACUUACAGAAAAAAAAUUCAGAGAGAGAGAAAAUAAGGGUUACAAAAAGUGAAGAAGAAAGACUAUGCGUAGCGUAAGAGGAAUCAACGGUCCAGAUUUAAUGUUAUAAAUUUGGUUUUUUUUUUGUUUUUUUUAUUUUGAUAAGUUGUAAGAUAUUUUUUUUCUUUAACGUCACUAUUUUAUGCUUAGAUUUUGUUGGCCUCUUUACAUAGGUUAAAAAAAAAAAAAAAGGUCAAAUUGUAUUAAUCUAUCAUAAUUAAAUAAUUUAAGUGCGUUUAAAUUAUAUUUGUUUUUUUUUAAGUUUUUCAUUCGGCUUCAAAGCUUAGCUUCGACUAAAUUUAAAUUGCAAACUGUUGGAUUCAUUCGGGAGUGACGCUUCCAACAAGAUUAUACUAAAUGUAUUAUUUAUUCAAAUUUUAUUUGUGAGAUUAUAUUGAAUGUAUUAUUACGCUUCAAGUGAACGGUUUGAAGAGUAAAUCACUGCACAUAUUUUAUAGAAAAUCUCAGAGUAACAAAUAUAAUGAGACUCUAUAAUUAUAGUUUUAAUAAUUAUACUUUAUAAAUAUAAUUUUAUUUGUUAUGGAAGCUGCGAUUUUUAUAUUUCGCUUUCGAAUAUACAAAUAAGGUAAGUAUAUGCGAAUUCUGUAUUUAUGUAUUUAGGAAUUUUUCAGAACUCCGUUGGAAAUUUUUCUUACCAAUAUACAAACAUAAUAAUUUAUUAUGAUUUUUUUUGGAAAUUGUAUUAAAAAAACUAGAAAACUAUAAAUAUGUACAAUUAAGAACCAAACUAUACGAAUCUGAAUUUAUAUAAAUCAAGGAAAUUAUAUAAAUUAAACGAAUAACAAAAAUUAGAAAAAUUGUAGCUGCCAAUUAUAAUUUUCUUAAACUAUAAUUAUAAUAGGCAAAAUGUUUACUAUUCUGCAUAAUUUUCUCAAUAUUUUAUUAUUCAAUAUUUCAAUUUAACAAAUAGUAAUUGCCAAAUUUCUAUUUUAAGAACAUAAUAUAUUCUACUAUGAAUGAUCAUUCUUUUUCUUUUUCUUCUAAAUUUAACAUAUAAUCUCCUGGUUUUACCUUAAAAAACUUUGUGCUCCUUCAUAAUAAAUCUAAAGAAAUAUAUAUUGACAAUAAUAGUAUAUUCCGUAUAAUUUCAUUCGAAAUAUUUUUUGGCAAAAGUUAGAGAAUUUGUGAACACUUUACCAAGCCACUUUUAAAAAAUAUAGUUAUAAGUAUUUUUGAUUAAUUAUUAUAAAUUACAACGUAAAAUUACUUUGUCUGAUUGAUUAAAUUAAGCUAUAGUUAAUUAGUUAUUUGAAAUAAUUACUACAUUAUGCAGCAUGAAUUAUUUCGAACAAAUGAAUAUAUAUUGAUAAACAUGAUUUUAUUUUUCUUAAAAAUGUUAAGCUAUAGUUAAUUAGUUAGUUCUAAUAUAUAAUACUUAAAGUGAAAAAAUCACAAAAUAUACAUAGAUAAAAAGGUGGAAAAUGAAAUGGAACAAAAGCAUAUUAUAUUAUAUUAUUUGUGAUUUGGAGUUGGACGUCAUUUUGAUAGUUAGAAUAUUGAGUGAUUAUAUUCUGAUUUUUACAAUAAUUUCCACUCAAAGAAUCAAAACUUUUUUCAUGGUUUCUCAUAGUAUUCGAUGCAAAGUAUUAAAAUGGUGUAUAUAAAGCGAUCGAAUAUCAUAAAUUAUAAUUAUUGAGAAAAAAAAUGUUAUAUAUCGCGAAAUUAUGAUAUAUAGUCAAACUUUUUUGGCUUAAAUAUUUAAUUGUUAUGAUGAAAUAUUUUUAUAAAAAACAUGUAAUAAAACAUAAUAUAAUAUCGAAAAAUGCUAUCAAAAUAAAAUUUGAUUGUUAUAAUGAACUAUUGAUAUAAAGAAUGAUUGUUAAUUUAUUAGGGAGAUUUACUACAACAUAAUUUAUUUGGAGCUUUUGAUUGUAUAAAUUGAACAUGUUAAUUGUAUUUUUUCCCCAUAUACUUUUGUAAGUUAUUGAUAAAAUUAAAUAAACAAUGAAAUUUUUGGAAAAACAUACCGCAUUUGUAUAAAAAAAUAUAUUGAAAUUUAUUUAUGGAAUAGAAAAGAAAGUAAACGAAUAGAACUAUAUUUAAAAUUUAUGUUUAUUUAAACGCAAGUUGCAACUUAUUAUAAUAUGAAUUGAAAUUUGAAUUUUCGUCAUCCUCAAAUAUUCAAAAAUUAUAAAGUAUAUCAACAUACAUACAUUGUGAUAUUGUAAUGAAACUUCUUGAUAAUAUAUAAUUUGAAUUUAAUCGAAAUUUUAAUACAAACUUUGACCAUUGAGUAGAAAAGAAACCACACAAUUUGUAGUAUAUUGAAAGUCAAUGUUUUCAUAAUUUCCUCAAAAUUUUAUGUAGCAAUUUAAUAGAGUUGGUACAUUUAAUUUUCACUAAACCAUUCCCUCUUAAAUGAACCAUAUGCAAUGUUAAUCUAAAUUUAUUGAGUUAAAAAAAUAUCAAAUAUAUAAAUAAAAAAAAAUCUCAAUAAAUCCUUUUUUUCUUUUUCCUUUAUUCCAAUCCUUUUUUUCCUAUAAAAAUAAAAGAUCAAGUUAAAAAGAAAGUGGUUGUUUCUAAAGUUAUUUAAAAAGAAUUUUAGAGAACAAUCCUUUAAUAAAAGAGAGUGAAUUAAUGGCGUUAUACAACAUUUUUAAAGUAUGUUUGUUUUUUAUCAGGUUAUUCAUUUUGGAAUUUCAUAGAGAAAAAAUAUAUUUUUUUUCCUUCGACUCUCACAUUUACUUACACCCUAUUCCUAUCGCACCCACUUCUUUGAAAAAACAAUUUCGAUCAUAAUGAAAUUCUUCGACGCGACAUAAAAUUAUAAAUUUAUAUCAAUUGUAGGUAUUAUGUAUUUGAUAUUCAGAUCUAUUUUAGUCUAAAACAGUCUAUAUUAAAGAUGAUUUCAUAAUUAAUGUCUAAAUCUACAACUUAUGGUUAAUUAAGAUAAAGAAGUUCUAACAACUCAAAUUGUAAUAGUAAAAGUAAAACAAUAACAUCAAAUAAAAUACACACAAAAAAAACAAAAUAUACACAAAUCUUACUCCAUCCAAAAAUCACAAUGUUAUAGCAAAGUCUCGAUUCUAUAAAAACAAAUACCACCAAACGAACUGUUCCAUACGUGAAUUACGAUAAAUAAAAAUAUCUCUAUCUCUUAUAUUAUUCUUAUUUAACGUAUUAAACAACCUGAUCAAACUCGUCAUACUAGUAAUAUUUUUUUUUUGUGAGCUGGCAAACUAGCUUGAAAUUUUGUCUUUACCCACUACCCCACUUAUAAUUAUUAUUAUUUACUUAGUAUAUACUUUUGUUAACGUUCCUAUUUUUUUCAAAUACCGUUGGAGGCAACAAACAUAUUUAAAUCUUCAUUGCCAAAAUAUAAAAACUCUGCAAAUUACACAGUCUAAAAUUCCUUCUCCAUUCUUCUCUGUCGAUUUUUUCUUUUUUGGGGGAAAAUCAAGAAAACAGAGAUCUUGAAAACAAAAACAAAAACAAAAACAAAUGGGAUGUUUUCUUGGAUGUUUUGGUUUUACAAACAAGAAACAAAAGCGUAUAAAGCCUUGUAACAAGUUUCAAGUAAGUUGCGUCUUAAAAUUCAAUUUUUUGUGUUCAUUUAUUUGUAAUCUAAAGACUUGAGUCGUUUAGAUACAGUGACGAAGACAAGAUUUUUACUGAAAAAAAUUGGAUCUUUGUUUUUUUAGAUGAAUCCUUUCGCCUCUUUAGCUUAGAAAUGAUGGUUGAUAUGUGUUACCUGAGGUGGGGUAGAGGCGGAGCUAGGUCGGGGUUUAUGGGUACAGAUGAACACAGUAGCUUUUUCGGCAGAUCCUGUAUUUGUAUUAGAAAAUUUAAAUAAAUAUCUAUGUGUAUUGGUUUGUGGAUCUCUAAUAAAAUUGAUUCACAGUGAAAAUGUAUUUUAUAUUAAUGCUCAAAUUCCUAGUUUUGAUUUCGCCUCGUAAAAAGGUUAAGUUUGCUUACAUGUAUACUCUACCCUAGCUCCCUAUACCUACUCGAUGGGAUUAUAUUGAAUAUGUUGUUUGAAUUGACGUAAAAAAAAAAUAUCAUUUUGUUUGAAUAUGAAGAAGUUUGCUUUUUUUUUUUUUAAAUAUUGUUUUUUAGGUGCAUCAAAAGUAUGUACCACUGGAUUCUGAGAAGGAAAUUGUUGUAAAUUCAGCAAAUUCUGAGCCCAGGUGAGUUUAGCAAUUCAUGUUUUUUUCUUUUUCCACUUUUUGAUAGUAAUCAUGUCUGGAUAAGUUUAUGCAUCUUGAUAAUUUCAUUGAGUUUGCUUUACUUGAGUCGAGAGUGUAUCAGAAAUCAUCGGAACACAUGAGUUAUUUCAGUUUAUCUCAGCUAGUAGUUAGUCGUAUUAAGGGUAAUACUGUGUACACAUCAGUGUCUAAAAAUUCCAUUUGUCUGUCCCUAAGUCUCACUUGUGAGAUUAUAUUGGGUAUGUUGUUGUUGUUAUUGACUAUUUCUUCGGGGUUAUGACAAUCAAGACUUAGGCAAAUGAGAAGAAUACAUCUAAAGUUUUUUUUAUCUCGAUUGAGAUUUGAACCUUAAUCUAUUUUCAUUGACUGCUAGGUUAUAUCAUGUUAGGUAUUCUCAUCAACUUCAUUAACGACUAGGUCGUUUUCAUGUGUUGUUUGUUUGUAGGGAUAAGCCAAAAGAAUCAUCAAAACGUAAGGUGAAAAAGAAAGUGAGUUUCAAUUUGGAUGUGAAGACUUACGAGAGAAUACAAGAUGAUGAAAACAACACAACAUAUUUCUCAGAGGAAGAGGAGAAGACAAAUAAACAAGAAACAGCCAAAGCAAGUAUGUCUAUGUACCCUUCGAGUCAUCGAUACUAUAACUGCAACAAUAGCUACGAUGAGGAGGAAGACGAGAUAAUACUUGAGGACAGUGAUAUCGAUGAUCUAGAUGACGAUGAAGAAGAAGAAGACUAUGGUGUUAGUGAUGACGAUGAUGAUGAUGAUGUUGGUGGUGAUGAAUCUGCAGAUUCUUUGCAUAUUGAAGCAGAAAACAAGUAUGGAAAUGUUGAAAAACUGAACACAGAUGAAUCGAAUGUAGUAAGUCGAAAUCAUAGGAGUUCUGUGCUUCUUCCAGUUGAAAAUCUCACUCAAUGGAAAGCAGUUAAAGCAAGAGGAGCACAACAAGUGAAGCAUCAGAAGGAAAACAUAAUCAAAUUGGAUGGAAAACCAGUAAACAGCCAUUGUGUGGACCUAAAUCCCAAAUACAACUCUAAGCCUAAGUCUAAGCUUCAAGGACAUGAUAUUUCAGUAGAUGCCAGCCUCUCUAACUGGAUGGUUUCAGCAAAAACAACAUCAGUAAAUGGAUCAGCUGUGUAUUACAAUCAACAUAGAGCUGCAGAUGAAGUCGUGCUCGAUGAAGUCAAUAUCAUAUAAACAGAGAAGGUGCAGUACCUAAAUACAUUUGGAUUGAUGUUUGUGUAAAGAAUUGAUUGUUUUUUUGCAUGAUUUAUGUGUGCAGUGUGUUGUAUUCUCUUCUCCGCGAGAGAAGAAAAGACAAUAAGAUUUUCAUCUGGGGAACCUGUAUUUGGUUGAUAGCAUAUCAUAUGCAUGUUGUAAUUCUUUUACUGUUACAGAACAAAGCAAAUGGACAAAGAAUUAAAGAUGUUAUAAAAUCAUUCUUGCUAGAACAAAGUCAUCAUCUGUAAGGCUCAGCACUCAUAUACAUUAUAAUUAAGCAAAAGAAAACAAGAAAACCUGAAGGGUUCUGUAUGUUAUCUACUAUAACUCGAAGCACUCAUAUACAUUAUACAAUAGAGGAAGUUAUUCUCUCUAUCUGAUUGUGUUCAACGAGAAAGGGUCGUUUCAUUUGGCUCAGAUAACUUGAACCAAAUUAGAGACAGUCGACUCUCUUAAAAACUGCUGUUAUUGUAUGCUAUAAAGAUGUGAAUCGAAGGAGAUUCAACAUUCUUGACUCACAAUUGGUUUGGUAAUGCAUUUAAUAAGAACUACAUUAUCCUACAAAUGCAAGAAUCUGAAUCAUCUUCAUCCGAGUCACUUGCAUCACUGCAGGAAAAACAAAAAGCUAUAUGUAAGAGCAAUCCUGAUAAACUGAAGAACUGUAGUAUAAAAUGCAAACUUCAGAUAAUGCCCAAAAGUAAACGGCUAACAAGAAACAAACUUGUACGUUCCAUGGCAAAGGGGUAAAGUAGUUACAUCCUAUCUUUUUGAUGAACUAACUAGAGAAAAAACAAAUGUUCACCAACUAGAUCAAGUAGUGCCUGCAACUUCAAUUGCCAGAUGACCAACACAAACAUUACUCGUUAAUGAAUUCAAGAUCUAGUGCUUGGGAUGUACAGCAUUAAAGUCAAGUCUAUAGUGAGAUAUUAUCUCAUCUUUUAUGAUGUUUCAUACGACACAUAGCCUAAGCUUAUAUAGUACACCCCCCUUAGGGAUGUUAAUGGGGAAGAUGGUGGCAGCAGGGCAAUGCUCAGGCAGAGUAGGCCAGGGGAGGAUGGGGCGGGUGAAUGCUUACUUUUCUAAGAUAUACCAGGCCGGGGCCAUGGGUGCCUAAAUGCCUCUACGACGUAACCAUAUUAACCAACGAUGACAUAAAGGUGCAGUGGGUCAUAUUCUGAGUGUGUUAUUGCCUCCUUAUGGUCUGGGGUCACCUCAUGAGCUAGCUAGCUUUUGGGAUUGAGUUAGGCUCAAGGUCCAUUUUUUCUUACUACCGUUUAGAAGAUCAUUAUACUUCAGUGCACAAAAAUGGAAGAAAAAAGGUUCUAAAAGGUGUUCAGCGGGGCAGGGAGGGGAGUGACAGAGCGGGUUAAAACUAUGGCAGGGAAAGGAUUCAUUGAUCCUGUUUAUCAUCCCUAGUUCCCCUAACUGAGCCUCUUAGCAAUAUCCAUAAAAUUAUUCUUAAUAGCUGUGCGAAGUCAGACAAGAAACAUUCAGAAAGUUAGGAACCAUAGAUCAAAACACAAGUGAAAAGGCGUCAAUUAGCACCUGCAAAACAACUUUCAGCAUUCUGGCCAAAAAUGAGAAAAUAAGCUUAUCACCCAUUCUUCACUUCAUAAAUCGUUCUACCCUUCCUUUUCAUAGCAUAUUCCAGUAUACAGUAAGCUUUGACCUCCUAGUUCAUAAGUCAAAGAAAGACGGGGGGGCAGUGUUACUAAAGACCAGAAAGAGUUCAACUCUAGUCACCUUACCAACAACAUACUUUCUGGAUGCUAAAAUUUUCUCAUGAUGCGUGUAGUCUUUGCCCAAUUUUAUUCCGAAGAGGUAGUAAAGAAAACUGUAGAACACAUUUCCAAGCAGAGGACAAUAUGCAAUAUUGCAUUGUUGAUAUCAGUAUCGACACUCAAUACAUGAGAAAGGGCUUUAUUUACCCCAAGCUAUUUAAUCCUACUUCUCUUCCCGAGAUGCACAAACAUUUCUUAGACCAAAAUUUCUUAAAAGAUUAUACAUUAUACUUGCUUCUGCAAGAGUCUAUUAGAUGUUUAAGAAACUUACAAUCAAUACAAUUCAUGAGCAAGUUAAGAUGAAACAAAUACUGACAGCUCACUAAAUGGAUAUAUUCCUCAAACAAGAUGCUCCUAAUUCCUAAAUAUGUGGAGUUGCCUCUACAUUCACUUUACAAUAAUAAUAAAGUGACAGCAUACUGCAUUUGGAUGACAUACUACUUAGACCUUUUUCUUGUGGUUUUGGAUAGCUUGAGCAUUUAUACUGUAAUAUUGCCCAAUGCGUAUAGUGCAGCUUAUAUUUUUUGAAAGAUCAUUCCCAUGAAUGCAGCCAGGACCUAAGCAUGUUCCUUUCAGGUCCUAUGGUUCAUCAGCUAAUAGAAUAAGAAAUCUAAUGAUCAUUGGCUUCUUUUCUUUUUCUUUAGGAUGAAAGCGGUGUCUAUGCUAUUUUCACACACCUCAACUAAUCCACCGGAUAGCCUGCUACUGCCCACAGUCACAGUUGCCGGGAACCAGUCUAUGCCCACAUUCCCAUGGCAACUCAUAAUAACAGUCUAUAUCAUGCUGCUUAUAUUAGAAUGCCAUGAACACUAUCGUGAAUAACUAAUCUAUAGCUGCGAUUCACGCAAUCAAUAUGCUUAUCACAAAAAAGAUUUCCCCACACAGACUACAUAUACAUUAUCUAAUACUCUAUUCAGAUUAGACAUAAGGCAUAAACAGAACAUCACACUUAAAUUAUUUUCAUCUUAUACUUUCACUUUUGCUAAAUAAAAGAUCUAAUACCAGACAGGUUCCUAUACCAUCAAUAGUUCUACAGAGAAUCAUUGCUUUACCACAUUAUUCUAGUGAUCCACCGUCCGAAAACAUGAACUUGAUUAACUACUGUGAUUUUCCACAAUGAGCAACAAACACAAAUCACACAUAAUCAGAGACUUCAGAACCAAAUUUUGUAGACCAAAACUUCUACAGAUUAACCAUAAGCUAAAUGAGGAGACAACAAAGAGAAUUUUUUUCUUCUAUUUGUUUUUUUUUUUACCUUGGCUCAAAUUCCAAAACCUCAGUAAGUUUAUUCCCAUUUGUAUCAUUCCACUGAACUUUCCUCUUUGGCUUAGCUAUCUUUUUUGACAAUCCACCUUUCCUAGAAGGCAACAAUGCUUUAGACUCAUCAUCUUCAUCUUUUCCACCAUUCAACACAGAAUUAGGAAGAGCUUCCACACUAUCAACAUACUGAAUUUUCUCCCCUUUUAAAUCUUUAUUACUUUUAGUAUCCAUUCCUCCAAACACACAACAACAACAACAAAAAACAAAUCUUCCUUCUAAAUUCCUUUACCUAAACAACCUCAAAAUCAUAUGAUUCCAAUGCAAAACCAACAACCCCAUUUCAACAAAAAACCUCAAAAAGCUCAAAUCUUUACAAGAAAAUUUCAAGAUUUAAUGCAUUAUCUUCAUAACCCACAAAAACCCACCUCCCAAAUGAUAUCAAAACAAGGAAUUUGUAGAUUCUUGAUCUUCAAAUCCUCAUAAAACUAUAUGGGUAUGUAUCAAAAAAAGCUAAAAAGCUAAUCUUUGUAUUGGUUUAGCUUUCAAGAAUUGGCUUUUUUGUUAAUUUUCCUUCUCUGAAUGUGAAGGAAAAUGGAAAAAGUAGAAGAAUUGGUAUAACAAUGAAUCAAAAACCCUUGAAUUUGUAUGAUUAGAUUUGAAAAAAAAAAAAGAGAAAAAAUAGAAAGAAGAUACAAGAUACAGUGUGUGAGAGAGAAAUGCGUUUACUUUUGUUAUUUGUGGAAGCUAAAUACAGUAUAAACUUUCACAAAAAUAAUUAGGAUUAAUAUUCUAUAUUUGCAUGUAAUUACUGUAGCUGACAAUCUUGACUCAGUGAAAGUACAUAGAAUAAUCCACAAAUAUAUGAUUCAAUAAAUAAAAUUAUUAUUUUUAGUUAUUAAUAUCGAUUUAAGUUUAAAUAUAGAUUUUUUUAUUGUGAGUAUUUCUCUCAAAUAAAGUCCUAGAUAUAAAUUCAGAUUAAUCUAAUGUUCAUAUAAAUAUCGGUAUAUAUAUGUAUAUAAUUUGUUGAAAUAUCAUAAGUGAAAUUUGAUGAGUAUAGAAUAUAGGUAAAAUUUCACCAUUAAAAUAAGUAUCAAUUCGACUGUACCAAAUUUAAGUACAAAGAAGAAGAGAAAAGUGUAGAAAAUAUAGCAACUACUAAUUAACAAGAAAAUUGAUUCAAGAGCUUAUAAAAAAGGGACAAGAACAACAAAAUAUAUAUCGUGCAAUAAUCUAAACAAUAUUUACGACAGAUAAUGAUAUAUAUAUCAAAAUUAGACACUACAAUCGUAUAGCUAGUUCAUCGAUAAACAUCAAUAAGUCUAAACUUUCAAAAAAAUAAAAAAUAUUUUAUUACAUAUUUUAACAUGUUGUACACAUUAUUCAUAUUUUUCUUUAUCUAAAAUUAUAUUUUCGUUGAUAAGAAGUUUCAUUACUCAUCCUUUCUAUCAUUUUCUUUUCAAUUUUUAGAUUUUUUAAAAUUUAACAAAAGUUAUUAGUGACCAUUUUUUAAUUAAACAAUAAUUAUUCAUAUAUAAGUCAAUUUAUGUGGAAGCAAUAGGUUUUACAACAUGAAAAUUAUUGUUUUUUAAAUGUUUGAUAAAGUUUUAACUAAGGGGAUAAGUGUUAAUAAAAAUAAACUCCAGGAUUAAUUAAGAAGUAAUUUCUAGUUAUUAAUUAAUGCCAAAAAAGGAGUUAGUUGUGAAGAUGACAGGUGGGAAUAUGGGGCCUAAUUGUUGAAUAUAAGAAUACUAAAGUGGAACACUUUGAAUUUCUUCACAUGAAGAUGUCUUUUUUUUUUUAUCUAUAUAAAAAAAUUAAAAUAAAUUUAUUUAUUUAUUAAAUGAAUAUAAGUUGGUAAGUUAAUAUUAUCAUCAUUAAUUGAAUAUUCCUUAGUUUGGAAGUAUUUCUUUCAUCUUACAAACCAUGUCCCCCUUCUUGUUUUUGAUUACUUAUUUAUUUUUACUUUUAUUAAAAAAUGAUGUCCUAAAGUUUAUUAAAAUCUUGAAAUUAUAUAGAUGGAAAUGUUAGGCCAAUUAGAGUAAACAACUUUUCAGUAUUACACUGCAAUUAAUUUAUUAUGUUAAAAGAAAUCGCUUUUUAUUCAUCAUAUAAUAUACAAGUUUGUGAAAAUAUAACCUAUAAAACAUUGAAUGAAUUUAGAUUUAAAAAUAUCUUAUUCUUUUUAUGAAAUGUUUUUUCGUAUUUAAUCACGAUAUUAAUUCUUUCUUAAUUUGACGAAUAAUUAUAGAAAUCUUGUGAUUUGUUUAAUGCUAUCAAAUUAGAGCAACUUAAUUGAUUGUGGUGUAUGAUGAUAUGGUGAUCUUCUUUACUUAAUAAAGAUGAAAUGAUAGUGGCAUUAUUUUUUAUUAUAACUAUAUUGUAUACGUAUACAUCUCGAUUAACUUUUUAAAAUAUAUAGUAUUUCUCAUUCAUGGUAAUGAUAUUAUUCUUAUAAAAAAGAGAAAAGAAAAUGAACAUGUUACUUCGAUUUUAUUUUAUUUAUUUAUUUUGGUUGGGCUACUUUGUUGUCAAAUCAUGGAGAAAAAAAAAGUUCAAUCACUCAUCCUAUUGAAUUUAUAUUUAUAUAUGAAAAAGAAAAAAAUGUCAAUGGUUAAAAUAAUAAGUGUCAUAAAAAAAAUAAAAAUAAAGUGGACAUGAUGGAGUUGGUUGAUACUCUAUAUAAAAUAAUUAAUUAGUGCAAAAUAAUUUCUUUAACUUAUCUCUUAGAUGAUUUCAAAAUUGUCUUAAAGAAUUCUUUAAUGUAGUUUUUAAUUUUCCAAAAAAAAAAAGAAAAAUGGAAGAAUUAGGGAUACGGGCGAAUAGAAAAAAAAUGGAAAAAAGAAUUAUAAGAUAAGAAAAUCGAAUUUCAAUCAAUAAAAUUGAAACUAUUUUUUUAAAUAAAAAAUAAAAAUAUUUUAGCAAGUGAAAAGUGAUAUAAUUAUUAAACUAAUGUUAUAAGUUAUUUACUUUUAUUAUUCCUAUUCUCAUUAUUUUCUAUAUGUUUUUUUUAGGAUCAAAUUUUCUUUUUUUAUUAAUUGUCUAUCCGAACCGAAUUAGCACUUCUCAGAUCAGGCUAGGCCUCUCCAGCUGAGCUGGGCGCCGGGGCCCUGGAUGCGCUAGCGAUUGGCACAUAGGGGAAUGGUUGCCCGGGUUUCUCGGCCUGGUAUCCUGCACCUCGCGCUCAUGAUAUCUACAUUCAACUGUGCUCCGGAGACACGGUCAAAGCACGCCCGUUCAGUGUGCUUUAUAUGUUUUAAUUGAUUCAAGUGUUUAUUAAAAAAUAUAUCUUUAUAUUUAUAUAAUAAAAAUAAAACUAGAUACACAUUACGUAUCAUGAUAUCACCUUUAUUGUUCGCUUACGUAUCAAACACAAAAAAAAAUCACUUUUUUCUUUCUCAAAAAUAUUUUCCAAUAAAAAAUUUCCUUUGAUAGCAAACAUAUGUACACUUAAUGGAAUAAUUACCAAACAAUUACAAUAAUGGAAAAACGUUUUUUUUAUGCUAAAUUAGAAGAAUAUAUAAUAAUUAGUAUAUGAUACUUUUUUAGAACUUUUUGUGGUGGUGGGGUGUUUAGCAACUGGCAUGAUAAGGUAUGUUUAGAAAAUAUACAAAAAUGCAUAUGAUUAAAGAUGAUUAAAGGGUCCAUAUGAGGGCAAAAUAGGAAGAAAAAAAAAGUUCAAAAAUAUUAAUGACUCUCAAAUUAAUUUUUUUUUGUUCUCCAUUUUUUUUUAAUUUCUAUUUGAUCGUGUAUAUUUAUAUUAGGAUUUGAUAGUAUUUAGAAAUAAUUUACAUCGAAAAAUUUCAUAUAAAAAAUAAAUGCAUUUUGAUUUAUAUUCAAGACUCGAACUUGAUUCGAAAUUUAUAUUUUAACGAUGAAGGAAUAAGUAUUGAUUACUCUACGACAACCCUGAUUAAUUACAAUACUAGAAAAGGAGGGAGACUUUAUUUAUUAGACUCUUUCAAAUAAAACUGAACAAGAAAUUGAAUUUGAUCAUUUCAAAGUUUGGUUAGGUUGAGAAUAAUUAAAUAAAUAGAUGAUUAUUUAUGCAUUAUAAAUUCGUCAUUGAAUUUUAAGUUCAUUUUACUUAUUAAAUUUAUUAUAUAGUCAAUGAAUUUCUUAACAAUAUAAAUUUAAAGUCCAAGUAAAAAGUAAUGAAUUUGUUCCAUAUCUAAUAUUGUAACUCCUUCUCCAUACGAGUUGUUCAAUCUAGUGAUAUUAUUGGAGAAAAAAAAAAAGAAGUAAGAAACGUGUAAUGAUAUUGGGAAAAAAGGAUAAAUAUAUCCCUGAACAGUCGUAAAUAGUAUAGAGAUAUCCUUUAUCAUACUUUUGAAAUAUUAAUGUCCUUAUCGUCCAAAAACUAGAGCUAUAUACCCUUUAUACUAACGGACCUAACAUAUUUACUAUUCUAUCCUUUGUGGCUGCUGAAUGUGUAUAGCAAAUGGUAACGUCUAAUAAUUUAAAGAAAAAGACAUAGUAACAAAUUACCAAAUUUGUGCAUGAUGUUAUGGCACUAGUGGAUAGUGAUGUAUGGAAUGAUGCAAAAAAUAAAUAAAAUAUAAAUAGUAUCGGAGAUAGAAAUUUAUAUAAAUUUGAUCGAAUUUGAUAAAUUUUUUCAAAAUAUAUUCGAAAAACGAAAGAUUUUUUCUAUAUUUAUUGACCGGAUGUGGACAAUGACACUCUCUUGAAUGACAAAAAAAAAAUGAAGACAUUCAUUGGAUGUAAUAAAGUGCUAUAAAUUUAAUACAUUGGUGAAGUAUAUUAAAUUUUGAACCACCUCAAAUUUAGAUCUAUAUUAAUCUAAAAGUACUUUAUAAUCAUAGUGGUUUAAACCUUAUUAAUAUGUAUUUUUUCCGUCCUUAAUUACUUGUUCAGUUCUGAAAGAUACGUAAUUAUUAAGAAAACAAUGAUUGACGUAGUGAAUUUACCAUUUUAUUCUUAUUAAUUACGAAAUGGAUGAAUUAAAAAUAUAAAAUUUUCAAGAAGUUCUACCUUUUUUAAAAAUAAUUAAUUAAGAAUAUCAUAGAUAAAAAAAAAGUUAUGCAUUUUUUAUUUGUGAAAAUAAAGAAAUAAAAAAAAUUAGACAGAUAAUUAGGAACAGAGGAAGUAUUGAUAUUUGUCUUUGUAAUUGCCAACUUCACUUUGUUAAAAGUAGGUAAAGCUAGUGUGUUGAGUACUUCAUAUUUUCUCUAGAAAGUUGUCAUUAUUUUUUUUAUUUCUUGAUUUUUCGUAUUUUAAAGAUAUUUGUCGUAAUUAUCGAAUUUAGUUGAAUUCAUUGAAUAUAGAUUAUAUUCACUUCUAUAAAGACGGAUGCAAACUUGUGACAUCGAUUCAUCUGAAUCAAGUAUCUUUAUUACGCGCGAUAUUUGGUUCAUUGGACUAAAAAUGAGAUGUGUGGGAUAUAAAAUAAAACAUGUUCUUGGUGUAUAUACACUAGAUAAGUUGGGAUAAACUUAUAUUUCCAAUUUUAACCUUGAGUUUUAUGAAGGACUUUGGAGGGAAGAGCCUUGGAAAAGGGCAUCAUUGUCAUUUGUAGUGUUUUAUCCCCAAAUUACUAAUCUCAAUUUCGAAAAUUCAACCAAAUGUAAGAUAAACUUAUCUCACAUAUAAUCGCGAGAUUAUUAUCUCUUGUACCUCCAAUCAAACGAUACAAUUCGUGAAAUUAGAAAUCUUUGCACAAUUUUGCUUCUGAUCUUGAUAAAGCUACUUUGAAUAAAUUGACAAGAUGUCAACGAUUACCUAAACUGCUUAAGACAAUCCAAAUCAACUCCUCCCGUGGUAGAAAAACAAAUAACUUCGAGUUCGAAUCAUAAAUUCACCUUACCUGAAAACACCCUUUUCGAUUUAGUAGAUUUUGUUUUAAAAUCCAAGUGUAAAUUGGAAUUAGAAAAAUAUACCAACCAUUAAAGAAAGACGAUUAAAAUAUCUCAAGAUUGGCCCCCACACCAUAAUAAGAUCCAACAAAUCAAUAUUUUUUUUUAAAAAAUAUAUAAGUAGUUCCAAAAAUUCAUUAACUUAAUUAUACAAUAAGAUCUCUUCUUGAUUGAUUUUGCACACAUGCAACAACCAAGUGAAGUGGAUACCAUAUAAUAAUGAUCAAUAAUGGUUUAAUAACCGUGCACUAGUAGAGUGUUUCACUCUUAAUCAGAAGUCUCGAGUCCGAGCUUUGAGUAUGGAGAAAAUCUUGUUAGGAGCGUUAUUCCCGGAUGGGCCUUGCAGUGCACGAUCUGAAUUUAGUUGGGCUCCAAUGUGAACUCCGGACACCGAGUGAAAAAAAAUAAAUAGUUCAGUAACCAGUGCAUAGAAUCAUAUAUAACAUGAUUAAUUAUUCCAUCUGUUACCUGAUCUUUGAAGACAAGCAUCGACAGAUAAUGAUCAUAUGAACUGAAGACAAAAAAAAAAUGUAGUGCCAUUUGUCUUGUUUGGUGAAUAAAUUGCUUCAAAAUACACUAAAAAUGAUUGCAAAAUUAGAAUCUUGCAUUUUACUCAAUAUAAAAACUGAACUACUUCUACCACAACAACUCAUCAGUAAAAAAGCUUGUUUUACAUACCUUCAUGUGAAGUUCAUUCCACUUUCAAGAUCAACAUCCAAAGCAUGGCGCGUUUUGAACGUGCAUCACCAGCAUUGAAGGAGAUUCUGCUCAGAUUAUACCGGUAAAAUGAACUAUACUCGUUGUUCUUCGUACUUCAAGUCAUGUACUCAAGAUUUACUUCUCAGUUAAGUCCACGAGUAUUCUUUUCCUGUAGAGGCUAACACAACAAAGCGUUUUAUUAGUUAUAAUAUAUUACUUUGCUAAUCUCAACACCUAGCAAAUGAUGCAACAUGUUUUUGUAUAUUAUCAUGGUGUCCUCCUGGCUAGCUUGCUUGCACCUUAACUAAUUCCACAGGUAUAUGCUAUCUCCGAACUCUAUCCACUUUCCACCAAGGCUUAGACAAAUAAGAAGAGAUCACUUAGCGUUUAAGAUUUCAUGGUUCUCAAACCACUAGGGGAACCGUUGAGUGCAACAAACGUAUUCAUCUGGAUGAGCAUUGCUGAUCAUAGUGUAGGGUCGGUCUAGUAUUCGAGUUCAGUUCCAAAUUCAAUACUAGGUAAUUCUAGUCUAUCAAAAACAUACAGUGAGCUCGCUAAGAUUUUCAAGAUAACAUAAUAAGAAUCAAGUUGAAGAGCGUCUCAUAAGGUAAAGAGGAGAAAGUACAGAACAUAAGGCAAUUAUAAAGAUUAAGCAGGAAUCAUUAGAUAAAGUAGAAUUAAGUUUUGAGAAAUACAUGAUUAGUUAACAUUGCCGAUGAAUAGUAAUUUGUUUAUAGUUAUGAUGUGGAAGCAGAUAGACAUUGAGUGUUCAGAAAACGGAUUCUAUUUGGCCAGAUAAAAGAAGGCGUUGUACAGGUAGAAUUCCAUUGCUGGGGCUACAUUUGCCUUCUGAUCUAUUAUCAAAUGUUGCUUUCAACAGUCAAUUAGUGACAGCAACACCGAGAAAAUUUAAAACAUGCCACUUUUUGUGAUCACAAGUCGGUAUUGGACUUACCGAAGUGCUUGAAAGAGACGAGCCAAUCAGCCAAGCACCAUAUUCUCUAAGUUCCUGCUAAGUUGGUCUUGCUGCAUAAACGACAUGCAGUUAUUGAGAGCAUACUCAUACAAACAAACUCAUUGGACUGAAUAAUCACGAUUUUAUAUCAAGUUAGACUACAAUUUGGGAUCAGCAUAUGAAUCCUAUCCGCAUCAUUACUAUAUACAACAGAUUUAUAUGAAACCGACAAAGAAAAGACACAUCAAUAAACAUUAAAAUAGAGACGUCCAUUUAGAAUUGUUAAGCUGGAACAAGUGUAAGUAAUUAACCUUUAGAAUUUACCUGAUGAAUUAUAAGCAGUACUCCGACGUGUUUCUUCUUAAGUUUUUGAAUAAACGUAUAUGUAAAAACCAAAACUCUUACCAUGAACAUGCUUGUUUUUUCUUGAGACAGAGAUGAAAGGGCUAUUGAUGCCGACCAUCACCUUCAUGAAUUUGGGUCCAUUGAAUAUUACAUUCAGGUAAGAGCAACUAAAAACCACAAGCAUACAUUGCAUACCUGAUUGAAGUUCAUGGCACAAAAGACAAGGUUUGUCUAAAGGAAGAUCCUUCGAACUGAAGAACAAUUCAAGCAACUAGUUUUAUAUUUAAAAAACGAACUCCAAGUUGAGAAAUGCAUUUUUUUGCUAAAAUGUCUGCUGAUUUUCAACAAUCCAAAAUAUGUGUCCAUAACUUCUUUUUUUUUGAAAUAUUUUGUCAGUCAUUGGUGUCAGAUCCCGAUCAUACCUACUUAUCAAUAGCAACCCCGAUUCUGUCUCAAGCAUUCCUGGUCUCAACUCGUCUUUCACGUUACACUAUACAGAAGGUAAAGGCUAUCAGUGCUGAAGUUGUGGAGAUUGUUGAGCCUCCAAAAGAAGGAUAUCAGCUGACUAUACGACUCAAUUUUGGUAGAAUGCCGCAUGGUAAAGGUUUGGAACUCCUCUCAUCAAUGCUGCCUACCACCCCUUUAUCCUGCUUUAGAAACAUCUCAGAAGCAGAAUAAUCGAUCAUGCAAUAAUAAACAAUAAAAUGUGGCACCACAAGUGAAAACAAUAAUGAAUUUAAAGUGGUUAGCAACUGCCACUUUGUUAUGGUGAUGCUAAGAUAUAAACUGAGCCAUCAAUAGUCGAACCAAAUUGAACUUCUUUCAAUUACUACUUUGAUAGCAUUUCACACUGCGGCGGUUCUCAUAAAAUUUGUGUUGUCUUUUGUUCAUUUCAGAGGCUAUAAAAAUGAUAACAGACAUUGCUGCUGUUCAAGGUGUAAUUCUGAGUUCUCAGCUGGAAGAAAUGCUGAUGAAUGUGAAUUCACAAGAUGUGGCUCAAGGGAUGUACAAACCAAUCAAACUUGUUUAUCACCCAAGAGAGCCGUUUUAUGUCAUAAAACAGGUACUUCACAUUAUGUGAUAAUGUUUAAGGACAAGUAAAUGAACACACCAUGCAGAUAAGUAGCUCUGCGCAUCGUAAGACUAGCUCAGUUAACAUUAACUUGGCUGUAGUUGAUCCUCAUCGUCGGAACAUCAGUAGAGGGAUUAAAUUGCAAUGUAGGGCAGCCAUAAAUGCUGAAGCCCUUUCUGAGAGACAAUUAGUUCAUUUGGCAUGCAGCUGGCAAUACUCAAAAUAAUGAAGAAAAAUUAAAAAUUAAAGUGAGAACAUAUUUCCCGAAACCAUCAAAUUUCAAGACCAUUUCAGACUUUAAUAUCUACAGGUGAUUUUUCUUCAAACCAUCAAACCAAAAGUCUUACCGUCUUGGAUUGCAAACCUACUUCCAGUAAACAUACACAUUGCAAACAUUAUAUCCACAGUUAUACCGAAAGUACACACCUUAUCUCACGCCAAGUCAGGAAACUGUGAAGGAAGAACUGGUUGCAGGCACUAGAAGCAUGUUUUAGAUCAAAUUAUAAACUAUGCCAUAUAAUACUUCCAAACUACUGAGUACAGCUACUGUGUUUUGCUAAGUUCAAAAAGUAUGACACAUGCAUAGCAACUAUAUGAUGGGAUCUGAGUCAAUUUGGCAUAUUUAAAGGAACUUGAACGAAGAGAAAUAAUUGUAUUAAAAAAAUGUACAGAAAAAUUCCUUCCUAAAAUAUGAGAUUUGUUUGAGAGAAUACAGCCUCAUGCUUCUUAAUAUGUAAACUAACAUUUGUGACAGCCCCAGAAAAUCACGGCAGUAUUCCCAAUGCGUUUCAAGGAGAAAACAGAUGUGAUCAUAGCAACAACUUUCUUCCAGGUAACACAAUUUUAUAACAUGUACGACUUUGUAAUUUUAUAAGCAUGCAUCACUUUGUUCAAGUGUCCUGGACAUUGACAGUUUCCGCAGCAGGAACUCAUGGAUGUUGCAAAUACAAAAGCAUGUGCCAAGGCACCCCAUUGCAUCUGGUCCCCUAUCCCACCUCCUGAGCUAAGAGGAGAAGCAAUUGAAGACUUGAGCACAAACGGAGGAUUUGUCUCUUUUGGUAUUUUCUAUUAACAACUCACACGUCUACGCAAAUUACUGUUUCUCUCAAAUAAAUGAAAACAUUGAUAGGGGUAAAAGAAAAGUAUUUAUAGCUUUGGAGAAAAGAAAACGUACUAGAAGAACCUCCUAAAAUGAGUAGUGAUUUGAAUAAGAAAUUAAUGAAGAGAAGAGGUCUACAUGUAAGCUCAGAAGAUACAUAUAUUAGUGUUCACCUGCCUUCUCUAAAUCUUGGAAUUGGAGUUGGCCUGAUAUUUACCUUUUUAUCAUGGCAUUCACAGAUAUCACUUCACGCCAUAUUGAAGGCAAAAGGCUAGACAAGACGGUGUGGAACCUUCUGAACUUUUAUGCAUUUGUGAAAAAUCAUGUAAAGGUAAAAAACCCUUUUAAGCGUGAUAGCAUUAUAGCUGUUAACAUCUUAUGCUUAUAUUCUGCAUCAAACAGACCACUCGAGGAUUCAUACAAAGAAGGAUGAGAACAUGUCUGCAAAGCCUGGUUGAGGUAAGGAAAUGAUCAAAUAAUCAUCCGAGUGGCACAUUAUAGUUCAUGAAGUAUAAACAGUACAACCGCACUCUGAGAUAUCGAUUUUGCAAAAAUACACAGUGAUGAACUACUGUAUGAUUGCAAUUUGUAGGUCUUACAGAAAACAGAACCUCAAGAUGAGCAACAAAGUAAAGAGGUGAAAGGUAUGAACCUUUGAUUUUGAGGUCAGAAUAUUUUUGAAUAGAAACCUAAAGAGAAACUAACAAUCAAAUAUAGAACGACAUGAUUUAUGAUGCUUGUGCACAUAUAAUAGAAGCAAAGACACACAGAGAUUCUGUGAGUUUAUCAUAGGUUUCAUAAUAAAAAGAUCAUUAAUUCUAUUAGCUUGGAGCCACUUACCUUCCAUAUGAGUACUUUUUUCUUUAUUUUUUCACAGUUUUUCUAACUCUAUACAUCCUUUUUCUUUAACUUUCUGCUCACUAUUUGUCAAACAACAUUCAUGCAGGAUACAAGCACAUGAAAAAGUUGGUAAAGUUCACAAAAUUCAAAAUAAUCAGAUAUAGAAGUGAUUUCACCAGUAAACUUAAAAGGAUCCGUUCGAGAUUAAAAAUCCAUGGGUUCAACCGUUUUCGUCGAAAAUGGUUGACAUUCCCCAUCUUCUCCUCCAAGACAAAAUACAGAAAGCUGGAAAAAGAUAUUUCUCUUCAACACAAUUAAUAAAUUUUGCUUAUGGUUAGAUUUACUGAAAAGGGACAAACAUAUCCUUUAAUCAGGAUAGUUGUUACACUCUACCAUGUAAAACAUCUUUCUAUUUGUCACUUUCUCAAAUGUUGUCAAUACAUAUAGAUACUCAUGUACCAUGUACAUUGUAAAAAUAUUCAAGUAAAAUAAACGAGUUGGUUAGCAGUUUUUUUAUACUUCUAUCACAGAUUAAAUCCAGAUUUGCAUAUUACUCUAGCUGUUAAGCAAGAAAAUUCCUUUUCUAUUUGAUAACCAACAGGUUGAAAGUGAUUAUUUUAUGCAACUGUCCAUAAACAUUAUGCGUUUUCGUAAACAGCCUCUCUACCUCCAUGAGGUAGGGGUAAGGUCUGCAAUGAUAAAAACAUUUAUGAAGUGAAAAAGCUUUGUAAAAGUGGGCCUCAGGAAUGCAAAACAAAUCUAUGGGAGGAGUUUAGGCUAAUGUUUGCUUUAGAGUUGGUGACUGAAUGAGAUCAGAUUCUGAUUUCUGAUGGAACCAAUGGUUAUGCCAUAUGCCUGAAGUUUGUCUAACACAAGAAAAUAUAAGGAGAAGGGGAUUAUUUUUGCGUAAAAAUUACUAAGGAGUUCAGGGGAUUAUAUUUGCAUAACAAAUACUAAGGGGUUUAUGGGAUUAUAUUCAUGUAAGAGAUACUACUUCUGUGAUCUGGAUACUUAAGACUCAAAUCACUUGUCUUUGCAUUGUAGAUUGUACAAUGCAACGUAUAUGCUUUAAAAUAAUUCAGGCAACAGUGAUGAUAAUAAGAACCCAAAGUCCCCAACAGCAGCUUUCUGAAGCACUGGUCUAGAAAAAACCGCUAUAGGAAUGCAAAAAAACAUGGUUCACUCAUUGUUGUUCCCUGUUUGCAUUGUAUGAACUCUUCAAGAGGAAAAUCUAAUCAUCCUUAUAGCAUCAAGACUUUCUGUCUUUGUUCGUUUGGUAUAAUUUUCAUUUGCAGAUAAUGUAAAUUAAGUUUUAUAUUUCAUAGGCUCUCUACCUCUAGAACAGAGAUGGCCUAGCUUCUUUUGUAAUUGACAGCAGUCCUUGGUCCAAAAAUAAAAAUACCUAUUUUUUUCUUCUAAUUUAGUACAAAGAUACUUUAAAGACAAGUAAGGAGCUUGAUUGAUUCGAAGAGUUCUUUCUUUGGCCACCAACAUUUUGCCAUUAACAAUCAGAUGAACAUAGAAAUAUAGAAAGACAAUUAUAAUAUAAUGAAUAGUAGAAACUCUCCUUUCAUUCAACGCUAAGGUACAUUGGAAAAGACAGAAGAUCAAGAAAAACAAAAGGCUAGAAUUUCCUAUAUAGUAUAAAAAAAAAAUCUGUAAAUUCAAAACUUACAAGUAAACCACUUCUGCAGUUUUUUUCAAAUGCUUCUCUAUCGAAGAACAUCCAAAGUUUCUCAUUCUAACUCUAAUUCAGGAAGCGGACGCAUCAACACACCCUCUGAUUCAACCUGAGCUAGCAACGGUCCACUUGUAUCGCCACAUCUCAUUCUCUUAUCCCGAUUCAAGAACGCAAACAACCCAAAACUCAUGACUAUCACCACAAUAACAUGCACUAUAAACAAUAGAUGUAUCAAUGCUGUUCCCCUCAACUUAUUCUCAUCAAGAUCACAUUUAACAUCAUUUUUCCCGUUCGAUAAACCCACCAAAAGAUUCUCACAUCCAUCUAAUGAAAACAUAUCAGUAUAUAAUGACAACCCAACUUGCAAAACCCAAGUCCCUUUCAACACAAGUACACAGGAAAACAAAAACUCCACAAAAAACAAAGAUGGCUUUACUGCUAGACACAAGCAACAACCACCACAAACAAAUGCCAACUCCCCAAAUGUCCAUACAUACCACCACUAACACCAACAAGUCCUUUCCCAUUCAUCAAGAAUUCAACAGCAAAACAAACACCAGCAAAACUGUAAACCAAACUAUCAAGAAUUGCAUAAAGAUCAAAACUUUCUUUAACAACAAUAAGAAUCAUAAACACCCAGAAGAAGAAAAUGACUACAGAUUGCUGUAAGAAUGAGAACUUAUACACUACAUUGUUCCCUGAGAAAGCUAAGAACAGAAAUAUAUGAGAGAAAGAGGCAAUAGGUAAAAUGAUUAAAAGGGAGUAUAAAUCAAGAUUUUUCCAUCUGACUUCUGAGAAAUACCAUGUUUUUGAUCUAUAGAGUGAUGGGUUUUUGAGGUAAUUGCAGAUGCAGCAAAGAAGACGAUGAAUACCAAGUGUAAAAAGGAUAACAAAUGCUGAAAAAUGGGUAGCUAAUGACAUCUCAAAAUGAGACAAUUUUGGAUUUUUUUUAAAGGAUUUUGAUGAGAUUAAGGAGAAAUGGAAGAUUGUUUCAAGUUCAUCAAUUGUGAUGUUUGUUUUAGCAAAAGUCAAUACCUGAAAAAUCCCAAACGCCGGCUGAUGGCAAGAAAGGAGAAAGAAAGCUUCAAAAUUGAAGAAGUGUUUAUUAUUAAUGGAUCCCUCUAAGUUUGUUGUUUGUUACUUUGAACCCCUAUAGACAACUUCUGAAUUUUAUUUAGACAUUAAAACUACCUUCUGUUUCGAUUGAACACUUGAAUACACGAAGAUGUUGAGAUUUUCAACAUGAAAAUUUCUAGGGGUUUUACGAUUUAUAAUUUAUGUACAAAGUUAUUUCAAAGUUGAAGUACUUCUAUUUGAUUGGAGCAUUUUUUUUUGUUUCACAUUCGAUAUUCGAGAUUUACAUUAAAAAUCGAGUAAAUCCAAAUUCGUAUCGAGAACUCUCACAUUGGAGAUAAAGCAUUCCCUAAUAAAGGCAAUUCCGUACUUGAGGGAAUUCGAACCUGAGACCUCUUGAAGCAAAUUAUUAUGUGUUUAAGUUUUCUAAUUCGAAUACAUAAAAAAAAAUUGAUAGCAAGUUUAAAAGAUUCCCUAUAUAUAUAUGCAAGUCCUUUUCUUUUUGUUCUUUUGCGGUUUAUAAGUAUUAGAGGUAUUUUUAAAGUAAAAUUAUUUUUAUAAUAUAAAAUAUUAUUAUUAUUAUUAUUAUUUUAUCAUAUAGAAAAUAGGCAAGUUUCACAUAUAACAAACAAAAAAUUCAUAUUUGUAUGCUAUAGUAAAGUUAGCAUAAUUUCGCUCCAUAGCAAAUCUAUAACUGUAUAAUUCGCUAUACAUAUACAACUGUAUAAUUCGCUGGCCUAAAUUGUAUAAUUCGUUGCCCUCUUUAUACAUAUACAAUUGUAUGAUUCGCUGGCCUAAAUUGUAUAAUUCGCUGUCCUAUUUCGCUGCAAUUGUAUAAUUCGCUGACCUAUUUCACUGCAAUUGUAUAAUUCGCUGGCCGAUUUCGCUGCAAUAUGUGUAUAAAAUUUGUUUUGCAUACAAUUGAAUCGAAGUAAAAUGUUUGUAUAUUGUAUAAUUAUAAGUGUAUAGGAAGAAGAUAUAUGUUUUUCUCUCGCUUUAUACAAAAAUAGAAACACAAUUUAUACACUUCUGUUAUAUAAAACUAGAGAAAAUUUUAUUUUACUGUAAUUGUAUAAUUCACUGGUCUUUUCCGCUGCAAUAUUUGUAUAAAAUUUGCAUUUGUAUACAAUUGAAUCAAAGUAAAAUGCUUGUAAACUGUAUAAUUAAGUGUAUAGCACAAAGAUAUAUGUUUUUGCAUGUGUAUAUACAAUUUUCUCUCGCUUUAUACAAAACAGAAACACAAAUUAUACACUUCUGUUGUAUAAAGGGAAUGAGGCGAGCAGAGUGAGAGUGACGAGCGAGAAUGGGAACGUGGCGAGCCAGAGUUUUGGGAGAGAGGCGACUGACAAACUUUGACAAACGUUUACUAUAGGGCACAAUUAAAUCAAACAGUAGCUACUCCAUUUAUUUUAGAUUAUUAAUUUGAUAUCAUAUACAAUUAUCCCAAAAAUACAAGAAUGAUCCAUGGGUAACACAACCAUUUAUAGCUUUUUCAUUUGAGGUUUUUUUUUUUUUAAAAAAAAAAAAAAAACGAGAAGUCUUAUUUUCUGGGGCAUUUGUGAUAUUUUUAAUAGUGGAAUCUCAGCUAUAUAUAUUCAUACAUGUAUUUGAUUGAAAUCAUAUUGAAAAGAAAAAAAGUUCAUCAAAUCAAAGAAAACAAAUUCUAAUAUCAAAGACGUUUGAAUGUCACAACAAUUAUAUAAUUUGUGAUACAAACAACUUGAAUAAUAUAAUUCAAACAAAUAACAACACAAAAUUGAUAAUUGAAUAAAAAUAUUCUCCAUUAAUAACGUUUAGAUUAUCUAUUAUUAUUACUAAAUCUUAAAAUAUUUGAUGUUCUCUAAAAUAUUCUAGUUAAAUAAAUUGUACACAUAAUUUUUAUUUGAAUUCUUUGAUUAGUGACACUUUAACUCAUCAAUUUACAUAAAAGAUGAAGCUACACUUUAAUGUGGAUACUAUCGGUAGUUCUCGCUUACUGUCUACUUAUCUACGUGCUUGUAAUUCCAAAAAUUCCUGACCGAUUGAUUACUGAAUGGGCUACCAAAAUUUUGUUUAGGCUUGCUGUUGAUGUCAUAACCUAAUUCCUUGCUAAUGUGGUAGUAUUGCUUGCUAAUUUUUUAAAUAGAAGAGACUAUUUUAAAAGAAAAUCAAGGUGAAUAGUUGAAUAUUUAUUCAUAUAAAUAAAUUGAACAAUACAAACAUUAGAAAGAGAUAAAGAGUACAUAAUCUAGGUAUUGAAUAUUAAAUAUUGUACUACCAAUUGCAUUUUCUUAAAUUAUUUUUGUAAAUUUAGUAUCAUUUCAAAAGAAAGAUUUUUUGAAACUUGCAUUUGUCGAUCUUCUUCAAUUGCUUCCAUGUAUUCAUCACUAUUCUCAUCAAAUAUUUCAUCUAUUUGGUUCAUUACCAGUCGGAAAAGAACCGGUUCAACCAAUUUAAAAUUCGAUUGAACUAGUACCGGACGGACGGGUAAGGGAAUCGAACCUGACUGGACGGACCGAUAAGGGAAUCGGAUCGGGCCGGACAAAAAUCGAUCUAUCUGCCAAUCUUAUUUUGAAGAAAUCAUUCGGUCAGGAUUGUUCGGAACUAGAAAGAUACACAGAAGUCCACGGUGAGUGAGAACUAACGCUAGCAUCCUCAAACCAAAUGUUCUUACCGAUGACUCCAUAUCCCAUUCACUUAAAUGAAACACCGAUGCAACAAUUGAUCAAAUAAGUUUUUUUUUGAAGGAUAAAGCCAUUGAAUUGAGCUUUUCUAUCACGAUCCAAAAAUGGACGUGAUGUCACUCGUCUUAUUCCACCAAAAUAAGUCGACCUAAAACUUGACUAUUACAAUAAAAUGCGAAAAUUGACUCAAAAGUACCCAAAAUUUGAUUGUCACGUGUACAAGCCUCUAAAGUAUUUCAAUUUAUUCGAGAAAAAAAAUGAAAAAAAUGUAUAUUUAUAGUGUAAAUGAGUUAGAAAGGAGUGGGGAAUUUUUUUACCGUUUUGGGCCCCAUCCCAACAGCUAAAAGGGCCCAACAGUCGAAUUAAAGGAUACUUAAAAAAAAUUUAAAAAAUCGGGUAAAUCGGUUCCUUACCGGUUCAACUGGUAAUGGACAAAACGGUACGGGAACCAAACUGAAACCGGACCGGAUCGGAUAAAAAACGGUCCGUCUACCACUCUUAUUUUUACGUAAUCAUUCGAUCAAAUAUGUUUGGACCUACAAAGACACAUUGAAGUCCAUGCGUUAGUGAGAACUAACGCUAGCAUCCACAAACCAAGUGCUAUUACCGAUGACUUCAUAUUACUUGUCAGCUAAAUGAAACAUCGAUGCAAUAAUUAACCAACUCAAUUUUUGUUUGAAGGAUAAAGCCAUUGAAUUGAACUUUUAUUUUUCUUAGCAAGAUAGAAUAUGAGCGAUGAAUCAGAAGCUUUACGAAAUUUGAACAAAAAAACAUUUUCGAAAUCCAAAAUUUUGAACAUCCAAAGUUUUUCAUCCUAACUCUAAUUCAGAAAGCGGACGCAUCAGCACACCCUCUAAUCCAACCUGAGCUAGCAAUGGUCCACUUGUCUCGCCACAUCACAUUCUCUUAUCCCGAUUCAAGAACGCAAACAAGCCAAAACUCAUGAACAUCACCAUAAUAACAAGUCAUAAAACAAGGAUUUUACCUAAUAAUGCAAGAACCAUGAUCAUGAAGAUUAGCAAGCGAUACUACCACAUUAGCAAGGAAUUGGGUUAUAACAUCAACAGCAAGCCUAAACAAAAUUUUGGUAGCCCCUUCAGUAAUCAAUCGGUUAGGAAUUUUUGGAAUUACAAGCACGUAGAUAAGUAGACAGUAAGCGAGAACUACCGAUAGUAUCCACAAAAGAAAUAUUGGUACCGAUAACUGCAUACUGUAUGUCACGACAAUGGCCCAGCUAUAUGAAAAAGUAAUGCAGCACUUAACAAAAUCAUUUUUUCUUUGACAAAUAAAGCCAUUGAACUUUUUUUUUUCUUUAGAAAGAUAGAAGAUGAGUAAUGAAGUUUGUUAAGUUCCCUGUAAGAACUUUCUAUGAGCAGAAAGGGGUAUAUCGGACCAGACCGGACGGACGGGUAAGGGAAUCGGACCUGACUUGAUGGACCGAUAAGGAAAUCGGAUCGGACCGGACAAAAAUCGAUCUAUCUGCCACUCUUAUUUUGACGAAAUCAUUCGGUCAGGAAUGUUUGGAACUAGAAAGAUACACAGAAGUCCACGGUGAGUGAGAACUAACGCUAGCAUCCUCAAACCAAAUGUUCUUACCGAUGACUCCAUAUCCCAUUCAUCUAAAGGAAACACCGAUGCAACAAUUGAUCAAAUAAGUUUUUGUUUGAAGGAUAAAGCCAUUGAAUUGAGCUUUUCUGUCACGAUCCAAAAAUGGACGUGAUGUCACUCGUCUUAUUCCACCAAAAUAAGUCAACCUAAAACUUGACUAUCACAAUAAAAUGCGAAAAUUAACUCAAAAGUACCCCAAAAUUUGAUUGUCACGUGUACAAGCCUCUAAAGUAUUUCAAUUUAUUCGAGAAAAAAAAUGGAAAAAAUGUGUAUUUAUAGUGUAAAUGUGUUAGAAAGGAGUGGGGGUAUUUUUUUACCGUUUUGGGCCCAUCCCAACAGCUAAAAGGGCCCAACAGUCGAAUUAAAGGAUACUUAAAAAAAAUUAAAAAAAUCGGGUAAAUCGGUUCCUUAUCGGUUCAACUGGUAAUGGACAAAACGGUACGAGAACCAAACUAAAAACUGGAUCGGAUCGGAUCGGAUAAAAAAUGGUCCGUCUACCACUCUUAUUUUUGCGUAAUCAUUCGAUCAAAUAUGUUUGGAACUACAAAGACACAUUGAAGUCCAUGCGUUAGUGAGAACUAACGCUAGCAUCCACAAACCAAGUGCUCUUACCGAUGACUUCAUAUUCCUUGUCAGCUAAAUGAAACAUCGAUACAACAAUUAACCAACUUAGUUUUUGUUUGAAGGAUAAAGCCAUUGAAUUGAACUUUUAUUUUUCUUAGCAAGAUAGAAUAUGAGCGAUGAAUCAGAAGCUUUACAAAAUUUGAACAAAAAAACAUUUUCGAAAUCCAAAAUUUUGAACAUCCAAAGUUUUUCAUCCUAACUCUAAUUCAGAAAGCGGACGCAUCAGCACACCCUCUAAUCCAACCUGAGCUAGCAAUGGUCCACUUGUCUCGCCACAUCACAUUCUCUUAUCCCGAUUCAAGAACGCAAACAACCCAAAACUCAUGAACAUCACCACAAUAACAAGUCAUAAAACAAGGAUUUUACCUAAUAAUGCAAGAACCAUGAUCAUGAAGAUUAGCAAGCGAUACUACCACAUUAGCAAGGAAUUGGGUUAUAACAUCAACAGCAAGCCUAAACAAAAUUUUGAUAGCCCCUUCAGUAAUCAAUCGGUUAGGAAUUUUUGGAAUUACAAGCACGUAGAUAAGUAGACAGUAAGCGAGAACUACCGAUAGUAUCCACAAAAGAAAUAUUGGUACCGAUAACUGCAUACUGUAUGUCAUGACAAUGGCCCAGCUAUAUGAAAAAGUGAUGCAACACUUAACCAAAUCAUUUUUUCUUUGACAAAUAAAGCCAUUGAACUUUUUUUUUCUUUAGAAAGAUAGAAGAUGAGUAAUGAAGCUUGUUAAGUUCCCUGUAAGAACUUUUUAUGAGCAGAAAGGGGUAUAUCAGACCAGACCGGACGGACGGGUAAGGGAAUCGGACCUGACUGGACGGACCGAUAAGGGAAUCGGAUCGGCCGGAUAAAAAUCGAUCUAUCUGCCACUCUUAUUUUGACGAAAUCAUUCGGUCAGGAAUGUUUGGAACUAGAAAGAUACACAGAAGUCCACGGUGAGUGAGAACUAACGCUAGCAUCCUCAAACCAAAUGUUCUUACCGAUGACUCCAUAUCCCAUUCAUCUAAAGGAAACACCGAUGCAACAAUUGAUCAAAUAAGUUUUUGUUUGAAGGAUAAAGCCAUUGAAUUGAGCUUUUCUGUCACGAUCCAAAAAUUGACGUGAUGUCACUCGUCUUAUUCCACCAAAAUAAGUCAACCUAAAACUUGACUAUUACAAUAAAAUGCGAAAAUUAACUCAAAAGUACCCAAAAUUUGAUUGUCACGUGUACAAGCCUCUAAAGUAUUUCAAUUUAUUCGAGAAAAAAAAUGGAAAAAAUGUAUAUUUAUAAUGUAAAUGAGUUAGAAAGGAGUGGGGGUAUUUUUUUACCGUUUUGGGCCCCAUCCCAACAGUUAAAAGGGCCCAACAGUCGAAUUAAAGGAUACUUAAAAAAAAUUUAAAAAAUCGGGUAAAUCGGUUCCUUACCGGUUCAACUGGUAAUGGACAAAACGGUACGGGAACCAAACUUAAACCGGACCGGAUCGAAUAAAAAAUGGUCCGUCUACCACUCUUAUUUUUGCGUAAUCAUUCGAUCAAAUAUGUUUGGAACUACAAAGACACAUUGAAGUCCAUGCGUUAGUGAGAACUAACGCUAGCAUCCACAAACCAAGUGCUCUUACCGAUGACUUCAUAUUCCUUGUCAGCUAAAUGAAACAUCGAUGCAACAAUUAACCAACUUAGUUUUUGUUUGAAGGAUAAAGCCAUUGAAUUGAACUUUUAUUUUUCUUAGCAAGAUAGAAUAUGAGCGAUGAAUCAGAAGCUUUACAAAAUUUGAACAAAAAAACAUUUUCGAAAUCCAAAAUUUUGAACAUCCAAAGUUUUUCAUCCUAACUCUAAUUCAGAAAGCGGACGCAUCAGCACACCCUCUAAUCCAACCUGAGCUAGCAAUGGUCCACUUGUCUCGCCACAUCACAUUCUCUUAUCCCGAUUCAAGAACGCAAACAACCCAAAACUCAUGAACAUCACCACAAUAACAAGUCAUAAAACAAGUAUUUUACCUCAUAAUGCAAGAACCAUGAUCAUGAAGAUUAGCAAGCGAUACUACCACAUUAGCAAGGAAUUGGGUUAUAACAUCAACAGCAAGCCUAAACAAAAUUUUGGUAGCCCCUUCAGUAAUCAAUCGAUCAGGAAUUUUUGGAAUUACAAGCACGUAGAUAAGUAGACAGUAAGCGAGAACUACCGAUAGUAUCCACAAAAGAAAUAUUGGUACCGAUAACUGCAUACUGUAUGUCACGACAAUGGCCCAGCUAUAUGAAAAAGUGAUGCAGCACUUAACCAAAUCAUUUUUUCUUUGACAAAUAAAGCCAUUGAACUUUUUUUUUCUUUAGAAAGAUAGAAGAUGAGUAAUGAAGCUUGUUAAGUUCCCUGCAAGAACUUUUGAUGAGCAGAAAGGGGUAUAUCAAUGGCGAUUUAACAAUCUAAGAAGAGAAGAAAGUAACUGUUUCAUUGUAUUAAAGCUUCAAUGAAAAAAUAUCUAAUACAAGCUAUUUAUAGACAUACUAAAUAUAGUAGAUUAUAAAGUUGUGGUGACAAAUACACGGGUUGGAUUAAUUGUGGCGAUUUAAAAAUGGGUAAACAUAAAAUGAAUAAUCAUUCAAUCCGUCCAUAUAUAAUAUGGACAAAACUGAGUUGGGUAUUAAGUGGGUCGAGUAAAAUACAAUUUACAUAUAUUUCAUGAAUAAAUAGUUCUUUACUUAAGAAUUUAAUAUAGAGAAAAUAUUUUAGUCUUUUUUUUUAGUUUUAAUUUAUUAUAAAAGUAAAAAAACUUAAAAAAAAGUUUCGAGGUUGGGUGGGGGGAUAGGGGAUGCCGGGGGUGGUGAAAAAAUUUGAAGUUAAAAAUAUUUUUCAAACAAACUUAAUAUUUAUGAAGGGAGUGGGGUUGGUUGGGGGUAGGGGGACGAUGGUUGGGGUGGGAUGGGUCCAGGGUAGGGUGAAAAAAUAAAUAUUUGAAGUUGAAAAUAUUUUUUUAAAACAAACUUAAUUUUUAUUGGGUGGGGAUAGGUGGGGAGAGUGAUUGGGGGAGAGGGGGCUGGUGUGGGGUGGGUUGCAGGAGGUCGAGGGUGGGGUGAAAAAAAUGAAAUUUUGAAGUUCAAAAUAUUUUUAAAAGGGAAAAGGGUCAAAUAUACCCCUAAACUUUUCGAAAAGGUCUGAAUAUGACCCCCGUUUAAAGUUUGGUCCAUUUAUACUCUCGCCGUCCAACUAUUGAUCCAAAUAUGCCCUUAUGGGCGUUAGUUGGCCACCUCGAAAUAUCCAACUCAUUUUACUUUUCUUUAAAUGCCCAAAUGAAUUUUUCACGUCAUUUUAAUAUUUCAACUUGACAUUUAUAUUAUAAAAGAGAAAGGGUCACAUAUGCCCCUAAUAAUCCGACCCAUUAAAAACACUUUUAUGACCAUAUUUUAAAUGACCUAUAUGACCCCUCUUUUAAAUAACUUAUACGAUCCAUAUCCGAUCCAAAACCCAUCCUUUUUAACCCACAACAAAUCCCUAAUUUCCUAAAUUUCAUUUUCACUGAAAGAACGUUGCGGUGCUGCUAGGGUUCUUGGAGACUUACACAAAUUGCGGCGCUAGGGUUAGAAAAUCUACGAGUUGAAGGUAAGUUUUCUCCUUUCAGUAAAUUAUAUAUUCGAUUAGGGUUACAUUUUCUUGUUAGUUAGGGUUAUUUAAGUAAAGUCGACGGCAUGUGUUGUAUUUGAUUCCCUUCGCUAUCGUAGAACAUCCGCAGUUUCUCAUCCUAACUCUAAUUCAGGAAGCGGACACAUCAGCACACCCUCUAAUCCAACCUAAGCUAGCAAUGGUCCACUUAUAUCGCCACAUCUCAUUCUCUUAUCUCAAUUCAAGAACGCAAACAACCCAAAAUUCAUGACCAUCAGCACAAUAACAUGCACUAUAAGCCAAAGUUUAUAUUGAAUUUAGAGUUUGAAAUUUAAUUUAAAGUUUAAAGUUUAUAUUGAAUUUAAAGUUUGAAAUUGAAUUUAAAGUUUAAAAUUUAUAUAAAAUACAAAGUCUGAAAUUGAAUUUAAAGUUUAAACUUUAAAGUUUAUAAUGGAUGUAAACUUUCAAAGUUUAAACUUUAAACCUUAAAAUUCAAUUUUAUAUUAAUGUUUAAAGUUUAAUCUAAUAUUAAAAUAAUUAACAAUUAAAUUUGUAAAAUGACAAGAAUUAAAUAGAAGAGACUAUUUUAAAAGAAAAUCAAGGCGAAUAGUUGUAUAUUUAUUCAUAUAAAUAAGUUGUACAAUACAAAUAUUAGAAAGAGAUAAAGAGUACAUACUCUAGGUAUUGAAUAAUAAAUAUUGUACUAACAAUUGCAUUUUCUUAAAUUAUUUUUUGCAAAUUUAGUAUCAUUUCAAAAGAAAGAUUUUUUUGAAACUUGCAUUUGUCGAUCUUCUUCAAUUGCUUCCAUGUAUUCAUCACUAUUCUCAUCAAAUAUUUCAUCUAUUCAGUUCCUUACCUGUCGGAAAAGAACCGGUUCAACCAAUUUAAAAUUCUAUUGAACCAGUACCGGACAGACCGGUAAGGGAAUCGGACUAGACCGGACGGACGUGUAAGGGAAUCGGACCUGACUGGACGGAUCGAUAAGGGAAUCGGACCGGACCGGACAAAAAUCGAUCCAUUUGCCACUCUUAUUUUGACUAAAUCAUUCGGUUAGGAAUGUUUAGAACUACAAAGAUACAUAGAAGUCCACGGUGAGUGAGAACGCUAGCAUCCUCAAACCAAAUGUUCUUACCGAUGACUCCAUAUCCUAUGUCAUCUAAAUGAAACAUCGAUGCAACAAUUGAUCAAAUCAGUUUUUGUUUGAAGGAUAAAGCCAUUGAAUUGAGCUUUCCGGUAACGAUCCAAAAAUGAACGUGAUGACACUCGUCUUAUUCCACCAAGAUAAAUCAACCUAAAACUUGACUAUUACAAUAAAAUGCGGAAAUUAAAUAAGUUACUCAAAAGUAUCCCAAAAUUUGGUUGUCACGUGUACAAACUUCUAAAGUAUUUCAAUUGAUUCGAGAAAAAAAUGAAAAAAGGUAUAUUUAUAGUGUAAAUGAGUUAGAAAGGAGUGGAGAUAUUUUUUGACCGUUUUGGGCCCCAUCCCAACGACUAAAAGGGCCCAACAGUCAAAUUAAUGGAUACUUAAAAAAAAUUAAAAAAUUGGGUAAAUCGGUUCCUUACCGGUUCAACUGGUAAUGGACAAAACGGUGCGGGAACCAUACCGAAAUCAGACCAGAUCGGAUAAAAAAUGAUCCGUCUACCACUCUUAUUUUUGCGUAAUCAUUCGAUCAAAUAUGUCUGCAACUACAAAGAUACACUGAUAUCCACCGUUAGUGAGAACUAACGCUAGCAUCCACAAACCAAGUGCUCUUACCGAUGACUGCAUAUUCCUUGUCAGCUAAAUGAAACACCGAUGCAACAAUUAACCAACUCAGUUUUUGUUCGAAGGAUAAAGCCAUUGAAUUGAACUUUUAUUUUUCUUAGCAAGAUAGAAUAUGAGUGAUGAAUCAGAAGCUUUACAAAAUUUGAACGAAAAAGCAUUUUCGAAAUCCAAAAUUUUAAACAAAAAAGCUAUUUUCGAAUUUCCCGCCUAAACCAAAAUUAUGAACAAAGAUGUUUCGGAUUCCCGCUUAAACCAAAAAUUAUAAUGGAAAUCUAUAGUGUAUUUUAGGUACAACUGAAAUUUAUCCCUAAAUACUACUAAAAAUAGGAAUUAGUGAUAGGUCAAAUUUUAUAAUUAACUAAUAAAAGUCAUGGACUUAAAGUUCUGAUUUUAUUUUUCUUUAAAUAAUCUAUCAUUUCUUUAUUCAAUAAUUUAUCAUUUAGGAGUAGAUUUAUAAUAGUGUAAAUACAAUGAUAGUUUAUUUAACGUUCGAUGAGCAGAAUCAAUAAUAUUAAAAAAGAGAGUUAAUUAAAAUAUAAUGAUAUAUAUAUAUAUAAAGUGUUUUAAGAUUUAUCAUUACUAACAUGUAAAGUGAAUGAUAGAUAAUUUAAAAAUGCGUCUAAAGUCAUAAUAUGACAGAGUAGCUAAUUUUCUUGGUUUUUUCAAAAAUAUCCCUACAAAAACAUUUUUAUUUUGAAUUGGCACAAUACAUAAACAUACAUUUAAUUCCACUGUCAUUUAUAUUCUUCAAUUUUGAAUGUGCACACGUAAAUAUUUAUAUCGUAUUACAUGUAAUACAUGAUGAAUGUGAAUUCACGAGAUGUGGCUCAAGGUAUGUACAAACCAAUCAAACAUCACCCAAGAGAGCCGUUUUAUGUCAUAAAAUAGGUACUUCACAUUAUGUGAUACUUUCUUUAUUCACUGAAUAUACAAUUUCAAAUUUUAUGACAAGUAAAUGAACACGCUAUGCAGAGUGAUUAUUCUUCAAACCAUCAAACCAAAAGUCUUACCGUCUUGGAUUGCAAACCCUACUUGCAGUAAACAUACAAAUUUAUCGACCAUUUACUUAUCCAAUUAAAUAUUUUCAUUAUCUUCAUAUUCAUUGCGUAGAAGUUACGAUGACGAUCUAUAAAGCCAAGUAGACAUGCUCAUUUGACAAACAAUUAAGUUGCUUCCAUGAAGCUUCACAAGACAUUGUCACAUACUAUUAUAUUAACGGCUGGAAAUUCUUAUUUGAAUGCAUAAAAUAUGAAACAAGAAAAACAUUUAUGACUUUACAAAAUACAAAAUCAAAUUUCCCAUCUUAGAGUCAAAAUUAUAUAUUUGUCUUCAAACAUUUUUACACCGUUUAGUUAUUAUCCACUAAUUGCAUGCCACCUAGCAUUCCAUGUUUUUUUUUUUUGGAUCCUUUAAGAUUUCGUGUAUAAUUCAGAACCAUAGAGGUUCAAAACAUGGGUUAAAAUCACACAAUUAUGUUGUGAUGAUCGGGACUGCUUCAAUCUUAAUCAAACGUUUCGAGUUUGAAUCCAUGCAAAUGAAAAAAGAAUAUGUUGAAAACGCUACGCUCAAAAAUAAAUUAGAUAAUGCGUGAAUUUAGUUGACUCUACUAUAAAUAAUGAACAUCUAAUGAAAACUUAAAAAAUUAACAACCUAGUCACGUAAAUUUCACAAAACUUUAUUUAAAUUGUUUUGAUUUGUAUCUUAAUUUGAUUAUACACGAAAUUAAUGAUGCAAAAAUACAUGUGAGAAAAAGAAAAGGUUCAAACUCCAAAAUUGAAAAAAAAAAUCAAUUGAUCAAAAGGGCACCACUUGGCAUAUGGAUAUGAUCAAGAUUACAAUGGUAGACCCUACAUGAAGAGAAAGAACCACUAGAAUAGUAGAUACAGAUCUCCAAACUGAUGGGAUAAAUAAAUAAAAUAAAAUAUUGGAAACAGAUAUAAAUGAUAAAGUUAUCUUCAUAUUACGUAUAGAUUACAACAAAGAGACGUUCAAUAACAACAGACUUUUUCCCUUUAGCGACAAUAUAUAUUACCAAAAAUACAUUUAGCAGCACUUGAGUUAAUAUGUAUCACUAUAUUCAGAAUCACUGAAACAUUUAACAAUAUUAAUAUAGAGUGUUGGUUACAAAUAUUCUAAUUUAUUAUUGCCGUGAAAUCCAUUAUAUGUUAUAGUUAUAUCAUAUUUAAAUUAAGGCACACCAUUCGAACGCAACACUAUUCGAUUUAUAUUAUCAGACUUUUUUAAAAAAAAUAAAUAAAAUAUGUGGACCAUUAAAAAAUCAAGAAGAAUCUUUUAUUUUUCAAGUAAAAAAUUUGAAAAAAACCAAAAUCCAAUAAAAAGAAGAAAAAAGACAAUCAAAAGCUAGCAAAUACAAUUGUGUGGCUCUAAAUUUGCCUCUUCAUUACCACUCAAAAUACAAACCAAACAUAAAAGGCUACAAAAAUUACAACAACAACCUACCUUCAUAAACCACACAAAAAAAUCUUAUAACAUAAGCUCAAAAACCCCCCUUAGCUCCAUUAUCAUCACUUUUAUAUUCAAGAAUAUUAUUUACUACUAGUAGUCCUAAGAAAAAAGGUUAUUUGAAUGGCAAUUACAAGUUCAAUUGCAACAACUUCAUUUUCUUCAUGUGUUAGUGGUGAAGAUUAUGGUAAGUUUAUGAGGAAAGUGCAACCAUUAAUGAAUGUUAAAUUUGGAAAGGCAGUGAGAUCAAGGAUAAUGAUGGGUAAUGUUAAUGAUGGAAAAGGAUUAUUUGCACCAAUUGUUGUUAUCACUAGGAAUAUUGUUGGCAAAAAAAGAUUCAAUCAACUUAGGGGCAAAGCUAUUGCUUUACACUCUCAGGUAAUUUAUCAUUUGCUCGAUAUCCGUUAUUAUCCAUCAGCAUAGAUGUCGUAUAAUUUUAAAUGUCUAUCGAGUGCAUAUGAGCAGAAAUCAUUUUGUUUUUGAAGAAAUUUUAUGUUUUUCAUUCAUAAAAUUGUCUACUAACAAUUUUUGUCUUUGCUUAUAUUGUUUUUGGGUAGAUCUAGUCUUUCUUUAGUGUUGAUAUUAUUGAAUAUGAUCUAUGAAAGUUCUAAUUUGGGGAUAAAGUCAAUAAAAAUAGCAAAGUUAAUUGGUGAAAAAUGAUGAAUUGUAAAUUAAUUUGUGAUGUUCAAAUUGAGAAUUAGAUAUAUAAGUUUAGUCUAUUUGGACUGAUUUUGGAUUUAUGACAAGAAUUUUCAAGUGUUAUGCAUUUAAAAUCAUUAAUUCUUAAUUUAAUAUUAAGUCUAAGCUUAGAGGUUUUAGUUCUCAAAAUUCUAGUUUAUUGUUCUAAACAAGUAGGUUAAGCUUUUCAAUGUUGGAUUUGACUAAUAUAUGUCAUGUAAUAUUAAAUUUAUUUCAUUUACUUUUUCAAAAGUAAACUUGAAAAAAAGUAAACAAACUCAAACAAUUCAUAAAAGAUUUCAAAGAGGACAAUUUGUUAGUAUGUUUCUCAAGUUAAAUGUGGUAUUUGAGUCUCCAAAAAGGAUAAAGGCCAAGAGGUCACAAUUUCAAUGGUAAUAUCAACCACCCAUAGUAGUGAUGGGCUUGUAGGUAACCCCCAACCCCCAUCCCACUACCCCACUCUUCUACUUACCUAGAGGUCUGAGGUACGAGCCUCUGAAAUGAAAUCGCCUUGGGUAGGGACUACGCGUUUUAUCUCUAAAAGUGGAACUUCCGAACACGAAUCUGCUAGAUUAGUUGGGUACCAAUUGCAAGUAUUCUUAACUAGAUGUCUGGAGUUCGAGUCUUGAAAAUGAAAUUUCCUUUGAUAGGGACCAUUUUACACCUAAAGAGGAACUUCCAACACUCGUCCACCAGAUUAGUCAGGUACCAAUCGUAAAUACCCCUCCCCCUAUCCUUAACUACAGGUCUGCAGUUCGAGUCUUUGAGAAUGAAGUCACCUUUGAUAGGAACCAUUAGAUUAUUAAACCCUAAGGUGGAACUUCCCGGUGCGGAAACCAAAGCUAAUGUUGAUGGAUUUGUUUGAUCAGGUAAUCACAGAGUUUUGCAAGUCAAUAGGAGCAGAUCAGAAGCAAAGGCAAGGAUUAAUUCGAUUGGCAAAGAAGAAUGGUGAAAAACUUGGAUUUCUUGCUUGAUGGAUGGCACAAAAUUAAUCAUUAUUGCCAAUGUGUUAUGAUCAAAUAGCUAUAGCCUCUUUUGUGUAAUUGAGACAAAUCAAUCAGAUACAACUUUAAUUUUAUGUAUUAUUCAAACAUAUAUAUAUGUGCUUUGUAGUCUAGAAAAUGUUGUCUUCAUGAUUUCAAUUUUUAACUUUUCACUCGAAAUUGGUUAAGUAUUAAACUUAAAUUGUCGCGUGGAAGAGGAAUUUAAAUUAAAAGACCUAAGAAAUAAAUUUCUUUAACGUCUAGGUUUUGGUGAACGAAGGCACAUCACACCCGUAUUUGAGAGACAUAAUAUAUAAACAGACCUUAGCUGACAAUUCUACUAUCAUAAAAUUAAACAAAUAAACAUACGUAGAAAAACUCACACAAUUUGGGAUGUUUAACCAUGUGAGUCUACGCGUUCAACUUUACUUUAUGAUAAUUUAAGUAAAUACUUGGUGCAUUUCUAUCUACGUUCCUCCAAAAUUCUAUUAUACAAGCACUAAAGAGGCUCAUUUUGAAGCAUUAAAUUACCCAAUGAAUCGACUAAGCUUUCUCCCAUAGAGUCUACUUGAGAUAUAAAGUGAUACCACAUAAAUAACAAACAUCAGAACAAAAUCUUUAAUGCAAUACAUCCAAACAUACAUCAAGUUCGAAUAAAUUUCAAUAAGAUCAAAAUUUGCAGCAGACAAGCGCAAAAAAGUGCUAAUCGUACAAUUUCAGUAUUGGUAAAGAGCUUAAGGAGUGGUGUUAAUUCCACACGAUAAAGAAAUUUCACACAGUAUAUCGGCUCUUAGCUGACCUCUCUCUUUUAGAAUCAUCCUGCAAUGACCAAAAUAAUACGUUGAUUAAGAAAGAACGAACAUCAAGAGGAAAGAUAAAAGACCAUUGAAUUUGCAAUAAUUGUAAGUGAUGAGAGGGAAGUUACAUGGAAACUAUAGGAUAUCUUUUCGGCAUCAAUGAUCUCCUUCCACUUCCUACCAAUGCCCAUCUACAACAUAGAACAAACCAGUUAUUUAUAAAAUGCAAAACCAUGGAGCAUCACGCCAGGAGGCAAAACAGUUCUUCAGACUACAGAGAUGUUAGAAGACCAAAAAAAGGCAUACAUACGUGAUUACAGACAAUACAAGGGAAUAAUAUACUAAAGAGACCUGAAAAACCCCUAGUUGAGCAAUGUAAAAGAAUUUCAAUUCACAACUUGUGUAUUACAAUGCUGUAAGAUGAACAUGUACAUAGGAUUACUAAACGGAGAAUGACGAAUACUUGGGGAAAACAUUCAAAUUAUACCAUCUUGGGUUUAGUAUCAAUGUGCUAAUUUCAUACAUCAAGAGAAGUUAAUGCAUAGCAAAACUAUCACAGCACAAUUUGGUACUUAAGCAAUCAGAAUGUUGUCCCUUCCUCAGUUUACUAUCAUCAGAUGAUACCGGUUUCACCACAGUAAUCCAGGCUGUUGAGUUAUAUAGUUCUUACAUGGAUCAUGGGAGGGCAUUCAAAGGGUUAAAUGAAAGACAUGAGCUACUUUAGUCAUUUCUUUGAUCUUGGGCUACUUCACAAAUGACCUAAAGAGUUUAUGGUUGGAUACUCAAAUUGUUUGACAUGGUAUCAAAACUUAACCUUCACAAAACUCAUAUCUCACUCUUGUACAUCAGAUGGUGCAGUGUUAAUAGUGUUUCACAUGGGAAGUAAAUUAGAAAGAAAAUUAUAAAAUCUUUAGCUACAUCACCCAUAGCUAAAUCUUCAUGCUUCGACUUAAGAAUUUAAAGAUCCUUUGAAUCAUAUACGCGCUAUAAAACAUGACCACACAAUAAUUUAGAUUUCAAGACACAUUUUAAGGGGUUUAAAGAAGAGCUCAAAGCAGCAAGUUGAAUAUGAAGCAGAUCUAGAUGCAUAUACAUCCAUAGAGCAGUGCAAGGGACAAGUGCCCAGAGCAAAGUGUUUUUUAUCAGAAUGCCUAAAGACAGAACAGAAAUCAGCGAUAAAUAACAUGAACAAAGCCAUAGAGAAAGGAGGUACCACUACAACAAGCAAAAAAAAACAUCUGCCGGAAUGGUUAAAGAACAAGCGAAGAGAAAUAUAUUAAGGACUUCCAUGCCAGGAAAAAGAAUAAAAGCUUCUGAUCGGGUAAUUUAAAUUAUAUAUUUAAUAAUCAACACCAGUGUUUCGUCCAUAGGACGGAAUGGGAAAAGGCAUUUUCUCUUGAUCUCAAAUUUGGUGCUCAAAUAAAGUCGCUUUUCCAGCUCUUAACAAAAAAAAUAAAUUAAAAAAAUGGAGAUAGGUCAUAUCAGCAUUAAGAAAAAAUUUAACGCAGCACAAGAACAUAUAAAUUGAAAUUAAAGAGAAAAGUCAUCAAAAUUCCUGCAAAUGUAUGUGUUUCAAGUACUCUGGUAUAUCAUUUUCUUAAAUAAUAUUAAUAAAUAAAUAGCCAAGGUUUUUGAGAAACUAAACAUAGAUCUGUCAUCUGGACCAUCUUAAAGAAUAUUUCUUAUCACAUUUCAGAGAUAGUGGAACAAUAACACAGAUUUCAGUUCUGAAGCUAUAUAACACCAGAGAUAAAAAAAAACACCUGAGCUGCUUCAUUGGUGGCUGUCUUAGUCCACAAGGAAAGUUUAUCCUGACUCCUACGCACACUAGCAACCACCCCACAUAUAUCUUCUGACUCAUCAAAUUGCUCGCCGACCAAUGCCAUCAGCUGUUUAAAAGAAGCACAUCCAACAAACAAUACAUGAGCAUCUUUAGCAAGAAAACUAAUCAAAACAUCACUUUAUAUGAUAUAACAUACUAAAUACAGAACGGACACCAAAUGGUAAAGAAGAACUAUUACUGUUUCUAGCCACAUAGUCUCGAGAUUAGCCUUUCUGCUGCUAGUAGCAGUCCACUUGCCACCAUUGGCACACUCAGGAUCUUCCCAUUUGGGCUCAAUCCCAGCUUUGAACAAAUGAAAGUCCGCAUUAACAGUAACCUUGCUGGGCUUGAAUAUUUGAUCAUAUAAACUGCAACGAGGACAAUCCACAUUUAAGAUAAGCUUCUACCCACCAUUCUUUCUAGACCAUAAUACCUCAUUAAUCAAUCAAAAUCAAUCCAUACAACAUAUAGGAAAUUUAUGAAAUUUAAUAUAAACAAGCACUUCAUUUCGUUAAUAGUGCACUGCUUUCAUGGACAGUGAUUUUAAGAAGCCAAUUUCACUUAUAAUUACAGUAGUAGUAGUUGAAGAAUAUUAGAAAUAGAACAUUGCAGAUACUAAUAUUAUUCUCUAAAGGAACAAACUUUUUCAACAUCACAAAAUAGAGACAGGGUCAUAAACCUGCUAGGAGGCACAAAUUCAAUCAGUAAUCAGCAGAAAGAGCUCUCUGGUGAAGAUCACAUAUACUAUUAGAUCAACAUACAUCAAAGCUAUCUUAAUUGACAGUUAAAAAACAAAAAAAUCCUCAAACGCAAUCAAUUAAUCACAUUAAAAAUCCAAAUCCGGGCAAAUUUAGGUUCAGUUAUAUUAGAAAAAAUGAUUUCAUCAGAAAUAUGAAUAUCAAUUUGUAAUACAAGCCAUAGAUAGGGUUUCCACAAUUUACGAGCACAAAUCUGAAUAAACAUAACAUGAAGAAUCUAUAAAAAUAUCUCGUUCCUAUUAUACAUAAACGACAUAUUUUACCUCCAGAAUUCCUCAACAGUUUCAAAAGUAUAAGCUUUUCGAAGAGAACUUCCCCAAGCGACGCCUUGUUUCGGUUUAGACUGGUUAUCGAACCAGAACGUCCACUUCCUCUCUAGCUUAUGCGGCUGCUUCUCCACAGUCUCCGCUGCCGCUACCGACGGAAUCUCCGUCGCCUCUACCGGUGCUUCGGUGGCCAUUGUUUUCCCGUCAAAAUCCUCUCCUUUUGUAUAGCUUUUUCACGACGGAGAGGCGUAAAGGAAUUAGAAAGAGAAACAGGUUUUGGCGAUGGAGUUGUAAUUUAUACAGGCCCAAUUGAUUGAUGUUAGUGGGCCUUGUAGCUAAAAAAGCCAUGGAAAGAUUAAGCCCAUGGUUGGUGAUAGAAUGGGCCAACAUUUUGUUUUAUUUUUACUUCAAAGUCGAAAAAAAUUAAGUCGAUCUAUAAAUAAUUUUGAGGGGCGUACUCAAUGUCUUGUAUGAUAAAAAUGUAUAAUAAAGAUAGAACGGUAGAUUAUAUAAAGUAGUGGUCAGAUUGACUAUGUUGUAUGAAAUGAAGUGUUGGGCCGAUUCGAAGAUGUAAGUAGAGAAAGUGAGGAUAUGGAGAUGAAAGUGUGAACAUGCUAGUACAAAUAGGAUCAUGAAAGAAGAUUUGCAUGAAUAAGAUGAAAAUCGCUUCCGUGAUGAGCAAGAUGAAGAAAGAGAAAUUGAGAUAAUUCAAGCAUAUGAAGAGGAAAUGCAUAAUUAUUUCAAUAAGGAGUUGUGAGAUACUGACUAUAGUAAAUAUGGAUAGAGGCGGAGGUAUGUCGAAUAAAUAUUGAAGAGAGGUGAUUAGACAGAACAUGACACAUAUUGCAGCUUAUCGAAGACAUACCCUUAGAUAAAAGGAUAUGAAAAUAAAAAACUAGUGUAUAAUAUUAACAGGUAUUCAAGCAUCGUCUAGUUUCUCCUAUUGAUAUUGUACAUUUUUGUUACUUUUCAAUUUUAUUACACGUUAGUUUCUUUGCUUCGAUUAAUAAAUUAUUUAUUGUUGUCGCUAUACUCUUCUCCUUCAUUUUCUUACUUUUCUUCGUUAUAUAUUUUUAUUUUCAUAUUUCACUUUGAAAUGUUUUAUGUUAGCAUUGAUUUAGCAAAAAUAAUUUCUCUAUGUUGCAUAAGAUAACCAUAAAGCUUAGCACAUAAUAUAUAUACCCUUCUCAAACCUUACUUAUUAUCUAAUAUAUAUACCCUUUUCAAACCUUACUUAUUAUUAGUAUAAAUUAAUCAAUUUAAAUAUAAAUCGAACUAAACGGAUCAUAUUUUUGACUGAUACGUGUCAUAAGCAGCACUAAAAACUGUAAAAAGCCACUUGUAACCUUUACAGAGGCUCCAUUAAUUCCCUCUUAAUUAUUUCACUUGUAAUUAAACUUUGUUGAUUUGAUUAAAUUUUAUAGUUUGGUUAAAGUAAUAAUAAUUAUAAGAAAUGGCAGAAACAACAAUUACUGGUGGAAUGGAUCAGAGAAAUUCAGCAUUAACAACAGAGGCAACUCUUGCCCCAAUCACUAUACAACACAAAGUUAGAACUGACUUGGAAACUUCUAUUCCAAAACCCUGUAAGUUUUUUUUUUUCACGUAACACUGCUUCGUCGAUCUUUUUAAUACUACUAUAUUAGAGGCGAAAUCAAAAUUACGAGUUUAAGAGUUUCAAAUUUUAGGACGGAAGAAAAAAAUAUUGCAAAACAUUGCUUCAUCAGUACUGUUGUGUUGAUAGUUUCAUCUGAGCUGUCAAUCAAUUUUAUUAACGGUUCAUAAUAACAAAAUUGAGUGCUACACAACAAAAUGAUUUGUGAAAUCAAAUAAAUGACUGAGUUUUUAAUCGAUCACUUUGGUAAUGAAGUUAUUUUGGAUACAUUUCAAAAGAUGAAAUUAUUAAAAUGUGACAUCGCUUAUAAAACUCGAAAAAAUAUUCAGAUAUGGCUAGGGGUUUGGUUGCACCAGACAUGGAUCACCCCAAUGGAACUUCUGGCCACAGUCACAAUGGCAUGAGCGUUCUUCAACAGCAUGCAGCUUUCUUCGAUCAGGACGAUAAUGGCAUUGUUUAUCCAUGGGAAACAUACUCUGGUAACUUAUCGCGCUAGUAUAUAAUUCAGUUCUUGUCGUCUAGAAUAAUUGAAUUCUAUAUUUUUCGUCCUGGUUUUGAACAGGGCUUCGUCAAAUUGGCUUCAACGUGAUCGUGUCAUUCAUCGUAGCUAUUAUGAUCAAUUCUGUCUUGAGCUAUCCUACUAUCCCGGUAAGUUUGAAACAGAGUGAUUCGUACUGACAUGCAUUUGAUUUGUGAGUUCAAUUAGCCAAAUUCGAUGUAAUGUAAUGGAGGCAGAGUAAUUCCCCUGUUUUAUGCUCGUGUGCAUUGUGUUUCUAUGUCUCUACGAGUUAGGGGUAAGGUCUAGGUACAGUCUGACCUCCUAAACCUCACGUUGCGAUAGUAAAUUGUUAAUUUGCAGGGGUGGUUUCCUUCUCCGUUACUUCCAAUCUACAUUCAUAAUAUACACAAGGGCAAACAUGGAAGUGAUUCCGGGACCUAUGAUAGAGAAGGCAGGCAAGUAAAUAUACGUAUGAAUCGUUUUGAACUCCUCGUGUUACAACCUUUCUGAGUAUCAUGAGUUAAUAGUGUGUGGAUUGAUUGUUCCUUUAGGUUUUUGCCAGUGCAUUUUGAGAACAUUUUUAGCAAGUAUGCUCGAACUGUGCCUGAUAAGCUUAGUUUUGGAGAAUUGUGGAAUAUGACUCAAGCCAAUAGAGAUACAUACGAUUUUCUUGGCUGGUGAGUUGUUAUUCAAACACGUAACAACUUAUUUAUCUCCAAUACUUGGUGCAUAAGUUGCUUAAACGCGUCAAGCCAAAUGAGCUAUAGCUCAUUAUAGUUGUUUUAACCAUUUUUUUUUUUGUCUUUUGGUUUGAUUUGAAGGAUUGCUUCAAAAUUGGAAUGGGGACUUUUGUAUUUACUUGCUCGAGACGAAGAUGGAUUCUUAUCGAAAGAGGCUAUAAGGCGAUGCUUCGAUGGGAGUUUGUUCGAUUAUUGCAAGGCACAAAUGGGAGGUGACUAUGCUAAGCAAGAAUAGGUUCACUUAGAAGUAUAAGUCCUAGUGUUUUUUGAUAUAAGAUGUUAAAAGAUUAAGCGAUUUUUCGUCUCACGGUCAGAGGAUCUUACAUCUUAUCAUUCCAUUUUGUCUUUUCAAAGACUUGGCCGAACAAGCUAACUAUCUCGAACAAUUCAGAAAUAUGUAUUUUCCUAUGAUUUUAUCACUCCCAUUAAAAAAAAAAUUGACCUGUUUUGAUAUGCUUUUCUUUGAAUCGAGAAUCUAUCAGAAACAAUCUCUCUACCUCACAAGGUAGAGAUAACACUCUAUCCUCUCGAGAUCCCAGUUAGUUAGUUGGUAUGAUGUUAUUGUUGUCAAAUAAGUUAACAAUCAACUACUAGUAAAUUGCAUGUUAAGUAGAAAUUUGUAUGAAUCAUCUUUAUUUUUGUAUAUUUACAUUCUUAAAUGUUCACAUGCACCUUUAGGUUGUGUAGUAGUUGACAAUUGCUUGCUCCAAUAAUUGUCAUAUUUAGUGUGAAAUCAACCAAAUCAUCAAAGAUUCUUCACAAAAUUAUUCUCCCAACAUUAAUCCACAUCACAAAAAACAACAUAUAACAUCCAAGAAAUCAUUUUCUUUUCCUCACAAAAACUUGACAAAUUUACAAGUUCAUAAUCAAGCAACAUAGUACAUUGGAUUUGGAAGUUUGAAUGAUCUUUUUGCACUUGGAAGACCAUUAAUGCUACUCCAUUGGUCUCCAAUAAUGCCAACAAUUCUAUAACCUUGACUUAUAAGUUUACUUCUUAUCUCUGCCUUGAAUGUCUGUGCAUUCUUGCAUUCAUCUUCUUGAUCUCUAAAAUAUUUACUUAAAAUAUAAGUACCAAUUGUAAACAUAAAAAUAAAAAAAUGAUUUUAAAAAAAUAUAUUCAAACCUUAGUAUGAGGCUAUUCCAUCCAUAGAAAUCAACUUUGACAAGAUUGUCGACAGUGGCGGAUCUAAGAUGUUCUCUUCUCGAAGAAACAAGAAAGAUUUGAACUCCUAGUUCUUUAAGAUGAUUGAACAACUUUAAAGAAUGUUCCAAUGCUGUUCCUUUCCCUUGGCUCAUCCAAUCCUCCAAAGAUGUCACAUUUAGCUUAUUUCCCCUAUUCCACCAACAGCAAAACAAAAAAGCAUAAGCAACAAUCGAUGAAUAUCGAGCCUUAACUCAAUCAUAAAAGCUAGUUCACGAUCUGAGGAUUAUUUAAUAGAUCAAAUACCCAUCGAUCCCACAAUCAUCGUGGGACAAAUUCAACAUCCCCCAUGCUAGACUCGACAUGGUCUGUCAACUUAAUAGUGGAUAACAUAAUAUGAAACUCAACAUCAGGUACACUAGAAUUUGGAUGAGUCUAGCUCUAAUAUCAUGAUAACAAAUGAAUCUUUUGCAAAAAGAGUAUGUAGCUGUAUAUAUGACUAAAAGAUUAUGAUCCUUACAUCUUACUAGUAAAGAGAAAUCCAUAAUUCUCAACUUGAAAAGUUAAUUCAUAAGGUGACAAGGAUCGUCUAAGAUCAUUUAUUAAAUCUCUAUCUCACAAGUCAUAAAAAAAACUCAACAGAUAGUAUAAGAGGUCGAUCAUAAUAUACAUUGUUAGCGUAAAAAACGUAAAUUAUCACUCUUUUUCUCAAUAGAUAGUAUAAGAGGUCGAUCUGAAUAUAUAUUGUCAGUGUACAAAACGUAAAAUAUCACCCAAAAAAAGGAAAAAAAAUGACAAAACAAAACUUACCCAAAACCAUUUUUCUUGUAGUAAGGAACUGAGGAAAGAAGAGUAUCAUCAAUAUCAAAAAUCCAAGCAUCUUUUCCAUCAUUUUCCAAAAUACAAUUAGUACUAAUAUAAAGUAUACAUUCAUUAAUAGUUCUUUCAAAAUCAACUUUAUAUUGAGUAGAAGUCAUAUAUUUUCCAAUAUAUGCAACACAUUCUUGAGGAACAACAACAUAAUCUCUAAUGUUGUGUAACUCAACAUUCAUUCUCCAACUCUCACAAUAAUUUUUUAGGCUAAUUUGGAGACCACUAUUGGUUUUGUGUUGUGACAAAAUGUUCCAAUCUCCAAGACAUGAAGUUGAAAGAAUACAAAAAAUUGUAAAGAAAAUUCCAAAUUUUCUUGCCAUUUUUUUUGAGAUUUGAGAAAGUUUGAGUUUUAGUUGAUUUUUAUGGAGCUACUUAUUGUAAAAGGGGGGGACUAGUGAUGAAUUUUGAAAAUGGAAGGGGUCACAUGGGUGAUGGGAAUUAGUUGGCACCAUGUAUAUUAUUUUGUCCUUAAUAAAACAUGAUCUAUAGGGUGGUAGAUUGAUUAAAUUAUGUCAAUCAAUGGUGUCAUGAAACUUUAUUCUAUAAAUUUUACUCCAUUCAUGUGAUAAUCAGCGUAAUUUUAUAAAUAAAAUUUUAAAAAAAAUAAAAAAUAAGCGAAUUUUUAUCUUCUUUUUAUAUGAUUAAAAGAUUUUUUUAUAAAAAAUUCUCGACUAAAAAAGAAAUAUUGUAAUAAAUAUACGUCGAGUUGUAGGAAGGAAUAAUAUUUAUUUUAUUUUAUUUUUUUUAAAAAAGGCGUAAAUAACAACAAAAAUUUCAAACCAAAUAGAAAUUUAUAAUUAUUAUUAGAAAUAAUAUUUGUCAUAUGGGUGCCACUAGAGAGUGCAACCUAAUUGGCAUAUAUCAACAUACAACUAUCUCACAUGGAAUUAAACCUAAUCAAAUUUAAAUCCCCAACCAAACCCUUUCUAAAUACUUAAUUACAAUAUUCCUUGACAUAUUUAUGUUAGAAACAUAUUCCAUAUCCACACAUACUUUUUUGUCUGUGCACUCCCCUUCAUUAUAUUUUUAUUUUGGCGUGACGUUCGAUAUUUAUUCAGAAAUUUAAUAAUUAAAAUAUUUUAGAUGUAACUAAUUUAUAUAUGUAAAUUAUUUGACUUUAACAACAUAUAAGAAGAUCAAAUAACUCAUUAUUCACCAUAAAUUUGAAAACUCAACCCUCUCCUUUCUCCUUCAUAGAGAUCAGAUAUCUGAAGUGUGAACAAUAAAAAAUAGAGACAUAUCAUGGAGUAUUAAACUGGAUCAAUUUCGAUUCAGAUAGUAAGUCAUGAGGUAAGGAUUAUCUAAAAUUUUGUAUAGAGAUCAAAUAACUCAUGAUCAAUAACAUGAUAACUCAACAAGAUUGAAAUAAUCCUUAUUAAAAAUGAUGUUAUUUCUAAAAUUUGAAUUCAAAACUUUUGAUUGAGGAUAAAGAGAUGCUUCAUCACGUUAGAUAGUCCCAAACAUUUUAUAUUAUUGAAAAAGUUGUUUCAAGUUUUGUUAAGACCAUAAACAAUGUACUUUAAAAAUAUGUUAUAUUUAGUUAGUAAUUAGUAAAUUAUUUGAAGUAUAAUAAGUCAAUAAUUAUUUCUUAUCACUCUUGAUGAGAUACGUGGCAGAGUUCCAUUGGAGGCUCAUUAAAUUAAUGAAUUUGCAAACUUUUAUACCUACAAGAGACAAAUGUCAACAGAUUUAAUUAUUAUUAAAAAAACAUAAACCACAAAAUUUAACAAAUUAUAAUUUGGAAUUAAUCAGCAAGUAGGUAGCACGUCUCUUUACACAUCUGUACUUUUUUCUUUUUUUUUUUGGUCAACACACCUUUGUCAACUUACAGCUAUGUCAUGCCAUUUCAUAAUUAUUAUUUUUCCGUUCGAUAAUUGAUAUUUAUAUUAAAAUUUAGCUAAUUUUGAAAGUGCUUUUAAUAGGAUUUAUUUUUUUAUAUUCAGAACUCAUAUUCAAAAACUUAACCAAGAAUGAAAGAAUCUCAAUUAUUUUACCAUUACUUAAAAUUUGUAAAUCGAUUUGUAACUCAAUUGAGAAAUAUUAAUCGUUUGUUAAGUUUUGUGAUAUAAACAAUAACGAAUAUAAUUGAUCUAUCUGUUUUUGCUAAGCAGAUAGGUACAUCAUAGAUUAUAAUUUAUUCAAUCUUAAAUAUUAAUCUUUUAGACCAAUUUUAAAAUAAUUGAAGUUUUUAAAUUGGAAAAAGGUCAGUUAUUAACGUCUUUUUGCAAAUAUACUCUUGAGGUUCAUAGAUAUGAAACACGUAAUCUCAUCAUUAUAAUAUUAAAAUGAAGCAAAAAAUAACAAAAUUAUUUAACUGACAUAAUUUUAUGGGUAGAUAUUUGUUCAAAUUUGAUUGUGAUUUGAUCUUAAUUUGGUUUCAAAUUAGAAAACGGCUAGAUAUAAUAAACAUAAUAUUUAUAACUCUCAAUAUAUUUCAUAUGGUACAUAAUAGCCAUUUUAAAAUCCGACUAAAUCAAAAUUCAAUGGAUGUCCCCUAACAAAGGCAAUUCAAACCCAAAGCUUGAACUCAACCAUCUUUCCUCGAUUAUUUUUUUGGACAAGUCUUUCAAUAAUUACGAAGCUAUAAUCAAAAACUAAAUGAAAAGUAAAUGACAGUGAUAUUUAGUAGCAAAAUAAGUGGGUAUUAUAUGAACUUAUAAAUCUUAGAGCAAUACAACAUUGCUGCAUUUGUUUGUAUAUAUGACAAUAACAGCACUCCAAAUAAAAGGUAUCAAAACUGCAGGUUAACUAACUCUUAGUAGUUCAGACAAUUGCAUUAGCUGCACUAGCAAUCCUUGGCCAUAGAUCAGCACACUCCUUUCCAAUUGGACCAGUGAUAGCAGAACCUACAACAACCAAAUGCAGCUCAUGAACAAUUCGUACAUCGACAAAAUUGUGAAAACUAAACAGUUUAAAUUCUUGAUAUAUUAAGUAGAUGAUAUCAUUUUCAAAGCUUUAAUGGCAUAUAGUUUAGAUAGAUACACUUGAUGGAGAUUAAGCAUAAGACCUCACCUUUCAUUUCUCCUUUGGGAUUCACAAUCACUCCAGCAUUAUCUGCAGAAGCAUACAAGACGUGUUAUAAGCUCAGCAAAAGCAAUGAUUUUCGUGCUUGAGAAGUAGAAAACAUAACUAUUGAUACACACUCCACCCAAAUAGCAAACUUCUAUGCAAAUUAUAUAACUAGCGGAUACAUGCUACAACUCGAGGAGUACAUAUAUAGAGUCCAAAUGGAGCAGAUGUAAGCUUAAAAAGGAAUCAACACAUCUGUAACGAUGGACACAUCUAUUUUCCAGCCAUGUAACUGUAUCAACCACAGUAUAAUAAGGUUGUAACCUGACUAAUGUCUGGAUAUGUUUAAAAUUCUACACAACAAGAAGAUAACAUUGAACUCAAUUAAAGUAAAGACACUGUGUAUACUUAACAAUGCUACAAAUUGAAAACAUAUGUAGAGUCCAAAUGGAGCAGAUAUGAGCACAACAGGAAUUAACAAAUCUGUAACGAUGGACACAUACAUUUUCCAAGCAUGUAACUGUAUCAACCACGGUAUCAGAAGGUUGUUACUUGACUAAUGCAUGGAUAUUUAAAAGUUAGACAUUGAAAUAGCAAGAUAAUUUUGAAAUCAGUUUUUGCAAGGACAUCAUUUAAUAUACAACCAAACAACUAAGAAAACAAUAGCCCAAGUCGACAUAUCCCACAUAUACGUGUUCCAGAAUGGAAGAAAAUAGAUUACUUCAUGUUGGGCCCAUAUGGAGCAGAAAGUGCUUGAAUAGUAUAAGCACAUCUGUAACGAUAGACAACAUUAAUUUCCCAGACUAGUAACUGUAUUAACCACGAUAUGAAAUGUUAACACCUGACUAAGUCUGGUUUUCAAAAUUAAUAAAAAUACAAACACAUGUUUCUUAAUUCAUCAGAAACAGCUGCACAAGCAGAUAUCCUACCUUGAUACCUACUCUCAACAAAAACAAGAUAAAGAAAGACCUAUGGUAAUAAAACUUGCAAUCAAAAGAUACAAAUUUGUCCCCUAACACACUUAAUCGGAACAUUCUUUUAACUGAAGAAUUCACUUACUAAGAUCAUAUGCUUCAAAAGUUCAAUUUUUCUCUGCUAUCUCUGGGUAGUGAUCAUCUCAAAGUGAGAAAUCACAAAAAUGAGGCUCAUUUGAGGUAAUCUAAUUCGAUUAUGAACCAAGAUAAUGUGAUUGGUUAGACUAUAACUGUCCAUACAAGUGCAGAUAAGCUCGUAUCCAAAAGACCAACUCACCCUUAUGACUUGACACAUGCACAAGGUAAAAAUUGGAUGAUUAUACUGUCAAACCAGCUCACAUUCGCACACUACUUCUACUAAAACAAGAACGAAUACCAAGUCCAGAAACAGAUCACUGGAUAAUUGCACCACACCCUAACCAGCAAAACUUAUGGAAUAACUACUCACUGCUUCAAAUUCAGGGAAAUGAACAAAGCUAAAUGUAUGAAUAACUAUAUUAGCAAGGAAAUCCAAUCACCCUAGAGUAACUCUGAUAGAUUGAUAUCCACAAAACCUCAAUGUGUACACCAACUAAUGUUAAUUUUCUCAAAAGAUCACAUUUUUAUAAUCAUUUCAUAUAGAUACUUCACAACAUACUACUAUAAAAUCAAAUGACACCAAAUCUGUUGUUGAUUCACAUAAUUCAUAUAAAUUAAAAACGCGAGCUAAGAACACAAUAACAAGCAGCUCAAAUCACAUAACAACCAAAAAUCUCAGCUCAAAUCCUUAAGCUAGCAGAAAAAUAUUUACCUUCAAAGUACAUGAAAACACCAUCCUUUCGUCUCCAAGGUUUACGUUGUCUAACAAUGACAGCAGGCAUCACUUUCUUCCUCAAAUCAGGUUUACCUUUCUUUACAGUAGCCAUUACCAUAUCACCUACACAAGCAGAUGGUAACCGAUUCAACCUACCCUUUAUACCCUUUACUGAAAUGAUGUAAAGGUUCUUCGCUCCAGUGUUAUCAGCACAGUUCACCGUCGCCGCCACCGGUAAACCCAGUGACAUCCGGAAUUUGUUUCCGGCAGAACCUCCACGCCCUAAACAUUAUUUUUCAAAAAAAAAUUAGGGAAAAUUGAAGAUAAUUAAGAACAAUCAUCUGAAUUUGAAAGCAACAUAAAGUAUACUGACCUCGCUUCGACAUUUUUGGAUCCUGAAAGUACGGUACAUUAGGGUUUUGCUAGGGUUUUAUAGAAAUGGCAAUUUAGGGUUUUAAUUUGAAGAAUGUUUGGUUAUGGAACUCUAUUUGGGCUUUGUCACAUACAAAUUGAGAUGGGCCUGGCCACUUUCUUUAAUUUACUUUUGUUUUAAGAGAAUGUUAAAACGAUACAUACGGUUCAAUCAACUAGUUUGUUAAUGUGAAAAAAUAUUUAAAUACGUAACUUAUAUUAUCAUAUUCUAUUCAAUUUAAAAAAAUUAUAAAAAUCUCUACUCUAUCCUAUUCUCGGAUACUCACUUUACGCGAUGUAUCGAGACGUUGGGUGAUGUAUCCCAAAUUGAGACGUGAUGUAUCAGGAAUGUAUCCAAAAUCAGGGCACGUUGUAUCAGGACGUUUUGGGAUGUAUUCAAAUUUCACCAAAUUCCUAAUAAUACGACCAAUACGGAUUGUGAUGGAGAGGUUAUAUUUCUUUAUUUUUUAUUAGGGUCUCGAUUUUGAGUCAACUUAAUUAUGAAGCCGCCUUUGUUAGAGAGCUUUACUCCUCAUUGUGAGACUUUUUUAUCAGAAUUUAAAUUUAGUCGGACUCUAAUGUAGGUAUGAGACAUCAUAUGCGGAAAAAACGAGUUUAUUAAUAUGGCUUAUAAUAUAUACCCCUGGUUUCCAUUUUAUGUAGCAUUAUUUGACUUGAUACGAUUUUUUUUUUUAAAAAAAAGUAACUUUUAGAAAUUAUCAUUUAUGGAUUAAUUUGGCAUAACCCCAAAUAAAAUCAUCAUCAAAAUUAAUCUGCCGCAAACUAAUUAAUACUUUAGUAGGUAAGCCAAGUCAAAUGAUUUUGUUCAAUUAUUACACCCUCAUUAUUUAGAUUUUAUCACUUAUUUGUGUAAAUAUAACCUUGCAAAAUUAUCCUUCAAAGAAAAAACAUUAGACUCACAUAUUACUCAUUAUUACAAAUAAAAAUAUUAUUAUAAUGCCAAAUAUUUGUAAUAAUUUAUACAUAUUAAAAGUCUAACGUCUUUUCAUAAAAUUUUUAAUUUGCUCGAAAUUUAAAUGGCGGUCCAAAAACUUCAUGAAUCAUAAAAGAAAUAAAGAAAAAAGAUUAUUUACUAAUAAUGUGUAGGUAAAUUUGAAUGUUAGCACACGCGUUAAAUACCUAGUUAGGUUAACAAUAAUAACAAUAACAUAUUAUUCAAUAUAAUCUCAUAAGUGAUGUUUCAGAAAAAUAAAAUAUACAUAAAUAUUAUCACCUUUUCGUAAAGAUAAAAAACAAUAAUUUCUGAAGAAUUCUCUAUUUAAUGAUACCUAAUUAGGUUAAUUUCCAUAUAUAGUAAAUUAUUUGUCAUUUAUUGAGAGGCCAUUCACGAGAGUUUAGCAUCAUUAUUAAAAGAAGAUAUAGUGGAAAAUUAACAAAAAAAAAAAAAGAUUAUUCCCUCUUCACGCGUUUUUACUAUUUAUAAAUACACUAUUUUAGAAAAUAAAUCCAAUUUAAACUUAAACUUUUGUUAGCACACACUUUAACCUAAAAAAAGUAAAGGACAAUAAGUUGAAAUUGAAAAAAAAAAAUCACAAAAAAAGAUUAUAUAAAGUGUAAUUUUAUAAAGUUAAUGGGGAAGUUUUCUAUAGUUAAAACAAAUGACUAGGACUUUCUCUCGGUUAUUAAAUAUGUCAUAAUAUUUGUAUCGUAACAAAAUCUUUUCAUUCCAAAAUAAAAUAAAAAAAACUUCUCAUUACGGGCAUAGAAGUAUAAAAUUAAUUGUUUACAAACUUUAAAACGUGUUAUUCAUUUUAAACAAAUUAAAUAUGUCAAGUAAACUGAAACACAGAAAAUAUUUUGAAUACUUGAUGGAGUUUUUUCGUGUUUUAGUUUCUGAGAUUUCGACAAGACUUUCCUAGUUCAUAGUUUCGAAAGAUAUUUACAUCUAACAAACCGGAAGUAUAUGCAAGGGGUUAUUUUGAACCUAUCCCUAAACAUAAAGGACUAUUUUUGUAAUUUUAACAAACUACAAGGACUUCAUGUGUAAUUUGUAAAACUUUCAAGAUUAUAAACUUGACAAACUUAAUGUCAAAUAAUCAUACACUAUUUUGAUUUUCUCAUUCUUGUGAGCAUUUUUUUCUAAGUUUUUUCAUUCCAUUUUUUAAAAAAAGAAAAUGGCAGAAGCUUUUGUCUCUUUUCUCAUUGAGAGAGUUGAAGGAGUAAUGAAAAUAAACAAAGGUACCAUUUUAUGUGGUGCAAAAAAGUAUGUAAAAGAUCUCCAAACAGAACUCAAGAAAAUGAAGGUUUUACUCAAAGAUGUUGAAGUAAAACAAAAGGAAAACAAAAAACUAUGUGAUAUGAUUGAUAAUAUUCGAAGGAUCGCGUUCAAGAUUGAUGAUGAAGUAGAAAAUUACUACUUUGAGGUAGCAAAAAGUCGAAAAAUAUGGCUUAAAGGUGUUAUGGAACACUAUAAGAGGAUAUAUUAUGGUAAGCAGAAGAAAUUUCAGUUGAGAAUGGUUAUAUAUAAUAGUCAGGUGAAAUGGUAUACAAGGAAAUUGGAAUGUUAUGGUGUGAAGAAGAUAGUGCAUGAAAAAGAUUCAUGUAAAAAGAUCGAUGGCUUAGACAGGUGGGAAGAAAUUACGACUACAGUUAAGAAAGUGGAGAGUGAGUUUGAAGAUGUUGAGAAGUCGAAGCUUGUGAGUGUGUAUGUGUUGAAUGAGGAUAAGGUGAUGGAGAAAGCAAAGGUGUUGGUUCAAAGUUUUGAGAGAAUUUGAUGUUAGUGUCUAAUCUUUAACCAUGUUUCGAUAGAAAAGAGAUCAUCAGAGUAUAACAGAAAAUCGAUUUUUCUUGCUCGACCUUCGAAUAUUUUGUUGUUUGUUGACUUUUUUUUUUAAUUAUUGUUGCAUGGUAAUUAGUAAGUACUAGACUAUUUCUUUGACUAUAGUUUAAAGUAUUUGGACUUAUUGUAAAGUUAUUAUUUAUCUCACUUCAUUUUAUAAUGUGUUUUUCUAAUUAUAGUUGUUUAUGGACUAUAUUUUGGUGUUACAUAGUAUGACAUUUCUAUGGAAGUUUUUUUUAACAUGUUAAAUUAAUAAGAAAAUAGAUGUAUUUAUAAAGCUAUACCGCGAUUACGCAAGGUCGGUGGAAGGAGUCAUACUCGUCUAAAGCACACAUUCCACAUCUCAAAAUAGUGACAUAUAGGUGAUACGGAGACAACUUUAUACCGUGACACAAACAUGGUAGAUAAUUUUGUCAUGACACAAGCAUCAAAGAAUAAUUUCAUGGCUCGAACAUGUCACAAAGAGACAAGGCUAUCCCCUUCAAUGCAAACUAGACAAUGAUUCAUGGAAAAGAUUUGUGACUUUGUGGUCCCAAAGUCACUAGCUAAAUGCAAGGUUUUAGCACAAGAACAAUAUAUUGAUGCUCUGAGAGUAUUGCAUUUUAGCAAAGAAAUGUUGUUCAAGACUUUUACCAACCAUCAACUCCAUGCUUAGAGUUAGAGGUUCGUGCCACACUCACGAGGGACUGAGAAGUUAACGAAGUAGAGAGUUAAAUGAGAUGUAAGAGUCAAAGGCGAGCCAGAAAGGCUUCUCAGCGUAUACUGGGCAAGUAUGUAUCCAAGAAGUCAUAUACUCAAAAUAAAACAUGUUUUUUCCAACAUAGUCAUGUGCAAUCUCAUCAACUGGUAGAACAUAACAUCAGCAGUACUUUUCAGAAAAACUAAAGUGUGCUUCUUGAUCGAAGCGAUCAACAUCAUGAGUAAGAAGGAAUCUUCAUCUGUGUUAACACCAGCUGUUCUUUUCCAGAAAUAACAAGACUGUUUCUUGUAUUACCUAUAUCAUAUCUAUAUGAGCUAUCGAUGAGAUCAGCAUCAUCAGUGAGGAGUAAUCUUCAUCAAUGUAUACUUCCUAGCUCCUGCAGGUAACGGAAUCUGAUUAAAUAUAAAGAAAUCGAAUGAAGUAGUUCAAAAUCAGCAAGUAUUUUGAAGUGAAACACGCGUGGGGAUGGCUUUAAGUUACUCUAUUCUACAACAAAUGGUGCACUAUGUAAGCAUUUCAAUGUACUAAAGGCUGGUAGGUAGAACUGUAAAGGAAGGAAUAUAAUUUAAUCAAUUGGCAGAUUGAUUCUGGUCUCGAGAAGAUAGAAAGGGCAGGAAGAGAUUUGUGUAUUACAUAUCAUAAAGCUCUAGAGAAGUACUCAGGUCAAUAUGCGCAUGAAAUAGUUGACAGAUUUCACUGCAGGGCGAGUAUAAGAAAGAGAGGUAAAAAGUUGAACUGACUCUUUAAAGGCCGGUGUCUCGACAAGAUUUACUUCCACAGCAGCACUUGAAAGCUUUCACUGGAUGAGUAUGAUCGGUGAAGUCAAUACCAUAAUCCUGCAAUGUAGCAAAUUUGUAAUGAUACUUAGUAUAUCUAAGUCAACAACUAGUCUAAACCAAAUUAUACUGAUCUUUGACUUAACUCAUGUUUCCUAUAUCAAAAUGACAAAGUUCUAAUAGUUAUAGAGUUCAACAUAGAUAGGGGCUUUACCCAAGUUAACUCUUCUAAAGCAUUAACUUUCCUCGUAGUGAAAAAAGCAAUCUGCAGUGACAUUAAAAAAAAAUGCUUGCUGUAGUUAUUGCACGGGUUUCUAAGUAACAGAGAGAUACUUCAAAAAGCGUUAAGAGAAAGAUAGAUAACAAGUACAUGGUAGUAGUGAUGAUCUGGAGUCUCUACUUCAACUGGGAUCUCAAUCAAGUUACCUUCAUAACAUCUGGUCAAGAUAAAAUUACAAUGUGGUAAGUUUCAGUCCACAUUGCGAAGUAAAAAAGAAUCAAUGCACUUUUCUUGAAUGUAAAUGUGAUUCUUAGAAACAAUAAAAGCAAAGAAUGAGCUGUUGAUCAUGCAAAGAAGAAAAAAGGGACUUCUAAUGGUGCUCAAUUGGGGGUUUAUUCCAUGCCAAAUGUACAUCAAAAAGAAAGCCAUAACAAAAGGAAUCAAUAUGAUUAUUAUAUCUCUACAUGCAAUAUAUAGGGUUGCAUCUAAUUUUUACCUAUCAGUUUUCUUUCCAAACUUGACGAACCAAGUAAUAGAAACAAAGAGAAACAUGUUGUUUGUUAGUAAGUAACAGCAGGUGGACAUGAAUAUUAUCUACUUUGUAAAAGAACUGUACAAAAUACAUAUCACCGGUUUAAUGUAACAGGGGAGAAGAAGAAAAAGAAGAAAGACAAUUACAAAGAGAAAAGGAUGAACAUUAGAGCCUAACCUAUGAUUAAUGAACCUUGCAAUAUUGCCAUAGUAUGUUGCAUCCAAACAAAGUGCCUCCUCAUCCUUCAGGACACCUUCCGAACCCCAGUCUGCAUCUAGCAAAACCGGAUAUGUGUGUCUCUCACUAGCAGUUUGCGUGUUUCGCUCAUACAACUCUGUGUUGGUCACUAUUUCUCCUACAUAUUCACAAACAAAAGCACCUCUAGGCAAAUCCUCCAGUGCCCUGAGACCCCAACCUUUCCCAUCAGCUGUCAUAAACACCUGACAUGCAGGAUAAGAAUGUGUCAAACACUUCUUACUACUCUAGGUUUCUUCAGAAAUAUAGAUCAUGCACAAAACCUUUCUUUCCUUUUCGGAUAAAUCAGAUCAUUUAUAUUCACACCAAGAUGGAAAAAACAAUAUAUAUUAUAGUUCAACCACAAAAGAUUACUCCCUCUGUCCCAAUUUGUGGCACACUUUCCCUUUUAGUAUGUCCCAAAAAAAAAUGCCACAUCCAUAUAAUUAGAAAUAACUUGACUUUAAAAUUCCCCUUUUAUGUCAUACAAGGGCCUAAGGUGUGUUUUAGACCACAUUUCAAAAGUCUCCCGUUAUUUCUUAAAUUUUAUGUCAAGUCAAAGGUGCCAAAUAAAUUGGGACAGAGGGAGCAUCAUGUUUUCUCAGACCAAUAAUUUAAAUGACUACUCCUAACAUCAUUCUCACUAGUACUGAAACAAUCUCCUAUUUUUUAUGUUCAUAAAGAGGCAAAGUUAUGGUACAUGAAACUCUUGGUUUGCAAUAUUUUUCUUACCUGCAAUGGCACUGCUAUGCCUCGCUGAAUAACACGAUUUCCACAUCCCCUGCUGCAGCCACAUUUAUGCCAGCACUCUUUGAUAAAUUUCCUCACCAGAUGACCCUUGCACAGGCCAGACACGCUAUUAUUCUUAGACCUUUCAAGGGGACAGUCCUGACAAUAUACUAAACCAUGCUUUUGGGGUUCACAACUCAUUGAGAUGCAACUCUCAAGAAACUUCUCCUUGAGCAAACCACCUGAUGUGUAGGCAAAUUCACCCCCUGUUUCACCAGCACAAGCACAGGGUAUAUCUUGGGACAAACAAUCCCCGCUGCAGUUUGAACAACAGCUGUCAUCUGAUAUACGAGCAAGAAGAAACUUCACAUAUGCGUUUUGGAAAAUAACAUUUUUAGGUAUGUACUUGAAGACAGGCAGGACAUGGCUGAAUGCAUUAAUCAACGAAAUUUUAUGCUCCUCUUGACCAUUGGAGAUGUCUUCAAUAUAAUAAACAGAAUUACGAAGACCAGGAGAUGAGUGUUCACUUUGAACAAGCACUGAAUUGUUCAUAGUUGAAGAGGCAAGGAGUUUAAGAAGCUUGUUAGUGUUGUCCUUCUCAGCACCAUUAAUCCUUGUACCAUUAAAAUCCACCAUGUAGCACAUUAUAUCCCUAUUUCCUGAAGCUGUAAAUGUUGGAAUUUGAGGUAAGAUUUUGAUCAAAUUCGACAAUUUGAAUGAGCCAUUGCUAGUGUCUGGAGCAAAGUGCAAUUCAUGAUUAGUAGCAUCAUAUCUGACACCUACUGGGUGAAGUUUCUGGGACCAUAUCCCAGCUGAUGGCUCAUUUGCUGUCCUGGUCCUGGUGCCAGCUGUCAGAUAGCAUUUACACAGAUUUUCCAUCAGACUUAGCAGAAAACCAGGUUGAGAAAAUCUGUAGGACUUCAUAUACUUUUCCUCCAUCCGCUUAAAGACUGCAUCUAAACUUGGUGGGCAAAAAUCUGAUGAAGAAUAUAUCUUAUAGACAAAAGAGAGUUUCACUUCCCCGUUCGGGGUGGAAGCAAUAUUUAGUCGUGAUGAAUUUGUUGCAUCUUCUUUAUUUCCUUCUGUACCCAGAUGUUCAGAGUUGAGACGCUCCAAGUCUUGUUUUUCAAUUCAAAAAAAAUAUGACAGAAUUAAACUUCUAGACUAUAGAUAACAUUCGCAUUUUGUAAGACUUGGAAUUUGACUACAAAACCAAGAGGAAAAGAAAACAAAAAAAAAUCCCAACUUCAGACAUACAAUUUACCAAAAAAAAAGAGAAAACUUAUGACCCCUUCUGAUUCAAUAAAUCUUAUGUUCUUCAUUCACAUAGCUUUUUCCUUUUCAUCAACCAAAAAUAUCAUCGGGCUUACUAUGAGCAGAAACUAAUAUGUAAUUACUAUAAACCAUAAGAAUCUUGCUGCUAGCUUAUAUGAAAGAUAAAGCUCAAUCGAGAGUGGAAGGGGUAGCUUUUUUUGUAAAAAUUGUGUAUACAAAUAUAAUUUCACAUCUUUGAUUUGUAUCAAGAUCAUUAGAGCUGGAACAAAUUCAUAGAACUUGCACUCAGAAAAUUGUAAUCAUUGAAACUUCAUAGAGAAGAAGAAUAUAUCACUGGAGAAAGGAUUGAUAUAUAGCAGUAUGACUUUGCUGUCUUUCUUUGGCUUUCAUCAGUUAACACAUUAACUUAAAAAUAUAUAGUUAUUGUUGUUAGCAAGUCAACUCCUCCGAUAUCUCUCCCUUUUAGUCAAUAAUUUCAAUAUUCACAUCCUCAGUUAGUGAAUAAUCACCCAAACUAGCAUAAAUGACAGUCAAAAGAGACUAUAAAGAAAAAUACAUCUAGAGGAUAUCAUCAGAAUGGGUAUCAAAACUCACAAAAAAGAACAACCCGUUGACAAUUUCAAAGUAGUAAACCAUGUCUGGGGAGAGAGCAGAAUAAUCUUAUAACAGUUCUCUAUACAUGGAGGGAAUACCUGAAGGAACAACAGCAAGAGGAACAUCAAAACCUGGCAGGGUAUCAGAAAGUGGCAUUGCAUCACUGAAGCUAUACUCAACCAGAGCACCUUCUUUGGAUACAUCAGUAGAACCCAUAACAUUUGGCUCUUCCAGGCUACUACUAUAAGCUAGUCUUCUUUUGGGUUUCACAGCAGAAUAUAAACGAGAUGUGUCUCCCCUUUUCUUUAGUUUCAAAUGAGAUGACAGAAUACGAGUUUCUUGCUUGUCAUCAUCAGACAGUACUACAAUGUCAUUAUCCUCCUCUGAAACAGGAGAAGCCUCUGAAGAAAUCUGUUUCUUACCUUUGCGCUGAUGAUGGUUCAAGAGAAAGCGAGGCUUCAUUUCAACAUCCUGAGUUUCACAAGACUCGGUGGUGAUAUCAGCCAUCUUCUGCUUGCCGUAAGGCUGCAACUCUGAAGUACAUGUGUCAACACUAGGGCCGGCAUCGUGUUUAGCAGCUGAAGAAUGAUUUCCCUGGGAGUAGAGCCUAGAUCUUUUCAAUGGUGGUUCAUUUUCUUCCGGUUCAUCUUCCAUCGAGGAUUUCUGCUUUUCCUGAUCAUCGGAGGAAAUAAAUGACAUGCUUUCACAUCGAAAAUUUUUGAAAGGAAAGAAUUAAAGAUGAAGGAGCAUCCUACUUUUCUAUUUGUGCAUGAUAUCAAGAUAGAUAUAUAUAUUACCACACAUAAUCUUCAUAAAGGAUUCACAUGUCGCAAAGGGUAUCAUGUGGUUAUGGACAAAAAUAAGCACUGAAUCAUAAGUAACAACAAUACCUUAGACUCUUCGCUGUCUAUAAUAGACUCCAAAAGAACAGAAUAAUUCUCAUCUUCAAUAAGCUUCCAGUUUUUGUUGUACAAAUUCAGAAGGUUCCUCAACACUGGCUUCACAACUGUUUCACUAUAGCCAAAAACCUUCAUUGCCUCAAAGGCCUUUGUAACUCUAGACUUCGAGUUUGGCGCCAUUUAUUAUACUAAUGUAGAACUUUAAGGAGCUCAAUGAGGUUAAGGUAUAUCUUCUUCCUUUCAAUGCCCAAAAAAAACAGAAAAAACAUUACAUCUGCAUUUAAACCACAAAAAAAAAAGCAGAAACAAUGUCUGAAUUUUACCAACAUGAUGACUGGAAUAAUUUAUGCAUAGCAUAAUAACUUAUUAGAUGACAUUCCAUGUUGAACGGUAUUCGAUACAGAUCUAUGAGAACUCCUGGCAUUUUUUCAGAAGCUAAUAGGAAGUACUAUAGAAUGUUGGUUUUAUCAAAUAACUACAUGAAUUUUUAAAUAGAAAACAGAUGAUAUUGUUAAGUAUCUAACCGAUAUGUCAUCAUCAUCAACAACAACAACAAACUCAGUGUAAUAACCUCACAAGUGGGGUUUGGCGAGGGUAGUGUGUACGCAGCCUUGCCCCUACCUUGUGAAGACAGAGAGGUUGUUUCUGAUAGACCUUCAGCUCAAGUAAAGUAUAAUAACAACAAGUAUUGAUAAACCGAUACUUCAUCAUGUUCAGAAAUUCCUAAAGAGAUCAGUCUGAGACAGUAUAAAAGAGUUGACUGCAUAAUAAUCAGUUCAUCAGUCAUCAUAUAUACGUCGUAACGCAAUUUUCUCCCACUGUUCACUAAGUCAUGUUUCAUCACUGACAUCUUCGCUAUUACUAUUUCUUUUAAACAUCUUCUCUACAAUCCUUUUAAACACGAGUAAGAGAAAAGUCAUCUCAUGACUGGAACUGGCGCAAGGCAAGGCAUUCCACAUUAAUUAUGUCCUUCAACCAUCCAACACACCUAAUCUUCGCCCCCUAACCCUUAUUCUAGAUUAUAACAAAUGUUUUUAAGAAAAUAUUUUUUCUGCUUACGUAACGGAUACAAGAAAAUAAGUAUAGAACCUACUUAUUUAUAUAUUUUGUUGAACGUGAUGUUCAAACCAGCUUUAACACACCUCAACUAAUUCCAUGGAAUACUUGCCUCCCACCGGCAACAAGUACCACGAAUCUCUAUCCACCAAGUCUAGGACAGAUAAGAACGGAUCACCGACUAUUUUUGUCUCCACUGAAAUUUGAACCUGAAACCUCAUGGCUCUCAACCACUUCAUUGACCACACAAUACACACCCUUGGGUGCAAGAUCCCGACUUAUUUUCCUAAAAAAACAUUUUCCUUCAUAUCAAACACACCCUAAUCCUCAGUAUACAUCAGAAACAAAACUAACGAGAUAUCACAGCAUCAAAGAAUCAAAACCCUUAUUUAACAGAUGAAACAUAAAAAUAGAAAAUAAUAAUUGAAACAGAACCAUGAACACCUUAACAUGGGGAAAUCAGAAUCAAAUUUUAUACAAAAGCAAAAAUACAUAACAACGAAAAAACAAAAUGUAGAAUAGCACAGAUUCCAAACUCCUCUGUUCUUCCAUAUCCAAACUCCUCAUCCCUUAACCAGAGACCUCGAGUUCGAAACCUAGGUAUGAAAUAAUUCUGUCUUGGUAGGAAGUGAGAAACCAAACAAAAACACACACAACAACAAUAACAAAAAAAUACAUUUCAAAAGUUAAAAUUUUUAUAUCAUUUUCUUCAUUUUUUCUUCUGCAUGAAACCAUUUUCACUCUCUAACAUCAAUGGGUUAUAUACGCCAACACAGAAUCACUCAAUGCAAGACUGACCCCAGUAGUUUUUCAUCGAAAUUCUUCCACAAAUCUCAAAAAAUCAAAUAAAGUUUUCACCUUUUUACCUUAAAAAAAGCUUGAGGAUCAAGAAACACUCAUGUGGACCAUACUCCAACGAAUCGCGUUCAUCUGAACUCAAUAAUUUUAACUUUUAAGCAAUAAAUAUGAACCUAUAACUUUAUAGAUAUAACGAUGGAUUCAAGCCCUUUAUAAUUCAAAUUCUGAAUUCGCCUCUUCCGAUACCUAAAAAAAGAAAAAGGAUAAAUCACUAUACCUUUUUAUGGAAAAGUUGAAGAAAUAGCUUUUACUUUAGCAUUUGGACUCCAUCAAAAAAUUCUUUUUUCAACAAUGGUGAGAGAUAAAAGCUCCAAUAAGAAUUUUCUAUGUAUAUAUAUAAAACCAAAUAAGUUAAUUCUAAGUAUAGUUAGUAAAUAUGAUUAACUAAUAAAUGUAUUUAAUAAAAGAAAUUUUUGGGAAAUCUUAUUCGUUGACUGAAAAAUGUUAAAAUUACCUCUGAAUUAUGUAAAAAAAAUUAUUUAUAUCUUCCGUUACAUUUUGAAAUCGAAAUUGCCUCAAUCGUUAGGUGGAGAGAUUCGUCUCACUUGUCAGAUUAUUAAAAAUUUUAACUUUUGAAGAUAUUUGUGAUCUUUUGGAAUAACUUUGAAGGCAUUUUUUUAUCUCAAAAUGUAAUGAAGGACGUAAAUAGUAUAUAUAUUUUGCAUAAUUCCAAAGUAAAUUUGACUUUUUUUCGUGAAAUAAAUUGUAUGACAUUCUAUUUUAUUUUCACAAAUUAAUGAAAUCUAAAUUUUGUACUUUUGGACUAUAAACUUUGAAUAUAUUUUUGUGAAAUAAAAAGAAAUUUCAUAUGACAUAAAUUAUUAGAUAAAUCACGAAUAAAAUUUGUAAAAAUAUCUACAAAAGAAAAUAGAUAUACUUUUUAGUUUUUACUGUCAAUUGUAUUUCUUUUUUUUCCUUUUUAUUCUACAAAUGAAAAAAAAAAGUUUGUUUUUAUUUUGGAGAAAAUGACAUGAAACAAUUUUACUGAUGUUGAUUAUAGGUUGAAAUAAUAGUUUUCCUAAAUUAUUAUUAUUUUCAAAAAAUACUUUUUUUAGACAUGCAAGUAAAAUUAGAUAUUAUUUGUUUUAUAUAUAUUAUAUCGAAAAACUUGAUUUACAUAUAUUUGAGAUGCACUGACUUUCUCCUCUCACGUCCCUUAUUUCACAAUGAUUUUAAGUAUUUAUAUAAUUAUCAAUUUUAUAUAUCAAUGUAUCUAUAAUCAAUUUUAUCUAAUACUUUGUCCAUAUUACCUUAUCCUAUUUCAAUAUAUUGAUAUGGCCAAUACAUUUAACUUAUUAAAAAAGGGAAAAAAGAAAUUGACAUUUCAUUAAUUUUGUAACGAUCAUUAUAUUUCUAGCAUAGUUAUUAUGUAGGCUGUUGAAAAAUUGUUUGAGAUAUAUUUGGAAUUCUACGAUAACAUUUAAAACAGAUGAAUACUUAUCACUUUAUCACAAUUUUUAUUGAUCGCCACUAAACUUUGAUCAAUAUAGACCAUCGAUUGUUUCAUCAAGACCGUUGAUUUUGUAGACUAAUCUUGACCACUCAUCUUCACUGAUCCAACGGUUCAUAUCACAAAAUAAGAUUCCCCAAAUCUCUUAUUUCCUGUUUGGGAAAACAAUCUAAAUCAAACAGAGGUUUACAGAACACUGCCUUUACCAUUUCCUCUCAAUUUGUCUCUUUUUACUCAAAACAAACACUGUCUUAUCAGCUUUUCUCAAAGGUAAUACUGCAAAAUAUUUACUCAUAAUAGGGGGAGAAUUUGAAAUUAUGUUCUAUUUGUAAAAAUUAAAUGUGUACUCGUAUUAUUUGACUAUACAACUACACGUUUAAUUUAUUAAUCACUAAGUCAUAUCCUUGAACACGUAUAGUUGUGCUAUUUGAUAACAAUCAUGCUUGUGUUAACCUUUUUUUGGUCACUUUCAUCGAAAAAUGUGACCUUAUUAUAGGUAUAUUUUUCAAAUUUUUUUUGUAUAUGUAUACAUAGUUCAAGCCAAAAGCAGUAAAUUCAAAAUAGAACAUGUCCAAAUGCCUAUACUACAGUUCCAUAACAAGGUCAUUCAUCAACAAGCUUGCUACUUCCAUAUGUAACACUUGACGCUACAACAAAACGAAAGAUAUAAUACAUAAACAUAACCUAACUUGACUUCAAUGGACAAUUAUGUCCUCCAACUUUGAGUGUGCGUAAGUAAGAACUGAAGCGUAUAUAAACUUAAACGAGUAGACACGCGUGUCCUACGCGACAUAAUACACAUGAGAUGCCAUGUAGGACACAUAAUUGUCAUGUAGAGUGUCAUGUAGGACGAAUGUGUCUAUUUGUUCAAUUUUAUACAAGUUUACGUAUCUACUUGUGCACACCCAAAAUUAAGGGUCAUGGUUGUCAACUGACGCCAAGUUAAGGGUCGUGUUUAUGUAUUAUGCCUUAACGAAAGGAUGAAAACAAUUGCAACAUAAACAUAAGGAACCAAAGAGUUUAACCAACCGUCUUCUGACCCCACCCCACACUUCUGGGAUUACAUUGAACCCACACUUCUGGGAUUACAUUGAGUACGUUGUUAUCGUUGAUUAGCACAAAGAAGUUUACAGGAUUGAGUUUUACCAUUGACACAAAGUAUGUCAUCUUAGAUGAGUUCCAAGAACUUGUGUAAAGAAAGCAUGAAAAUGCAGUGAUUCAUCAAUAUUGUCUACACUGUGAACAUAACAUCACACAUGCUAAAAUCAAUGAGAAAGAGAGAGAGAGGCCUCUUACAAUCAACGAUAGACGAUAUUGAAACAUAACUGAAGUUUCCGUUGAUGCCUGAAAGUUGCACUAGAGAUCAAAGGAUCAACAAACCACUCAAGAAUCAAUAUGUUUCGACUUUCAUUAACUUAAUCAACGGUACAAAUGGAUGUCCCCCCAUCCAAUAGACGAUUUGUACACUGACCGCUGCUUCUAAAGUGUAUCAUUCAUUACACUAACAAAAUGAUAAUGUGAGCUAACAAACGAAUCUCCUAUCUAAUACUCUACCAGCUAAGAGAGACAAUCAUAUGUUAUAUCUUUGAACCAUUUCUAAUGGUCGAUUUGUCUGACUUCUUUUAAAGAAAGAGAGCUAUAACAACAGAUACCAUACUUGGUGUCAUCUUACUUCACUUCCUGUACAGUUUCGGUCGUAGGAAAGGACUAUGUCUAUGAAUGAAAGCAGCAGCUAUGGCGAAAGACUGCAAAGCUGAUAGAGUCGAAUGAAAAUGGAUGUAAUACAAACCAUCAUGAAUAUUCGACAUUUUCAUGACUGGUGCACUUUGUUUCAAACCCUGCAAAAUCGUGGAAAAGAAAAUCGGUUAGUGACAUUUCAACAUUCCACAUAUUUAAAUGCAUAGUUGCUUGAAGAACAUAGAGAACAAAAACUUAUAAUGAGAUAGACCUGUAUAUAGAGAUCAAAAGUUUGACAGUCCCCGGAUGUAGUUUGUGAUGAAGCUUCAUUCCCAGUUUUAAGAACUGUGAGGGGGCACCCGAGAUCCCAGCCUCCACAAUCACAGUGCCCACCAGAGCUCCACCGCUCCAACAGGCUUGACGGCCCAGCAUGUCUGCUUCUAGGUCCACCAUGAAAACCACUUGGAAUUAUAACAUCUGUGCUUGUUGAGCAAUCACUGGUGCCACGUGAACGACAUUCCACCGAUAUCUCAGGAGGUGCAUUUUUACUUCCAGUCGGAGAUUUCUUGAGAAACUUCAUACCCCAGCCACCCUUCUCUGCCUCCUUGGAGCUGUCAUUAAGAGGAUCUCUGGUAACAACGGCAGCCAGCUCAAAAUUUGGCGGAAUCUGCUGAUCUAAAAGAGCAUUGCCGCAUGAAUAAUAAUCAUCAUACAUAUCUAUGGAUGGCGUCCACGAAGCAUCUUCAAGAAUGGCGCUUGUUCCCCCGAACUUGGAUAAGCUUCUCUGCUUAUAAGACUGACUAGUUCUGAACACAUCUGUUACUUUCUUUGCCAACUUUUUGUUCUUCCUGAGGAUAUGACUUGUUUGUAUCUCAUCCAUAUAUUGAUCCAUGGAACCAAACACAACAAAUCGCGUCUCCAUAAUCUCCAACUUGGUUGGGCUGAGUGUCACUGAAGUUGACACAGUCAUUUUACCUACAAGUUGUGAUUCCCUUGCAGAGAAGGCGCAUUCCUUUUUGCUUUCUUGUCUUGAAUGAAAUGUGUAAACAUAAUCGAGAAACUUAUCAUCAGGUGAGUCAAUCUCCAGCAGAUCAGCUACAUAAACUUCCUUUUUACCAUCUAUGGAAAAGACAUAAUGUGGUAAACCAUUUUUCCAUCUCCUCUGGAACAUUCCUUGAGAAAUAGGGGCAGCUGCUGAAAGACAUGAUUGAUCUGAGCAUGUCGAAGCUGUACUAGAUACAGAAAGAACCCUUCUGUGUACAUGCUCAGAUCCAUGAUCUGUCAUCUCCUUCUGUAGCUUCUGUGCUGAACUGACACUAAAACCACCGGGAGAGCUCAUGAAAUCAGAAAAACUUCCUUCUUCACUGUCAUUUAUAUUUUCCUUUCCAGAAUCAACAGUACAGUUAACAGAUCCAAAUUGAUUAAGUAAGGGACUCUUUAAAAUGUUCAGCAUACUCUUACUACCAGUUAUAGCACCAAGAAUCCACUCCGCGGAGGAGUCAGGGACAUAACUUGACUCAAUCCCCACAGUUUGAGGACAUUCGGUCGCCAGAUUACCAUUAGUGUGGAGAUUUUCAUUUCUAACCUCUCUUGAACCUGAACUCUUUGAUAUAAUUUGCAUCUUUGAAGAGAAGUUACAUGUGGAGUGUAUGUGUACCAAUUCAAGGCAGCGAAGGAAGUAUCUUUCGUCAAAACUUAUUAUAUGCUUCGGAAGCUUAUUUUGUAAGCCAAGAGAAUUAUGAAAGAGCAAUUUCUGAGCGCAAUUUCCAGUAAAAUGCGGGUUUUCUAAUCUACGUAGGUGCUGUGGUUCUAACUCUUCUAUUAAUCUUGUCGACAAACAACUAUUCUCCUCUGCUUGUUCUUCCUUGUUCACAAGCUGCAAUAAACCUUCUUUAUUAGGUUCAUCCUUGUCCAUGUUUCUGUUUUCCAUAUUCCACCUCCAAGGUGAUUAAACAUUAGAAAACAGAUAAAAUGAACUUUCUUCCUUCACCUUCCACAGUAUAAACACGGUUAUACAAAGAGACCGAAAUCCACCAGCACUACAAGAAUUUUUAUGCAUAAAUCAGAAGACAGAAUCUUUACAAGUUAAAUUACUCAAAAGAUUAAAACUUGAUCAAAUAAUGAGCUACAAGAGGGUAUACAAAACAAGUGUUUUGUAGGUGAACAAGAUUACAAAAUGGGGAAUCGAACUCAGGUAGCCAAUCAACUUAGCUACUAAGAUUCCCCGUCUACAAAACAAGUCUCAGACUGUAACAGCUGAAAAACAGAAGAAAAAAAAAUCAAAUCUUUGGCAACAAAUCUCCUUACAAAAACAGAAAUCUACUUGUGGUGAACUUCCCAAUAGCUGGGAGAGAUACAAACAGUGAAAAGAAAGAACAAAGAAGAAUGAACAGUGUUAUAUAUAUAUAUCUCAUUAAGCUUAAGCAGAUCCUAGUUACAUUUCAAGAAUCAACAAAAACAGUAUAAACAAUUGCAAGUUUGCAACAACUCCUAGACAAAUUGCACAAAAAAUACAAACAUAACAUGUUCAAUAAAUAGUAAGCAAAGUACUAAACAUCAAACAUCAGAAGUAAAAUCAAAAGUUCAAUAACUUCCUCACUCACCUCCAAAAAAAUAUGAAACCCCACUUCAAAUUCACCUUGCAGAUCAAGCUUUAAGCUCUUUCAAUCCCCUUCAGAAACAACAAACACCACAUAAAGAUAAACUUAAUGUUAGCCAAUUUCAAGACAACCCCACUAAACAAAGAUAAGAUAUACAAUUAGUCCUUCAAAAAGUCUAUUUUAAAACAAAGUAGAGAAAGAAAAGCAAGAAACUUUGGCUAUUAAAGAAAUAAAAAUUACUUCUACAAAAGUAUACCACAUGGAAGAAACCUCAUCCACCACUUUCACCUCCAACAACAAAAUAACUGUUUUUAGACGAAUCUUGAUUCUAGAAGAAGAAUACCAAACCAAACAUAUAAAUAAUAGAUAAAGGUGAAAUCUUUAGCUAAAUUCAACUAAAUGGGGUUCAAAGAUGAGAUGGGGUGCAUUAAGCCAUGUUUGGUUUCUUGGAAAAAUUAGGCAAAACUAUAGAAUAGGCAAUGGUGGGGUCCAAGAUUUGCUGAAAUCUUGCAUUUUCAAGGUCCAAUCUAUGGAGUAAACCAAACCCCCCUUAACCCCACCACCCCACAUCUAUAAACGAGUGAAAACAUGAUAGAGACAUACAGAAAUAUGUAUGUAUAGGUAAAAGAGUAAAGAGAGAAAAAGGCAAACAAAAAUGCCUUAGCUGGUUAGCACAAUAAGAUCAGUCAUGGACUAUUUGGCAACUUGACACUAUGUCAUGUAAUUUUUCCAUUUUUUUUAUAUAUAAAGAUUUUAUUAUUUUUCUAAAUUAAGCUCGGGUUUGAAAAUAGAUUUUGAAGUUGAAGUAUGACAUUUCGUGUUUUUGAAAUUGUAAUUAGAUACAUACGUAUAUUUUUGGAAAAGAAAAUUGAAGUUUCGCGAGUGAAAGACCUAAAACUAGUUAAAAGUUGAAGUCGGUUUUUGAGAAUUUGAAAAUCAACAUUCUAAAAUCUGAUUAAAUUUCAUGGUCAAAUAGAUAUUUGAAGAUCAAAUUUAUAAUCAAACAUAUAUUUCAAAAUAGUUUUUUUGAAAAUCUAUAAUGAACGCUAGUUAAAUAAUUAGUUGUAAUUUAGUCAUAAACUUUAAAUACUUUUCACUUUAUUUGGAAUUUAUAGAAUUGAAAAUAAGUUAAAUUUGAAAUAAGACAAAAUAUUUCACACAUUUAAAAUACAACUUUAAAUUGAUUAAAAAACUUAUCAUCAAACACCAAAUUUUAAUAUUAUUUAAAAAAUAUAUAUUUUAUGACCAAACGAGUACUUGUUGUUUUGAUUAAGGAAAAAAAUUUAUUUAUUGCUAUAAAUAAGAAAUUCAGAAGAAGAAAAAAAAGUCAUUAAGCAAUAACUAAGAAAUUUCUCAUAAUUUUUUUUUAUUAUCAUUGAUUUAAAGUCACAAAUGGUCACUAUUGCAUGCGGCUAAUUAAUGUUGUUACAUUUUGUUGAAAAUAAAUAACUAAAAUAUUACUUGUAUCAAUUAUUUAAAUUGGGGCAAUUCAUUCAAUUUAUGACAUUAUUUUAGAACAUCAUAUAAGUAUAUGAUUUUCAAUGUCACAUCUUUAAUAUAAAAAAAAAAUAUUUACACGUAAAAUCAAUAACAUACGCAAAAAACUUUCUAUAUUAAUAUAAUUUUUUUAAAAAAAACAAUUUACUAUAAAAUGUUAUAUUUUACAUUUAUACCUAGUAUUUUCAUAUAAAUGGUAUCCUACUCUUCUAUGAUGUCGCUUGGAGCAAGGUAUAUACGUGUUUACGUAAGAGACCGCGUCAUAAAAUUUAAAUAUAUAAAUAAAUAUAUUUAUUUUUAUAAUUAUUAUUCUUUUAUGUUUUCUAUUCGAUGUUUAUCCGCAUUAGAUUUUCAAUUAAAUUUGAAAAUCGCGCAUUGCAGAACUCAUUCGAAGAGGUGCUUUGAACAAGAUUUUUUUCGUAUUCAGGUCUCAAAUUCAAGACUUCUAAUUAAAGUGAAGCAAUUUUAUAAAUGCAUCAUGAUCUGUGAUAUUUUAUAACUAUUCAAAUUAUAUAAUAUGGUUCACAAAAUUAGUAAUUCUACUAGUAUGCCACCAUUGACCAUCCAAAUGCAAGAAAACAAAAAGACACUGCAAAGAUAUAAAUAAACAUAGGUACCUAACAACCUUGAAUCUUGAUACCUUUUAUCCAUCACUUUUCUUCAAACAUGUGACUUCUCUAAUAUAAUAUCGGAGCGGAGUGUGGAGUCAGUUUAUGAUUAGGGGUUCAUUCGUUUUUCUAAUGAUACAAAAAUUAUAAAAUUUAAUUUAAUUUUAUGUAUAUAUAUUGAACUUUCUUUAGUUCGUUUUUUGUGUUUACUAUUUUAGAUUUUAAAUCUUCUUAAUUAAAAUUUUGACUCUACGAUUAUAUUUAUAUUAUUAUUUUCUGACUUAGAUCAUGUACAGGGUAGGACAUAUUUUUUAUUUUUUUGUUUUUUUGGGGGGGUGUUAUGUUUCCAACAUGUUUUCGAAAUUAAUGUUAUAGACAUAAGAAAUGUUCUUUUGUGAAAUUAAUGUUUGGUGGUAGAUUUGUCUGUGAAAUAAAUUAAAUAUUAUCAUGUUUCAAAUUAUUGAAUAUUGUCAUGUUACUAACUUUUUCUUUAAUUGUUAUUGUUGUUAUCUUGACUAAUUUUUUAUUUUAUUUUAUCUGCGGCGCAAAAAUCUCAAUAGAUUGGAAACUUGUGAUGUAUUUGGAAUAAAAUAAAACAAAACAAAACAAUAAAAUAAAUAAUAAAAGAAAAAAAAAGAACAAAAUUUUGCUUUUUAAAAAAAUAAAAUAAAAGUGAUUAGAGAGAAUAAUAAAUUACCAUCCCUUAUAAAGUUAGAAUUAAAGUUAAUUGACUUUUUAGAUACUUCCAAAGAGGAUAUAAUUAAUUUCAAGUUUUAAACCUAAUUACUAGACUUUCGAUUUAUUCGACAUACCUAUAUGAUGGAAUAUUUUUUCAAACUUCAAGAUGAUUGAUUAAAAUAUUUAAUUAGUUAUAUCAUAGUUACGAAAAUAUUGAAAAAGAAAAGGUUAUUUUUAAAUUAGGUCGAAUAGAAGGAUCGUGAUCAAUCGUGCUUUAUAAGAAGAUCGAUUAGGGAAUUUGUCCUGAUAUGCUGUAUAAUUCUUUCAAUAAAUGUAUACCCCUUAAAUAUGAAGCCACUACAAAAAAAAUGAUCAUUAGCGAUAUUUAAUUCUUAAUUGCAGCUAAAUAUGUAUUUUUAGCGGCAAUUGUCACUCUUUGUAUAUGUCCCUAAAGCCUUUAGCGUCUUUGGUUCUAAUGACACUUAACUAAUACCGGUAAAGACAUUAGCACUCUUUAUUAGUGUCAAUACUUAAUGCCGCUAAAAGUUAUUUUGCUAUAAUGAGCCAAACAUUUUCUAUCUGGCGUUUUAAUAUUAUUCAGUUUGAAGCAUGACAUUCAAGGAUCGAAAAUAAAUCCUCUGAAAAUCUAACUCUAAAAGGAUACUAAAGUAAGAAUAUAUUUUGCUAAAGAUAAGGAAUAAAUGAACCAAAAAAUGUAUUGCACGGUAAAAUUGAGCAAUUUCGAUUAGUAUACAUAUCGAUAAGUUUAAAUUAUUUCCCUUGAUUUGGUUUUAGAGUUGUUGUUAGGUUAUUAGCAUUUUAAUAUUAAUAUUUAACCUAUUAAAUUGCUUUAUUUUGGAGUUAUAAGAAUGGAUGACUUCUACAUCAUCCAUUAGCAUUGGUUAUCCAUCAAUGUAUUUCAUUCUUAAUUCCUCUAUUACUCCCUUUGUAACCUAUGUAACAUAUGUAACUCCCUUUGUAACAUAUGUAACUCUCAUUGUAACCUAUGUAACUCCCAUUGUAACCUAUGUAACUCCUAAGGCCAUUAUCUUCACUAUUUACUACCUCCAUUAUCUUCCUAUUCAUUGCUAGGAAAACUUCUUGUAGUAUAAAUAGUGGUAGUCUUCAUUUGAUUUUAGAGACACACAAUUCAUAAGAGAAAACAAAGAGUGAAAGAGUUAGUCUAAAGAGAGUUCUUAUUAGUUGAAGGGAGGUGUUUUUUUUUGUGGAGCUUUGGACUCAACUCUUGUCCAGAGUUGUUGAGUUAUACUUUGUAAAGGCUGUUGUAUCCUGGAGGGGACAAGUCAAAGAGGACUACUGUUGGACCGGUGAAAACAUUUGCUGCAGUGGGCUUGAAUCUCCUUAAAGAGAGCGAGAUAUCCGCGCCUCAGCCUGAAGAGAUUACUUUCUUCAUUUUAUUUUCAAUUAUAAUCUUGCAAUUUUAUUAUCUUGUAAGUUUUUUCACUAACAGUUGUAACUAGAUGGACAAAAAGCUAGCAUUGUUAUUGAAAUAGAAUCGACAACAAUCAACAUGAGUUGUGGUUAGAUGAUCGUGAUUCAUUUAUCCUUAAUUAAAUGUUUCAAGUUCAAGCCUAAGCCUCUCGAAAUAAAACAAUAUCAUAUCGAGCGCCCUUCUCAAGCCAUAUUAAUUAAGAGUGUAAAAAAAUAAAUAUAAACACAUGUACAAUCAUAUAACUUUUGUACACCACAUAAUUUUUCAAUGAAAGACGUGUAAUGAACCACCCUUCCCUAUUCUAAUUAGGUGGCUUGCUCAUAAGUCCUGCAAUGUAAGAAUCUAAAUUUAAUCAGACUUUAAUAUAAAUAUCUAAAAUAAAUUGGGAAAAAAAAAAUAUUUGACAACUAUUUUCUUAUUGAGUGGUAUGCAGCAAAUAUAGUUGUUAUAUUUAAUUUCUUAUAAUAUAUUUUUUUUAUGCAUUAAAACCAUAGACAACUAUUAAGAUAGUGCAUGCACAUGGUGAUCCAUUAAUUCACAUAAUGGAAUGAACAAUUUGUUGAUUUAGACUUUUCAAAUGAUGAAUGAAGUGAUCCACUUAUUACACAAGGUAUUCAUAUGUUUUGCCUUGAUCAAUUGAUUAGUUCAAUGACUAAAUCAAUCAUAAUUAUUAGAUUUCAUAUCUAGAAACGAUAAGGUUCGAUGCGAAAAAAAAUAUUUUUAUAAAUUUAAAUAUAAAUACAUUUUUGUAGAUAUUUUAUAAGGAGACGGAAAAUAUUGUUCCAAAAGAAUAUAGUGGAAUGGAAGUAAGCGAGGUGGUAGCUAGCAAGGAGUAGGGGGUGGGAGGAGAUACUAUCACGUAUAAAUAUGUUUUUUAUUCAUCUUACAAGAUCAUUUUUUUAAUAAUAUUUUAUGAUGUUUGACAAGGAAACAAAAAAUAUUAUCGUAAAAAUAUGUGGUAGGAUGACCAUGUAGCGUAAAGUGUCAUUUUUAUAGAAUUUGUUUUCUCGAUUCCGUCAGUGAAGUUAUUUUUCUAAACGUUUGAUAAGAAAACAGAAAAUAUCAUCCCAAAAAUAUAUAAUGGAUGAGGGUGGUUAGGGUAUUGGGGUAGAAAGAAGACAGUAAUAUUACGAUGUUAUUUUAUUAUAGAACAUGUUUUUUCUACUUUUUUUUCCGAUUCCAUAAAAUAUUUUUCUAAAUAUAUUAAUUAAUUAAAUAUGUGAAAUAUAAAAAAUACUUUUCACCGUACCAAAUUCCAUUAAGCUUUCUUAUUUCACUUAAAUUGUUUGUUAAUUGUAAAAUUCAAAGAAGAGAAAAUUAGACAUUAGUCUAAAUUUGAAAAGUAUACUAUAAAUAUAUAAACAUAACACGUUAAUGUAAGAUUUGAAGACUUCUUAUUUUAGAUUAAAUGGAAGUUAUAAAGAAUUUUGUUUAACAUUUUAUUAAACCUUUUGAAUUUUCUCGUGUUCAAUAUAUGCUUUCAUCGUUUUAAUUUUUGUGAUAUUUUUUAAAUUUUGAGAUUUAAAUAAGUUUAUUUUUUAUUGUGAAUUUUUUAUAAAUAUUUUAAAUUAUCAAUUAUUGUGUUUUAUAGUACUUUUACGUUGUUUGUAGAUAUAUAAAUUUCAUUUCAAAAAAAAUGAAGAUUUCAUACGCACAAUUCUGAUCAAAUUUAAAUUGUUUGACUUUAUAAAACAAUUUAAUUAUCUCACAUAAAUUAAAACAAAUUGCAAUGUAUAUUGUCCCUAUUAAAUAAAAAGGUCCAAAUCAAAGAAAUUGUAACGUGUGACAAUUUCUAUCGCUAAACAAUAAAAAUUCAUCAAUCUAAUAUAACAAUGAGUUAUUAAAAAAUUAGUGAUGGUCUAUAUUGUCUAUGCAACAAAGACAACAACAUAUUCACUAUUUAUUUAUUUUUCAAAUUUGAAAUUCAAAUUCAUAAAAUGGACAUGAAUCCAGAAUAUGCUCCAAUUAUUGUAACACUAGAAAGUGUUUAUUAAUUUUUUUUAAUAAAAACAUUAUCUGAUUGAUUUUGAAUUUAAAAUUUUGAAUUUCAAGAAAUAAAUACAAAAGGGACAUGACUUUAUAAUCUAUUCACUUCUUUUCAGAGUUACAAAGUCAAAUUUAGUAGUUACACAAUUAAUUAAAAUUGUUUCAUUUUUGAAAACUCAAAUUCAGGUGGUGGUAGGGCCAAAUUAGAGAAUCACUCACUAUGAACCAAUUACGUGGUGGCGGAAUGAUUGUGAUUUUUAUACUUUUAAUUAAUAAAAAUUUUGAAUUCGAGCAACUCAAGAAUGAAAAAAAUAUUGAGAGUAUCGUAAUUAGAAAUAGUCAUGCAUUCAGACCAGUCAAGCUCUAAUUCGAAUAUUAAAGACAAAGAAAAAAACAUGUGAACAAAUGAGUAUUAAUGCAAUGAAUCGCAAUGAAAUAUUUGAUUGACAUAGAAAUGUUUGUUUGUUUGUUUGUACAAUUAACAACUAUUUAAUCAACUAACUCUUGAGAAAUAAUAAAUAAAUCCUUGUUGUUCAUCAAAGUCAAAAAUUUUAAAUGGUGACAAAUUAUUAUUACUGUUUUAAGGUUGAUUUUAUCAAAUGUUUUUACUCAAAUUAUUUGCAUUAAAUUUCUUGUAUUCCAGAUUAUGGGAGUGAAAAUGACUUGUUGAUUUAAUUACCAUCAAUUUAGGCAAAUUUAAUUAGUUUGAAAUUGGAAGUGUCAAUGUGAUGCUUGUGAUCUUUCACUUCAUCUUAUCUAAAUAAUAAACGGUGGUCAGUACUGCAGUAUAUAUCUGUUGAAGAAGAAGAAAACUGACGAUAGGAACAGGUUUAAUGCAGUUGACUGACUUGUCUACAUAGGUAGUCUAAUCUUAGUAUUCUUCAGUGGUGUUGUAACUCGCCAGUCAGCUUCGUUGGACCUGUUUCUUCGACAUGUUCCAAUCCUCAGCUUCCUUCUUCAUCAAUAUUUGUUGUAGACAAGUCAGUCAACUGCGUUGGUCUUAUUCCUUUGACAUGUUCCAAUUAUGAGUUUCCUUCUUCUUCAACGGUAUCUUUCAUUUUUAAUCAAGAAUCUCAUAUUUCAAAAUUUUAAAAUAAAGUGUCUCAUGUAAAAGACGUUUUACUCCUAAAAAGUGAGAUUUCCCAACACAACUAAUUCAGAACUCGACUAAUUAAAUUCAGAUUCACUUAAAAAAAAUUAUUCUAAGGAUAAAACACUUCCUAUAGAGAUCAACUUUAUUCUCAAAACUCAAAUUCAUUCUCUAUCAAAAUUAAUUUUAUUUUCAAAACUCGAACUCGAGACCGAAUAUUCACCACCCCAUUAGAAUCUUUUGGAGAAAAUGUAGCAUGUGGCCAACCAUAUAUCCUGUCUUAUUAACACCUUUUUUUGCAAAAGUUUGUAAGAUGAUUUUAAAAUGGAGUUUUCAAUUGCCCCUCCAAGAAAAGGAAAACUUUGUACUUUUUAUAAAAAAAAAAUAUAUUAUAAUAUAUGGUUUUAUAAAUCAACAUAUAUAAUCACAAGAGUUUUGGCAGUUACAUAAAUAAUAAAUUCAUGUCUUUGAAAUAUAUUAAAGAAAAGCACAUCAACUUUGCUAUCAUUUAAUUUUCAGAAAAUGUAUAUCUAGUAGUACAAUUUGAGGCUAAAAAAAAUUAAAAUUUGAAAUUUUUAAAGUAGGGUUUGGAUGUAUAUUUUACUCGAAAAGUAUUGAUUUUUAAUUAAUUAUAUUGAAAUAUUUAAACUUCGAGACCUUUUUUUGUGAAUGGCAGCCAAGUAUUUGGACUUCUUUGGCACCAAAUUUCAUACAUAUAACAAUUUCUAACAUUUUUAGAACCAUAUUAUAUAUAAUAAAUAUAGAUUUUCAUGUACAAAGAAAUCACAAAUAUUUCAAAAAAUGCUCCAGACAAUUUUUCAUAAUUAUUUAAUAUAUGGGAGUCAUUAAUCAAGAGCUUUCUGUUAUCAAUAUCAAUGUAUACAAAGUUUAUACAUAGUUCAUACAUACCAUUACAAUACACAUCUUAUAUAUAUACACAUUCCAAAACAUCAAAUAGGAGGACCAAAUUUGGAGGAAAAGCUUGAAAAUAAUAACAAAUCACCGUUCGGGAAGAAGGUCUGAAAUAUAUUCGAACUUUGAUCGAAAUUAUUAUUAUGAUACCAAAUUUUGGAAAAGAUUUUUUACCCUCUUGUACUAUUUAAUAGUGUAUUUUAAAGGUAUAUAUGUGCUCACGUAAACAUAAAAAUAUUGCAUAAUUAUAAACAGUAAUGUGUUCACGUGAGCACAUAUAUGCCUUUAAAAUAUACUAUUAAAUAAUUCAGAGAUAAAGUUCUCCAAAUUGUUCAUGCAUGUGACUUUUUUUUUUAUACUGACACAUUUUUAUUAGUUAAAUGUCAAUAACAUACUUAAAUUAUUGAUAGUGCGAAAAAUAUUUAACUUCUAAAAACACGUUUGCUGACUGAAAAAAAAUGUGUUUUGAUUUUUCUAAAGUGAAGUCAUUUGUUUCAAUUUAUAUUUUCAGUUGAGAUUGUUAAAUAUGUUAAUUAUGUGUUAUCACUUUUUGUCAUGGUGAAAUUGUUUUAAUUUCCACGUAACAAUCUAUGUGGAAACUUUUUUUAUUAGUAAAAAUUUAGGUGUAUUUUUCGUGCUCAGUGGCGGAGCCACCUUAUCAUUAGAAGGUUCUUAGAGAUUUGUUUUUCAAAUUUAUUAGUAAAAAUUUAGGUGUGUUUCUCAUAUUCAGUGGCGGAGCCACCUUAUCAUUAGAAGGUUUAUCGAAUUUUUUUCGGCGGAAAAUUAAAUUAAUUUUACAUGGUAAAAUAAUUUUUUAGGUAUAUAAAGUAGAUGUCGAACUCCAUUCGACUACUUCGUGUGUUCAUAUUUUUAGAUUUUCAACUCCCUUACUGAAGAUUAUAGCCCACUACUGCUCAUACUCCAAAUAGUUUAGGUUUGAAACUGAAAAAUUUAAGUGUGUUUUUUGGCAUUUCAUUAUAAAAAGGAAAAGAUUCAAAUAUAUAAUUGAACUUUGAAAAAAAAAAAGUUAUGUCAUGUGUUAAAAAGUUUGGUUCAUCUAUGUAAUUUCCGUUUGAGAAAAGACUCAUCCAUGCCAUUAUUUGUUAAUGAUAAUAAUUUUGAUUUUGCAAAACCAUUUUUUACACGUGAUCAAUUAUGAUUCGGCCAUGCCAUUAAUUAAAUUAUUUUUAAAGGAAUAAGGAUCAAAUAUGUCAUCAAAUUUUGAGAAAAGACUCAUUUAUGCCAUUAGUUAAAAGUUUGGUUCUUCUAUAUCAUUUUUGUUAACAAAUAUUGACAUGUAUGAGCCUUUUCUUAAACGAAAAUGGCAUACAUGAGCCAUUAUUUAAACGGAUAAUAUAAAUAUGAUUUUUCUCGAAGUUCAAUGACAUAUUUGAAUUUUUCCUCCUUUAAAAAAGGCAUAAUACAUACAUUGAACCCUAACUUGGCUUCAAAUAUUAACUUUGACCUCCAACUUUCGUAAUGCACAAACAGACACUUUAACUAUCCAAGUUUUAAAUAAAUAAACGCAUGAGUCCUACAUGACACAAUACACGUAGGACACCACAUAGGACAAAAAAUGACAUGUAGGACAUGUGUGUAUAUUUCUUCAACUUUAUACAAGUUUGAGUGUCUAUCUGUGUGCAUCCAAAAUUGAAGAGCAUAAAUAUGAUUUGAAACUAAGUUAAAAGACGUAUUUAUGUAUUAUGCCUUUUAGAAAAAUGUCUGAAGUUUGGCGUUGUUAAAGCCACAACUUUAGUAAAAAAACAAGUCUCAAAUUUGGCAUUGUCAAGGCCACAAACUUAGGUUUUUUUUUUCUAAUUAUGGGUAUUGACAAGGCCAUAACUUCGAUAAAAAUAUCUGAAGUCGAUCUUAACAAGUCAUUAUAUAUCUUAAGCCAAAAAAAUAUAUAUUUGAAGUUUCCAAAACACAAAAGUCUAACUUACAAUAGCAUAACAUUUACAAAAUUUACAUGCCCUAACUAAAGAACAUUGAUUAAGUUAUUACAAGUUAUUCUUUGUUUUCUCUAAUUAAUUAGUUUAUGACUAAUUAAUACAUCCCAUUGGAAACAAAUUUCUGCAAAAAUUGUAUCCAAAAUAAAAGUUGACAGCUGAUCAAAUCCAAGAUUGCUUGAUGCAAUAUUUGAUUCACAUCACACCAAUAAUAUAUAUAUAUAUAUAUAUAUAUAUAUAAUGAAUUCCACCUCUUCUUCUUUCACCACCUAAUACUGUCACACAAUAUAUUUUAAUGAGUUUAAUUAUAUACAUUAAUAGUAUAAAGUAAUUUUUACAUUAUGAAAACACCUAAAAAGUAACUAUAACUAUUCAUAGAAAAGUUGUGAUUAGUAACAUGACAAUAAGUCAGAUUAUCUGCUAUAACAUGCGAGGGCAAAUAUAAUUUCGGUAUAUUGAGUUUAUUUGAAUUCAAUAUUUUUGAUAUAGAGUAUAAAUUUAUACAUAAGAAUAUAUUAAAAAUUAUGAAAAAAGAGUCUGAAAAAUACUUUAAUUUUGGUAGAAAUUGUUGUUACGAUACCAAACUUUAUGGAGGACCUUUUACCCUCUGCACUAUUUAAUUGUGUAUUUUAAAGGUAUAUAUGUACACACGUGGACACAUUACUAUUUUAAAAAAUGUAAUAUUUAUGAUGUUCACGUAAACACAUAUAUAUCUUUAAAAUACACUAUUGAAUAGUACAAGGGAUAAAAGGUCAUUUCCAAGUUUGUUAUCGUAACAAAAAUUUCUAUCAAAAUUAAAAUAUUUUUCAGACUUUUUUUUCUAAAAUUAUAAUAAAUAAUAUAUAUGAACUCCAUAAAUUUUAAGAUAUGUUGGGUUGAAUAUUAUGUAUUAGGUAGGGCCCUCGGCCUUUUUUAUUAGGCAUAAUACAUAUAUUGGAUCAUAAACUUGAUUUCAAAUUUUAACUUUGACCUCCAACUUUCACAAUGCACAAACAGACACUUUAAUUAUCCAACUUUUAAAUAAAUAAACACAUGAGUCCUACAUGGCAAAAUACACUUAGGACACCACAUAGGACAAAAAAAUGACAUGUAGGACAUGUGUGUUUAUUUGUUCAACUUUAUACAAGUUUAAGAGUCUACUUAUGCACAUCCAAAGUUGAAGGGCACAAAUGUGAUUCGAAGCCAAAUUAAAGGGCAUAAUUAUGUAUUAUGCCUAUUUAUUAAUUCAAUCCAUUUUGAUCGUCCAAAGAAUUUGGUUGGCUUUAGCUAAAUAUGUAACCCUAAAUGACCUAUGGAGAAAUCUUUUUAGCUAAAUAUGUAACUAUAAUGGUACAUUUAUGCGUUAUGCCCAAAAAGAAUGACAUGUUUUUAUAUUUAGUGGUAAUAAUUUUAACUUUUAAAAUGACUAUUUUAUCCUUCGUAAGGCCUUUUAAACCUCACAAGUAUCUGUACUUUAUUUUAGAGCACAAGUUCCAAGAAAAACUUCUCUUUUUAAAUUUCGUGUCUAGACAAAUAGAUAGUUAUUUUUUUUUAAAAAAAACAUAGGGAUAAGGCACAAGGACCCCCAGACCAUGAUCGGAAAUCGAGCAACACUCCCCUCCCCCGAAUCCAUUCUUUUGUAAUUUUGUACGCCUUAUUGACUUACUUGGCAUCCAAAUAUCUCCCACACGCCUCAACUACGUGGAGUCACAUAGUGUCCCAUGUAAGCCAAAAGAGCAAUAGAACCUUAGUUUAGUUAAGAUAAGUCUCUGAAAUUUCGAUCAUAUUAAUCUAGGUAUACUUAUGCCUUAUUCCAAAAACACAAGAAGGGUUGUUAGAAGAGUACCUUGUUAUAUGUAGAGGAAGAACUUAUAGGAGCAUAUUGUAGAGCUUUAUAGGAACUCUUUAACUUAGUGCAUUUGACCAUCUGUACAAUAGAGAGGUGUGCACAUAUCAUAGGGACCAUUAGUAGUUGGUACAUGACAAUUUGAGGUGAAAAUUGUGGCAUUGUUGUCAUGAUGUGUUGAAGAUGUAACCAUAUUUGGAUGAUACAUUAUAUUAUUGAGUCCAACAUCUUCAUGACUAAUUGUAUCCUCUUCAAUAGUACCACAAGAAUUUGCUUUACUUGCCUCACCAAAUUCAUCAUUUCUUGCAAAUCUUCCCUUCACUCUUGGCCUACUAUCUGCUAGUGUUUUUCUGCAUGCAUACUGCGAUUUUUUGAAAUAGGGUUAAUUUCACGUAUAAUCACUGAAUUUCAUAAAGUUAUUCUUUUUGUCGCAAUUAAAAUUUCAUAAUGCUAAAUUGAGGUCAAUAUAUAUAGAGGAUUGUCCUUUUGUUGUAUUGUCUCGAAGAGACAAAAACACUUAUAUGAAUAAUGCUAAUUCUCAUGUUGUUUCUAGAUUCAUUUCGUCGAGAGUCUUCCUCUCUCCGCCCCUUACUCAUUUUUUGAAAAACACCGUCCUAAAUUUUCUUUUUGUAUAUCAAGGAAAGUACCUCGCUCUCAUCUUUUUGCAUUUUUUAAAAUUAUUAUUAUAGAAUUUUCUCGAAUCUCUAUAAAAACAAAAUAAAAACCUCCGGUGAAAGAACAAAUAAUAGGAGAGAGGAAAAGUAUGGGAAAAAAAGGAAAGAAGUCUAGUGCUAGAAGUGCAUCGCCACACAGAAUGUCUUCGUUAAAAAUUUAUAUUGUAAACAUAAAAAAAAAAUUAUACCACAUAUCAAAUAUUGAAUUUCUGUCUUCGCCAUUGCUACAAAAAAUUUUAGGAGGAGGAUGAGAUGGAAUAAAAGUUAAAAUAGUAGGAAGAUGUAGACCUUAAUUUUUUUGCUGAAAUUUCUCUCAUUUCUUUUCUUCAUGUAUCUAUGAAUUUUCUCCCUCCUUUCUUCAACUGAACACCUACCAGAUUUGAAGUUAGGAUCUUCAAAACUUGUGAUUUCUGUGGCCAAAGUGUUAGAACAACCACCACCACUAACCAAAUGUUGACUCUCAUUGCUCAAUGCCUACAUAAACAUAUCAAAAAGAAAAUCGCUUUACAUAUCAGUAUCAGAGUCAGGAUGUUCAUUCAGAUAAUUCAAAAUAUAUAAAAAAACAAAGAGGUUCAACAUAUAGUAUUCAUUAAGAUAAAUUUGACCUUUUUAUACAGUGUAAUUUUCCUGCAAAGGAGUAGCUCAGACAUAACGAUAAUCACAUUAGACAUAAGGUGGUUUAUUGCCUCGAUCAGGGAGAAAAAACUUUUUUUUGUUAUCGAAAAAUCCCUCUCCGAUUUAUUUAACUUAAUGAUAAUUACAUCAAACAUAAGGUUGUCUAUUGCCUCGAUAUGGGAGAAAAACUUUUUUUUGUUUUUGGAAAUGGUACUUACAUCGAACAUAAGGUGGUCUAUUACCUUGAUUUGGGAGAAAAACUUUUUUUUUGUUGUCGGAAAAUCCCUCUUCGAUUUAUUUUAACUUUACUCUUAGGCAAGAACUUACUCAUUUCCUUUUUACACCUUGCCUAGUCCGACAUGGGGUUCAUCUGAAGACACUUAUUUUUUACGCAUAUACAGUAGAUUGAUGAAUUCUUCGUGUGCAUACACAUGAAAAGAAAUAAAUACCUGAAUAUCAUUGUUAUAGAUUCUUGACAAGGAAUCAUGGCAAAAAAUUCUACCAUUUUCUCCUUGAUAAUCCAUUUCUUGAUUUGGCAGUUGAGAUCCAAAGAACAAUGCAUGACUAUUAGCAGCUGCAUCAAAUAUUGUGUUGUUGAUAUUUCCUUGAAGAUAAUUCACCAUAUUAUGAUCAAGAAAUGCGCAUGAAGGAGUACUCGUCACUCCUCGUAUGUAAGGAGGGAGAGAUGUCAACGAUUCAUCUUCGUAUAAUGAAGGCCCCAUAAGAUGAUGAUGAGACAGGGGAAUAACAGAGCAAUUUACGUCGAAUGGCUCCUCUUGUUGUUGUAAAAAAUGAUGAUCAGGAACAGUGAAAUUCGCGGAUGGGGUAAAGUCUAUUGAUGCUGAAAUAUCGUUAUCAAUCUCAUCCUGUGUGUCAAAUAUCAUCGACCUAUUAUUGUUAACAUUACUCAUAGCUGUUUUUGUGAUCGUUUCAUCAUUUUUCUCGAUUCUAUUUAGAUCGAAAUUUGUUGUAGUGCUAGUACUAUAAGAAGAAUUAUUUGAGGUAGAAGCAACAUCUGAAUUUUGUAUUUCUGAAAAAAGUUCAGAUUCACAAAAAUUCAAAAUUUGAUCAUUUAUUGGGCUUGGCAUCUCUUCCUACAAAAACAAAAACAAAAAAGCCAUAGUCAAAAUAUAUCACUUGUUAUUAAUAGCAUCUUUAUACUACUUUUUUCAUAGAAUAGAAUCAUGUCGUUACGUAUGUUAUCUAAAAACCAUCUCUUUUCAUGCACGAGACUCGACAGAUGCCUAACACUUUAAUGCAUGUAUAUUAUCUCUAUUUCUUUAUGUAAUCUGCACGAGACUCGACAGAUGUGUAACACUUGAAUGUAUAUUAUCUAAACCUAUGCUCUCUUUCUUUAUGUAAUUUGCAUGAGACUCGAGAGACACCUAAUACUUUACAGUAUGUUCACUUAAAAACUCUUUGUGGCAUCUAAAAUUGUACACAAAAAAAAAUAAAAAGGACAUGAAUUCUGAGGAUUAUGUUAGUGAAAAAGAAUCCUUUUGUAGCACUAAAAGGCUAUGUUGAUAAGCAUGAGACUUUUGUCUAUAGUUUUUAAGUUUCAUAAAAGUCAUUUUACAAGAACCUUAGACUAAAAAAACAAGAAUCAUUUUUCACAUGGAGAACUUGAGUAAUAAGCUUGAAAAGCAAAAUAUUCUUUGAUUAAAUGCAACCUAAGAAAAUGAAAGGAAUAAUAAUAUGAUCUAAUUCAAGGUCUUGAAAGAAAAAAAAAUCUAAGAGGAAUAAAAAAAUAAUUCAAUUCUCAAAACUCCAUUUCUAGUAAAAACUUGAAUCUUAUCUAUAUAAAUCUGUAAUAAUAAUAAUAAUUAAAUAAGAAUUCAACAUAACUUGUACAUUAAAAAGUUGAUGAUGUUCUUGAGGAUGAAGCAUCAUGUCUUGCAUCAUUGUUGUUUCUUGAUUUAAUUUUUCAAAAUCUUGAAAAUUUAUAUCAUGCAUAAUAUCAAAGGAGAAAAUUUUAUUAAAAAAAAAAGUGAUUAAAUUGAUUUCACUUUUUUUGUUACCUUAAUGAAACUCAUGUUUGUAACCAAUGGUAGAGAGAAAUCCAUGCAAGUAAAAUAGGAUUAUUUUUUGGAUUGAAAAAAACAAAGAUAAGAUAUAUAUGAGAUUAUUUUGAAAAUUUGGGAUUAUUAUAAUAUGAAGAUGGGGUGGGUUGGGGGUGGGUGGGUGGGUGGUGUUGGUCUAAGUGGAAAUACAAAGGUAUACAUUUUAGUUAUAUGGAUUGACCAUAUAUACAUUGAAAGUGAAACCUAGGUUGUUGGUGGGCCAGUCAAUUUGUGGGAUAUCUCAUGAAAUUUUGACACGUGGAGGGAGCAUUUCUAUUUUAAGAGUUAAUUACUUAGAUAUAUUCUAGUUUGAAGUAUUACGACUUCUAUAAGAUUUUGAUACAUCUAAAUAUGUUUAGAAUGUUCAAAUAUAUGUAUAACGGGAUACAUGAGGUCAAAAAUAGGUGCAGUUUGUUCUAGAUACAUUGUAUCCAAAUGAUUCAUAUAUUUAAAAUAUAUAAUAAAUAUCAUUCGCUUCUUUUCUAUCUUACUCGCCCCUCUCCAAUGUAUAUGAUAUUUCAUAUACAUACUAAUCAGUCACAUGUAUGAGAUAUAUAACAAAUUUAGUUUGUAUCCAUUGCCAUCUCGAUUGCCUUUCUCCCUUUGUUAGUGCAUAUGAUAGCAAAAAUACAUAUAUUUAGGUGUAUCUUCUUCAAAAUAUGAUAGAAAACUCUUAAUUAAUGGUAAAAUACAUAAUAUUUUAAAAAUAUAAAUAAUAAUAGUAGUAUAUAUAAUAAUGGAAUAUGAUUAAUUACGUAGUUUCUCCUUUAAAAAUUAACGCCCUUACGAUAGUGAUGAGGUAUAUCACAUAUACUAUUGAAUUCUCGUAUUUAUUGUUUAGCCUAAAAAUGAAGACAUAAUAUAUUAAAACAAAUUGUAUAAACAUAUAUUUAAGUUUAUCUCAGCUGAGAAGUAAACAAUAUUUCAAUUUGAGGUAUGCACAUUUAGACACUUCAAGUUCGUCUUUAGUGUGUUAGCUUGAACACUUCAACUUACAAAAAGUCAUAAGCUGAAUACAAUUUGUUACAUCAACAUCUAGUGUUCAUGAGACACAAUAACGAUGAGUUAAUAUAUUUCAUUGUUAGCGAUGAUCAAGUUAAAAGUGUUUAAAUAAAGCUUGGUGCCGAGAGUAGGUUUCGAGAACCCUCACACGAAUUGAAUGACUUCACUGGGUGCAUGGAGACCACUGGGCCACCCGCCUCAUUAUGGUAGAGGAUUCACAAUAAAUUUAUUUGUACGUAUUAUUUGAUAUUUUAAUACGUACGUAGGAUUUACGAAAAAGUCAAUGGAUUUGUCCAAACACCCUUCAGCUUACCAUAGCUCCACCCCUGAAUUAAGGUACUUGAAAGUAUAUACAACGCAACAUAUUUAUUAGAUAGAUAUAAACAUCGAAUAUGAAUAAACUUUUACCAUGAGACAUUACCGUAAAGUUUCUUCAUAAAUGCCAUAUGUUCAAUGAAUAUCAAAUGCCUUUCUUUUUGGAACUCCUCAAAAAUUGGGUGGCUGUUAUUUUUUGAGUGCACAUUAAAUAAAUUCGUUUUUGUGCGAUAACUCAUAUUUCGUGAUUCUAAAAGUCUAGCAAAUACUUUGGAAUAAAAUACCUAGUCCUAACUAGGUGGCUUUGCAUAAAAAAUCACCUUUAUAUGUAGUACAAAAUGGCAGACAAAACACCCCCAAGUUAUAAGAACCAAGAAAAUCAUGUGUUAUGAGGUACUAUCAAAGGUUAUUUUAAUUUGAGUCUUUACCAAAUCAAAAUAACGCGUGGAUUCAAAAUUUAAAUAUUCUAGAGGUCGAAGAAGGAAGGAAUUUCAUCAUAACCUAUUUGAUUUUCUAUAUUUGAAAUCUAUUUUCUGUACUUGAUGAACUCUUUUAAUACUUAUACAUAAUUUGAGCCAAAACUGUCGAAUUUGAUUGAACUCAUAAUUUGUACACUAGAUCCGCGUGCCAUGCAAACAAGUCUAGAUAGUCGUUUAAAAUUACAUCAAGGGUACGACAUAGUGAGUAUCAUUUUAGAUUGGAAACCAUGAAGUCCGAGGUUUCAAACUUUAAAUAUCAGCGAUGACAAAAUUACUGUAUGAUCUCUUUCCAUUUGCCUAAUUAAGUAUUGGUGGACAUAGUUGCUCAACACUUAUGACAGUAAGAUAUGUAACAAAUAUUCUGUAAAAUUAGUCUAAAUGCGUGAAAUCUGCGUGAAAAUACACCAUACUUGUUUAGUCUAGGUUCACACACACAUUGUCCUCAUCGGCUUCUAUUUACAUGCACUUCAUGAUAUUACCAAAAAUAGCAAAUACACCUUUCUAGAGACAUUUGCUUUUAACUAAUUAUAGAAAUAUUCUAGCUCUUCCAAUACUAGUUCUUGAAUGAAGAAUAUAUAUGUGAGCAAUAUAUAAAAGUGAUACAAUAAGAAUCAAGACUAAGGUUGUACAUGUUUGUUCUUUUAAUUAGCAUUAUUGAGCUAUAUAUAUAUAUAUAUAUAUAUAUAUAUAUAUAUAUAUAUAUAUAUAUAUUCUAUGGCAUUGAUGAGAUGGUUGUAAAUUGUAAGCAAGGUUAAUUUGUAUGUGUUGUUUAUGUCAAAGACUUUUAAUUCAUACAUGGCUGCAUCAAAUGCCAACAAUUGUGGAGAUUGGCAUCUUUGGGACUAACAAGACACUAAUUUCUAAGAUGAAAUGACAUUUUGAUUCAUUAUUUAUCAAGGUUUCUUGUUAUUUUUUGCAUAGGAAAGCCUAGAUACUAGCUAGGCACUUCUAUAAAGAUUUUAUCUUAUGUCUGGUUAAUUAAACUGGUCUGAAGAUAAUCUUAAUAUGGUGAGAUAUUUUAUUUUAUUGUUUUAGUCAAGUCUGUAUGAAGAAGAGUUUGAUAGAGGAGAUUAGAUAUGACAUGAUUCACUUGUAUCUAAUCGAGGCAUGACUCGAGAUAAGAAGUUACAUAUAUUGAGGAUUCGGAUAGAAGUGUAGUAUGUAGCCAUGUUGCAUCGAGUUUCUCUUUUUUGUAUUGUCAUUAGUACUCUCGUAUUAUCUUAUUCGCCGAUUUUCGCAUUACCAUUUUUUCUUCUUCAGACCUUGAUGGAGAUAGGAGGUUGUGAAGAUUGAGGAUUAGGAUAAAAGGAUAAUACGUACUUGUGUCGCAUCUCAUUUUCCUUUUCUCUAUUAUUAUUAAUAUUUUAUUAUUAUCUUUAUAACCUUCGAUUUUAAUAUUACCUGUUGUUUUCUUUUCUUCGAUUAUCAUAAUAUUUGCCUUUUGGUACUGUUCUUUUCUCAAGGUAGUUUCUACUUGAAAAUUUGUAUCAAUUGUAUCUCUCUCCAUCUUGAUUUGAUAUGGUUUAUUCGGGCCACUUUUCUAUUUGAAACAAUCUCUGUAUCUUCGUAAAAACAAGAUCUCCGAACUACAUGUAAGGAGAUAAGUUGACAAGUAGAGAUAGUAGUUUGUUUGUUUCAAGUUAUCGUUAUGUUAUUUUCAUACUCAUUUUGUAAAUUAUUAAUUUUUGUCCGGUCACAUUAUUACGAAGAAUAUUUAUCCUAACACCUUAUAUAUAUAUAUUUUUGAAUAGUAAAAGUUUAUUGUAUCGAACAAAUCUAUUUUUACUUGGGUUCAGAAUUCAAUAUUGGUCCUUUGCUUUUUCGAAGAGUGUAGAUUCAAAUACAAUACUCAAAAUAUAAUAUCUUAUGCUAAUUAAUUUGUCUCAAUAUGAUAUAGAGAUAGGUAAACUUUUUUUUUUUUAAUAAAAAAACUAUUAAAUUCGCUAGAUACCAUUUUUAUUUGGGCAAAUGACAUAAAUAACAUACUUUUAGGGCUAAACGAACAUUUGUCCCUUAUAAGUUUCUAAUGAUCAAAAUUCCUCAAAAAAAAAACAAAAAUACGGAUACAUAAUAGGGCUGUACAAUAAAAAAGUUGGCGGAUACAUUAUAUAUUUUUGUCACAUUUUUGAAUCCGCCUCAUUUUUUAUCACAUUUUGAUAUCCGCCUCAUUUUUUUAUCACAUUUUUGUGUCCACCUCAUUUUUUAUCACAUUUUUCUAUCCGCGUCAUUUUUACAUUUUUGUAUCCGCCUCAUUUUUUGUUACAUUUUUGUAUCUGUCUCAUUUUUUGUUACAUUUUUGUAUCCGCUUCAUUUGAUUUAAAAAUGAGAAAUUUUAGAUAUUUUUAAAACUAAUAGGGGAUAAAGGUAAUAAGUGAAGUUAAGGGAGGGAUUUUUGUUAUUUUUCCUUUUUAUUUUUAUUUUUAAAAUUCUUUUAUGUAGAAAUAUUAAUGUACAUGAUACUUAGCCAAAUUAAUAUAGACAAAAGAACCUUUUCUUUUUCCCACUGUUGUAGCCUGUAGGGAUGAAAUUUGGCUGAACAAAAUAUAAUGCAUGCCUCUCACAUCUUAAAAAUUAAUAAAAUGCUAAUUAAGCUAUUGAUUCUAUUUAGUUUUAGAAUUAGAAUAUUAGUACAUUUUUAUAUCUUUGUUCCCUAUGCCCCCCUUAUAUUGUAAAAGAAAUAAAAAAAGGCCUCAAAUGGACUUAACGAAUUGAAUCAAAGAUGACCUUAGACACAUACAAAGCCUUACAUAUUGUUUGAUGUAUCAUUGACAAUGAUACACAAUUAAGUGAUCAGAGUUAUAGUGGAGUAGUUGAGGUCCUUUUCUUUUCAUUCAUCGAACUUUCAGUAAUAAAAGAAAUUAUGUUAAAAGCAUUAUCAAAGCCUUAUAUAUUGUCUGAUGUAUCAUUGAUCAAUAGGUAAACAAUUAAAUGAUUAAAGUUAUGGUGGAAUAGUUGAGAUCCCUCCCUUCUUAAUCAUCGAGCUUUAGUAAUGAAAGAAAUUAUGUUAAAAGCAUUAUGAAAUCUUAGUUAUUGUCUAAUGUAUCAUUGAUCAACGAGAGACAAUCAAACCAUUAGAGUUAUGGUGGAAUAGUUGAGAUUCCUCCCUCCUUAAUCAUCAAAAUUUGUAAUAACGAAAAAAAUUUCGUUAAAAGCACCGCCUAUAGAAAUGAGCAAUACAAUACAUAUAUUUGAAAUUAGUUAGACCCUAAUACGAGUACUGAAAAAUCACGUAUGAAACCCAAAAGAAAUGAUUUUGACUACUUAAUUUGUCAUUAAUUUUAGAUACUAAGGUCUAUAAUUCAUUAAAAAAUAAUAAUACAUUCGAUUUUGUAAGUAUAUUAGUAUAUAUAACUGCAAUAUUUAAAAUAAAAUGAUUAACCUUAUUUGAACGUUUGAAGUAAUUUCUAAAAUGGCUAAACUUACGUAACCGACUACCGAGACUUGUAAAGAGGUAUAUUCGGGUCUUUUUGGGUCGGGUCGGAUCCUACCAUAUCCCAUUCUUAUCAUCUGAAACCCUCAAAAGUUAAAAAAAAAAAAAAUUCUUCAUUCAUCUCCCUCGCUCUCACUCUGCAUCAGCUCCUUUUGUGCUGCUUAAACCCUAGCUCUACCUCUUUGCCUUUCUCUCUCUUUCAACAAUGAACUGUUCAAGUAAGCUUCACUUUCUCUCUCUAUAUCGCUAUUUACUUUUUUUUUCUCUAUGCACAUUUUUCGUAAUAUAGAUCUUUUUUUUUGCGUCUCUGAUCUGUAGUUUUCACUGUUUUUUUUCUCAUUGCAGUUUCCGGCGAGGUGCCGGAGGAUCCAGUAGUUUCGAAGAAGUCCGGACUCCUUUUCGAGAAGCGUUUAAUUGAAAGACAUAUCUCUGUGAGUCUUUAUCUCAUUUUGUACUAAUUUUGUUAUUUACCUUCGUUUGUUAGUUUACUUAUCUAUGUUUGCUGUGUUAUUUCCAAUCCGUGUUUGUUAUAGAGAGAUAUCUGUAAUUUGUGUUGAAUUGAGUAAUAGCUUGAAAAUUAUCUGCAUUUCCAGAAUUUUAAACUCAUUUUUGGUGUGUGCAGUGUGUGUUCUUUUAGCAGUAGGGUUUUUUAUUUGAUCUGUGUGGUCGAUAUUGUGGUUAAGUUUGAAGAGAAAUGGAUUUAUGCCCGAGGUUGUUUCACGCGAGAUGUAGGAAGGAGAAAUUUGGAAUAAGUAUGGUGUUAAGGCGAACUGUGCAAGCUAGUUAGGGUUGGGUUAUAUUGAUCCUCUACAUUGAUUUUUUUAAUUUGUAUGCGUUUCACUAAAAAAAUUAGUUGUUUGUCUUUUGUAUAUUUAAGCCAGUGUAAAUUUUGAGUUGCUGGUCUCUAUCUUCCCUGUCUACACUCCUCACCUAAUGGGUUCAUAAUAGCUAAUAGAAACUUAAGUAGUGUCAACUGUCAACUCAGGCUUUUGUGAAAAGUGUAAAGGUUGAGCAGAAAGAACAGUAUUUAUGCAGCUUGAUUGUAGGAGAAUUUUUCAACUUGUCCGGUGGGAGUAUUACCGUCAUUUUUUGGUUAAGUGGUAUUUUUGACCUUUAACUGAAGACAGCAACAUGUUCUCAAGUGUAUGUGUGUUUCUUAAUCGGUUUGUUCUUUUGGUUGGUUCAGGAUUAUGGCAAAUGUCCUAUUACUGGAGAGCCAUUGACGGCAGAUGACAUCAUCCCUGUUAAAACUGGCAAGGUAGUACUGUCUGAAACUUAAAAUGUAAUUUGCUUCUAAUUUUCCCCGUAUUAGCUUUACGGUAUGAUCUCACAUGGGUUUACAACGUGAAGCUUACAAUUAUUGGUGCUUAUUGCAGAUAGUUAAACCCCGACCUGUACAGGCUGCUAGCAUUCCUGGGAUGUUGGGAAUGUUCCAAAUAGUACGUGUUUUUGAUCCUUGAUUUUCUGCUUCCCAUUUCUAAGGUUUGCUUAGUUCUUGAAGAUUCCAAAUAAAGCCUUAUUACAUAUAAUGAACCAAAUUCAGCAGCAUGAUUUUCUAGUUCAUUGUUGAUCUCUUAUUCUUUAGUCUAACUGGUUGUUUAUCAAAUAGCAUUUUCAUCACUUAAUUCUUUACGUGGUGCGACUGCUAAACGAAUUACCAUUUAUCUUGGAGCAUUUGUUACAUUGAUGCUUCGUCUUAAAUUCUUUUUCUCAUAGGAAUGGGAUGGUCUGAUGCUGUCAAAUUUUGCAUUGGAACAACAAUUGCAUACUGCAAGGCAAGAGCUGAGCCAUGCUUUAUAUCAGGUGAAGGAAGUAGCCUACUACAUACUAUUAAGCAUCUGGAAAACUUUAUUCUGGGGAGUUUGUCCUAGAAAUCAUAUUUGAUAACGUAGAUGCAAUGAUUAGUUUUAUGAAAAAUUGAGUGCUUGCUUAGACAGUAUGGCCAUUAGGGAAGCCUCAUAUACUAUAGAUGGAAGAAGAGAGAGGAAGUACAAGUUAUAAAAUUCUGAAACUAGGUGGUGCAAAGUUAGAAGUUCUCUGCUUGUGCUAUUUUUCCAUUGUAAUGUCAUUUUUUGUUUCAAGUUUCCUGUUUUGUUUAACGAGAAUCUUUUAUUUCUAUGGUUAAACCCAACAUCCUCUAUUCCCUUCGUAGGAUCUCAACAGUGGAUUUUUUCCGCGCUGGCUCCUUUUGUGACUCCAACUCCAACUUUAUAUUGGGGAUUGGGAGAUCCAUAUUCCUUGCUACCAAGCUCUCUCUCUUUUUUCCUAAUGGAAGAAAAUAUUUAAGCAUAGGAAAGAGGCAAGUAUUGUCCUAUAUUGCCUGUAAAGCGACAGGAACUUUUUCUUAUGACAUGAGUUCUCCUGUAAAGAAUAACACAAUCAAGACUAGUAAGAUUGGUUACACAUACUGGUGUCUGUAAGUGUCAAAAUUGUAGGAAUAAGCAUCCUAAUAUUUGGAAUUGGUGCUUAUUGAGCCAAUAAUCAGGUUCUAGAUUCACUGUACAUUUUGUGUUUGCCAUCUCUUCUAUUUUUUGUCCUGUCUUUCUAUUCCAGAGUUUCUCUUAUCAAUUUCCAAAGUUGACGUCUGGACAAUUUUCUCCCUGUUCUCUCAUUGUUCAUUCAUCUGGUAGCUGCUUGUCCAUAUUACAUUGUUCUGCGUGCUUCAUAUACUACAUGCCUUGCUAAUUUCAUGUCUUAUCUUGGCAGCAUGAUGCUGCUUGCAGGGUAAUUGCAAGGCUGAAAAAGGAAAGGGAUGAGGCAAGGGGGUUACUUGCCCAGGCUGAAAGACAAAUACCCAUGGCAGCCACUACAGCAGUUGGCACUACUGCUGUAAGCAACGGGAAAAGAGGUAAUUCUUUUUUACGCAUUUAUAUGUACCUUGUACCAUCUUCUUUAUCCCAACCUUAAUUAUUCAUGUUAUCAACUUAUAUCGAUAGUUGCCGAGGAUGAGGAUGUGGGCCCUGAUGGAAAGAAAAUUCGCCCUGGGAUAUCACACUCUGUCAUUGAGACUCUUACUGAAUGUAAUGCUGGUCUUUCACAACAAAGGAAAAAACGACAGGUAAACUCUACUACACAUGUUUGGAGGACUUUAUAAGUAGUAAUUUCCCUCAAUUCUCUUCUGAUAUUGCAUCACUCCUUUCUUUAGACUAAUGUAAGUUGGUGUUAUAUGAGCACUUCUCUUGCUGCCGCUCCUCCCAGCUAGAUGAAAAUUGAUUAUUUUUCACUUUCUUUUACCUCCUAGAUACCCGCAACAUUGGCCCCUGUGGAUGCUGUGGCGAGAUAUACCCAACUGAAUAGUUUUCCCCUUCACAAAACCAACAAGCCGGGCAUUUUGUCUCUGGAUAUUCACUAUGCUAAGGUAAGUUCUUUCUUUUGUUUUCCCUGUGAUUUGUUUUUCAUUAUUUUUCACAAGGCAGAUGCAGCCAAAAUAUUUUUCCUGGACUUGACCAUGUGUACUCAUCCAAUGUGGUUGUAUGAAUCUGGCACCCGUACUUGCACUUUUCAUGCCAACUAUUAGUAUGAUUUGAAGAAGUCGCAUGAAAUACUGAUGUGCAUGUCAUACCCAUUUGACAUCUAUGUUGACUCAAAUGGAAGAUCCACUUAACAUUGACUAAAAUAUAUUCCUGUUAGCUAAUAGAGUCAUUUGUUUUGAAACUUCUGCUUUUAGUAUAGCUGCAUAACUUUACUAGCUAUUGCAUUAAUGGCCUUGCCUCUGAAAGUUGUCUUUAUACUAUAGCUACAUAAAUAUUGAUUGCUUAUCUAGAUACAUGUGAUAUAUUGUCUUAAGGCUCGAGUGGUUCUACAGAAGUAUGUUCCUAUUUCUAUCUACUCGAAAUAGGAGCUCGCAAGUUAGAUUUAGAGCCUGCUCAUCCAUCUGCAUUAUCACAUUAGUGCAAAACAACUGAAUAAUUUUGUGUUAUUAAAAGAUUCUCUUUAUACGAUGGAACUUUUUGAUUAAUGAGAAAGUCAAUUGUUGUGGAUAUUUAAUGAUCAGCAUGUCUAGUUCUAAUUUAUGUUUUGCCAGGACAUAAUUGCUACUGGUGGAGUCGAUUCAAACGCUGUGGUCUUUGAUCGACCUUCAGGACAGAUCAUAUCAACACUAAGUGGUCAUUCAAAGAGGGUCUGUCAUCUUAUUGCUACUUACUUUUUUUACUGUCACUUGAUGAUUUAUUAGCUAUGUUUCGUUAGCAGAAUUUCUGUCUCAAUAUUUAUUUAUUUUUUUAAAAAAAUCUGUCUCAGUAUAUUCUGCCUUUAUAGGUUACCAGUGUUAAAUUUGCGGCUGAGGGUGAACUAGUGGUCUCUGGUUCAGCAGAUAAGGUGCACAUAAUUGUUUCUCUUUAAUGCGAGUUGACCAUACACUGCUCAUUUCAUAAUCAAAAGUAGCCUUCAUCUUCUUGUCUUGUUAAACCUUAUACUUUCUUUAGUAUGUUAUCCCCUUCUAUGGCAGGGUAUGUGCUCUACUUUUUUGGAAUUACUGGAAAGAGUUUACUUGUAAAGAAUAUCUAAUCACGAACCAGUGAUGUUAGAUGUCUCAGUAUGGAGUUUCUUUAAAAUUUUGCUGCCAAAUUUACUUUUUGCUAUGCUUCCAAGAAUAGAGUUAAUAAAAAAAAAGGAAAAUGAUUAUUUUGAUUCAAAAUUUGUGUUUUUGAUGAUUGCUUUGCCUCUUCAGUUCUAGACUUUCUAGGAUCAGAUUUAGUUAGAAGUAGGAUUUGGAAGUUCUUAAUAUAACAGCAACUUUAGAUUCAAAGGUUAUUGUCAUUUCAGAUGAUUUUGGCUCCUCCUCUAAGUAGUAUAAGUAUAAACUGUAACAUGCUGUUGCUUAAUGCACAGUUGCUUUCUUCCUUUGAUAUUUUACUAAACUGUGUAGCUGAUUUUUGCAGACAGUUCGUGUGUGGCAAAGUUCCGAAAAUGGAAAUUAUGACUGUAGGCAUGUCUUGAAGGAUCAUACUGCAGAGGUAAUUUCACAUUUACAACUUGAUCGAUACUGGAAGAACUGAUUUUGAAAUACCAUUUAUUAUUGAGGGAGACAAUGCUGGUAAUUGUCCUGCUUGAUUGCACAAAACUUGAUAUUCAUUCUAUAAAACAAGCUAAUGAGUUUUCUGGUCUUGAUCAUCAAUCUUAGUGCCCCAUUCACCAGUCCACUUUUUUGGAUAUUUCCUUUUUAGGCUUAGAUAUGGGAAUGAUAAAAUAGAUCAUUAAGAAGUGAAGGAUGGAGAUGGGACUAAUUUUUUUCUUCUUUUGAUUAGGUAGAUGAAAAUGAUCUAUUUGGGACUUGUGCUUCGUUGUACUAAAAAAAUGUAUUUUUCAAUAUCUACCUAUGUAGUAAAAGAGUAGAUCCAUAGUACAAAAAAUUUUGCUCUGAAAUUGGUAGAUCUUCUUAUUUUUCUGACAAUAGUAAGGUUGACUUGGGAAUAUAUCUUCUGUUGUAUGAACUAUCAAAUAGAAAUAAUGUGUUUCUUGUGUCCUUGGAGUUGUCUUUACUUCAUGUUAGAUUUAGUUCUUUUGUCCCCUAGACUAAUUUCAUGGUGAGAUUCCACUUCUUGAAUCAAUUACCUGCAUGCUUUGAAAAUUUUCUCCACAUUCUGCUUGAAGGAAAAUAAAACAAAGGGAAAAACAUUUUGCAGGAGGUAAGGGGCUUGUAGAAAUCAAUGUUAUGUCGUCCUUGCCUUCAAAUAUUAGCUUUGCAGACCCUUGAAAUUGCCUUCACCCUUGAUAUUUUGACAUUACUUCAUUUUUAGGUUGUCGCUUUCAACUGAUUAUAGUUCAUUUUCAAACCUUUUAAUCAGUAAUUUAACAUAUUGCAGGUGCAAGCUGUCACUGUCCAUGCAACCAAUAAUUAUUUUGUUACUGCUUCUCUUGAUAGCACGUGGUGCUUUUAUGAUCUUGCUUCUGGUUUAUGCCUUACACAGGUUGCUUUUCCCUUUCGGCUCUCAUUCUCAAAAAACAAUGUAUAGAUGGUUGGAAUCAUCGAUCAACUUUUAUAAACUAAUUGACUUGUUAAAAAAUAUUCAUAUUGUAAUUCAGGUAGCAGAUGCUUCAGAAUCUGAGGGCUAUACUUCUGCAGCUUUCCACCCUGAUGGUCUGAUCCUUGGAACAGGGACUUCAGGGUCUUUGGUCAAGAUAUGGGAUGUAAAAAGUCAGGUCUGUUUGCUCCAAAGACAUCAUGAUUGCUCAUGUCAUUUCUCUUCUUCUGUCCUAGUAUUCUUACUGUCUGCUUUUUAUGUGUUUUUUUUGGUGCUUCUCUUCAGGCAAAUGUUGCAAAAUUUGAUGGCCAUGUUGGGUCUGUAACUGCCAUUUCCUUUUCAGAAAAUGGUUAUUUCUUAGCAGUGAGUAUUCCAAUACUGAAUUAAGCUUUUGAUAAUCUUUGUUUCCUGGCGUAAAGCUAUGUAUGAUUGAACUUAUGACUGAUGUUUCCUUUCUACGUUAAUAAUCAGACUGCUGCUCAUGAUGGUGUUAAACUUUGGGAUUUACGCAAAUUGAAGAACUUCAAAACUUUCGCUCCUUACGAUGAUAACACACCAACUCAAUCAGGUAUACAUUAAUUGCAUUUCCUGAAGCAAGACACUGAAUCCAUUCAAAGAAAGCUUUGUCAGUUUGUAAAUAAAGAUAUUUUAGUGUCUGCUUGAGUAGUUUUGGAAGGUAAAAACAUUUGUUUCAUGGAUUACUGUAUAUUACAGCAUACUAACUUAUGUCUGUCAUUUAUGGAAAUUUCCUUUUUAGUCUGGAAAGUGUUUCACAUUAACAAAGUACUGUAUGUUUGAAAAUGCUAUCUCAAGUUCCACUGUUGUUUAUGGGCCAUUCCCUUUUUAAAGUCUGGUAGCUUUCUAAUUCAGAAGUCUACUUCAGAGCUUCUCAUUUAUACACUGUUUGCAUAUUGGUUAUGACUCAGACUCCUUUCAAGUAGUGUUAUAACUACUCCAUUGUACCUUCAUCUUUUAGGAUGUUAAUCUAAGCUACUUCUAUCAUGAAUUCAUCUUCUUUAGCAAUUUUAUUUGUCAUUAAAAAAAAGAUCGUCUAAUUCUGCGUCUCCUUUUACUUGCAGUGGAAUUUGACCAUAGUGGAAGUUAUCUUGCCUUAGGAGGCUCAGAUAUACGGUAAGACAUCUACACAAAUAUAUAGACCCUGAUACCUCUCAUUUUUCUUGAACUUAAAAGUAGUUCCCCUUGAUGGGUCUCAAAAGACUUCAGCGUAGCUCAAUCUUCAUAUUUUUGGUUUACACGGCCCUUUAGUAUCUGUUUCAACUAUAUACCCUUAUUUAUCAUCUUAAAUGAUUUAAAAUGUUUAAGCUCCUUUUCAAUAAAUAUAAAGAGUGUGAAUCUAGCAAUCAUAAUAUUGAAAUAUUUGUAUGUGCUCUUCACUUGGAUUUUCUAUGCUAAUUAGUCAAUGUUUAUUAUUUCCAAGAACAAUUAUUAGUAAGGGGAAAAUGGGAAGGAUGUACUCAACCAUCUAUUUAUAGCAAGGCCGACAAGGGGUUUGGAGGGAGUUAAAAAAAAAAAGAGAAACCAAGAGCCUUGGUGGAUUUAUCAUUGUACUUAAAUUGCCAUUAUGUAUCCCUUGUUAAGUGAUCCCUGGAGUAAUCUUUUUGACCAAUUAUCCUUCUUGUCAUUUCUUUCUGUGCUGAAUCAGAGUUUAUCAAGUCGCCAGCGUCAAGGCUGAAUGGAAUUCCAUCAAAACCUUCCCCGACUUAUCAGGCACAGGUAUAGUGUUUCCUCUCAUUUUAGACUCUCUAAAAUGUGCUCUUGAUGACAUAAGGUAAAUAAUAGUUAUCGUUAUCAUCUUAUGCAGGCAAAGCAACAUGUCUGAAAUUUGGUCCAGAUGCAGCAUAUAUAGCUGUCGGAUCUAUGGACCGUAAUCUAAGAAUAUUCGGGCUGCCUGGUGAGGAUCAAAUGGAGGAUUAGGCUCAUUUCCAGCGUUAAAGCAAACAGCUUUUUCCUUUGCAUCUGCUGCAAGAUCACAGUGCUAUCUCGAGGGUAGGAGGUCGAUGAGAGUCCUGUUCUUUAAUAUGUACUUCUGGUUUUUGCUAAAUUUUGGGGGUGGGCAAGCUAAUAGACAUAACCACAAACUUGAGAUAACAUCUGAAGUGCAGAGUUUAUUCGGUCAUCCCAAAACCAGCCUUGGGUUAUUAGUAUUCUGUUGUAUCAUUCUUGUGUAACCAUAUUGCCCUUCCUGGAAGCAAAACUCUGAAUGGAUAGUGAUCAGUUACAGUACAUCGAUAUUUCAUGUUUAGUUAUAGUCGAUAUAAAAUGCACUUUGUACGCUAUUAUUUUUUUUCAUGUUCAAGAGUUGAUCUGAAUUCAUUGUUGUGUACAUCAUGAAAGGCUCAAAGUAAAAAUAGUAAAUUUAACUUGUAGUUUGCUAUUACAUAAAAUCACAACAAAUAAAGCCUUCCCUGGCUUGAAGGAUUCAGAACCAAAAAUAUCAUCUACAUGAAUAUCAACUCACAAUUGCUAGACUUUCGUCCCUACGCUACAAUCGGCCCAUGUCCGGCAGAUUAUACAGACAACUGCUUCAUGGACACGAAAGAAUGAAUAGAAGUAUUCAAAAGUACAGCUAACAAAAAAAUGAACCAAGAAAAUCUAGGCUUGGCAUGAGGGAAGGUAUCGAGACGCAUGCGCAAAACCCCAUAGCUGCAUUAACAAGAAGAAAUUGUCAAAGAUGUAGUGAUAGAAUGACAACUAAGUCUUCAAAUAAUUCAUCAGUCUGCUACCAAAAAUACAAUGGUCUAGCUCUAGUAUACAUUCCUAGAGACAAUCUUCUCACAAAGCCAUAUGAUAAUCUUUACGCUACAAUCUUUAUCCAUAAGAAAAGGAAAAUUGGUAGUUUUACGGAUCUCUCUCUCUCUCUCUCUAAGUUGGUAAUACAUCGAUCCUAAGGUAGUGUUUUGAAACUAGAGUAAUGAACGGGUACAAAGACGAGGGAUUAAUAAAGAGAUUACCUCAACAGUCCUCAGUUCAAACUCUUGAUCAUGUGCCAAAAAUGAGUUCCCAAAUGUUUCACAAGGUCCACUGCUGCCAGAUAACCUUUGCAGAAAAUUGGAAAUGAGAAAAGAAGAAAUUUGCAAUUUGCGAGCACACAAUGUAAAGUGCAAGGUAGAGAAACUCACAAUUCACCGUCCAAGCUUAAAGCAAAGUUUCCGCCUCCUCCGAGUGCCAGGAUAUCAUUCAAACACAAGUGGAAAUAUCUAUUGGCGCCUAUUUCCAAAAUGGCAACAGUUUAGAUUACUUCAGAUCGGGAAUGUUGGGAUUUUCUACAACUAAUAUACACCUUUUGUAUCGUUGCAUUGCACGUAUCAUCAUAAUGAGUAUACAAAGUUCAUAUUUUAUGUCAACUACAAACACAAAGAGACUGAAUAAUAGACAAGUUUUGAUAUGUACCAAGCAAGAAGUUUAAUCAUACAAAAUGCUAAACAAAAACAUGAACAAUCUUACUAAAAAGACACUGAAAUUGAUUAUAUUUUGUUUUGUAUUCGGUUCCCCACAAAGGUAGAGGUAAGAUCUGCGUCCCUCAUAAUUCCUACCCUGCCAGACCUCACUAGAGAUGGGGUCUAGACUAUGUAUGUUCUUGGUGUUUACUUUAUAUUCGGUUGUCUGCUAACCGUAUAUGUUAGAACAAUUUGGAUGUUGUUCUAAUAUAGUAUAAAAUUUGCAUGGAUUACAUUGACGAUAAGUAGCUUCCAAUCAGCUGUAACAGAGUAAAAUACUUUCAAGGAUGCAUUAGGUUUAUCAAGAAGGCCUCUAUCUCCAACCAUCAUGGACAACUUUCCCCAAACGAACAUGAGCUUAAUAACUAUAAUAUCACAAUGCAGCUGCUGGAAGAGCCAGUUGCCAUAAAUAAAGUUUAAACGAAUUGACUCGUGUAUUUAACUGUGAGAGCUCAUAGUUAAUUCAUCCAUGCAGUUUCUCUCAAAUGGUAAUUUUCUAUUACUGCGUUUACACAAGCCGAUGUUGUAACAAACAUUCAGAACAAAUUUCUUACCUGUUGGUCUAAAUAACCUUGGUUCACCAUAUAGAGUUGUGAAUACAAAUGAUUGAUUUGUUCCCUGUCACAAUAAUACAAUAACCACAUAAGCAUUAGAAAUAAAACCAAUGCUCAGUGAGAAUGGAGAAUGCAGACAUAGGCAAUUGCUUUUUAACUCUUCAUUUGAAGUAAAGGGGGUUUGAAAUGCUUUACUCGCACCAAGUCAAUUACCAAGAGUAAGAUUAGACCAGAAACUGGUGGUUUUCUCUUCGAACAUUAGGUUGUAUCAGUUAAAAGAAAAUUAAAUACUGCAUGUAUUUGCUUCCUUACUUGGUAUUUCCUCUUUGCAGUAGGCUUUAACGGUGCCUCGAGCAACCCACCAAACACAGCACCCUUCUUAUCACCAGUAAUCUGACACAAACAUUAUAAAGAAAAUUCAUCUUCAAAAGAAAGAUGAGAUCCUUUAAAAAUUGCUAUAGAAGUCAGGAAUGUAUGCACGACAAAUAUUUGCAGCAAUUUAGGUGAACAUACCAGCAAGCAAGGACCAGAAAUAUCAGCACUCUUGCGAAUAAGAGUGCGGAGUGAUAUACCGUGUCUGGCCGUACUGCCCUUCAUUAGAAUGAACAGGAUAGAUAUUAGUAUUCAGGAUACUGAAGUUAUAAUAUACGUCAUAGCAGAAACUAUUUUAAAAUCAAGGUUACCUAUAUAACAAGACCCAUUGACAACCUUUCACUAUAUUAGGAAGGGAAGACUGGAAAAAAUCAUACAAAUUUGGAGUAAUGAAAACAGAAUCAGUAGUGAGAUAGGCCAGUGACUGCUCAAAGCUGUGUCUAUCAGGAGCAUCUUCAAAAGUUUCAGAACCGCUGGCAAUGCUCCCAGCAGAAGUAGGCUCUCCAUUAUCGUUGUCUGCAUUUACCGUCUCCUUCACACAGACUGAACUCCUGAUGGAACCAUUUUCACCUUCUUCUGGAUGAAUAUCUGGUAUCUCUUUAUAAUCAUUGUGAACCUCAAACUCAUCCAGAGGUUUAUCGCGCAACGAGAAACUUUUACUUCUCCACGUAAAAGAAUUUGAUUGAAGUGGUUUGACCUCUCUUCGAUCUCUUACAUUCACAAAAUAUGUUGAUGGUAGAAGGAAAGAUAGAAAUGAUGUUAUUGAUUUUCCCUCCUUAGUAUACAGCCUGGCCUAAACACAGAGAGAGGUAAUAAUGUUACAAAUUAUAUGCAUUGGAUAGUGAUAAAGACAACCCUCUAUCAAACAACAAAUCUCCUAAUGCAAAACAAGGAACGAAAAAAAUGUAGAGCUUAAUUUUUGCUCAAAUAAACCAAUGUCCUAAAUCACAAAAGAACAAAAACAAGAACAAUGUAGCAUGAGCAGCAGCUCACUGUCCAGCAGGAAAUCCAAACUCUAUAUGAAUAUAAUUCCAUCAAAUAGUAUAUCUGAAUGUCUGAUGAAUACUACUCCAUUUAGUGACAAACUUCUAUAAACAAACUUGAGCUUGAACAUCCAAUGUGGUUUACUGUAAGCUCUUUUUCUCAUAAAUAUAUCAACUAUUUCAUAUUUUGCAACCACAAAAUAAACUACCAUGAAACAACUAACUAAAUCUUUCGACGUUUUUGAAAGUUCACCUUUUCUUUUUUCAUCUUAUUUCCUUUUUUAGUUACUUGAUUCACUUCAUAUACAAAUUCCUUAGACAUGAUAUAUAGUUUUCAUCAUUUUCCUUUUCCUUUCACUCACCUAUUGCAUGCUCAUGUUCAAAAGAUGAAGGUAGCGGAGAUGAGGAUGCUCAAAUGGAUAGGUAGGUAUACUACAAGGGAUAUGAAUAGGAAUGAAGACCUCCGUAGAGGACAAGGUGAGGAAGCUAGGCUGAGAUGGUUCGGGCACGAGCAAAGAAGAUAUGUGGAUGCACCAAUAGAAAAGGCGUGGAAGGUUUACCACAAAUGGGUGUUAGGAGAGGUAGAAGAAUUGGGGGAGGUGAUUCGACAGGACAUGUCUCCCGUCUAAUUGAAUGAGGACAUGACCCUAGAUAGGAAAGUUUAGUGGUCGAGGAUUAGGAUAGAAGAUUAGUAGGUAGACGAAUGUUGUAGAAUCUUUAAGGUAACGGUCAAGAGGUUAAUCCUUCAAUGUUUGUUCUUCCGAGCCGAAAGUGUCUAUCAAAAACAACCUCUCUAUCUCACAAAGGUCUCCUACUCUCCACACACCUCACGUACGGAAUUACACUAAGUAUGUUGUUUUCGUAAUUACAUAUAAAAAUUCCUCAAACACCAUAUAAAGUUUUCAUCUUUUUCACUUUUUUUCAGCAACCCAACUCCUUAAACAUCAUACACAAACUAAUCAUCCCAACAAACAAAUCACCCAAAACUUAACAUUGCUAGCAAAUGCAGUUGUAAUUACACAACAAAAAACUACAUCAGAUCAAAGACAAAAUAUACUCAUAACCCACAAAAUCUCAAAUUCUAACAGAGAAAAGAGGGGGGGAAAAAGAACCUGAGAUUGUUGAUCAACAGAUUUAGAAGGAGAAGCUGAAAACAAUCGAGAUAGCUUCUCAGAAACUGUAUCUUUUACACCAUACAUAUCUAUCUUCGUUUUAACCAAUUACCCAAUUCAAAAUCUUUGAAAUUCCGAUAAAAAACUGAGAUUUCAAGGGUUAAUUUGAGAAACCCAAAUCCAAAAAAGUGAUAAAAAUGGCAAUGUAAAAGCAAAAGGGGGUGUUUUUCUUGAGUUACAUUCAGAUUUUUGUGAUCUGAGAAGCUGAAGAAGAAGAAAAAAAAACAGAGGUGAAAAUACAGAGCACCGACGAAUUAUAUUAAAAGCUGAAAAAAAUAUAUAAGAAAAGGAUAUUCUGAUUUUUGACUUUGUAAUAAAUUUUUUUCUUUUCUUAUGACUCGGUUUCGAUUUUUUUUGUUAUCUGGUUUUGACUCUGACAUAGAAUAUGACAAGGUGUUUUCGUUUUUUUGAUUUUGACUUGACGUAGAAUUUAACAAAAUAAAAAAAUAAUUUUGAGUCUUAUGUUUUUAAGGAUAUAUGAAAAGGUAAAAUAUUAUUAUUGAAACAGAUUAACCAGAAAAAUAAUAUGACAAAUAAAUUGAAAUGAAAGCAGGGGCGACGAUAGGUGAGGUGGAAUGAAUUUAAGUUAUGUGGAGCGGAUUUAAGUGUGAGUGGGUUGAAGUGAGUUUUUUAAGACUAGUGGGAGCGGGGUAGGUUGCGGGUAUAUGUGAGUAUAUGCGGGUUAAUAUUUAAUUUUAAUUUAUUAUACGUUAUUAGAGUGAUAAGAACAUUAUUUAUUAAUAUAAUUAUUUAUCAAUAUAAUAAUUAUUGACAUAGUGAAUUUACUAUUUUAUCCCUGCUAAUUAUAAAAUGGAUGACUUAAAACUUUAAGAUUUUCAAAAAGUUAUAUCUUUUUCAAAAUAAUUAAUUGAGUUAUAAUAGAUAAAUUUCUUUGUCCUUUCUUGAUUUGUCUAAAUGGACAAUUAAUUAGGAACAAAUAAAAAAAAUAGACAAGUAAUUAAGAACACAUGUUUCCCGUUGACCUCUAGAACAUUUUUUUAAAGUUAUUAUCUAUUUAAUUAAUACAACUUAAUGAAAAAAAAAAUUAUUUUUAUGAUUGUUAUUUUAGUGUCAAAUUUAAUUAGAAAAAAGAAAAUAUUAAAAAGAAAAAAAAUGUGAGAUGGAUAUAUGCCAGGUGAGUGAAGCGGGUUAAAAAUGAAAAACAAAUUGUAAAGCGAAAAAAAUAAAUUUAAAAUUUUGCGGAUUAAACUCUACCUGCUCCGCUCCAUUGCCAUCCUUAAACGAAGGGAGCAAUUUUCUUUAACGUGAUGAUUCUUUUAUAUUAAUCACAUAUAUAAAAGAUAAAUAUAUUAAUCACAUAUCUUUCAGUAUAAUAAGGUUAGUUCAUAUCAUUUUAUAUAGCGUUUUGAUAUAAGAUUUAUUUCUUUCGUAUUUUAAUAACAUAAGCUAAGAUUCCAAAUAUGAUUUUUUUUCUUACAUAUUUUAGGUGUAACUUUUUGUGAUCCUUCCUAUAGUAUUUUGGUGAUUUGUUUCAAUUUUGAGGCAUGUAUAAUUUGGAUUAAUAAAAUUAUUUAAAUAUAUUUUAUGUUAUUUUGAUUUUAAAAAUUCAUUAAAUAUGAAAUAUAGUCUUUCCCCAAAUAUUUUAACACACCCUGUCAAUUUGUUAUAUCUCGAGGAAAAUUUGUUCGAAAAAUACUUAACAAGCUAUAAAAAAAGAUAUCGAGAUAUCAUGUCAUACUUUUAUAUUGAUUUUAACUCGUUCACAUAGUUAAUAUAAUCGUUUUAUUUUAUUUUUAUUUUGGAUUUAUGUUUUGAAGUGUCAUUACCACGACAGUGACCAAAUUAGAGUACAUAAAAAUGACAAAAGAUUAUCUUCUAAACCUUAAUUAGUAAUUAUAGUUUGAUAAUAAUAUUCUUGUCUUCUACUUCAAUUUUGGAACAAAACAUUCUUCAAAAAAGACAAUAUUAUAUUUGAGAAUUAUAUUAAGACCCUAAAGACAGUUGCUUGGAGGUUAUGGUAUAGAAUAAUUAUUGUGAUUUAAAACCAUCAUGGUUUAACUUAAAAUAAGAAUAAUUAACACGAAAUACGAUGAGAAAAGUGAAAUCCCUCCAUUAUUUAUAAUAGAUUUCGAGUUCAAAAUUGAAAAUGAGAUAAUUUUUAAUAAGAUAUUGGUUAUAUCUCUUGUGUUAUCCACUUUAUAAAAUCAUUCGAUCUGAAUACUAAAACAUAAACUAGAUAAUGAAACAUAAUAAGUUAAGAUGUAAAAGAGCGUAAGAUGAGUGUGGCUUUAAUUAUAUCAUUUAUAAAUUUAACAUAUUAAUGAGAAUUCAACUUUUGUGUUUUUAACCAUAUCUUCAAAAAAAUAAUUUGAUGAUCACCGAUGGUGAGACUUGAUUCAGUCAAUUGAAAAAAAAAGCAACCUAAUCAAUCUCAAUCUCAUCUAAAAGUUUGAAUAAUAAAAUCAUGAUACAUUUUGUUUUCUUAUUUAUACUUAAUAUAAACGUGAUAAAAAGUGUCAAGAGUUUGCCUUGUCACAAGGCGAAGCGAGCGGCAAAACACUCACCUUUUUGAAGUGCGAUCUAAUUAAUAUUAAAAAAUUAAAAUAUUUAAUUGCAAAUACAAAUAAUCGAAGUCUCAAUAGUAAUAAUAUAUAAGAAAAUAUUUUAAUUCAAAAGCUGAAAAUAGAUUAUACAUACUUAAAACUAAGAAAAAAAUAAAACAAAAAUCAAAGAAGAGGAGGAAAAAGAAACAAAGGAAGAAGAAACCUGAAGAAGAAGAAGAAAAGAAAUACAUAUUGAUUGGACUUUGAAAUCACCGAAAAAUUCUAGCUAGUCGUCUGAGGAAUUUAGUAAAAAAUACUAAAAUUACCUUUUAACAUUUAAAAUCCUAACAUAAUCGCCUUUUUUUUAAAAAAAUAUAUAUAUAAAAGGUGGUGCCGUUGUCGCCCCUCGCCUUUCGUCGCCAUGACGUCACUUUUUGACGAUCGUCUCGCCACAAUGUUAAAAUGCCAUGAAGGGUUGCCUCACCUCGCCUCUCGCCAUUGACAAUGAGGCGCUUGCCUUUCACAAUACUGAGCUUUACUAACCCGAAUUUAAAAUAGUCAAAUUAAUAAAUUUAUAUACCAUAUAACUAUUUCAGAAAAAGGAAAUAAAACCAAAAUCUUUAUGAGGGUACACCAUUUCUAGUUAUAUCAUUUAUUACUACUAUUAGAAGCUAAUCUUUCAAAUCUUAACAACUUCAAGUGAAUAUUUAUAUUUUUGCUGUUGUCACAUGAUAAAGAUUGGUUGUCAUAACUAUGUCAAGCCAUUAAUAGAUUCACUAUAUUUAUUCAAACUCCAUUAGAUAAUGUUCAACUUCAGACCAUCAAUACAAAACAAAUAUACCAUGAAACUUAUUAAAAAUUUCAGAAUUCAAAAUCUUGAAAUUUUACAGUAUGCUUUUUCUACAAAAAAUAUUGUACUUUAGUCAAACUUACACAGUUAAUCCAUGUUUACUCCCACUCUCUUCACCUCCCUGUUACCUAGGGAAUAUUUUUUUACCACUUUAUGAGUUGUUCUUUUAUAAACAUUUUUUUUGUUCUCAUUCUCUAAAUACACCCCACCCAACCCCAAACCCCCAACCCCCAUUUGGCUUUUGUUAGUAAAAAAUAGAGUUGGGAGGUUAAAAAAUACAGUAUCAAAUUGUCCUUUUGUAUACAUAUAUAUAUACUGAUAAAGAUACAGAUACCCUAUUUUUCUCAGUUCUGCACAUCCAAAGAUAGACAAAUAGUAGGCCACUUAUAAUAAUAAAGUGAAUCCAAAAACACCACUACAAAAACCAACACCCCUUUUUUCAGAAAAAAAGUAACAAAUUUCAAGAAGAAAUAGUACUAGUACUAGUACAAGUAGUAGAAUCUCAGCCCUUCAAAAUCCCUUACUGAUUUCUUAAGCAAAAAAAAAAAAAAAGAGAACUUCAAGGUGCAAUCUUUUUCCUCUCAAAAUCUACAAAACAGCAAAAAACAACCACCAUGUAUAGUUUUUCAAGAAUCUCUAAAAAAUGGUAAUGGGGUUGUCCAAGAAACCAUUUUUAUGCAUUUUCUUGGCCAUUCUAGCCAUUUUCAAGAAUCUCCCAAAAAUGGGGUUGUCCAAGAAACCAUUUUUUUGCAUUUUCUGUGUUUAUUUAGCCAUUCUAGCAAUUUUCAAGAAUGUAGCACCAGCUGAAUCUGCAUCUGGAAACACUAAUUUAGUGUACAAAGGUUGUGCAAAACAGGCAUUAUCAGAUCCAUCUGGUGUUUACUCACAAGCCCUUUCAACCCUUUUUGGCACUCUUGUUUCACAAUCUUCAAAAUCCAAGUUCUACAAAACUACAACUGGUACUGGCCAAACUACAAUAACUGGUCUUUUUCAGUGUAGAGGUGACCUUACUAAUAUUGAUUGUUACAACUGUGUAAAUGGUUUGCCAAUACUGAUUGACAAGCUCUGUGGCACCCCUGUUGCUGCAAGAAUCCAGCUUUUAGGCUGUUACAUGCUGUAUGAAGUCUCAGGCUUCCCACAAAUCUCAGGAAUGGAGAUGUUGUACAAGACUUGUAGUGGAAAAAAUGCACCAGGGAGUGGAUUUGAGGAGAAGAGGGAUACUGCUUUUUCAACACUGGAAAAUGGAAUGUCUAGUGCUAAUAAUGGAUUUUACACUUCAAAUUAUGAGUCUGUUUUUGUUUUGGGACAAUGUGAAGGGGAUGUAGGCUCUUCUGAUUGUGGUGAGUGUGUCAAAAGUGCUGUCCAAAAAGCUCAGGUUGAAUGUGGUAGCUCAAUUUCUGGCCAAAUAUUUCUUCAUAAGUGCUUUGUUAGUUAUAAUUAUUAUCCAAAUGGGGCUCCCACAAAAUCAUCAUCAUCAUCAUCUUCAUACUGGUCUCCAUCUCCUUCAGCAGGUACUUUUCCUUGAAUUGACUGCUUAGCUAGCGCUUAGUCAUAAAUUUCAAAAAUUAAUCUUUGAAUAUCUGUUUGACCAUAUAUUUUGGAUCAGAUUUUGAAAAUCUGUCUUAAAAAGAUUUUCAAGUUCCAAAAACUGCUCCAGACCAUAUUUGUUUAGUCCUAGUCAAAAAAUUCAUGCUUAAGCACAAAAAGAGUUUCAGAAACUUAACUUGUCGAGUUUCAACUUCAAAAUUUAUGAUCAAGAGCUAAACAUGCUAAGACUGUGACAAUGGUUUCUGGUUUGGUUUGCUAGUGUUAACACUCUAAUCAAGAUUUUGUCUUUCUUAGAACUUUUGAGCUGUCUACCUCAUUUAAUUAGUUGUAUACUUCAAUAAAAAAUGGAUCUUGGAAUAAACAAACAAGGAGCAUGAUAAAAUGUGUUUUUUUAAAUAAUAUGUCUCUGUUAACAAGAUGUUUGUCUAGCUUAGAUUUGUGUGCUCUCAUUUCAUAUUUUUGUUAUAAAAAAGUUGUAUAGUAAUGAGAGUUGUGUAUGUUCAAUGAAUGUGUAGGGACAGGCCAAAACACAGGGAAAACAGUGGCUAUAAUACUAGGAGGAGCAGCAGGAGUUGGUUUUCUAGUCAUUUGCAUGCUCUUUGCAAGGAACCAAAUGAAGAAACAUGAUGGUAAGUGUGAAAAAUAUAUUUUCGAUCUCUCGAUUAUUGGUAAAUUAUGAUUUUGAUCCUCGUGAUAUAUGACUCAGACUUGUGUGUCUAACCUUUGGUUAGGACUAGAAUUAGAAUUUCUCAAUAACUGAGGGACUAAAAAUAUUAUGAACUCUAAAUUUUUACCAUGGUUUAAAAUAUUGCCACUUGCUUAUGUAUGAUUUAAAUAUUUGUUGCAGAUUAUUGAAGGGAUCAGCUGUGUAUUAUUAUUAUAAAAGGCUGGCAAAAGCUUUUUAUGAGGUGGAUUCUUUCCUUGUCAAGAUUUUCUACCUAGAAGGAAAAUAUAUUUUCUUGGAAAUUCCUGAAAAAAAGUGAGGGAGUUUGUGAGCUGUAAUUCUUGGAAUUAUUAGGUAAAAAGAGAAAAACAAAAAUACUAUUUUGGGGACAUAAAUUUUUGGAGAAAUGAUGUAACAAUACAUGUUUUUUUUGUCAACUAUGAAGAAGAUUGGCAAGAGCAUUAUAAUGUUUUUUUGGCCUUUUUCUCCUAUGGCCAUGUGCAUGUUGUAUCUUUUCUCUUUGUCUCUGAAUAAUUGUUUCACCCUUUUUUUUCUUCUUCUAAAGUUUUUUACUUUUAGAAAGUUCUCUUAGUGAGUGCAUUUCCACUUGUAUAAUAUAUACGAUAACAUACUCAGUGUGAUCUUAUAAAAGAGGUCGGGGAAGGGUAGAUGCAUGCAUGCCUUAUCCUAUCUCAUGAAGAGGUUAUUCUCGAUAGAUGCUCGCACUUGUAUAAUAUAUGAAUUGAAAAAGAAUUUAUGUUACUUGGUUCAAUAUCUAAGAACAAUAUUGUCAUUUGGUGGGCUUCCCUACAAGUUUAUGAAUGUAUAGAUAAUAUGCCAUGGCCCCCAGACCUAGCUUAAGUGACAAAAGGUGAAGGAUUUGUGGCUUAGGUCAGAGGUUCAGGCUCUCACCUUGCAAAGCAAAGUCCCAUAUUUAAGUGGAGAAGGAUAGAGAGGUGGAUCCGUUAUUCACCGAGUUUAGAAGGCUGUGAUUGAUCCAAAGGGAAGAUCAUAGACGGAUUUCUCCGUUAUAAAAAUAAAAUGAAAUGUCAUGCAUAUACAUUUUGAUUAAGAUACCCACACGAGUUGUGCGUGUUGUGUUGUAGUGGUGGGACUUCGCCACCCAUAAUCAUAGGUCUUGAGUUCGAGCCUUGAGUAAGAAGAAAAUCAAUAUGGAAUGUCGGAGACUUGUGUAACUUAUUUUUUCCUAUUUCUACUAGGGAAGUCAUUUUCUUCAUUUUCAAAAAACUUAUUUUUGCAAACUAUUUGAUCAAUCAAAGCAUGUUCUCGAAAAUAUUUUCCUCCGUAUCGAACACACCCUUGAUAUCACUCCUUUUCAAUAUAAGAAUCUUCUUUUUUCCAAAACUGAGCUAUCCUUUUCUUGUUUAUGACUCCUUCAUGUACCUCCCACUUACAUUAUGUGUAUAUAAUAAUAAUACUAUGUAUAUUUCUAAAUUAAUACUGAAUUAGGCUCCAGAAGCAAAGGUUGCUCCUUUCAACUAGAUUUAAGAAGAAGAUGCCUACCUUAUUCACCAAUUUUCAGUGUGUAACUUCAGUGUCAAAGUCAUCCAAGAGAUCAUCAGCCUCAAAGAACACAUUUUUAAGCCUCAUGAUCCAGUUCCUUUAGGAUCGAAAUAAUUAGGUGUCAUAUCGAAACUAACAAACAAUAAAUAGAGAUAUAUCAAAAGAAAGAAAAAUAAUUUAGCAUGGUCCCAUCAAUAGACAUAUCUCCACAGGCGAAGUUGAGCAAUACAAAAAAAAAAAAAGGCAUAAUAUAUUAAUAUUCCAGCUAUUAAAAGAAAAGGCUUGCAUCUACUUCCCCUAUUAUAUAACUGGUCACAUCUCUCUCCAAUCCUAACGUGGUAAUUUCCCAUCAUAGGCUUCCUAUUUAUAGAUUAAACAACUACCAAGGAGCUAAUUCAUUCAAAACAUAGUUGACUGGAUCUAUAGAGAAAACAGAGUGUCCUAGGCUCAACAUUAUAGCACACAGGGCUUCGGCACUACUAUAACAUCUCGCUAAAACUUGACUCAUAAAUCUAUGUCUUCAAAAACUUUGAGUGUGCAUAAGUAGAUACUUAAAUUUAUAUAUAGUUGAAGAAGUGGACGCACACAUCCUAUUAGCAUAACACUCGUGCAAUGCCACGUAAUAUGUGAAUUCUCAUGUAAGACGCCAAGUAGCACGUAUGUUUAACUCUAUACAAGUAUAUUACACACCCAAAAAUUGGAUUACGUAUAAGCCAUACAAAACUAAGUCAAAAGACAUGUCUAUGUAUGAUGAGGGUAAGAUAGAGUAGCCUCUUGUUUUCACUUGGACAAUUUGUCGAACAGUUGAUGAGUGUAUGCUCCAAAGAUUCUUUAACAACAGCUUCUCUCCACACAAACCUAAAACAUCCCCAUAUCCCUCAACUCAUACUAAUUGUUUAACUUGGACUCAACAUUACAUCUGAUUAUUUCGAUCCUAAUAAAUGAUAAUGAUAAGAAAAUUAAAGCAAACAUGUAAAUAUAUUCACUCACCUGAUGGCUACUCCCUUCCUUUCUGCUUCUCUGCAUCAAUAAGUACGGCUUGGAUAGAAGAAACUGUAGUAUGAUUUUGUAUGCUAGUGGGAAUCGAUGUCGUAAAAUUAAUCGAGAUGCGUAAAAAUUGAUUACUACGGAAUUUUGAAAAUGAACUAUCUUAGCAAAAUUUUAUGAAUUAAAAGCUGGUUAUGCUUGACACAUUAGUAUAUGAUACUGUUUGCAAUAAAUUUUAAAUAUAUGAAAAAUAAGUAAAUUAUACAAAUAAAAUAUGAAUAAAACGUAAUUUUGUUAAUUAAGAUAGCAGACCUCAUAUUUAUCCGUAAUAAUUGUAUUGAAAUUCAAUUAUUUUAAAUUCAACUCAUGAAUGUUCUUUAACAAAAAAAAAAUCAUAUUCAUGGCUUGUACUUACGAAGCUCUAAUUAAGACUGAACUUAUCUGAUCCACUACACCACAUCCUUAGUAUAUUAUCAUUAUUCACUAUUACCUUUGCUUUAAUUCUCAAUUAUAAUUUGGAUUCAACAAAUAUAAUACACAUUAGUACUAUGCUGAAAAUCAGAUCUAUAGACAAACCAAAAAUUAAAUCUGUACAUUAUUCCUCAUAAACAUAAAUAUAUAUAUAAAAAAAAAAACAUUGUUCCUUCAAGGGCUAACACAAUGAACAAUCAUGGAAAUUGAAGCAUCAGAGUAGUAAUAAUUCUGCAAAAUUGGCAACUUCAUAAUCUCAAACUUUUCACCAAUUAAUUCACAUUUUUGAUUUGAUCCUUUUGCUGAAAUUGAUUUAGCACUUUCCCUGUUUAACAACUUUGAAAAUUCAGUUGUCCAAAUAUUUAUCAAACCAGACAUUUUUCUGCAAUUUUUUUUUCUCCUUUUUUUAUGGUUUGAAGUAUUAUCACAAAGUGACUGUUUAUAUACUGAUGAAGUUUUUUGUAGCACACAAAAUUUAAGCUUGUGUUGUGUGCGGCUUCCUGUUUUCUAUUUUGACUUACGAGGCGGAGUUAAAAUUUUAAUUUUAUAAUUUAAAAUAAAAAAUAAUAAAUAUAUUUUUAAAUAAUGGUAUAUCGUAUAUUAUAGUGUUUAUAUUAUUAAAAAACUAGAGCAUAUAUAUCUUUUAAUUUAACGGAAGACUUGAUUCCAUUUUAUUUGUCGAUCUAAUAUUUAAUAAACGUAAGAUUGGUGGACAAGAUAUUACACAUGUAUGCUAGUUAAUAUAAAGAGUAUACAUGUUUCACUUUUUGGACAACAGAGGCACCAACACUGGCGAAACCAAAAUUUUAAUAAGGGGUUCAUAAUCUGGAGAAAUAAACACAGAAAGUAGCCUAAAGAGGUUCAACAACUAUUAUAUAUAUUUAGAAAAUUACUUUAUCUAUGUAUAAAUAAUAUAAUUUUCCAUCAAAAAACCCCUGAGUCAAUACUUCAAAAAUAUGACGGAGGAUAUCUAUCAACAUACUACCUACGAUAAUUCGAAUAUAUUUAUUCAUUUUUCCUUUUUAGAUGACGAUUUUAAUCAUUAAUAAUUAUGUUAUAAUUUUGAUAUUUAUGAAUAUAUUAUUAGAAUAAAAGUUAGGGAAAAUUGUAUAAAAGCAAACUAAUAACCUAAAUUAAAUUGAAUAGCUAGGGUUUGAUUUAAUUGUGCUCCAUAGCAAAUAUUGACAAAAAUUUGCCAGGCGUCUCUCUUCCAGAAGUCUCGCUCGCCACUCUUCCAUUCUCGCCUCUCUCGCUUUAUACACAGAAGUGUAUAAUUUCUGUUUCUGUUUUGUAUAAAGCGAGAGAAAAUUGUAUAUACACAUGCAAAAAUGUAUAUCUCCGUGUUAUACACUUAAUUAUAUAAUUUACAAACAUUUUACUUCAAAUAUUGCAGAGAAAAAGGCCAAAGAAUUAUACAAUUGUGAAUUAUACAGUUGCAGUGAAAUACAAUUUUUCUAGCUUUAUACAACAGAAGUGUAUAUAUUGUGUUUCUGUUUUUGUAUAAAGCGAGAAAAACAUAUAUUUUCUUGCUAUACACUUAUAAUUAUGCAAUAUACAUACAUUUUAAUUCGAUUCAACUGUAUGCAAAGCUAAUUAUACAAUUGCAGCGAAAUAGCUAGCGAAUUAUACAAUUUAGGCCAGCGAAUUAUACACUUUUAUAUGUAUAGCGAAUUAUACAGUUUUUAUGUUUGCUAUGGAGCGCAAUUAUGCAAAAUUUGCUAUAUUAUACAAAUAUGAUUUUUUUGUUUGCUAUAUGUGAAAGUUACCCUAAAAGUUAUUAGAUAUAUAAUUCGUAUUCGAACUUUUAACACCAAUUUUAAAUAUAUAAUACUGAAAAUAAUUUACUAUGUGUUCUAAAACUGUGUACACGUGUGAAUUUUGCCACACGUGGCAUGCAUUUUUGGUUAUUAAAAAAGUAAAUAAUAUUAAUUCUUGUUGUUGGCGGUUCAAAACUGUGUGCGCCCUAGUUAUUUGUAUAGCAUGUAUCUAUUCGAUUUGGUUUUAAGGGUUAUUUAUUUAGUUUAUUAAUUUUUAAUUUUUAAAUAUAUUAAAUUAAUAAGAUAUUUGUUAUUGAAUUUUAAUUUAUUGAUUUUUGGUUUUUAAUGAUUUUAAUUAAUAAGAAUAUACUUUUAAAAUAAAUAUAUGACUUGUUUUAAUCAUUUAACGUGAUAUAAACAUAUAUCAAAACAAGUUUAGACUAAAUCGCAAGAACAAAGACUAAAGUAAUACUAAAACUUAAAGGAUAAACACAGAAGUUUAGAGUUAAGUAGUAUUAAUUGUGUAUGGUUCUGAUAAUUAUAGUCUAACAUAGUUAUUAUAUUAAUAUUUUUUAUUUGAUAUUUAUGUACGAUCAAAAGGUUAAGUAGUAAAUUAUUAUAUUUUUAAUGGUUAUUGGUUAACCUAAUAUUAAAAAAUUAAUAUCAAAUGAUAACUUAAUAAUUUUUUUUAUAAAAACAUUAAAUAAUCAUUAACCCAAAUAGCCUAAUAACAAUAAAUUAACAAUAUUUUUUUUGUGAACAAUUAAAUCUCAAUCAUUAAUUUUAAAUUAUUACAUGUAUUUCUAAUCCAAACUAAAACUUAGGGAAAAUGGAGAGGGAUCGGAUCCAACAUUUAUAUAGCACUUAUAUCGUCUGAUAAUAAAGUGAGUGGUCACAUAAAAUUCCAAAAAGUAACACUUUGUUUGGAUCAUUGUUAUCCAAAUAUUUUAUAUGUAUUGUAUUCUAUUGUACUGUAUUGUAUGGUAGAUACAAUGUUUGGCUAGAUUAUAUUGUUUGUUGUUGUUUAAUAACAUUUUAGAUGUUUGGUUUGAUUGUAUCGUAUUAUAUUAUAAUUUAUAAAUUUACUUAAAUAUCCUUAAUUAUUCUAGGGUAGAAGGUUUGACUAGCUUUAAAUAAUUAAGGUAAAGGGUAAAAUGGUAUUUUGAAAUAUUAUGUAAAGAUAUAAUUGGAAAAAGAAAUUAAGUAACAAUGGGAACAUAGGAGUUUUCAUUGUUACGUAACAACAAAAUUUAACAAUACAGUACAAUACUUUUUAAGUAACAAUCAAAACAAACAUUGUAAAUAUAAUAACGAUACAAUACAAUACAAUUGAUAACAAUAAUCCAAACAUAAUGUAAAUAUCACAAAAUCAAGUCCAAUCUUGCUAGCAUUUACAUUAGUGGUCAAAUUAUAGUAUGUAUAUACACUCCACGUUUCAAAACGGUCUUUAUAUUUCGCUUUUCAAAAUUCAAUUUAAUUAAUUAUCAGAGAUAAGGUACAUUAGAUUAAUUCAAAAGUUUAAAAUUAAAAAAUUAAAAAUUAAAAAAUUAUACAAAAAUUACUACAAUAACAAUCUUCUCAUAUCAACAUGCUAAAAAUAAUAUAUCUUACUCCCUCUACUCAUUUUUACUUGUCACAAUUUGACUUGAUAUGUCUAUUAAGAAAAUAAUUAUUGAUAUAAGUAUUUGAUAAAAUCAUCCUUAUUAAAUGUUGUCUUGGAAAAUGCUUUGGAAAAUAAAUAUUCCACCCGUUUAAAAAAGAAUGUCCUUAUUUCCUUUUAAGUUUAUUUAAAAAAGAAUGUCUCUUUCUUUUUUUGGCAACACUUUAACUUUAACUUUUACGUGGCAUGUUUAAGACCACAAGAUUAAAGGACAUUUUGGUACAUUUGACAUAACUUUAAUUUUGAACCAUUAGAUUAAAAAGUCUUCUUUAACUCCAUUCCAAGUCAAACUAGGUUAUCCUUUUUGAAACGGAGUGAGUAUCAAAUGUUGAGUGUAAAAUAUGAGAAAAAAUAAUUGUCUUUUCUUGAUAUGUCAAAAAUAGUGUUUUAAAAAACGUAUUUAAGGCGAGUCUCAGGGCGGGGCAAUACCAAAGGGCGUAAAUAAAAAACGUAGAUCCAUAAGGCAUAAGUCCUAAAAUUUGAGGCGUAAGCCCCGAGCAUAAAACGUGCUUCCCGACAUUUUUAAUUUAUUUUUUAAAACUUUUUUUAAAUCACAUUUUUACUACCGGUGUAAUAAUAUUUCUCAAAUAGUAAUUAUACUAUCUUUUCUUAAUUAUUAAUUAUGAAUACUUAUCUCAAAUAAAAAUCAUAAAUUAUUGAAAGAUUUACUUUUAUUAGUAAUAAAACUAUAAAAUGAAAUAUACACGAGACUACGUCCCAUGUCUCGAGGCCUACAUCUCACCCUAUUCCGUAUAAAACGCCCCGCCCUUUUAAAUCACUGGUCAAAAGUAACAAGUAAAAAUGAAAGUUAAAAACAAGUGACAAGUAAAAAUUAACAAAAAGAUAAAAUAUUAAUCAAAAUUCAUAUUACUUGGCUUUUAAAAGAAAAUAACCAUAAAUUAGUGACACAUAUUUUGAAACAGGGAGUAAUGUAGCUUUGAUUAUCAAAUUGUAGUGCAUUUAUUUUAUUUGACUAAAUAUUUUUAGUUAUAGAUAUAUAGGAGUACCUAAAAGUCUACCAUCCAACUACAAAAGUCUAAAAAAAAACUACAUACAAUGAAUUUCACAAAGGUUCUAAUAGUGAGACUUUUCAUUAUUAUGAUGAUUUCUGUAGCAAAUAACAAUGCUACUAAUGGAGAAAAAAUAUCUUGUGAAUGGAAGUGUAGACUUGCUUGUAUCUUCAAUCCUAUUUGCACAGACAUUUGUAUAAAGAAUUAUUGUCCACAUUCUAUUUCUUCUAAAGAAUUCAAUUGUAAACUUGCUUGUUUCAUUCAACAUUGCUACAAGUUUAAACAAGGUAUAAUUCUUUCAAUGUUCUUUUUUAAUUCAUAUGGAUCGGUUGGAUUGAAUUAAGCUGAUUAAAAUAGAUGAAAAAUUACUUGAUCUGAAAUGAGUUUGAUUGAAAUGGACUAAGAACGAGUCAUGACCUAACCUAUCAAAUUAUUUCUUAAUUUUAAUUUCUUAAUUUUUUUGUAAGCAUUGCAUAUAACAUGUAAACAAAAACGAAAAGUAUUUUUAAAAUAUAUUGACGAGAUUUCUCAACGAUAACUAAUCAACAGUACACUCAGUAUAAUUUCAUGAGUGUGGUAUGAAAAGAUAGAAUCAGUAUCAUUUCAUAAGUGUGGUAUGAAAAAGAUAGAAUGAAGAUUUUACCCCUACAAAAUUGACAAGAUUUUCGUAAUAAAUAUGCGAUUUCAUAACCUACCCAACUUUAAGACGAUUGAACGAGUCAUAUUUUCAUGCGUUAAUUUUCUCACCCCCUAUGACCCCCCCCCCCCCCUCUCUCUCUCUAUGUUUGUCUCAAUAAUGUCAAGUUUAUGACUUACUUUUAACAAUUUUGGUUUUUUUUUCCUAGAUAAGGAGCUAAUGGGAAGGUGCUUGAAUGAAUGUUCAACAACAAAUUGCACCUAAUUAGAACUUCAUUUGCUAUAAUGCUAGUAUGCUACUUGUUUAUGUUGUCAAUGAAGUACUAAUUUUGAAUAUUCCUUGUUAUUUCUAAUGUCUAGUGAACUCUUAAGAAUAUUUAGAAAGAGAUCAAGACAUCAAAUAUUGUCUUUCUUAAAACGUACCUGGUGGUCAAAUAUAUCUCGAGUAGGUUCAUAUCAUCCUACAUUCAAGAAGUACAGUAUUAGCAACGAUGUUUUAAUUUAAUCAACUUGUGUACACCUCAACUAAUAUAACGUCUUUGAAGUGAAGGCAAAAUACUUUUAAUUCAUAUUAAUUAACCAGAGUAAAACCUCUUUUCAGAUAUUGCAUACAAGAAAAUGGCAAGUCAAGAGUAUUCUCAACAACUAGGGAUUUUGACAUGAUAUUCCUCAUAACCAUAUCUCUAUUAGAUUUCUCUAAACCUCUGCUCACAACAAGAGAUGUAUUACAUACCCAAGGCACAGAAACUACAUAAGCCAGACCAUUAUAGGAACUCUUACUCCCUAAUAGAGCUUCUUUAUAUGAUCGGCACACUUUCGAAAUAUACUUUCCCAUUGGCAAAAGGUGAGAACCAGGUGGAAUGAAAUCAUCAUCCCUGAAGUCUACAUCUGAGUGAAGGUUUACGACAACAGUUCCAUGCUCAGGGUGAAGUUGGUCUGCGAGAGCAUUGAGGAAUGGAGAGUGUGGAUCCCAUAGGGUGUGAGGAAAGAUAUCUUCCCCGUCAUAUGCGUCUAUGAAAACAAGAUCAUAAAGAUUUUUGUUCUCGAGGAGGAAUUUCUCAGCAUCUGAUUCAUGUAAUUGAAUCCUCUCAUGAAUGCCUUUCCAUUGAACUUCUUGGAUAAGAUCAGGAGUUGAGUGUGCACGGCUACCAGAUGGAGUCAUAACUGAGUAAGAUGGGAACCCCAUUGCUUGAACUGAGGCUGAGAUUACCACAGGGUCGAUUUCAGCUAUGUGCACUUCAGCACCUGAUACAUCGAAGAGGUUAAUUCCAAAACAGACAUUUCGCAAAUUGGUACAACAAAUUAAGACAAGCAACAGUUAGUUUCGGAACGAGUGUCAAGUCUGUCAAACUAGAAAUUGAAGUUGCAAUGCCAUUGAAGGGAUUCAAAAAGCAGAGAACAAAGUAGUUCCAAUUCUAGGUAAUCUGAUAUUCAUAUCUUUUCUCCGAGAAAAUGUUGGACAGAAGUACUAUGACUAUUAUCACUGAAAUUCGUAAAUAUAUCCAAGUGGAUAGUAAGGAAACACUGACUGGGAGAUAUGCAAUGCAAGAAUACAAGCUAUCCAAGGUGUUCAUUUUACAACUUUAUCCAAAAAGCCAAGAGUGAGCUUCAGAACUUUGUAAUAUUUGGAGUAGCAGUGCUUCAAAUUCUACUACUACGAACAACAGCAUAUCCAAAUUUACCACAUCUAUGUGAACCAAACAAGAACUACAGGGAUGAAUUUGUGGUAUGAUACACACAAUCUUUCAUUAUUUAAGCCCCUUGUCCUAGCGAUCCAAGCAUACAGUAAUGAAAUUUCUGUAGUUAAAAAAACACUCAUUUUUAUUAUUUGUUCUUCCAGCAGACCUCACAUCCUGUACAUAAUCUAUGAGAAAAUGGAAGUUCCCUCAGAAACUUGAAAGAAAUUCAGUCAAUAUUGUAUUUGAGGUCAUCCAGAGGAUAUCAACUAUAGUUGAAGAAAUACAUAAUCUUGAGUUUUCUGCAUCAUCUCAUGUCAGAUUACCUCCCCAAAAUUUACAUUCAAGAUAAGAUUUUACAUAAAAGGGAGAAAGUAUGUGUCUUUAAUAUCACAUCCAGUGAAAAGAAGGAUUGGAUAAUGAUUUCCCGUUCAUACUUUGUCAAAUACACAAUGUCACCCAAAAAAAUGCUCAAAUUCAGAGACUUAAAGAGCAGCAAAGGCAGGAAAAACAGCACUCAGUUCAAACCUUGGAUUUUACUAGCCAAAAACAACGGUAUGCUUCCUCCGCCAUGCCCAAUGCAUAAAAUUUUCAUUGGUUUUCUCCCACAAACUGCACUUUCAAGAUCGAAUCUACAAGAUGCAAUGGUAGCCAACCCAGCAGAGACCAUGCUCUUCACAUCUGUAGAGAAAACAUGAAAAGAUGCUGCAUUAAAAAUGUGAAAGUAUGAUCAUCAUUGAUGAUUGAGGAGAACUGGCAUAAGUACGAUACCUUAACUUCCAAUAAUUAAAUACUGUAUAAGCACGAUUUACUCUAAGGUCAUGUCAGAAAGGAUCUUGUAAAACAAAUUACAUUGGACCUUCAACGUCCAUAAAUUCUGUACUAAAUCGACACAUCUUUUUCUUAUCAAAUACACUGGACCUUGUUCAUAGUAAUACAGCAAAAUUAAUACUUGAUAACGACGACCAACCAACUCAAGAACCAAAUACAAAACUAGGAACAAAAGUACAUUUUUAAGAGGAUUAACCAGCUAUUGAAAAGAAUAAGGCAACAAUAGUAUCAUUCAUCCCAGUUUAUUGUUAGAGCAUGACUUGUUUUUCUUUUCUAAUGUAGACACUAAAUGUACAAGUAAUGAACUAUACUCCUAGAGAAUCAUAUAUUCCAUUUACAUGAUCAUACUAUUGCAUAAGAGCUGUAAAUAACGCGAUACAUACAUGGAACAGCGAGACACUCUGCCUGCUGCAUCAAGUAUAUAGAACCAGGAGCUGAAUCCCUAUAAGCAGCCAUUAUUUUAACUGUGCUUUGACGAGUCUCCUCAUUAAAGUGAAGAUUCCGCCAUUGGUAACCAAGAAUCCUGAAAUUCCCUUCCUGUUCAUCUCUUGGAUACAUCUUUUCAUACCUCUUUUGAAGCCAAUUCUCUGUUUUCCCCCAAUAACAGUUUUCCUAUUAAAAAUAACAUUUUUAGAGGAAAUAUUCACAUCCAAUAACAAAAACAACAACAUUUCAAUCGAAAGAAGGGAGAGAAAGAAAGACUGAACUGGUUUGGAAGAAGGGUAAGCUACGACAGAAACGACGCCGUUUCCUUUAUCGGAAAUUGAUCGGAAAACUGUGUCGCCACCACCGGAAGUUGUGCCCCACCAUUCCGAUGAAUAAAACCAGUCGCCUUCAUCUUCUACAGUUUGUCGAAUCGCCGUUGAUAAUCGUCUCAGCUGCAGCCAUGGCAAAUUCCGUUUAGGCAACUUCAACAUAUUUCCACCAAAAACCCUCUCUAAACCCCUCUCUAUGGAAGUUUCGGGUCUUUUUUAAGGGUCAUGUCUACCCGAAAAAUGCUCGGAGGACGAAGUUGCCUUUAUUAGUAAGCGUUAAAUUUUAAGUAAAAUUUUUCGUUAAUUUGGAGCGUUUAAUCUUCGAUGUGAGACUUUCUGGCCUGAUUAAGAUUUAGUCAAGCUCAUUUUCUGGCCUAAUUAAGGUUUCGUCGAGCGCUCUUGAACUACUACUCUGGGGUCUGAUACUGUUACUGAGUUAUCUUUAGUAGAAAGUGUUUUACCCCAAUGUGAGACUUUCCGGCCAAGUUAUCUUUAGUAGAAAGCGUUUUACCCCAAUGUGAGACUUUCCGGUCAAUUUGGAGCGCUUCAUCUCCAGUGUGGAACUUUUCGACACAAUUUGAAUUUAGUCGAAAUAUUGUCUAUCCAAGUAUUUAGCUCGAUUGAAACGUUUUACCCUAACGUGAGACUUUCCAACACAAUCCAAAGCGUGAAACUUUUCAGCGCAAGCCGAAGCGGCAAUUUGGAUUUAGCCAGGCUCUUAUAUGAGUAUUGGUCUAACGUGGGGCUUCAUGAUGCAAUUAGAAUUUAGUCAAGCUCCUAUGUGAGUAUAGGUAUAUGAAAUUUAUUUAAUCAGCUAUAAGAAAGCAAUCGAUAACAGGAAAAAAUAGAGCAAUUGAAAAGAUGAGAGCCAAUAAAGACACUAAAAUGUGUUCAUUCAUAAAGACGUGAAAAACUUCAUUAAACCCAAAAUGAGACUGGCACCAUUGUGUCUCUUAUUAUUGAGAAAUUUUUUUUUUACAGUGGUGAUUUAGCUCAUACUUCCCAAGCACACAUAUUUCAUCUCUAAAUAUUCAUCCAUCCCGUAUUUAGAACCUUCGCGGCCAAGACCUGAUUGUUUCACACCCCCAAAUGGAGCUACCUCGGUUGAAACUAGUCCUUCAUUAACUCCGACAAUUCCAUAUUCGAGAGCUUCAGUAACACGCCAAGCUCUUUUGAUGUUUGUUGAGAAUAUAUAAGCAGCUAAACCAGCAUUAGUGUCGUUAGCCAUUUGGAUUGCUUCUUCGUCUGUUUUGAACUUCAAAAGAGGGGCGACUGGCCCAAAUACUUCCUCUUUCGCCAAGAGCAUCUCACUGUUAACUCCAGUAACAACUGUAGGCUCGUAGAAAGUCAUGCCAAGGCUGUGUCUCUUCCCACCAACAAGGACUUUGGCUCCCUUUGAAGUAGCUUCAUCCACAAAAUAUUCAACCUUCUGUACUGCUGCUUCAUUGAUUAGAGGGCCUUGCUCUACACCUUCAGUGAAACCAUCUCCAACUUUCAUGUUUUGGACAGCUUUAGCAAAAGCAUUUGCGAAUUUAUCAUAUAUCCCUUCUUGCACAAGUAUUCUGUUCGCACAUACACAUGUUUGUCCGGUGUUACGGAACUUUGUUGCGAGAGCUCCUUUUAAAGCUACUUCAAGAUCUGCGUCAUCAAAGAUGAUGCAAGGUGCAUUACCGCCUAGCUCAAGAGACACCUUUUUAACGGUGGCAGCAGCACCUUCCAUCAAUUUUUUCCCAACCUUGGUUGAACCUGUGAAUGUAAUUUUUCUUACCUGUGGGCUUGCAAGCAGUGCGUCUCCAAUAUCAGGUGCAUUUCCCAUAACAACAUUCACUACGCCCGGUGGUAUUCCAGCUUGAAUGGAGAGUUCAGCUGCUGCUAAAGCAGUCAAGGGUGUGAGUUCAGACGGUUUAAUCACCACUGUGCAACCACAAGCAAGAGCAGGGCCAACCUUUCGGGUAAUCAUAGCCAAGGGAAAAUUCCAUGGGGUAAUUGCACCAACAACACCAACUGGUUGCUUUAAAACAAAUAACCGCCUAUCUGCUAAUGGUGAUGGAAUGAUGUCACCAUAUAUACGUUUACCCUCCUCAGCGGAGAACUCAAUAAAACCAGCCCCAUAACUAACUUCACCAAUAGCCUCUUUUAGAGGUUUCCCUUGCUCUAGUGUCAUAAGCUGUCCAAGUUCUUCUUUAUGGGCCAUUAUCAAAUCGUACCACUUCCUUAAAUAUCUGCUCCUUUCAGCGGCAGUAAGUUUGCUCCAUGAACUAAAUGCAUCAUAGGCAGAAGAAAUUGCAUCGUUCGUCUCCCUCCCUCCCAUGCAUGGCACAUCUGUUAUUACCUCCCCUGUUGCAGGAUUGUGGACCUUUAUAGUCUUCCCAUCAUAUGCAUCAACCCAUUUCCCUCCAAUAAGAGCCUGACUCCGCAACAAUCCAGAGCUGCUCAGCUUAGCAGCAACACUUUGUGUGUCUGUCGUCAUCAGUCGCACUGGACCUGAAAUUGAGGAACGAUAUAACAUCGCACAAGCAGAAAGAGCCAUUCUGGUACGCACACGAAUCAUUUGCAUCAGAGCACCCGAAUUCCAACUUCAAGCAUCCAAAUGAAUAAACUGAGAAAAUUAAACGGAAAAAAAAGAAGAAAAGAUGUUUUAACAAAUUCAUAUCACUCGUCCCACUUCUAUGCUUUCUUUUUCAAAAUUCAAAAAACAGGGAGACAGCAAUCAAUAGAGUUGUAAAUUCACCAGACUAUUACAGGUUCGAAUCAAAAUAUCCAUCAACAUACACAAAUCCAGCUCCUCAACCAAUACUCAGAACAAAACAAUACACUCAUCAUAUAUAAAUCCAAUGCCAAAAGUAUAUCAUACACGAGGGUAAAACAAAUUACUGGAGUUAAUUCCACACAUAGUCACUAAAGUUUACACAUUAUACAUCAAAAUAAUCACAAAACUAUUUAUUGUAUCAUUAAAAUCACUCACUUAACUAUAAUUUAGAGCCUGUUCGGAUUGACUUAGUUCACAAGCUACAAAAUAACGCGGUUCCUCAUAAUAAUGUCGCGAAUUCGAUCAAUUACACUCCGUCUCUUCUCACCUUCUCUACAGACAUAGAUAUACGUUUCACCUAAAGCAUAUACUUCCAAUUUCUUUUGCUUCGGUUUUCUCCUAAUACUGAAUCAUAAGCAUUUACAUUAACUCAUCAGAAAGUCAAUUUUCCAACAGUUUAGUGACCCAAAUGUGAAAUCAACCCAUAAAUUACCUAAACUAAAUUUCAAAAUGCAACGAUGAGUGAAAUUCUCAAACACAAACACAAAAUUCAACUUUUACAACAAUGAAUAUUCAGUUUAUAUACAAUGAAAAUACGAAUAGAAAGUACUCACCUUUUCCGUCGGAGAAUUGGGAGAUCUACCGGAGAGUGUGCGUGAGCGAUGGAACCCUAAAAGAUAAUAGAUGCUACCUACUACCUCAAUAGUAGUCAACGCAAACUAUAUAUUAUAACUAUAUAUGAAAAUAAGUUUCAUAUAAUGUGACACUUUUUAAAUUUCAAAAUUCAAAUAAAUUUAUUUUUUAUUAUAAAUUAUUCAUAAAUAUUUUGAGUUAUUAAUUAUUGUGACAUAAUAACAUUUUUUUACGUAAUUUUCAAAUAUAUAAAUUUCAUUUUUUUAAAAAAAGAAGUAAAAGGUUCAUACACAAAUUCUAGGUUAAACUUAAAAGGGUUUGAGUGUCGAAAAAAUAAAAAGUGUUAAAUAAAUCAGGACGGAUGAAGUAGAAAUUAUUGGAUUAAUUAUGAAAAUUCCACCUUUUAGUUUAAUUAUUACUAUUAUUCCCUAUAAGUUUUACAAAUCUUCAAUAUUCCUCAUUUUCGCACAUCACAUUAAUGUAUCUCUCACAUUUAAUUAGUGUAUCUCGCGCGUAAGAUUAGUGUAUCAUAUAUAAAAUGUACCUCGCGCAUCAAUUAGUAUAUCCCGCGCAUCAGAUUAGUGUCUCUCGCGCAUCAAAUUAGUGUAUCAUGUAUAUAAUGUAAUGUAUCUUACUUAACGAUUAAUGUAUCUCACGCAUUAAAUUAAUAUAUCAAUGUUUAUAUUAUCCAUUUUGAGAGAUUUUCUUUUCAAAGUGUACAGUCCAUAAAAGGAUUUGAUGGUUGAUUCUAUAAUUAUAAAAAUAGAAUUUUUUAUAUGACAAAGUUGAAGAUAUUAAAUUAUUUUAUUUAAGGGGAUAAUUAUAUCAAUAUAAAAUAUAAUCAUCAAAAUUUAAUGUUUUUGUGAGUUUCAUAUCACUACUAUCAGUUACGCGAGUUUUCUAUCUAAAUUAUCAAUAAAUUUUUAUCUCGACACAAUAUUGUUAAAAACGAGCCUUGUUGAUCAAAAGUAUGAACGAUAUGCACCACAACAUCUUUUUCGUAUCAAUUCAAUUAUCACUAAAGCAAAAUCUUAUUUAACCUGUUUAUUAUUUUUCAUUUACACCUAUAAAAUUCGAAAUCGAUAUAGUACCCCCGACACCUCUUCUACUAAUACUCAAUCAUUCUUGUUCUCGAUGCACUUCACUUGGUCCUACUUGACACCUCUAUUUGGCACGUUACAUUGCGUAAAGAAUCAAUAAAUGGAGAGACACAAAACUGAAAAUUGAAACUUGAAAGCAACCUGCAAUUAGUUGACCAUAUGAUAUCUUUCUUCGAUUACCUACCGUACAUGCUUGUGAAUAAGCAUCAGAUUCUGUCAAAUUUGCCGAAAGUGCUUCAAAAAUGGACCCUUUCUGUAUAGUCCCCACAAUUUGGCCCUUUUGACCUCUCAUACAAACAAUAUUGUUAAAAGAAUAGGAAAAGAAAGCAACCCCUUUUAAUGAUUUGUUUCCAUUUUCAAGAAUCAUUCAUAGUUUUUGGUUGAAUAUUCACAGGUUUCCACUCCUUUUUGUCACUUUCAUUACCAAAGAUUUCACCUUUUUAAAGAUAUCUAAAGCCAAACAGGAGGAGGAGGUGGAGAGUUUUGAGCUAUUUGUAUAGUUCUAAAGCAUAUUCUAAGUUAGGACUCAGGUGGGGUUUUUGGGUUUUGGGGUUUUGUGUUUUCUUGAUUUUUUUGAAUAUGGUUAUUAUUUUGCUGUUUUGAUCUUAUUUGCUGAUAUGGGUUUUCAUUUUUUUCAGGAAAAGAGAUAGCUGGUUGACUCUUGAUAGCUUCUGCAAGUUAAAAGACAAGUAGGUUUCAAUUUUGGUUUUUUAAUGGUUUGAGUAUAUUGGAUUCUGAUUUUGGUGCCUUUGCUGAAAAGGGUAUUUUGAUUUUGUUUAUUUUUUGAAUUUUGUUAAGUGUAUCCAAGGGUUAAGGUGAGGGUACAGAAAGAAGAAGAUGAUCAGUAUGCUUAUCAGUCUUUGCCAUCUUUGAAGGCUUUUGAAUCCCUUUCCAUAAGUGACUUCUCUUCUUCAGGUACACUUUUGUUUGUGAGGAACCCCAUCUUUCUUCAUCCUUGUAUGAUAUUUCAUUUUUGCUAAUAUAGCUGAGUAUAGUUGUUAUAUCAUAAAGUUUGUACCUUUGUCGAAGAAAGGUGAUUUUCCAAGAUGAUAACUAUUAGUUGAGUGAUCAUCUCAGAAAUCAUCCCAACAUAACUUGAUCUUUUGGUUGAUUCUUUAUAAUCAUGCGAUUAACUUGUGUUAUUUUUUUUUCUUUUUUUGUGAUUGACUAGUUUUGGGUUGCUCUUUUAUCAUGCUAGAUUAUUUGUAAAUGAGGUAUCUUGAUCAGAAUCAUAUCUUUCUAUGGCUUUAGUCCAACAGCAAGCUUUCUGGAGAGUAGAAUUUUUUGCCAUUUAGAUUUGUAUGUCAGUAUAGGGACAAAUGCGAGGUUUUGAGAACCUCUAAUGAUGGAGAAAUUUUAAAUUGCCUUAAAAGACAAACUAUUUGCCAAUAUUGGGAUGAAACUAAGUGAAAUGGAUGUAGAAGUUUAUAUAGCCAACAUCAUCUUUGGGGUUUAGGUGUAGUUGAAUUGAGCAGGCUUUGACUUUUGAGUAGAUAUAAAUGUAAAGGAUCAUUUUUGCUUUAAAUUUUCUCUUGUAAAGGGAUUUCAACAUGGCAGCAUUGUUUUGGAUUGCUUUUUAGUUCUUGAAAUGAUGUAUAGAUUGUUAUACACAGUUUACCUAACUAAUUGUAGUUCGCUUAGUUGUAUUAGUAGUAAUAUUUUUCUUUUGCUUGUCUUCUUACUUUCCUUAAACUGGAGAGAUUUUAUAUGUGGAUUUUAUUGUAAUAUACUGAUGCAAGCAAAAUGAAAAGUGCACGACAUCACAUUCUCUUUCACCUCCUAAGGAUUUGCUACUUGUAAAGAAUCCUGACAUUAGAGCAUUUCCAUUUUGUGUCUGUUGUUCCUGAACCUCAUCUAUUUUAAGCAGAAUCCCAAUGUCGCGCUGGAUUGGAAAUCCUUCAAGUACUCUCUAGUGUGUGAUGAUCCUAUUCAAAAGUUUUAGGCUGCAGCUUUCUACGAUAUAUAGUCGAUAGGCUAAGUUAGCUUCAGCAGAUGCAUAUCCACUUCUAUCUCAUUACUACGAGACUGUUUUCUUGACAUAUACAAAUUCCUUUCGUUCUUUCUUUGUUGUCACAUUUGCUGUCUUGCAUAGUGCUCGUUGAAGUCUUUGAUUCAUUGGUUUUAUUCACUGUAUGCUAUUUCCAAAACCAUGACACAGAGUAUAGAUGGUUGGAUUUAAGCAAAAGAUGGGAGUUUGCAUAUUAACAUCCAGCAAUAACUCAACUGAACUAUUGUAGUAAACUUAUUCCGUCAAUACGUCAUUGCCUUUCCAUAUCCAUCAUUUUAUUUGUUCUCAGCUCUGAUGGUGUCUGACUAGUUCAUUGUUGUUUUCUUCUCUCCUCUGCUUCUUUCUGAUGGUGUAUAAAGAUGAUUCGCCUACAUCAGUUGUGAGGAUACCCCGAGCAUGUAUUUUAAGCCCAGACAGACAUGGACUUCCAUCAUUGAGAGGUUACAUACUUCUUUAGCAACUUUUGUUACCACACACUUUGCAAGUGGGUUGACAUUCACUCGGUUGAUUGGCAGGGAGAAUGAAGGAAAAUAACCAAAGCAUUUUUGGUGGAAGCAAACCAAAUACAAGGGCCACUUCUGUCCCUCGACCACGUGCAGUCUUAUCAAGCCCUGGUAAUCCCUAACGAACUUUGCAUUCUAGAAUUAAUUCCUUCGUGGGGAAACACAAACUUGGACUUCUAAAUACUGAAUUGUGUAGCAAAACCAUAUCUUUUCAUGAACGAAGUGUGAUGGAAAAAACCUGGAAAUGCACUUGAGGAACAAUGAUUUAAUAGCAUUUUUUGUGAUUAUUGUUGACUUUAACAUGUAAAUAUUACAUGUCUUGUCUUUGCACAGUUCCUUUUCUGAUACUUUAAUCUUGUUAAUUCGGGGCCAGUUAAUGUGGCCGUGUGUAAGAGAAGGAAAUCCAUAAUAGGUAUGUAGAAUAGCUUCGUCUUCAUUGUGAGUGACUACAUGCCAAAUCAUACCCUCGCGUAGAUCGCUGGUGCAUAGGAUAUAUACUUCUGCUAUGGCUAUGCACAUAAUCCACAUUUACGUACUGGUUGUCAGUGAGACAUCAUGGGUAGUUCUCUGUAUUUGAUUAAGCACGGGUGAUCUGAUUAUCCUCACAUCAGAAUGGACAUACCAACACAUCUGACAAAUUUGUUUAGAAGAGAAACAGGAGUGUAGGAGUGUAGUUGUUCUUGAUUCUGCACUAUUUUGUGAAACUUGUUCAUGGGUUUUACAUGUUUAGCACGUUAAUUAACCGUGAAUCAGUGGUAGAUUGAGAUCAUCGAAUACAGUACCUCUUGUAAAUUUAUAACUGUUGUGCGGUUUACAAAGAUAAAACACACUAUACAUGGUGUAUCUCUUGCUGAAAGUAUUGUAUAUUUAUUUACAGUUAAUGAUCAAAUGAUAAGCACGAGGAGCAAGACGAAAGCAGAAGCAGUUUCAGACUUGAAGAAUCACAAUACAUGUCAAAACAGACAUCACAUCAAGUGCAAAACUUUUCCAAAAUCAAUUCAAGAUUCACAUCAUACAAGUGGAAAUAAGUGCUCAAAAGAGACCGAUAAUGGGAAACUUGAUCCUCGAGCAAGAGCAAGGCUAGUGAAAGGUGAUCCAAGUCGAAGAACACACCUUCAAGAAGACGAUCAACAUCCUGUUCGUUCAAAAGUAAAACAGUAAGCAGGGGUAUGUAGUCAACUCAUACUAGCCUGCAUAUUAUAGUAAUUCGAAAAGUUUGUGAGGUGAUGCUACUCUACUUGACCAAAGUUAUAACUUAACUUGAAACUCUUUAAACAGAAACCUUAUUAAGUUGAUUGAUACAUCACCCUCUGUGCAGAAAAUUCUGCUUUUUUAAGACUCUUGAUGUUUUGCGCGAUAUCUAGCUAUAAAUUUAUAUAGUUGUAUCAUAAUGUUUCAUAAGUUAUGUCGUAAAAGUCAUAACAAAUAUGUCAUAUGUCCAAAAAGCAUUAGUGUGUGUCUUUUAAAAAAAAUGGUGGCUUAUGUCUCAAAUAAGUAAAGAAACAAAUAUACAAAUCUUCAGUGAUCGUGCUUUUUUAUUUCAAAUCUCGAUUAUAUUAAAAUAGAUAUUCUGAGUCCUAAACUGAGUUGUGAUCCGCUAUAUUAAUCAUCAAUAAUCAUAUCUAUCCACAUUAGUUUAAGUCAUGUUAGUCUACCACAAUAAAAACAAAAUGAUGAGAUUGGCAAAAAAAAACAACGAGAAUAAUCUUAAUAUAUACUACUAGUAAUAAAAACAAGUACAAAUCCCGCAUGAACACAAGACAACAUUCAAUCAUCUAUCUGUUCAAUAACACAACGAAAUGAUAAGAUGAUAAAAGAACUACGAGAAUAGUCCUAACAUAUACUAUUAAUGUUUAGUAUGAAAGAAAAAGCAAGUACAAAUCCCGCAUGAACACGAAACUAUAUGUUCAAUAACUACAAAAUGACGAGAUAAUAAAAGAACUACGAGAAUAAUCCUAAUAUAUACUACUAGUGUCUAGUAUGAAAGGAAAAACAAGUACAAAUUCCGCAUGGACACGAAACAAUGCUAAACUAUCUACUAAUACCUUAAUGAGUGACCUCCUAUUUAUUAUAGGGCGGUUAAAAAUGGUGGUUUAAUUGAAGCAGGCCAUCAGGCGUUACUGGACUUGGGAAGCACCGAUUCGUUAUCCUUUCGCUGCUCAGAGCGAAAGUUGUCCGUUGCCCUGUGAAACCAGUCUAAAUAUAUACUACUAAUAUUAAAGGAAAAACAAGUACAAAUCCCGCAUGAACCCAAGACAACACUCUAUCAUCUAUCUGUUCAAUAACAACAAAAUGACAAGAUGAUAAAAGAACUACAAGAAUAAUCCUAAAUUAAUAUAUAUUAUAAAUGUUUAGUAUGAAAGGAAAAGCAAGUACAAAUCUCUCAUGAACACGAAAUCAUUUGUUCAAUAACAGCAAAAUGAUGAGAUAAUAAAAGAACUACAAGAACAAUCCUAAUAUAUAUUACUAAUGUGUAGUAUGAAAGGAAAAACAAAUACGAAUUUCGUAUGAACACGAAACAAGCCAAAACUAUCUACUAACCAUUUACUCUAAUGAGUGACCUCCUAUUUAUUAUAGACUUGGGAGGCACCGACUCGUUAUACUUCCACUGCUCAGAGCGGGAGCAAAAAGUAGUGGUUUAAUUAGAGCAGCCCAUCAGGCGUUAACUGAACUUGGGAGGCACCGACUCGUUAUCCUUCCACUGCUUAGAGCAAAAGCUAUUCGUUGCUCUGUAAAACCAGCCUCACGCGUUCCCGCCAAACUUUAGGAAUCAAGCAGCCCAUUUCUUCAAUUGGGCCACGUGAUCCAACUCUGAGCUUGGAUAGGGCAAGCCAGAAACUAGCCCACCAAGCCCAACCAUCUGGUGCAGCCCAAUAUCCCACCACAUUAAUGCCCCCAUUUGGGUUACAAGCCCACAUUACUAAGCUCGGCGAACAUCCAUCUCUCUAAUUCUAAUAAAAAAAAGUAAAUGUUCCUAUUCUGUAUCGAUGUGGGAGAAUUUCAUUUCAGUCUCAAGAAAGGUUGUUUUCUUGUUUUUAUGUAAAUUCUGAUACUGCAUUUAUGUUGUCUUUAACUAGAUUUGAUAACAUUUUCUCUGCUGAUGAAAAAUGCAAAUAUUCCACACAAUCGUAAUACUUCGUUUUAUUUAACUGAAUGCGAAGUUUGAGAAAGAAUUAAUCGAAAUAUGCACGCGCUUCAAGUAUUUGAUUGGUGGACAUGUCAUUUACAAAUUAUUACAAUUAUUUUCUCAGAGACAAAAAACCGAUUUCCCAAGCUAAGAGGCUUAUCAGAAACAAUCUCUGUAUCCUAGAAACAAUAGAGACAAGAUCUUUGUAUACCAUCAUACUAGUAUGUUAUUAUAUUUUCUUGGAGUAUUCAGAGGUCAACAUUUCGAUUGAUGCAAAUGAAUUUUUGCAACUAUAAAACCACAACUAAAAACAAUUCAAGUAAUUUUCAGACAAUAUUUGUUACUUCCUCUAUCUCAAUUUAUGUGACAGUAACGUAACUUCCGAGUGUCAAAUAAUAUAUCUUACUUGCUUAAUCCAAAUCAAGUGUACUCUGAAUAAAACCGUUAAGACGAUGUCGUCGCUAUAGUAGUCUAUAGACUACAAAGUGGUGACUGAACAAGCACCUAAAUCCAGAAAACAGUGACAGAUCAAUGAUUUGGGAUAUAAGCCACAGUACAGAGUGUAGGCCUGAGAAAACUAAACAAAUGUCUCACAAAAUUCCUCUGUUGUGUUACAAGCUCUCGUAAGCACAGCAAAAAAGAGAGGACGAAGAAAUCGGAGUGCUGCAGGGACCAGGAAGUGCAAACUGGGAAACUAAGAUUAUGAUGAAACCAAAUCAGGAGUUUCAGCUUCCACAGAUAACAAGGCAGUGUGUACUUUAUCCACCCAAUUGUCUAGCCGAUCUCGCAGUGACUUGAUCUGAGGAACACCCAAAACUCUUGGUUGAACCCAGGACACGUGAACAGUCCCUUCCACUUGAUCGAUUAUUCCCUCUAUCAGAUGUACCUACAGUAAACACAACAUCAUACCGGAGAAAAAUGGUUCAUUAGCCUAAUUUCCGACAUGUAAAACAUCACCAUAUAUCACAGGAAAACUUCAUGGGAUGUUGGAAAAGUAAACAUUCAUGACGAGAAAAAUAGAAAGGGGAACAGAAUGAGAAACGCAGGAACCUAAAACGCAUAAGAGAACAUAUAAAAACUUAUUGGUUGCAACAUUACAUACUGCUCAUGUGGAGGAGCUUUUGGUGGGGGCAUAAUGUAAUAAUGAGAAUUACUUCCAAUUGACUGUAGGGAUAUAUAAACUGCACAGCAAAAAAACUCGACCGAUGCCACAACUUAAGAGGUAAGAAAUUGACCAUUCACUUGAAUCAAAUGAUUUUUUUUAUAAGGUUAUCCUUCUUAUAGAAGGAGCUGUCCUACUUUUGAUGAUUUGAUAUACUAAGCAAUGAAGCUGAUCAUGGUUAUUAUACUUCCUCUAUCCAAAGCAUUUUGGAAGCCCACUUAAAUUAUAAGUUGAGAAAACGCAUAAAUUAGGUGUGGAGCAUAUGCAUGACUUGAGAACAUAGAGGAAAAAAUAUGUUGCCAUAUGACAUCCCGGUACAAUUGACCAUCCAAUAACAUUACAAAGAUGAGCAUUUCGUUCUUAUGCAUGUCAUGGUGCGUGGAAGCUAGUUACAGAGGAUAGAUUUAUAUCUUAAUUAAACAAACAAUAAUUCACUCACAGAGAGACUCUUCAUUAAGAGAUACUCUACAUCUUCCACGCUAAGUUUAGUGCGCUCUGCAAUGGCACUCAAUGGAAUAGUUCUAUCCUCUGCUGGGCGACUGCACGCAAAUGCUUUCUCUAUAAGUUACAGUUUAACAAAAAUAAAUUACAGAGGUACCACUAUAUGCAAAAUGUCUGCAAAACCUGAAGAUGAUUUCCAUCAAGCACAGAAUGUUGAUCUUCUCGAGAAGCUUUUUCUCGUUCUGCAAUAAUGCUGGUUGAGCACUUAAAGCAGCUUUAUGGACACGGCACAAUUCUUGAUAACGAACUAAAUCACCAGUGUUGAAUGCUUCAAGGAUAUGAUAUAGCCAUUCAACUUGUGUCCCUACCAAACUCUUUAUCUGUUAAAAAAAAGAUAAAGCCAUAAUGAGUUCUACAUAAUGUUGCCAAAGAAACCAACAUAAGAUCACCCUAUGGCUCUCUAAUAUAAUCCUCCAAUCAAUUCCACCACUUAUGAACUCUGAAGCCUAUUUGAUAGUCGAAACUGAAUUUAUGAGAUUUCACACAGCUUUGUGCUAUGGGUACACUGUAGAUACUUUAUACUAGUUUCUUCUAAAGAUUUUUUUGAUACUUUUUUAGCAAAAGCACCUGUUGGAGUAGAUGAGAUAAGUUCCCUUGGCGAAGCUCAAGUGGUCAACAUAAAUACCACCUUGCCAAACAGGAAGAACUCAUCAAACCAAAUCAAAUGGGUGGCUUGGAAUGAAAGACCUUCAUCUACACAACCAAAACCUGCUGCUGAAACGGUAGUGAAGAUGCAACUGUUAAGAUGCAACUGUGAAGAUGAUAUACUUUGGAAAAGAGUGGCAGAUGCCAAUAUGGAAAAUGGAUUAGAUGGUGUAAACAAGCAAACACCUAUCCUUAUGGGAUGGUCUGUGAAAGUUCAUGAGGAAGCUGUGGGAUAAAUUUGGUACAAGAGAAGCCCACACACUAGGAAAUGGAGAAAACAUGUGUUUUUGGCAUGACAGAUGGUUGGGCCAACUUUCUAUAAAAGAGUAUCCUCUGAUGUAUACCAUAUAGCUGCUGUGUCUGACACAAAAAAAAGGCUCAAUAUAGAGAUAGAAACUGCUAAAAUCUUUCUUUAUUUUUUAUGGUAAGUGGAACUGCAGGAACAUCGUCCUUGGAGGAAACUGUAAAGACUGCUAACUAAAAAAAUAUAAAAUUGCUGGGCAAUUAAAGCAAGCGACAGUGCAUACCCAAGUCAUGGACAGCCUGGAAUGGAAGGGAAUUGGUGGGACUACAUUAACAGGGAAAGCUUGCUACUAUAAACCUAACAAGAUCUCAUUCCAGCAAAAAUGACAACGCAAGAUAAGUCUAUACAAAUCUAGCAACUAGGAAGACAGCAACGCUAAUUCCUACAAUGGACAGCUUAGCCAGCAAAGAAAACAACAAUUGUAUUACAACCUACAAUUUUUGAGAAUAGUAGAGAGUCCACUGUGGAAAUUUUAACCAAACUUUAGUUUCAGUAGUAUUACUGUGUGUAAAGGAACAUCCAUAGAUGGAUGACUUCCAUGGAAAUUUCUUAUAUGCAUGACAUCAACUUCAUGUGACAUUCAAUAGAAGAUUUUGAUUAAUCCAAAUAAAAGAAAAAUAAAGAACUUACUAUAGGAUGAGCAAGCAACUCCCCAAAAUUGUAUACGUUGUCUCCCAGUAAAGCAGACAAGGACAAAUCAAACGCCAAAUCCUAGACAAGAUAGAAGAAACAAUUACAUAGAAGAGACAGUUACAUAGAAUAGAAAACCUCAAAUAUAUUGACAUUCAACCAAUUUCAGAUGCAUUUUCUUAAAAGACUGAGGUUACAGAAAGAAUCUCCAGAUCUCCAGGUAUGAAAAAAUCCUACCCAAAGCGUGAAAAGAAUCCCCCAUAAUCCAGUUUGCUCUAUUCAGAUUUUCAGGCCAAUUUCUCUAAUACUAAAUAAUUUGUCACAAUGAAAUGCGCACAAAUUAAAAAAAUCAACAGCUUAUACAGACUUUAUGUCAAAGAUUCAAUUCUCUUUGGGUACCAAGUAGUAUAAAAUGUAAGGAGCAUAAAUAAAUUUAAAAUGGUACUCUACAAGUAUAUCACGGAUAUCUACUAGCAACAUGUCUUAGCAACCUUCUUCAUGACGCCAACAGUACACCCCAUUUUAGACCUUAUUCAAUGUUAGUACUUUGAGCAAAGAGAUAUAUUACCAACAGCACUAAGGCAAGAGAAACCAACAUAUAGAGGUCAGAGAUCUGCUAGACACGGACAAUAAAUAGAUCGUUCUUUGGAUAAAAGGCAGAAAAUAAAAUGGCAACAUACCAGCUUGAAUGACUCCGAAAGAGAAUCCACUGAAACGUAUGCAAGAUAGAGGAGAGCGCUUUUGUAAAACUCUGCAAAUUCCUGCCGCGUUUUAUGAUACUGAGAUGAAACCCAAUAGUAACUGGCAUAAACAGAGGGGUCAACAUCGGUCAUGCUGUCAAUUGUAGCAUUCCCCUGUUCUAAAAGCCUCUUGCACUCUUUUUGAUCCCCUUGUUCUAGCUUAAAUAGGGCAAUCUGCAACUUAAUAUAAAGUAUUGGUUCCUCUAUCCGUGUCUCUUUAGUAUUUUGGAGCUUCUCUGCUACUCCUUCCAGAUAACCUAUUCCAGCAUCUUUCUCCGAAUAUUGCCGAGAGACGAUUACAGCGAAAUGUGCAAGCUUCAGAAGAUUGAUCUUUGUCUCAAAAUCAGUGAUGAAAUUGUGAUACAGCUGUAUCAACGUGUCACCAGCCUAAGAACAAAAUAAGGAAACAAAACGGAAGGCAUUAGAUCUGCAUACAAUACAAUAAAAAACAACUACGAUAACUGAAAAUCAAGCAUAUGCAAUUUAAGCUGCAGUUAGAUAAUGAGGAACAGAAUAAAAACACCACAUUUACUAUGCUAUAUGGACACAUAUUUCCAUGACUACAUUGCAAGAUUCAAGAACAUCUAGAACCCUGACCAUGCACCUACUCAGAGAACUCAAUUUAUCCUACAAGAAGUUGUGUUCAAAGGACAAGUCAAACCGAAUUUUAGAAUUAUUUGAAGAAUUAUGAAUCAGAUGAUUUAAACUUGAUGAACUGUAUAUCUUUUUUUUUUUGACUGUCUAUCGGAAACCUCUCUACCUCCCAAGGUAGGGAUAAGAUCUACCCUCUUCAAACCCCACUUGUGAAAUACCACUGGCAAGCAACAUCGAAAUGCAGACACAUAACUCCAAAUGCACAUAAAAUGAGGUAGACGGCAAUAACCAUAAUUCCAGAGCAAUUCUCAUUAGCACUCAUAACUAAGCUUACUCCACGCUCUUAUAUUUCAAGUUCAACACAUCACCACCUAAAAUCAUAACAAUAAAAGCUACACAACUAAAGCUCUCUUGUUCUUCAAUUCACUUCUCUUAUCUCCAAGAUGCCACCUUUCCAACUCCCCGAAACCCUAGAAUAUUCAUAAACCCCAAUUCCCAACACAAAAACCUAAAUUACAAAUCCCUAACUCAACAACAACAAAAAAAAAUCUCUUUUUCAAUACAAUUCCCAACCUUUCAUAAUCAAAACUCCUUCUUUUUUAAGGCUUCAGCUUAUUAAACCAAACACCCCUAACUUUAUCAUCAAUCACUACAACUCCAAAACUCAAAUCACGCAAAACCCCUAAUUUAUCACAAGAAGUCCCUAAAAACAACAAAAUAAGUAUAAAACGGGGAGAUAUACGAUAAAAUACCUGAAAAACAGCGAGAGCGACAAACUGUUCGAGCUUGAGAGAGAGCUGGUGCCAGAGCUUGCGUUGGUACAGAUCUGCAAGCGUCGUGUACCAAUCAGAAAGCUCUGGAUGAUCAUUGCGUAGCGAUUCCAAAUACUGUAGAGCCGCCAUGGCUGAUUCAGUGUUCGAAAAAAUCUCUCUCUUGAUGAAGACGAUGAAGAAAGAAACAAGAAGUUCUAAAAAAAUAGAAAAUAAUUUUUAUAUAGGAAUUUUUAUUCAAUUAUUUUACUUUAUUCGAUUAAAUUAAUUUAUUUAAAAAAAAAAAAACAAUUGAUGAACACCACUUUGAUAGGGUUGUUAUCAUUCAGUUCAGUUCAGUUUUGAAGCGUAUCAAUUUGACUUAUCAACUAUCAAUUUGUAGACACAUUAAAUUGUUCUUUUAUUAUUUUUAUUUUCACCUAGUGUUCGAUAUCUACAUUGAAACCCAACUAAUUUUAAAUUCGUGCUAAAGAGUCCCACAUUGACUGUUUUGUACCCAUAUUGGUGCCGAACAAAAUCCAGAUUCGCGUCACGAAGUCCUACUUUGGGGCAAUUUGAUUUUGAAGUUUAUCGGUUUGACUUAUAAGUUAUCGCUUUGUAAACACGCUGAAUCCUUUUUUUGUUUUUUAUUUCCCAGCUAGUGACUGAUACCCACAUUGGGGUUCCACUAAAUUCAGAGUUGCACCGGAAAGUCUCACAUUGGGUGUCCCGUACCCACAUUAGAGUUUGACUUUUUUAUUUUUUUGUUUCCCAUUCGGUGAGCGGUACCCGUAUUGGCGCCCCCACUAAAUUCGAAAUUGUGCUGAAGUCCAUAUUGGGUGUUCGGAACCCACAUUGGAGCCCGACUAAAUCCGAACUCGUGUCGAAAGUCCCGCGCUGGGGAGUAAAGUGCUCCCUAACAAAGGUGAUUUUGUACCCAAGUGGGCUCGAACCCGGGAUAUCUUGGUUAAGGAUGAAAGAAUACUUAAUACUCUAUCACAACCUUAAUUGGUCAUGCUAAAUUGUUUUACAACCAUUAUGACAUAAAGUUAUCAGUUAUCGAUUUAUCAAUUAUUAAUUCAGUUAUCAGUUUAACUGAGAUUACCUAGAAACAAGGUGACAAUCCAUCUAAACCAAGCAUCUCAGUUGACAAAUUUCAUUUUGCUCGAAAGCAAAUGCCGAAACAGUGUUGAAUAGCUAAGUGUUCGACAACAAAAUAUAGAAGUAUAUAACUAAACUCGGAGAAACGGAAUAGUAUAAAUAUUAGUUAUUAUCAGGUAAUUUAUUAUCUCAUUAAGAAAAAACUUCAAACUAUUAAAAAUUAAUUCUCGAUAAUAAGAAUAAUCAAAAUUGUCAUAGCAAUCUCUAAUUCAAUAAUCCAUUAUCGAUAUACCAAUAACUGAAAAAACUAUAAUUAAAUCAAGAAUAAUUUAAACUUCACAUCUUUACACCUAACUUCAAAUCUUUAGAAUAAUUGUUAACAAAUUUUAAAACUCAAUAGAAAUAUAUGUUUUCAGUUUUAGAUUUGUAUAUCUAAAAUUGAAUCUGAAAAAUGAUAAAAUGUUAUUAUUCUACAUAUAAACAUAUAAAAUUAACUAUUCUUGAAAUCCGAAUCAUAAAAAAGAGAUAUAUACAUUCGAUUAACUGAUUAUCAAUAUGAUCGAAAUACACAACAUAUACGGUAUAUAUGUUGGGCCAAAGUUAAAAUUGCUAUUUAUGCAAAUCAACUUACCUAGUCAAUGGGCCGUACAGGCCUAGUCCAUAUAUUGGGUCUUCCACGCCAGUAUAUCAAAUAUGUUGGGCCUUAUGCCUCACACAAGUUUCAUAUCCAUUCCUCUCCUCUCGAAUAUAUAUCACUAUUAAAUAGAUGGGCAACUUUCACAUAUAGCGAACAAAAAAUUCAUAUUUGUAUGCUAUAGAAAACUUUGCAUAAUUGCGCUCUAUAGCAAACAUAAAACUGUAUAAUUUGCUAUACAUAUACAAUUGUAUAAUUCGCUGGCCUAAAUUGUAUAAUUCGCUGGCCUAUUUCGCUGCAAUUAUAUAAUUUAUUUUGCAUAUAGUUGAAUCGAAUUAAAAUGUAUGCAUAUUGCAUAAUUAUAAGUGCAUAGCAAGAAGAUAUAUGUUUUUCUCGCUUUAUACAAAAACAGAAACACAAUAUAUACACUUCUGUUGUAUAAAGCUAGAGAAAAUUAUAUUUCACUGCAAUUGUAUAAUUCGUUGACCUUUUUCUUUGCAAUAUUUGAAGUAAAAUGUUUGUAAAUUGUAUAAUUAAGUGUAUAACACGAAGAUAUACAUUUUUGCAUGUGUAUAUACAAUUUUCUCUCGCUUUAUACAAAACAGAAACAAAAUUAUACACUUCUGUGUAUAAAGCGAGAGAGGCGAGCGAGCAUGGAGAGUGGCGAGCGAGAUUUUUGGGAGAGAGACGCUGGCAAAUUUUAGCUAAUGUUUGCUAUGGAGCACAAUUAAAUCAAACCCCAGCUAUUUCAUUUAAUUUAGGUUAUUAAUUUGCUAUUAUAUACAAUUUUCCCUAAAUAGAUCCGUAAGUUAUAUAUCCGUAAAUUUUUAAAUAUAUUUGAGAUAUUAUAAUUUUGAUGGAAUUGAUGUAAUUAAUUUUAACACUAUGAAAUUUAUGUAACUUUUACUAUAAAAAAUAAUGAGAAACUUACAUAAAUAUACUAUAAUAAAAAAAUAUUUACCAUUUAUAGUAAUAAUAUUUUUUUCACCUAACCACUUUUAAUUCAUUUAUAAUAUAAGUUUAAUACAUAUUACAAAGAACAAUUUAUUAUUCACAUAUAAUACAAGUUUUAAUGAUGGAUAAUACGUUUAUCACAUAUUUUAAUACACUUAUAAUACAAUGUGACAAUUUUUUACCCAAACAAACAUAAUGUAUUUCAAAAACAAUUAUAAUUCAAAUACACUGCAUACAUAAUUCACUUUUAAUACAUAUUACAGAUUUAUCACAACAUUGCUAUCAAUGGUAAUAAACAAAAAGUAUUGCUCAAAUCAAUAAUUAUUUUUUAAAAUGUAUUAAUUUAUAAAACAUCUCUAUUUUCAAGAAUAAUUGUCUCUUCUCUUUUUAUUUGUUCAUUGUUGGAUUGGAUUAUUUUUUCGAUAAGAGUGAUCUUUUGAGGUUUUUACUCUUUAUAUAAGUUUAAUAAUUUUAUAACUACCUGAAUGACAUCAAUCUAUCUUCCGAGUUUAUAAAGAAACUAUAAAUUAUAAUUAUAUCUGAAUUAUAUCAUUUAUAUACCUAAAACAAUCAUAUUUGCUCAUGUAACGCAUAUACAAACAAAUUUCUCAACAUGCCCAUAAUUUUUUGGGAGCAACUUGUUUAGAAUUUAGAUAACAUAUAUUAUCACCAUAUCUGUUACUUUAUUCAUUUUAAAUUAUUUAUUUUACUUUUUUUAGUUUGUUUCGUAAGAAUAAUUUUAUUCUUUUUGGCAAUUUCUUAAUUUUAAUUUUUCACUAAUUAUAUUUAAAGACCACAAUAACUAAUAAUAUUUUACAUUAUUAAUUUACGAACAUAAAACUUAAAAUCAGAUAAAUAAAUUAAAACGAAAUCAAUAAUUUUUUUCUUCUAAACCCUUCCACUAGAUUGCCAUAGACCUUUUUUUUAAUUUAUUGGUCUUCUCUAAAAAUGAUUGAAAUAUUCAACGAAAUUAUUUCGUCAAAAUUAUAAAAGUCUAGAAUGAUAGUAAUGUAUACCAAACAAUAUAUAUCCAAUAAUUUUCCAUUAAUAUGCUAAUGUUUUUACUUUAUGAAUUUAAUUUUGAAAACGAAGGCAAAUAUUAUUAUUAUUAUUAUUAAUAAUUAUAGUAUAUUUAAUUAAAAUCGACCUAUAUAAGCGCAUGAUAUUUAUCUGAUUAAACCAAUCAUCGAGUCCAAAAGUUUGUGUAUAUUAUGUAGUUAUGUUAUGAUUUACAAUACUUUUAUUUAUUUAUUUUCUCUAUUUCGCAUUUAUCUAAAGCGUUAUGUGCACCUUUCUUUUGUAAGUCUGUCAGUAUUUUUCAUUGACGCGUUUUUCAUCGAUUCGUUCUCCGUAAUUAACAUAACAGACAUCAUGAAUUAAUUAGUCACAUCAUUCGUUUAAAAAUGUAUGAUUUCUUUUUUCUUUUUAGGGUGUAUCAAGGAAAUUGACGUCUUUCGUUUUUUUUGCAACACUUUAGUUUCAGUUUUUCACGUGACAUGUUUAAAGUUACAAGAUUAAAUGUCAUUUUGAUAUAUUUGACAUAACUUUAAUUAGAACUAUAAAAUCUUUUUUAUUUUCAUAAAUUCGUGUCAAGUCAAAUUAGACCAUUUUUUUUGAAACCGAUAAUUCUUUCCAAAGAAAGUUCCUUUUUUUUCUUAUGAUAAGAUCUAAUAUAUUAUAUGAAUGAUGACAUAAAUUCUUACUUCAUUCAUUACUGUUAAUAAACAAUUAGUACAGCUAAGUACAUAGUUUGUUGAAACAAUUUUUGUAAUUAAAAAAUAUUGUAGUUGACAUUUGAGGUUAUUGUUUUUUGUUUUAUAACUAUCAUUUAAACGUAAUGCUCAACAACUAAUUAAUCAAGUCAAAUAAUCCACUAAAUUUAUUCGGUAUUAAAGAAUAUAUCGUAUAAACUUGUAAAAUAUAUAUAUUCAGUAUCUUCCCGUAUAUUUAUCGAGUUUAAUUUUUGUGUAUCGAUAAUAUAUAUGCUAAAAUGGAUUGAGUUAUAGUAAAAAUAAUAGAUAAAAUUUUAUAGAAAACUUGAUAUUUAAGUUUUAAGUAUGAAGAAAAACUUGUUAAGAACGUUAUCCUCGUAUGAAUAUUUAGUCGUAGUUCUAAUGUGAGUACCGAUGAAACGAAAAAAAAAAAGUAGAAGGAAUAAAAAUAUUACACUAUCAAUAUCAAAUGUGACUUUAUUAAUUUGCAAAUGUCUUCCUUGUGUAAUCAAAUAAAUGCAAAAUAGCUUUACAAAUUCCACCAAAAAAGAAAAAAUAGUAAUCAAUAAAAUACAAAAUAGCUUUACAAAUUCCACCAAAAAAAAAAAAGAAAAUAUCCAUAAUUAAAGCCCUUUUUCUCAAGGACCAUAUUAUAAAAUUUCAAUGUCCACAUAUUAUUUCGAAAUACAAUAAAUUGAAUGAAUUAUCGAUGCUUAUUUAAAUUAAUCCCACAAUGAGAUCAUCAAAAUAUUUAAAAGGUUUAUUAAAAUUAAUUUGUUAGUGGGUAAGCAAUAUACGAAGCAUAAAUGCAUGACGUACUAAAUCGUAAAUUUCAUUAGUUAAUUAUUCUGUCCGUUUACUUUUACUUAUUCAUUUUAAAUUUUAUAUAUCUUAAGAAAUAUUGAUAUUAGAAUUUUAUUAUAACACUCAUAUUAAUUUUUAUUUAGUAUAAGAUUUUUAAUUUUUAAAAUAAGUAAUUAAAAAAUUAAGGGACCAAGUAGAUUAAGUGCUAGUUAAGUACUUGAACAUAACCACAAGAAUUUUCUUUUGAUUGGUCAAAAAGGAGGGGCCAAUAAUUAAGCAAAUUUUUUAUUUUUUUCUAAUAAGUGAUGCAGUUGAAAGAUAUUUUUUUUAUGAAUUUCUUUUAAUUAUUCUAUUAUGGAUAUUCAUAUGUAACCUUUUUUUUUCUUCUCUAAUUAGUGAUGAAGUUGAAAGAUAUUGUUAUGAAAUUUAUUAAAUUAUUCUUUUAUGAAUUUGAAUAAAUUCUAAAAUUUCAAAAAUCACAAAAAAAACAUUUUUUUCAUCUUUCACUCUAAAUUACUCACAAAUAGUUAUUUCUUAAAAAAAAACUUUAAUAUGUAUUCAUAGCCAACACAACAUAAAUUUUAUUAUAUUAUUUUCUAUUUUGAAAUAAAAAUUAUUAAUUCUAAAAAAAUAUAUAAUAAAACAUGAUUAAACGACUACAAAUAUCCCUCGGGAGUGAUGAUUAAAAUUUUUUCCCUCUCAUCAAUUGGAGAAGGUCCUUUUUUUCUUAAAUAACCUUAUUUUUUUCUCUCUUUUUUUUCAUGUCCAAAUAGAGAUAAAUAUGAUACAAUAUAAUACGAUAUUAAAAUUUUGAUUUUUGAUUUUCAAAGAUACAGUACUUCCUCCGGUUUCAUAUUAAAUAAAUUAUUGAGGUUUUAUACCCUUCUUAUGAAAAAUAUUGAAAAACAUAUAUAGAUAACAAUUAUUUUUUUUUUUAUUUCCAAACUAUUCUUCUAAAAAAUAUAAAGGAUUUAAAAACCUCAUUAAAAGAAAAAUAAAAUUAUAUAUAUAUAUAUAUAUAUAUAUAUAUAUAUAUAUAUAUAUAUAUAUAUAUAUAUAAAGUCUACAUUUUUUAUUUACAUUAAUAGUUGUCCACUAUUGACUUGUCGUAGAAAUUAAGUAGCAACAAAUGACAGAAAUAAUCUACCAAAUCACCUUUAUAAAUAUAAGUCACCUAAACAUUGAAAAAAUAAAAUUAAUAGUAAAGAUAAAUAGACAUAACAUGACAAAUUACUCAUUGUUUUUAUAAGUUAGAUAAAUAUUGUUAAAUAUUUCGAAAUACUAUAGUGAGCAUAGGUGGAGUCAGAAUUUUCAAUAAGGAGUUCAAAAUAUCUAAAAAUAGAGAGUCGAAUGAGGUUCGACAUUUAUUAUAUAUAUACAUAUAAACUUAUUUUAACAAUAUAUAAAUAAUAUAAUUUUCCGUAUAUUUAAACCCCCUUCAUAUAAGAUAGCUCCACUCCUAAAUUAACGAACAAGUAAAAAAGAACAAAUCCCUUAACAAAAAUUCUGAAUCUAUCAUUGUUUAUCGAUAGAACUAAUAAACACUACAUAUUUACUUCCGCAAAAUUCUGAAUCUAUCAUUAUAUAUCGAUAGAAAUAAUAAACACUACAUAUUUACUUCCGCAAAAAGAUUAAUAAAUCUCGUACACUAAUAUCACAUCCCCACCCAAAAUAGUCAAAAAGAAAACAUUAAUGGUUUUAUUUGUCUUGUCAUGCCUAUUGGGGUUAUUAUUAAAGGUAACCCACCCACAAAUAGACAAAAUAUGUACAUUGAAUUUAAUAAAAUUAACACCUUUUUCCAAUCUUUUUGGGCAUAUUCACAAGAUUCUUCACCAUUCACACAAUUUAGUGUUUGGUCACCCUUAACCCUAGGAGAUCCCUUUGAAUCUUCUUUUUCCCACACUACCUACCUCUCUCUACCUUUCAUUCUUUAUCUCUUUUCAUCCUCCUUUCAUUUACGAGAUACUGACUAAAUCUGUAUACAUCAUAUUUUCCUCAAACCUCAUUCUCGUGAAUAAUAUUACAAUGUAUUAUUAUCAUUUCUAAAAUAUUCAUAAGAUUUAAUAAAUAGGUCAGUUUUAUUCUUUUUUAAUUCUUCUUUCGUAUUUGAGGAUCGAGGAUGAUUUGAACUUUUUCGAAAAAUAUCUUUUUAAAUAAUUAUAGUUCAUUUUAUACUAAGUUUAAAAACACUUAUUUAAAUAAGAUUCCAAGAAUUUUCAAAAGGCAUGGUACCAACUAUCCUUUUUUUAAAAAAAGUCUUUGUCAAUGAAAUUUCAAUAACCAAAACAAUAUAAAGAAAAAAAAUAUAAAUAGAAAAAACAAGUCAAGCUUGACGGUUCCAUACAUAAUAAUAGUAAAGUUAAAUAUAUGUACAAAGAUAAUUGGAUAUUAAUAGUCAAAUAUAGAUAACUAGUAGAAAAUAAUAAAAGAGGACAUGUUCACAUUAUCUUCAUACACAACCACUCAUUUUUACCAUUAAAAAAAUCCACUAUUUUUUUUUUCUUUUCACAAACACCCUAAUAUUAAUUUUAUAAAAAUAUAAACUAGACAAUUCAAAGAUACAUAAAUAAAAAGAUAAUUUUUUUUUUAUUUUUUUUUCUAAGUUGAGGUUGUUGGUUCAAUUCUUCUCAUUUGCAUUCCUAAUUUCGGAUCCUCUUCAUGAUAAUAAGCAAACCCACCAUGUCGGGUCAGAUCCAUACCCGCCAUUUCGUCUUCGGACGAUAUCCGAAGCAACUUGAAUUUAUGAAGUAUAUAAAAAAGCGGACCCAUUGUCGCGCUGACCCACCCGAUUAUAACGAGUAUCUGGAUUAUAUGCGCCCCGAGUAGUUUCCCUCCACCACCCAUAAAUAACCCGUGAGGUCGACCCGGUUUACCCGGGUAUACUUGAUCCACAAACUCCCCUUUAGCGAAUAACCCGGUAAAAAUUAUCCCCCAUGCACCACAACCCCCAUGUAAUUGUGCUGCUUCAAGUGGAUCGUCGUAUUUAAAUUUUUCCGCUAACAUGUUAAAACCAAUUAAAACUAAAGCCGCUACGAACCCACAUAUAAUCGCGGCCCACGGCUCGACGACCGAGCACCCAGCCGUGAUCGCUGCAAAUCCGCCUAGUAAACCGUUACAUACAUCGGUUACGUUCCAAUGACCCGAAAGGAUACGUUUACCGAAAAGAGUCGUUAGGGCUGCGGUGCAACCGGCUAGGGUAGUUGUAACCGCGGUACGUCCUACAGCGCUCCAUUGACCAUAAUACCCUCCGGAUGCACCGUAAGUAACUAGGAUUUUAUUAAAUGAACCGGGGUUAAAUCCGUACCAUCCGAACCAUAAUAAAAAGGUGCCUAGAACCACGAGUGACGCGCUAUGUCCACGAAGCGCAACGGAUCGACCCGUAUGAUCGUACCGCCCGAUUCGUGGACCUUCAAUCAAAGCUCCGUAAAACCCGGCGAUUCCACCUACCAUAUGAACUACACCCGACCCGGCGAAAUCGAUUACACCGGAUCCGAAUAAUAGAUUUGAAUUAGUCGGGCUAGCCCACCCAUCUGGGGUCCAAAACCAAUGAGAAACAACCGGGUAAACGAAACCCGUUAGAAAAGAGGAAUAAAUCAAAUAGGCAACAAAUUGGGUUCGUUCGGCGAUUGAACCGCUGGUGAUACCGGCGGCGGCGAUGGCGAAAGCCCAUUGAUAGAGGAAAUUACUGUAAUCGAAUGAAUUUGACGGGAUCUCUUUAAGCCCGAAAAAAUGUCGGCCGAUGAAUCCAUUAGACGGACCACCCCAAGCAAAAGCGAAUCCGAAUAGAUAGUAAAAAAGUCCACCGGCGGCGGCAUCGAGGACGUUCGUGAGCAUAAUGUUCAUUGUAUUUUUUGCGCGGACAGAGCCCGCGCAAAGCAUAGCGAAACCAAGCUGCAUGGAGAAAACGAGAUAAGCAGAGAAGAGGAGAUAUGUAGAAUCGAUUGCAUAACCGGUAUCGACGAAUCUGUCCGAUACACCUGAAAAUUGGUUGCAGAUGUAUGAAGCGGCGGCGACGGCGUUGGUGGUGUUAGGACCGAGGAACGGAGCGAGAGUAUCGACGGAACAAGCCAUUGGUGGGGUGGGGGUGGGGUAGAGGGGUGGGUGGGUGCGAAGAAGAUGAAGGGGAGAGUCUUAUUAAAAUUUGAAGGUGGUGAAUGUGUGAGACUCAGAGGAUAUUGCUUUUAUAUAGAGCAAAUGAAAGGGACAAAAUUGUCUUUUCCCUUUUUAUUUUAUUUUAGGAAAAAAUUUAAAUUAUCUACUUAGAGAAAUAUUCAAUAUGAAAUCAUAAUGUAAAAUAAUAAAUGAUUAGUUUAGAAAUAAUACUUCCUUUAUUUCAUAUAUUGGGUUGAAAUUUUUGGUCAAAAACUUGAGAUGAAUGUUUGAAUCAUUUUCUAAAUUUGUAUUUAUAUUUAUUAAGUUAUAUUUAUAAUUUUAAAAAAAGGCCAAAGAGAAAAAUAUGAUUUAACUUAUGUUAUUUAAUGUUUUUCUGAAUAAGUGUGCAGAGUUUAAAUUGUAUUGUUUAAAAGAAUUUGUAAUCUGUUAUAAACAUAUUUAUAUUUUGUUAAAUGUCUAUUUAUCGAAUUUGGAGAAACUACAGUAAUCUCUAUAAAUUAAAGAUCGGCUUCAUUAAAAGUUGAUCUCGACUAGAGAAAUAAUAAAUAUUCUCUCUACUUUUUUUUUUUAAUAAUUUCGUAAUAAAAUUUAAGUUAUAAUUUUAUAUCAUAUCUUCAAAUACUGAUUUUAUUUUGAGCUUGAUGGGUUGAUUAAUAUGUUAAUGUGUGAAUUACAAACCGUGUGUUUUAAAGAACGGUAAAUACUAAAUAUUGUAAAUUUCAAAAAUUCUUAAAUGUCAUAUAGCACAAAAUACAUAAAUAUUGUAAUAUAAACUCCAUGUAAAUAUAUUCGUCCAUAAGUGGUUUUCACUUUCAAAUAUUGAAAUAUUUUUGAUAAAAUAUAUGUAUGCUAUUUAUUUGUGCAAAAUUUUACCUUUUUGAUGUGUUUUACAUGAAUCUUACGUUUAUAAAAAAAAUCGUAAAAUAAAAAUAAGGCUUGUAAUAUAUUUUAUUCUUGCGAACUCAUUCGUAAGAUUAUCUUGACAUGUUGUUUUAAUCUUUCACUUUAUUUUAUAAAUAUUUGGUUGUAAAAUAUUUCCAACUUAGAGUUUGAGUUUUUUAUUUUCCUCCAAAUUUAUUUCUCAAUGCUAUUUGCAUAAAUUCUGAAUAAAGUCUUCACUUUUCUCUUUUGUAACAACAUAAAAGAAUAUAUAUAUAUAUAUAUAUAUAUAUAUAUAUAUAUAUAUAUGUAUAUAUAUAUUUGUCAUAAAUUUUAAAUUUUUAAUAUUAUGUUUGUACAUAAAUUUACUUGGAACGUUCAACAACUAAGUCUUUGAAGAUUUUUUUAUUAUGAAUAAUAGAACCUUUGAUUCCUCAGCUAUAAAAAUACAUUUUUCAUUUUUUAUAAUAUAUGACUUAAUAUAAUCAAUUUUUAAUUAGUUCACGUAUUAUUAUUGUUGAUUCCUUUAUAUAAGAAAUUAGUCUUUUAUUAUUAUUCAUAUUUCUUUUAUAAAAAUACAAAUUAGUCUCAAAUUAUUGAGUAACUAUACAAAUGGGAUAUAACAAUUGAAUAAUCAAUUGGGGAAUCUAAGAAAUAUACUUAAAUAGAUAUUAUUAAACUUUUUCUAUCAAUAAUUAAGUGACCAAAAUGUUGCUUCUAUUAAAUUAUUAAUUCGAUACGUAAAUAUAAAUUUUGUGAUUGAUUUUGACAAAUAAAAAUAUUUAGAAAAGAAUACCCGAUAUUCUGCAAAUGAAAUAAAAUAUAACUUAUAUUCCUUUUCAUUAUAAUUAUUAAUCUUAUCGUUAAACUCAAUUAAUUAACUCUUAAUUACGGUAUCAUGUGUCAGAAUGAAGUUAACCCAUACUCUUAAGAUUUAUUUAUGCACAAAAUGACAAUGAUUUUUUGAAAUUGAAAAUUAAUUAUAAAAUAUAUUUCAAGUUCCCCAUUAUAAAAAAUAUAUAUAUGGGGAGGUACAAAAUAAUAAAAAACGUAUUCUGAAAUUCUAAAUUAAAAUAUUAAGAAAGAUAAUCACAAAGUUAAAAUCUUGCUUAGAUUUUAAGGGAUUAAUUAAAUAUAAACCUACCAACGUUUACUAGCUGUAGUUUACAAUUCGAAGAUUAUUAUUAUUUUUUGGUUUUAUACUUUGGAGAUUACUUGAAAAAUAUUCUCGUACUUCAUCUGUUUCAUAUUAGAUGAACUUUUUUUUUAAUAAAUUUUAUAUUGUGAUUAAAAAAUUUAUUAGUAAUUUAAUUAAUUUUAUUAUUUUGUCUGUAUUCAUAUUAAUUAGCUUUUUUAUUUUGUAAAAAUAAAAUUAUCGAGUCUUUAAAUUUGCUUAAACUUUCAAAGGCCAUAUUAAUUAUAGGGGGUAAAUAAACUUUUAUAAAAUUAAUUCUAUCCUUAUUUAAUAAAUGAUCAAUUCAUAUGAUUAGAGAAAUUUUUUUAAUCAAAUAACCAUCUAAUAUGAAACAAAGGGAGUAUUAAUAAGGAAUAUUUGAUAAGGUGUAUAAGAAAUAUAUUGAUUAAAUUUGCAUCAAUAAUACUUAUAUUAGUAAUGAUUGCAUUUGUUAUACAGUGAAUUAAUUAUCAAUUAAAAAAAAAUUUCAACAGUUCGUUCAUUCAUUGUGACUAGUAAUCGAUGUCAUCAUCUAUUUUUACUAUCCUAUUAUCCACUAUUACUAUGCACCUGUUGUACAUAACUAUCAUUGUUAUCGAUAUGUCUACGGUUAACUGUCACUAUUACUAGUCACCGUUUAGAUCAUCAACAUUAUUAACCAUUAGUAUAUCAACCAUCAAUCACGACACUACUAUAUAUAUUAAAUUCUUAAUCAUUGUCAUUAGUUAAUUAUCAUUAUUAUUUAUCACAACUAUCAAUCAUUAUCAUCAAUUACCGCCGUGAAAUAUAUAAUGGCACCAACACUAGCUAUUAGCAACACCAUCCUCUAUUAACGCCUACCACCAAUAUCGACAAUCAUGAUUAUUAUCAAUUAUCAUAUUUUUUUAAAAAAAUAUAUAGAUUAAUUCAGUAUAUUAUUAAAUUUUAUAUUCAUAAACGUAAUUAAGUUGGUUUUAUAGCUUAACUUUAAUUGUGCACCAUUAUUAGUGUUUCUUUGUAGCUCUAAUUCAAAAAAGUUUCUAUUUAAUGGAGCACGUUUAACAUGAAAAAUAUAAAGUUAACCCUAUCAUUUUUUUAAUUAAUAAUUUAAUACCGUACCUUUAUUUAAAAUUGUCACUUUUUCACCCUUUUAACAAGUUAAAUUAAUGUAGAUGUAGACUUUAACAAUUUUUAUUAUUUUUUUAGGGGCUAGAUUCAUUGUUCUUCAAUUUUUUUUGAUUAAAAAAAAAAACUAAAUUAGAAACGACAAAUGACUUUAUUUUUUCUUUUCAAAUUAUAGCUAAUAUAAUGCUACCUUGGUCAAUGACUAUGGUCUAUCAAAGGUGGUGAAAUAAAACUAUGAUAAAUAAAUUCUUGAGUCACAUGGCAUGCUAUUAGAUGUUGAUAUUGACAAUUUUGGAAAAUUGAUAAUUUUUUUUUUUAUAAUUAUACUAAGAGAUUUAUGUUUUGAUAUCGAUCAGGAUUAUUUUGAUAAGAUGAAUAAAAAUUCUUCUAAUUAUAACUACAGACUUUAAAUAUGAAACUAAUUCUAAUAAAAAGUUUUUCCCUUUUUAAUGAAUAUUACUUUGACAAAAAUCAUAAUCAAUCGUUAUGUUAAUGCACUUAGCAAUACAAGGAGGAAAUUCAAACCAAAAACAAUAUAAUAUAAUCUUUAGAAUUGAUUGAAUCAAAUUGGUUCCUUUUUCUUUUUAUAAAUAAUAUUUGCCAACGUAACUUUCUAUCCACCUUGUUGUAAUAGUCUUCAAUUUUACGUGUGACGAAUUCGAUCAAUAAAUACACGGAUGCCAGACUCCAUACGAGAGAGAACAUAUGCUCAACCAAUUUAGUCAUCUUUACAAAUUAUUCUAACAGUAUAAUUUAUCUCCAAUCCAAGCGAUUCCUAAUAUGCAAAAAUUAUCAUAAUCUAGUCAAACAAUUACUUUUAAUCACGUAUACUCUAAGGAUAUAUCUAUCAAAGUCUUGAUGAGGUAUUAUUGAUUUUUGAUAUUCAAACCUCUAAAUCAUACGUAUACAAUUUCUUUAAUUGUAUUUAUCAUAAGUGGCUAUAAGAUUCCCAAAAUGUCAAUGGUAUCAAAUUAAUUAUUAAUCAAUUAAUUUGAUACCAUUGACAUUUUGGGAAUCUUAUAGCUAGUACUUAUUGCAAUUUGCUUUAUAUAUAUAUAUUUAUAUUAUUUGGAUUGUUUAACACUCUAAUUAAGGGGAAGGCAAAAAAUGUCUAGGUUGCUUAAGUUGACUUAUCCCUUAUACAGGAGUUUGUACCGAGAUGCGGAGUUAAUAUUUAAAAUUUAUUGAUUAUGAAUUUUUAUUCCUUUGGAGUUGUAGGAAUGUUCUGAAUAAAUUUUUAUACAUAAUAAAUAAAUUUUUUAAAAUAAAUAUUUUAUUUUGAAUCAAAAUUAUUAAAUUUUAUGUAUUUCUACCCUAUUUGUAAUAUAACAAUAGAAGACUUAGUCAACACACGAGGACAAACUUCAAAUGACUCCAAAAAAUUAUCUUUGUAAUUGAAAUCUAGAAAUUUCAAAGUACGUAGACAAUUACCACCUAUUAUAUUAUUUUUUUCCUCAUUGAAUUUUAGAAUUUAAUUACAUUUUGUAAUGCAUACAUUUUGAAUUUUUUUUGGUCAUUACAUUUUGAAUCUUAUAUAUUUAUUAAAAAUCAUCAAUUAUAGCUCUGUUUUUAGCCUAAGGGUUGAUGGACUUGUGACUUAGGUCACGCGUUUGAGCCAUAUAAUGUAUAAACUAUGUCAGAUAUUAUAUCUGAGAAAAAUAGAAGGACGAGACUAUUAUUACGAAGUUCUAAGGGUACAACCAGUCAUAUAAAUUGACCUCAUAUAGAUUUCUUGGUCAUAGUCUCAUUGAGGAGUUUAAAAGAUUGAGUUUCGUCAAGUUUAAGUGUUUAAUUAUCAAAAUCGUGAUUAAAAAAAUUCAAUUGACAAUCCGAACCAAAUACAUAGACCUCCAAAAUUGUGAAUAGACGAAACACUAAAGGGAAAAUGAUCGCUCAGAUUUUCUAAACAAAAUGACAAAAGAGAUAUCUAAUAUCUAGUAGUGAGAUAACGAUUAUACUGUCUGGGAUCAAUUUAUGUGCAUCUCCGUACUUAAUUUCACGAGAUAUCUGUUACUUUUUAUCAAUAAAUGAAUUGAGUUCUUCUGUCUAUUAAAAUUUAGACAAAUGAACAAAAAUUACUAUACAUUAUAUCGUCAUUAGUAUCUAAACAUAAAAUUUCACGAUUUUCAACUCACUUUAUUAAUCAAUAAACGCGAUAUUUCUUUUUUCUUAAUGGACCACCAGAAGUGGCUGAAAUAAAGAGGAAGGGAACUAGUCAAUGUUAGAGUUAAUUGCUAUGAAUUUUGUAUAUAUAAAAAUGUAAAUGUAUAUUUACGUUAAAAGAAAAUAUAUGUAAUUUCUAGUCAAUGUUAAAUUAAUUAUAAGGAAGUCAACGUUGAAUCGAUUGCAUUUAAUUAAAUUUAAUAUCAACGUCUACUUGUUAAUUAAUGUGUUACAUGACAUCAAUAAACAGUCACCAUAUUUUUUUAAAAAAAGGGUUUCAAGAGAUUCUUUUAUUUUUUUACAUGAUAUUUCGAUCAAUUUAUUUGUAUCUUAAUUAUUUUAAUAAAUACUUUUUAUUAUUUUUCAAUCGAGACUUAAAUAUGAAGAAAUUCUCAUAUAUUUAUUUUUAUCAGAAUUUAAAAUUAAAAUUUCAUAAUUCUUUUAUGGGAAAAUUGUAUAUAAUAACAAACUAAUAACCUAAAAUAAAUGGAAUAACUAGGGUUUGAUUUAAUUGUGCUCCAUAGCAAAGGUUAGCUAAAAUUUGCCAGCGUCUCUCUCCCAAAAAUCUCGCUCGCCACUCUCUAUUCUCGCUCGCCUCUCUCGCUUUAUACACAGAAGUGUAUAAUUCUGUUUCUGUUUUGUAUAAAGCGAGAGAAAAUUGUAUAUACACAUGCAAAAAUAUAUAUCUUCAUGUUAUACACUUAAUUAUGCAAUUUACAAAUAUUUUACUUCAAAUAUUGCAGAGAAAAAAGCCAACGAAUUAUACAAUUGCAGUGAAAUACAAUUUUCUCUAGCUUUAUACAAUAGAAGAGUAUAUAUUGUGUUUCUGUUUUUGUAUAAAGCGAAAGAAAAACAUAUAUGUUCUUGCUAUACACUUAUAAUUAUGAAAUAUACAUAUAUUUUAAUUCGAUUCAACUGUAUGCAAAGCAAAUUAUACAAUUGCAGCGAAAUAGGCAAGUGAAUUAUACAAUUUAAGCCAGCGAAUUAUACAAUUUAGGCCAACGAAUUAUACAAUUGUAUAUGUAUAGCGAAUUAUACAGUUUUAUAUUUGUUAUGGAGCGCAAUUAUGCAAACUUUGCUAUAGCAUACAAAUAUGAAUUUUUUGUUUGCUAUAUGUGAAAGUUGCCCUUCUUUUAUUACUUUAUUAAUCACUAGAUCAUAUAAACGUAAAAGAUGAAAUACUUUAAAUUAAAUAUGAGUAAGUUGAAGUAUGAUUUUGUAUAUUGAACCAAAACUUAGUUCAUUGUAAUUGGUGACAAAACUAACCUAUGAAAACAUGAUAUUUUUUGUUGUCCAAUCCAUUCAAUGAUCUAUUUAUUUAUUGAUCAGUUCUAUUUAACAUGUGCAAUAUAAUCAUUUAAAUUUAUCUCUAAAAGUUCAAUUAAUAUAAUAGCCCAAAUUUAUUCAUAAAAGUUUUUAAAACAAAUGGACGGUUCAAUAAUCAACGUAAGCGUGGACGAGUUGGAAGGGUUGUGAUAAUAUCGUUACCUCUAGGUUAGAAAAGGAUAUAAUAUACGUCACACAUUACCCCCUACCUUUGUGAGAUAGUAGAGGUUAUUUCUGAUAUACGACUCGAAAUUUCACAUUAAUCAAAUUACCUAAACUGAAAUAAACAUUCAAGAAGAUACUUUCAAGAAAUUCCUCUUGUACAUCUCACUGAAUAUUUGAUUUCAAAACCAAUUAUCAGAUAUAAAUAUAUAGUUUUUACAACAUGAUUUGGCCUUUUUUUAACUUAAAACUGUAAACUACAAAAUUGGCUGAGUGAUAUAUAGUUAUCGAAUUUCAUCAUAGUCGUUUACAUGAGCAUAGAGAAUCUAUACCCGAGUUCGAAUCCUCUAAGAGAAUAGACAAAGACUCACUCUUUUCCUUGAAGUUUUUUCUUCUGUUUUCGUCGUUGUUCGCGCAAACCUGUGAAAAGGAAACAGGACAGAGAUGAUAAGAAUUGAGGUUGGAAGAUAAAACGGAAACAGAAGAUGUCGAUGAUAAUGAUCAGAGAGCGGAGAGGGGAAUACGUUUUUUGGUUUCUCUCCUCUUUCUCCUUAACUCGGUUAUAUCUCUCCGUUUUUCAGCCAUAUCCUUCAGAUUCAACUUAGUCUGCGAGUGUAAAAGGGGCAGAGUAGGCAGAGUUUAGGAACAAAGUAGCAUUAACGUCUGUUUUGUUGAGAUAUAGUACGUAUACAAACGACUACUUCUAUAUUACCUCUGGACCAGCACUCCUAAGUGCCUGGAGGGGCUCGACACAAUCCUGACCAAUGACGAUCAUUUUCUUCCUUUUAACAUCUCCGGAAUUAUUUGAAUUUUUCUGUCUAGCUAAUUCCUCCAGCUGGUUCUGAAGGAGAGGUGAAACACCAGCCUGAAAAGAAAAUCAAAUCAUUUUAGACUAACACACGAAGAGAUGCGUGCGUCCUAAAUAAAUGUCAUCGAACCCCCCCAAAGAAAACGAUUGUGUUAUUUAUUACUUGAACCACAUAGCUUAGGAAGAAACAAUAGCUAUAUAAGGAUGGGUUUGGAAGAAAUAGCAGCCAUUCCGAGAAACAUCACAUUACUGUGAGAACUUACCCCAGCCAAGUAGCGUUUUGAGAAUGUUUUGGGUUGCAAUGGCCGUGAAAGAAGACUUUUUAGUUCCUGCAGUUUAAAAAAAGUUAAAUAUUUCAGUAUACAUCAGUCUUAAGACCCUUUGUGGUCCGACGCUUUCUGGACCCUGCACAUUGUAGGAGCUUAGUGCACCAGGCUGCCCUCUUUUUAGAUAUUAAUAUCAGAAAAUUUCAUAAUCAGAAUGACCUCUUGUAGAUUAGUUAGUUGAGCAGAUGUGGCUUUCUUUCGCUUAUGAUUGUUCACUCUUUCCUCCUCACUAUCAUUAUCUUCCAAAUCUAGUUCCAUUAAUUCAGCACUUCGCUCAAGCCAAUUUUUCUUGGCCUUGUCCUGGAAAAAAAAAGGAAACUAACCAUGAACGAAAUGUAUAAACGUGAAUACAAGUUACCGGCGGCAAUAGGAGGAAACAAUAUUCUGGAACUUUAAGAUCAAGUUACUCAGUGGAUACAGAGAAAACAGUUUGCUAAAUAGGUUAUUUUCCUUUAGAUUGUGAAUACCACCCAUCAAAUAGGACAAAUUUGUAUUAGCCGAUCCCCAACUAGCUUGGCGAAGCGUAGUGGUGGAUGUUGCUUAAAGCAAACACCUUCUGAAAACCAAAACCCAAGGGCAGGGCCCAUCAGUGGCUAUUUCCUACUUUGCUCCCUCGGUAACACGAAAUUUCCUUACCAGUUACCACGAAGCUAUUCCUUGUUUUGGGUUAAUGCAGAUAAGUUAGUAAACAUUUUUGCAAGGAACCCAAUAAGGGAGAAGUUUCCAACUACUUCCAGCAGAUUCUUUCUUACUAAAGGAAGAUCAAUUAAGAGUUCUUUUAUACCUAACAUAUACGGUACAAAUCCCAAAAGAAAGAAAAAAUAUCUCACUAAACACUAGCAAAAAUCCUUCUUUUAAGCUCUUUAUGGAAUUUAAAGCAGAAUAGAAUAAGAUUUCUGAAAGGAAAACCACUUAUUGUAUCAUAACCAUGUUAAUUUGUCCCAAAAAAAAAAGAUAAACCAAUAAGGUGGAAGUUUUCAACUUAUUGUGUUAGAUUCUUCUUAGCAAAACAAGAAUCAUCGUAUCUUCACUAUUUUGUAUCCACGGAAAACAUUUACACAUCUUUAUCCCUUCAUUGAUAAUUCAAAACAGUAUACAGCAUUCUUCCUAAAAAAGAAAUUACUAAUUGUCUAGUAACCAAGUUGGUAUGUCCAAAAAUGUGAAGGAAUUCAAUGUUCAAUAAAGUGAGGCUAACAAGAAGUAUAUGGAAAACAAGAUGAAAUCUUUCACUUGUCAAAAGCUACGUUUUUUGAUUCAGCAGACUAUAGUGAAGAACAUUAGCUGCUUAAGAACAAAAGAGGCUUCUGAAGUAUAAAGUAAAUGGCAUUAUCAAGAAAAAUGCAUUUCAAUCAUCAUAGUUAGAUUGGUCAGAGAGACUCAUGACCAUAGCAUAGGAAGAAGCAUUUUAACACUCAGAGAUACGUGGGACCAGAAGAUCACCUGAGAGUCCUUUCGGGAAAUCUUGUCUAUUUGACGUGCAAGGGAUAAUCGCUUCAUAACUUCAGGCAUGUAUGACAUUUCUAAGGGAAACCGCUGGAAGUUAUCCUGGAAAUAGCAACAAUAUCCAUUAGUGCAAAACAUUGCUACUCGAAUAGAGCUUUCACAAAAAAUAAAAAAGAGGGUUAAAUGUAAAGACAAGAGGGAGAAAAAAUAAUGUCUUGAAUGAGUGUCAACCAAGACAAGCAUACAGCUACAAUUGACCAACCGAGAAAGAUAGAAGCAAGAAACUCUACAACAUCAGGAAAGAGAAGCCAGAAGCAGUCUGCUUAGAGGGAAAUAAUGUCACUGCUCCAUCUAAUCAUUUUGUAUAUAAUACGAAAUAAUCACAAAAGUUGAAAAUCUAAAAGGAAGUACUCGUAAGCUAAAAAAUCAAUAUGUAUCGAGUCAACCUCCAAACUGAAUGGUUUUCUCCCUUGCGCUCAUUUACAGAGGAUAUGUAUCUAUAAAAAGAGUAUUUGCUCAUUCCAGUGGCUAUUCGAAGAUUACCUUUGAAAACGACCUGCAUAAAGCAGCAAACUUUGAGGUAUCAUUUGGUGUGAUUAGAGCAAUGCUACAUCCAUCAGAAUGAGCCCUAGCAGUUCUUCCACUUCUAUGAACGUAAACCUGCACAACAAUUUUCAUAGAUUGAAAUUGUGUACGUGGUAACAAGCUACCAAUAAGAAGGCACAUUACGAACUUACUUCAGCUGAAUGAGGUAGCUGAUAGUGAAUGACGGUUCGAACACCAGGAAUAUCCAAACCUCUGGCUGCAACAUCUGUAGCAAUGAGUAUACCAUGCUCAUGUCCCCGAAACCGGUCAAUUGCCUGCAUUGAACAAAAUGGCUAAGAAGAGAAGGCAACAGAAUAUAGAACAUGUUUAGUAGUUCCAUGUUUGUGAGAAGGAAAAGCUCAUUGAUGCGACAAUUGGACAAGAUGGAAUAAAUUGACAUCUUCUGUCUUCUCAAUUAGAGAAUGAAACAAUCUCAUAGCAAGUGGAUAAAAUGUCAAGACUGUAGACAUAGAAAUCCUAACUACUGACUUUUGGCUUAUAGCCAUAAGUUAUAAGCUCAUCUAAACAGGCUCUAAAUAAUUCCAGAACAGAUCAUUGGUGUACCAAUCAAGAGCCACUAGAUUGAACAUCUCCUCCUUUUCUCCGCGAAAGAAUUACUAUAGAAUUUGAAAGUAAAGAAAAUGGAGCAUAACCUAAAAUGGGAAAGAAAUCAUAAAAGUGACCUUAAGUCGAGCUCUCUGUUGCAUCUGGGCAUGAAGUGUCCAGACAUUGACGCCAAGGAUGCGCAAGAGGGAGGAGAUAUGGCGUAAAGCUGCAAUGGACGUACAGAAGACAAUUGUCCGACCUUGUCCAUGAACACUCAAAAUGUAAUACAAAUACCCAUCUUUAUCUUCAUCCCUGCAGCUGCGACCCAACAAUGGAAUGAUCAGUUUCACACCAGGGUAGCAUGCAUGGUGAAAACGAGUACAUAUUUACAGCAGCAGAAAUAUGUAUGAAGCUUCAGUUUAAUAUAAACUAUAGCAAUUUAAAGGAAAGGUAUCUCAGACGAAAUAUAUACAAAAUUUGCAAACUCUAGGCAAAGAUUAAACUUCACAAGCACAUAAGCACAAAUUAUAUUGGAAACAUGUAUAUAGAAAGAUGAGGUGAUGUUAGGCCAAUGGCGAUAAAGUUGGCACAAAUCAUUCUCAAAAGAAAAAACAAGAAAUACCAACUUACUCUAUAAACGACUCCUCGAGCUUGUUGGCUAGAAUUGAUGCAUUAGUCAGAUCAAUGAUUGCCGCAUCUGCCCUCAUUCCUGCUCUCUCAGACAGAGUUUCUAUUGAAUUCAACUCAUCGUUUGCUUUUGAUUUUUGUGAUCCACGCUUUAGCUUCUUCCUGAAAUCGGCAGACAAAGCAAUGGUUGCAGAAAACACAAAUGUUUGCCUUUUCUUUCUUUGGACACUGGAAACUGUUUCACAAUUUUGUGAUUUCUGAGAAUCGUCAUCAGUCGAUUUAUUAGCCAUAGGAAGCAUGUCAACUAUAGACUGCAACUCGUGGAAAUGGCCAUUUUCUAUCAUCCGAUCGGCCUCAUCCAGCACAAAAAAUGACAGUGAGUGCAACUGCAGAAGCAAAAAAGAAACUAAUAUCAUCCACUCUAUAGAACGGAUAGAAACAUGGGAAUGCAUGUUUCAACCUACUAUAACAAAUGUGGAAUAACUGAAAAGGACCAUUCAGAUUAUCAGGUGUCAUGAGAAGCGACAACCAAUAAUUGAUGGACAGCUAGUCUUAAGCAUCACAAUCCGUAGUUUGAAGUUAUUCACAAUUGAGUUGCAAUUAUUAAGCAAAAACCAGGUAACAGACACCCCCAGUGAACAAUCUUACUAGGACUCGCAUUCUACGUUAGAGUAAACCUUCAACCAGUUGAAACAGAGGAUUUUGAGGGGUACACUAACAUAAAUAAUUUUAUAUCAUGAAAAGAACAGUUCAUACAAAAAUCUAUUUCAUAGAUUAAGAGGCAGAAUCAACUCUCUCUAUCUUUUGCCAGCUUAGCCAAAAGAUCGUUGUCUUUUUUCCUUUCUCCCUCCUUUUUCUUUUAGGCUGGAAGAAGGGAGACAUAUGAAGAGUCACCUUGUGAAACAAUCCUAUCACGUGUCAUAAAUUGCCACUAACCUCCACGAGAUGAGUUUCACCACCAGACAUAAGCUCCCAAAGCCUCCCCGGAGUUCCGACAACAAUUUCAGGCCUUGUUUUCAAAAGUCUUUCUUGUUUUUCACUUGACAUUCCACCAACAAUAGGGACAACCCUAAAAUUUGAAUGUUUUGCUGCUUCCUUCAGAUGAUCAGUGACCUGGAGAGAAGAAAUAAUUAGAAAUUAAAAAAAAAUAAAAUGAUGAGCAAGAAACUGCAAAUGAGAAGCCCCUCACAAUGUGCAAUCAAAAUGAGUUGCAGUAAACUAACCCAGCACCAUAGCCAAGUCUACAGAUAUAAAUAGCACUGGCCGGGCAAAAAUAUCGAAUAACAAAAGGAAAAUCCAACUAGGUUAACAAGAACUGCAGUGCAAAUAAAACAUGAAGUCCACAUUCCAUUCUGAAGGACUUAAACAGGAUAGUAGCAGCAAAUAGGAACACCCAAACUUGACAUAAUAAACCAUAAGUUAAGCAUAUAUUCUUUUCCUCUUUUUUCUGUUUUUUCCCUAGUGUUGGUUGGAUAAGGGGGACUACAGGAAAUAAUAUCCUGAACUUGAUGCAACACAUAGUAAGCCUCAGCAUCAAUAAAUUUUAGUUACUGUGACAUUAUCACCUUCAUCUUGAUCGAAAGAGAUUCCUGGGUGAUUACUUAGCAAUGCUUGGCGCCAACGGCGUGAAACCCAGAAGGAAAAACUUGUCAAACUGCUGUUUUUCUACUACUAUACAUAUUUUGAACAAGCAUUUGGGGCCAGAGACAUGCAUACAUAUAUUUUUAUUUUUUUAUGAAGCGACGUACAAAUAUAAAUGUGUGUGUGUGUGUGUGAUGUCAAGAUAUCAGCUUAUUAUUUUGAAAUAAUAUACGAAAACAGUUGUAACAUGAGAAUUAUCACCUGAAGGGCAAGCUCUCUUGUAGGAGUAAUAAUUAGAGCGCGGAGGAGACCUGCGGAGGCAACUUUAUCAUCCAAUUCUCCAUUUUCUGGAAGCUGCCUUUCGGCCUUUUCUCGCUCCUCAAGCAGACGUUGAAGAAUGGGCAGACCAAAUGCCAGUGUUUUCCCAGAACCUGUCUCUGCAGCACCCACAACAUCCUGGCACACAAAACAACCAGCAUAAAUAUCAUGGUAUAUGACAUCAUCUCCAGUGAGAUACCUUGAUUUUUAUCACAUAACCAACCUUUCCUUGGUGAGAACCUGCAGGAAUGCACGCUUGUUGUAUUGGUGUAGGUUCUUUGAACUUGAGCGCGUAUAUCGAUUUCAUGAGCAGUGGAUGAAGUCUCAGUUCAUUCCAUGCAUAAUAUUCAGUUUCAUCUACUGAAUCUUGUUCUUGGUCAUCAUUUCCAUCAGUGACUGUUCGAGUCAGAUUUCAAAACGAGAAUUAAUACCAAAUCAUAAGAGAAGUCUUCAACGUGAGAUCAUGUUGCAAUGAUAAAACCAAUGGACGAGAUCCUAGUCAGUCGUUCAGAAAGAGUAAUUAAGGACUCUAUUGACUGCAACAUUAACUCACACCAGUUUCUUUUCCAAAUAAACAUAUUAGUCUACUCCAAAUUCGUGCAAGUUAACAUUGUCUAUAUAUAAAAACAGUUAAACGGAAGUAGGUCAAAAGCUUUCUAGUGAGCACCACUCGCAGCAAUAGAAUAUUUAGAAGAACUUGUAGGAAUAGCAAGUAUAUGAAAGUAUGCCUACUGUUUUUCUUUUUUCUUUUAUAUUUAUAACAAUUAGAAACCUGAUGAAUGGCCAAUAAAUUGAGGGAAAGAAUCACAUAUCCUUCUGGUCUAACUCCUUGCAUUUACCUUGCAUUCUUCCAACAUUCAAGCAGAGGUAAAAUUUCUAUUUUAUUACUGGAACUGAAUUCAACUGACACAAUAUAUAUCACUUACAAAGCCAUUUCAAGAACCCAAAACACAGAACAUAGCUUAGUGAAACAAUAGGUCAAGAUAUUAAAGAAUUGACAUCCAGUAAAUACCUAACUAACAAUAAAAUUGUUGAAAGAUUCGCCAAUGUGAUUAAAGGUUGUUACCCAUAGACAUUCACUUGAAAUUGACCGACUGAUACCAGAAUUUCAGGAAUUAUGAAAACAUCCAGAGACUCAAUGAAAGAACAAGUUAGCAUUAUACUAAACUUAAAAAUUGAGAAGCCUUUACAAAAAGGAAAAUAUCAGAUUUUAAUGCAACACUAACCAGCUGGCGGCUCUUCAUUUCCUUCAGCUUCAUUUACAGCAUCUUUAUUGAUCUUAUCUUUCUUCUUCUUCUUCAUCUUCUUUUUCUUCUUUUGUUUCGUUUCCUUUUCCACCUCUUCAAUCUCCUCUUUGCUCUCACCCUUAGCUUCACCAUUCAAUUCCUCAUUUUUUGUAUCUACUUUCUGUUUCUUCGGUUUUGUCUUCCCCUUUUCUUCACUUCCACCAGAUGAUUUGGCAAUACCCAAAUUGUACUCUGAUUCAUCGAUCUCUUCAAGACAUAAAAAACCUACACUCAAAACACCCAAACCUGUGUCAGUCCUUGGAACCCAAAAUUAUUUGUGCUCAACAAUCCAAAUCAACAAACACAUAUGUUUUAACUAACAACAGGGGAAAAAAUCAACAGAAUACAAGAAAGCUUAACGACUAAUGCAAAAAUACUCCGACAGCUAUUGUUACGUUAAUGUUUGCAAUCUCCUAGGAUGUGCAAUUUCUUAAAUUCGCAACAUAACCACUCGAAAAAAGUUGUUCUUUAAAAAAUAAUUUCCAACAGAUAUAAGGCCAAAAACAUGGAUCAUUUCUGCCAAGAGAAUACAACAGCAAUGACAACAGCAAUAAUAACUACACCACAACCCCAAGCUAGCUGACGUUGGCAUAUGAAUCCUCAAUAUAAAAAAUGUUCUGUUUUGGUCCAUAAUAUAGGCUAACUAUUCCAUCUUUCACGAAAUGCUAGAUUUUUUAUUUGACAAUAAGAGUAUACAUACUGAAAAUUUCAACUGUGAGCUUUCUGUAAACUCUCUAAAAUUUCAGCAGAUCCUAAAAGAGGUUAAUGUAAAAAGGGAGAAACAAAGUGGCUUUCUUCGAACUCCUUGAAUCCAAUUUUUUUUUUUGAAACUGUAACAUAUUCCUUGAAUCCAAUUUGAACUAAAUUAUUUAUCUUCCCCAAGAGACAAUAAGCCAAAAAUCCACUCUUUAUAUUGUUGCUAAACCUGCAAGUUUAUACAAAAACAAUCUCUACCCAAUUGUGGGGUUUCUCAAAAACUAUUGGAAAAGAACAAAAUAACUGAUUCAAUGCAAAAGGUCAGAAAAAUAAACCUCCUUCAAGCUCGUUGAAUCCAAUCUGAUCUAAAUUAUUCAUCUUCCCAAGAGACAAUAAGCUAAAAAUUCAAUCUUUAUACACUAUCAAUCCCUCUCCAAUAAUGGGGUUUCUAAAAUACUAAUAGAAAAUAACAAUACAGCUGAUUAAAUGCAAAAGGGCAGAAAAAUAAACCUCCUUCGAACUCAUUGAAGCAAACCUGGUCUAAAUUAUUCAUCCUCCCCAAGAGACAAUAAGCUAAAGAUCCAAUCUUUAUACAAUAACAAUCCCUAUCCAAUUAUGGGGCUACUCAAAGACUAUCAAAUAGAAACAAUACAGCUGAUUCAAUGCAAAAAGGCAGAAAAAUAAACCUCCUUCGAACUAAUUGAAGCUAAUCCGGUCUAAAUUAUUCAUCUUCCCCAAGAGAUAAUAAGCUAAAAAUCCAAUAUUUAUACAAUAACAAUCUCUAUCCAAUUAAGGGGCUUCUCUAGAGUUAUCACAAAAGAACAAUACAGAUGAUUCAAUGCAGAAGGGCAGAAAAACAAACCUCCUUAUAGCUCAUUGAAGCCGAUUUGGUCUAAAUUAGUUAUCUUCUCCUAGAGACAAUUAGCUAAAAAUAACAAUCCCUAUCCAAUUUGGGGUUACUUAAAAACUAUCAAAAAGGAACAAUACAGCUGAUUCAAUGCAAAAGGCAGAAAAUAAACCUCCUCAUAGCUCAUUAAAGCCAAUCUGGUCUAAAUCACUUAUCUUCCCCUAUAGACAAUAAACUAAAAGUUCAAUCUUUAUACAAUAACAAUCCAUAUCCAAUCAUGGGGUUACUCAAAAACCAUCAGAAAACAACAAUACAGCUGAAUCAAUGCAAAAAGACAGGAAAAAAAAGAAACCUCCUUCAAGCUCAUUCGAGCCAAUAAGGAAAGAGAAGGCAUCAUCUUUCUCUGUAAGUGUUGGAUUCCAAUUAAGUGAGUUGAUUCGCUCAAAUUCUUCUGAUUCAACUCUGCUUCGUUUCUUUGUUUUCUUUGUUCUCUUUUUAUCUGAAAUUUGAGAAGCCAUUGCUACACAGAGCUCAAACACAGGGUUUAGCAACAAGCAUUUAGGGCUUUACCCUUUUUCGAUUUAUAUUACUUUUCGUAAAUUACAAAUACAUCCACACUAGUUUUUGAUAGUUACACAUACAUCUCCUUUAGUUUUCGGAAUGUGAAACUUUUUGGUAUAAUAUAUAAACGUGUCAUUUGAUUUGGUCUCGAUACGCAUUCAUGUUAUCUCGCUUUAGAAAUAUACAAUUAAACACUUAAACUUGUAUAAAAUCGAAUAUGUAGAUACACCAAUAUUGUAUCUGCUUAUUUAACUUAUACGAAUUAAAAUGUCUGUUCCUGCAGACCUAAAAUUGAUGGACAUAUAUAUUAACGAAAAUUCAAUUAAAAAAUAUAUUAUAUAUUACGCCAAAUAAAAGAAAUUGUUAUACCUGAUAAAAAUAACAAUGCACCUUAAAAUUUACUAAAAAAUGGAUAAAAUGAUCAUAGAUUUAUAAUUAUCAUCAAAGUAUAUGCUAAUUAAUUUAAACACUUUUAGUCUUUUAAAUUGGCCUUGUACAAAAAUUUAAGAAUUCUUUCUACUAAUCGUUUAUAAGAAAUGUGAAAGAAAAAUUUCUAAUAUUGUUGAUCUAUUUUUUGGUGUCUAAUAUAUUUCCUUUUUUAAUAAAAUAAAUUUGUAACAUGAAAAAAAAGAAAUUAAGAGAGAAUUAAUUGGUGAAAUUAGAACUAAAGGAAAUUAAAAAAAUCAACGAACUGAAUUAUUAAGUUUCUUUUUUAAAGUCUAGCACAAAUUUUAUAUGCAAUUUUUAGAAUUUAACAAACUCUUUCUUAAUAUUUUCGAUUAAAUCUUCAUUUUUACAAUUUUCAUCAAAAUUUAAGAUAUAAAAUUUAUUACUCAAAGAAGAUCAUAAAAUGUUUAGUUUUUAACAAACAAAGGAUCCAAAUUUACUUCCAAACCAACAUGAGUCAUAGUAAGUAUAUAUUAAUCUUUAAUAAGAGAUUUUGUAUAUAUAUUUUUUUGGAUAUCGAGUUAUUUUUAUUAAAGUGUUUAAAAUAUUCAAUGUAGAACUAACGCAAAAUGAGAAAUAAAAAACGCUACUUCCAAACAUAAACUGUCAUUUUUAUCAUUUUCUCUUUUAUUCACCAAAAAUCAUAAGAAAACAGUUUCGAAAAUAAUCUAUAAGAAGUUACAAAAUAAAAUCAUGUACAAUAAAUUUAUAUGAUAGAAAUCUUUCUUCGAACCCUAUACUUAGCGGGAGCUUUAUCGCAUCUUUGUCAUCUUCUCCAACAAACCAAAUCUUUAAAAAAAAUCCCUUUUUUUUUCUCUUUCCACUGAUCAGUGCCACUUGUUUUUCUUUGCUAAAAUCACACAGCCCAUUGAAACCUCUCACCAUUCAUUAUCUGCAGAAUAAAUAAAUGCAUCUUCUUCUGUCAAAAGCUUCCCUUUUUUUCAAUCCAAGAGUUAUUUUUUCUUCUUCAACAACAAUGGCUACAUCUACUUCAAUUUCUGUUUCUUCAAAACCCCGUUUAAAGGGUAUUGUAUUUGACAUGGACGGAACCCUAACGGUCCCUGUUAUUGAUUUUCAGGCCAUGUACAGGGCUGUUCUGGGUCAUGAUGAAUACCUUGCUGUUAAAUCUAAGAACCCUUCUGGGAUUGAUAUUUUGCACCACAUUGAAAGUUGGAGCCCUGAUAAGCAACGUAGGGCAUAUGAGGUUAUUGCUGAUUAUGAAAAACAGGGUCUUGAUCGACUCCAGAUUAUGCCUGGUGAGGUUUUUUGUGUUUGGGGGUAAAAAUUGAGUCUUUUUUUUUUUAGUUUGUGGGUGUUUUUGACAUUUUGAUUUUGGUUUCAGGUGCUGCUGAACUUUGUAGUUUUCUUGAUUCUAGGAAUAUUAGGUAAGACUGACUUAUGGAAUGUAGAUUUUUGUCAUUAGUUUUUAGUAAGUUACAGAGUUUGGUAUCUCAAGCAUUUCUAAAGGUUAUUUGAGCAUCUCUAUUAGUUGCUAUGUCUCCUUUACUGUAUUUUCGAACUGCUUUGAUAUGCAUUACUUGAGUUGAGGGUCUUUCGGGAGCAGUCUCUCUACCUCGUCGAGGUAAGGGCACUUUGUCGUCCUUAGUCCUCACAUGUGCGAUUACAUUGAGUAUGUUGUUGUUGGACUCAAAUAGAUCCAAAAGAUAUGGAGGAUUCAUAUAGCUGAACUCAAGUACUUAAUUCAUUGCUCUUUUGUUUUCAUGUGGAGGGGGUAAUGGUAUAUAGUUGGGGAAUGGAAAGGGAGAGUUGGGGUGAGAAUUAAGCUUGUAGCUUAAGGAUGGAAAGGAAGCUCCCACUUAAAUUUUAUUUACGAUGUAAUGUUUCUUGUGAGCUAUGUGAGCUUUUCUCUUUGUUCAGUUCCACGAUGACCAGUUUGAGCAUUUUCCUACAUCAAAGUAGUUAUGGUUCCUGUCUGUCUCUCUCUUGACUUUGCCAUCUGUUUUAUAGUGUCCAUUUCAUGGCCUAAGAUCUAAUGUGCCUAAUCUUUCUUUAUCAAUCCUUAACUUUGCUUAUUCUUUGAAAAGUUUCCAUCUUGAGGUGUGGUUGAGAGUUAAAUUGCUUCAUGCGAUGAGGACACAGGGUAUGCAGAUCGGCCAGUUCUUUUAAACCAAGAAAUCCAGUGUUCUCAAAUCUCAACACCAACUGGAAGAUCAUGGACCUGCUUCUCUACCCAUUUCUACUCAAAUACGAGACCUCGUUCACUAGUCUGGAUGUACGGUUACUGCACAUUCCUCUUUGUACUACCUUCGGCUUCGCUAGUGAACCAAAGCCCUGAUAUGCAAAUUGGCCAGAUAUUUUUUCCAUUCUUUUGAGUACUUACUACAAUAUAAUUCCCUGGCAAUUUCUUGACAUUCCUCUCAUGUGUAAAACUUUUCUCUCAAUUUAGUGGUCUUUUACUAUUAGACUUCUGUUUUGUACUGUCUAAGGAUGUAUCACUUACUGUUUUACUCCUUUUUGACUGUCAUGAGGAUGUAUCCAAAUUAUAUUCAAAUUGGUGUUGGAAAACUUCUCAAACUUAACUCUCUUGCGACAAAAUUGUAUACUUGUGAGUUAAAUUUGCUUAUAUCUGUUAGAGGCAUCUUACGUUAUUUCAUGCCCUUCCACCUUCAAUCUCAUUAUUUUAUGCCCUUCACUGCGGAUGGAUUCCCUUGGACCACACUUCUGAUUCAAUGAGAGAGAUGACAUAUUUAAGGAAAUGCUUCACAUUUAUGUGUUUGUGGUACUGGACAGAUUUGAUAAAUGCUUCCCUCUUGUUAAGAAAUACUGAUAUUGACUAAAUGUAAAAGAAGAAGAAGGUUGUUAUUUCAUGUUUCUGGCUCUUCGUAAGAGAAUAAUUUAAUUGUUUUGUGAAUUCUAUUACAGAAGGGGAUUAAUCACUAGAAAUGUCAAAGAUGCAGUUGACUUGUUUCAUGAACGCUUUGGAGUAAGUAUUUUUCCUUUCAGUUAAAUAUAUGAAACAAUUAUUUUGGCAUGAAUUAUAUGUUGAUAUUGUAUGCUGAAGUAAGUGAACAGGGGUAAUUGGACUUUCCAAAAAUAAAAGCCCAUCCUAGUUCUAUAUAGGGAUGAAACAAGAAUCAUCACUGCAUAGGAGAAGGAAGAAUAUAUCUUCUUUCUUAUGCUUAAGUUUCUUUAGUUUGUGAAGUAAAGACAAAUAGGAAAACCGAAUGGAUAUUCAAUAUUAAAAUAAAUCUUCUCCACUCAUUACCAGUCAGAGGAUCACGAGCUGCUAAAGGUCGUGAUGGCCUAAGAUAUUUGCGCAAAUAGUGUGGUGGAGAAUCUAUACUUUUGUUAUAGUCAAAUAGAGAAGGGUAGCUCAACUAGAGGAUGUAUGGUUUCCAUCACUAGUAUGUUGCUCUAAGCUCCAUUGUCAUUUAGGGGAAGAAGGUAUAGACAGUUCUGAGCUUAUGAGAAGCAGAUAACAUGCUCAAUUCAUCUCUUUACAGGAUCCGCCUUGUGGCUGAACAAGGAUUUAAAAGAUAAUCUAAGACGCUUUUGUAACAUUAUGUAGAAUUUCAUGUAGCUGACACAUGUAACACGGCCUCUUUCUGCUUUGUUAGCAAAAUUAAAGGAAAGAUAAGACUAAAUCUGUAAAUGAUAUUUAAAAGAAAAAUAAGAGACUUUUUUCAUGAAAAGAAACAUGCAAACCUAGUAAUAAGCAGAGAUAUGGGUGAAGUUGCAGUGAAUUCAUCUUCUCACUAAAAGUGAGAAAAAAUCCCUGAGAGAUUAAAUUUUCUUGAUCUUCUAUCUACUUGGGUCCCGCUGUAGGUAGCUCACAAGUUAUAAAACCAAUGCAAAAUCGUUCUGAAUAGUCACAAGGAACUGUUCACUCCAGCUCUUAAAUCCAAUUGUUUGCUUGCUUUUUAGUAGUUUGCAACUGCAAAACUUUCUAGGAUGCUCAUGCAUUUCUUUUGAGAUAACACUUCUUUCAGCAUUUAGGUAGCCAGCCAUGUACUUUCUAAGAUAUUGUUAUAGUUGGUUGAUUCAACUGAGCUUAAUGUGGCUGGUCAACCUCAACUUCAGUUCUGUGUCUGAGUAGAUAAUUACUGUGCCGUGUGAAAUCCUGACAAAUAAUAGGAAGCAUUGCGCGCCAGUUAUCAGUGCCAGUAUGGAUGUGCUCAAAGAAGGGUCCACUCAUGAAUGAUAUUGUAGAGUAGUUUGCAUUCUGGAUAAGAAUUUUGGAAAGAAAACACCCUAUGCGCAAAAAUUGCACUAAUUCAAAGGUAAAAAAAGAGUGGAAAUAAUGCUGAAACAGUGCCGAGCCUGCAAUACCUAGGCUUUAAUACUUCAAUAAAUUUGUCCCCCCCCCCCCCGAUUUAUGUGUGGUAUUUUUGCUCAUCUUUUUGUAUUCAGAAGUAGGCCCCCAUGGCUUUGGUCUAGUGGUAUGAAUGCAAAAUGUGAUUAUAUGAUGUCAUGUGUGGGUGCACGUGACAAGUUUGAACUAACCCCAAACAAAAGAUCGGUAUUUAAAUGGAUAAGGGUAGAGAGUUAGGCACAUUAUCCACUGAGUUUCAAACUGUGUGCCACUGGCAGUCGAGGAUUUCUCGUUUAUAAAAAAAAUCAGAAGAAUCUAAAAAGGACAAGCCUCCUAAUCUUUUCUGUUUUCCAUCUGCGCAGGCACUAUCUGCAGUUAUUGAAUCUCAUUAUUUGGAAAUUAAAGAUGGUGUUUGGAUUGGGAAACAGUUUAGGGAGAAUAGUCUUUUGGUUAGGUUUCCAGAGAACAGUUUUCUGAAGUGAACAUAUCCAAGAGGAGGAAAUCUAAUAUGCAUAGUAGUGUCUGAGUCCAAGAAUGAGUGGACAAACUUCCCUUUCCCAUCCUAUUAUUUAGUAUCUUUCAGAAUGAAAGAAUAAGAGGUCAUUUGCUUUAAUUUUCUGGCCCCUUAGAAUCUUGAAUUCUAACUUCUAGAAAAAAAGGUAGCUUGAAAUUUGAGUGGAUUCUCCAGGUGUCUAAGGAAGCUUGAUCUCUGAGUGGAGUCUCCAGGUGUUCCACUUAUGGUUAAUCGCCUGAGAAAAGAAAUCUCUCCAUUUCUGCUAUAAUAUACCUCUCACCUCAGCUCAAGCUGUACGUUUAGUUCAAUAGUCUUUAUUACGUAUACCAUAUAAAGCUCAAGUAUAGAAUCUCUUUUUGAUACAGGUGAAAUUUUCUCCUGCACUGAGCAGAGAAUAUCGUCCAUACAAACCAGAUCCAGCUCCAUUGCUGCACAUUUGUUCAACUUGGGAAGUUCAAUCUAAUGAAGUAAUGAUGAUUGGCGACAGCCUUAAAGAUGAUGUGAGUUUCCUCUCAAGCUGACCGCCUUCUUCUCUUUCACGUCCACUCUUUGCAAUAGGUGACUCAAUGCAUCGCUGUGAAAGAUGUGACAUUUUCCUUCGACUAAGUUCUUAACUAAUUCAUAUAGGUAGUAAUUGUGCUUGGCAUAUGAUACUCAAAGCAAUUUUCUGCUCGAUCUAACUUUUGCUUGAUCGUUAGCAGUUCUUAGCAUACGAGCUUUGGCUCCCACCUCUAAGUUGUUAGUUUUAUGAUUUCUUGAGCCUUGUGAACUCUUUUUUUCGUUCAUGCAUGUCAGUCGUCAUGCCAUUUAGGAAGUCAUGGUAAAAUUCUAAGAUAUGUGUUGUUACUUACUUCCAAUGAAUAUUUUUCGAGUUUGAUAUACAGGUUGCUUGUGGCAAACGAGCUGGAGCUUUUACUUGCUUGCUCGACGAAAGAGGAAGGUAUGAUGCCCCAGAAUAUGCAAACGUUCAACACAAACCAGACUAUAAGGUGUCUUCUCUUGUUGAGGUUCAGUCACUACUAGAAAGAGAUUUCGAGCUGACAUCUUGAUUUUUGCAAAUCUUUGGAACCCCUCCUGGCCUGGCUGAGCAACGAGACAUGGUUUACCCUCGUAAGCCUCCACGUAGCAUUCCUGCAUACACGUUUCUUUUGGUUUCUGCAAGAUCAUAGGAAUUAGAUUGCAGCUUUGCUCAAGUGAGAUGAUCAUAAUUCAUUUUUCAAGCCAGAAAUGGGGAAUAUGAGUUGUUUUUGUUCACUCUUGGUGGUGAAACUGGUGAUUUACAGAGACUUUGUAUCGAUUUAGCCUGGUUCGUUGUGGGUGACAUAGUCACGAGACCAUGACUGUGUUUUCGUAUGAAGUGUUCUUGUCAUCUCUUUGCUCGUAAUGGAAGCUCUAGCUCAGCUCUUCCACGCGAAUAGUAGCUAAGAUUUCUUAGAAAUAAUUGUACUUGUUAGUGCAAUGAUUUUCACAAGCUAGUCUCAGUUUUUGUUCUCUUUUUUUGGUAUCUCGAGACGACUCACAACCUCUGUCACAUCCUCUGUCCUUUGUCAUGUAUGCAACUUUUUUAUUUUUCAUUUCCUUUUGUAUUCCAACAUAGUAGAUCAAAUUGCAUAGUUCAUAUGUAUAUAUUGGUGGAUGAACAUUAGCAAGUAUUGUUAAAUGCUCCUCUUUUCACAACAAUACGAUAGUUCAAGUAUGAGAAACUACGAGAAUAAUUCUAAGACUAUUGAUUAGAAAGGACAUGACGAAAAAUGUGGCGUUUCAAACUACAAUCAAGCUUAUCUGACUAGAAAAUGAGACGACGCUUCAUUCAUGAUCUGUUUAUCUAAAGUCAUAUCCUCGACAGACUGAAAAUGUAUCGUUGUUAAAACUAUGUACAUAAGCAAUUAAUUAAACGAUAAAUGUAUUUAAUCAGAUAUUACGUAUAUUAUAUUUAUAUGAAUAUUUGAGGGACUAAAUGUGCAAAACCGUUAAAUUCAACUGCUAACAAAAUUCUGUUUAUAUUGGCGCACUUAAUCAGUUCUCUCUUCAAGAAAUCAGUUGAAUGAAACAGAAAAAAACAGAGCAAAAUAAUGACUUUCAGUAUUCACGGUUGCUCCGCCGUAUUCCGCCACCCAUCUGCCACCGCCACCGCCACCAUAGCUGUCUUCUCCGGUGAAGAUUGCAGCAUCAAGAACGAUACUAAUGUCUCUCUGAAGAGAAAAUCUAUUUCACCGAUCUCUUCUCCUUCUGAACCAUCCCCGAAAAGGGACACUCUCAAUUCACCACCAUCCUCCGCCGCCAUUGCUGCUGCUAACAAUGGUACAGACCCAAUUUCACCAAUUACUUCACCAUCCGCUAAAAGGGUUACUCUCAAUUCACCACCACCCUCCACCGCCACUGCCAUUGCCGCCGAUAAGGAUGGUACAAACCCCAUUUCACCAAAAACUUCACCAUCCCCUGCUUUUUCACCCUUCUCCAAAAGGGUGUCUGAAAAAUCACCUUUUGCCACCACCAACGCCGCCGCUGCCACCGCUGCUGAUGCCACGGCGACGCCGCCACCGCUCCCGUUUUCAAGAUUCACGAAAACGCAGCCGUCAAAUAAUAACAAAACUCUGCGGCGAACACUAUCCGAACCGCCAAUUUUCAAUUCUUUUACUGAUUUCUGUCGUUACAUGAAUUCCCAGUCACCGGAAAACAGCAAGAACAAUCCAAUCUCUGUAAAAUCAACUCUUCGUAGAUCAACUUCUGAUCCCACUGCUGCAAAAAUUAUUCUUGCACCGGCACCGGCACCGGCAACUGCAACUCCGGCACUGACUUCAGGAACAGGGCAUGAAAAAACUACAAGAAGAAGCAAGGUAAAAUAAAUAGGUCUUUUUCUUUUCUUUUUACAGUAAGUUUUUAUCGUAUUUUAUCGAAUUUUAAAAAUCUUUAUUACUUUCUCAAAUUUUAUUUCGAAUCAUCAAAUGGUACAUAUACGUUAAGUAUUACACGCUAAUCUUAUUAUAUUUUGAUAAAAUUAUAGAUCACUAGAAAAUCUUUAUUCCGAAAUAAAAUUAUUUUCUGAAUUAAAAUAAAUUAUUACUCAUAUUUUAAUACGAAUGAUAGUAACAAUUUUUAUUUAUUUAAUCUUAUUUUUUCAUUUUUUUUUAAUUAUAGAAGUGUUAAAAAGGUGGAAGCUGCUGAUAAAUUGGCUCUGCAUGAAGAUGGUUCAAGUCCAACAAGAAUUUUUCAUUAAUUUCAUACAAAAUAAUAUUCAUGGAUAUAUUUUACAUGUUAGUUUUAGUGAAAUAUAUUUUCCCUCUUUUUUUCUUUUUUUGUUCUUUUAAUUUGUUAAUAUCAUCUUAUAUGGGUGAUUUAGGAGCAUUUUGAUCAGGGUGUAUAUUGAUUCGAAAAAUAGACGAAUUGAAUUGAUUAAUAAAAAAAUGGAUUACAGACUCGUUUACAUUACUUGGUUCAUAUUAAUUUUACGUUAUUUUUAGAAAUUUAAAAUUUAUUUUUCUUUAGUGUAUCAUCUUAAAUAGUAUUUCUGAAUGAUUUUUGAUGAAUAUCAAGUUUACACGUAGGGAGAUGAUUGAUAUUUUCUUUACUCCUUUCCAUUAUAUAAACAUGUAUAAUAUUUUUAUUAAUAAAAUAUUUUAUUGAUAUAUUAGUGAAAUUAAUUAAUGUUUCAUAAUCAUAAUUAAGAACAUGCCACAUGUAUUAAGUUAGUAGUCAUAUCACAUGUCACAUGUCAAAAGCAUAGCUAACGUUUGAUAUAAAUUAUUUUUAAAAAAAUUCAUUAAUUUAUAAUUAGUUACGAUGAUUCAUCGAUAUAAUUUAUAAUUUUUUUUGAUAUAAUAUUUUUUAUAUUUUAUGUAUAAUUUUAUAUGAUUAUUACAUAUUUCAGGAUUAUAAUAAAAAAGAUGAAUAAUAUUAUUACUCUCGAGAGUUGAUAGAUAGAAUUAUAGUUUGGGAUAUAUAACUCAUAGUUGAUGGAAUUUGUUAUAUAAAAGAUAUAAAUUUGAAGUAUUAAAAUUUUAAAAGCACUUAACAAAGUAUAUAUUUUGGCCUAAAAAUCAAAUUUUUUUGCCAAAUCCUUUUUCCAAAACUUGACAAAAUUUUAUGGCAAAUAAAUUUUGCCAAAUUAUUUUCUAUAAAGUGCUUGCAAUAUCUAUGGUCAAACAAGUUUUUAUUCGGUCUUAAUUUAUGUAGUAUUAUUUGAUUUGAUAUAAAAAGAUAAAUAUAUUUAAAAAAAUUAAUGUAGAAUAAAUUUUAAUAAUUUAUAUGAUUUAUGAAUUAUUUCCUUAAUAGCAAAAGAAAAUUUUACGAGUGAAAAAAAUAUCCACUAAUUACAUGAGAGGUACAUUAUGAAGUUCAUAGCUUUUAAAAGAGUAAAUUUAAUAAACAAAUAAAAAACAUGCCGCCAUAUUUAUAGAAAAAUACGUGCCGUUAUGAAUUAAAAUUGUAUAUAUUUUAAGAAAUAUAUUCUCCAAAUUAGUUUCACUAUUUUGCAUAAAAAAAAAGAAUCAAAUAAGUUUCUCUUUCCUUAUUUCGUGGGAUUUUAUUGGGUAGGUAAUAUGCAAACAUGUUUUUUUUUUCUAAAGUAAUUUAUUAUACAAAUUUUUAAGUAUUUUAAAUUAAUAAUUAUUAUGAUUUAUAGUAUUUUUAUAUGUUUUAUGUAUAGUUAAAUUUCAAAGAUUUUAAUGAUUUUAUGUUCAAAUUUAUAAUCAAAAUCGAGUUACUUGUCUUUAAAAAUUCACAUUAUGCCGCAUAAAUUGAAAUAUAAAAAAUUAUACAUUUUUAAUUUAAUUUUUUUAAUUUUUUCUUACCCGAGAUAUAAAUUAGUUAUAUAUAAUAUUUAAUCUCUUUUAAUUAUACAUAUUACCAUUAAUUGAUCUACAAAUUAGUCUUAACAAGAAGUGCAACUUCAAUUGAUCAUGAUGUACAUAUAAAUAAAAGAAAUUAACGUAUAUUAUAUGAUUUAUUUAUCUCCCUAAUUAAUAUUUAAAAAUAUACAUAAAAAAUUUCAAAUUUUGAAAUCAAAUAUUUAAUAAGAGCAGUAUAUUAGGGGUUAAAAGUGUAUAAAGUUUGUUUCUCUCUUAAACAAUAGUUUUGAGUUCGAGCCUGAUUGAAAACUUUUUUGAAAAUAGAAUUCUACGCGUUAUAAAUUUGAAAUAGUCGAACUUUAACGCGGAUAUCGGAUACGGAAAUCAAGAAAAAAAUAUAGGAAAGGCGCGUGUAGUGCAAACACCCAACGUGGUACGUGAAUGGGACCCUUCAAAUCUCCAUAGAAAAGAACAGAGAAAGCUGCAGUCCAAGGAAUAAGCUGGAACCCUCUUCAAUUUUCUUUAGAAACUAUAUAAUAUAAUCUUUCUUCAACACAAAUUAGGAGAAAAAAUUAUAAUUAAAUUUCUAUAUAUAAACAAAAAAAUUAUGUUUUCUAAUCAUUAUUUUCAUCAUCUUAGAUUUCUCUCUUCUCUACGAUUAUCAUAUUCAGAAAUAUUCAGAAAAUCAUCCCAAAUCAAGAACCAAAAACUUGUUUUUUUCUCUAAUUUGAAGUUUUAUUCAAGAAAAAGAAAGCACCCUUUUGCUUAGAAUCAUGAUAUGUUUAGUAGUUCCUAGUGGCAAUGUUCAAGAUUUCAUAAAAAUCCAAUCUUUAUCAUGUUGUCAGCAUCUUUCCACCAAGAAGAUGGCUUGCUCAGUAGUUUCUAGAGGAAACCCUUUACUACCCAAUGUACAAAAAUUCAGAAAGAUUCAAUCUUUAUCAUGUUGUCAGCAGCAAAAUCCUUCCACCAACAACACCAUUGACAAACAAUGGAAGCCCAAAAGUCAUCUGAUAAAGAUAUUAGAAGACCCUCAAGUUGAGAAAGUUUAUUCUCCUAAGGUCAAGAAAAAAAUGGUUUUUGAGGAGAAGAAUGGGGGUUUAUCUCAGAUGAGGAGUCAAUAUAUGGCAAUUUUGUGUGGGGUUGGGUAUUGGGUACAGGGGUUUAGGUGUUUUCCUUGGUUGGGUCUUAACUUUCAUAUGGCUAAUGGAAUGAAUAUGCAUCCAUCAACAUUGCAACUUGUGCAGUAUUUUGGGAUUUUACCAAUGGUUGCUAAGCCUAUUUUUGGAAUUCUGUCUGAUGCUGUUUAUAUUGGUGCUGCUCAUAGAAUACCUUAUAUUUCUCUUGGAGGUAAUAAUUUUUUACUUCCCCUUUUGUAUUUGGUUUUGUUUGAUUUGCCAUAUCUUUGGAUUUUGCUGCUAUAUUUGUUUCUUUUUGUCAUCUUCUGGAAUUUCAAGAUUUAGCAGUUUACCAUGUCUUUGUGUGUGGUGUUGGUGUUGUUUUGCUUCCUUGUUUUUUUGGUCCUUGUUGCCACUUUGUUUUGAUUCUGGUAUCUUUACCAACAAAGCAAAGAAGUUCCUUGAGUGUAAAGGUGGCUGGAAUAAAGUUAGUCAUCUCUUUUAGUUUCCUUUAACAAUAGGAAAAGUUUCUAUAGAUGAGAAUACUGAUUUAGUAAAAGCAAGUGAUACCCUUCCGAAUGCACUACUUGGAAGUUGAAGGUCAUGAGAUUUUAGACAUUUGAAAGCCUCACUUUGUGGAGAGCAGUGACGGAUCCAAAAUAUAAAGAAGUAAACAUAGUAAGAAGCCAAGGGGGUUCAGUAACUACUAUAUUACGUAAAAUAUAAUUUUGAUCGUGUGUAAUUCUUUUAUGAAAGACGUAGUGUAGCGUAGCUUCACCCCUGGCAGGGAGGACGGCUACAAUGGAUGUAAUUUUGUGUAGCAAGUCAAAAUUUUUAAGUACUAGAACCAUUAAGACAAGUCUAAGUUUGAAGUGCACCUGUUUUUAAUUCCGUUGACUCUCAAUGUUACCGGAAUUCAUGAACACUGAUUAUUUAUAGGUAAGUUUGAGAGUUCACCUAUUGCAAACCAAUAAAGCUUAAGUUUUCGGUAGCUUGAUGAAAAUGAUCCAAUAUGCAUUAAGACUUCCUUAGUUGAAUUACUUCUUUAGCAAAUUCUACUUAUCGAUCUCGUUUUUGCUUAUUAGCUGUGUUUUCCUUUCCUUUUCUUAUUUUUUCUUUUUUUGUGAAGAAGUUGAGGUGGUCGAGGAACUUGUAGUCCUAACUCUCUAUCUGUAUAUAUAAAGGUAUAUAGUAAUGUACAAAGUAGAAUCUCUUUGUAUAAGUAUUGUAGAAGCGCCUAAUAAUGUGCUAUUACAGUUCUCCUCCAGGUUUUGGCGUGGGGUCAAUUGGCAUUAACCUCAGCUGCGAGUGAAGCUCUUCCUGCUCUUAUGGCAUGUGUCCUUCUUAGCAACAUUGGAGCGUCCAUCACAGAAGUUGCCAAAGAUGCUCUUGUGGCUGAAUAUGGUCAAAAAAACAAAAUGCCAGGUCUACAGUCUUAUGCAUUUAUGGCUUCAGCUGCUGGUGGAAUUUUAGGCAACUUGAUCGGAGGAUAUUUCCUACUCAAAACACAGCAGCCUAAGUUAAUGUUUCUAGCCUUUUCUGCUCUGCUUGCUCUGCAAUUAGUAGUAACUUCAGCUACCAGAGAAGAGUCCCUUGGUUUAGCUCAAUCAUCAAAUUAUUCUGUUGUUAGGAAACCAAUCACGAAAAUAUUUAGAAAACAGUAUUCGGAUCUUAUGGUAGCAGCUACAGGCGAAAGCAUUGCUCGUCCUCUUAUAUGGAUUGUUAUGUCAAUUCUAGCAGUCCCGGUCCUCUCCGGAUCUAUCUUUUGUUAUCAGACACAAUACUUAAAUCUUGAUCCAUCAGUUAUAGGGAUGUCAAAGGUGAUAGGCCAAUUGCUGCUUCUUUCUUUGACAGUCUUUUAUGACCGGUACGGCAAAAGGAUUCCAAUGAGAAAACUGAUUGGUAUUGUGCAGAUAACAUAUGCUGCUUCUCUUCUUCUUGACCUUGUACUUGUCAAGCAGCUUAAUCUCAAAUUGGGAAUUUCGAAUGAAUGGUUUGCUCUUUGCUUCUCGGGUCUAGCAGAAACUAUUGCAAUAUUUAAGCUCUUACCAUUCCAUGUGCUGUUUGCAAGUUUGGCUCCAUCAGGGUUUGAAGGAUCUCUCAUGUCUUUCUUGGCAUCAGCUCUGUGUCUUUCAUCAGUAUUUAGUGGUGUUUUAGGUGUUUCCUUGGCUACUUUCCUUGGUUUAACUCCUGGUAACUACUCGAGUCUGCAUAUUGGGAUUCUUAUCCAGUUUGUUGCAGCGUUACUACCACUGAGAUGGCUCAGUUAUGUCCCUAUGGCUCAACCUGCAGCUGAAAAGGGAAAGAAGAGAGGUCAAAGUAAAAGGACGAGAAAAUAUAGAAGGGUAGGGAGAGUCGUCGUUGAUUCGUUCUAUUCUUACAGACGCAAAAGAGAAUCUGAUUUUGAUGAGGAUCCAUUACUGACUAAAUGAUCAUUCUGCUGCUUCAAGAAAUUUGUUCAUGUCCUAGUCCCAAGAGGAAAUGACAACGAGAGUGGACGACUCAUGACCAGUCUCUGGUACUUAGUAGAACUCAUCUAUUGGUUCUUGUCAAGUUACAAUGAUGCAGUUUGUUUCUCGGAUCAUCUCUGAACUUUCAAGAGACGUAUCUUUUACUCGAGCAGAUUGAAGAAGGACGGUGUAGCCUUAUCCCACGUUGUGUAAAACUGUUGAGUUGCGGAGAGGCAAGAGAGAUAGUCUUUUCAAGAUCUCCUCCCCACUGGUAGUUCUCACUGAUCAGAGACUUGUUUCGAGUAGGAUCCCUCGCGCUCUAUUCCUUUUGUAGAUGAUGGCAGCUUCUCAGUUUGUGGGAGGUUUGAGAAAAAUGACAAUCCAGAGCAACUAUCCUGACUUGAGGAGUACUAUUUCUGCAAUGGAAGGUUACCUUUAGUUCCAUAGAGCUUGUCUAAAGGAAAAGAAGCAAACAAAAGUGAGCCAUGAUUUUGAGCUCAAAAAGGUAUUGCAACAUUUGGUGAUUUCUUUUCAUCUGUUAAGCGUUGACAGCAGAGUUACUUGAUAUUUGUGCUGGCGGAAGAUAGUAUGUCCUGAAAUAGUUGAGUUGAGGUGUGCGUAAGUUGGUUGAUAUUUGUGCUGGCGGAAGAUAGUAUGUCCUGAAAUAGUUGAGUUGAGGUGUGCGUAAGUUGGUUGAUAUUUGUGCUGGCGGAAGAUAGUAUGUCCUGAAAUAGUUGAGUUGAGGUGUGCGUAAGUUGGUUCUCGCGAGGAAAGGGUAUGCUUGUAAAGUUACUAACUUUUUAAGUGAAUAAAUUACUUCUACACUUCCCAUUGUGAACACAUUUUCAAAUAUAUCAUUAUAUGCUAAUCUUUAAUACAUUAUACCAAAUAUCAAAAUAAUAAUAACCAUGUGUUACAUUUGAAAGUACUCUCAAAAGUUUUAGAGAUGAAGAUAUUCAUUAUUAUUUUUAUUUUUUAAAAUAUGAAAGUGGUCAAAGAUCACUUAUUUAUUAAAAAAAUUCACUUUGAUAUAGAUAGUUAUUUUUACACUUCCAUUGAAACUUAGAAGUUUGAAUUUUGCAUGACUAGUAACAACAAAUUUUCAAUAUAAACUAAACACUACCAAAACAACACUUACAUAACUAUGCUACAUUUAAUUUAUAUUGUUGAACGCACCAUUAUAAAGUUACGCAUUAUUUUAUUCGAUUUGCAAAAUAAUGUUACACCAAUCGAAGACCGAACAUAUGUAACUUUUAAGAAGUUGAUACAAAUUAAAUGACGAUAUCAAAACAGACUUACCAUCGAGUUUUCACUAUUUUAGGAGUUGUCUCUCAAUGAAAAUACUUAGGCCCACAAAAAGCCCAAAAUUUAGCCCAAUAAAGUUACAAUAUAUAGCUUCUUCCUUCAUACUCUCGGUGAUGGAACACUGAAAUUUUGUUCUAUAUUUUGUUGAAAGAUCUUUCUGAAAUUGCUAAAAUUACUGCUCUCUACUCUCAUUCCUCUAAUUCUCAGUAAGUUUCCAUACCCAUUUUCUUCUUUUUUUUCACUUGGAAAUCCCUGUUGUUAUGAUUCUUUGUUCUUUUUUUUGAAUUUUAGUACUGUUUCUUGAUUUUUUUCUGAUUUUGUUGAUGUUUAAGGGAAAUGUUGAAGAAAAACAUUGAAAUUUUAAUGGGUCUGUUUACUUUUAUCUUGUUUGAAUUCCCCUUUUACUUUUAUCUGGUACUGGUUGCUGGUGGGAGUUAGUAGAAAUAGAGAGGCAUGCAAAAGCUGAAUGGAUAUUGGUUAUAAUAAAAAAAGAAGAAAACUUUGGCUGAAUUUGGUGAUUAUUUUUUAAUAAAAUUAUCUUAGUGGAUUUUUUAACCUUUCGGGAAUAGUUUGUCUACCUCCACGAGCUAGUGAAACACUCUCAACUUUCAUAGACCUCACUUGUGGGAUUUCACUCGAUAUAUUGUUGUUGUUGUUAUCCAAUUCGACCUUUUUUUUGGGUUUGGUAUGCAUUUGUGGGGAGGAGGUACUUUCUUUGGUAUGUUAAGAGUGAAGUUUUACUUGUUAUUGCUUUUGGUUUUGGUUGCAUAAGACUAGAAAGUAUCUGAGGCUGUUAAUUCCAAUGUGAACAAUCCAAGGUGUAGGUGGAGAAAGGCUUAGAAUUUUACAAUCACAAAGCAAAAACUGAAAUGUUGAAUAAGAGCAUGUAUAAGAGUAUCUAAAGAAAAAAAUGUUUUUACGAUAGGUAAUGCCUAUGUUUCUGUUGCAUAACAGUUUCCGCAUUAAUAUUCAAUGCAUGAAUAAACUCUGCAUUAUGUCCCCUCCAUAACUAAUCCGUAAAUCAAACAACCCUUGAAGAUGGAUCCCGGAAGUUCAUUGACCUCCAUUGUGGAGGUUACUGUUUCUCAGCGCAUGAGACUGCUCUUUUGCUUUUCAACAUUUUUUUCCCUAAAAGUUCCGUUCCACCAAUGUGGAGGUGUAGGUAUAAUUUAUUGAUAAAUCAAAGUUUAUGGUGGUAAUAGAUUGUCCUCGUAGAGAGACAACUCUUGAUGAAAGGAAUUUAUCUUCCCUUCUUUCUUGUUCGCGAUAUUUUCUCCCUCUCUGCUCCCUUAUAUUCGUAAUGCUGUCUUCCAUUUACAUCACUGAUUAAAAAGAAUGAUGUUUUCUCCUUACAUAGUUCUCAUACCUCUAAUAAGUACGUAGUCGUACAAGUCGAGUUGAAUAUUUUUCAUCAUCCAAUUCUUCUUGAACUAGGUAGUUGCUUAUACAUUAAUUUCUCAUGUGAUGUUAGAAUGGCAUCCCAAGGAUCAUUAGAGGUGCCUUCAGAGGAGUUUCCUACUAGGAUCAAUUACCGUCCAAAUGGCAAGCCCCGGAUUGUAAUUGAACACUACAUGCCUGAACUGGAAGCUUAUAUGCCAAGAGAUGCUGAACCAAUUGAUUUAAAUGUGCUACGAGAAAUCAAUGAUCGAUUGACAGCUAUGCUAGAAGAUGUGAGAUUGAUGAAGAAACGACUCACACGUAUCAUGAUUUUACAGUUGCUAUGCCUCUUUGUUGCAUUUUCAGGUCUCUUUGUGAAGUUGAUUCGUAAGUAAGUACUGUUACUUUUGUGAGCCAUUUAACCUUCUAUCAGUGCUGCUCAGAAAUAUGUGAUAGGAAAAUGGAGUGUUAAUAGUUCUUUGAAGUUUUGUGCUUUGAGUCUGUACUUUCUACAGCCUUUGUGCCUCAUCAGCUUGUGCUGUUGUAAAUAAGUUCUUGUAAUCAAGUUUUUUGGCUUUUGUUCAUUGAAAAGAAAGAGUUUUGGUCUUCCUAUUUAUCUUCUCAACCCAGUGUGAAUGAUUGAACCAAAUGUAUGCCCAAAGUUUAAUUAGUUGAAGUAAUUAGUAUGUGUAUUUGUUCAAUUUCUUGCCUACUUCAUGUUAAGGUUGCACGCCAUUGUAUGGAUCGCGCUUAUGCUGAAAUUUUUAAUAGUGUAGUUUGAUGGUAUCUCAAAUCUGUCUGAUCAUUCCGAAGAAUUGUUGAACACAAGAAAUUCAAUGAAUGUAUUGAUAGGCUACUUCUCCAUCAUAUUCAGUACAUGAGUGUUUCUCCCUUAAGUUUCAAUAGAUUCCAAUAGUUCAAACUCUCACAAACUUCUGCAAACCUGAGCUCUUUUUGGACUCCAGAGUAUAGAGCCUCUUACUAAGUUGGUCUCUUAGGUCAGCAGCUGCGGCAAGAUAGACGUUUUUCUCUUUGAUUUACUGUAAGAAGACAGGCUUGCACUUCUUUAAGCUUCGUGCAACCUAUACAAGGUGUUGCUCGCUUUCUCUCUGUUACCAGCGGGCUUAUGUGGUGGAUAGCAUCCCCAGAUGCUCCUCCUAGCCACACAUAUGCUCCAAACUUGAAAUCGACUUCUUUUUUUCACCAACAUCAGCUUUUCACUGUCCCGCUCCUUUUCAGACCAGGACUAAGCUGCAUCGUUGUACCUUCAUGCCUCUGCCCUGAUGUACUGAUAAAAAGGUCAUCUUAGGCUGGUGUGUUAACACUUGGCACUAAUUGUUGUUCAGCACUACUUCUGUUUACUUCCAUCAACUCUUCAUGAUUGUAAGCAUAACUACACAGCCUAGUUGGAGUAGGCUGGGAGGGCAGCUCUUGAUUGGUCAUGUUAGCUGCACACAAUAAUAAUACACAUCAGUUCAUCUUGACAAUUGCAUCAUCCUGCUUCGAUAAGAAGACCUCAAGUGCAAUGAUCCUUCCAGGAAGAAAUUGUGUAUUCAAAUUUGCUUUCGAACUGUUGUAACUUGUUCAUUCAUAAACCUUCAGAGUAUCUUCAAAGACAACACCAUUAUCAUCUUGUUUCAUUGCUAAGAUGAGUUGAUCUAGCAUCUCAUAAAUCACAACAGAACAAGGAUGAGACUUGUUAGCAACGUAAAAGCUAUGAGUUUCAGUGUUAACGCUAAUCCAACUACAACCAGGGAACUUCUUCAGCCCUUUAUCUUUCAUCAUAGUUCUCACUUGAGCAACGACAUCCCAUCUCUUUGAAGAAGCAUACAAAUUUGAAAGAGACACAUAAUUGGAGGGGUUCUCGGGUUCCAUCUGUAUAAGAAACCUAUAUGCUAAAUCGUGUACUUCACUAUUUCCAUGGAUUGCAGAGGCAUUCACAAGUGCACCCCAUAUACUAGGACCUGGUUCCAUAGGCAUGGUCUUGAUGAAAUCCAAUCCUCUAUCAAAUUGGCCUGCUUUACCUAACAUAUCCACAAUGCAUGCACAUAUCUCCAAAGUUGGUUCUAAAUCAUACUCAUUUACAGCAGAACUAUAUAUCCGGAUGCCCUCGUCUACCAAUCCUGACCUAGCACAAGCAGAGAGAACCCCAACAAUCGUAAUCCUAUCUGGUCUCAUCCCAUGUUGAAGCAUUUUCUCAUACAAAACGAUAGCACCCUGACCAUUCCCAUGUAAGGAGUAAGCAGAAAUCAUUGAACUCCACGAUAUAGCAUCCUUAGUAACACAAUCAUGUUCAAAGACUCUUCGUGCACAACUCAAGGAUCCCGACUUAGAAUACAUAUCGAUUAGAGCAUUACAUAGAGACACUUCGUGAUUCAACCCUCUCCUAGUUGAAAAUGCAUGAAUCUGUUUUCCACCUUUCAAACGAUCAAAUGAGCAACAAGCAGGUAUGAUACUAAUAAGCGAAACCUUAUUGGGUUCUACACCUUCCACUUGCAUGGCUUUAAAGAGUAGCAAAGCUUCAUCAAAAUCUCCAUUCAGCACAUAGCCAUUGAUCAUUGCUGUCCAAGCAAAAACAUUUCUACACUUUAACCUAUCGAAAACCCGCCUCCCCAAUUCAACCCUGAAACUUUUUGAAUACAUAUCAAUCAAACAACAUUCCAAAUGAACAUCAUAAGAAUCAAAUAAAUCUAACUCCAAUCCAGCUUUCACCACAUAGCAAUGCAGCUCUUUUCCAAAGUUCCAGUUCUUCUUCACCUCUCCACACAACGAAAGAAGCGUCGAAACCGUAAACGCAUCAAACUUCCAACCUUCAUAUAGCAUAUCCUUCACAAAAUCCCACAAUUUUCCAUCCAAAUUUUUCUCUUUUACACCCAUAUACCCUGAAAUUACAACGUUAAAAGACGAAACAUUCCUCUGCGGCAUUUCAUCAAACACCUUCAGUGAAUCUUGAAAAAUCCCACAUUUGCUAUACAUAGCCAUGAAAGAAUUAGCAACAACAGUAUCUAAAACAACCCCAUUUCUCACACACCUCCCAUGAACAACUUCCCCUGAAACAACAUCUCCUAAUUCACCCAAAAUUUUCACUAUACCCGAAAAAGUAAACUCAUCAGGGGUGACUUCAGAUUUACACAUUUGAUUAAAAAGCUUAAUACUUUCCCCAAAUAACUUACUUUUCGCAUACCCAUUAAUCAAUAUGUUCCAAAGAUACUCACUUUUGUGUUCAAAAGUGUCGAAAACAAGCUGAGAAUCAAGUGGGUUUUGGCAAGCAAAGUAUGCAGAGACGAGUUUAGUUGCUAUAACAGAGUUUUGAUCAAGUCCAAGCUGAAGGAUUUUGGCGUGUAUUUUUUGUGUAUCUUUUAGAGAUUGAGAUUCAAUGGAAAACUGAAGCAAAUCAGUGAAAUUAGCAGUUGAAGAAGAAGUGGAAAGACGCUGGGUUUUGGUUGAAAAUUUCAAGAUUCUGAUUGCUGAGAGGAUUAUCAUCACAAAUGAUUAGAAAGGAAAAAGGGUUUAAGAUUUCGAGUUUCACUGAGUUUAAGUAUUCAGUUGACAAAGUCGAGUUGGAAUGAGAAUUUGAGACAAGGUGUCCCGCCUUAGGAUGAUUUUCAGGCGAAAAGAAAGUCAUUGCUCCAUUAUUUUUAUAAAGACACCACUAUAAUCUUUAUCGACAAUAAUCGAGUCGAUCAAUGGAAGAUAUUUCUGAUCGAGUAGUAACCAUUAGUAAUAGAGCAAAAGUAAGGGGACGGACAAAGGAAAGAGUAUAAUUAGAUUUAGGAUAUAUUAGCGACGAAUUUUAGUUAGUAAAUCUCAAAUAAAGUAAAGUUCUUUUUCGCGUCAUACAAAAUAUAGUUUAUUUUAGUAAACAUAAAUUAUUUUUCUUUUAGAGAUAUUCAAUAAAAUUAGAACAAUAUAAAAAAAAUUAAUACGAAUUUUUUUAACGAUAACACACAAAUCAAGUAGAUCCUAAUGUAACAAUUGUUAUUGGAUAAUAUUUUUGAGCAAAAGUUUAUCAAUGCUUUCAUAUACUCAUAUCAAAACAUUAAUCACCAGUACUGGGCUAAUUUUUGCAGCUCAGAUAGCAUAAAGUACAUAAUAUUCUAAUAAAUUACACUACACUACUAAUUAAGAUACCUUAUUAUUAUAAGAGACUUACAAAUUAUUGAACCUUCAUAAGUAAUCCAGAACAAAUUGUAAUUUCUCUCUUGGUUGGAUAAUGAACCUUCUUUGGUUAAUUCCCCAACUAGCAAAAAGUAGUAAACAAAAAGUACAGUUCGAUGCACGAAGUAUCCUGCAUUGAAUGCUAGGUCCAGGAAGAGUGAAUUGCACCCCAUAGGAGGUGUAAUGUAGAUCGUCCACCCUAGCUGAUUCCGUGAAUCGAACAUGUAACUUAUAGAUCACACAGAUACUGACAAAAUUAGGAUUGAAAGAGGGAAAUUAUUUGUAGUGAUUUGCUUGAGGGUUUUAAUAGAAAGUUGGAGUAGUAGCCAUUUGUUGUAGGCAAGGAAUAGUGUUGGUUUUGUUAUUAUAAGUUGUAGUGUUGAUCAUAAAAUGGCCAUAAAAAUCAUCCAAGUUCCAUAGGUCAUCCCACAUAAUAUCUUCAUUCGAUGAAGAGGGUUCGGACUGUGAUAUAGAAGUCGAGUUAUUGAGUGAUGAGUAGAAGAAGUCAGCUUGAUCUUGUUGAUCAAUCAUGUUGUUCGGGUACAAAAUGGUCAUUUCUUGCUUUCCUUGAGGCAUAGUUGGUAAUGACAUCACAUUUUUAAUGUCGAUUUGAUUGUUGAUUUGUUGUUGUUGUUGUUGUUGCUGCUGGAACUGUUGUUUUUUCCAAAGACGUGCUCGUGAUUUCUCAGAGUUAUCAGACGAGUUCUUGGUCUUCUUCUUGAAAUGCGUCCUCCAGUAGUUCUUAAUCUCAUUAUCAGUCCUCCCAGGCAAGCUACGAGCAAUAGUUGACCAUCUAUAUAAAUUUGAAUUUAUUUUUUAUCAAAUAUUAGGUUUAAUUAAGAAGAUGAUCAAUAUAAUUAUAGUAAAGUUAAAAUUUACCUAUUGCCCCAUCUAGAAUGAAGCUCAAGAAUGAUCCUCUCUUCAUGUGGGGUUAUUUGCCCCCUCUUCAAAUCUGGCCUCAAAUAAUUCACCCAUCUCAACCUACAACUUUUUCCAUUUCUCCUCAACCCUACAACAAACCAAUCAAACAUAAGUCAUGAUUUAUGAAAAAAGGAAAACGACUUUCUUCUAGAGAAAUAUUUUUCUUCGUACCAGAUACACAAAAGACUAUAGUAUAUAAUUUCGCGAAUAUAUAUAUAAUUAUUACCUGUAAGUCUAGCAACAGAAUUCCACCUGCCUUCACCAUGCAACUUGACAUAUUCAAUUAGUAAUCUGUCUUCAUCAGAAGUCCAAGGCCCUUUUCUCCAUCCAACUUCUUCAAUAAAACCCCAGUUACUCCCCAUUUGUUCACUAAAUAUUUCACAAACCAUAGUAUAUAAUAAAAGACUUUAAUUUUUUUUUUUUUAUGGUGUAAAAGGGGAAGUGAUAUAUAUUUUUUAGGUAUUAAGCUAUAUGUUGCUUUGUGCUAAAAAUAUUCUGUGACAUAAUCUACAAGUGUUAGUUGGGUAUUUAUAUUUGUAAGACAAAGCUAAGACACUAUUUUAUGUGUCAUUUUCAAAUAAUUUUUUUUUUUUGUUACAAGCUAGAUAUGAUAUGUAUCAUAAUUCAUACCACUUAAAUUGUAAAAUUACCAUAUUGUCCUCAUCUAUUUUGUUUUAUAUAUUUUUUCUUGAAAGUGGAAAAGAAAAAAAGAUCUUAAUGUGUUUAGCCUGAUCGUAAUUAUCGUUCAUAUAUAUUCAGUAUAUAACAAGUGUAUAAUCAAUGCGUAUAUUGAUUAUACAACGGUUAUACUAGCUGAAAUCUGUAAAAAAAAAAAAGGUUUGAUUUAGUUUUUGUUAUGAUAUUUGUCGAGAGACGUUGUUGUAUAGUGUAAAAAUUUCGAAGGAAAAUGAAAACGCAAAUUGAAUCUGCCACUCUUAGCAAUGAAGUAUCUAAAGAUUAUAUUAAAAUAUCAGUUGAAGAAGCUGAACAUCAAAUUAAGUGUACUUUACACGUGUUAUUAUAGUGUCAUGUUUGUCUUGAUUCUCGAUUGAUAAAUAAGAAGGAAAAUAAAAUGAUUUAAUUUUAGAGAUGGUCAAAAGACACCUUUAAAUUCAUAACUAAUAGUUUAUAUAAUUAUGAUAAGGUGAAUAUAUAUAUAUAUAUAUAUAUAUAUAUAUAUAUAUAUAUAUAUAUAUAUAUAUAUAUAUAUAUGUUUUAUUGCCACUAUAUUUUCUACAAAAAUUAAUAUCCAAAAAGGGUAGGAAGGGAAAAAAAAAGCAAAAAAUAAGAUUGCUAAGGGAUUGGGUGACAUGCUCACAUCUUUGAUCAAAUCACAUAACUAUAUUUAAUUAAAUAUUAUAAUCAUAAAAUUAAAAAAAAAGUGAUUCCUCUUAAAAUAAUAAUUAAAAUAAAAAAUAUUAAGUUUCAUAGAGACAAAUGCCACGUAUAGCAUAGGUUAAUGCAUUUGGACAACUUGACACACUCAAAAACACACUUUAAAAGGGAAUUUUUAUGUUUAAAAACUUUAAUUAAUAAAUUAAUUAGGUGGAUAAUUUUUUAAUUAUGAAAACCACUAGCUAGCCUAUAAAAAAGAACCAGGUGUUGGAUUAAUUUACUUCUUAAGGAGAUUGAUAUACGGUAAUCACCAUUAUAUAUUUAAUUAUAAUUUAUUGAAUUCCAUUUUGGGUAUUUGGGGGUCCAUUAAAAUAAUAUUAAUUUUGUAAAAAUAUCACACUAAACAUGUCCUUAAUACGUCAUUAGUGAACAGGUGGUGUUCAAAGUGAUGACUUUAUCCUUUUUUUUUUUUUUUAAAACGAUGAAACUCGUUUGUUAGGUAAAUUAAUCCUCGAUAAGUCGUGUGUGAUAAGUUUGAUUGAAGGUUGAAAGCUUGAAAGUCUCGUUUUAAAGAUUACCUGCUUAACUAACUCAACUAUCUUACAGAUAAAGCAAUUUCGAAUAUAUAAGUUUUUACAAAUUUGAAUUUGUUUAGUUUUUUCUCAAUAUUAAAUAUAAUAUUAAUUUUAGCUUAGAAGGUUAAAAAGUAUAUAUAUUGUAUCCAAUUUUUAUGUUGUUAUAAGAACUAAUAUUUGAUUUGAUGGAUUAUUAUUCCCCUCUAAAAUAUGCUUAUACAAAUAAUAUAUUUAGCUUUUCCACUUAAAAUUGUCCUUGUUAUUAUUUAAAAAGCCAAGUAAUUAGUGGGUAUCUUUAAAAUACUUAAAAAAAUAUUUAGCAAGAUAGUAAUUUAUUAAAUUGGAAACUAUCUUAUAUCAGCAUUCUAUUUUUAUUUUUUUUAAUUAAAAAAGAAUUGUUCUCUUUUCUUUUUCUCUUUUUUCAAAAUUUUAUCUUAAUAUCGUACUUUAAAGCUAUAUUUACUUUUCAAUCGUUGCUAUUUUUAACUUUAAAAAGUCAUGUAUCAUGCUCUUAUUUAAAUAUUAGCGGAAUAUAUAUUUCAAACGCUUUUACGCAACAAAAAAUUAAACUAAAAUCAUAUCAAAAACCACUUUGAAAGAUCCAAUGAAUGAAUUUUAUAAAAAAGAAACAUUAGCAAAAAAAAUAAAGAAAUUUUUUAUAAAAAUUACCAAAAAAAUAGCAAUAAUCCGUGUGAUGUACGGAUGUAAUAAAAAGAGAAAAAAGAUGAGAUCUUUUAAUGGGGAAGUACAUCGCAACUUUACACUAUGCAAAGCAUAUUGUUAUUUUAUUUAAUUAAUCAAUAAUUAGUGGCUAAAUAGUUGUCUAAAAACAAUUAAAAUAGUAAAAGUGGAGACAAUCUUGAAUUAUUGGCCUUUUCAUCUUAUACUAAUCGUCUUUUAUAGUACUUCUUAAUUUCUUAUUUAUUUCGAACGGGAGCCCUGGAGCAACAGUAAAGUUGUCUAUGUGGGAUCUAUAGGUCACUGAUUCGAGUCGUGAAAUCAGAACAAGCUGCUUAUAUACAUCUCAUCUCUCUAGGAAAUACGACCAUUCAUAAAUGCGUAAAUGCUUAGUGCAUCAGACUAUUUUUUUUUUUUAAUUUUCGAUUUAUUUUAAUGAUUUUUCUUUUUUGAAAAUGUUGUCACUUCAAAGUGGAUAUGGAUAAGGAACUUGGAAUUUGAUUAAAGUUUUAAUCACUUUUGUUCUGCUUAAGCUGAAGGGCAUGUUGGGAUAUGCCAUAAAUUAAAGUAUGAUAAUUGAUAUCGUUAGCGUGUGAUGGACUGGUAAUUAUUUUUUAAUUAAAAGUCUUGAAUUUGAACUCUGAGUAUAAAAUUAUUUUUGUUAAUAAGUAUUAUAUACCUCAAUACAUAAAACUUUUCAACGCUAAUCUAAAUUUAAUCAGGUCCAAUAUGAAUAUCGAUCAGAGAGUAGUAAUAAAAAGUUAGUGUAUAUCAUGAGUUAUACCCUAUAGUUUAUUUGAUAUUAGCAUAGUCACUGGAUUUGGAGAAUCUUAAAUAUAAAGCAUAGUCCUGUAUGAGGAUUUUCAAACUGAAUUCUUUAAUCCUAGGUUUAUUAUCACUUUAAUAAGGUGGUUUUUUUUCUUUAUUUUUGUUUAAUACAUAGUAUCUCAUCUUUGAUCAUGUUUGUCUCCUUAUAAUGUUAAUUUCUAAAUAUACUUUAAUUAAUCUUUUUUUUUAAUGUCAUGAUAAUACUGUUGUCCAUAUGGUUAAAUCGUAGUGGUCGUUUGGUUAUCGCGAUGAGUUAGAUAAAUAUAUUUUAUAGGUUAAAAUAAAUCGAAAUAUUUCAUAGAAUUCAUUUUUAUAUAUUUCAUAUGAAAUAGCUAAACACAUAUCUUAAUAUAAAAUAUAUUACAAACUAAUUAAUAUUCAUAAUAAAAUGUGAAAUAAAAUAAGAGCAACAUUCACAUAUAGCAAAUAAAAAAUUCAUAUUCGUAUGCUAUAACAAAAUUUGCAUAAUUGCGCUCCAUAGCAAACAUAAAACUGUAUAAUUCGCUAUACAUAUACAAUUGUAUAAUUAGCUGGCCUAAAUUGUAUAGUUCGCUGGCCUAUUUCGCUGCAAUUGUAUAAUUCGCUAUUCUAUUUCACUGCAAUUGUAUAAUGCACAAUUGUAUAAUUCGUUGCCUAUUUCGCUGCAAUAUUUCUAUAAAAUUUGCUUUGCAUACAAUUGAAUCGAAGUAAAAUAUAUGUAUAUUGCAUUAUUAUAAGUGUAUAGGAAAAAUAUAUAUGUUUUUCUCUCGCUUUAUACAAAAACAGAAACACAAUAUAUACACUUCUAUUGUAUAAAGCGAGAGAAAAUUGUAUUUUACUGCAAUUGUAUAAUUCGUUGGUCUUUUUCGCUGUAAUAUUUGUAUAAAAUUUGCAUUUGUCUACAAUUGAAUUGAAGUAAAAUGUUUUGUAAAUUGUAUAAUUAAGUGUAUAGCACGAAGAUAUAUGUUUUUGCAUGUGUAUAUACAAUUUUCUCUCGCUUUAUACAAAACAGGAACACAAUUUAUACACUUCUGUGUAUAAAGCGAGAGAGGCGAGCAGAGGGAGAGUGGCGAGCGAGAUUUUUGAGAGAGAAGCGACUGGCAAACUUUGGUUAACGUUUGCUAUGGAGCACAAUUAAAUCAAACCAUAGCUACUCCAUUUAUUUUAGAUUAUUAAUUUACUAUUAUAUACAAUUAUCCCAUUAAAUAAAUCAUAUUUUAUUUUAAAUUAUUAUACUUUAUCUCAUCGACUAAACAAGCCCAAGUGUGUUAUAUGGUAAAUAAUGUUAGAUAUUAAAUAAGAAUUUAGUAAAAGGACUUCCAUUUCCUAUUUUAUUAUUAUUAUUUUCAUCUAUCAAAUCACAAUAUAAUCUCUAGAAGAUAUUUCAUCAUCUAAAAUCGAGUUAAUCUUAGCAAAUACAUAUCAAACAAAGAUAUUUACUACUUUAGCAUAUAAUAUUAUAUGUGAUCAAAUCAAACUUCUUGUCAAAUAGUUGGAAAAGAUGGCGUAAAAUAUUAAAUUGAUUAAUUUUUUUUCAUAUAAAAUAUUUACAUCAAAUUAAUAUAUAUAUGAUAAUUGUAAAAAAAUUACAAAUAAGUAAAUUGAAUUAAAACUAAAACGAAUACAAAUAAGUUAAAUUAACAAAUAGGUCAUUGUUCAAUUACAUGAAGAAAAUAAAUUGAAUUAAGAUGAGCGCAAAAUGAAUAAUAAUAUCACUUUAUUCUUAUUUUUUUUAUAAAAUAAAGUUUUAGAAGUUAAAUAACAAAGAAAAAAGAUAAAGCGUAGUAAUAUAUUUCCUUCCAAUACAUAUAUAUAUAUAUAAAGUAAAAGAGCAUUUCUAAUUAUUUAAAGUCAUGUUUAAAUUCUAAAAGUUAUGAAAAUACGUGUAAAUUUGCUACAUAACAUUCGCAAUUCAUUAUUUAUAAUAUAUUUUGUCGUUUUUUAAUUAUGAGUGAUAUAAAUAAAAUUUUAUAUACCGUCAAAUCUCUUAUGAUGAUAGUGUUUGGUUAAAUAUAUAACGAUAUAUAUUUAAGAAAAAAUUAAAUCAUAAAAAUCUAUUAUAUUCAUAGUCUUAUCCUGUAAUUUUGUAAAAAAAAUUAUUUUUACGAUUCAAACCAAAUUAAGUUUUGCAUGAUUAAUGGAUUAGUUAUAAAAUAAUAAAAGAUUAUUUGAGUCAUCCUCCAUUAAUUAAUUAAAAUGAAACUUUUACUUGACCCCACAAUAGAACAUUCUAUUACUAGUUGUUGAAUUCCAAAACCAAAACCGCAGUAAAGAGACUUUCAACACUCUUAAGUAGGUAUAGAGAAAACUAACCUCAAUCGUUCAAAUAUUCGAAAUUAAUCGAUCUGAUUAAUUUAAAUUUAUAUUAAAUCAAAUAAAUUAUAUGAUAAAAUAUUUACGAUUAAAAAGUUUUUCAUCUCUAGUGAUUAAUUUCAACUUUUAAGUGCAUUACACACGUUAUUGAACACUUUUGAGCUGUAAUUUUCCUUUGACUCAACUAUUUUAGUGUAUUUAAUUACCAAAGACCCUUUUAGAUGUUACAAUCAAGGAAGGUAAAAAAUAAAAAAAUAAAAAAACAAUAUAGUAAAUUUCACGCUAACAGUUAUUCUUAAACUUAAAAUAUAUUAUAUUAUAAUAUAUUAUAAUAUCUGUCAGACAUGAGAAGAAAAAUUAUAAUAUAUAAAUUAUAAUAAUAUCUUACACAAGUUGGCCUCAAGGAUAAGUUUUCAACACUCAAUUUAUCCGUUGUGAUUCUUUUUUAUACGUUCCUUAAAGAUACGAAUCAGGUUAGUUUGAUUGAAUAAUUAUAACAUUAUUCAUAGUUGAAGAUUUUGUAGUUUUCAGAAACGGUAACUACUAAGGUAAAAUGAAAUAAUUUUGUCUCGGACUUUUAAAAAGAUAUUUUCUUCGUCCACUUUUAUUUGUCAUGCUGCACUUUUCGAAAGUCAGUUUGAUUAAUUUUCAAUGUUGAAUUAGAUUGCAUUGAUUCAAUAUAUUUUAAACAAAAAAAAAUUAGAUAUUUAAAAACUAUACGAAAAGUACUAUACAUUGCAAUUUGUUUACAUAUCAAUAUGAUGAAAAAAUAUAUCGUAAAAUAUUAGUCAAAUUUUAUUAGUUUUACUAAAAAAAUGGAAAGUAUAAUAAUUAAUAGUAAGUAUAGGUAGCAUAAUUUGAGAUACUGUAUAUUUAGAAAUCGCGAUGAAUAGUUUGAAAAUAGAGAGUAACUUCUUUUCUACAUAAAUAAUGGCCAUCUUAAUUAUUCAAUAAUUCAUCAUAUUUUUUGUUCUUUUGAUUAAUUAUGUGAUAUAUAAAAUUUAUUAUUCAGAUAAUUUCAUAUUUUGCAUUACGUAAGAUUCAUUAAGACAGAGACGCUCCCUAUAAUUAAGAGUUCUUUUCAUUUCAAAACUUAAAUACGAGAUAUUUAAUUAAGGAUGAAAGAAUUUCUACAAUCGCAAUAUUAACGCAAUUAUACACUCACCAUUUAGAAAAAAUUUUGAACUUUCAACCACUAUGUUUAUUACUAAUUAAGUAGGACUAUGGUAAAAUUAUGUGAUUAUAUUUCGUAAGAGUUAAUUAACCAAUUGUGACUUAAGUCAAAUUAAUUGUCCUUUGGCUUGACCUUUAAUUCCCUGUCAUUAAUUAAUUAGUGACUAAAUUAAUUAAAAAGCUAAUUACAGGAACCUGGCUAUCCGUACAUGCUUUGAGCCAUGUUAUGAAAAUGUUCUUUGAAGAAUAUAAUGAAUUAAAUCAUUAAAAGAAUUAAGAUAUUAAUUAGUAGUAUCGUAAUUAAAAUAAUGUUAAAGUAGUAAGCAUGCAACAUAAAUUAAAGUGGGAGAUUUUUGAUAUAUUUUUAUCCCCCGCAAGAUCAAGAGUCGACUAAUAGUUAUUAUCUGAUAAAAUUAUUACUAUUUAUUUUAAAAAGGUAAAAUUAUAAAAAUAUUAACUUUCUGAAAUGAUAAUAAGUAUUUGUGAAAUGACGAUAGCCGAUAAAAAAUCAAUCCAAAAGAAGUAGGGUUCUAGCUACUUUAUAUACUAAAGUUACAAAUAUUUUGACAAAAAUUUUUCAAAGUUGUUUUUAAUUUAUUGUUAUUGUGAAAAUAGUAAUAUAAUGCUUCUUAAAUAGUUUGUGUUUAUUGGUGUGUGUCAAAAUUAUUAUGUUGCAUCAAAACUUUUCAUCGAACAUAUUUCGAGCAGAGUUAGGUGGAGAUUUAUGAGUUUGGAUAAAUUGAAUAACAUUUUCAUAAAUCUUGUAUUUAAUUUAUACUAAAAAAUAACUGUAUAAAGGACAGAAAUCACGUAAUUUUAAUGUAAAAUUAUCAUUUGUCCUCUUAUAAGUUUAUAAUUACAAAAAUCUCUCAAACUGAUACAUUAAUCUGAUUCUCGAGAACAUUAAUCAUUAAGUAAGAUACAUUACAUUUUAUACAUGAUACAAUAUCUGAUGUACAUUUUAUACAUGAUACACUAAUCUGAUGUGCGAGAUACAUUAAUCUGAUACGCGAAUUACAUUACUUUGAUGUGUUAAUACAUUAAUCCGAUGCGUGAAAUAAUUUUUUUAAAAAAAUUAGUAAAAGUAAUAUGGAAUAAUGGUGAUAAGAGAACUUAAAGAUGGAACUUAUGUCAUUUAUCCUGUAUUAAUUUGUGAAAUCCUAAUAAAAUUAAUUGACUAUUCUAAAGAAAUUUUAAAUUUUCAAAUUAUUAAUCGUAGCUUCGUCUCUAAACGAACAUUAAAUAAAUAUAAUUAAGAAUUUAUGAAAGUAGUGCCGUCCAAAUCCAAGAAGUUAGGCAUAAAAUAAAAGUAUUUAUUAUAUAUAUCAUAUUUUGGAACCAAUAUUUUUAAACUUUUUUUUUUACAAUAAAUGAUUACUAGCUAGCUAGGUUGGUUGGGUUGUCUUGCACUAAGAAAUUCAAAUGAUUCAUUCACAAAAUUCCACAACAUAAAAUAAUUACACUUUUACAAGCAAUUAUUUAUCCAUUUGAACUCAAAAAAUCUUUGACCCUAUCCUAACUAUGAAGAAUUGAAUCGCGUGUUUUCUCUGUUUAUUUUUACUUAUCGUGUUUACGAAAUUGAACUGAAUUUAGAUAAUUUCAUAUAUUCUAAAUAUUGAAUUUGUAAGUGUUUUUUUAAAAAUUAUACGAAAGAUACUAUAAAUUAUCAUCUUUCAUACGUCUCGUCUAUACAGCAUGACAAGUUAUAUAACAAUUUAACAUCGAACCUCAUUUUAUCCUUUGAUGAAGCUAAGUGAUAAUCACACAAAUAUUUAUGAUAUUACUUAAAUCAUAUUAUUUAAAUGCUAAUCUAAAGUUCAUACACCUCUUCCUAUAAUUAUUCUUAAUGGAUAUAAUAUUUAAAGUUGUGAUCUUUUUGUACCCUUUUUGUUGUGUUUUUAGGUUCUUUGCAUUAUUUGUGAUCUAUCCUAACAUUAUUAUAAUAUAUUUUGGUGAAUUAUUAGUGAUUCAAAGGGAUUGUCAAAUAUGAAGUUUGACCUGGUCAACGGUCAACUACCUAGUCAACCAUCAAAAUUUUAUCCAAUUGCCCCCUCACCCCAACCCCACACACCAAAAAAUAAAAAUCUUUCCAAAAAUAAAGUGGUUGAUAAAGACGUUUUAUUUUUAAAGUGAGACUUUUCAACAUACAAUUUAUCAGACGCAAUAAAAAGAUUACUAUCAUCGCACAUUUAUCGAGUUAACUACGUUAAUCAAAAUUAUACAUAUCAAGUAAUUUUGUAUUACUGUCGUCGUGCAUACAUCGAAUAACUCCAACCAUUAUAUAUAAAUUUUAUCAAACGCAAAUAAAGAUCACUAUCAUUGUACUAUCAUUGCACAUUUAUCGAGCAACUAUAUUAAUCAAAAUUACACAUAUCAAGUAAUUUCAUAUUAUUAUCGUUAUACAUACAUCGAAUAACUCUAACCACUAUAUUUAACAAACUCUUAAACAUAUACCAUAUAUAUAUAUAUAUCAAAUAACUCUAACCAUCAUAUAUUAAAUAUAAUUAUGCCUAUCAACUAAGUGACCUAUACCACACAUACAUCAGAUAACUCUAACCACGCAUAACUCAACCAUCGACAUUCAAACUAAACAUAUAUAUCGAAUAUAACUAUGCCCAUAUAUACCAUACAUAUAUCGAAUAAUCUUAACAUAUAUAUCAAAUAUAACUAUGCCCAUAUAUGCCAUACAUAAAUGGAAUAACUCUUAACAUAUAUAUCGAAUCAACUAAGUAUAAGAUAUCACUCAACCAUUGGCAUUCAAACUAUACACAUAUGCCAUACAUAUAUCGAAUAACUCUUAACAUAUACAUCAAAUAGAAUAACUCUUAACAUAUACAUCAAAUAUAACUACGCCCAUCAACUAAGUAACCUAUACCACACAUAGGUCGAAUAACUCUAACCAUCAUAUAUCAUUAUUAACCAGCAUUCAGAGCUAGCUAUCAUUACAAGUAUAUCGAAUAACUCAUUAUUAACCAGCAUUCAAACAGAGCUAGCUAUCAUUAGAAGUAUAUCGAAUAACUCUGUCCAUCAUAUAUCAAAUAACUCUUCAACUUCACGCAUGAACAUGCGAAUCAAAUAACCGCAUCAAAUAACUUUAUCUAUCAUGACCAUAACACGUAUACUAGGUGAAUUAUGUCCAAUAAAAAUUACCAUUACAAGUAUACCGAAUCACUCGUAUCUAUCUAGAAAAAAAAUUAAAUAAUUGGUUUUUUUGUAAAGCAAAACCCCAACUACGUAGAAUUUUUAACCCCCCUCCAGAAUAGGGUCAAAUAUUUCGUUUUGCAAAGGUUACAAAAUUACUUCAAAUUAGAGAAACCAAAAACUAACAGCACACCAUAGUGUUCCAACAUUAAAAAGCAAUAGAACAACAUUUGAACAUAGUCAAGACAACAUAUCUACUUGAAACAACACUAAACCCUAGCUCCGGUGUAACCGGUCCCCUUCUCCGGGAUCCCGGACCCGGGAACUCCACCGUGCGGUGGAACUCCACCGUGCGGUGCACCAACGCCAUAUUCGUUGUCCCUAUAGCCCGGACCGUAGGUGCUAUUGAACAAUCCAGAAUGAAGCAUAAGAACGUAGAGUAGUUCAGUAAUUCCAAGAACUAUUAUGAAACCUUCAAGAACUCUCAGCCUCCAUCCUCUCCAUCCUCCUAUGUUUAUCUCCUUACAUGCCAACCUAACAAAAAGAAUAUAUCCGUAUUAUAUUUUCAUGAGCUAAUUUUACUCGUCAAACAACACAAUGCCAUGUGUACACUAGGUUAAUUACCCGAAAGCAAGUGCAGUAACAGCCCACGCGACUAAAGCAGAUGAACCCGCAGCAGCAAGACUAUCAUUUCUCCAUGCCCUUAGGUGAUUCGCGCCUAAUAGCUUCGAUAUUAUGCCCAACACUGAUGCUAAUAUCGCGAAUGUUAGGAAGAACAUCGUCGCUCCAUUUCCUCCAAAACCUAAAAAUAAACGUUACAGAAUUUCAAGUAAAAUAAACAUGUUAUAAGGUCACAUUACAUUUUUGAUCUAGACAUAAAGUCGCGGAGCUAGAUAGGGCCCAGGGGUAAACAAACCCAAUUACUUUUUCUUAAAAUACAUAAAAGUUGAAUAUAUAUAUAUAUAUAUAUAUAUAUAUAUAUAUAUAUAUAUAUAUAUAUAUAUUAACUUGUGAGCUCCUAACAAAACUGAUUAACAAAACUGAUUAGUGACUUAGUGGCUUAGGACCAUUGAACCCUAAAUCCCUAAAAGAACCGUUCAUGAUCUUGAUUUCGCCUUGAUAAACAUAUCCUAAAGUGUGAUUAGGACAAAAAGAUUGAUCAAAUCUACACUAAAUUUAUAAAUGUGUAAUUAAAUGUAUAAUUUUACGAGAUUAAGAGUCAAAUAGGGAUAGCUUAAUUAUGUUGAUUAUAUUGUCCUAUUGUAUAACGUUACUUAUUCAUUCAAUUGAUAAAAGAUCAUAAAAAUUAUCAAUCAAUAUACAAGUUACAGCCUCUACACACGUACUACCAGAAAAAUAUGAAUUACAUGAAAAUUUUUAUCUACAAAAUAUAAUUUUCCUACAAAUUAUAAUACUAAUCUCCAAAAAAUUCACAUGUAAUUCACAUUUUUAAUAACAAAAUUUAGCAAACAAACAGAUCUUUGUAACAAAUCGCAAUAACACUCGAAUUAUGACAAAUUUCAUGUGUCGCGAACCUUAUAUUAGCUACAAAAAUUCACAAGCAACGACAUAAAUUAACGAUAAAUUUCAAAUUUCACAUUUCAUGCGUCUCGACAAAUCUAUGUUAUCUUAUAUUAGCUACAUAAGAUAAAUUCGCAAGCAACGACACAAAUUAACAACAAAUUUCAAAUUUCACAUGUCGCUAUAAACAUGUUAAACUACAAAAAAAUUAACGAUAAAAUUCAUUGAAAAUAAGACUUACUAGGAUGAUUAGUUUGUCCAUUGAUAAACCUGUUAAGACACCAACUAGCAAAACCUAAAACAAUAAGAUACAUUAAUAAGUUCAAAAACAACAAUGGUCCUGCUAAACUUCUUCCCACAGCCCUUGCCAUUUCUUUUAUCUUUUAAUAAUAUUAAUAAUUAAAACUUUGAUCUAAUUUUUUUUUUCCACUUCUUUGUUUAUCGAUUUUCCAAGUUAUGAGAGGAAAAAAAAUUAAAACUAUAUAUAAUGAAAAACAUAUUAAAAUACGUGUCAAAAUUAUUGCUUAGUUUGAUUGAAUAGUUAACAAGUGGAGGGACACUUGUCAAUUUCUGUAUAUAUUUAUUGGAUUUGCACUUUAUAUAAUGUUUAUCCAUAUACGAUAAUAUUUCUUAUUUGACGUUUUUUUUUUGUAUUUUUUUGGGUGUCAUUUGCUAAUGUUGAGGAAACAUAUAGAAGUGUAUCGACAUUUUUAAUUUUGAUAUCGUCAUUUAAUAUUUGUGUUUGUCUGUUUUAAUUGAUUACUAAUUAUUUAUUUUUGUAUGUGUGUGCAUUGUUGAAUAACUUGAGUGUCAAGUUUUAUAUGACUUCGAUGAAAUGUUUAAAAUUUCGGACAUUUUGUUUGAAGUUUUAUGUCGUAAAAAUCUUAUUUUAAACGAUAAAUUUGUAGUGUGAAUAUUGAAAAAUAUAUAAGUAUGUAAAAUAAUGAUAAUAUCUUUAUUUUGAAAAUAAUGGAUAGAAGAAGGGAAAUUAUAUAAGAAAUUAUAAAAAUCAAGCAUCGAAAUAAAAGAUUUAUAUAUCUAAUCAACUGAGCUACUAAAUUUUCCGUUAAAAGGGUAAUGUCAAAAUAAGUUUCUUAUGAAAUUUUUACUCAAAUUUACUUCAACAUGGUUUGAUUCGAAGCUUUGGCUAAUGGGUCGGACUUAACUAAGCCCAAAUGCGUUGGGCCAAGAAUCCAACUUCAUUUUGGUCCGAUUUUUAAUUUUUGUUCUUUAAAUUUGUUUUUUUUUUCCUAAUGCACAUUUAAUAAAAGUUUUGGAUCAAAGUAUUCAAAUUUUCCAUGUACAAGUAAUUUCAUAAGGCAAGAAUAUUUAGUUUGCCUUCUUUUGAAAACUUUUAUCGUGAGACAUAGAGCUGUCAAAAAAGAUUGGUCUAAGUUUCGCGGGUCAAUGUAUUUGAAAGGAUAGGUUGGGUCGAUCCUUCAUUUGGUAGGGCUUAAAAAUGCUUAACCCAGCCCAACCCUAAAAGAGUCGAGGGUGAGCACGGGCUAGCCUUUUUUUUUCUUUUCAAACUUAAAAUUUUAUAACAUCAAAAAAACGAGAAGAUUUUCAAAUUAAACAUGGCAAACAAUGGUGUUGUUUCAACAACACUAGCAAAAAAUCUAGUAUCGUUAGCAUGUAUCUCGUAUACCAGAUACGCGAACGAGAUAAGAGAGUGUGACAAAUAUAAUAUAUAUGUAGGACAUACCAAAAUUUUGUAAGUACAAUAUUUCUUUUCUUUUAAACUGAACUUAUGCCUUGCGAAUUUUACUCCAAUAUUAAGGACAUUUUGAAUUAUUUUUGUUAUUUAAGACUUUUUUUAAAAUUAAAAAAAAAAGAUAAAAAUUAAAAGGACAAAUUACAGAAAUACACACUUUUUGUUUCACUUAUUUCCAUUAUCCCUUAUUACUUUUAAAAAUCUCCAAAAAUCUCUUCUUUAUUUUUAAUGUAUAUGAGCUGCAUAUUAAUGAAAUCGAGCGAGUAUUUAAUGUAUUUGAGGUACAUGUUAAUGUAUCUGAGCCAAUAUUUAAUAUAUUUGAGCUACAUAUUAUGCUACCCGAGCUAGUUUUCAAUGUAUUUCAGCUAUAUAUUAAUAUAUUCGAGACAAUAUUUAAUGUAUCCGAACUUCAAUUAUUGUAUUCAAAUUUUUUAAUUCUUAAGCUUUAAUGUAAUUAGAAAUUUAUUAGGGAUGAAUUGUUAUUUUAUAUUAAAAGUAUGAGAUUUAUGUAAUUUACACAAAAUAAGAACAAUUUGCGUAAAUAUUCAAGUUCAAUUACAUAAAUCUACUUCGUUUUGCAUUGGACCAUUAAGUUAGGAUCUCAUAAAUUAUAUUUACAAGAAUAUAUUCUAGGCCCAUUUUGAAUUUCUUAUUAUUCCAAAUUUAUCUCAUGUCUAAAUUUAUCAAUUACAUUUUUUUUGUUGGUGGGUGCCCCUAUUAAUCAAAGUUGAUAGCAAAUAAGUGAGUCCCACAAUGAUGGUGUGGAUGGUGACUCGGGCCGUUUGGUCAUAAUUUCAAAUCAUGAUAUGAAAUUAUUGAUUAGAUUUCAUAAUUUGCUUACUAUCAAAAUUUCACGAUUUUUUAAGUCGUAUCAAGUCAGUAAAAAUAUAGCUCAUAAAUAAAGGAUCAGAAUAUCUUAAGAUAUCGUAUUGAUAAAUUAUAUAUUUUAUGUUCCUUUUAUAAGUGAAUUAUUUGUGAUUAUAUUUAUUAUAAAUAUUAAAUUAUACAUGAUUUUACAAAGAUCCAUCGAUUCAAUAAAUUAAUAAUAAUAAUAUAUCUAGAUCACAUGAUUACGAGAAUUUCUUCAAAUUGAACAUGAUAUCUGGUUGCAAAUUUAAAAUUAUGAGUCUCUUUUUUUUAUAAAUGUAGAUUUAUAUAGUCAUGUUUUAAAUUAUAAGAAAAUUGAAAUCACAAAUUUAAAAUUAUGAGUCUCUUUUUUACAAAAUAUAGACUUAUAGUCAUGUUACAAGAAAACUGAAAUCACAAAUUUAAAAUUAUGAGUUCUUUUUUUUACGAAAUAUAAACGUAUAACCAUAUUUUAAAUUAUAAUAAAGUUGAAAUCACAAACUUAGAUUGAACUCUGGCCCUUUAAUAGGAUUUGAGAUUUAAAAUGAUAAGUUUCAAAUAGAAUUGUCAUAAUAAACAAUUGAAGUCAAAUUAUUAAAAGAAUACAAGUAUAUAUCAUUCAAACACAUUAAAGUAUUAUGAAUAAUUAUAUCAAUAAAGUCAUUAAAUCAUAUAGAACUCUUUCGGUAAAAAAUUAUAUCACAAAAAUUUAAAAAAAUAUUUAUUUUUUAGGUACAUAAUGAAUAUAACACAAAGUCAAAAUAGAUUUAACGCUGAAAAUAUAGUUUCAAAUUGUUAUGAAUACAAAAAUAAAUAACUACAACUCUUUUUUUGGAGAAAAAAAACUAUAAUUUUCUCUUAGAUGAGUAAAACUAAGACUUUUAAUUAAUUAAUUCUAUAGUGUGGUUGAAUGAUUCAAGAAAAAUUAAAAUCUUGCCACUGAAAAAGUCAAAAGUGCCAACAAAUAAAAACAAUUUUUUUUUCAGAAUUUAGCGCCAAAAUCUGUUAAUGAAAUUCAAUUGGAUGGCAACUGAAAAAUAAUAUCCAAUAAUUUUUAAGCAAUAAUUUUUUCCUACCAAAAAAAAAACCAAAUAAAUAAAAUUUUCUGGCAUUUUUAACAUUAUUAUUAUAUUUAUACGCAUGAAAAGUCGUAAAUGCUACGAUUACUAUUAGUGCAAAAACUUCUUACCAUCAAAACCAACACAAAAUACAUUAGAAAAAUAAAAAGUCGAUUUUGUAAUAUUUUACAAAAUUUAUUAAAUAUAUAAUGAUAUUUUUAUGAGAGAAUGGUAAAAUUUGAAGAUUGAGUUACUUAUUUUACUUGAUAUUAUAAUUGAUCGUAAAAAAUCAUUUCCUUAUUUAACACGCAAUUUGAUGCGUGUAAUUGUUAUCAUGACUUUGUCAUUUUUUUUGGUACUUGUGCAUAGUGGAAGACAACAAAUUGAGUUGUGGGUCCCAUAUGAUGGGAUGUUUUAGCUAAUCAAUGAUAAUUUAUCGUCUUUUCAUCUGUUUCAUUUUAUAUGAUAUUAUUUUAUUUAAAUGAAAUAUAUUUCUAAUGUAUAUUUUUACCUAAUCAACAAUAGUUUGUUGUCUUUUCAUCCGUUAAAUUUUAAAUAUAUUAUUUUAUUUAAAAUUAAUAUGUUUUUAGUUACGUACAUUCUGAAAUAUUUGUGAUUUUAUAUUAUAAUAUAUAUAUAUAUAUAUAUAAUAUUUAGUGUAAUAACUAAUGAUAUAAACUUUGAAAAAACGAUUAAAAUAAUCUCUAUAGUGUUAAGGAAUUUGUAAUUAAGCUAGGUGUUAAAUUUAUAUUAUUAUUUUUUUAAAAAAUAGUUUAAUCAUAACUUGGAAAAUCACAUAAAACAUAUUGUUAAUCGAUCCACGACUCUACAAUUUACACAAAAUCUAUCUUAGGGGGAAAAGAUAAUUUUUUGUCAAAAUUCACCUUCAAAUCUAGUGUAACUCUUGCUAUUUGAUUUUGAGCUCGUUUAUAUUGAAUAUUGACUUUGGUCAAACUUUACAGAAUUCAAAAUUAUAGAUUUCUCCGGAAUUUAUUUUAUCACCUCAAGAAUCGUGUCAAUCAUCCCCACAAAUAUAAAAUGACAUAUAAAAGUUGUUGAAAGAAAAAAAAAAUCAAGAUAUGCUGAGUGAGAACACAAAAAGAUAGUACAAAUCGUCACAAAAUAAAAUUUUGAAUUCAAAUCAAUUUGAUCUCAUAUCAUGUCCAAACAAACAUUGUAUUUAUUAUUCUCUUAGGACAAGAAUGACUUAUAAGAUAAUCUAAAAUACUUGAUUUUAAAAAUAAGAUGUUAAGUUUUUCUACAAUAAAAAUAAAAAUUUGAUUAUAUAUAUAUAUAUAUAUAUAUAUAUAUAUAUAUAUAUAUAUAUAUAUAUAUAUAUAUAUAUAUGUUUCACAUUGCUAAUCAAAUUAUCAUAAACAAAUUUAAAUAGAGCAAAUACCCAAAUAUUGCACUCCAAUAUCCAAGGAUUUAUAAACUCUAAUAAAACCCCAUUGAAAUCUAAUCGAAGUACUCAAUUAAUUUACUAAAAUGACUUCGAAAGUGAGAAUCUAGAACUUUUAAUAUCAUUUAUUUAAUGGAUAAAAAUCUUUGGUUUUAAAAGUUCAAGAUCAUAUCAUGCAUUCGAGGGUGUGACAUAAUAAUUAAUAAAGUGGAAUGAAAAUUACGAGAUAUCGAAAGUAAACCUCAACAAAGAUAGUAUUUUAUACAUGAUUUUCCUCCUAUUUAUUUUAACUUAGCGUUAUUUUAUACAUGUUACUUAUUUGAAUAUGAUAAUCACGUGAAUUCAAAGUAUCUUCACCCUUAUUUUUUUCAAAAAAAAAAAGAAAUAUUCUUUUUGUUCCAAUUAAUACGAUACAUUUCAUUUUUCAAAAGUCAAACAAUUUAAAUUUGAUUGAGAAUUUGUGAAUGAAUUUUUCAUUUUUUAAAAAAAUAAAAUUUAAAUUUGAUUGAGAAUUUGUGAAUGAAUUUUUUCAAUUUUUCAAAAAUAAAAUUUAAAUAUUUAUAAACUACGUAAAAUGUAUUAUAAGUCACAAUAAAUAACAACUCAAAAUAUUUUAAAAAUACAUAAAAAUUUACAAUCAAAGCUAAAUUUAUUCGAUUUUCGAAAUUCUAAAUUUAAAAUGUACAACAUAAAUUAAAAUGGAGAGUAAUAACUUAAAAUUUCCGACUUUUAGAGCUUAUGGUCCGCAGACACGUCAUUAUAUAGGAAAAGUCGAAAUUGCCACUUGUCACAAAAUGUUUUUCCAUAAUAGCCACUAGCCAAAACAUUAUUUCCAAAUUAGAUUUUGUAAUUUUUUUAAAAAAACUAUUGUAAUCUCAUUUUGUAAAGUUAAAAAGGAUUGAUCUAACUUAUAAUAUAUAAUUAACCGUUUUAUACAUAUAUUGAUUUGAUAUAAAUAUAAAAAAUAUAUGUAACUUACAUAUUUCUUUUGAAUGACAAAUUUUGAUGUAAACACGGAAAAUACGUGUAACUUGUAUAUUUCUUUUGACUUAUAAAUUCUCUGGCAUAUUUAAAAAGUAUCUUGUAAUAUAUAAAUAAAACGUUUUAUGUAUUUAUUAAUUUGAUGCAUGUAAAUACAAAAGAUACGUGUAACUUACAUAUUACUUUUGACUAACGAAUUCCAUGGCGUGUUUUAAAAAUGUCUUGUAAUGUAUAAAUAAAACGUUUUACACAUUUAUUAAUUUGAUGUAAAGACUAAAGAUACAUGUAAUUUACAUAUAUAUUUCUUUUGAUCGAUAAAUUUCUUGGCAUAUUUCAGAAUUACUUUUCUAUAUAUUUAUUAAUUCGAUAUAAACACAAAAGAUACGUGUAACUUACAUACAUUUCUUUUUAUUGACAAAUUCAUUGACAUGUUUCAGAGUUAUCUUGUAAUAUAUAAAAUAAAAUGUUUCACAUAUCUAUUGAUUUGAUGUAAACAUCAAAAAUACGUGUAACUUGCAUAUGUCUUUUAAUCGAUAAAUUCUUUGACCUAUUCAAAAUGUAUUUUAUAAUAUAUAAAUAAAAUAUUUUAUAAAUCUAUUGAUUUGAUGUAAAUACGAAAGAUAAUUACAUAUUUCUUUUGACCAACAAAUUCCUUGGGAUAUGUGCAUUGUGGAGGACAACAAGUUGAGGUAGUAGGUCCCAUAUAAUGGUACCUUCUACCUAAACAACAAAUUAGAGUUUUUUUUUCUAGAUAAUUCCAUUUGUUUUAUUUUAUAUGAUAUUUAUAUUAUUUAAAGUUAUUGACAUUAUUAUUUUUCUUAUAGCCAUUUAAUUUCUUUUAAUUAUAACAAUUUUUGUUAUAAAAUAUAUAUUAUUUUAUGCAACUUUUGUCCAAAAGGGAAAUACUUUAUACAUGCAUAUUAUUUACAUCAAAUAACUUAAAUAUAUAAUUAUUAGUAGCAAAUUGAAAUGAAACUAUAUACUAAAUAAUAAAUGGAUAUAAAUGUAACGUUUCAUAUAUUUAUUGAUUUGAUUUUAAAGUCGAUAAAAGUAAGCAUAACUUCUUACUUUUAUGACUUUGACAAAUGCAUAGGAAUGUGUGCAUUGUGGGUCCCAUAUGACAGUGUCUUUUACCUAAUGCAUACGAUUCCCUUUUUAAGGUCUAUCUGUUUCAUUUUAUAUGAUAUUAAUAUCAAUUUAUAAAUAAAAAUAUAAUAGAUAAAAUCAUGAAGACAAAUUUAUUUAUAAAAUUAUAUUAAAUAUAUUGUGCGGAGUUAAACUAAAUUGACUACAAUGAAAUCAAUUCAUGUAAUUCAAUCAAUUAUAUAGUCAUUUUAUGUACUUUUUAAAGUGAUCUUAAUUUAUUUCGGAGUUACUUAUAAUGUACUUAUUUGUAAAAUCAAGCAAAGACAUUAUAUGAUUAUUUUUAAAAUUCCACAUAUGGUUUGUUUAAUAUUUUUUUCUCCUAUAUUAAUUGGUCAUUUUUCUUUUUAUGCGUAUAUUAUGUAUACUAAAAAAUCAUAAAUAACAAAAUAAUUUUAUUAAUUCAUCUUUUAAUUUUUCAAAAAGAAUUAAUUGCAAUGGUAACAUAAGAAAAAUUUAGUUAAUACUUUCUUAAUUUAGUAAACUGUACAAUUAAUACGUCUUUUUAAGAUAAUCAAUUAAUAUGAAACUAUAUAUAUAUAUAUAUGAAAAAUUUCUCUAUUUAAACCACAAAAGCUUCUAAAACAAUAACCCUUGUCUUUUUUUGAAAAAAAAUAAAAAUGAAGAUUUGUAAUUCUGACCAAGUACAAAUAUUAAAUGUAACAAAAAGUACAUCAAGAUCUACUAAAGAAUAAUCCUUAUAUUCUUAUUAUAUUUUAUAAAAAAAUAAAUAAAAUCCAAGUGAUGAAAAGUAGAAAUCUUUCAUGUACUUACACACACUAAAUUUCCAUUACAUGAGAAUUAAAUUUUAAAAUCAUAAAUACAUUUUAAGGGCUUAAACAUUUAAUAUUAUUUUCUAUUAAGUUUUUAUAUAUCAUAGCAAAGUCAAACUAUGCAAAUGACUAUUAAUAUUACUUUCCUAGUUUCAAAAUGUAUUUUGACUAAACAUAAAAUUUAAGUUUUUUCAAUUGUAAUUUGAAUAAAUCAAUGAUAUUUAUAAUAAUUAUAAAUUAUUUUAUUGAUAAUUUAAUAUAUAAAUUUCAAAUUAGUUAUUUGAAAUAUAAAAAUAAUAUUCUUAUUUAGUUUUUCAGAGAUAAAUUAAAAAGGAAAGUGUAUCAUAUAAAUUGAUAUUAAUAGGUGCUAAUUUUUAAUAUUUAUAAUAUUACAUCUGUUUCAGUUUAUAUGAUUUGAUUCAAUGUAUCAAAUUAAUAUCCAAAUAUGAAAUCAAACAUAAAAUCUCUCAAAUAAAAUUUGCAUAUUAAGAGUCCACAUAAAAAAUACUCUAAAUUAAAAUAGUAAUUAAUUCAAAAUAUUUUUAAAAUAAAACUACAAUAUAUGUAUGUAAAUUAAAUAUUUGUUUAGCACAAAUAUCAAAAGAUUGUUUCACCAACAUUUCCCUAUCACCUACCCCAACAAAAAACAAUUAAAAAAUUUGAGGACAUUUUUGUCCAUAAAAUAAUUUUAUUUAUUCAUUUAUGACUUUAUUGACAAUAACAAUAAUAGUAAUAAUAUUAUAAUGAUACAUAUAUAGAGUUUUGAGAAGGUAAAAUAUAUAUCGAUUUUAUCUUUAUUUAUAGAUAGAUUUUUUAUUUAAAAAUUCUUGAUUUCAUAAUAACAUAUUUAAUAUUAUUUAAUAAAUAAAAUUUUAAAAAUAUAUAAAAUAUCAAAUUUUAUGUGUAUCUCGUAAAUAUGGAGAAAUUAUAAUAAGAAAUAACAUAUUUAAUAAAAUUUUAUAAAUAAAAUUUUAAAAAUAUAUAAAAUAUCAAACUUUACGUGUAUUUCGUGAAGGUAUAGAGAUUGUUCUCGAUAAGCCUAAACUUUUAUGACCAAAAAAAGGAAAGUAAAAUUCAUUAUCUUAAUUCUUCUUCUUCACCUCUUCACUCUCAGUCCCUAUGAACAUACUUGCCAUUUCUGCAAAACCUCAAAGCUUUGUUCUUUGUUUGAUUUCCUAAAAACCCAAAACCCCAUUUUUGAUCUGUGAAAUCCUUGUUGUUUUGAGUUAUAGAGGAAAAAAAAUGGGUUCUCUAGUCCCAUUUCAAGACCUUAAUCUUCAACCUGAAUCGACUAAUUUUACAUCUUCUACAACCCCAAAUCCAAGAAUUAUCCCAAAGAUUGAACCAAAGCUUGAACCCCUUGAUGAGUAUACACAAGCUGAUCUUCAAACCCCAGCUUUUUUUUCCAACCCUAGUCCCAAUUUCAACACAAGUUCUGGUUCAGCUUUUAGGAGGAACCCACAAUUAGCUACUCAUGAGGCUGAUUCACAAUCACCAAGCUCGAUUAUACCGGAGGUUCCACCUGGGUGCGAUAGAAACAAUGUUUAUGUUUAUUCGGAGUAUAAUCGAAUUUCUGAGAUGUUUAAAGAAGCUUUUACUGAGAAAAUGCAGCGGUAUGGAGAUGUUGAGGUGGUUGGAAACCAGAAUCAGGAUUCUGUUGAUGUGGUUAUGGAAGACGCUGAUGCUCGAGCUAUAGUUCCGGUGAGUAAUAAUGAUACACAGGUUGCAGAAGUGGUGGUUGCUAGAAGGAAAUAUCAACAGAGAUCAUCGGAAUUGGUUAGAGUGACAGAUCUUAAGGUUGAAGAUCAGCUUUAUUUUCGAGAGGCUGUUAGGAAAACCCGAAUGCUGUAUGAUUCCUUGCGAAUUCUUGCUAUGGUGGAAGAUGAUGGAAGUCAGCAUUUGGGUCCGUAUAGAAAGCCAAGAGGUGAUUUGAAGGCUUGUCAAAUAUUGAGAGAACAUGGGUUGUGGAUGAAUCGUGAUAAACGGAUUGUCGGGCCGAUUCCUGGAGUGCUUAUCGGGGAUGUGUUCUUCUUUAGGAUGGAGCUUUUGGUUGUUGGAUUGCAUGGGCAGGCUCAAGCUGGAAUUGAUUAUGUACCUGCAAGUCAGAGUUCGAACCGGGAGCCAAUUGCUACAAGUGUGAUUGUUUCAGGUGGCUAUGAGGAUGACCAAGAUGGAGGAGAUGUGAUUAUAUAUACAGGUCAUGGUGGACAGGACAAGCAUUCGCGGCAAUGCGUGCAUCAGAAGCUUGAAUGUGGGAAUUUGGCAUUGGAGAGAAGUAUGCACUACGGAAUUGAGGUAAGGGUAAUUCGUGGCUUUAAAUAUGAAGGAAGUGGAAGUGCAAGUGGUAAGGUCUAUGUGUAUGAUGGAUUAUAUAGAAUUGUCGAAUGCUGGUUUGAUGUUGGAAAGUCUGGAUUUGGAGUGUAUAAAUACAAGCUUGUUAGGAUAGAGAAUCAGGAAGAGAUGGGAAGUGCUAUUCUUCGUUUUGCACAGAAUCUUAGGAUCAGACCUUUGGAGGCAAGGCCUACUGGUUAUGUUACUCUCGAUAUAUCAAGGAAAAAAGAAAAUGUGCCAGUGUUUCUUUUCAACGAUAUUGAUGAUAAUCAUGAUCCGGCUUAUUUUGAAUAUCUAGUAAAACCUAUUUAUCCUCCACAUGUUUCUCUGAAUGUGCACAGUGGUAAUGGCUGCCAGUGCAUUGAUGGGUGUGCUGAUAAUUGUUUUUGUGCUAUGAGAAAUGGUGGCCAAUUUGCCUAUGAUUAUAAUGGGAUAUUGUUGAGAGGCAAACCGUUAGUAUUCGAAUGUGGACCACAUUGUCGAUGUCCUCCAACUUGUCGGAAUAGAGUGACUCAGAAAGGUUUGAGGAACAGAUUUGAGGUGUUUCGGUCUAGAGAGACUGGUUGGGGAGUUAGGUCACUGGACUUGAUCCAAGCUGGGUCCUUUAUCUGUGAAUAUACUGGGGUCGUACUCACACGAGAGCAAGCCCAAAUUUUUACAAUGAAUGGUGACAGUUUAGUCUAUCCAAGUCGCUUUCCUGAUCGAUGGGCAGAAUGGGGAGAUUUGUCUCAAAUAUAUCCUAACUAUGAGCGCCCAGCAUACCCCUCCAUUCCUCCUCUGGAUUUUGCUAUGGAUGUGUCUCGAAUGAGGAAUGUAGCAUGUUAUAUUAGUCAUAGUUCAAGUCCCAAUGCUUUGGUGCAGCCUGUGCUUUAUGAUCACAACCAUGUAGCGUUCCCCCACAUGAUGCUCUUUGCAAUGGAGAAUAUUCCCCCUCUAAAGGAGAUCAGUAUUGAUUAUGGGGUAGCAGAUGAAUGGACAGGAAAGCUUGCCAUCUGUGAUUGACUAACUUAUAGUGGUUGAUUCAAUUUUGAAAAUGAUGCGGCAAAGCUGUUUCUCGUACAUUAUUUGCUGAGGUAAUUUAAACAUUCAAGACAAUAAUUCCUGUUAAACUCAAAAUUGUAAUGACUUUCAGCAUCAUGUUCUCUUGAGGGAUGACUGCUAAUUACCAGUCUACUGGUAUUAGUCGUCUUCUUACUCCAGCUACCUAUUACUUUUGUUCUGAAUCUCUUCGUAGACUAUUUGAGACCUAUUUCUUUAAAAUAUUGUGCCAGUCUUAAAUUUAUCUGGCUCUGGAGACUUCUGGACUUGCUAUUCUCCUUCUAUUGUGAAUUUUAACAAGCUGAUUGGAACUCCAGUUGCUUUGUUGAGUUUCUAUCAAUAUGCUUUAUCUCAGUUUGAAUGCAUCUUAACUGAUUUAUUGAAUGAAUUUGAACUUUUUUUCAUGCUCGUCUGCAUACAUGGUAUACUCCCAGACCCCACUUGUGGGACUACACUGGCUAUGUUGUUGUUUCAUACUAAUUGAUAAGAAUUUCCCUUUUGUCUCUUUGCUUGUCUUUUUAAUGGCUUAUAGCGUGAUUUUGUUUGUAUUUGGUUGUGCUUUUGCCUUGAUAGAUCCCUUCCUCUUUAGAUUUCAUCUCUAAAGAACUGUUUGCACAACUGCUGAGUAGUACUUCCUUGUCCCAUAAUCGUUGUACAACUUUUUUUGGCACCCAAAGAUGUGGCCGCUCAAUAAAGCGGGUAAAACUGUAGGAGAGCGAGGACAAAAACUUUAGAAGAUUUUUCCAUCCACCUUAGUCUUAGUGGGCAGAGCUACCCAAUACCUGUGUUGGUAUCCAGUGAAAUAGUUGAAGUUUGCAUGUUGACAUGUACACCGCCACUGUCACCGCCACACACUACUUUGACUAGCUAUUCUACAUGGAAAAGGGCAAAUGACAGAAAUGGAAUUGAGUGGGAGUUGGGAGUUUUCUUUUAGGAAGGGUACUUCGGUGAUUACCAAAAAAUUGGGGAUGAAGUAGUAAAAAUCUUGUCUAAUCUAGAAGUGCUUAUAAGCUGAAAAGUGCUAGUGCUUAUACAAUAAGUCAAUCCAACUUAUAAGUUUUACCAACACCCUAGAGUAUGAUAGAGGGUUAAAAGGGAAGUUUUGAUAAUAAUUAGUUGAGAAGACGUCGAGAAGCUUGACGAAAUUUUUAAUUUAUACAAAUAUCAACCUCGUUCAAGGGGAGGUUUAUUUUGGAAAUGAACCUUAAUGUGAAGUAUGUUAGAUAUGAACACAGUGGAGGCAGCUAUACUAAUGGAAAUGUCUUUUGGUUUUUAGGAAAAAAGAAUGUCUACUAUUCUGAAACGAAGGUAGUAAUGAUAUUAAGUUAAAUACUAACAGGAUCAACUGGAGGAAAAAUACUCUCCCUAAUGCCAUAGUUUAUUAGUUUCUUGGUGUCCAAGUGUCAAUUGCGACAUGAGCUAUGCUGUUGAGGUUUUGCAUGCUGUGAUUGCUAAUUUUUUCAUUUAAAGAAAUGCUCAAAGGAUGUCCGUUAUAACUUGAAGUACCUUGAACAGAUUGGACAAGUUACAAGGUGGGUUGUAAUGGCUUGAUUACAAGGGACUCAGCUUCCUUAAGUGGUCGAUUGUGGGCACAAGAAGAGAAAGAGGUUGGGGAAAAGAACUUGUCUCGGGACUUAUCAAUCUUUGUGAAAAAACAGUAUUGUAGGUAUCACCUUUACAAACUAUGUCAAGUUUAAAAGGUAAAUAAAUUCCUUACUAUUAGAGGAGAAUGGAUAUGGCUAUGUUGGGGAGCCAGAACGGAUAUGGCUAUGAGAAUGGAUAUUGUUUUUUGUAUUUUCCAAGUUUGGUUUUAUAUCAUAUAUCAAAUAAGUGUGUUUUCUCUUUAGAUGUUAAAUUUAACAUUUGAAAGAAGAACAUCAAUAUUCUAUAUGAACAAAAGAAUAGAAGACAUUUAGAUAAUAUUGCUGGAUACCUUGCCCGUAGAUAGAUGGGAUGCCAGAGGUGCACCGUUACAUGACCUCUUUGCUCCCAAUUUGGAGAUAAUAAUUUGCUCUUCCACUCUGUUGGGUUACAUCUAAGAGUUUGGCCAAGCCUUUUCCUAUUCCACUCUUCUCUCUUUCUGUCCAAAGAGGCGGAUGUAUAAUUUAGGUUCCCUCUUUGGUUAGAAAAAAGAUGGAAUAUGAUGCGUUCUUGAUGAUUAAUGAGCAUGCACAUGUAUAUGAUUUCACCAUUUUUUAUGUUUUAUUUCAUAUGAUCCUAUUGUUUAUUUGUUCCAUUUCAAAAAAGUUUUUACCCAAAAAGUAGACCAAACCUUCAAGUUAUAUUUUCUUAGUAGCUACUAGGGGUGUCAAAUGGGCUGGUUGGAUUGAAACGAGAGACAUUAAAAUGGGUUGAAUUAGAAAUUGGGUUGGGUCUUGAUUCGUCCAAGUUUACUUUUGGGCUCAAAUGAGCUUAAAAAUGGGUUGGGUCUUGAGCCGCCCAAUUUGACCUGCUUAAUCUCUAAUGGUUUGAAUAUAUUGUUAUUUAAGUUUUAUGACCACAAUUUGAAUUUCAACUCAAGAAAAUUUAAAAAAGAAGUUACAAAUGGAUAGAUAAAUCCUAAAAGAUAUAAAAUAUAGUUAUUCAUACCUUCAAUAUAGGAACAUACAUUACAUCAAUGCAAAUAAAUAGUCUUAAAAUGAGUUGAAAUUGGAGAUUAUAUUGGGCUCAAUUGAGGAUUCUCUUAAAAUGGGUUCAGGCUUGAAUGUGUUAAGAUUGAACCCAAUUCAAAUUGUCUUGAGCCCAACCUUAAAAUUUUAGGCGAGUUACCUAUUGUUGGGUUCAUUUUUGACACCCUUAGUAGCACCCCAAUGUUUUGGCCUAGUGGUCGUUGUAGUGGGAGAAGAGCCAUGAGUUCUUAGCUUAGUUGCGUGGACUCUUCACUUUGAUGCUGAACCCAUGUCGGACUUUCCAAAAACGCACUACUUUUGGCAAAUCCGACGUGCACCCGUUGAAAUUUUUGAAGAGUCCGAGCAACAUAGGUUCUUAGGUUGAAUCCUAGGGGAGGCAAAAAUCACUAGGUGACUAUUCGACAUUUAUGUUGGAGGUAGCAAGUACUCAAUGGAAUAGUCCCGACCCCCCCACCCAAAAAAAAUAAAAUCAUCAGAAUAAAGGGUUUUAUUUCUUUCUUGAAGUUUGCAUGUCUGCCAAAUCUGUAAUUUUCUGCAGCAGAAACAUGCUAGAUAACAUUAAUAAAUUUUUUGUUCUUUGUACUUGUUGAGUCUAAGUUAUUUUACAAAAUAAAAUGUGACCAAUAAAAAUAAGAUCUUCUUGUUCAAAAGAGAUAAUGUUACUAAUCUGACCGACACUGAACUUGGUAAAAUGAAAUUGUCGAGUGAUUGAAAAAUUAGAUUAUUCAUGAAAUACAUAUUGAAUGUUGAUAUUAUGCAUUAAUUUCUAAAUCUUCACUUUUGUACUCUAUCUAGUACCUUUUUGGUAGUGAUGUUGGUAAAAUUAUUAUUAUUUUAUUAUUCCCUCCAUUUCAAAAAGAAUGACCUCCUUUCCUUUUUAGUCUGUUUCAAAAAGAAUGACCUUUCUUUUUUUGGUAACAUUUUAAUUUCAGCUUUCUAGGCGGCAUGUUUAAGACCACAAGAUCAAAGGACAAUUUUGUAUAUUUGACCAAAAUUUAAUUUAGGACCAUAAGAUUCAAAAGCUUUCUUUAUAUUCUUAAACACCGUGCCAAGUCAAACCAAGUCAUUCUUUGUGAAAUGGAGGGAGUAAUUUUUUUUGUUGACUUGUUCAACCUGACAAACAUUAAUGAGUCACUAGUCCAACUGCCCCUCGAAAGAUAAGUGUUAAGAAGUCCCACAUUGGUAGAGGGAUGGGAAAUUGGUCUCCUUAUAUGGACUUGGAUGAACCUCCCUCAUAAGCUAACUUUUAAGGUUGAGUUAGGCCCAAGUACCAUAUCUUAACAUGGUAUUAGAGCUAGGCCCAUCCCAGUUUGUUGUUCACUUAUGUGGGACCCCCAUUUAUAAGUGUUCACGCUCCAGUAAAGGUUUGAGCGUGUGAGGGAGUGUUAAGAAGUCCCACAUCGGUAGAGAUGGAAAAUUGAUCUCCUUAUAUAGACUUGAACAAACCUCUCCUCGUUAGCUAACUCUUGAGGUUGAGUUAGGCCCGAGUACUAUAUCUUAACAAUAUCUUAACAAUAAGGUCGAUAAGUUCCAUGCAAUUGACACCGAAUCUAUAUUUAGAAACUUUUAUAUUGACACACAUUCUAUAUUUAGAGCCUGUUUAGAUUGACUUAAAAGUUGGUCAAACCUACUUUUAAGUCAUUUUUAGCGUUUGUAAGUGUUUGACAAGGUUAAAAAAAUUUAAAAUAAGUUGAAAACCUAAAGUAGGCCUUACCCUACUUUUAUUUUUUUGACUUAAAAGUCAUUUUUGUUUGAAUUUUUUAUUUUUGAUUUAGAAACUACUUUUUUUAAGCCAAUCUAAACCGGCUCUUACAAAAUUUUAUCAUGAUAUUCUAGCCUUUUUUGCUUAGCCAUGCUCUUAUAAGAAUUGACAUUACAUGUUGAUAAGUAGUAAGUUACUCUUCCAUUAGUUGAAAAUUUUAAAUUUAGGAAGUUCACAUAGACGAUAAAUUAUAGAUAUAUUAUAAUGUAUGCAGGAAUUGGAUAUAUUUGUUUAUAUGUUAGAAAUAGUAAUACUGCUCCCUGAGCUUCUGCUCCGUGGUAAGAUGAAAACAUGAUGUGUGGAUUAAGAGCGCGUCAAGAGUUCGAACUCUGCUGCAGUCAAAAGCCUGAUAUUCAAGUGGAGAAGAGUAGAGGGAAAUACCUAUUAUCCACUGAAAGUCUUGUAUGUGAGCUGGUCCUUUGGAAUCUCUCGGUUGUCAAAAAGAAGUGAUAGCUACUUCUGUCAAACGUAGAGGAUGCUUCUUGUCAUAGUAAUACACAGAAGGAUUCUCUUUUCUUUCUUGCUUCUUUUAUCUUCUAAUUGACCUUGAAUUGUCGUGUUUUCUGAUAAAUUGAACUUGCAUGCUGAUAAUUUUUGUCUUUUGCUUUUUCGACGCCCCUGAAGAAGUUUGCUUCUUCCUUCUUGUUGGGUGAAUUUCUACAAAGUCUCCAGGUGGUUCAUAUUUUUAAACUUAUUAGUUUUGUGCAUUUGACAAAAGCAACUUUAUGAUAUUCUGUAUGUGUACUAAAUGUGCUUCCAUGACCAACCAGUGUUGUUUAGAUUGUAUUAGCUGACUGUCUAGUGAGAUACAAAAUUGAAUUUCCCUACCCUUCAUUUGGUGCUGUUGAGCUAAAUUAUGGAGAAAGUCACCUUUGUUGCUCUUAGCAAUGUGUUCGAUAUUAGCCAGAGAUCACACUCCUUUCCUCUUUUUAAAAAAUUAUCACCUGUCCUUGAAUUCCGCUUCGACAUUACUGCUGGUAGUCAGAUGGAGAUCAUAGUUAUGGUUUUUUGUCAGUACUAGUUAUAGCAUACCUUUCAAAGUUUUUUCUGGUCAUACACCCUUUCAGUUCUACUUCAAGGAUUUUAUCCACAGCAAUUUAUUGUUUGCAUAAUCGUAAUUCAUAAUAUAUUGUUCAACCUCUGCCAUGAUUACUGGUUCUGGAAAUCAUUGUUUGUGCUGCAGAUACUUUGUUUUGUCAGGAAGUAACCUUCUAGGGAAUGGUUUUGAUUAUGAAGAUAUCAGCUUACAGUUGUCGCUCAAAGCAGCUUACUGCCUAACCUUGUGCUGUUUCUAAUUAUUUUUUUUUAUCUCAUGCAGAUGAAGGGCACUGUUCUUGACAUUCCCGUUAUCUUGGUGACAGUCCAGACCGCAUCACUAGAUUCCUAAAACAAGUUGCUCUGAUAGCUGUUUUCUGCACCAGCUUGUAGAUCCUAUGUUGUAGAUAGCAUGGUGUUCAAGACUAGCUACAAGAGUGAAGAAAGUGAUAUUGCUGCUUCUCACUAUAUAUCAGCGCUUUGGUAGGAACCUUUUUAACCUAUGUGUGCUAACCUGCCACUGAUGUUCUUGAUUGUAAGAACUUUCCUUGGUUGUAGUAAUAGCUUGUAUAUAUGAAGAUCAAACUUGCUUAUUCUGUACAGAAGAUUGUAUUGAUUUCGUGUUACCGGAUAGCUGUAGUUAAGUUAAAAUGCUUUUGCUAGAUAAAGAGGGAAGCACCUAGUAUGUGGUCCAAGUUAGGUAUGCUGGGAAUUUUGGAAGGAUCAAAGAGGCACAGCAAAUAUGUUACUACCAGAUUUUCCCUCUGGAUAUGGCAAUGCAAAUUUUAUUCAAAUUAUUGAAUUCUUUCUUAUGCUUAAACCUAUAUUUUUUUUUCUUCUCAUUGUGCUGUUUACCCUAUUGAAAUACAGGAAAUAAACUCAUUUUGCUUGAUUUAGCCAAGUUAUUUCAGAAACUUGAGCUGUGAUGCUGAGUGUCAAAUUUUAUACUUAAAUAGGAAAAACUCAGUUAUUUGGUUGUAUAUUUGCUCUUAUCACAAUUUCAGAAGUUGUCAUUUUAUUUUCAAAGUCAGUGCUUAUUCAAACAUCAUCACAUAAAUCAGAUUUUUGAGUUAAUUUGUGCAACUAUAUUUGGUGAUGUGGCACUGUUGAUUGGACAGUGACAUGGAAGCUAACUGGAAAAUGUUGCAUCAAUGCUGAUGUUUCAACUUACUAGACAAAUAUAAAAAUCUUGAUUUGAAAGAUCAUCAAUUGACAUAGAUGGUAACUUGAGAAUUAGCUUUGGAAUGUUGGUUUGAUGAGUAAUUAGAUAGAGACUACUGAAUUACAGCCCUGUUUUGCCAUUUUUAAGCUAAAAUUAAUUAUCAUUCAAAGAGUUUAAAUUUGAUGUUUUUGGUUAAAAAAGAAUACUGUGUGUUACUGAGCAGCAGAGCUAACUUGUGUCCUGUUGGUAAAGGCAAAGAUAUGAUAAGAACUGAGAAAGCAAUUGCUAGUACAUUUGACUUUGACACAUAGAAACUGAACAUGUUAUAUGGCAUAAAAUUGUCCAAGUGCUGCAGAAUUUGGAUACAUGAUGAUAGUCAUAUCUGUUAAUAGUAUACACAUAUACAACUGAUAUUACGAGUCGUAUCGAUCAAAUAGCCUCGUUUUUGAACCCUUGUCAAAGAUGUAGGACUGUCAGAUGGUGGUUCCAUUCUUUUCAAGUUCGCGUUGUCUGGCUCUUUCCAUCUUUCGCUUACGCCAUUCCUCCACAACUGUACACAAGUUUAUUAUUGAAGGGAAUGAGUUUAACGAACCAUCGUAAGACUUAUUAACAUCUAAUGGUUUCAAAAUGCAAGAAGAGAGUACUAGCAGUCAAUACCAGAACAGAGUCGCAACAGUUUUCAGCCAUGUAGCGCGACACAUACAAUUAAAGGAGCAGUAUCUCACAGGUAAAGUCCAUUAUGACAGCAGAAAACACUGGCAAGAAGCAGAUGAGUAAAUCUAUACUAAAGAUGCAUUGCUAGCUCAAAAUUCUAUUUGCCAUUCAAAAAGACGAGAACUUUUGAUGUCCAUUUCAUGUAGGCCAUGCUUAUUUCUCAUAACUAUUGGUUUUCAUUAGCAAGUAGGAUGACUCAUGCAUGAAAGGAGAAUACACAAGGUAGGAGAAACCCUGCAAAACCAUCUUGAGGUUGUCGUAUAUGCUCCAAAAGCACAUGUGAGAGAUGCACACAACAAAGUCCUCAUGGAUAUCCCUGAUUUAAGAUGCUUAUUGUGUGACUAGUUGAUACCCAUUAGUCCUGACUCCUGAGUCUUUAUGAAGAUCAACAGGAUCUAACACCAGCGAUAGAAUGCAGUUCUAGCACUUCAGACUUUUUACACUCGAUUGCAGUGCACUAUCUAUUAUCCAGGUUUAACACUGCUACAUCAAUGCUGCAUCUCAGACUAUGCAAGUAGUAAUAAACAGGAUUUCUGUACAUACAAUUCAUGCUGCACGAUAAGAAGGAUGACAUAUACUGUUUACACCUAAGAGAAGGAAAGGGAAACUACGGCAGGGCAAGAAAUGUCUUAACGUCUGAAAUUUAAACAGAGGAGGAUAAAUGUAAAUGGAUUAAUGUUGUGAUGGACAGUGGUUAACUAAGAACAGUGUUUUCUGUUGAAGAUCAUACAUGAUUUGUAUUGAUUUGAUUCGAUAGCUGUGAUUUAUCUUCAUUAGGAGAUGUAAAUUUGCCAAAAACAUCUAAAUUACCGAAGCAAUAAUCAGUGUACUUAGUAUAAAUGUCCAAACAAACUUGAGGGAAUAAUCAAACUCAACGAGUCUCUCAGUCUUUCACGUAAUUCUUCCUAGUGUCUUUUUAGAAUACUGGAUAAGACAAACUACUAAUUCCUAUAUCACAAUUCAGUCCUCUUCGAGCCUACUUGCAUCGCUCUCAUACUCGUACUAAAACCGAUGAUAUAAUUAUUCUAUAUUCUCUGGGUAUGAUCUACUUGUGGACACUGUCUUAGAUCUUAUAGAAGUAGAAUAUCAAACUUUGGUCCCACAAUACGUGCCAUCAUCUGAUUAAAAUUACUUCUCCAAGAGGUAAGGUGCAUUGAGUUAACACAAAUAAAGUUGAUGUGUUCCUACUGACAAUUAAGUUGUCCUUCAUAUAGCCUCAAUUCAUUGACCGAAUUCAGAGGAAAGCAAAUGAACUGUUGAUUCAAGGGAAUCAGAUGACCGAUAUAUUGAUAAUUGUGCUUUUUAGAAGAUGUACAAUUGACUGAAGCUUGCUAUGCCAGUUAGUUUAGCAAAAAGUUUCUUUUACUGAUUCCAAGAGCUGCAGAAGACAUUGUUGACGGACUCACCAUGUGGCUAAGCGUUAUAGAGGUCUUUUUGUAUCUAAAGAUAAGAUAUAAAGAAUGUCCAAGAGGGUUGUUGAUUAUUACCUUUAACGCUGCCUGAAUCAGUAUAAGAACGAUAAUUGUUCAGUCUAGAUAUGAGGUCUACUGCAGCAGUCUGCUUUGCAUCCUUCUGUUGGAGAGGAUCUGGUUCGACAUGCCCUUCUUUCUGAAUUUCCUUCACCUAUCACGACAGAAGAUAUUGUAUUCUCCAAAAGUCACAAAAAAUAGAAAACAAAACAUUACUAAUACUAUUGAUGCACAGGCACACAUCAUUCUAAUUAUUCAGCUAAAACCAAACAAUAGGAAAAAGGAGGUACCUACUCUUUUAAUUAGCUCCACAGGCAACAUAGCACGACGAAUCUCUGCUGCUUCCGUUAUAUACCUUUCAACUGCAAACCAAACAGUAAGAUGCCAUAUUAGCCAUUCUCUCACCAAAACUAGAUUAGGUGCUCCUGCAACAGCUUUUUUUUUUUUUUGGGUAACUAACAGUAUUAUAAAUCACCAAAGGGCAGUCAUUACAGAAUUAGCUAGCUAAAACAGCUUGCUAUGGUCUAGAAUUGUAACAAAUUUACUCACAGAAUCUGACAUACUGAUGAUUAAAACUUUAAACUAGAGACUAAAACUUGAAUGUCAAGGGUAGCUCGCACAUUGCAUAUGUACGCUAGAUCUUUAGCCAUUGUUUUCACUUAUUUGCUUCUUUUUUCAAAGAGUCGCUGAUUUCUAUCUAUGUACAAUUUUUAAAGAGCAAAACUGUCUGUGUAGAAGUCCACCUUUGUUUUUGAUACGCAGGAGGGAUACGGGAAGAUUCCUCUAACAGGACUUGUACCAUGCUAUUCUGGAUGAGAUUUGAUAAUUUUUGCCAUAAUGUUCAUUCACAAGGCAUUCUAUUAUUCAUGUUCCAGCCAGUAUACACUACCUUAACAGAUUCUGAAAGAAGUGGAUAUCUUUUGUUUCCGUCGAAUCACAAGCUGGUGCAAGGACAAGCUUUUAUGCAAUUUUGACUGAGGUUACCAAGUAAUCACCCAAUUUUACCUCUAAAUUGACAGAUAAUCACUUCAAAUAGGUACUUCCAAAGGGUUGCAGAAACUCAAAAAGGGUCAUAUGGCAACUUACAAGAAACCUUAUUUUGUGCUAUUUAAGCAAGAGAUCUCACUAAUUAGUUUAUACUAUAGGGAGUACAAAAGGAAGCCAGUAACUUUCUAAAUCCUAAUCUCAUAUACUCUCAAUUAUGCUUCCCCUUUCUGAAAUUCAAAGUUCAACACUCAAUUAGAUCAGAAAAUGCAGCAAUUCCAGAUCAAAGUAAUCAUUUUUUACAUUUCUUAAUCAAACAGCAAAAAACCUCUAAUCCUAUAUGCACUUUCUCAAAAUUUAUGUUUUCUAUUGCUACCCUAGCAAAAACCCAGAAAAAAUCAAACAGAAAGAAACACAAUUUACAGAUUAAGAACCCCAAGAACCUAAAAAUGAAGCAAAUUUAAAGGGAAAAAAAAGCAAGAAGAGAUGGAAACCUGAAGAUGGUGUGGUGGAAGAUGAAGAAGAAGAGAAGAAACUGUGAAGUAUAAAAAGGGCAGCAAUUAUAUUGACGAAAGUGACAAUAAUGGUGGCAUUCUUGAACGACCACCUUAAUCUCCACCGAUGUUGUACAUGUACCACCUCCAUUUUCAACCCUCAGCUGAAAAAAAGAAGAAGCAAGGUUCUUGAUUUGCUAAAUGGAAGUUUCUCAUAAAUUGGAAAUUACUUUAAUUUUGUUUUGAAAAGAAAGGAGAAAUAUAUCUCGAACAACCAUAAACGGUAUCCCAAUGUUAUACUUUUGAGAUGCCGAUGCUUUUAUCGUACAAAAACUAAAGUAAAUAUGUCAUUUAUAUUAACCGACUAUACACAUAUUAUAAUGAAUAUCGAAUUGAUAAAUAAAAUUAUCUCAUAUACGUAUCCGUUAGUAUAAAUAAUAUAAUAUGCUUUAGUUUUUGUACAUUAGGAGUACCAGUGUCUCAAAAGUAUGAUAUAGAAUAUCUCCAUAUUAUUUACGAUAGUUUGAAAUAUACUUAUUCAUUUUUCUUUUCAUUUUUAAGAGUCAAAUCAUAAUAACUUUAACUUACAUUAACAAUGUUUUUUUUAAAUGUAUUGAUAUAUAAAAAGUCUCAUUGUAGUAAAAUGAUCGAAAUCCUACCUUUAUGUUCUGUUAUUACCAUUAUCCCCUAUUAGUUUAACAAAUCUUCAAAAUUCCUUAUUUUCACGUAUCAGAUUAAUGUAUCGCGUACAUCAGAUUAGUGUAUAUAAAAUGUAUAUCAAAUGAGUGUAUCAUGUAUAAAAUAUAAUGUAUUUUACUUAACGAUUAGUGUAUUUCGCACAUCAUAUUAAUUUAUCAGCGCUUAUAUUAUUGUAUCAGUUUGAUAAAUUUUUGUAAUUAUAAACUUAUAAAGAAUAAAUGAUAAUUUUGCGUUAAAAAGUACGUGAUUUCUCCAUUUUGCUAAAAAAUUAAUAUAAGCGCUAAUAAUACAUUAAGUAUCUAAUUUUUUUUUUGUUUAAGUUAUUGAAUUAACGAAAAAAUAUUAGUUAAAUUGACUUUUUGGAGUAUUUGCACCACCCAAACAACCCUUCAGUCAAUUAUUUUUAGGAGUAUCGGCGGCAGAGAGCUUACCGGAGAAGAGAGAAGAAAUUAGGGUUCAGCAUGGCGUCACGAGGGAUUCUGUCGAGGGCAAGUAGGAUGAAGACGAAGCUACAAUCAGCACUUGAAGCUAACAUAAUUGAAGUCGAAGACGUUUCUUACCAGCACGCCGGUCAUGCCGCCGUCAGGGAAACCGGAACAAACGAGACACAUUUCAAUCUCAAAAUUGUGUCAAACAAGUUCGACGGACAGAAUCUUGUUAAACGUCACCGUAUGGUGUAUGAUCUCUUGACUGAUGAAUUCCAAUCUGGUUUACAUGCUCUAUCUAUAGUAGCUAAGACACCCAAAGAAGAUGGCAUGUAAUUGUUCAGUUUGAGUUGAUUUUAUUCAGCUGAAUAAUAUUUUGGUUUUAUUAUGUUGAAACUCAAAUUGAGAUAAGCUAUGAAAGUGUUGUGCUGAUCAUAAUUACUAUUGUUUUUAUUUGCUUUAGUUAUCGUAUUGAUUGUUGUUGCUACUUGUUCGUUAUUGUAUUUAUUUUUACAUGCUUGUGUUUUGCUAUGCUUUACUUGAGCUGAUUGUAUUCAUAAGAUAGUGGUAAGUCUGUGUACACAUUACUGUCCUUAGACAUAAUUUGUGGGAUUACGUAUUGUGUUGUUGUUAUUGUUCCUUUCUUGUUGCUUUCCUUAUUAGUUGUUAUGUUUUCGUCUUCUUUUUGACUUAUUUGCUGCGCUUGAAAGUUGAACCGAGGCUCCUUCAGAAACAACCUCUCAACCUUGACAAGGGGUAUAGAUAAGGUCUAAGUACACUCGACCUUCUCCAGACUCCAGUUGUGGAUUUCACUAGAUAAGGUUUGCGUAUACUCUACCUUUUCCGGAACUCAGUUGUGGGAUUUCACUGGAUAUGUUGUUGUUGUUGGAGGUAUGGGGGAUCAUGAGUUCUCUCCCAUCUAUUUGUUCUUAUUAACAACCCUGUUUGAUAAAAGCCUGUGAUUUCUCUUGUUAAUUGCUUUGCUUCUCUUGAUUUUUCAGUCAAGUAGAGACGUCUUGUUGUUUACCCAUAGCCAGAUUUCAAAGUUAGGAAAAAGGAUGAUGUGAUCGAAAAGAUUAUUGGCUAAUGGGGCUAUUCAAAAAGCUUUUUUUUUGUCUCAUGUGUUAAUACUAGUGCAGGAUGCUUUAAGACAGCUAUUUUGUUCUGCAAAACUAUGGCUAUCUACUUAAAAGAGUCCAAUCAUUUGAUUAUGCCGUCCUCACAGUUCCUUACCUCUUGUCUUGAGGGUCUGCUGCACAUUGAUUUUUAUGGUAAGUUUUUUUCUGAUCACUAUCAGUUUAAUUUAGUCUGUCAUUUUUACAAGGUUAUUGUCUAUUUGAUUAAUCUUUAUCUAGAGAUUUACAUUAUAAGUGACUUUAUCAUGUAAGUUUUUACAUCGUCAGUACAUAGAACUCAAGUCCUGUUUGUUUUCCAUAUUUCUAGUGUAACUCUUCUUUUACCAAUGUUGAGUCUUGCUUCUGUUUGUUUUCCAUAUUUCUAGUGUAACACUUCUUUUACUAAUGUUGAGUCUUGCUUGGUUAUUUUUGUCAUUUCUUUGACCUCUGAUGUUGUUCUUUUAUGCCAGGCCGGCUUUAAGAGAGAAUAUUUAGAUGGAGGUUUAGCCUUCUUAUAAGUUUGUCUCUUUAUAUACAUAGUAAGAUGUCAAAUGGACAUAUUUGUUGCUCUUGGAUUUUGUCUUUGUCAUUUCUGUUGAUUCAUUGAGGAUAGAACAAGAAAGGAUUUUCCCAAAAAACAAAUCCAAAGGCUUAUAAGUCAGUGUAAAGUGAAUAUGCUCUUCCAUCGUAAAAAAGUGUGAAGUGAAUAUGCUCUUCAUAGAAAAAAGUGUGAAGUGAAUAUGCUGACUUAAAAGUCUACUUCUACAUAUUUUCUGUGACCCUAGUGUGGCUGAUCAUCGCCUUUGUAAGUUAUUGCCUCACCAAUAGUUAAUCAGACACAAGACCUUCCUCGGGCAGAUUCCUCCUUUUGCUCCUCUGUCCACAGGUCUUAGCAGCCGUUUCCAGCUGUCGUUCCCCUCUCAAGAGAGGUUCUUACGCGUUAUCAACCAUCCACCAUUGGAAAUAGCACUUUCUCUACGACUUGAAUGUGCUAAGCAUGGUGUCAGAGAUCAUCCGGAGCCAGGAGAGGACUAUUCUUCUAGUUGUAGUCAUGCCAGAAAUAAGAAGAAAGCCAACCAAUGUAGUGAUCAUGUUGAAGGAAGACAAGGUUCUCUUAGACAAGGUUUGAAUGAGUCAAGUUUUCAAUUGUCACUUGGCACUUCUGUAUCUCUUGUUCUAUCUGCUCCGACCAUCAAGAAAAUAGCCAAACAAAGAUUACUCAAUCAUAUUUCACAGAAAUCUGAUCCUUAUUCCAUCAUUAUCAAUCCCCUUGCUGUCUCCUGAACUGCUGCAGGAUCUGGACCUAGCUGAACUACUUCAAGCUUCCCCUCCACUGGUUGCAACUCGAACAUUUGAUCGUGCUAGAAAGCUGCUAAGCUUGUGUAACCAGUCUGCUUCUGCUACUGGUACGCCGGUUCAGAAAAUAGUGUAUUAUUUCGCUGACGCUCUUCAACACAGAAUUGAUAAGAGAGAUGAGGAAAAUGCUAUUUACUGGAGAGGAAGAUAUUGAAGCAUAUUUUCUAUUCGUUUAUGCAAGUUGUUGCUGAUCUUAGAUAAAUGCGCAUACUCGUCUAAUAUAUCUUAUGUUUGGACCUAAUAACUUAAAAAUGUAGCCCGUUAUUUUAGUUACCAAACUAAAUUUGGUUUAUCAAAUGGCUAAUCAUUUGAAAUUCAAUAAAAAAGUUAUUUAAAUACAUUGAUGGUUCAUCUGUUAUAAAUCAUAUAGUAUUUUUUUUGAAUAGCUUACAAUACUGAUUUUGAUAGUAAUUCAUUUAUUUCACAGGACUCACCUGCAAAGCGCGUUUACUCUUACUAAAAGUGGGAUGCUUCAAAGAUAGAUAGAAAGUAGGAUUAUCAUUUUAAGCAUAGAUUAAAUCAAACAUCUAAUUAAUUAAAUAACAUUAUUUUAAUUAUUUUUUAGUGAAUCAGGAAUUGAAGUUUCGUAAAUGGUAUGCAGCUACCCUCCGUCAUACUUUUGGGAGAUUGGUGCCCUUGUCGUCCAAAAACAACAAAACGGGGAACACAAAAACAAACGUGGUCGGCAGGAUUCGAACCUGCGCGGGCAAAGCCCACAUGAUUUCUAGUCAUGCCCGAUAACCACUCCGGCACGACCACUUGAUGUUCGUAUUUCUCGCAGUAAAAAUUUAUUACUAGAACAAAAAAUGAAUGUGAUUUUUGAUUUUCCCUUUAUCUUCAUCAAUUCUCAUUCUAGUGUUCGAAUUUCUUCAGUAUUUCAAUUUUUCUAUGCUCAUACUCCAUAGAAACUGCUUAAACUUCUUGACUACUUCUCCCUACAGUUCAAAAAUCCAAUCUUGCACCAUUUUUCUUUUAUGUCAUAGCAUUUCGGAGUAAAAUCUUGGCCCCUCUUCUAAAUGUUUCGUGUAUGAGACUUUCAUCAGUGGCUGAAGCUUUUUAGUUCAAGAUAAAUCCUGGGUAUUCUAUAUUUUCAGUUUUAUUUAUCAGUUUCAGCGUAAAGUUUCAAUCUUUAUACACUUCAAGGCAUUUUCUUUAAAAAAAAAAAAGGGAUAAAUUUGAAGCUUAUGAACCAUGUGUUUGAUGAUUUGCAGGUGUAAUUUAGUGUGUUUGUUCUGAUAGUAAGAUGGCAUUGACAUUCUUUAGAGGGAUACAGCUUAACCCGUCUAUGUUAUACCCUUCCUCAUAUUUUGCAAGAAAACAUGGUGUUUUGUAUUGUUGUAUGAGAAGUGCACAGACACAAACUGCAACCCAAGAAAAGGAACAGACUAAGUUGAAAGGUUCCACACAAAGUCAACCUAAAGCAGUUGAUAAGUUUCUGAAGGAUUUUGAGGCAGUUAUAGGGAUAGAAACCCAUGUUCAACUUUCCACUCUUACUAAGGCUUUUUGUAGCUGCCCUUAUAACUAUGGUUCUCCACCUAAUACCAGUGUUUGCCCUGUUUGUAUGGGUUUGCCUGGUGCAUUGCCAGUGUUGAACUCAAAGGUGAUAGAGUGUGCAGUAAGAGUUGGCCUUGCACUUAAUUGUAAACUGUCUUUGAAUUCUAAGUUUGAUAGAAAACAGUACUUCUAUCCUGAUCUUCCCAAAGGGUAUCAAAUAUCACAGUUUGAUAUCCCAAUUGCUAGUGGUGGUUAUCUUGAUGUGGAUCUUCCACUCGAGUAUGGCGGUGGCCAUAGAAAGUUUGGCAUUACCAGGGUGCAUAUGGAAGAAGAUGCAGGGAAGCUGCUUCAUACCGAUGGGGGGAGCUACUCACAGGAAAGAACUCCUCCUUCAUACAUUCGCAUCCCCCCCCCCCCCCCCGCAUCACAUUGUAAUGUUAUCGCCAUUGAUGUUUGUAUCAAUUUAUAGUGAUUUACUUUGUAUAUGUGCAUGAAUAGAGUUAGAUUAUUUGAUCUAACAUACUUGUUGCUUCUAUUAAUAAAGUACUCACUGUGAAUUUUAGGCAGGUGUUGAUUUGUUUGGCUCUCUGAUACAGGUUGACUUAAAUAGAGCUGGAGUCCCAUUGUUGGAAAUUGUAUCUGAACCAGAUAUGAGAACUGGUAUUGAAGCUGCAGAAUAUGCUGCAGAAUUGCAAAGGUUGGUCAGGUAUCUGGGAGUGGGUAAUGGGAACAUGCAAGAAGGAUCACUUCGCUGCGACGUCAAUAUUUCAGUUCGUCCUAUUGGUCAAUUAGAGUUUGGUACAAAGGUUUGCAUGAUCUGCUUUCCGUUUCUAUUGCUUUCCCUUAUGCAUAGGAAAUACUAAUUUAUAGCUAGAUGAUUCAGGCAUGAAGAUUCUAAAUUUUAGUUUGCUUUCCUUUGUGGAUGUUUUUCUUUCUUAUCUUGUUCUGCCAUUUUUCUUGGUGGAUGGUUCGGUAAGUUGUGUUUCAAGUGAUACAUUGGCUCCUAUUCCAUUGUUCAUCUAUGCACCACAAAGAAUGUCUCCUAUAUAAUCUGGUCAAUUGACAACUUAAUUUAGUGCCAGGUGUAAGUCCAGUUUGGCCAUUGCCCAUUUAUGAAAUUCUUGCUUUAGCCUUAAAAUUAAUAAGGGAAUUUACUCGUCAUUUGAAUGUGAAAUGUGGUCUAUGGUGGGUCCCAGAGGAGUCUAUAUCUGCAUUCCAAGUUUUGUGAACCCAGUAUUUUGUAUUCUGAUGAACAUAAUCUCAGCUUCAUUUGGUGGGACUGCCUUUGUUUGAUAAAACUUGAAACUGGAGACAUGUUUAGCAUGCAAAUUUUUUGUCUUAAUUCGUCAAACUACAUAUUAAAUACCAUUCAAGACUUUAAGUUAGCUGUCCUUGUAUUUGUCGCUAGAGUGAGUGAGUGACCAUGAUUUCCCCAUUUCUGCAACUUUCAUGUCAAUUACAUUGUUUCUUCUCUAUAAUGGAUCAAGUUUUUACUUCAUCUGGUGUUAAUUCUUUAUUGUUGCCUUUCUAUGAUCUGGAAAUUCUCAGCAGUGAGUGUUUAGUUUAAGUUGCAUAUGUUAAGUCAGCACUCUAUAUAAUGAACUGAUAUAUCUUUUUUUUUUGUGUCAGGUUGAAAUUAAAAACUUGAACUCCUUCUCAUCGAUGAGUAGGGCCAUUGAUUAUGAAAUUUCAAGACAGGUGGAACUACAUAACCAAGGCCAGAUUGAUCAAAUUGUACAGGAAACUCGUCUAUGGGAGGAAGGUGCUCAGGUAUGCAACUGUACUUUUUGAUACUACUGCAGUAUGUAUGUCAGACUAGUUUACUCAAGUCUUUCCGUGGAAAACUUAUAUGCUUAACCUUCUCAUACAUCUAGAAAACAGUAACCAUGCGAAAAAAGGAAGGACUUGCUGACUAUCGUUAUUUCCCUGAACCUGAUCUCCCUGGUGUUUCUCUCACCGAGGAGUAUGUGAACAGUAUCCGUGAGUCAUUGCCUGAACUUCCAGAAGAUAAGCGUCGGAGGUACGAGAAACUGGGCCUAAGCAUGCAAGAUGUCCUAUUUCUUGCCAAUGACAUCAAUGUAAGUGCUUCUCAUUGUCAGGUUCUGCUUAUACUGCCUUAUUGGCAUGUAGACACUCCAGUACUGAAAUCUAUCAAGCUGAUGUUAUUUCGUAAGGGUUUAACCUGUGAGUGAAGUGCUUCUCGCCAGAAAUUUAAUAUGAUGCUUUAAAUCCUUAAGCAUCUAAAAGGACAAGCAUUAUUUGACUUUUAGAUACACAUAAGUCCAUUUAGCUAUAUGCCUCUUGGAAGUAUUUACCCUCCCUUCUCCCUUCUCCCUUCUCCCUUCUCCUUCUCUUCCAUGAGUUCCAAUGGCCCAAUGAGACCAAAGUUGGGUGGGUUGGUGGUGGGUGGAGAAGAGGGUGCGGACUUGAGUAAGUAAAGGAAUAGAAGUGAAGGAUGAUGUUGUUCAAGAACACUAUCAUCCUUUCAUUGACUUAUGGUUUAACAUGGAUGGAUUCCCCUAUCAAGUUUGUCUUCAAAGGAGCCCGAAAGUAUGACAUCGUCAUCCUGUUAUUAAAAUUCUGGACUAUUAGCCUGCAUAAUCAGGCCUUUUCCAGCUUUUCCCAUUAUUUCUUUGUAGAAAUAUCCAGUUCCACUGAUAAUUGCAUGUUACAGAUUGCAGAUUUUUUUGAUGCAACAACUGCAGGAGGUGCUGAUAUAAAGCUUGCUGCCAAUUGGAUUAUGGGAGAUAUUGCUGCGUACAUGAAAAAUGAAAAAGUGACUAUCAAUGAGAUUAAACUUACCCCUCAAGAACUGGGGGAGCUCAUAGCUUCCAUUAAAGAUGAGACUAUCAGCGGAAAGAUUGGGAAGGAGGUAAAUGCACUUUGGGCGCUGAUAUAACUAAAUUUGUAUGGUUGAAAAUCACAUCUUAUGGUUUUCCUAUACAUUACUAAUAGAAUUUUUGUUUUGCUGAUUUUCUUCACCAUUUAGAAUAUUUUUGGGUGCGUUGAGGUUGGGGAUUUGUCCAGUCACAAGUAACUAUCUGUUAGGCUUCUUAAUUCUUCUGCAAAUCACUGACCUUCAUUUGGUUGCAGUCCAUGUUGUAUUUGAGAAGCCAGGAAUUGGUAUAACAACAACAACAUACCUAAUGUAAUCCCACAAGUGGGUCUGGGGAGCUAGAAUGUAUGCAGACCUCACCCCUACGGCCCUACCUUUGUGAGUGAGGUACCUGACGCAGGAUAGUGAGAAAAGAGACAACAAAGUAGCAAGAUACAAAAAAGAUGCAACAAAAGAUAGUAAUACACAUUGAAGAAUAAGAAACUAUGUGAUAGUUGAUAAUAAUACUAAAAGGAGAGGAGAAAACUAGCCCAGUCCCUUCCCCAUUCAGAAUGCGACAACACUCAUCUACCUACUAACCUUCAAUCCUCAUCCUCGACCUUCAUAUCUGAGGUCAUGUCCUGAGUCAGCUGAAGUUGUGCUUUGUCCUGUCUAAUCACCUCCACCCCCAGUUCUUCUUCAGCCUACCUCUACCUCUCCUAACUCCUGCUACAGCCAACCUCUCACACCUCCUUACUGGCACAUCCUCGCACCUCCUCUUCACAUGUACGAACCAUCUCAGUCCACUUCCCUCAUCUUGUCCGAUGUUUCUUAUUGGUGUUGAUGCUUUGGUUUACAAUGUUUUAGAAACAUUAUAACUGAAGAUGGAACAUAUAUCAGGAAUUUAACAUAUACCUUCUUCAGACAGUCAUGACUGAUGAGAUCUGCUAUAGAGGCCAAUUAAGAAGUCCCUAUGUUAGCAGCAAUGUAGUCUCUCUGUAACUUCAGUUUAUUGUUGUACCGUACUUUGUGACUAUCAUAAGCUGUUGUUUGAGUGUGAGAAAUCCGUACUGAUCAAGAGUCUUUCCGGCAUGACUAGUUUGGCAUGAAUCAUUUUUGAUGAUACAUCUUAAUAUCUGCAUGGAUGUGUGCAUAUAAGAGAGGGAAAGAGUAUCACUUGUGCAUAAUCAGUAGUAUUCUUUAGAAAUGCAUAAAUAUAUGGUAACGGGUCACUCUCUUCAUUGGCUUUACUUUGAUCCACUCUGUUCAAUUACUAUGUUUCUGACCGAUAAUUGUUGUUGAACUUUACAGAUUUUAUUUGAGCUAAUCGCCAAGGGUGGAACAGUCAAGGGGCUGAUAAAAGAAAAGGAUCUGGUUCAGGCAAGUUGGCUUGCAAUAUUGCAAGAGCUCUAGUAUUUUUCUCUUGUUAUAAAUAAUUAUAUAAUAAAAUGAUUUUACUGUUCUGUUGAUGAGCUUUAUAAUCAUCUGUUGAACUGGAUUCUUUUAAAUCUCAAAAAAAAAAUUUCUUGAAUAAACUUUCAAGACCACUAACUUAUCACCUGUUACCAAUGACGCUGUUCUCUCAUUCUGAUGGAUUAGAGUUAAAAUUGUAGCCCGUGUUACCUGAAUCGUAGUUAUUUGGAGACCCUUUGAUUGGAUAAGGAAACUGAUCAUGAAACAACUACAAAUAAAGAUACUUGAAGAUGAAUAUUGACCCCACGAAGACACUGAGCCAAUCAACUUUAGAUUGCUUGAUGACUGUAAAUUAUCUGAUGUAUUGAUACUUAAUCUUACUUCCAAGGUUUCAGGAUUUACCUAGUAGAACCUUUUUAUAACAAGUUGUAGAUGUAAGUUUUGGUAUUGUUGUGAUAUCAAAGUCAAAUGAAUGCUAAACCGUUAUUGUCUCAGUUUGAUAAAAGCCUCAGCACAGUUCCGUUAACCUGAUUCUAUGAACUGCGUGGAUAAUCUAUUGCGGAUAUCAUACACAUCACUGUUAAAGUUUCCAUUACUUAUCUAUAAAUGUUCAUGGUUAAAAGUUCCCAAAAUUAUCUUCUGAAGUGUGUCAAACUGUGUGUAUUUGUUCUCGAUUACACUGCCUCAGAAUUCUACCAUGAGCUAUCUUGUCUAGAAACAUCUUGACCUAAGUGACCAUGUGUCAUUCAGACUGACUGCCCUUGUGGUUGUGUUUAUUGAUGUUAACAAUUUGUAUAAAGUGGUGUUGUCGAUUUACACGACUGGCAUUUUACAACCAAGUAAGUAACUGAAGCAUAUUUGUUAUUAAAGGAAUCUAAUCUACUUUCUCAUUUUUGAAUAAACAGAUUGUUGACACUGCGGAGAUUGAGAAAAUGGUAGAUAAGGUGAUUGCAGAUAGUCCAAAGCAGCUGGAACAAUACCGCGGUGGUAAAACUAAAUUGCAAGGUUAUUUUGCUGGCCAGGUAUGUUUUCAUUCAGUCCUUGGAGUUUGUUGUUUUCAUAUCAUGCUGGCUAUUGACCAUUACUUUUCACAUUGUUGUGCUGAUUGCUAGGUGAUGAAGGAAUCAAAAGGCAAAGCAAAUCCAAAACUUUUGAACAAAAUCCUUUUAGAGAAAUUAAAUGCCAAAAGCUGAUCAUGUACGAGCUCCGUCUAGCUCUUUCUUUUCCUGGUCCAUAUAUGCACCAUUAGUCAUUUGCUUUCCUCUCUUAUCAUAUUGCUUAUGUUCCGUUUGGAUGGCAUGAUGACUAUUACCAUCUUUGCAACGUGAUUUCAGCGAUUGGCUACUGAUGAAGAGUCGAUAUUAACCGGUGAUAAUCUUCAUAUCACCAGCAAGUGCAAGCACCUGAUUAGAGCUUUUCAGAUCAUUUGCAAAUCAUCAGAACUGAGGAAGACACAUGUAGCAGAGGUAGGAUAGGUCAUUAUUUUCGACAUUUUUUUGGACUAGUUCUUAAUAAGUACAAUGAUGGUAUAUUUCGAACUACCAAAACUCUGAUUUAUGUACUAAGCAUCAGGGGAGAAUAAGCUUAUUGUUAAUGCAAUUGCAACUGAUACUUUCUUCCUUCAAGUGUAAUAUAGCAUACACUUUACUAUGGAUUGUCCUUUUUGUUAAUGACUUUUGUUGCCUAUUUGACAUAAGUGUGAGCAUAAAUUAGCUUAGCUUGCUUAUGAGCCCAGAGUUUGAGAUAUUUCAAUAAAUUGGAGAAGUUGAGACUAAUAUUCAAGAUCACACUUUACUAUUGCAAUUUUUUCCUGAGGAUUUGUAUGUAAUGGUUCUAUCCUGAUUUUCCUAAAGAAUUAGGGUUUAAAAAUAGGAAAAAUAUUCUAUCAGUAACAAGUUAAAUAGCAAAAAUUUAUUAUCCUUUCAACCUUGAGAGGUUGACAUUCAUUUGGUUUUUCUAAUGGCUUUUGCAAACAACAAAAAGGGCAUUAACUUUAGGAAUCACAAUUUAUUAUAGACAAAAAAAAAAAACUACCCUAUGGCAGCCUCAUAUUCUUGUUUUCUUCUUUGUUUACCGUUCCACUACCAUACCCACAAACGCUGGUUUUAUCAUUAGGUAGAAAAACCAACGUUUUACGGGCGGCGGUGGACGGUUAGUGGUGGUGGUGGGGCCCGGUUCGCGUAUUAUAAUGACCAGAGACCAUAUUAUGGCAAAUGGGAAGAAAUCAACUAAGAAAAUAAUGGUGGUGGCUGAUCCAACUCGUGAAUCAGCCUCUGCCCUUCAAUACGCGCUUUCCCAUGCAGUCGCGGAAAAUGACACGUUGAUUCUUCUGCAUGUUGGUAAUCCUAAUGCAUGGAGGAAUCUCCUUGGUGCCUUGAUCAAGAAGCCAUUGCCAAACUCGUCCACGUCGACGUCCACAUCCACGUCCACGUCCCCAUCGGAUGGUAGUCCGUUCAGUACUUUCUUUAGAAAGUCAUUGACAAACAUAACAUCACCGCCGCCAACAUCUGCGGCCUCUCAUGGUGCCGCGGAAGACGGUGGUGAUGAUGUCAAAGGGUGCACAGGAAAGGGAUACAUGGAUUUUCUUGGUACAAUGAAACAUGCAUGUGAAGUUGCACAACCUAAGAUAAAAGUUUGUACAGAAACAGUAGAUAUGGAUGGUAAUGCAAAGGAAAAAGCUACUGUCAUUCUUGCUAAAUCUGCAUCUUUUGGUAUUGAUAUUCUUGUUAUAGGUCAGAGAAGGAGUCUUUCUAAUGUAAUACUAAGGUGAGUUUACAUUCUUUUCAUAUCAUCUAAUUUCAAAAUUGAGCACGAUCACGAGUUUUAAUUCAGUCAUAUUGGUAUUUUAGGAGAAGAAAGCUAGUAAAUACAUAUUUUUGAGUGUGAACUCCACUCCCCAACACACACACACAGACAGAGACAAACCUCCUUUAUUUCUUCUCUUUUUGGUUGAACAAGUAUGAAUCAUCCUGCAUUUGUGUGUGGCAGGCCUAAAAGAAGUGUAUCACUAAGAGGGCUGGGGCUGGAUAUGGCAGAUUAUUUGAUUGACAACAGCAAAUGCACCUGUGUUGCAGUUCAGAAGAAGGGCCAAACAGCAGGAUAUCUUCUCAACACCAAAACUCAUAGAAAUUUCUGGCUCUUAGCAUAAUACUAAUUUUUAUAUGUAUAAAUUAGUUUCUUCAUCCACCUUUUUCUGGUACUAAAUGGCUUGCACUCUAUAUACUUCUCUAUUUUAUUUGGUUAUAUCUACAUAAGAGUUGCUGUUUGUCAAUUUUGUGGAUAUAAAUAGGAAUAGAUGUCAUUUCAUUCUGCUAUAAUCAUUGCGAAGGCUUAUGUAAUGCCAAAGUACAAGAACACAAACAGUAUUGUACCUGUAUUCUCUGAAAGUUACUGGACAUGCAGUGUUUAUCUGUCUCUACAAUACCAAGAUCAAAAAACAUAUAACCGGUGAAGGAUCAACUCGAGCUGUGAAUAAAGGAGACAAACGAAUAUACGAUUUCUUGUAAGGCUGUAACCAAGAUAUGAAGCUUCAUAGAUGAAAUUUCAUGUAACAAAGAAAAUGUACAAAGUUAUAGAGAAUUUAAAGUUCAUCAUGCAUUGCUUGUUCUAAGGGUACAUUUAACUCAGGAUUCAUCUGAACCUGAGCAACAUUUGCACCUUGUCUACCAGCUUCAGCUAUUAUCUCCGCUUGUCCAGCUGUACCGGACUUCACAGCUUCAAUGAGCUUACGCUGCAACUUGAGCAGCCCCAUACGCUUUGAAACCACGUAAAGCACAGCCAAGGAGAAAAUAAUAAAUCCAACCACCAGUAUCACCCUGUUCACACAUUGUGUUAGUGUUGCAGUCGAGGUUAAAUGCAUUUCCAAACAACGUAAUUAAAUUGCAAUGGCAUUAUAAACUCAGCAGUACAGGUGCAAAGCAAAGGUCAAUGUUAUUUUACAAAGUCAUUAUCACAUGAUACCUGUCCAGAAUGUCCUGCCGUUGCAUUGUGGACAGAAGGUUUCGAGUUCGCGAAAGCAAGGAGCGGUGGCCCUUGUAUUCACUCUCGGCUUUCGUUAAAACGCCUGUUGAUUCAUCUGUAAUAUACAGAAUAUGUACAUUGUCAUCUAGCCUCGACUUACAUACUUUUCACAUUUAGGAUAUGAAGAAUGGCAUCCAAAAGUCAUGGAAGCAGUCACCAUCAUAAAAAAAUUGGAUAACAAAGCCCACAUUGUUGUCAUCUAAUGAGAGGUGUAUCUCUUGAACACAUCAUUGCAUUGUCAAGGAAACUAAACCGACUCAUGCACAACGUACCACAUUGGAUACGUAGACCCAUCGAGUCAUGUAAUGAAUAAUAUCAAUGUAUUUUCUGGUCAUGAUCUAGUCGUAUUUUUCCUUACAACCAUUAAUUAAGCUUUGAUGCUGCAGAUAGUGUUUAUCUAUAGGGUUACUUUUACAGUAAGGUAUAUUUAAGUGCACUUUACUAGUAGAUAACCUGGGUAAUCAGUCCUAAUAACACAAGGCCUAACUCAUCUUUUUUAUACAAGGAACAAUGCUUAUCUGUAAGUUGAGCUUUGAUUAACAACCAAAAAUGGCAUAUAUCCGAAAUUGAGGUUUACAAUGUUUUAUUUUCCAAUACUCAGAUGCAUAAUCAACAGAAACAAAAGUAAAAAUUUAUUCAAAAGCAAACAGGAUACUUUUCAAUAGUGGACUUGUUUUCAUUGUAACUACAAAAAAAUUAUUCUAUAGAAUGUUCUUACUAACAUAUGUCCAGAAGCAAUCCUAUCAUUCUCUUUGUAUGGUAUGAAGAAAUGCAUUCUUUGAUGUGUCUUUCGUUAUAAGACCAUUCUUUAAAGUAAUAUCUAAUACCCCCCUUAAAGAGAAGGGGGGAAAUUUUUAGAAGAAAAGAAAAGAACCUUUCAUCUCAAUAUGACCUUUUCCUUAAACAUCCAUUUCAUGCAAUCAAUUUUUCUUUUUUUAGAAGUAACAACAACACAAAAAUAGCAAAAGAACUAGAGAAGACAAGAAAAACGUCACCUGGCUAAAGCAACAUAAGCUAAAACAGAUAAUAAAGACAUGUCAUGACAAGAGUGACUGUCAUUCAUAAACACCGAAAGGUACUUACCAACUGUCAUUAGAGUGCUUGCACUUCUUUCAACCUCCUGUAAGCAUAUUACAAACAGCAAGAGAACAGGGAGUGUUAUGCAACAUAAAAAGCUCAUAAAUAAAUACAUCAGGCAAAAAAAUUUAAAAGAAGAUCUUAAACCAAGCAAAUGAAAAUAGAAGAAAGAUGGCAAUAACCUGAACCAUAAGUUGGCGUGUGCGGCGCAGGCUCUCCGUGAUGCUUUCAGCUGCAGAUGUCAUUCCAGCUUUUGUCCUGGCAAAUAGAUUCAUAAUUUAGAAAAAAAACAUUCUGAUACUUCUGUCCUCAAAAGCACAGACAUAUGAGCUUUAAAAGUGGAGAUAACCAUGGUAACGUAAAGACUAAAAGGGUACCACAUACUGUAGAUUUCGUCUGCGAACUGUAGAUUCUUCCCCACCUCCCAAGAGAAGCUCCCUCUGACAUCAUAUGAAGGCAGCUUUUAGUAUGAAACAUUUUCCUAAUAUUGGUCCAAAAGAGAAGAAAUUGCCGGUAAAAGAUUUCCAUGGUUCAACAUCAUUUUCAAGGCAUAUGUCAGCAUGAUAUCUCUUGUGAGUAUUAUGCUAUUAGGCACAAUAAGGGAUGAAAUGCAGGAUGUUGACACGUUAAUAAUUCUGACAUGCAUCCGAAAAGGGCAUUCUCAUAUCCUAUUGCCUUGUCGAGCAGAAUCUCUGCUAUUACAGUAUUACUAUCUGGGAAUUGCCAGGAGAAGCACAUUUUUUAAAUCACAAUUCAUAUCAUUCUCAAAAAAUAAUUCUGACAUGCUAAAUUGUACUUGUCUUCUAUACAGAUAAACAUACUACCUCUUCUUGAGCAGCUUUCCUCAUGUUUGCCUUUGCUUGUAAAUUAGCAUUUCUUAAACUCAACCUCAAACUGCAACAUACAUUUAAAAGAUCAUAAAGGGAAUAUAGUACUAACUAACUUCAUACACAUGAAGUGAAAAUAGUAUCACGGUCUUCCACCAUGACACGGUUAGAGAGUAAAGAGAUAAUACAUCCGGUGAACAAACUCACAAAUAGCCCAAAUCUAAAACAGCAGAUGAUACCCAAAGAAAGCUAUAAAAAAUCAACCAAUAGUUCUCCAAAAAGCAUAUAUUUUUUUUAACUUAUUUCCUGGAAGGGAGUUUUUCUCAAGAGGACAGCAACAAUAACUAUGCUUCAAUCUCAAACCAGUUGGGGUUGGCCACAUAAAUCCUCUACAAUCCUUUUCACUCUACUAGAACAUAUUUGAUUUAAAUAUUGGUAAGUAUUUUAUCUUUUGAGACAGAUCAGAAGUUCUUCAGACUAGGAGUUCCCUAAUUAUCAUUCUUAUUUAAAUCCAAACUUAAUGUAACUAAAAGCUAAAUCAGCCAACUACAGUUGGUGUAUCAAAUAUAUGAAUCCUUUACUUCUACUUUUGUUUUCUUAGCUUAAUCCGCAAUGAUUCUAGGUGUUUUUAACAGCUUCCUCCAUAUGAUUUUAGAUCUUCUGUAUCCCUUUAGUAACAUCAAUCACCAUAAUGCCACACUUACGAACUCAUACAUUCAGAGACUAAUGUGAUACAUGGACAAACUAUUCAGACAACCUUCUCUUAUCUUAUCCUCCAUGUGUGUUAUUUGAACACUUUAUUUUGAUAUGACCGUCUCUUGUCUUGUUCAAUCUUGCAUUGCAGCAUCUAUCUUAAUAUUCACAUUUUCUGCCAAGUGUAAUUUUAUUGAUAAUGAGAAAUCUCCCAUGUACAAGAGGUAUACCAACAAGUAGAGAACUCUACAUAAAGAUAUAUAUUCAAAGUCGAAAUUACAACAAUAAGGGAAAAUGUAAUCCUUCUGGAUAUCAAUUCAUUCAUUAAAAUGUCACUACUAAGUUAUAUACAAAACAAUUUAGUCUAAUAGUCAACCAGAAAAAGGAAACACCAUAUUUUGUCAAGAUCCAUAAUGUAUUACCAAGUAAGAAAAACUAAAAGAAACAAGACAAAUCAAAAUUUUCCUAAUCUGAACCAAAAUCUGACUUCCUCGCAUUACUCUUCUAUAGAUUAUGGGCUGAAACAGAUGCAAAUAGUGAAGAAUAAAUAAGUAUAGCUGAACCAAAUAGUUCGGGAUGUAGACUUGCCCACUCGAUCAUCUAAAACCCAAUGAAAGUAAACACACAAAGAAGCCAAAGGGAAUUUAAUAUCUACUAUAUUAUACAUAUUUUGAUCCGCACAAAAACAAUGUAAUUUUCCAUUGGAAGGGGUUCGGAUGACCCUACUUGGUUCCGCCCCUGCUGAAAGCAAGAAACUUGAAAUCAUCCCCAUUACUUGUUCAACUUCCCAACCCCAAAUCUUAGUCUGUCCUAAUCUGAACCAAAAUCUCCGACUUCCUCACAUUACUCUUCUACACAGUAUGGGAAAUGAAACAGAUGCAAAUAGUGAAGAAUAAAUAAAUAUAGCUGAACCAACUAGUUUGGUAUGAAGACUUCUCGACUCAAUCAUAGAAAAACAAAUGGCAGUCAGUAUGCACUAAGGAAGUUCAAAAUAUGAAAAGUAAACACUCAAAGAAAAAACCAAAAGGGAUUUAGCAUCUGCUAUAUCAUACAUAAGUAUAAUUUUAACCACGUAUAAACAAUGUAAUUUUCCAACAAGGGGGUCCGGAUGCCUACUUGGCUCCACCCCUAAAUGAAAGCAAUAAACUUGAAAUCAUCCCCAUUUCUUAUUCAACUUCCCAACCCCAAAAUUCUGAAUUCCAAGCAGUGUAAUUUUCCACCAAAGCAGUUUACUUUGGUUCCAUCCCAGCUGAAAGCAAUAAACUUGAAAUCAACCCCAUUUCUUAUUCAACUUCCCAACCCCAAAAUUUCUAAAUUCCUCACAUUACUAUUCUACAGUUAAAAUAACCCUAACGGUCCUAAUAAAAGGGAUACAUAUGAUUCAUAUAAAACAAAGCAAAGAUGCAUAUUCGUUUUUAGCUACCUUUGGAUCUGAGUUUUCCAUGAUUGUGCCAAAGACUGAGUUUUUUCAACUUGAUCAUCUAAAGGGAGUUGUGGGGCUAAGAGAUCAAGCUUAAAUUGAAGUGAUUGAAGCAGAUUCAUCCCAUCUUGAGCAAGACCAUUCAAUCUUGGAAGUGAACUUUUCUCUUCUGAAAUUAAUCUUGUUGUUCCUGAUUUUCCAUAUUCAUGAAUAGAUUUGAUGUGUUCUUGAGUCUGUUUGUAUGUUUCUUCCAACUCUUUCUUCACAUUUUCUACUUCUUCCACCACUUGAUCCAUUUGGGGUUCCUUCAAUGGUGAGAUUUUGCAGAGAAGAAAAGGUUUUUGGGAAAUUCGUGGGAAGAAGAAGAACUUUUUCGGGUAAUUUAUCAAUUUUAGUCCUUAAAAAAAAUUUUUUGUUCAAUUUUAAAUAUAAACAGCUUAGAUUUAUAUUAAUAGAAUUUUUUUUGUAAAAUUAAAUCUUUAACUCAUUUUUAAAAUGUUAUUUUUCUAUCCCCGUUACAGUUUUCGUUAAAUUAUACUUAUGAAGAGAAAAAUAGUAUCAACGAUUCAAAAUAAAAUUUAAAAGGAAAAAAAUAUUAAGUAUAAUUUUAUUCAAUAGAGGAUAAUAUAAAGUAUAUAACUGUUGUUAAUGAAUAUCUUCGCUUUUUUAGCGGUUCAUAGUUCACAAUCAAUGCAAUUUUUUAAAGUUUUACUUUUAAUGUGAAAGAAAAAUAAGAGAUUUGAUCUUACUAUUCAAAUUUCUUUAUGUAAAAUAAUAUGAAUAAUAAAAUAGAUUUUUUUUUUAAAAAAAAAGAAUUUGCAAAUGAACCAUCUUAUAAAUUUCAACUCCUAAAAAAUUAAACAAAUUCUCCUUAAUAACUCGUUGAAUUAUAAAAUUUUGAAUUUAACAAGUAAUAUUUUUUUCAUUUUAGAGUAAAGACAUAAACACAUUAUUAAAGUUGUCUUGAAUUUUCAAGAAGACAUAUUAAUUGUCUCAAAUUUUUAAAAAGACACAUUAACUUUUCGGGCGACUUAUUCCUCAUAAAAUAUUAAAUAUCUUUGUAAAAGGAUCAUUUUAUCCAUUUUCUCACAUGUGAAGCACACACGUGUUUUUAAUUAAUUUAAUUUAAAUUAAUUCGAUCCAAAUAGUUUCAAAAAGAGAAAACUCUUUCUUUUUGUUGUUUUCCAUUUCUUUCAGUGCGAUUGUUCAAGAUCAUUUGCUUCAGUUAAGAUGUUUUUUUUAAUCAAAAUUCUUAAAAGACUAGCUGAGUAAACAAGAAAUUGAAGGUUUACUUUUCGUAAGUGAAAUGCAUAUUUAUAAUUAAGAGUUCUAAGGAUAAAGAGUAUCCAAAUCAAUUAUGUUUUCUCCAUCUGUGCAAUUAGCUAAGAAAAUUACUUGAAACAAUCAUAACGUCACUGUAUAAAAGAUUAAAUGAACAUGAGAAGAUAACAUUUCAGAAUCUAAUUUUAUCGUAGAAAUGAAAAAAUGUGACACUUUAAUUAUUUUUUUUAACAAAAAUAAACUUUCAUGCGUGACAUCUGCGUGUUUCACAAACAAAAUGAGAAAUACAACGACAUUCAAUACAUUUGUGGGGAAUAGGACGUGACAAAAUUAACGUGUCUUUUUGAAAAUUUAAAACAACUUCAAUAUUAAUUUUAUUUUAUUUUUCUCUUCUUUUUAUAGUAAAAUUUAGCAUAUUCAAAUCAUUAAUAGCAAUAGUGAUUUCAUUUUCCUAAAUGAAAUGAUGACUUAUAUUAUCUUUCCUCAUGACUCUUAGUUUGAAUAGUCUAAGGUUAAGAUUCUUUGUAUAAGAAUAUUUGAAGACAAAUAGUUGGGAGAGAAACAUUUGAGAAAAUGGCUAAAUGAUUUAAUUUCUUGAGACAUAAAUUUCGUUAAUAUAAAUCUAAGUUAUUGUAUAAAAAUUUGACAUGAUAAUUUGUUAAAUACUUAGAACUAAAAUCGACAACUAUAUUGUUAAGGAACUAAAACUGGUAAAUGUAUAAUUGAUGAACCAUCCCUAUUUAAAUUGUUAAAGAACUAAAAUUAACAAGUGUAUAGUUGAACAACCAUUUUAGACCUACUCCUACAGUCAAUGGACUAUUUUCUCGAUAUAAAUAUGUCAAAGUAAACCCUAAUAGAAUAUUGGUUAAAAAAUAUUGUUAUAGUCGUCUCUCAUAAUUUUUACGCACUUCAUUAGCUAGUAGACCACAUCUUUGUCAGGACACUAAAACUUAGAUAUCAAAAGUGUUACAAGGCUUAAUUAACCCUUAGUUUCACAGGUGAUGAUGUGAUAUACAUGUGGAGAAGCUAAAACUAACCCAAAAUUGCUGCAGCCACUGAAAGUUGAAUUACUCAUCCCUUGAAAAUUUUCAAAAACUAAUACAAAUUUUAUACACCAACUUGAGCUCUUCCAUAGCAGAAUGAUGAGUUCAUCUAAGCGCGGAUGAAGGUUCUGGGGAGAGAUUGGUUGUGCCAAAAUUUCGAUGCUUACCAUCAGCAACGUUUGUUAGCUGAAAACCAUGAUUAGGAAGUUGAUUUAUUAGAAGAGUUUCCAAUUGGCAGGCGAUGCUCUUGCCAGAGACUAAGAAAUAUAGGAAUGACGCGUUUUCCAUUCCCUCCUUCAAGCGAUGAGCACGUACUCUGCCCUCAAGAUCAUCAGUCUGUACAUAUAAUCAGAAAGAAGAACGUUAAGAUAUAAUAUGUCGAAGGAAGUAAUAGCUCACAAUAACCGAAAUGAAGACUAGUGUUUGCACUUGUGUGCCCAUAGACUUCAUUUGUAUGACUAAAUAAUGUCUGUCUAUUGACCAUUUAUCUCGAGUAACUUUAAACAUAAUUACCUCCACAACUUUAAAAGAACAUUUCGGAAAAAGAAACUGAACACUUAAUUCAGUUAUUCUGCAGACAGCAAGACAAUUUUUUACAACAAAAUGAGGCUCGAUUCUGAAUGGCAUGCAAUAUGUGCAGGCGGUCUCCCAACUCGUUAAGCAUCUCAAUACAAUUAAAUCACAUAAAAGAAUUGAUUAGACAAAGCAUGCACUUUAAGACUCAACCUGGAAAAAGGAAAAGAUGUACCUGUCCAACAUACAACUUUUUGUCAGGUCUUAGCAUUAUAUAGACACUUGAAGCACCAAUUGUUGAUGGAGCCGGCUGUUCCCUGGCAGCAAUAAGAACGCAAUUCACCAUUGGCAUUUCUGACGGAUUUUUCAUUUUAUACAGCUCAAUUAACUUCUUCUCACAGAUAAGACAGAUAGCAUCUUCAAGUUUCUUGCUUGAAAUUCCCAUUCGAUGCAUUAACUUUGUGCUAGAAUCCAAAGCUAUUUGUCUUGUACCAUUUAAUUGGUCAGAACUGUUAUCUGUGCUAUUGAGGUCAAUAUCUGAACAAAGAGGUCUUAUUUGGUCUAUCUUCCUUGGUAUCUGAUUCCCGUAAGCUGAAUUAUACAAUUCUUCUGCUCUUUGGAUUAAUAUUUCUGGAAUUCCUUCUCUCUGAGCUGUUUCAAAUGCUAGACUCUCUUUACAGAUCCCAUCAAUGAGUUUCCAAGUUGGUAUUGGUUGACCGUCAACAUAUUCAGCUCCCAUUGCUUUAUACACGGUCUUCUUGAUUUUCAGGGGUAAAUCAAAUAUUCCAUGCAAGUGGGUUGAUACAAUUCCCAAACAGCCAAUUUCGUCCAGGGUUUCUAUGACACUUCCAGCAAUACAUGUCCCUUUUGCUGUUUCUGUUCCUCGACAUAUUUCAUCUAUAAGUACAAGACUUCUUGAAGUGGCACCAGUAAUCAGAGACCGAAUUUCAGACAUUUCAAUCUGAGGCAUGUUAGACAAUUAAGAGUCAUAAUGUUGCCUUCAAAAUGCCAUGAGACUCUACUAUGUCAGCAAGGAAAAGUGAAAAAUGAUGAAUAGAAACACCAACACCUAGAGUCAUGAUUGUUAUGUACACAAACGAAUGAAAUAGCUUCUCUCAGAAAAAACAUAUGAUAGAAGUGGAACUAACAUCAUUAUCACCGACAGAUUAAUCCAAGAGAACGGUGCAAAGGAAGAAGACUCCAAAAUAAGAACCAAUAAGUUAACCAGAAGAGAGAUUGCCUUUUUACCAUAAUAACCACAGUAGAACUACCAGUGUUGUGAAUGGCGAGCGCCUCAUCGCCUUUGGCGAAAGGCGAGGCGAGGCCUCCUCGCCAUUCCCCACUAAGGCGAGGCGGUAUGCAAAAGGCGGCCCAUGGCGACCUAAUGGCGCCAGAAAAGGCGGCGCCUUUUUUUAAAAAAAAAUAUUUGACUUAAACAAUAUUAGUCAAAAUUAGGGCUUUUUUUUUAUAUUUUCAAAAUCUUCUGCUGCGCACUCUUCUCCCCAACUCUUCCCCUCGCGAUCUCUUCUCCUUGUCUUCAUCAUCUUCGAGUUGCUGCUGCUGAAGACCUGAGGUAUACCUCUUUUUUUCUGUUCUUCUUCAAUUCUGGUUUCAGACUUUCAGUUCUGUUUUCUUCAAGUUUUCUUCACUACUCUUUUUUUCCUCUAUUUUCUUCACUCUCUCUUUUGUCCCAGAUUACUGUAAAAUGCCUUCUGUUUUCACUGUGCUGUGAGUCUGUGACUGCUGUCCAUUAUUUUUUGAAAAAAAAAUUAAUUCUUUCUAUAGUAAUUAUUAUAGUAUUUGUAAUAUAUGGAGCUAUUGAAAUUUUGAAUAUUAUAUGUGCAAUUAAAUAUUUUUAAUUUUUGGUAUUAAUUGGCGCCUCGAUUCAAAAAGGCGAGCGGCGCGUGGCGAGGAAGGCCCUUGUCGCCUCUCGCCGUCCAAAACACUGAGAACUACUAUGUACUAAAGAUUCUUUUGUCAACAGGCACAAAAUUUUUGUUGUACAUCCACUAUACUCAAUCCACUUUUUGGGAUGGAGAGAAUAAUAAGAUCAGUUGUGCCAAAUGUCUAAGGAAAUCACUCAUGGAAUUGUGCAUCCCUGAUGACUACAGUUUGCAAUCAAAUACAAGUAGUCUUAACAAGCAAAAUCAUCUACAACAAGCAAAAUGUAAACUGCUUAUCUGCUACAAUCGCAGCCAAGCAUCAUGAUACAGCAUUCAUUUCUUGUUUUAAUUGCAGAUAAAUUACUAGGUUCCGAGCAAACAGGACAAGAAGAAAAUCAUAUAUGCUACAAAUCAAGAAUAUAGAACAUAUUACCUGAAAUGAACUUUUUCCAUCAACAGGACUAUCAUAUGAUUUCAUAUGCAGCAUAAUUGAGUCAAAAUGAGGAAUGACAGCUGAUUCAGCUGGAACCAUGAACCCACACAUUCCUAGCAAUGCAGCUGCACACAACGAACGCAGCAAGCUUGAUUUGCCCCCACCAUUUGGACCUGUUAAAAGAAACAUGGACUGCAUAUCUACUGUAUUCUGUACACCAGUCCCUCGUGCUGCAUCAAACCAAUAAGGAGAUAGACCAAUUAUCUUCAUUCCAUCAGUUCCAUUAAGUGCCUCUGUGUCCUGCAUUUUAAUGGCAUGUAAUUGGAUCACAUGAAUAGCAGAUAAAAAUAUGAAGACUUCAUGUCAUAUUUUUCUCCAUAUGAAACCGGCCACAAAUUAGAUGGGAGGGCCUGGCGGAGGCCAAAGCUCAGGAGAUUGGAGAGAAGUUGGUGGCUAAGGGGAGUAGUAGUUACACAGAUAAUAUUUUUUUUAGAAAGAUAAUGUUGUAUUCCACAGCAUUAAGGAUAUGCUGAAGACCUCCAAAAAUUGGUUUCUGUUAGGAACCACAACUCUCUAUUAAGUCUGUAAAUUUCCAAACACAAGACAGAAAUAGGAAUAACACUUCAACUAAUAUUUACUGCUACAGAUAAUUAGAAUAAGUUAUACAAAUAGUUAGUAGAGAAUACUUCUAACAUUCAAGGAAUUUCGAGGAACCUUAACCUCCAAAUCUGCCUGAGAAAUCGUUACCCAAAAACUGUCUGCAUUUUCCUUCUUCCCAGUAAUAUUUAUCCCCAAAUACUACCUAAACUGCUACAUAACUACUAGAAAUAGAUUUACAUAAUAAUUAAUAUAUAAAACAACUACAUUUAAGCCUUAUCUCACCCUUCUUUCUGCGCUUAUAGACCUUAGUAACAACAGGUCUAACAGUUUCCAACAAGAGAAAAAACAAAAUGGCUAAUAGAUUACAAUGUGCCUACAAAAUCCAAAUUUGAGAAGUUUCUUCUAUCCCUUCCUCUUUACACCAACACAUAAAAAGUAGUCAAGCAGUUCCAUUUGACUUUCUCUAUUGAAUUAGCCUUGUUAGCAUAGCAUCUGCUAUUUCUUUCUUUCCAAAUAGACCACCAAAUGCAUGAUGUAUUACUCCACCACUUUUUCUAAGGUCUCCCCCCCCAUCCCCACCCCUCCCCUGCUCAUCAAGCAACUAAGCAAUUCUGUUUUGUAUGUGUUAGUCCUAAAAAAGGGUUCCACAAUGUAUAGUCACUCUGCAAUGGAGGAACAGAUGGUUGUUGGUUUCUCAGUCUCAUUACAUAGAGAGCACCAAGAGGCAAUACAGAAACCCCUCCUUCUCAAUUUCCCAAGUGUGGAGCAUGCUCUUCUGGCAACCAACCAAGAGAAACACUUUAUCUUGAUUGGCACCUUGUUCCUCCAAAUCUGUUUCCAGGGGCCAAGCUUACCACCUGUAUGCUCCUUCACCUCCUUAUUAUAUAGCUUGUUGACAGAAAGGCUUCCAUCUCUAGUGCGUUUCCAUAUGAUAGAAUCUUUUUCUGCCGAUAACCCAUUGAACCCGUUCAGAACAUGUAAUAGCUCAGUCCCUCUCCCAAUCUCCUCAUCAUUUAAAUGCCUUCUAAACACAAAAUUCCAUCCAUGUUCUCCAAGCUGAUACCCCAUAAGGACUAUUCACAGAGUUGGAGACCCAGUUUCUAUUCAACCCCUACUUGUUGACUAUCACCUCCCUCCACAGUGCUUAUUCCUCAGUGUUGAACCUCCAUAGCCAUUUUGACAAGAGGCAUCAAUUCUGCAACCCAACCAAGUUUCUGAUUCGAAGUCCAUCAGAUUGUUUUUACAACUGUGCAGUCUGCCAUUUGACUAAAUGCAAACCUUCCCUUCUCUAUUCCCUUUCCAAAAGAAAUCUCUUCUUAGUUUGUCAAGUCUUUCUUCCACUUCGGCAGGCAUAGGGAAUAAAGACAUAACAUAAGUUGGAAGAGAGUCCAACACAGAGUUCAUUAAAGUGACUCUCCCUCCCAAAGAUACUGAGCUUUUCAAUUGGACAGUUUCUUCUGUCUUUCAAUUUUGCCAUCCCAAAUUCUAGCUCCUUACGUUUGUGCCCCAAUGGCAUGCCCAAGUAAGUAGUGGGAAGUUUUUCUACUUUACACCCCAAUAUCCUUGCCAGGCUCUUCAUUUUAGUCUAAUAGGUAUCGUUAUCCCUCUGCCUCUAGGUUUUCCCCGUCUUUUAAAGUUAAAUGAGAUUCUAAGUUUCUUAGCUCCUUGGGUACACUAUGCUGGUUGCUGUCCCUCUUGGUAGCCUCUUCUUUAUAUAAGUAGCCUCUCUUUUGGUCCCAUCUUCAUGAGUAAUUCAAAGGUUGUUUUAUCACAACCCUAGAAAGCUGCUCCAAACCUCUUGCUGAAUUGAAGAACGUUAGAUUUCACCCAUAUUGAGGCUCCAUCUUUCAUUUCCUUUUCUGAGAGAGGUUCUUCCAUCAUUUUUAUUCGAACCAUAAUCCUUCUUCUUAGAAGAAUUUGAGCAGACUUUGUCUCUUACCUCAGUGUGUUGCAUGUUGUCGGCUAAAAUGAUAAACUGCAUAAGGGAAGAAACUAGAGAGGUUUUAGGGGUAUCGCAGGUGGAGGGACAAAGGGGUUUAAAUUGGAAUGGAGAGGUCCAAUGAAAAGUGUUAGCGAAGAAGCCUACCACUUUGUAGAACAUACCCAUAAGCCUUGAUGACACAAUCUUAUCGCACAUUCUCCUCCAUUUUGCCCACCUCACUCCACUACCUUUGACAUCAUCAUUAAUCUCCCUAUAUCCGUGGAUUAUGGACCCAAGGUACUUGAAGCUUCUCUUUUGAGUAUGACUUGUGCAUCAAUCUUCACUUCCACCACUGCCUCAUGCAUUACGUCACUGAACUUGCACGACAGGUUCUUUGUUUUAGACUUGCUUAAUUUGAAAUCUUUAGGCUCUAGGAUCUAUCUUCGAACUUCCAGUCAAUCAUUAACUCAACCGCGAGUCUCAUCUAUCAGUACUAUGUCAUUUGCAAAUAACGCACACCACAACAUCUCCUUUUGGAUCUCCAUGUCAAUUCUUCCAUUACUAAGAAAAAUUGGGAUGGGCUAAGGACUGACCCCUGGUACAACCUCAUCACGACCGAAAAGUGUCUUGACUCACCUCCCACUGUUCAUAUCCGGGUCUUAGCUCCAUCAUCAAUGUCCUUAAUGGCCCAAAUGUAGCCCACUGGCAAACAUCUAGAAGACCUCCCUAAGGACAUUGUACACCUUUUCUAGGUCGAUAAACACUAUGUAUAAGUCUCACUUCUUGUCCAUAUACCACUCCAACAAUCUCCUUACAAGACGAAUGACUUCUUUAGUCGAUUGUUCUGACAUAGAUUCGAUUUGGUUUUCGGAUAUAGAGACACGCCUACUUAACCUUAUUUUCAACCAUCCUUACCCAAACUUUCAUAAUAUGACGUGGUAGCUUGAUACCCUAAUAGUUGUUGCAAUGUUGAAUACCACCUUUGUUUCUUGUAAAGCACACAAUUGUACUCAAUCUCCCUUCUUUGGCAUUUCAACAGUUCGAAAAAUGACAUUAAGCAACACAAUCAUCCACUUCAUACUUGUCUACCAGUGUUUUUCUUAAACUCUAUCACUAUCUCGUUUGGCCCAGUUGCUCUUCCUUUUCUCAUAUUACAAAUAGCCCUCUUAACCUCUACAUUCUGUAUACACCUACAAUAUCCAAAAUCUCCACGACUCACGGAAUACUCUAACCCAUCCAACAUGAUAUCCAUGUGCACUUAUUCAUUCAAGAGCUAGUGAAAUAUGUUUGUCACCUCUCUUCUUGUCUUUGAUGCACUUCACUUAGUCGUGGUCACAAUCCCUCUUCUUUCUCAUCUUGGCAAGCCUAUACAACUUUCCAUCCCCACUCUUGCCCUCGAGUUCUUAAUACAUGUGCUCAAAAGCUUCUGAUUUAGCCAUCAUGACUGCUAGCUUUGUUUCCUACUUUGUUGUCUUAUACCUUUCCUUUUUUUCUCUCAUUCUCCUCGUCUAAGCUUUCCACUAACACCUGUGUGGACAAAUCAUGACAGAAAUGAUAAGAAAUGAAGUUAAUAUGGGGCAAGAUAGAAGUGGACUCCAUAGCAGACAAACUAAGGUAAGCGAAGCUGAGACGAUUCGAGCAUGUGAAGAGAAGGUGGCGGAUGAGCCAAUUAGGAGGUGUGAGAGGUUGGUUGUAAUUGAAAUUGAGAGAGAUAGAGGUAGGUCAAAAAAAAUCGGAGGAAAGUGAUUAGACAAUACAUGACAACUUCAACUUACUAAGGAUAUGCCCAUACAUAGGAAGGUGUAAACGUCAAGGAUUAGCAUAGAAUAGUACGUAGCAACUGUUACCCGUUAGGUGGGAGAGAUGGGGGCCUAGCCUCGUCUUCUCUUCUUUAAUAGUAUUAGUAUCUAGUAAUCACGUAAUUUCUUGUUAUUCAAUGUGUUCUUUUGCUAUUUGUUGCUCCAUGUUGUUUCGUAUCUUCACAUUUUAUUGUCACUUUCUCCUUCUUGCAACCCUUCUCCGAAUAACCUCUCUUUUAGAGUAGAGGGUCUAUCCAAAAACAACUUCUUUACCCAUAAAGAUAGGGUAAGUAGUCUACAUACAACUUACCCUCCUAAGACCCCACUUUUGGGAUUACAUUGAGCAUAUUGUUGUAUUUUUCUCCUUGUGUUCUUCCACAUAGGAAAAUAUAACAGAUACUAGUGCACCAGUCGCCACAAGGCCCACAACCAAAUUCUGAGUGAAGUUUUUAAAGUCAUUUGGUGGUGAUGAGUGACGUGUUAAGUCUAUACCAAAAUGUGGAGGUACUAAUAUUUAGAAAAUGUCAAAGAAGCAAAUAUCCUGAAGAUUACCUGACAUUUGUUAAAUUGUGUGAUUGUUGGGAAAAUCCAAUUUCUUCUUCUUCCUUCACUGAAAAGAAAUAAAUAUUAAGAUUAUGGGCUCAAAUCACGGGAAAAGUAAACAGGUGAUUGAAAAAUAAUAGCUCUGAACACAUUCAUAUACAAUUCUUCAAAAUGAAAAGGCUUUAGCUAUUGGGCACUGAUGAGAAAAUUUUAUGACAUAUCAAUAUAAAACCGACAGAAUAUAACAGAACUCCUAGAGACAAUUCAAGAAAGCCCCAUCUAUAUCCAAAAUUCACUCCAUAUGCACCAAUAAGUUUUUACAAAUCUAUGAAAUAGAUCCAGCUAGUACCACAUGCUAGCACAACUUAGCUUUCACUAGUUCCUUGGUGCAGCCUGGAGCUAAAUUCCACAUGUAAUUUAGAGAAAAUCUAAUGUGACUUAAAAGGUUUGCUUUUUACUCAACCCCAAAAAACUAGCUCAUGAAGAUCGCCCAAAACCAACAUAGGACUUUGACAACCACCUAGGGACUGGACAAAUAGGAGAGUGGAUAACAUAACACAAUGGUUCUACAAUGAGAAACACAACAAGGAUUGAUGGGUUUGGCUCUGAUACCAUGAAGAAAUAGACUUUGGGCUUAACUCAACCCCAAAAAGCUAUCUCAUGAAGAUCGCCCAAAACCAACAUAAGACUUUGACACCCACCUAGGGACUGGAAAAAUAGGAGAGUGGAUAACAUAACACAAUGGAUCGACAAUGAGAAACACAACAGCAUGGAUUGAUGGGUUUGGCUCUGACACAAUGACGAAAUAGACUUUAGGUCUAAUUCAACCUAAAAUGCUUGCUCAUGAGGGGAGGAUUGUCAAGACCAUAUAAGGAAACCCCAACUCAUUCUCUCAACCAACAUGGGACUUAACACAAGUAAUAAGUUUUAUAUAUCAACUAAACAGGCACUAACCCUACUCUUAAUAAUGCAACAUCGUUCUCUACAAAGUAAUGUGGUCCUGGAAACACAAUGGUAUUUCAUGUGUAACCAAAAAAUACAGCAACAGUUUAGCAUCUGGAACAAAGUCUCUCUAAAAGACAUGAGAGUACCCAGUUACGUCCCUUUUGAAUUUUGUGCACCAUUGUGUUAGGAUAGACAAUGACUUAUCCUUCUCCUCCCACUUCCCCUGAUUCUUCACUAGCGCAUCAGCUUAACAGAAUUCAGAACUACGAGGUACAAGCUCAUUAUGUCCAUAUCAUGCAAUAGAUGAAAUAGCUAUGAUGUCACAAAGUUCUAUUAUGGCUUAUUACAGACACUACGAUUCUCGGUGUAGAGAAGUAACGAUUAAGUUGUUCAUCAGUGCAAUGUCAUAUUUUUGAAAAGGAACCUUCCAGAUUAUAUAGAUUCAUGAUCCAGUUGCAAAUACACAUGUAAGGAAUGGAAGCAGAUUAAAUGUAAAAGAUGAAUACACUCUUAGGCAGUUUGAGUCAACAAACCAGAAAUUGCGCAAGUGCCACCCACCCACCAAAGGCGGGAAAAAAAGUAGUAAUCCUUAUGGAAGGUAAGAAACUGUUUUCAGAUAAGCAGUAGGUUUCUGUCACUAACCUCACAUGAGAAAAUAAUGAUUUUGCUAUCACAUUCAAGACAGAUGCAAAGAUAAGGAUAUUGAUCUUAGAUAGUAAUUCAGAAGAAAGUCCCCUUAGCAAUUCCAAGACCCUUGACUUUGCCUUAGCACUUGCCUCGUGAUACCUGCGAAAAACAUCCAAACAAUUUUUUACCAAAGAAAGUAUUUCCAUGUAAGAAUCAGAAAUUGGCUUCAAUGUAAGCAAAGAACCUAGCUAUUGCAUCUUCCACCCUCAUUGUAGUGAACCAUUCUUCUCCAACCUUCUUCCCCUUUGAAUCUAGAGCAGGUCUGAGUUGCUUAAUUUGUUCUUCUCCAGCGGUUCCAGCCCAAACAGUUGGUACAAAUCUCUUUCCCUUAAACCAUACAGCUCCAUGCUCACGGGCAUACAAAAUCUCCCCUUUAGUUCCUCCAAGUGGGGCCAUCGUGGCCCUUAUUCUUGAAAUAAUAGGUAGGAAAUCUUCUGUUAUCUAGAAACAGAAUGGAAGACCUCUUAAAUAUUUGGGAGAUUGGUUGUUAAGUUCAUUAAUUUGAGAUUUUUGUCUCUUUCUUCUUUAUUUAUUUUUUUUCGAUUUGGCUGCUAAUCUUGGAACUGACUUGCAUGGUUACUUCUAUAAAGUAUAGGUCGAAAUUCUAUAAUUCAAGAUCUAUUUGCCUGGAGCAAUUAUGACUACUUCUCCAAAAAAUUAUUUUUAUAGAUCAUUUGUUUAGACUCAGAAUCUCAAUCUGGUUAGUCAACCAGCCAAAGCAUUAUACAUGACUAUAUAGAAAAAGCAAUUUAUAUUUUAGCUAUCCAGAAGAGUACUAAAGAACCAGAUGCACAACUUGUAAUUAUUAGAAUUAUUAUUCGGGGUGAUAGGAUAGGAAUUAUUAUUUGGGAUGAAAAGAGACUCACGGCUAAAGAUAAAGCAUCCGCAGCCUUUUCUACUUCUGCAUAUGCUUCCUCCAAAUGGAUCCUCUUGACACGGCCUUUCCACAACAACUCCAUAUCUUCAAAGAAAUCAUUUGGGAUGAUAGGAUAGGAACUAAUCUUUUGAUCAUUUUCACCAUGUACGGAUAUUAUUUCACUGAUUCUACAAGAAAUCUUUCCACAUUCAUUUACCUGAAGUAACAAGGGGUUAAUCUUAAUCAGAUCUACAAUCAAAGCACCGUUUGAAAGAAUUGGGCGAAAACAAAUCUAAGUCAAAUUAGUCAAUACAUGAGCAGAUACGAAGAGCACCUGGCACAUCGAUCAAACUAAAAAAGGCGAAAACUAAAAUCAAUAUAAACCCUACAAGAAAGAACGAAUUGCAGAAAAAACUAGAGGCAUAUGCACGUGUCGUACCACCAGGAAACCAAAUAUGAUCAACAAAGUUAAUAAUUCUAGUGUACUGAACGAUUAUUACACGCCUCUAAUUGUUGUUAGCCCAUGUAUAAGCUAUAAAAGAGUAUGUCCAUCUAAAGAAGUAUCACAAUUUAGUAUUUUCUCAACUCUUUUGAUGAUCUUCAUGCCUAUACAUUCUAUUGAGCACCAGUUAUGAGAAAAAAGGUUCUCGCCAGGUAUAAAAUGUAGCCAUGCUUUUACAAUGUAGAAGAAAUUUAAAAACUUAUACAGGAAUCAUUCAAUUAACAAGAUACAUUCUUGCUAGACGGUUAAAGUAGCUCCACACCGUCAUCUUUGAUCUCCAAGCGCAUACAAUGCAAAAGCAUUUUCAAGAAAAGGAAAAAGGAAAAAAAAGAUUAAAAAAAAGAAAAAAGCUGAAUGAUUCCUGUCCACUUAUCCUAAACUGGACUGCACGAGAUACUUGCUCUUUAUGCACCACUGAAUAUUUAACUGUACAGGAAGUCUUCGUAAUUGGAAGUGGAAUAAAAACCCCAACAUCACUUACUAGUGUAUCAAAAUCAACUUUCAACCCAGUUGCCACCCAAGUAGGAUCCAUCAGUAACUCUACAAUAGCACGAAGCUCUGAAUUUCUAUACAACUGCAGUAUCUCUUCGACCAUGCUCUUUAUUUUGCAGAACUCAACGUGAUUUGCCUCCCUCAACUCAAGCAGCUUGACCAGCUGUAAAUAGAUAACAAAAAGCGCAGCAGUAAUGCUUACAAACUGAAGCACAGAAAGCUAAGAAUUGUUUGGGAAGGGAAAGCAGCUUGAGGAAGAGAAUUCUUCUUUUAUAUAACUGUAGUUUUCCUACCUACCACAAGGUUUGAAACUCAAAACACAUGACAUAAUGCCAGAACCAAUUAUCUAUAGAAUGAAUAGUAGACAGAAGUAGCAAUGCUGCUAAACUGAUGACAAAGUUCAGAAUAGUAGAUAGAACCGAUGGACUUAAUAUAUCUCCCAAAAGUCGAAAUUUAUAAAAGAAAUUCAUAGCAAUCAUCUGUUUAUGAUUUCUUCUUCUUUUAUUGAAGUAAGGUGUUAACAUUAAAAAGGCAUAAGAUGCAUAAGGUGCAAAAAUUAGUGAGGACUGUUAGCUCUGCUAUUACAGAAAAAUAUAUGCCCUAUCAAAGAGUUAACACUCACUACAAAAGAGUGAUGACUGUUUUGUGUCACUACAAGAGAGUGAUGUUUCCAGAGAUAAAAAUUCGACAAGACAAAUCAAUCUUACCUGAAUCACAAAGAUGGACAUACGGACAGGAACCAUGUGAUGAGUUCAGACAAAAUAAUGUCGGUACACAAAAGAGAGAAUCAACCAGUCAUUGAAAUCUCAGCCCAGAGUUUUUAGGCAUCAGCAAUAAAAUGUAGGCUCUUAUUUCAGACAAGAAAUAAUACUAAAAUAACAUAACCCAACUUAAAAAGUUAAGAAGCAAAAAUUGUUACAGCAUAUGAACAGAAUAGGUAAGUUUUGCAGUGACAAUGAAUUGAAUAAUGAAAUGCAACCUUUGCAGAUGAAAUACAGGUAAAAUCAGGAAUUGAACAUGUGACACUCAUCAUAAGUCUGCAUGCCUCUGCAAAAACAAAUGAAACAUAUUAGUAAAGAAAAAUUCAUUGUGUUUGUUAUAAGCACUGAAGACAAGAAAUAAGGAAGACAUAUAAGCCAUAUAUGACACUACAAAAAAUUGCUUGGCACAAAAAAAUCAGCCCCCCCCCUCCUCCUCCUCGUGGCAAAAGAAAACAGUAGCAACUACCCAAUCCCAUACUAAUUGAGUCAGCUCAGUGAAUCUUUCAAUUCAGCUCAAUGUGACGAAUUUCGUUCCAAUACUUAAAAGCUUUGUCUUUUGCAGAUAAGGAUUUAUUUGUUACUAGAGAUUCUCUACACUUUCUCCAAACAAAGCUCUCGACACACUAAAAAGAUUGCAACCCUAAAGUAAGUUUGCCAACGUGACAUAUCCCUAAUGAACUAGUUGGGCAUUGCCCCAAUUAGGAAAAAUUAGUCAUUUUCUCAACAUCUCAUUUUGUCUCAAAGUCCACCAACCCCUUGCGCUUUAGGAUACAUCUAACUCAAUCAAAUCUCAAAGCUUACAACUUGAUCUUAACUUCACUGGCAGUGACAGCGUGGAGCUUCUUAUUGACAUCAACUUUUAUUUCCAAAAUAGUAGCAAAAGAUAUUUGUUAGUAGAGAACAGACAAAAAAACAUGCUCCACACGUUUGCUUCAAAUAUAUAUAACUAAAUAAGUGAACAAUUUCAGCAAAAUAUGAUCUUCAAUAACUUUUGUGCAUAUUAGGACAAUUUUUGUGUUCAUUCAAUUUUGGUGCACUACAUAAGGCCCUAAUCAGCAUAAAUGAUUGGAUCCUUUUGGGGAGAACCACGUUUUCAUGUAGGUUCUCCACUUCCUGUAAACUACUUGGUCCACUUGUACACAGUGACUUUCUGCCUAUAAAGGAAGUAAUUCUUUAUAAGAGAAAUGAUUUUUCACAAUCCCAAAAUCUUACUAGAUCUGAAGUUUGUUACAAUUGUGCUAUUUGCACAGGAAGUCUGAAAUAAAGAGAGAGACAAAGAGAGAGAGACGAGAUAAGAAGGCAAAAACAAUAUAAUUAUUAUGGAAUCAACUCAUGAUAAGAAUGACAAACAACAAAAGUUAAUUACAACUCUCUUUACAGAGAACAUAUUUUUGAGAUUUUUUUGAGAAUUUCUUUUAAGAGAAUGUACUUGGAAAACCACAUAAUCGAGGUCCACCAAUGCAAGAGAAAAGAAGAACAUUAUUCUUUGAGUGAGUAAAGUAGGAACUACUGAUCAAAUGCCUGAAUCAUUUGAAGUGUUGCAAUUGUCUACACCUAAACAACGUGUGAGAGACUAUAUUGCUCGGACUCUUCAAAAAUGUCAAGAGGUGUGUGUCGGAUUUGCCAAAAAUAGUGUAUUUUGGAUAAUCCGGCAUGGGUGAGGCAUCAAAAGUGAAGAGUCCGCACAACUUAGGUGAGAGAAAGGGUAGGGUUGGGGCUGUAGAAAGACCAGUCCUAAACGACCUAAACUCGGAGCUUCCUGGUAGUUUAAAAAAGAGACGAGAUGAACCCUUCCGUGUGGCCCAGUGGUUUGAGCUUGGGACUUCCAUGUUGGAGGUCUCAAGUUUGAAACCCCUUGUCAGCGAAAGCAAGGGUUUGCCUUCUGGGUCGAGCUCGUCGCACCAGGCAAGCGGUUACCUCUCCUAUGUGGUUUGCGAGCUAUUGCAUAGGAGCUGGGGUUUUACCCUGUGCGCACCCAAAGGGUAGCAACUGGGGGUUUCCCUUGUCAUCAAAAAAAAAAAGACGAGAUGAGAUGAAAUGAAAAGGCAGUCUGGAGGUCAUAGGCUAUAGGUGGAACAGAAGGCAGUGGUCAUAGUCAUUGCUUGGGUUGUAAUAUUUGCAUAGGCUGUGGCAGUGACGGGAAAGGGAUGAAACAGAUAAAAAACAGAUAGAGAGCAGGGGGUUAAAAAUGAGUGGUAGGGAGCACGAAGGAGACGUUAACAGAGAACAGUAAGGAGAAUAUCUAUGCAAUGUCCAUGAUCCAGUUUUUGUUUGACCAGAAUAACAAAAAAAAUUAAAAAGAAAUAUCUUGUUUACCAUAUAUAUGUUAAUAGAAAUCUUAAUAGGUGAUAUCGGCUCACCAAAGCCAAGUAUGUAAGCUCGAUUUAAUGCUCAAAAGUUAAAUGAGCUGAACCGAAAGCACUGACUUGAGACAACCCAGCUUAAGCAGCAAUCAAGCUGCCUUAGCUUGGAUGCAACACAAAAUGUGAUGCCUCAUAAUUGGCUAUCAAUAGUCAGGAGGAUGUGCUUCAUCAAUUGAAUCGUGGUGCAGAAUUCUGUCAAGCAGACCACUGCUGGUAAUGCAGUCAAGCGCUCUCAAGCUGAUUGCAGCCCUAGAUGUGAUAGAGCUCGUAACAGGCCCAUUAAGAACCAGAAAGACCAAAAUUUAUCAAUUGAAUCAUAGAGCAGAUCUCCAUCAAGAAGAAAAGCAUCGUGCUAUAUUGAGUGCAUUUGAAGGAUUUAGAUAGCCAGUAGAAAUCCAAUACAAAGAUGCAUUUGGAGGAUAUAGACAGCCAGUAGAAAUCAAAUACAAAGAUAAAAGGGCGAAGACAAGUCACAGAGCCUGCAAUGUUUCCCUACUAGCACUCAUGUGGAUCCAGUUGAAGGAAAGAAAUACGAAAGCUUUCCAGGGGAUAGAGAAUUACAACACACACUUAAUAACUUAAGCUUUAAGAAAAGUAGGUUAGGACAUAAAUUGAACAUACUUUUCCAUUUUUACCCUUGUUAAUUAUUGUCAAAAAUAACUACACAUUAAUUAUAAUAACUAAUUCCAAUACUAACUUAAAGGGUAAAAUUGGAAGAAUAUUUUGAAAAUAGUUUUGAAAAUUGAAAUUGUAAGUUAAUUUGAAAAAUGAAAAAGGGCUCAAAGCUUAAGUUAUUAAGGAAUGGAGGGAGUACUUUCAUUCCUAGUUAUCUUUUGGUGCACACAUGAGGUUUCAGUUCGUACAGAAUAUUGGGCGUCAUUCAUUAGAAAUUCAUACUUGAUGUAAAUCUCUACUUUUGGGUAUACCUUUUUUUUCUACCCCUCACUUGGAGCUCCCACCUUUUUGCUCUGUUGGUGACUUGAACUCACAACCUUAUAGCUGGAAGUGAAGGGUGCUUACCAUCUGAGCAACUCCCUCUUGUCUACUUUUGGGUAUACUACUUGUAUACAGGAGAUUGUCUCAUUAUUUAUAAAAUUAUUUACCUUACCGAAAAUAAAAGGAAGAAACCAAAUAAUGAAACUACACUCACUAUGAUAUGACAAAAACAAGAAAGUUAAAGCUGUCAAUAUGAUCUUAAAGUUGAUCAAAUAUGUGAUGUAGUUAGUAAAAUGAUUGUCAUCAUGAACAAGUGAGGGAUGCAUGAACAUCUACAAUAUAUUUCUCACCUUGAAUGUCUGAAGAAAUCUCAUAGGCUGGUGGAUUUAAAAGAAGAUCCCUAAUAUACCUGAUAGAGAUAAUCACGGACACAACAAAUACCAGAACAACAUCAAAUGUAAAAAUAAGAAAAAAAAAUGAUACAAGAUAGACAAAUAGAUAAAUGUCAUAAAGAAAUAAGUGAACUAUCAGGAAGAUUAUAUAAUCACUUCAAAGUAGCAUUGAAACAAAAAUCAGUAUUCAGAAGGUCAUAACUGCUGAAAGAAGAGGAAGCUAUCCACAAAAAAACUUUUUUCUAAGAAAAUGCUAAAUAGAAAAUACAGAGAAAGGCCUGUGUGCAUACUACCCUCUCCAGACGGGCAGACCCCGCUUGUCGAAUUUCACUAGGUAUGUUGUUGUUGAGAAAUACAGUGAUAUAAUGAGGCCUGAGUGAAAUUAGCCACGUCUUAAAUUAAGCAACCAAAUCAGAAGGAAUACCCCAUUUUCGUCUGUGCUUCCUAGGGGUGACAGCUCUUUUAUAGCUUGUACAAAAUCUACUUAACCGACACUGUGUUUUUCUAAUGACCAUAUGAGUUCUUAAGGAGCUACAGGUUCUCAAUAUCUGGAAAACAAAUACAGUCAAUAGUAUAAUGCUGCUGUAAAGACGAGUGAUCCAAAUCUUUUGAUAAUUCUGUGCUACGACAAGGAUUAUUGAAAUGGCAGCUAGGUGGAGCAAAAACUAUAGCAGCACAGGUACAAAACAAUUACUGCUGGUUUACAGGAGCUGGGGUUCUAGAAAGAAACAGAGAGAACUCCAUGCAGUGAGGGCAGACAAUUGUUUGCAGUAAAAAAAUGCUCACUUACAGGACUGGUAGACCACUGCAAUGAGGAGGAAGCAACACCUUUAACAAACAUGGAAUCCCUUCGGUUGGAAUAGCACCUAAAGGAAACAAAUCCAGGAAACAGAUGUUUCAGCUUAGGGCGACAACACCACAUAAUGACAGAAUAUAACAGAAUUAAACACAGUACAAUCAUUACCAAUUUGUGUGGCAGUUCCAAGGUGUAAAGGACGGGGCCUAUUUUCUGAAACAACAGUGACAUUUCUGAAUGGAAUGUCAUCAUUGAGACCAUAAAGCUCUUUUACCUGAAAUUUCCAUUACUUUGCAUGUAACUUUAGUAAUGAGGAUCACAAGCAAUAAAACAAUGUGAGGCCAAACCUUGAACAAAAGCUCAUCGAUAGGAUUGCCAUCCAACCAUUCCUGCUGUCUAGCAUUACAUUCUCCCCACAAAAGUCCACCUUCACCAAACUCUCCCCAACGCGAUGUUCCUGUGAGGAGACCCUCCAGCUAAAUGAAGGACUGAAUAACAUAUACAUAUAUAAAUAGAGUAAAUUCAGAACAGAUGUGUUGCCUUCUAAUCUAAAGUUACAUGCAACUGCCUAAACAUCAUUGUUGACUCAAAAACACAAUAUUAGAUCAAAUAAACAUACCAAUCUCCCCCCCCCCCCUCUCCUUCCCUCUUUUUUUGGAACUGGAUAGCAAAACAAAUUGGUUGAGUCAAUGGAAGACCUAAAAUUAAAACAGAAAUUGAGCAUGUUCAGGAAGUGUCCACAACAAACUCUUCAAGGUUUUUUCCAACCAGUCAUAUCCUAUGUGGUUAUCAAAAUUUAAGUGAAGGCUAAUUCACAUAUAAACUUGAAUUGCUUCCUUGAUUAAAUAUGAAGAACCAAAUUGUUAACAACUUAACAACCACCCGGAAUGCCAAAAUUACAAAAAGAUGUUGAAGUAGUUUUAUCCUAUGGGAAAAUUCUAAAAAAAUUCCUCUUCUUUUAUCAGAAAAGAGAUAAGGAGAUUUGGAGAAUUCCCCAUAAUAUAAAACUGCUUCUCGGAGUGAAUUUCCCCUGAAACCAUUCUCCAAUGCAAGAAACAUACAUGAAAUGACAAAUGGAGAUUUUCAUGCUUUCAACUUAUCCAUGUUGCAAGGCAAUGACCUAAUGUGGUCCUUCAUGCAAGUUAUUUUUAUCAAACUCUCCAUUUUACCUAUUAUCGUCUCGAUGUAUCUCUAGCUCAUACCCCCCCCCGGGUGUUAUCCUAUCCUAAAAGGUUAUUGUUAAUGUUUUAGGACACUAGCAUGUAUGUAUAUUGAUAUAAAAUUAACACCACUCAAAACGAGGAAUCAUCCUUACUUACAAAAGCGAACAAAUUGAUAGUACUCCUCUUCCUUUGUCAUUUAAUCUCACAAUGAUUUUUUCUAUGAGACAACACUUAUAGAAACCUGAUCUUCUAAAUACGUCUUUUUUGUCACGGACUUAGACUCUUACUUUUACACACCAUGCGGCACUCGACAACUCGUUCCUUUGCUUUUACGUCUCAUGUCGGGAGUGCUAGAGCCAUAAAAUGAAUCUUGCAAGCUCAAGUACGCUUUUUUGACACUAGAUCUCUAAGGAAUGUUGGAUUUAGGAAAGACAUGAGAGAAUUGCAUAAGAGGGUUUGUGCAUUGCUCAAGACUUGGAAGAUUUGUCUGAUUCUUGCUUAAUUGUGUUACAAAUGAGUAUCUCUCUAUUUAUACAACACACCGAAGGGCUAAGAUGCAAAGUAAAAAUUGCAAGUCUCUACACAUUUACAUAUAAGUGUUAUUUCUAGAAUACUCUACACAACUAGAAGAUUCCAAGGACUUCCAAUGCAAAUCCAUGGAAUCCUAAGGCCUUCCAAGGGAUUUCUCCAAGUCUCUAGAACCUUCCAGUAUGGACUAGCUUUCUUCCUAUGCAAGGCUUCCACAUGGAUAACUUUAUGCCACAUGGCACCUACAUGGCAUGAUAACAUUGCGGGUCAUCACACUUUACACCAAAAGUAAAAAAGAGCUAGCCAUUUUGAAUACCUGGUAAAUCACCUACCAAAGCUUGAUUUUGAUCUUAUAAAUCGUGGAACAUAAACCUCAAAUGCAUAAAUACAAUGUUUGAAACUCGUAAGACACCCAAGUAGCCUCAUGGUAAUAGCUUCAUCGCCGAAGUCUAAGGAGAACUUGGUGAGAGAAAGGGAUGAAAUGUAGAGCUUCCUAAGAGAACAUUUGCAUAUUGUAUUAUUCGAUUAAAAAAAGUAAGAGACUAGUACACAUCGGAUAGAGGUUGGGUCAGAUUGGUUUUUUAAUUGAAUUUGUAUUUAUUAUUUUUUAAAAAGUACACCAUCAGAAGUUGGAUUUUCCAGCAAAUGAUUUUUAGGUUACUAAGGGCAAAACUUGUGAUUUUUGUGUUAAAAAAUAUAGUUCACUGACUUAAGUGAAAAAGACUGAUAUUUAUAUGACAUCUAUGAAACUUACCCAUUUAGUACCUCAAUUAGAACAAAUUGGAGUUCGAGUAUCUAAAUGAAUUUCGCUGACAACUUGAGGGAGGGGCCAUAUAUAUAUACAUAUACAUAUAUGUAUAUGUAUAUAUAUAUGUAUAUGUAUACAUACAUAUAUGUAUACAUAUAUAUAUAUAUGUAUAUGUAUAUAUAUAUGUACAUAUAUAUGUACAUAUAUAUAUAUCUAUGUACAUAUAUAUAUAUAUAUAUAUAUAUAUUUAAACUAACAGAUAAUAAUAUUAGGUAGUGUUACCUUCUCAAAAAAAGGAUAAUAAUAAUUAAGUUCCAUUUCUUUUGUAUCUUGAAGUUGGUAGCAUAAUUAGUAUUCAUAUGAAAUUGGUUAAUCAAGUGUUACCUUCUCAAAAAAAGGAUAAUAAUAAUUAAGUUCCUUCCAUAUAUUGAAAAUUGGUAGCUUAAUUUAUAACUUAUAUGAAAUUUGGUAAUCAAUUGUUACCUUCUCAAAAAAAGGAUAGUAAUAAUUAAGUUCUUUCCAUUUCUUCUGGAUCUUGAAAAUUGGUAGCUUAAUUAAUAACUCAUAUGAAAUAAGGUAAUCAAAACCUCUAUAAAUACCCAAGUGCUUAACAUUUUAUUUUCAUCACAUUUUACAUAAAGUUGAGCAUCACCUCAUUAGGUUAGUUUCAUUAUUUAUAUUUCUUCACAUUAUUUGUUCCUAUAAAAGUUGAAUCUCUCAGUUGCUACUUCUUUCAGUUGUUAUAGAGAGGUGUGACAACUACAUCUUUUCUAUUUUUCCUAGUGUAAUUAGUGUGAUUAAUUAACUGUGGAUACGUCCUUCGGGAUGACUCAGUUGGUUUGGAGGGUGUUUAUCCACACGGAUGACCCGGGAUCGAUCCCCUCUCAAUACCUACUUAGUCGAGCGUGUCGCAUAGGGCUUUCCUAGUGCAGUUACAUCCCCUAUGUGGUUUGCAGGUUAUUACACAGUUUGGGGGGGAGAUUACCAAGUGCGCACAAAGUGCUCACCCGAAGGGCAAAGGUUGUAGUGGUUGCGGGUUAUCCUAGGGUGUAUAUAUAUAUACACACACACACACACACAUCAUCAUCAUCUAUAAUUAAUUGUUGUUUUAUAGAGAUAAGUGGUAUAGAAAAGUUUGACUUUAAUAACUAAUUAUUUUUCCUUUUUUUAACAAUUAUUUAACAGCGGAAAUGGCUUUGAAUUCUGGUCACAAUGAUGGUCGCAUGCGCGAAAUCUGUUUGGAGCUAGAGGAUGCACGCCACCACAUAAGAGGGUUGGAGUUGCAAAUGCGAGAUGCUAGAUUAGCAUGCAACAUUGGAGAGUUUGUUAGUCUGCUAGAUAGGCGUGCUACUUAUCUGGAGAAAGAAGCUAAGCUCGAAAAGGAACUCAAGACUAAAUUUAACUUUUUUUACCGUAGGUUUCUGUAGUUGAUUUUAAUUUUCUUCCCUAUAUGUAGGAAGAUCAUAGGAAUUGUUACAAUAAUUGAAUGUUGGGAGAAAAACUGAAAAAGUUAAUACAGACAAGGGAAUUUAAUUCUCUUUGGAUUUGAAAACCUACACCUAAAUGAUGUGUUCGCUUUAAUGUAUAUGUAUGUUUUCUGCUUUCUUUAUUUAAUUGUCAUCACAAGGUAGGGUAACUACCACUUUUUUCACAAAAAUCACUUAACUAGCAUUUCUAACACAAAAAUAACUGAACUUUCGAGUAUACAAACACAAAAAUCAUAUAACCUGAAAAUACUUACUUCCCGGUGGAUAACUCAAUUUUAAUUAAAAAAGAAAUUGAUAAAUAACAAUUCAACUAAAAAUCAUUGACCUGACUCAACCCAAAACCCAUAUGAAGAAAGUAAAAUAGUUAAAGAACGGAAUAAGUACACAAUGUACAGUGAUUUCAACAACUACUAGUCCUUCUCACCCCUAACUAAUAUUUGCAUUGAUCUUGUUUAUAUAUUUCAAAGAAAGAGAAGGAUAAAAAGUGUUAAAGAAAUGACAAAAAAAUGGAUUUAAAGUUGCCUAGAACAUACUGUCAUGGAAUCUCUGCCAUAUCAAUUCAAGGCAUAAUCAACAAAAAAAAUAUGUGCUAGUACAUUUUCUAUCAGAGUUGCUUUCAUUAUCAGCAUAUUUUAGGAAAAGUCACUACAACAUGAAAACAUGAUAGCUUAAAAUUACAAAUAUCAUUACACCAAUAAUAAAAUCAUGACCUAUAGAAAAAACACUUUUAAGGCAACAAAAAUGAAAUUUAACACCCAAGGCGGAUGCUUUUACGACCGCGACUUACAACUUAAAUUCUAGGCAUAGCCCUAUGGAUCUACGCCUUUCAUUUUCACCCCGGAGCAUUUUUUGGUACACCCCACCCUAGAACUUCCCAAAAAUUAGCUUUGGAAACAUUGGUGGCAGGUUGCUCCAUUUUAUUAGGAGGAUCGUCUUUUUAUCACUAUUGCCUUCCCAAAGAAAGUUUCUUCCUAGAGCAUCAAUCUUGUUGACCACAAUUACAAGAUUAGGAACAAGGACAGCAUGUAAGUGGACAUAACAUCUCGGAACCAUUCAUUAGGUAAACAAGACUUUUGUUCAGUUAAGGUUGAUCUUUUGUCCAGAAAUAGAUUCAAGGAGUACAAAAAUUACUCUCAAUAGCUUUCAUAGGCCUCUAUCUGGACCACAGAAAAUCAGAGUGUCAUCAACAUAUUUAGGUGAGAUAUUUCCACGUAACAGUCGCCCAUUGAUUAACCUUGAAGCCCCUAAUCCAGUUGUUUUUCUGUGCCCUCUAUAUCAUAUCAUCAGACCCUACAUUGCUACAGUUAAAUAAAUGGGGACAGUGGAUCCCCCUGCCUAAUUCCUCUCAUGGAAAGAAAGAACCCUGUUGAAUUGCAUUUAACAAAAACAGAAAAUCUGGCUAUACUAAUGCAAUAUUUGAUCUGCCUAAUCAACCUCUCUCCAAAACUCAUCUUCUUCACUGAAUACCAGGAGUCUUGUUUCUGCGAGUCUACACAUUGAUUAGCAAUUAGUGUUGCAUCCAUCAUUGUAAUCCUUAUAUAAAGGUUAUUUGUUGUGCAUCUAUCAACCUCGCCACCACUUUCUUAAGCCUCUCAUUCAACAGUUCUACCUCCUCAAAAAAAAAAACACUUCUGAAAUAAUUUUGUAAAUACUCCUGACUAGCCUGAUGGGUCUGUAGUUUUUAGUUCUUUGGCACCAACUUAGUUGGGGAUCAUGGCUACCAAAGUUGCAUUGAAGCAUUUUCCAAAUAUGCAUUGCUCAUAGAAAUUCUGUACAGCAGCUAUGACAUAUUUCUUGCCACCUCCUAGCACCAAAUAAAGAAAUGUCAGAGUAACCAGCAGACCUUGGGACUUUAUCCCCUGCAACAUACUUCACUGCUUCCCUAUCCCAUAUCUCUUGUGGGAAAAAUGAGUUUUGAAGCAUCUCAUUAUCCUAAACUCUUAUCCUGGGCCAAUAUCUCAUACCACCUUGAGGCCUCCACUCCUUUGUUUAUGUGUAGAGGUUCGGGUAGAAAGACACUAUCUCUUCUUUAAUAAUCUUUGGAUCUCUUGUCAGUACCCCUUCCACUUGCAAUUGAUCAAUGUUGUUAUACCUUCUGUGGCAUAGGCUGCUCUAUGAAAAUAGCUUGUAUUUUGUACUCACAACUUCAACCAUAAAGCUCUGGAUCUUUGUCUCCGUGCUUCUUCUCUAUGUUUUGCAAUCUCUUCAUAUUCCAUAAAGAGGGAUAUCUUGGUAAAAUUUCAUCAGAGAGAUUCCUCUAAUCAUUAACUUUAUUCAAGUGAACACUCCAUGCUUUUCUUUUUCAUGCACAAGUACAAUUGCUUGGUCCGCAGAAGUAAACACAUACUGGUUUUCUUCAACUUGUUACCCAUCUUUUUCUUCUGAGUUCUCCAAGAACUAUGAACUAUAUGCCUCGCAAGAAUCCCUUUAAUCGUUUGACUGCUUUAUGUCGUAGUAUUAGCAGACACUUCUUCGAUUAGUGGAUUAGACUUUUAUAGAGGAAGGGCUUCUUUUGGUUCAUUAUUCCAGCAGAUUUUGAGCAAAAUGACCGGGGCAAACCUUUUUCCCCUCUGCUUUCCCAGGGCCUCUAGAAAAGGAUAGCUCAUGUCCACGUGUUAGGUCAUGUUAGUUAUAAUUAAAUCCUUAUGCUUCCCUGCUGCUCACCACGUGCAGUGUCCCGACUUUUUGAAUUGAGCUCAUCCCGACUGUAGGAUUCUUCUGUUAUCAUUUGGCUUAUACUUCUUUCAUUCUUCUCCGCUCCCAUCGAAACUCUGACCAAUACGUCCACUUAUAUCGGAUCUCCAAUAUUAUGCCUCUACGCACACCUUUGACAACAGUGGCUCCACCAGUGAAAGAAAAUCUUGAAAUUCAUCAGGAACCAGGUUCCUUCUAGAAUAUGGACCAUCAAUAGCUUCGAGGAGAGGUAGGGAUUAUUUAAUAGUCACGUAGUCUCUUUUUCGUCAAUAUGUAUAUCUACCUAUUGCCUCAUUUAUUUUGUAUCUUGCUAUUUUGUUAUAUUAUUCAUACAAUCUUGCUUCAGAAACAUUUCUUUUGAGCCGAAGAUCUAUCCGAAACAGCCUAUCUACCCCACAAAGGUAGGGGUUAGGUCUAAGUACAUUCGACCUUCUCCAGACCCCACUUGUAAACCCUACUUGUGGAAUUAUACUGGAUAAGUUGUGGUUGUUGUCGCUGAUAGCUUUGACGAGAAACUAGAAGCUAUUGUAACCCAUCUCAAAAAUAUUUAUAUGUAUCUGCUUCCAUAUGCUACUCACCCAUCUGCGAAUUUCCAACAGGAUUGGGACGUCAAAGGUUGUUGUUGACAAUUUUCCAACCAAGCUCGCUGUGUGAUUGUUCACUCUCAAUAUAAAGGAUCUCCCCAUGCCUGGACUUCGCAGCUCCCAUCUGUCUUGAGGCCCAUCAGGACAGAAUCCGAAUAUAAGAGCCCUGAAUAUGUUGUCUUAAAUGGUCUUGGUUCUGGAUUUCUGGUUGACACCCUUAUUUAAUUGACUUAUCAAUCUUUUAAGGCAUUCUCCAUCUAACCUGUAUUAAAUGUCAUCUCAGGGACAAUAAUAAUUCAUGUCCCCCUGCCUUGAAUGUUAAUGAUUGUAACGUACCGGCCACUUCACCUACGAUGUUUCCUUUAGUGUGUCACACAGCCACCUCAUUGUCUUACUCUUGAACAUUGUUGUUCUGAUAAGAUUACGGCCUCUCUCAAUUCAUUCAUACCAUUCCCCUGAUCUGGAUCGUUCCUAACAACUUCAGAAAAUAUGAAACCAACUGUGAAGUGUAUUGUAUUGAUCCUCAUGAAGAUUUGUAAUAAACAGACUAUUCUUUGUAUGAUGAUUCCAGUUGUUGUACAUGAAAUGAUGUAACCUAUAAAGGGUGGACAUCUUGUCAUGUCAUUCCGGUGAGACUUCUUAUUUUUUUUGACAAGUUCAUUCAGGUGGAACUUUGUAUCUUAUACGGAUCAAAAGUAGUAUUUUAUUGUACUACUUUCCAUGAGCACAGAUGGGCCUCUAUCCAAACGUUCUAGAUUUCAAAAAGCCAUUGGGAUCAUACUUUAUGCUUUCAAACCAAAUUGUUCUCCUACAAAGACACGGCGAAUUGGUCUCUAUCUCAAAUUUAACUUCACCUACAUACAUCCAAACAAAUAUAUGCAACUAUAACUAGAAUGGCAGAGUAUGUGGGUAUUAGGUCCCUUAGCCGAGCUACUUAACUCCCUAAUAAGCAACAGUAAAAACAAAAGAGCAGUCUGCAGACCUGAGGAAUUGUUCUUCAAUGAAUUAUGCAAAAAAAAAUGAUGGCAUCGACAAGUACGAAGUUUGGUGACUACGGCUUCUUCAGUUAGGCCAUCUUCCACAGAGUAAGUCUUCAUAGUCUCGUAAACAGAGAUAAUGCAAUACCCCUUCGCUGAACGGGAUAUUCCUGUACCCACCAAAUAAGAAUCUUAGUUUGUGAUUUGCAAGUGAAAUUGCUUAAUCUUUCAUAACUAAUAAAUAUGAGGUGCUAAUGAACAAAAAAACUGUUUGCUACUUAAGUGAUCAAGGGAGCAGUCACUAGUCAGUAGAAAUAGGACUUUUAGCAUAGGAAAGUUCUGAAUUAUAAAAUCUUGGAAUGAAAUGGGUCUAAAUAGAGAGGAACAGAUAGUGAUGAUUCAUGUCUGCCUAGGAGGGUUUCUAUUUUUACUUGGCUAGCCACUAGAGGGGUUAUUUUGACAAUGGAAUAUCUUAGAAAGCAGAAGCUUGUCUGCUUCAAUUGGUCUUACAUGCGCAACGAGGCGGGCAAGGAUCUGGAUCACCUUCUUCAUUAUUGCGGGCUUACCAUAAGGUUAUGGUGGGAUAUGUUUAGAUGGUUUCUCACUCCUUGGAUAAUACCAAGAACCGUGAAAGAUUUGGAUGCUCAGUUGGACGAGCGAGAGGAGGACGAGCCAAAGGACUUUGACCGUGGUUCUAAUUGCAUUAAUGUGGGUUGUUUGGAGAGAGAUAAAUAGGAGAGCUUUUGAUGGUGUAGAGUCAAGUUUCUUGCAGUUGAGGAGUAGUCUCCGCUCUCUUAUUUUCUUUUGGUGUAAACAGAAAGUUCUUUGUAGAAUAGUAAAUUGGGCGGAGUUUGCAGGGUAUCAUAUCUUUUCAUAUAACCUCUGUAUAGGCCAUUUUGGUCAUGUUUAUGAAUGAGAAUAGUUUUACUUGAUUAAAAAAAUAGUCUACCCAAAUUAGCUUGGAGAGAUUAGUUGCUUGCCAUAUUCUGGCUUUUAGCCGGAGAAUAAGUGGUCAAGCAGUCAUGACAGAGGUUCAAACCUGGACAGUGCAUUUGGUGGGAAAAUAUUGAUAAACACAAGGUCAGCAUUAUGAGUACUGAAAAAAGUAAGAAGUCAGGCUUGGAAAAUUAUUUACAUAAAUAAACAUUGGUACCAUGCAUGGGCAGCAAUUAUUUAGCUUUAAAACUAAAUAGCAAGAGAAACCAAUUUAUGCAAGAAAAAUUUUCUCCGUCAUACCAACAACAGGCAUUGGUUCUGGAAAAUCAAGAUCUUGAUCAUCUCCAACAAGGCCAAAAACAUAGGGACUGCCUGGAUGUGCAUGCCUAAAAUAUUGAGACCAAUCCAAGUGUAAGGCGCCACAGAUUAGGAUCAUUCAGCAUCCUUUCUAAGAGCAUAAAAACGUCAGUGAUGUAGAUCUUACGAAUAUGUAAGAUAUUUUGGUUAUGCUAGCAUGCUGAAAAGCUUUACUCAUUUCUCACAACUAAUAUUUUUGCAUCUUAGCAGACAUUAGUAGAUUCAACUGACAUGAAAAAAUCCAAGUGAUACAAAUAAAAACUGUAUAAUAGCACCCACAAGUAAAAUUGUACUUGUAAGAAAUCUUGAGCUAUUUAUAAGUAAUUACCCUGAUAUAAAUCGACUCUUACGAGCACGAGCUUGAGUUGGACCCUGAACUUCCUCCACGACGCACUACAAAUGCAAACAUUACACAGCUGUACAAAUUACUAAAUCUGUUUUGUGCAUGACUAAAAGGAAGUGAGGACAGAGAGGCACUUGAAGCUAUAUGUGGAAAAAAAGUAGGAGGGAAGUAGGAAGAUAUCAAGUCAAAUGGUUGAAAGAACAUCAUAAGAAAUCAGCACUUCAAGACAUUAAUCAGACCAUAACGUCACUCACAAAAGACAUCAAUUUAAUUCUUUAAGAGAAAAAGCCAACUCUGACAAGUUCAUUAGCAUACCAAUUUAAUUUUCCACUUCAGCACUCAUGUAUAAGAAAUAUAUAAGAACUUAUCCAACAAAAGGGAAUGAAAGUUCCAACUGACAGUUUGGGGAUGGCACUAACCACAGAGAAACCAUUACGUGUGAGAUCAUCAAGCGUCUGUCUUAGAUUCUGCAAAAAAAAAAAAAAAGUAACACAGUUUACAUGAGAAAGACGGAAUAAAAUCUAAUAGAUACCAUAAAUUUAUCUUGAAAAGACAACUUAGGGACAUCAGAAAACUCAGCAUACUCUGCUGGCAGUUUCUCGGGUAUAAUUGUGCAGGAGGAUGACGGAAUAGAAGUGCAGAAAUUUUAUUUUAUAUUGAUAUGGAACCAAUUCAAGGAAAUAAGGCAGUCAAAGGUAUUUUCACUCCACGAGCUUCAAAAGAAGGAACCAGUUAGGCUUGAAAGUAUUAAAAAAAAAGUAAAAGGAAGGAAAUAAAAUGAGAAAAUCAAAUGAUCCCCCAUUUCAUUGGCAUAUUAACAGCUUAGACAUAACUAAAAGCUUCUUCACCCUGUUAAAAGAGGUAAAGAAACAAAUCCAGUCUCAAGCUUGGUUUCUACAUGGUCACAAAUCUGAUUCACAAGAGUAAUCGGUUCUGAACCCUACAUUAGCAUUCAUGCAAAAUAUGCAAUCCAUGUUAUAUAAAAACCUUUUGAACGGAAAAUAAAAAUUGAAAAAAUAUAAAUAUAAGAAGAAAAUGAAAACAGUACCACAACUGGACAACCAGCUUUUGGUAUACUAUCUGAGUGCAGGCCACCAAAUGGAUUUAAACCAGCAUAUUCCACAAGAAUACAAGCAUCGAAUCCAAUAGCUUCAUAAAAAUCACCUACCUGGAAAGUCAAAGAAGAACAAGAAGCACUCUUCAUUGAUUUUGAUCACAGCAGGCCUCGUUAAUUAAGGAACUGAUGUGUGACUUUAAAAGAAGGGUAGAUGAAAGGGGUAAAAGCAUACUCUACAGAGCAAAACUUCACGUGGAAAUUUUGACUUGAACUGCAACAUCUCCGAGUUAAGUGUUCCCUCUUUAAGACUGAUAAAUUAACAAAGGUAACCUUUGGUAAAAAACUUCAGUAACAGACAGACAAAAACACAAAGCGACACAAGCAUAUGAUAAAUUUACAAAGGUAGACUUCGGUAAGAAACUUAAGCAAUAUGAGACAAGUAAUAGAUAGACAAAGACGCAAGGAGACAUAAGCAUAUGUAUAUUACACGUGUACACUUUUACAUUUCUGUGUGUAGACCUGACAGUUAGAACUCUGUACAUAACUUUUUUUUGCUUCUUGAUAAGGUCAAACUUGAACUGUACCCUACAAUUGUUUUUUGGACGAAUUUGUUGCAACCUGGAUUCAUUUUGCUUUUAAACAAGGUUUCCUAAACCGUGUCAAAAAUCAAAGAACAUCAUUAUGGGUUUUCGCAAUUUGCAAAGCUUGUCAAUCAUCAUUCAGCGCGUAUUUUAUUAAUAUAUUAUAGAAGUAUUGAAAACACCCUUAAACACGGCGUGAACUAUUAAUUCCAUUCCUGAACUAUUGAUAGUCUUAAAAACUCCCCUUUACUUGACUAAGUGAAUUAAAUACACCCCCCAUUUUGCAACAUAAGUGAAAUACAUCCCUAAAUUUUUGCCAACUUUAGAGUGUUUUCAACAAUUCUCUUGGGCUUUUAUUAAGACUUGAGAGUCUUAUACUCUUACAAGAGUUUGAGACUUCUUACUAUGUUGUAUAUCGGGGGUGUAUCUAUGUUUAGUUAGUCAAGAAAAGGGGUGUUUUUUAAGGCUGUCAACAGUUCGUAUGGAACUAAUAAUUUACACCAAGUUCAAGGGUGUUUUCAUUAUUUUUCUCUUAAUAUAUUUAUGUCCAUAUGAUUAUAGGCAGAAAAUUCAGCAUGAAAAAAUUGAAAUACCUAGAUAUUGGAGUUUGCAUUUUCACAACUCAACAACUCAUUCCUGACAAGAUUAUAUCUAUAUGAGGAAAUUAAACCAAGAAUGUGCAAACAACAAGAAUAUCAACGAGGAAAGACAAGGAGAUCUCAAAGAAAGUUUAAAACUUUUCUCAGCGGAGCUUCAGAUUCCAAUCUAUAUAGGAAUAUGUUAGAAUAGGAAUAGGUAUAUGCGAUCCUACUUAAAUAGGAAUAAGAAUGAGAAUAGGAAUAGAAGUGGUAAAUAGCAUCCUACUUGGUAAAGGAUUGUACGGUGGUGUCUUUAAAUAGGGUCUCUCUCCUGUAAUAAUUUGAAUACAACACAAUGCAAUAAUAUUUUUCUCCUAUAUUCUCAUAGAAUAAACUAAGAAAUACAGAAAAUCUAUUCAUGUAGAUUUACAAAUUAAAACCUGUAGUUGAGUUUAUGGAGAAAAACAAAGAAACUCUCCCAGAACCCUUCUCUUUUUUUUUCCUUUUGAAAUGGUAAGGACAGCAUGAAAGAACUAACCUUCCAUUUCUCAAACUCGGAUCCACACCCAGCAAGUUACAAUAUGUAAGCCUCUUAGCCAGAAGAGCGGAAGAAGGCUUUCUCAAGAAUUCCAUUCUCUAAAACAUAAAAUCAUGGUGGCACAACAAUAUAAACUAAUUAAACAAUUGUUUACACUUGUUAAAAAAAGGAAAAGAAUCACAUAUUUAAAUUCUGCAAUAAACCAACUCAGUCAUAAAGAGAAAUGUAGACAACCUCUUUCCACCACAUAAUAUUAACAUAGUCUUUUUCCUCUGGAAUACUUUUUGGUUGUUUGAGUUUUUUUGCCGUUGUGGCAAAAAACUUCCGCUCCUUCACGCAACGUAUCUGCUCUCGGCACCUGACACUCAGCGGGUGACAGAAAUUGCAAACAAAAUUAUUUGGAUUCAGAAAUUUGUCAUCAGUAGUUGAUACGAGGGAUAUAUAAGAUAAUUUAACCAAAAGAAGCACAUAUUAUCUAAUCCCGAAACUUAGAAUGAUUAAAAGGAACUCUAUUUAAGAAUUCUGAGUUAACUAUCAAAUAUACAAGAAAAACUCUGAUCCUCUUUACACCUUAAAGCCUUCUAUUUCUAUCUAUUCAGUCCUCAAAGCUUUAUCUUUCCAUAAACCAUUUAAAGAACAUCACAGGUGCAGUAGCUAUCAAUGAUUCAGCCUCAAACUGAUAUAAAGACCUCGAUGCAGUUUCAAGAAACAUUCUACAACUUGUCCAAAAUAUGAAAUAUGCAGGCUUUAAUAGUGCAUCAAGCCCAAACAAGACAGUAUCAAAACCAUCAGGUAUGAGAGUUCCAGAAAUUAUAAAUACGAAAGAGAAAGCUCCUCAUUCCAUGGCUGAAAGAGCAAGUUUUCAGUUAAUAAACCAAACCCCCGCCCAGUGGCGGAGCCAAAAUUUUUAUUAAGGUGUCCAAGAAUAAAGGUGUGUGGCUGUUAAAAUAAAACAAAAAAUAUUAUACUAUUUUGGGUUCGAACCCGGAACUUCUUCAUUUAAAUGGACACCUAUUACCACUACGCCAAAAGCAUAACUUUUGUUAAGGGUAUCCAACUUUAAAUAUAUAUCCUUUAAAUGUAGAAUUUGACAAAUAUAUACAACUUAAUUUUCCAAAAAAGGGUGUCUGACUAGCUCUAGCUACGCCCCUUGCCCCGCUAGUAACUAGGAAUGCAAGGGAUUAGAUAAUCUAUCAAACGUUGUCUUAUUGUGGAGGAAAUUGAUUAUAUUAGAAGAGAGAGCCAUUCGCUUCUUAUAUAAUUCAUCUAUUUAUUUAUGGAAAAAUUACUUGGAUUGAUACCUUUUGAUAAAUGAUUACUGAUUUUAGCGAUACUUUUUAUUUAUUUCCACAUAUAGCAACACUAUGUUAAACCUUCAAUAUGUAUUGAAAGUGAAUUAUGUAUGCAAUAUAUAUGUAUUAGAAUUGUUUUCAAAAAUAUAUUAUGCUUGUUCGGUAAGAAUCGUUGUAUUAUAAGUGUAUUAAAAUGUGCGAUAAAUGUAUUAUUCAUCAAUAAACUUGUAUUAUAUGUGAAUAAUAAAUUAUCUUUUUAAUAUGUAUUAUAAAUGUAUUCAAAGUGAUCAAGUGAAAAAAAAAAUAUGUUAUUGCUAUAAAUGGUAAAUUUUUUACUAUCGUAUAUUUAUGUAAGUUUCCCAUUUAUUUAUCUUAUCUUGUAAUGCACCAUUGAGCCUCAAAUCGAGUAUAGUCAAAUCUUUGCUAACACGGUGCCUCAAGGAGAACCUGAAACUGGCUGUUACUUCACAACAAAAAGCAUAUAUAGCAUUCACAAAGAAAUGGUGUACAUGGAAGGAAUAAAGCAAUGGUGAGAGACUACUCAGCGAGUGAUACUUAUCUUAUUUUCCCUUUUUUAGACAACAAAGAUUAUAAAGUCACCCUUAUACAAAAGUAAUGCAUCAAGUAUGGAAUCACAUCAGCUGCUACUGUUUGAUAGCCUCGUCAAAUAGGAGAACUAAGGGUUUCUGGUAGAUAAAAAAAAAUUCAAAUUGGAGAGAGCUUUAAAUUCUUAGUAUGAGACAGCUCAUUUACAGUUAAUGGAAAAAUGAGAUUAAGUAGAUCACCAAGCUAGCGGAUAGGAAAGGGUUGUAUUACUACUCCUGCGUGAACUUUUUGAAAAUGAAUCACCUAUUCAAGCACAACUCAUUUAGGUAGCUUGUGAACUAACAUUUAAUAUGAGCCCAUCUUUCUAACCUAUCAUUUGAUGGACAAUCCAUCUUGCAGCUCCUACAUCACGUGUGUCUAUAUGGGAGCUAAUGUAUAAAAACUAGUUCACUCGGACAAAUCGAACAGAUGAUCUACAUACAUAACUUUUUGCUAGUACUUCCAUAAUUGUGCCUCGUCAUCCACCUGUACUUCUUCUUAAUUUAGAAAGUAACAAAUUUAAUUUAUGCUUGGGCAAGAAAGGUGCCACAUACAACACCAUACUAUUGUAAUAAUCCACCAAAAAUGUUCACCGAUUCCAAUAGUACUAUAACUUUUGAAAAAAGGGUGGAAGCAGCAUUGGCGCGAGGCGGAGGCCAAAUAUAGUUUAUCCUUCAUUCAUGCUUAUGAUCUAUCUAAACUCCAGAAAGCUCAAUUGGUCUGAAGUAGAAAAAGGUGGAAGCUUGGGCAGAACUAGUCACCCUGACAUGAAAGUAGCAUGAGUAGGUGAUUUUCCACAUAUAUCGGAACUAAGAAAGGUAUGUUUUUUUACUUGACUAGCUACGAGGUGAGUGAUCCUGACAGUGGAGAAUUUGAGGAAGAGAAAGAUAACUAAUGCCAGUUGGUGUUUCAUAUGCAAAGAAUUAGGUGAAGAUGAAUCACCUUCAUCUACAUUGUCGGAUAGCUUCUUGUUUAUGGUGGGAAUUCUGGAUGGUUCAUCCUUGAGUAAGUGAUGGUGAGCACUGUGAAAGAAACAAUAUUAUAUUUUAUUUUUUGAAAAUGGUAAUGUUGUACUCUGCAGCAUUAGGGAUAUGUUGGUGACCUGCAAACAGAAGGGAACAAAAGAAGAGAAAAAAAAUACUUACAACGAUCCUAAGAAUCCUACAAGGCAUGAGAUGUUGCACCUCUAGCAUUUAUGUGGAUCACAUAGCGAGAGAGGAAUAGAGGAGUUUCUGAGGGAGUAGAGAAAGACUUUGUUUACUUGAAGAAUAGCUUGUUUUCUCUUAUUUCUUUUUGGUGCACCCAUAGGAUUCUCCUACAUGUAUAGAUGAGUGGGUGUUAUUUGUAAAAAAAAACAUGUCCUAUUGUAAGGUUUUCUAUUUUAGGUAUACUUGUUGUAUACAGGCAAGCUUUUGCCCUUUUCUAAUGAAAUUUAUUACUUCAUCAAAAAAGAAAGUAGCAUGACUAUGUGUCAAUUUUAACAGUGAAAUCCAACAAUUUGAAAUAAAGAAUGACAGUGAAUUCAAUUAACUUUCUCACUUCCAAUUACAGAAGUGAAUUUUCAGGUACUAAAGAUUGAAAACAUCAACCUUGUGGAACCUCUGUUCAGAACCUCUGUAUCCCUGUAUCUUGUACUCAAAAGCACAAUCAAUUUCAAAAAAGAUAUACUGCAUUCGGUUCCUAUUAUUGAUGAUCUUACUGCAUUUGGAUCCUCUUUCAACUUCACAAAGCAAUGAGUCCCUCCUCUCGAAAUCCAUGAUACAGUCUCACACCACCACCACCCACAUCCUCACAAAACACCUACCUAAUAAAAAAGGGUACUAGUUGGUAGAUCAAAAAAUUAAAAUGGUGUUACCCUCAUUUAUGCAUCCAGCAUCUAAGACUAAAGGCAAAAAUUUAACUAACCCAUCAAUAAGUCACCUUUUCUCCACACCCAGAAACAAAUACAUAAAAAGCUUUCAACUUUAUGCAAGAAGAAAAAUCCCAUCUUUUUUAAACAAGAUAACAAAUUAUUGCCUCUUGAGCUUCCACAAACCACCCCACCCUUAACUAACCCAACAAUUACUGACCUUUUCUCCACACCAAGAAACAAAUACAUAAAAAUCUUUCAACUUUAUGCAAGUAGAAAAAUCCCAUCUUUUUCAAACAAGAUUACAAAUUCUUGUCUUCUGGGCUUCCACAAACCACCCCACCCUUAACUAACCCCACAAUUAGUGACACUUUCUCCACACCCAGAAACAAAUACAUAAAAAGCUUUCAACUUUAUGCAAGAAGAAAUAUCACAUCUUUUUCAAACAAGAUAACAAAUUCUUGCCUUCUGAGCUUCCACAAACCACCCCACCCUUAACUAACCCAACAAUUACUGCCCUUUUCUCCACACCAAGAAACAAAUACAUAAAAAGCUUUCAACUUUAUGCAAGAAGAAAAACCCCAUCUUUUUCAAACAACAUAACAAAUUCUUGUCCACCCCACCCUUAACUAACCCCACAACUAGUGACAUUUUCUCCACACCAAGAUACAAAUACAUAAAAAGCUUAAAACUUUACGCAAGAAAAUGAAAGAACUUACAGAGUAUGUGGAGAGAAAGAUAAGAAACGCCGGCGAAGUGGUGGACGGAGGAAAAGGGACAGUGAACGCCAACGGGGAACUGAAACGACGACGUUUUUUGCCGUAACCCAAUACAUUGCUCGAUAUCAGUGCACAAUACACUCUCUCUCUGUGUAUUUGUUCUUCCCGGCAGAGAAAUGGUGUACUUUAUAUUAUUUUCAAAAAAAUAAAAUCUGUAGGAAUUACAAUUAAACAUUAGGCAAAGAAUGUUAGUAGAUAUUGGUAUUUGGGACGAAUUAAUUACUUAAUAAUAUAAUCACAUUGAAAAUAAUAAAUCGUUGAUGAUUGAAGACAAUGACGUACGCGUUAUUUUUUUUCAAAUGGUAGAAGGAAAAAAAUUACUUAUUGUAUUUAUAAGUUAUAAGUAACUCAACUGUAUAUUUAACAUUGAAUCAAUACGUCAACAGAUAUCUUUGAUUAUCUAUUAACUUAAACUUUACGCAUAUCACCUUCCUGAACUGUUUAAAAUUGAAAUUAUCAUCUCCAUAGUGAAUGUAUUUCACUCCCUGAUAGAGUGAGCACCAAAACAAAUAUUUUAUCUUCUUCCUUAUUCUUUUCUUUGUUCUUCGUAGAAAUUUUUUCGUUCUUUGUUAUUAGAUUUGUUCAUAAAAUUUUCGCAUUUUUCUUGAUUUUAAUUUGUGUAUGGAAUUAAGAGUUUUUGAAAAUCAACUCUUUAUCGAUAUUAUUGGAGUUGUUAAUCAUCCUUGUACAUGGUCAAACGACAAAUUAAGGUCAAUUAGGUCGGCAAAUUCUUUUUUGGUUCUUCAAAGCUCCAAAUUUGUAAUUUUAAUUCAAACAAACGAAGAAUUUUAAAUUUUUAAUAAAACCCACAUUCGACUUUCCUCCAUUGUUAUUCAUUUACUCUAAUUUGAGAAAUUUGACACAUGUAUUCAUGAAAAUGAUCUUAGCACCAACUAAGUAGUGGGCGAAAUGACAAAUAAGAAUCAAAAUCACUGCCGACCUUUUCGUUUUGAAGAUUGUAGUGAUUAGUGAACCUUUGGUGUUUAUGAUAAUGGAGAAAAUAGUGAAAAUAUUUUUGUGUUGGAGAGAUGGUGAAAAAAUAGAAGAAAAGAAUAAAGAAUAAUGAAAAAAUUGAAGAAAAACUUUUUCUAAUGGAUUUUUCAUGUGUCAAAACGCGUGAGUUUCACUCAUCAACAUAAAUAUGGUUAUGGCUUUUUAGGAGUACAAAAAUUUCAAUUUUAAACAGUUCAGGGGUGAUAUGACCCCUCUAAAGUUUACGUACGUACUUAGAAAUCGGACAACAGAUUAGGGGGGGCAUUUGACCUUUUUUUUUUAUAAAUAACUUUAAGUGCAUAAUAACUGAUGAACUAACACAUCAAUUAUGUUUUGCUAAUACUAUCAUUUUAUUAAAUAUAUUUAUGAGUAACUGUAAAUUCAUUUGUGACGAGAUAUGAUUUUGUGUGAGAAUGGUAAAGACUAUCCUCUUCUUCUUACAAUUUUAUUUUGUCAUCUAGUCCUACUGUACACUACUAUUUAAAAAUAUACGUAUCUUAUAUUUUACUAUUUGUUCUUUUAUUUGUUGAUUGUACUCUUUAAAUCAAGAAUUUAUCGAAACAAUUUUAAUAUAUCAGUAAUUAAACCUACUGACAUAUUAUUUUUAUAAAUUCUUGAUUAUGACAUUACACUCAAAUAUAUUAUUAUUGAUAUCACUAUUGUAUUUAGGAUAAAUUACCUUAGACAUUUUUGUAAUGUGAUUUAAUUGCAAAUUUUACUAAUUCAAUGGCUAUUUGUUUUCCAAGCACAAAUAAACAUCACCCUAAAUAAUUACUUUCUCAAAAAUUAUUUGGUAUGGAUGUCCCUCGAUUGGACAAUGUUAGCUGGUACUUGUUGCUGCUGGGAGGCAAUGGAUAUCCCUCGAUGGACAAUGUUGAGGCAACGGAUAUCCCUUGGUAGACAAUGUUAGUUGGCAUAAGUUGCUGGUGGGAGGUAAUAGGUUUUCAAUGGAUUUAGUCAAGGUUUUAACCUAAAUGGACAAAGUUAGCUGAUACUUGUUGCUGGUUGAAGGUAAUAGAUAUUCCUUGGUGGACAAAGUUAGCUAGUACAUGUUGAUGCGUGAAAGCUGACGGAGUGAGUACUUUCUAGUUUCUGGUUAACUUUCUUUUCCUAUUGAACAGCACAUGAAAGACGUUGAAAAUGGUAAAACUAAAUGUCAAGAUUUAUGUCUUUUAUGUCACAGACUUAGAGUCUUACUAAAGCUCCAUGCAGCACUUGAUAAUUUGCAUCUGGAAUCGGAAUUACUGAUGCUGGUUUUGUUCAGAGUGUUAGUAUAUUUGAAAUAGAAAAUGCAAAGGAAUAUUGAAUUGAUUCUUUGAAUUUUCCUUUGUUGAAUGAUGUUGAAAAUCAUUUUGCAACCAUUGUACCAAAACUCAUUUCCGCCAUCUACUUACGCAUCCAUAUUCCAGUUCUUGAUUGGCAAGAAUUUUGUUAAACUUGGCCAACAAGUUCGUACUCACAUGGAUGUUCGAGGGGUUUCUCCCAAUGGUUUAGUCGCAGCCAAAAUGGUAGCUCCGGUGAAAUCGACUCUGCCAAAGUGAUGACUGUUAUGUCACGGACUUCUCAAAUCGGACAAUACUCCGUACGGCACUUGACGGUCUACUCACGAUUCUUGCACGAUCUUGUAGACUCAAGUAAGCCUUCCUCUACUUGGAUCGCUAAGAGAACUUAGAAAGAGAAAACAAAGAUAGAUUUUUGGAAGAAAAGACUUGUAUUGAUAUGUUAGUGGAUUGUUGGAUGCUUUACAAAAUACAAUGACCCUACUAUUUAUACUACUCUAACCACUAAGAGUAAAUAAAUACAACUAUACAAGCCCCUAUGUUCAUGCACUUAAGGCAUGACUCCUAAGUCUUCCAAAAAGGGACUCCUAGCCUUGACUAGUCUGCCCCACGUUCUGCCAAGCCUCUCCAAGGCUUAAAACUGCCGCCCCAUUGAUUGUUGUAACAGCUGUAACGGCUGUAACUGCUGUAACAGCUGAAACUGCUGAAACGGUUGCCCCUCCAACUGCUGCCUGCCCCUUUGCCUGCUGGCCUGCUUGGGCAGUCUGCCCCUUGCGCCUGCUGCUAGCUGCCUGGACGGGUCGCGAUCUGCCGGGGUAUCUGGCGGGUCGUGACAGUUAGCUCUGCUAGUACAGAAAAAUAUAUGCUAGAAUCAAAAGAGUUAACAGUCAGUACACAAGAGUGAUGAUUGUUUUGUGUCACUGCAAGAGAGUGAUGUUUCCAGAGAUAAAAAUUCAACAAGACAAAUCAAUCUUGACAAUGAAUUUUGCAGUGAGAAUGAAUUGAAUAAUGAAAUGCAACCUUUGCAGAUGAAAUACAAGUAAAAUCAGGAAUUGAACAUGUGAAACUCAGCAUGCCUCUGCAAAAGCAAAUAGAACAUAUUAGUAAAGAAAAAUUCAUUGUGUUUGUUGUAAGCGGUGAAGAUAAGAAAUAAGGAAGACAUAUUAGCCAUAUAAGACACUUAAAAAAUUGCUCCACAUUGUGGCAAAAGAAAACAGUAGCAACUAACCAAUCCCAUACUAAUUGAGUCAGCUCUGUGAAUCUUUCAAUUCAGCUCAAUGUGAAGAAUUUCAUUCCAAUACUUAACAGCUUUGUCUUUUGCAGAUAAGGAUUUAUCUGUUACUAGAGAUUCUCUACACUUUCUCCAAACAAAGAGUAAGUUUGCCAACGCGACAUAUCCCUCUAAUGAACUAGUUGGGCAUUGCAUUUUCUCAAUAUCUCGUUUUAUCUCAAAGUCCACCAACCCCUUGUGCUUUAGGAGAGCCUCUAACUCAAAUCAAAUCUCAAAGCUUACAACUUGAUCUUUAACUUCGCUAGCAAACUGUGGUAGUGUGGAGCUUCUUAUUGACAUCAACUUUUAUUUUCAAACUAGCAGCAAAAGAUAUUUGUAAGCUAAUAGAGAACAGAGAAAAGACAUACUCCACAUGUUUGCUUCAAAUAUAAAUACUCCCUCCGUUUCUUAAAAAGAAUGACCUCCUUUCCUUUUUAAUUUGUUUAAAAAAGAAUGACCUCAUUCUUUUUUGGUAACAUUUUAAUUUCAGUUUUCUACGUGGCAUGUUUAAGGCCACAAGAUCAAAGGGCAAUUUUGUACAUUUGAUCUAACUUUAAUCUAAGACCACAAGAUUCAAAAGUCUUCUUUUUAUUCUUAAACUCCGUGCCAAGUCAGACUAGGUCAUUUUUUGUGAAACGGAGGGAGUAACUAAAUAAGAGAACAAUUUCAGAAAAAUAUGAUCUUCAAUAACUUUUGUGCAUAUUAGGACAAACUUUUUGUGUUUAUUAAAUUUCGGUGCACUCCAUAAGGCCCUAAUUAGCAUAAGUGAUUGGAUCCUUUUGGGGAGAACCAUGUUCUCAUGUAGGUUCUCCACUUUCAAUAAACCUCUUGGUCCACUUGUACACAGUGACUUUCCACCUAUAAAGGAAGUAAUUCUUUAUAAGAGAAAUGAUUUUUCACAAUCCCAAAAUCUUACUAGAUCUGAAGUUUGUUACAAUUGUGUUAUCUGCACAGGAAGUCUGAAAUAAAGAGAGAGGGGGGGGGGGGAGAGAAGAGAUAGGAAGGCAAAAACUACUAUAGUUAUUGUGGAUUCAACUCAUGAUAAGAAUGACAAACAACAUAAAGUUAAUUACAACUCUCUUCACAGAGAACAUAUUUUUUAGAAUUAUUUUUUUUGAGAAUUUCUUUUUAGAGAAUGUACUUGAAAUACCCCAUAAUCGAGGUCCACCUAUGCAAGAGAAAAGAAGAGCAAUUAUUCUUUGAGUGAGUAAAGUAGGAACUAUUUAUCAAAUGCCUGAAUUAUUUGAAGUGUUGCAAUCAUCUCGACCUACACAAUGUGUGAGGGAAAGGGUAGGGUUGGCUCUGUAGAAAGACCAGUCCUAACGACCUAAACUCGGAGCUUCCUGGUAGUUUGAAAAAGAGACUAGAUGAGAUGAAAUGAAGAGGCAUUCUGGAGGUCAUAGGUUAUAUGUGGAACAGAAGGCAGUGGUCAUAGUCAUUGCUUGGGUUGUAAUACUUGCAUAGGUUGUGGCAGUGAUGGGAAAGGGAUGAAACAGAUAAAAACAGAUAGAGAGAAGGGGGUUCAAAAUGAGUGGUAGGGAGCACGAAGGAGAUGUUAACAGAGAACAAUAAGGAGAAUAUCUAAGCAAUGUCCAUGAAACAGUGUUUGUUUGAACAAAAUAACAAAAAAAAUUAAAAAGAAAUUUCUUAUUUACCAUAAAUAUGUUAAUAGAAAUCUUAAUAGGUGAUGCUCACCAAAGCCAAGUAUGUAAGCUCGAUUUAAUGCUCAGAAGUUAAAUGAGCUGAACAGAAAGCACUAACUUGAGACAACUCAGCUUAAGCAGCAAUCAAGUUGCCUUAACUUGGAUGCAACACAAAACGUGAUGCCUCAUUGUUGAAUGCCUUGAAUCAGACCCGCUACAAACAGAAAGGACGGGGGUCUCGCUGCCCGGUCAGCGAGUCGGGGGGUCCAGGGGGGCGACGCGCCCCCUGGCCUGGGGGUUCGGGGGGGCGGAGACGCCCCCGGCCCGACGGUAUACAAUGUUGUUGUAUUGGGCCCUUUAUUUUCUGUUGAUUCUGUAUGUUGGGCCCAAGCCUGUUAGGGCGUAGCUUAGCACUAUAUAUAGACGCUAUGGCAAACCCUAUUCUGUAAUUCUGUUUUUGCCUCUCCAUAAUAAAACUGCUCCCCCUCUUCCCGUGGACGUAGCCAAUUUAUUGGUGAACCACGUAAAUCUGUUGUCUUAUUUUUCGCGUUUAUAUUUUCUCGUAUUAUCUCAAAUUCCGCACAACACUCAUAAUUGGCGAUCAACAGUCAGGAAGAUGUGCUUUAUCGAUUGAAUCGUGGUGCAGAAUUCUGUCAAGCAGACCACUGCCGAUAAUGCAGUCAAGCAAUCUCAGCUGAUUGCAGCCCUAGAUGUGAUAGAGAUUGUGAGUAAUAUAUGGGGAAAAUAUUAUUGAAUUGUGUAUCUAAAUUGUUACAUUAAUAUCCUAUUUAUACACUACAUUGGAAUCCUUUUCCGACUAGGAUUCCUAUAGCUAAUCCUAUUCUAAGUAGGAAUACUUAUUUCUAUUCUAACACUCCCCACUCCUCCUCAAACUGGUGCAUACAAAUCAUAUGUACCUUGUUUGUUACAAAUGUAAUUAAUACGAGGACAUGUGAGGGACUUGGUGAAGAUAUCUGCAAGUUGAUCAUUUGACUUCACAAAUUUCGUAACAAUAUCUCCAGAGAGUAUCUUUUCUCUAACAAAGUGUCAGUCAAUCUCAAUGUGCUUAGUCCUUUCAUGAAAGGCUGGAUUUGAUGCGAUAUGAAGAGCCGCUAGAUUAUCACACACCGGUUCCAUCUGAUCAAUUUUGCCAAAUUUUAGUUCUCCCAGCAACUGUUUGUGAUCCAAACUAGCUCACAAGUUGUUGUCGCCAUUGCUCGAUAUUCUGAUUCUGCACUAGAUCGAGCAACCACAUUCUGUCGAACAUCUGUCAAAGGUUGAUCUUGCUCAAUUAGCGUCAGUAUAUCCAAUGAUAUGCUCAUUGCCUUGAUCAUCAAAGAGUAGUCCUUUACUGGGAGCUGACUUAAUAUAUCGCAAAAUACGAACAACUGCUUCCCAGUGACUAUCACAAGAGGAAGUCAUAAACUGACUUAAAACACUCACGGAAAAAGAGAUGUCAGGUCUAGUCACUCUAGGUCUAGUCACUCUGUGAGAUAAUUCAACUUUCCAACAAGCCGUCUAUACCUUUCAGGAUUACUACGUGGCUCCCCCUGUCCUGGAAGGAGUUUAACAUUCGGAUCCAUAGGAGUGUCAAUAGGUCUACAUUCCAUCAUUCCCGUCUCCUCAAGAAUGUCUAGGCAUACUUGCGCUGAGAAAUAACAAUACAUGAUCUAGACUGAGCAACCUCAAUACCUAGAAAAUACUUCAUUCAAUCUGCCAAGGUCUUUCUUAUAUUGAAAAAGUACAUUAAAAGAUCACCCAUCAAAAAUUGGAUUAUCCAGCAAAUGAUUUGUGUUACUAAGGGCAAAAUUUGUGAUUUUUUUGUUAAAAAAUAUAGUUAACCGACUUUAGUGAAAAAGACUCAUAUUUAUAUGACCAUCUAUGAAAAUUACCCAUUUAGUACCUCAAUUAGAACAAAUUGGAGUUCGGGUAUCUAAAUGAAUUUCGCUGAUAACUUCGAGGGGCCAUAGAUAUAUAUAUAUUAAACUAACAAAUAAUAAUAAUAAAAGUAGUGUUACCUUCUCAAAAAAAAAAGAUAAUAAUAAUUAAGUUCCACUUCCUUCCAUUUCUUCUGUAUCUUGAAAUUGGUCACUUAAUUCGUAUUCAUAUGAAAUUAGUUAAUCAAGUGUUACCUUCUCAAAAAAAGGAUAAUAAUAAUUAAGUUCCUUCCAAAUUUUUUUCUGUAUAUUGAAAAUUGGUAGCUUAAUUUAUAACUUAUAUGAAAUUUGGUAAUCAAUUGUUACCUUCUCAAAAAAAGGAUAAUAAUAAUUAAGUUCCUUCCAUUUUUUUCUGUAUAUUGAAAAUUGGUAGCUUAAUUUAUAACUUAUAUGAAAUUUGGUAAUCAAUUGUCACCUUCUCAAAAAAAGGAUAAUAAUAAUUAAGUUCCUUCCAUUUCUUCUGUAUCUUGAAAAUUGGUAGCUUAAUUAAUAACUCAUAUGAAAUAAGGUAAUCAAAACCUCUAUAAAUACCCAAGUGCUUAACAUUUUAUUUUCAUCACAUUUUUCAUAAAGUUGAGCAUCACCUCAUUAGGUUAGUUUAAUUAUUUAUAUUUCUUCACAUUGUUUGUUCCUAUAGAAGUUGAAUCUCUCUGUCGCUACUUCUUACAGUCGUUGUAGAGAGGCGUAACAACUACAUCUUUUCUGUUUUUUCUAAUGAUUAAUUAACUUUAGAUAUGUCCUUCGGGAUGGCUCAGUAGGUUUGGAGGGUGUUUAUCCACACGGAUGACCCGGGAUGGAUCCCCCUCAAUACCUACUAAGUCGAGCUUGUCGCAUGGGGCUUGCCUAGUGCGAUUUAAAUCCCCCUGUGUAGCUUACAGGCUAUUACACAGUGGGGAGUUUACCCAGAGCGCACAAAACACUCACCCGAAGGACAGAGGUUGUAGAGGUUGCGUGUUAUUCUGGGGCUCCAAAAAUUGACUGUGGAAAUGCCCUUGCUUAUCCUAUCCUGAUAUCUGCAUCAUCUAUAAUUAAUUGUUGUUUUAUAGAUAUAAGUGUUAUAGAAAGGUUUGACUUUAAUAACUAAUUAUUUUCCCUUUUUUUAACAAUUAUUUAACAGCGGAAAUGGCUUCGAACUCUGGUCACAGUGAUGGUCGCAUGCGCGAAAUCUGUUUGGAGCUAGAGGAUGUACGCCACCACUUAAGAGGGUUGGAGCUGCAAAUGCGAGAUGCUAGAUCAGCAUACAACCUUAGAGAUUUUGGUAUUCUGCUGCAUAGGCGUGCUACUUAUCUGGAAAGAGAAGCUGAGCUUGAAAAGGAACUCAAGACUAAAUUUAACUUUUUUUACCGUAGGUUUCUGUAGUUGAUUUUUAUUUUCUUCCCUAUAUGUAGGAAGAUCAUAGGAAUUGUUACAAUAAUUGAAUGUUGGGAGUUAAACUGAAAAAGUUAAUAAAGACAAGGGAAUUUAAUUCUCUUUGGAUUUGAAAACCUACACCUAAAUGAUGUAUUUGCUUUAACGUAUAUGUAUGUUUUCUGCUUUCUUUAUAACAUAUUUUAGGAAAAAUCACUACAAUAUGAAAACAUGAUAGCAUAAACCACAACUAUCAUUACACCAAUAAUAAAAACAUGAUCUAUAGAAAAAAUACUUUUAAGGCAACAAAAAUGAAAUUUAACACCCAGGCGGGAUGCUUUUACGCCCGCGACUUACAACUCAAAUUCUAGGCACAGCCCUAUGGAUCUACGCCAUUCAUUUUCACCCCCGUGCAUUUUUUGGUACACCCCACCCUAGGACUUCCCAAUAAUCACCUUUGGCAACACUGGUGGCAGGUUGCUCCAUUUUACUAGGUGGAUCUUCUUUUUAUCACUAUUGCCUUCCCAAAGAAAGUUUCUUCCUAGAGCAUCAAUCUUGUUAACCACAAUUACAGAAUUAGGAACAAGGACAACAUGUAAGUGGAUAUAGCAUCUCGGACAACAUUAAUGAGCACCAAGCUGCCUCCUAACGAUAAGUACUGGCUCUUCCAAUUGGAGAGUUUCUUCUCAAACGUCUCCAUUUCUCCAUUCCAUAUCUUUUUGGAGUUACGUUUUGCCCCAAAGGGCAUAUUCAAGUAAACAGCGGGUAAUUCUCCAAUCGCCCCCCCCCCCUCCAAAGUAUAUAGCUAGUUCAAGCAAAUUCUUGUCGCUCUGGAACCGUUUACUAGGUAAACAAGACUUUUGUUCAGUUAAGUUGAUCUAUUGUCCAGAAAUAGAUUCAAGGAGUACAAAAAUUACUCUCAAUAGCUUUCAUAGGCCUCUAUCUGGACCACAGAAAAUCAGAGUGUCAUCAACAUAUAUUAGGUGAGAUAUUUCCACGUAACAGUCGCCAAUUGAUUAACCUUGAAGCCCCUAAUCCAGUUGUUUUUCUGUGCCCUCUAUAUCAUAUCAUCAGACCCUACAUUGCUACAGUUAAAUAAAUGGGGACAGUGGAUCCCCCUGCCUACUUCCUCUCUGGGAAAGAAAGAACCCUGUUGAAUUGCAUUUAACAAAAACAGAAAAUCUGGCUAUACUAAUGCAAUAUUUGAUCCGCCUAAUCAACCUCUCUCCAAAACUCAUCUUUUUCACUGAAUCCAGCAGAUAGUUCCAGUUUAUAUGAUCAUAAAUAAGCCUUUUCAACGUCUAGCUUACAUAGGAUGUCAGGGGUCUUGUUUUUGCCUUGUGUCUACACAUUGAUUAGCAAUUAGUGUUGCAUCCAUCAUUGUAAUCCUUUUAUAAAGUUCAUUUGUUGUGCAUCUACCAACCUUGCCACCACUUUCUUUAGCCUCUCAUUCAACAGUUCUACCUCCUCAAAAAAAAAAAACACACUUCUGAAAUAAUUUUGUAAACACUCCUGACUAGCCUGAUGGAUGUGUAGUUUUUUAGUUCUUUGGCACCAACUUUGUUGGGGAUCAUGGACACAAAAGUUGCAUUGAAGCUUUUUCCAAAUAUGCAUUGCUCAUAGAAAUUCUGUACAAUAGCUAUGACAUCUGUACUGACCACCUCUUAGCACCUUAUAAAGAAAUAUCAGUAACCAUCAGACCUGGGACUUUAUCCCCUGCAACAUACUUCACUGCUUCCCAAUCCCAUAUCUCUUCUGGGAAAAACGAGUUUUGAAGCAUCUCAUUAUCCUGAACUGUUAUCCUGGGCCAAUCCCUCAUACCACCUUGAGGACUCCACUCCUUUGUUUAUGUGUAGAGGUUCGGGUAGAAAGACACUAUCUCUUCUUUAAUAAUCUUUGGAUCUCUUAUCAGUACCCCUUCCACUUGCAACUGAUCAAUGUUGUUAUAUCUUCUGUGGCAUAGGCUGCUCUAUGAAAAUAGCUUGUAUUUUGUACUCCCAACUUAAACCAUAAAGCUCUGGAUCUUUGUCCCCAUGCUUCUUCUCUAUGUUUCACAAUCUCUUUAUAUUCCAUGGAGAGGGAUGUCUUGGUAAAAUUUCAUCAGAGAGAUUCCUCUGAUCAUGAAUUUUAUCCAAGUGAAUACUCCAUGCUUUUCUUUUGCAUGCAGAAGUACAAUUGCUUGGUCCACAGAAGUAAACACAUGCUGGUUUUCUUCAACUUGUUACCUAUCUUUUUCUUCUGAGUUCUCCAAGAACUAUGAACUAUAUGCCUCGCAAGAAUCCCUUUAACCGUUUGACUGCUUUGUGUCGUAGUAUUAGCAGACACUUCUUCGAUUAGUGGAUCAGACCUUUAUAGAGGAAGGGCUUCUUUUGGUUCAUGAUUCCAGCAGAUUUUGAAGGGCAAACGGUUUUCCCCUUUGCUUUCCCAGGGCCUUAAGAAAAAGAUAGCUCAUGUCCACGUGGUAGGCCAUGUUAGUUAUAAUUAAAUCUUAUGCUUUCCUGCUGCUCACCACGUGCAGUGUCCCGACUAUUUGAAUUGAGUUCAUCCCGACUGUAGGAUUCUUCUGUUAUCCUUUGGCUUAUACUUCUUUCAUUCUUCUCCGCUCCCAUCGAAACUCUGUCCACCGCGUACACUUAUAUCGGAUCUCCAAUAUUAUGCCUCUACGCACACCUUUGACAACAGUGGCUCCACCAUUGAAAGAAAAUCUUGAAAUUCAUUAGGAACCAGGUUCCUUCUAGAAUAUGUACCAUCAAUAGCUUCGAGGAGAGGUAGGGAUUAUUUAAUAGUCACGUAGUCUCUUUUUCGUCAAUAUGUAUAUCUACCUCUUGCCUCAAUUAUUUUGUAUCUUGCUAUUUUGUUAUAUUAUUCAUACAAUUUUGCUUCAGAAACAUUUCUUUUGAGCCGAAGAUCUAUCAGAAACAGCCUAUCUACCCCACAAAGGUAGGGGUUAGGUCUAAGUACAUUCGACCUUCUCCAGACCCCACUUGUAGACCCUACUUGUGGAAUUAUACUGGAUAAGUUGUGGUUGUUGUCGCUGAUAGCUUUGAGGAGAAACGAGAAUCUAUUGUAACCCAUCUCAAAAAUAUUUAUAUGUAUCUGCUUCCAUAUGCUACUCACCCAUCUGUGAAUUUCCAACAGGAUUGGGACGUCAAAGGUUGCUGUUGACUGUUUUUCAACCAAGCUCGAAGUGUGAUUGUUCACUCUCAAUAAAGGAUCUCCCCAUGCCUGGACUUCGCAGCUCCCAUCUGUCUUGAGGCCCAUCAGGACAGAAUCCAAAUAUAAGAGCCCUGAAUGUGUUGUCUUAAAUGGUUUUGGUUCUGGAAUUCUGGUUGACACCUUGAUUAAUUGACUUCUCAAUCUUUUAAGGCAAUCUCCAUCUACCCUGAAUUAAAUGUCAUCUCAGGGACAAUAAUAAUUGAUGUCCUCCUACCUUAAAUGUUAAUGAUUGUAACAUACCGGCCAUGACUGUUAUAGUUUCUUGCGCAGCAAGUGUCUUAAACAUGGUCACAAAGUCUCCAACUUUUAAUAGAAUACCCCUUCACCUACGAUGCUUCCUUUAGUGUGUCACACAGCCACCUCAUUGUAUUACUCUUGAACAUUGUUGUUCUGAUAAGAUUACGGCCUCUCUCUAUCCAUUCGUACCAUUCCCCUGAUCUGGAUCACUCCUAACAACUUCAUAUUAUCUGAAACCCACUGUGAAGUGUAUUGGAUUGAUCCCCAUGAAGAUUUGUAAUAAACAGACUAUUCUUUGUGUGUCCUAAUGAAGAUUCCAGCUGUUGUACAUGAAACGAUGGAACCUAUAAAGGUUGGACACCUUGUCGAUGUCAUUCCAGUGAGACUUCUUAUUUUUUUGAUAAGUUCAUUCAGGUUUAUUCUACUACUUUCCAUGAGUACAGUUGGGCCUCUAUCAUAACGUUCUAGAUUUCAAAAAGCCAUUGGGAUCAUACUGUAUGCAAUCAAACCAAUUUUUUCUCCUACAGAGACAUGUUGAAUUGGUCUAUCUCAAAUUUAACUUCACCUACAUACAUCCAAACAAAUAUAUGUAACUAUAACUAGAAUGCCCGAGUGUGUGGGUAUUAGGUCCCUUAGCCAAGCUACUUAAUUCCCUAAUAAGCAACGGUAAGAACAAAACUGCAAUCUGCAAACCUGAAGAAUUUUUCUUUGAUGAAUUAUGCAAAAACAAAUGAUGGCAUCGAUAAGUACGAAGUUUGGUUUGUUUACCAAUUCUCAAAAAAAAAAAAGUACGAAGUUUGGUGACUACGGCUUCUUCAGUUAGGCCAUCCUCCAGAAAGCAAGUCUUCAUAGUCCCAUAAACAGAGAUAAUGCAAUACCCCUUCGCUGAACGGGAUAUUCCUGUACACACCAAAUAAGAAUCUUAGUUUGUGAUUUGCAAGUGAAACUGCUUAAUCUUUCAUAACUAAUAAAUAUGAGGUGCUAAUGAACAAAAAUGCUGUUUGCUACUUGAGUGAUCAAGGAAGCAGUCACUAGUCAGUAGAAAUGGGACUUCUAGCAUAGGAAAGCUCCGAAUUAUAAAAUCUUGGAAUGAAAUAGGUCCAAAUGGAGAGGAACAGAUAGUGAUGAUUUAUGUGUGCCUAGGAGGGUGUUUUUUUAACUUGGCUAGCCACUAGAAGGGUUAUUUUGACAAUGGAAUAUCUUAGAAAACAGAAGAUUGUCUGCUUCAAUUGGUCUUACAUGCACAACGAGGCGGGCGAGGAUCUGGAUCACCUUCUUCAACAUUGUGGGCUUACCAUAAGAUUAUAGUGGGAUAUGUUUAGAUGGUUUCUCACUCUUUGGACAAUACCAAGAACCGUGAAAGAUUUGGAUGCUCAGUUGGACGAGCGGGAGGAGGAGAAGCCAAAGGACUUCGACCGUGGUUCUAAUUGCAUUAAUGGGUUGUUUGGAGAGAGAUAAAUAGGAGAGCUUUUGAUGGUGUGGAGUCAAGUUUCUUGCAGUUGAGGAGUAGUCUCCGCUCCCUUAUUUUCUUUUGGUGUGAACAAAAAGUUCCUCGUUGAAUAGAGGAUUGGGUGGAGUUUGCAGGUAUCAUAUCUUUUGGUAUAACCUUUGUAUAGGCCGUUUUCGUCAUGUUUAUGAAUGAGACUAGUUUUACUUGAUAAAAAAAAAUAGUAAACCCAAAUUAGCUUGGAGUGAUUAGUUGCUGCCAUAUUCUGGCUUUUAGCUGGAGAAUAAGUGGUCAAGCAGACAUGACCAACAACAGGCAUUGGUUCUGGAAAAUCAAGAUCUUGAUCAUUUCCAACAAGGCCAAAAACAUAGGGACUGCCUGGAUGUGCAUGCCUAAAAUAUUAAGACCAAUUCAAUUGUAAGACACCGCAGAUUAGGAUCAUUCCGCAAUCCUUUCUAAGAGUAUAAAAAUGUCAGUGAUGUAAAUCUUACGAAUAUGUAUGAUACUUUGGUUAUGCUACCAUGCUGAAAAGCUUUACUCAUUUCUCACAACUAACAUUUUUGCAUCUUAGCAGAUAUUAGUAGAUUCAACUGACAUGAAAAAAUCCAAGUGAUAUAAAAAUAAAUAUAAUCGCACCCACAAAUAAUAUUGUACUUGUAAGAAAUCUUGAGCUAUUCAUAAGUAAUUAGCCUGAUAUAAAUUGGCUCUUACGAGCACGAGCUUGAGUUGGACCCUGAACUUCCUCCACGACACACUACAAAUGCAAACAUUACACAGCUGUACAAAUUACUAAAUCUGUUUUGUGCAUGACUAAAAGGAAGUGAGGACAGAGAGGCACUUGAAGCUAUAUGUGGAAAAAAGAGUAGGAGGGAAGUAGGAAGAUAUCAAGUUAAAUGGUCGAAAGAACAUCAUAAGAAAUCAGCACUUCAAGGCAUUAAUCAGAUCAUAACUUCACUCACAAAAGACAUCAUUUUAAUUCUUCAAGAGAAAAAGCCAACUCUGACAAGUUCAUUAGCAUACCAAUUUAAAGUUCCACUUCACCACUCAUGUAUAAGAAAUAUAUAAGAACUUAUCCAACAAAAGGUAUAAUGAAAGUUCCAACUGACAGUUUGGGGAUGGCACUAACCACAGAGAAACCAUUACGUGUGAGAUCAUCCAGCGUCUGUCUUAGAUUCUGCAAAAAAAAAAAAAGUAACACAGUUUACAUGACAAAGGGAGACGGAAUAAAAUUAAAUAGAUACCAUAAAUUUAUCUUGAAACGACAACUUAGGGACAUCAGAAAACUCAGCAUACUCUGCUGGCAGUUUCUCGGGUAUAAUCGCGCAGGAGGAUGACAGAAUAGAAGUGCACAAAUUUUAUUUUAUACAACAAAUUCUUGCUUCUGAGCUUCCACAAACCACCCCACACUUAACUAAACCAAAAAUUAGUGACCUUUCUUCACACCAAGAAACAAAUACAUAAAAAGCUUUCUUCACACCAAGAAACAAAUACAUAAAAAGCUUUCAACUUUAAGCAAGUAGAAAAACCCCAUCUUUUUCAAACAACAUAACAAAUUCUUGUCUUCUGAGCCUCCACAAACAACCCCACCCUUAACAAACCCAACAAUUACUGACCUUUUCUCCACACCAAGAAACAGAUACAUAAAAAGCUUUUAACUUUUUAUGCAAGAAGAAAAUUCACAUCUUUUUCAAACAAUAUAACAAAUUCUUGCCUUCUGAGCUUCCACAAACCACCCCACCCUCAACUAACCCAACAAUUACCGACCUUUUCUCCACGCCAAGAAACAAAUACAUAAAAAGCUUUUAACUUUAUGCAAGUAGAAAAAUCCCAUCUUUUUCAAAUAAGAUAACAAUUCAUGCUAAUGCCUUCUGAGCUUCCACAAACCACCCCGUCUCCACAAGUAGUGACAUUUUCUCCACACCAAGAUACAAUUACAUAAAAAGCUUUCAACUUUAUGCAAGAAAAUGGAAGAACUUACAGAGUAUGUGGAGAGAAAGACAAGAAACGCCGGCGAAGUGGUGGACGGAUGACGUGAUUGUUCUACCAUUUCUCCAAUCAUCAACCUAUUCCAUCUCUGAGAUAUAGUGUUUCAGUGCGUUUGGAGAUAUGACAUAAGCAUUGAUAGUUGGAGAAGGGAAGAAAAUUUAAUUAUUUUUGCUGAAUAGUGUCAAUUUAUUAAAUUUAUAUGUGUAACUUAUAAUUUUAGUCAUCAAGUACUAUUUAUCAAUGCAUUUGUCUUAUAUUUUACUAUUUUAAUUUUUUAUUUAUUGAUUAUACUCCUUAUGAACCAAACAUUUAUCAAAACCAAUUUUAUAUCUCACAUAAUGAUAAAAUUUACCAAUAUAAUAUUUUUCUUAAUUACUGAUUAUGAUAUUAUGCUCGAAUAUAUUAUUAUUAAUAUUACUAUCGUAUUUAUGAUAAAUUAUCCUACACAUCUUUGUAAUGUGAUUUAAUUGCAAAUAUUACUAAUUCCAUAUCCAUUCGUAUUCAAAGCACAAAUGAAUAUCACCUAGUAAUAAUCACACCCUCCGUCUAACUAUAGUUGCCAUUAUAUUAUUUUUAGAUAUUCAAUAAUAUUGUUCAUUCUUCAUAUUAAUUAUAUAUAUUUUAAAAAAUAUAAUAAAAUUGUCCUUUUAUUUAUAAUUUUUUCAAAAUACGCAAAAUUGAACAAAUUUAUUUGUAAUUUCAUAAAUAAAAUUAGAAGGUGGAUUGAGAACAUAUUCAAUGAACAUUAUGACUGUUGAUCUAAAUAUUUAACCUUUAAAUUUGUAAAGCAAAAUGUGAAAUCAUCAUGAAAUUUUUCACCAUCUAACAAAAUGUUUAAAAGUCUUACCACGUCCGUAGUGGAAUGAAGUAUUGAUCUCAUUAUUAUAUAGAUAUUCAGUGGAUUUAGUCGAGGUUUUAGCCUUAGUGGACAAAGUUAGCUGGUACUUGUUGCUGGUUGAAGGUAAUAGGUAUUCCUUGGUGGACAAAGUUAGCCGGUACAUGUUGUUGGUGCGAGGUGAUAAAUAUUCAUUGGAUUCAAUCGAGAUGCGUGAAAGCUGACGGAGUGAGUACUUUCUAGUUUCUGGUUAACUUCCUUUCCUAUUGAACAACACAUGAAAGAUGUUGAAAAUGGUAAAACUAAAUGUCAAGAUUUAUGUCUUUUAGCUGUCCUAGGUGCAUGUAUGAAUGACCUUUUGUAUUAUCUAGUAACUUUAUGGUAUUAAUGUGGCUAGAUUAAAGUGUACGUGUGGAAGUACUUAAUAUGUGUUAUUCUUGAAGACUAUUAAGACCUAUAUAAACUUGCUGAGAGAUGUUGAUAUGGUCGAGAAAUUUCGUUGUCCAGGCAUGGAUGUCGGGUCCAAGUUGAACUCGAUUUGUUCUUGAAGGGGUAUUUGAUGUUAAUGGCAUAUAACUUAGCUGUCAUAUCAGAUGUGUAUAAUGCUAUCUUAGAUCUACUUUGAUCAAGAAACUGUACAAUAUUAGAAAAUGAAGGACCUACUCUUAUCUUUUUACUGUCAAUAUCAAAAUCUAAUUGGUAAGAUUAUACUUCAUUGAUCAAUUAUGAUUCUUUAUUUCAACAUUCAACAGCUAUACUAGUCACUUUUUGCCUUCGCACAUUUUUGUUCUUUCUUAAAUUUUGUGUCAAGUCAAAAUCAUACAAACAAAUUGAAACGGAGGGAGGAAGUAAUGGUCAAAAAACAACAACAUGCAUUUUUUCCCCAUAUACAAAUGUCAUACAUGAUCUCUUACUACUAUUCACAAAGGACAGUUCAGAAGCUAAGUGAGUUCUCUGCUACUGGAAAUGGCUUCUUUUUCCACCAGCUCUACUUAUUGUCUCAGCAAGGUACGAGAAUUCGUGCAAAAUUCAUUUUUUUUUUCAAGAAUUGAUCAAAAAAUCACUGUGAUCCAACUUUGGUUUUUCUCUUUUAUGUGCAGAAUGUUGUGUUUUUAUCUGAUUUCUCUCCACUAAAUCAGUUUCCCACUCAAAGUCCCAGGAGAAGAUUUUCCAAGAAAAUUGUUUCUAUGAUCACACAACCAAGUUCAAGAAUGCCUGCCACCACUGGCUCAGUUGAGUUUAUAUUGUUUUCUAUCAUAUACCUAUGCGUGUGGCUUAGUGAUCAAUGAAGUAACUUGAUAAGUUUAUUGUUCAAACUCUAGCACAAACAAAAACAAUAGGUGAUCUCUUUCUAUCUGCCCUACCCUUGGUUGACAGACUUAGCUGAUAUGUGACGUUGGUCGGAGGAAAUAAGUAUCCCGUAGAUUUAGUUGAGGUGCGCAAAAGCUGGCCUAGACACCACAGUUAUAAAAAAAAUACUAGGUGAUUUCUUCCAUUGUCUUAGUCUUAGUGGACAGAGUUACAUGUUACUAGUGGGAGGUGACAAGUAUCCCAUGAAACUAGUUGAGGUGCGAGAAAGUUGACCUAGACACCGCGAUGAUAAUAAAAUAAUUCCCCUUUUCAUAUUUGGGGAAUAAAGUUGCAAACUUUCCAUAUAGCUUAAUGGUACUUGAUGCUUGUGAUUGUGAUUUUUUUGUUUUUUUAGGUGAAGAGUUGGAUGACUAUGACUGAGAAGUUGCUGGCUAGGACUUCUGAGAAGCUUCAUGUGGUUCCAGGUGAGAAUUUGUGGGUCAAUGUCGAUGUUUUGAUGACAAAUGAUAUUACUGGGCCUGGUGCUAUUGGAGUAUUUAAAAGAGAAUUUGGAGAAAAUGCCAAGGUAUGCUAAAAUAGCCAUAUCGUUGAAUUUAGUUGAGUUUCAUCUUUGUAGUUAUAUAUGGUUAGAGAUUUAUGUCUGUAGGUUUUCCGGAGUUUUUGGUUUAUGAACAUUCACAAUUGACGAAAUUUCAUGUAUAAACAAGAGCAAGUUAGAGUUUGAUGCCUCCAAAGAUAUGAUUCAAUAUCUUACUCCUCAUUCUGACAACUUGAAAAGGGAUGCUUUCGUAUCUCUACUUAAAAUCAUUCAUAUCUUGAACUUUUCCUCUCUUGGUAACUUGAACUCCCAAGCUCAUGGUAUAAAGAGGGCAAGCAUUCGACUCGUGUGUAGUUGGGUUCUGUAUCACCUAGGGAAGUAGAAUUUGUGCAGUAACUUAACUAUACAAUAUACCCCGCGAUGAAGCAUCUGCACAGGAUCAGUGAUUCAUAGUUGAGGUACUGAGAAAAGUUGAUGCGGAGUACCAUGCUUAAAUUCUAAUCCAGUAAAAAAUUCACUUGAACAGACCUUGAUUUUCCUGUUGGGACACUUCUAUGGCUCUAAUAGUGCCGGGGAUUGUUUGUUUUCUUCAUAUCUUAGGUCUGGGAUCGUGAAAAGGUAGUUGUCAUACCCGAUCACUACAUUUUCACAGCUGAUGAACGAGCAAAUCGUAAUGUGGAUACACUGAGGGACUUCUGCAAUGAGCAAAAUAUUAAGUACUAUUAUGACAUUAAAGACCUCGGAAACUUCCAGGUAUGAUAUUGAGUCUAUAUCCCUUAGCAACACAUGAUGGUUACUCCGAGCUUUUGUUGUCGUUUUAUAACAGUUGCUAAAACAUAGUGGACUGAAUAUGUUGACAGGCUAAUCCAGAUUACAAAGGAGUGUGCCACAUUGCUCUUGCCCAAGAAGGUCACUGCAGACCAGGAGAGGUGAAGUUUGUGCUACACACGCAAAGAUCCUAAUACGGCUUGUCCUUCAAUGCCCUUCUUUUGACUUUACAGUUUUGUUUGCAGGUUUUGGUAGGUACAGACUCUCAUACAUGUACUGCAGGAGCAUUCGGUCAAUUUGCAUCUGGAAUCGGAAAUACUGAUGCUGGUUUUGUUCUGGGUACUGGAAAGAUUUUGCUCAAGGUAAGUAACUUCUCAUCUGGAGACCACAUUCCUUUGAUUCAUAUACUUGUUAUUGUGUAUAAGUAGAGAAAAAGGAUAUAUACCUGUCAUGAAUAUCUCAAAGUUUAGUUAAUUUAGCGUGGAUCGCAUGUCCAUGUCUCAUUUUACAUGUAUAGUAUGUCAAGUUCCUGCAGCUCUCACAUAGAUCUACUGUGACAUACAGGUUCCUCCAACUAUCAGAUUUGUAUUGGAUGGUGAAAUUCCGAAUUACAUACUAGCUAAGGAUUUGAUUUUGCAAGUGAGUUACUUCGACAGCCUCUUACUAUUUUCUUUACUUUCCCCUUUUGGCAUGUGCUACGUAUUUGUAUAUCACUCAGGACAUGCCAGGUUAUUGGUGAAAUUUCUGUAGCUGGUGCAACAUACAAAACAAUGGAAUUUGUCGGUACUGCUGUUGAAAGUUUAACAGUUAAGUUUGUUGAGUUUUCAUUUGAGGUAAUCGAGUUAUAUUGUUCAGAGUUAUUAAUAUCUCUAUGUUUUACGUAUGACAAAAGAUGGAAGAGAGAAUGACAUUAUGCAAUAUGGUUAUCGAAGCUGGUGGAAAGAAUGGUGUUAUUCCUGCUGAUAAAACAACAUAUGACUACCUUAAGGUAAGUUUUAACAUUUCCAGUUUAGCUUAUGAUAAAUCAACAUAUGAUAGAUGUCUUAAUUACUCCCUUCAUCUGCUUGGUUAAGUGAAAUAAGACCAGUUCUCUUGCUUAUGAACGUCUUUCGUGUUUUCUGGUCACAGGACAAGACUACUGUGCAUUAUGAACCUGUCUACAGUGAUGAGCAAGCCAGGUAUCCAACACAAAAGACAUUGGUAUAUAACCACUUGUGUUUUUCCUUAGCCAUUACGUGUCUCCAAUUUCAUUUAUGAAGGAGAGCGUUGGAGCAAUGUUAAAAUUGUCUCCGUGUGACUUAUAGGUCACUGUUUCAAGCCGUAGAAUCAGUCACUGAUGCUUGUGUCGGGGUACACUCACUUGGGGUGCAGGCUCUUCCCUGGACCUUAUGUGAACACAGGAUGCUUCGUGCAUGAGCGUCCCCUUUAAAGUAGAAGAAAUAGCUUAGCAUGUUUGGUAAGAUGAUAUUCAUUAUGACUUAUGAGGUAAUUGCCAUAAAUUCCAGGUUUCUUGCUAAGUAUCAUUUCGACAUCUCAAAGUUGGAGCCCUUAGUAGCAAAGGUAGGUGAAUUUGGCUGUUAAUACUUUGACAUAUACAUCAUAAAUACAAACACAUUGUCGUAGACGCCAUGCACUUAUUUAUGUCUCUUCAGCCUCAUUCUCCUGGCAAUCGUGCUUUGGCAAGAGAAUGCGAAGAUGUUAAGAUUGACAGAGUAUAUAUUGGAUCUUGUACCGGUGGGAAAACAGAAGACUUCAUGGCUGCUGCCAAAGUUUUUCUAGCAUCAGUAAGAUGAUAUCUCUUUCUCAAUAACUUCACUAUGCAUAUGAAAAGUAUACAUGUCUAUUCUGUAACACUUGUCUUCUGUAAUUUCUUAUACCGUCCGUUUAUUGACAUGCCUGUCUUCCUGUUAAUGCACAAAAGUCCCUCAAAACGCAUGCCUUGUACCUUUCCAAAUAGAUCCUAUUCCUUUGAUGUAUAGCUGAAUAAGCAUUUUGUGCUUGUUAAGCUAUGUUCAGUACUACACCUAAAGGUGUCUGCGUUUUGGGGUUGAGUUAGGCUCUAGUGUCAUAUCUUUACAUGGUAUCAGAGCCAGGGAUGAAUCAUCCCUGUAUGGGCUCCCGUUGCAUGAAGGGAGGGGUGUUAGAGUCUGUUAGAGUCUCAUGUUGGUUGGGGAAUCGUGGUCUGCAUAUAUGGAUAGACUUGAGAUAAUCUUCCCUUCGUGAGCUAGCUUUUGGGGGUUGAAUUAAGCUCAGGUGUCAUAUCUUUACCGUGCUUAAAUGAUACUUCUCGGUGGAAGUUUGGGAUGUGACAUAAACUUUUUACCAUAUUGAUCACUAAGAUUUCUUGUUUGGUUUCAUCGCUAAUCCUCACAGGGAAAGAAGGUCAAAGUUCCAACAUUUCUCGUCCCUGCUACGCAGAAGGUUCGUGCUCUUAAUGUAUUGUUCUUCCGGACUCAGACACACCUAUAUACAACAUGAAUGUCAUGGUGGCAUACCAUAUGGUUUGACAACAAUCGGAAAUUAUCUGUCCGUUAUAAACUUAGCAAUGUUUCAGGUCUGGAUGGAUUUAUAUACUAUCCCAGUUCCAGAAUCUGGUGGCAAAACAUGUUCACAGAUUUUCGAGGAUGCUGGCUGCGAUACACCAGCAAGUCCUAGUUGUGGUGCUUGUAUGGGUGGUCCUAGAGAUACUCAUGCUCGGUUGAACGAACCUCAGGUAAGUUUCACCAAUGCUAGUAUGAAAAGUGAAAUAGGAAAGUUAAUCGCGCUAUAGAAGUGUGGAACAACAUUGAGCUGAUCAAUGAACGAUUCGAUUUUCCAGGUAUGUGUCUCAACCACAAACAGGAACUUCCCGGGGCGAAUGGGCCACAAGGAAGGUCAAAUUUAUCUUGCAUCUCCAUAUACAGCUGCAGCAUCUGCAUUAACUGGCCAUGUUACUGAUCCUCGAGAUUUUCUGCAGUAAACGCGUUAUUGUUCAUGUUAAAACGCGAUAAAGCUUGAACUUUUGCUUGUAAUGUACACCAGAAGAUGUUUGUGUUUCUGAUUUCAGUGACAAAAUGCAGUUUUGUCAAGUACUCUUAGCUGUAGUUACUUAUAUUUGCUUGUGGAAUGUGUCAAAGACGAGCUGAAUUUUGUAAAAUCGUCUCAUUUAAAAGAUUAAUAUCUCGAUAUAACUUCUCUAUCGUACUCUAAUAACAUGUUGAUAACAUGGAAAUAUCCUAUUUGUGUAAAUCACCCUAUACAAAAUCAUCACAAGUUAGUUCAUUUUCUAAUUUUGUGUUAUGAUAGAUGUACAAGUAACUAUGAACCACAAAUUACAUUGGUCAACAAUUUUCCCUCAUAUAUUAGAGAUUUUAAAAAAAGUAUAAUAUAUAAUCAUGAUGGUUACACUUUUAAUCAGAGGUUUCGAAUUCGAGCUCUGGAUAUGGAGAAAAUUUUACUGAGAGCGUCACCUCAAAACAAGCCCCUGUUUUUAAUAGAAGCUUCAAUAUGAAAUUCGAACAUCGAGUGAAAAAACGAAAAACCUUUUUUUUGAAAGAUAAUUUGGAAGUGACACACAUUGGUGAAUGAGAUCUGAACUCAAAUAGUUUCAUCAUUGUGUAGGGUUCCUAUUGUUAGGAAAAAGUGAAGAAAAAAGAACAAAACACAAUGGAUAGCGCAUGAGGUUUAUUAUACUUUAUGUUAGGAACCUCCUAGAAACACUAUACUAUUAUAAUCAGUAUUUGUAUCGGAAAGUAAAUCUUGAAGCAACGAUAAAGAUAUUUUUACGUAGUCUAUAGGUUACAUAUUCAAGUUCCGUGAGAUAAAUUAUUGACCUUUGCUUUACGAUAAGAUAUCUACGUAUACACAUAACAUACUCUUUUAAGAUAUAACCUUAUUAGCGUGUAUUCAUUAAUUUAAUAUAAACAUCGAAUGAAAGUAUCUUUUAUCAUACUUUAUCUUGUUUCUUUAUGGACUCCACAAGGAGUAUUGGAAUACAGUUGUCACUUGAUCAAUGAAAUAAUUAUGUUUAGAAUGACUAACAUCAGUCAUAAUCAUAAUUAUUUCUUCAUAAGAAUAUAAAUUUAUAUAUAGCAGUCUAUUUGUUUUUUAGUAUUCCAACCUUAUCUAAACUACUACUAUGUGAUUAGACAAACUAAACAUAGUAUAUACUUGUGUUUAGGAAGAAAUAAUAAAACAUGACUCGAUUUUAACUUACUAAAAUCAUACCGUUAAUAGGAGGGUCUAAAAGUCGAGCAAAAGAGUAGAGGAUCCCUCUACAUGAUUGUUUCUUCCACGCAGUAUGUUCUACCCUUGUCAAGCCUCACUUAUGAGACUAUAGACUUCACUUGCGAUAUUAUAUUGAUAUGUUAUUGUAGAAUUUAAGUGCAUGCACUAUAUCUCAGAAGAUGACUUUAGCACCAAGCACAUGAUAGGACUUUGGACAAACUCAAACUUAAAUUCUCAAUUUUUUUUCAGUCAUGUAAUGAUGGACACAAUCCACAAUAGAGGAUUUGCUAAGAACUUUCAACAACUAGUGUCUUUAAUGACUUCACCACUAGCAAAUUCUAUAUAAUAUAUAUCUCUAUAUACCACCAAACAAAAAGAGAUUGAUCAACAUUAAAAUAAACAAAUAAAUAAAUAGAAUUUCUUGCAACAAACACAAAACACACAAAAAGUGGAAAAUAGCAUUCCCAUAUUUACAUCAUGAGAAAGGUAGGUAAAAUUUGGGGCAAAAACAUUGGUAUAUCAACUAUAUGAUGGGGGAGCUUGAGACCUAAACCAAAAAAAAAAAACACAAAAAAGUGGGGCACUUUUUGAAGAGUAAAUGGUGCAAAACAAAAAAUGCAACCAUGAAAAAAAGUAACAAUAUCCCUAUUUCUGUUUUACUUUUUGUUUCUUCCAAACUUUUUUUUACCAAGCAUUUUCCUUGCACCAAGCAUAUUUAGAUAGGUUUUCCUUUGUGUUUCUCUUGCUUCUGAGGGAUUCUUGGAGCUGAAAGUAAACCAAUAACUAGUGUUAGAGCUAAGGAAACAAAAUGACAAAAAGGUUAUAUUGCUCGGACUCUCCAAAAAUGCACUACUUUUGGAUUUGGAGGAUCUAACACACCCUGCACCUCGGAGUACUUUUGAAGAGUUUUCGAGUAAUAUAACAAAAGGAGAGGUUGAGUGUGUUCUUUUGGCAUGGCUAUGUACAUACCAAGUCCAUUAGCCUCAGAAGUCCUCAUGAUUCUUAGCCUUUUCACAGUGUUGAGAAACAUCCUAUAUAACACAUGAAAGUAUUAGAACAUAUAAAGAACUAGAGUGGGGAGCUAGAAAUGAUAACAACUUGAUUUUGCAUAAAUGAAGAUCAUACUUUCUAUGCUACUUUUUCAUGACGUGUAGGGCCCGUUUAAGGAAAAAACACACUUUCCAAGAAUUUCUUCAUUUUCAAGACUCAAACAUGAGACCUCUAGUUAGAGAUGGACCGAUUACAUAUAUCUAACCACAUCAAGGUUGAUGGUGUUUCUCCAUGCUACUGAUGUACUAUGGAUAUCCUUUAUACUGAUAGUUUUAUGCCCCUAUUGUUUUAUUCGUUUUCGUUUUGUACUUCCUCGUUGGAUGAUGAAGGUGUGAUCAUUUGCUUUCAUGAAUUAGGUCCACCAAAAGCACCAUGCAUAUAAUAUGAUAUUAUAUAUAUAUAUACAUGAGAAUUGAGAUCAUCAAUACCUCAUGUUUGCUAAUAUAUUCUCUUCUUUUUUUUGGUUUGUGGGGCUUGAUGAGAACUUAGGCUUCUAAUAUUUCGAUGCUUUUUGCAAAAAUGACAUAGUACUAAUUAACGGAAUUUCUUACCCGAAUGGAACAUCUCCAACAAGCAUCCAGUCUCCUUCUUUAUCCUCAUAUGUGAGCACAAAUUCAGAUGAUCCAUCCAAGAGCUUAAAAGACUUAGUUGCUUGUUCCUUUUCACCGCCUAUAAAAAAAAAUGGAACAUCAACAAUCACUUCAUAACAAAAACAUCACAAAACAUGCAACCGAUUUGUUUCAUUUAGUCCUUUUUCUACCGUAAAACAUGGCGUGGAAUAGGGUAUUCCACGCCUAUGUAGUAUGUAUAAUGCAUGGGAGAAACAAAUAACUACGCUUGAUCUUAGCCAAAGGCCGAGAAAACUAGUAUUUAGAGCCAAUUUAAGUAACGAAACAAGAAGUAAACUUCGAAACAGAACCCGUACUUUUGGUAGAUUUAAAGAACAUAUCCUCCAAGGUUUCGGCUAACGAUUCAUAGCAAGUAUGAGCAUUCAAAUCCACCUUUCUUCCAAUAGGCAAACCAUCCAUAUUCACCUUCACAAAACCAAGAUGCCCCUUUUCUUUAACCGAUGCUGCAUCAUCCUUAGUGUUCCCAUGAUUGAUCUUCUUCUUCGAGUGCUCCUUCUUAUCGUUCCCGCCAACUCCCUUCUCAUCAUCAGCAUUUAGAACCUUUGAUUGAUUAACCAAGCUGUUCAUUCUGUAUGCCCUUAUGGGUGGCCAUCCCACAACCUGACUGCUUUUAGAAAUCAAAAUAAAUGAAUCAUCAAUUAUAUACUCAAUCAUCCAUCAAGAUCCAAAUUCAUGAACUUAGUUAUCUAAGCUAAAAUGAACAAGUCAAAAGAAAAGAGUUAAGAAAGAGAGGAAAGAGGGCAUAUGAAAUUUUGCAAAAUGAUUUUCUUUUUCUUUUCAAAAAAGUACAAAAAGAAAUUGUCAAAAAUUAUCAAAGUUGCACUAAAAGUAGGAUUAGAGGGAAUAUAAUGAUAGAUUAUCAUAAUGACUGGGCAACCAAAAGCAACUUUUUUGGCAGAUUUUAGAUUAAAGGUAAUGAGAUGAACAAAAGGUGAUGCAUGCUCUGCCAGCUUCUAUCAGUAAUUAAACUAAUAACUCAUCAAAGACAAAAGCUAAAACAAAUUAAAGGAAAAUAUACUCUAACUAACAAAAAAAAUCCAAGAAACAAAAUAAAAUCCAUUCUUGAGUAGCUUAAACACAACUUUUCAUAGACAAACAUGAAACUAAUGUAAGAAAAAUUGUAAUAUUAAAGGAAAGAACUUUUCUUCAAGAUCAUUAAAACCCUUCAAGGAAUACACUAUUUCUUGAGUAAACUAAACUUAAACUUCAUUGUUAGUCAUGAAAUUAAUGUAAAAGCUCUAAAAUCAAAUGAAAGAACUCUGCUUUAGGAACCAACAAACAACAAAAGCAAAGAGAAAUUCAAGGAACACAUGACAAAAAUCCUAAGAAAAAAAAAGAAACUUUACAUAAGAACCUAAAAUCAUUUAGUCCCUUUUGAGAUACACAAUUUCUUGAGAAAACUAAACAUACCACCAUGACUAAACAUGAAGAAAAUGCAAAAAGAUCACUAAAAUUAGCGAAAAGAACACAUUUUUAUGAAAAUUUAUGAAAUUCUUGGAAAAAAUGAAAACUUUACAUGGGAACCUAAAAUCACUAAGACCCUUUGAGUAAACUAAACAUGCCACCAUGACUAAAAAUGCAAGAAAUAUACUAACUUUAGAAAAAAGAACACAUUUUUAUGAAAAAGUUGUGAAAUUCUAACCUUGCACCAGUAGGAGGAGAUCCAACCUCAGUUGUAGAACCAGCAAAAUCAGCAGCUCUUUUAGUACCAGAAACACCAACAUUAAUGGAUCUCUUAGCUGAAAAUCCAUUAGGAAAAUCUUUAGCAGUUAAAAUCCUACCAUACUCACCCCAUGGUGAUUUCUUAGUCUUUCCCCCCACCCCACCACCCCCACCCCCACUGUUAAGGCUAAGACCUAACCCCAACUCAAGCUCUGUUUCAUCCUCAGAACACAUACCCAUAUUGUAAUCUUGCUCCAUUUUUGUACCUUUUUCACUAAGAAUUGGUUCCAUGAAAAGGGGGUUUUCAAGAAUGUAUGAGUAAAUUUCAAGAAAAUGUAUAAGAGUAAAAUGGGGUUACAGGGGAUGAAGAGAAUGUAUAGAUAGGGGGGUUGUGGGGUAGGGGGUGGGGUAAAAUGGUGGAGGUAGUGAUGAUUAUGGGACCCAUAUGUCUGGUAGUGCACCAAGCACUGUCCUUACAAAGAUAAUGAAUUAUAUUUCUUGUUUGUUCAUCAAGUUUCUUUAAUUUUUCAAUUUUCAAGUAUUUCGUGUUCGUAAUUUAUAUUAAAGUCUUAAAUAAAUUUGAAUCACGCAAUUUAUUUAAAGACAAUACUUUUAAUAGAAUUUCUUUUAUAUUCAUCGUUCAAAUUUAAAAUAUCUAAUUAAAAAUAAAAUAAUCUCAUUACUAUAUCACGGAAAAAAACAUCAUUUUGGUUUGGUUUUGUAUUGCCAUGCUUGCUUUUUUUUGGUAUUAAUUAGUACUUGAAAGUGUUUGUUUUUUCUUUGUCCCCUUUUGCCACCUCUUUUGUCCAAAAUGUUGGAAACAAAAAAAAAUAGUAUUGGAAUCAUUUUGUAUUUCUUGAGUUCUGUAAUUGUCUAAAAUUAACUUUACAAAAUAUUUUCUUCUUCACUUUUAAUUAUCAUACUGUAUUUUUUUUAAAGUUAAUUUAAUUAAUUUUAAAAAUUAAAUUAUAUUAUAUUAUCUUAAUAAUUAAAUAAAAAAUUUAAAUAUUUAAAAAAUCAUACAAACAUUAUUAUAAAUUGUAAUUAUUUACAUAUCAAUAUAAUAUAAAAAGACAAUAUAAAUAUUAGUUAAACUUCUAAUAGUUUGGCUCUAAGAAAGUAAACCAUGAGAAUUCAAAAUGGACGGAAAAAGUAUAUUACUCCCUUCGUUUUGUAUUAUUUGACUCGUUAACUCGUAAUCAUAUCUCUUAAACAAAUUUUAAUUAAAAUAUACUUCGUCCAUUUAUUUUUUCUUGUUUUAUGCUUAGAAGCUUUUAAUCUCUCAAAUUUAUUUACUCGUGACAACCUUUCAGCCGUUUAAAAGCAAUAAAAAGGAUUUUCGAAAUAAGAGAAAUUAGGGAAGAGGGAAGCUUUAGUCCGUCUUAAGGCAUGUAUAAUGGUCUUUUUUUUUAAAACUUUUUUCGGUGAGGUAAGAUAUAAAGUAAAACUCACCAGUAAAACGUUUUUAAUUUACUAAAAUGAAAAAAUAAAAUAAUUAUUUUUGAUAAAGAUGUUAAAUAAAUUGAAACAAAGAAAGUAUCUUUUUUGUAUUAAAAUACUUAUGAUUUUACUUUAAAAAAAAUAUAUAUGCUAUCACAAAAUACCAUUCCUUUUUAGUGUUCAAGAUAAAAAAAAAUUCUCAUUUUGUUUUAGAGUUAAUAGUUUUCAAGGAAAUAUAUAUAUAUAUGUGUGUGUGAAGUAAAUACCGGAUGAAGAGAAGCUAUAUCUUAGAAUAUAAAUAAUAAUAAUAAUAAUCAAAAUUUUCUUUUUAACUAAUAUUUUUGAAAUAUAUUAUAAAUAUAAAUAUGAAAAUAUUUUGAGAUUAUGAGAAUAAUUUAAUCUUGAAAUUUUAUCAAUUUAAAUUCAUAUUAUAAAAUAUAUAUUAAAAAUUCUGUUAUAUUUAGGGAAGUUUUAGUGUUACAAGUAUAAUUAUAAUUAAACAUGCAGCAACUACAUGAUUGUCCAUUCAACUAAUUAAUCAUUCUUGAUCUCAAGCAUGCAAAGCAGGACAGCUAAGGAGCAUUUUUUUUUAUUUAAUUACACAAAUUAUUUGUUACAAUAAAUAUGUAUUACCACUACUUAAGUGAAAUUUUAUUUUACGUUCUAUCACGCAUAAAAUAAAUUUCGUAUAAGCUACGUUGGUCCGGAAUUUAAUUUCAAAAGAUAAUAUAUAAUUACGGGUAAAAAGAAAAAUAUACACCCAAACUGUCGCAAAGAGUUGUAGAUAUUUUCUGGCAUACUUUGGGACAUUGAUGCCCUUAUCGUUCAAAAACUAAUUAAAGCAUAUCCUUUUAUACUAACUGACAUACACGUGUUAUCCACCGGCCCAGCAAUUAUUAAAUAUUGAAUUGAUGAUAAAAUUGUGUCGUGUGUCCCUAUUUAGUUUUUCGUUAGAGUGAAGGACAUAUAUGCUCUAAUUUUUAGACUAUAGAGGCACUAAUGUCCCAAAAGUAUGACGGAGAUAUCUGUAUAUCACUUGCAAUAGUUUAGGGGUAUAUUUAUCUUUUUUCCCAUAUUAUAUUAGAGCAACGUGUUAAUUAUCGAUAUAUAUAAGUUAAAUCCUUAAUUUUGCAUCCAAAAAGAUAAAAAUUUAGGAGUAGAGAGAUGGUUUGAUUAUUUGGAGAACAAAAUGAGUUGACAAAACUCUCUAAUUCCUGUGAUUGUCUUCCAAAAACACAUGCACAUUGAUAUAUUACGAUGUUUUGACUAAAUUUUGUGAUGAACUACAAUGUUUAUUGUCACACAAUUUUCUGGUUAAAUUAAUCACAUUACGUAUAGUUAUGACGAGAUGAUAGAGAUUUCUUAAUUUUUUAAAAAUUAUGUGUUUGAUCAAAAUUUUUUAAAAAAAAAUCCUGUUAAAAAAUAUCAUCUUUAAAGAAUAAGUUUAUAUAUAUAAAUUUAAAUAUAAUUAUCGAACCUAAUAGAAAUAUCGAACUAUCAAUUGAAAUUAAAUGGAAAAUUGUACUAAUUUUCUUUAGGAUAACAAAGAAUCUUUUAUGAAGGCCCAUUAAUGUCUGCCACAAUAUGUUGAAGGACCUAUUAUUAGUCUUAAAUAAAAGCACUUUAACUUUUUUAUUAGACAAAUUGUUUUAUAUAUAGUACUAACUUAUAGUACAAGAAUAGAAUUUAAAUAUAUUGAGAAAAAAAAAUCUAAGUGACUUUUAAUUCCAUUUUCAACCUUUACACCAAAGCGUGAAUCUUAAGAGAGAGAAAGUUGUUCGGAUGAUAAACAUUUUUUAUUUUCAAUUCGAAGAUUGUAAGUUCGAGUCAUUAAGGGAUAAAUAAAAUAUCUCAAACUAUCACCGACUUUAAUUCUAUUGAAAAAUAAGACAACGCUCAAUUACCUACUAACAUUUUAUCCUAAUAUGUAUUACUUAUUUUUUCUAUCUAAAAUCAUAUUUUUUUAAUAUAUUAAAAUUACAUUAUGUCGUAUCUCAUCAACUUUCCGCGAGUGAAGCAUCAAAGGUAAAAGAAAAGAAGAAGGCAUGCAAGAAAAGAAAAAGAGAUAGAAAGACAAAGUGUCAUAUUCAUGAUGAAGACUAAUGAAGAUUAUUUAGAAGACUUUUGCCUAAUAAUAAUCUUUAAUUAAGCAUUUGUCAUUAAGACAAACAAAGAUUUAAAAAAUCUUAAUCAACAUGACUUGUCAACUUUAGCAUGAAAAAUGAUAGUAUCUAAAAGUUGAGCCUUUUUUUAAGGAAAAAAUAUGUGAAAAGUUAAUAUAUUUGGUCGAUCGAUAAAAAUAAUUAUGUUAUUGAAAAAUAUUAUUUUAUAUUUUAAAAAACAAUUUUAUUAAUAGUAAAAUCAUUAAUUUGUUUUUGACCAAAUUUCAAAAAUAUUGACGGGAAAAAUAUUUUCUCUACGUAAAUAAAUUCCUUAGAAAAAAAGAAAAAAAAAUUCUUAUCAUGGUAAAAUAGUCAAAUUUCAUAUUUAAUUUUUUUCCAUGAUUUUUCCCCACAAACUAAACACACUCUAAUGCUAUUAAUUCUUAAUUCCAAUGAGUGCAUGUUCAAAAUGAUUUGAUUUUAAAGACAAAUAAUAUAAAUUUAAAGGGAAUAAUUUCUAUGAGAAGGUGAGUUUAAUAAGGAAAAAAGGAAUAGAAUAUUAUUUGUUUUUUUAACCUAGUGGAAUUAAUUGAAUCAUUUUUUAUUUAUUAUUUUGUUGCUUUCAAUAAAAAAUUUUAAAAAUAGGAAUAUGAUACUAGCAAUAUACUACUUGAGGUCUACAAUCCUAGAAAUCCAAAAUUUAAGGGAUCAAGAAUCACAAUUUGGGGCCACCAUAAAUAAUUUUGUUAUUUUAUUGAGAAUUUGUAACAAAAAAAAAAUAUAACAAACAUAAACAAAAAAAAAAAGAUUUAUUAGUAGGAUAACUUAAAUAAAUAAAUUUUUACCCUAGCAAAAAAUUGUAACAAAAAUAUUUGAAAUAGACCAGUAUACAACAAAUAACAAUAUAAACAACAUAAACUUGUAAUUAAAUUUUUUUAAAAAUUAUAAUAUAUAUAAAUUUUAUUUUUACCUUCGUAAAAAAUAAAAAUAUUGUCUUCGAUGAAUUUUAAGAUCAACGAAAAAGUAAUCAAACAUAAAUAAAUGCAUUUAUAUGUGUUUGUAAAGAUUGGAGUACUUAGUAUUACGUUAUCUCAAAAAUCAACUUUUAUAUCAACUACGAUAUAUAUUUCACAUAACAUAAUAUUUUCUUGAGAUUUUUUCUAUAUAUUUCAAACACAGUCCAAUAUUGAUAUUGAUAUCAAGAUUUGAUUAAAUUUAAAUCUAUGUAUUGCAAAGUUUAUUUUAGAAAUAGUUCUUUCAACUUUCCAUUUAAUUUUCAAUCUCUAAUUAAAAUGAAGACAUUAUAUAUUAGAAAAUAUUUUGUUGUGAUAUUUUGCAAGAACCUAGUAUAUAUUAAUUAAUUAAUACCACUAUUCUUUUAAUUCUUACAAAUUUAUUAUCCUUUAGCUCCAAUCUUCCAAAUUAAAACGAAAAUGUGGAAAGAAUAUGAAUAAAAGUAAAUCACUUUUUUUCUUUUUUGUUCUUUUUUAUCGUGCUUGUUAAAAGGGAAGAAGAAAAUAAUUUGUGUUAUCCUUUUUCCGUUUAAUUAUAUUUGUCCACUAUUGAUUUUGCAUGUUUUUCAAAAAUAUUUAAAUAAAAAUACAAUUUUAUCAUAUAUCUCUUUGAAUAUUAAAAAAGAAAAAAAAAUAUAUCCCUAAAAUAUCAUAAAUGAUAUGUUGAUACUCUUCCUCAUACUUUUGAGACAUUAGCAUGUAUGCUCUUCACUUAAACAGAAAAUUAAACAAGAACACGUGAUACAAUCUUAUCUGUCGAUAUAAUAUAUAAUUAAUGACACAUUUGUGAAAUAAUUAUGAUACGUGUAUGUUUGUUAGUAUAAAUAAUAUAUAUGUUCUACUGUUUAGUCAACAGGGACAUCGAUGUCCCUAAAGUAUGAUGAAGAGUAUCUAUAUACCAUUUACGAUAGUUCGGAGGUAUAUUUAUCUUUUUUCCCUAUAAUAAAUGCAAUUGUUAUUUCAUAAAAUGGUCAAAUAUUAUUAGAUAUUUCGAAACGAUACGAUCGAUAAUAAAAUGAAAAUAUCGUGAGAUAAUAGAUGAUACGAUAAAUUGAAAAAAUAGGAUAAUGUAAGAAGAAUCCAAAAAGUGGAAAACUUGUCUUAUCGUAGGGACAAACCGACAAAGUGGGGCCCAAAGUCACGUGAUUUAGAGCCACGUAAGCCGACAAAGAGCGCGGCUGACCGGGUGGCUUUGUGUAUGUUUGUGGGACCCACACAUUUUACCUCAGACAGCUUAGGACUUAGCACCCAUUCACACCAACAAAAACAUUUGUUCUAUGUUUUUAUGUUUACAAUAAUAAUAAAUAAUAAUUAAAAAAAAUCUAAUAAAUUUCUUGAUUAUAGUAGUAUAUUAAAGUUACGAUUUUUAAAUUUUGUAAUCUUAAAUAAUAUGUCAUUCUGAUAUAGAGGUGAGUUAACGAUGCUACAAUCUUUUAAAGUCUCGUUACGUUAAUGAAUGAUCAGUUGAGCUAGACUCUUAUCGUUAUUGCUCGAUUACUUUUCUUUUCUUACUUCUUAAAUUUUAACAAGGACCUGUAACAUCAUGAUCGUGCAAAUUUUACAUUAAUUAUUGUCUUUAUGACUUUUUUUCUAGCUAGGAUAACAAAUUUUUUAGAAAAGGUUGAAUGUAUAUAAUAUUUACGAGUAAAUAUUACAUCAAAAUAAGCAAAAAUGAAGAUUUAAAGGUGUUGGGGUGGUAGAGGACGUGGGUUGAGGGGGAUAUAUUUACAAUUUUUUUUUUAAGAAAAAAAUUAAUUUUUAUUCCGUUAAUUAAAUAUUUAUAUGUAUUAAGUAAUAUUUUUUAUUUUAAAUAUGAAAUAUGAUUUAAGCAAAAGAUACUAAUUUAUCUAAAUUCUAAGUAAUACUCUACCUCUGUUGUAAACAAAAGCUAAGCAUGAGUACAGAUACAACAUUGCGAUAUUAAAUUCAUAUAAAUUGUAAAUUUAUUUAUUAAAAUUAUAGAACUAAUAAAUAUGUUGGAACCUAUAACUUUUAAAAUAUAAAAAAAUUAACAUUAUAAAUUGUAAAUUUUAAACUUAUAAAACUUAAUUUUAAGUUAUAACGAUUUAGAAGUAAAAGUAAAAUAUUUGUAUACACACUAACCGAUUUUACGUUUUCUAUUUUACCUUUAAUAGAAAGAAGAAUUAUUUUACAAAAAUAGCAACCAAAAGCUAAUUAUUAAAGGAAUAUAUAACAAUAUUCAGUUUCACUUUAACAUAAAAACUUUAUUAUAUACGAUUCCAUUUUGUCUUGCAAAUUAGUAGAAAAGUAGAUAUCUAUUUUAGUUACUAUAUAUUAACAGAAAUUAUAGACUAAUUUUAAUUCGUUAAAGCAAAAAUAUAGGCGUCCAAUCGAAUUGUAUGACGAUAUUUUUAAUUUAGCAUAUAUAUUAUUUAUUUAGAAUAUAUCGCAACCGAUCAAGUGGUAAAGAACACAAUUUCAGGGUGCCAAACUAGCAUCACAUCGACGCACUACGAUAAAAAUAACUUUUAAAAAUUAGGCUCUAAUAAUAUUUUUAAAAAUAAUAAUUUUCUAAAAUUACAUAUUAUUUUUAUUUUAUUUUUAUUAUAAAAAAAAUGAUUUUACAAAUAUAAAAGGGACCCAAAUGGAAGGAGGAAGAUAUUCCUCAUAAUUCGAGAGCUGAAAUAUGAGAUACGAACAAUCAUUUUGUCUCCACGCCAAUCUUUCUUUUCUUUGUAUUUUCAGUAUUUUUUUUAAAAUAAUUUUUUGGUAUUAAUAAUAUAUUAUUUAUUUAUUUUCGCAUCUCUUUCUUUUAGCAUUUACCAACUUCUGCUAUCGGUGAAUUAUUCAUUUCGAUUCAAUUUAUAUGAUGAAUAUCUUUUAAAUUUUGAGAAUCAGAUGAAUUUUAUUUUAUCAUGAUUUUGCUAUAUGUACUCAUGAUAAUAAUUGUGCAAGUAGGUUUGUGGAGGGUGUACGCAUGUUUGGCUUCUACUUUGGGAGGUAAAGAGGUUAUUUCCGUAGAUCCUCGAGUUAAGAGAAAAAAUUUCAAAGCAGAUCGGUAAAAAGAUAGUGGAAAGAGAAAAGAACAUGACAAAAUACGAUAGAAAGCAUGUUAAAACAUUUUGAAGAAAAAAUUAUUAUAAUAAAAUGAUAUGAUAAUCAGAAUACAAAAUGUAAAAUAGAUAGUAACGUAUCAAAAAUCGAAGGACCAAAAGUAUGGGAAGAUAAGUGAGACAACGCUUUAUUACCUAGUAACUUUACAUCCUAAUUUAUGUGAACCUCUUAUCUAAGGUCAUAUCCUCGCUUUCACCCUAAUUCAAUUUCCACAUUGGAUCAUUUCUAGAGUCGAAUUUAAAAUUUAAUUGAACGUGAUUCUAUUGUACUUUAUAUAUAUAUAUAUAUAGGUGGAAAACAAUAAAUACCUAUAUCAAUAUGCUUACUAUUAAUCAUGCUACAAUAUUGAAAUUUAUCUAAAGAAAAUGCUGAUUCAAAUACCAAAUCAACAUUAACAAUGACAAAGUGAUAAAAGCCAAUAACAAAAAUAUAUAGAACAAAUAUAUUUAUGUUACGUUCGAUGGUACGAUUGUAUCGAAUUUAAAAUCUCGAAUAGAAUAACAAAAAAAAGUAAAUUGCAAAAGUGACAUAAUAAGAACCUGGGCUUUGGGCCUUCAAUUUUAUUACACUUGGGCCUUCAAAAAAUUAUGACCUUUGCUUGGGCCUGGGCUUUUUUCAAAAAAAUGAUCUGCUGCCAACUGAUGGGCUAUAGAACCUUGUGUUAUAUUUCUUUUGAGGCUUACCACAAAUGCAUUGACAUUCAAACCCCAUUAUGUUACCAAAACAAGAAAACAAUCCACUCGAACCACGUGCAUGCCUCCUUGCGUGGCGACCGGUCGAACGGUAGCUACUCGAGGCCUGACCCCGGUCGUACACUGGUGGUACCUCCGUCCUCCACCUCUCGAGUUUGGACCUGAGCCCCUCAACGCUCUCGUCCAAACUCCAACCAUCCAACAUCGAGCUCUUUUGAUCAUCCAACGGGUAUUUUUUCUCGGCCACGGCCGCCGCAACCUCGGAUGCUGAAGGCCCAAUUUCUGAGUCAGUCCAAUGAUGAGCAUUUCCCUUGAUUGGGCCUCCAAAUACAAAUUUUCCAUUAUGUCCUACCCCUUUUGGGCCCCCAAACUCAUAUCCAUUAUAAUUUUGAAUGGGCUUUCCAAUAACUGUUAUGGGCUCUUUGGGCUCAUCAACUUUGGGCUUUGUGAGAGAUUUUUCUUCAACUUUGGGCUUUGUGAGGGAUUUUUCAUCAACUUUCUUUUCAUUUGUGGGCUUUUCUUUGUUCUCAAGCUCUAAAGCUAUAAGUUUGAGUUUGGGCUUAUCUUCUUUAGGCCCAAUAUUAUAAAGUGAUGACUCUUUACUAACAAUUGAAUCACUUAAAACUGAGCCUGUUUUGCCCUUUUUAUCUUUGGGCUUUUCUUCUUUAGGCCCACUUACCAUUGAACUUGCUUUGCCUUUCUUUUUUACCAACAUUUGUGGUGGAGGCUCCAAAGAAAUACUAAGAAUUGAGCUUUCUUUGUCAUAAUUAUGUGCUUUAUUCUUCUUUUUUGAAGGUUUAGCAACUAUUGAACCACUAGACUUUGGUACAUCAUCGUCGAAUUUGACACGUUCGCUACGUUCACUCUUUGUACGUAACAAUAUUGGUUUUAUAGUAGUCCUGUUGUUAUUAUUGUUGUUGUUGUUCGUGGUGGUUUUUUCGUUGUUUGUUUUCUGGUUGUGGUGGUGAUGAGGGAGUUGUUCUUCUUCCAUCAAAUCGCGAUAUCCAACAGCAGACUUGUUUAGUUCAGUGUACAAUGGCAUACUUCUCAUGGUACUAUCAAGUAAUGCAACACCAAUGUUCAAUAUCCCUUGAGGUCUCCCAGAUGGACGACGUACCUAAUGAAAAAAAAUAAUACAUAAAUUACGAAGAAAAUAUUUAUAAUCAUUAAUUAGGUUAGUUAUAAUAAUCAAAUCCAUCUCAAUAUCCAUGACUAAUUAAUCCAUAUCAUUGAAAAUUCAAUUAGAAAACAUAUAUUCUAAGCAAAUGUACGAUGAAAAUUUUAUAUUGGUCAAAGAAUAAUAAUCUUGAAAAAAAGUAUAUAAUUAAAUACAUUUUUUUUUAUUUAUAAAUAACAUGCAUGCAUGCAUGCAACUUUUACGUAUACAUGUUAAACAAAAAAUUUCAUAUUUAUAGAAAAUAUUGGAAGAAUGAAAUCAAGAAGAAUGUGGUUGUUACGUUAGGAAAAUGUUUUUCAUGAAAUAAUAUAUCGAACAGUCAAAUAUGAAAAAAUUGGAAAAUGUUUUUGAAAUUAAACCUGAAGUGCAACAAAACGCAUGCCAAGAUUAUGAGGAUGAUGAUUAUGGUGUGUCCUAGACGGAGAAGGGAUGAGGUUUCCGACGAGGACGCGAACGGACCCCACAAGAGAAUCCUUAAACCAAUGGCCACAAUGAAUUUCUAUUUGUACGGCUGAGGUGUCUUGCCGGAGAAACUCUUCAUCCACACGAAAAACAAAUUUAUCGUUCCACGUUGGGUUGUUACCUCCUUCAAUGUCAACCGCGGUGGUUAGCUUCCGUGUAGGGUGGACCCACACGGUCGCGUAGGUUUUCAUUUUCUUGGACACAGGUUCCAAAUCUUGAGCGGAGAUGAUGUUGAUCUCCAAGAGCUGAAACGGUUUCAAAAUCCCCAUUUUGAAAAUUUGAUAAAUUCGUGACGUUUAAUAAAAAAAUUAAUAAUCACGAAUUUAAUCCUUAUAAUGAAAUAAGAAAGCUUCGCUCGUCGUUCCCUGAAUGGAACGACGAUCGAGAAAGGAAGAGAGAAGGAGGAGAAGGAGGGGGUGGUGAUUUUCUCGAGGAGAGAACAUUAAGGCAUUGUUACAAACGAAGAAAAUGUCUUUUUUGAAAUAAUGUUUUUUUUUUUGGCCUUAAGGUUCUUCAACCCUUUUUAUUGUAAAUAAAUAAUUUUUUUAAUAUCUGACUAAGCAUAUUUAAUAUUCAAAUAUUAAAAUGUGUGUCCAUUUAUUUGUGAAAAAUUCACAAAUAUUACGUAGUCACUACUUGCUAAAUUAUAAGUAAUAUGAAAAUAACACUUUUUAUUACUGAUAUGUAGAGAAAAAAACACUUCUUAUUACUGAUAUGUAGAGAAAAAAACAAAUUGCGAAUACUAAUUAAUUUAAUUUACAUUAUAAUUUUCUUAUAAUUAAGUGAUAUCGAACAAGAGUAUUUCUUCAUGCAACAAAUAUAAUUUUAUUAUGUUUUCGGUAUAAUCUUUUUAUUGUUAUAUUUUUCUUUAUUUACACACUUAAUUUUUUAUAUGUUCUACUUAAAUCUUUCGUCAGAAAUAAUUUUACUAUCUUUCACAAAGCAUAAAAUUUGUGUAUUUUCUCACUUAUAAAAUUACACCGAUAUUUAUCGUUUGUCAAAUAUUCCUAAUAACUUGUCUCGGAUAGCUUGUGAGGUUUACUCGAUGUUUAUAUAUAUAUAUAUAUAACAUAUACUAAAGUUAGAUGCAUUAAUAUAUAUAAUGUGCUGUAAAUUUUUAUUUCUUUUUCUAGAUAAGAAUAUUUUUUUAUUAGAUAUUUUUUAUAUAUUUAUAAAUGGGAAAAUUGUAUAUAGCAAACUAAUAACCUAAAAUAAAUGGAGUAACUAGGGUUUGAUUUAAUUGUGCUCCAUAGCAAACGUCUGCAAAAAUUUGUCAGGCGCCUUGCUCCCAAAUAUCUCGGCUCGCCACUCUCCUCCAAUCUCUCGCUCGCUUCCUCACUUUUUUUAUAUAAACACAAGUGUAUAAAAAUUACUUCUAAUUGUAUAAAGCAGAGAAAAUUAUAUGAAUAUAUAUAUUUUUGUUCACCUGUCUCCCCUCUUUCAGAUCUCGCUCGCCACUGUCCCAAAUCUCGCUCGCCACCCUCGCACUUCUCACUUAUACAAGCAGAAGCAAAAUGUAUAAAUUGCAUUUCUGUUUGUAUAAAGCGUGAGAAAAUUGUAUAUACACAUGCAAGUACAUAUAUUUUCGUCCUAUACACUUAUAAUUUUACAAUAAAAAUACUACUCUGCCUAGUUUCUUUUGUCUUUCUUUCUUUCUCGUUUUAUACAAUUUUCAAAUUGUAUCUAAUUUCUCUCUUUAUCAUUUUAUACAAUUCGAUUCAAUUGUAUAUUCCUUGUCAUGUCUCUUUUGUCUUUCUCUCUUUGUAAUUUUAUACAAAUUUAAAUUGUAUAUAAUCGUUUGAUACACUUAUAGUAAUACAAUUCGUUUUUAUACAGUUCUCUGCCCUAAGUGUCUUUCUCUUUCUUGUUUUAUACACUUCGUUUUAUACAAUUUGCUUCAACUGUAUAUGUAUAGCGAAUUAUACAGUUUCUAUAUUUGCUAUGGAGCGCAAUUAUGCAAACUUUGCUAUAGCAUACAAAUAUAAAUUUUUUAUUUGCUAUAUGUAAAAAUUGCCCUAUAUAUAAUGUGCUGUAAAUUUUUAUUUCUUUUUCUAGAUAAAAUGAUUUAUUGAUUAGAUAUUUUUUAUGUAUUUAUAAAUAGCUAAUUAAUGAAUGAUACCGAAUUAACAACUAAAACUUGGUUAACGAUCCAAAAGUAUCCAUUUGUCAAUUUCUCCUCCUCAAAAAUCUCCAUUUUGUCCAAAUUUGGUCCAUAACUAUCAUUUUCUAAUACAUUGAAAUGCCAUUUUUUUUAUAAAAAAAAUUCACUUUAACCAUUUAAUUAUAUUUAUUUUAUUUUAAAAAAAGAAGAAGUGAAAUUACAGAUAUGGCAGCCACAACUCCACGUGAACACUUUAAUUAUAAAGCUUUAUUUAUUAAAAUUUAAUUCUUACUCCUCUGUCUCCAUUUUAAUUCAUUUUUCACGUCUAUAAAAAAUUAUAUAUAUAUAUAUAUAUAUAUUUAUCAUAUGUUCUCGAGAUUUGAGCUCUACUAAAAAUAUUCUUUAAAUUAAUAAAAAAAUCAAUAUUUAAUGCAAGAGUUUGGGUUGAAAAUAAUUAAAAUACAACUCUUAUGUUGUAGAGUACUAAUUUUAGAAAGAACAAGUAAAAUAUUUUUUUAAUUAGAAUUUCUACAAAUUAUUUUAAGUCAAGCUUUGGGAUUGAGAAUCACAAAGUCCAAAAAAAAGAUAUAAUAUUUUCUCUUAUCCUAAAUUAAAAAUUUUAAAUUCGAACUUCUUAAAUUAGAAAUUUCAAAUAUAAAUAAAAUUUUAUUAAAAAUAUAAGCUUAAAAUAAAUUUUACAAUACAUACUCCAAACUCCGAGUGGAAAAAAAGAACUUGGAUAAUACUCCUACUUGUAAAAUCCCAUAGUCUUCACAUAAAAUCAUUUAGAAGAGCUUAAUUUGAUGGGAAUUUAAAAGGGUUGUCUUGAAAUACUUCAAUUUUUUCUAAUCUUGGAAAACUGUAUUAAGCUCAAAGGUGACAUUUUUAUCUUGUCAUAAGCAAGAAAGUUCAAAAUGUUGCCUAAAGAACCAUCAUUUUGUAUAUAUAAUACUGAAGAUGGGGUUGAUGAGAUGAAGGAAAAUCAAGAUUUGGUUAGGUCUGUGACAAUAGGGGAUAUUGUAUCAGAUAUAGGUAGUAGUGAUUUCAGUUUUGGGAAAAAGGGGAUGGGGUUGAUUGAGGAAGAUGAGAAUGAAGAUGAGGAAAAAAGGGUUUUUUAUGAGGUUAAUGAGCUAGGAUUUGAAGAGAGUGAACAAGUAAUUAGUUCAAAGUAUCAUGGUGGGGUUGAGUUUGAACCUUUAGAUUUUGAUGGAAAUGGAGAUGUUGAGGAAUAUUAUAAAAGGGUUCUUAAAGAAGAUCCCUGUAACCCUUUGUUUUUGAGGAAUUAUGCUCAACUUUUGCAGGUCAGUCUUUAUGUCUUGUUCCUUUUGAGAAACCAUUUUUCUCUUUCCAUUUCACAUUAUUUUAUUGUGGUUACUGCGUUUAUUCCCUUUUUCAGUUGCUUAGAAAUGCUUUAUUUAUAAGCCGAGGGUCUAGCGGAAACAACCUCUCUAUCUCUAUGAGAUAAAGGAAAGGUCUGCGUACACUUUAUCCUUCCCGGACCCCAUUUGUGUGAUUACAAUGGACAUGUUGUUGUUGUUGUUGUCGUCAUUGUGUUUUUUUAGUGUUUGAUGGCAUGAGUUGAACUUAAACCGGAGAAAAAUGGUCAGUGAGGAGUCAUAUAGCGGACUGGAAUUUGGGAUUGAGGUCAAGUAUUGUAGGAUUGCGGAAGUCCGUUUCUUGUGAGUUCUAUAACUGCAAACUUAGAAUUCUUAACAUGGUCAGUGAUUAUCCAUAUAGCCGACCAUUAUUUGUUUGGGAUUGAGAUCAUAGUUGUUGUUGUAUACAUGUUUGAUCCUCAUUGUAAAUCCUUUAGAGAUUCUAGGAUUGUGAAAGUAAGGUUCUUGUGAGUUCUAUAACUGCAAAGUUAGAAUCUUAAACAUGGCUAGUGAUGAUUCAUAUAGCCGACUGUAACUUGUUUGGUAUUGAGAUCAUAGUUAUUGUUGCUGUUGUAUAAUUGUUUGAUUCUCUUUGUAAGUCCUUUACAUAUUCUAGGAUUGUGAAAAGUAAGUUCUUGUGAGUUCUAUAGCUGCACAGUUGGAAUUAUAAUUGUGGAACUAAAGUCACCUCUGUGAAUUUGAUCUCAUCUUUGGCUUCUUGCUCUUGCUGUAAGUUGCCCCAAUAAAAUAAACUAGUUGGAUGAGUAUGCCAUGAUAGUAAUAGUAGAUUGAAUAAAUUUAAACAAAUUAGAAUCCAAUUUUGAACCUUCUAUAAUCAGUUCACUCAUUUCGAAGCUUAAAUCUUCUAAUACUAUGGAUUAGCAGUUGCACAACCAGGUCACGAGAAGGGAGUAAGUGAGAAGACUCUUCUUUCAUGAUGUUCUAGGAUGCCAAUGUACGUCGACAAUAAAUUUAUUAGUGGUUUGAAAUGUAAAAAGCAUACAACAGUAACUGAUUCAUGUGCUAUUCUGUUCUUCCUAAUAGAUACUUCGGAAAUCUGGUCAUUAUAGCUGUUGUGAUUCUUUGACUGGAAAAGCACAUAACAUGAUAUGCUUAGAUGCUAUGUGGUUUUAGAUAUAUCUCCAUCUUUAUUUUUGUCUUUUUCUUUAGAUCUAGUCCAAUCUUGAUUAUGUUUCUCUGGCGACAACUUUUUCUUCAUGUAACCCACUGUAUUCUUGUCUCUAGUCUAAGGGAGAUCUUCCUGGAGCUGAACACUAUUACUUUCAAGCUACACUAGCUGAUCCAAAAGAUGGAGAUACCUUGUCACAGUAUGCUAAGUUAGUAUGGGAGCUGCACCAAGAUAAAGAUAGAGCAUCAGAUUACUUUGAACGUGCAGUACGUACUGCUCCUGAGAACAGGUUAUACUUGACUUGCACCUUUCGUUGAAAUGAGAGAAUGAGUUAUUGGUUCAAUUAGAUAUUGAUUUACAAAACCUGGGCAUGUGAAGAAUCUAUUAGUCACCUCUCCUCAUCUUCUCCUUUUUAUUAGUAUUUGUGUAGCAUCUUAGUCAUAAAUUUUACCUAUUGCAGCUUCUUUGCUUUGUUCAUCUUGCUAUUUUGUUGUUUUUAUUUUUUCUUUCAAUCCUGCUUUGAUUAAAAUUCUUUUGAGCUGAGGGUCUAUGGAAAAAGCCUUUCUAUCCCACAAAGGUGGGGGUAAGGUUUAGGUACAUGUAACCCUGCCCAAACCCCACUUGUUGAAUUACACUUAUGUCAUUGUUGUUGAAAUCUAUUAUUGUUUCCAGCCAUGUUCUUGGAGCAUAUGCUAGUUUCCUCUGGGACAUUACUGACGAUGAAAGUGAGGAUGAAAUGAACACACAGAGUGAUAAGACUAAGGUUUCUUCCGUUCGUUCUGCCUCAACGAGUAUAUAUGUGUGAACUCUGUUUGACUUUAAAUUUCUUCUGGAUGUGUCAGAUUGAGGAAAGUGGGGAAGCUACUGUAUCCCGGAACUUAGAUUACGAAGAAGCUGACAGACCUGUUAGCCCUCCCUUACAUCUUGCAGCAGGAUUAGGAAUUGGGGUUAAUCUAGUUGGUGGCAGCUCUCCUGUUGAUUAUACUGCAGCUGUAUCUGAUAUGGACGGAAAUGCCGAGGAGGAGUACAUGAGAAUGAUCAAAGAAUAUCCUCAUCACUCCGUGCUUUUAAGAAACUAUGCUCAGUUUCUUAGUCAGGUGAAUGUUUCAUAUUUUCUGCACUAAAUGUUCUUUAUUAACAUGUAUAUCAUCCAUCAUAUGCUUACGACAAUGCCCAUUUGAUAUCUAUAUAUUAUCUUGAUUUAGAAAUGUGUGAUUGUCCGAAGCUGCAAACAUCGACACAGUCGUUCUCCUUAAGUGUCUGAGAUGUCUCAAGCUCCCUCCCGAAUAUGCUUUUUAAGAUUUCAGCCCUUUCUUUAAAUUGUACAAAAGAACAGCUGGUCAUCCUAAUUCAGUAGGAUUGGGAUGGAGAAAUAUAAAUGCAUGCUCAAAUAUGAAAUUUUCUUGAACAUUAUGUCAUUCCUUUCACCAGAUCUUUACAAUAGCUACAACAGUUUAUCGUUUACUUGUCAGAACGUAACCAAAAACAAGAAAAGCUAUCUCCCUUCAUUGGUGCUUACAUAUUAAUAAUAUCGACUGGUCUUGCUAAUUCUGACAUUUCUCAUGUUUGCUGUUGGACUGGCAGUCUAAGGGAGACCUACUAGGUGCUGAAGAAUAUUACUCACACGCAAUACUAGCUGAUCCUACUGAUGGAGAAACUAUUUCACAGUAUGCCAUGUUGAUAUGGCAACUUCAUCAGGAUAAAGAUAAAGCCUCAACCUACUUUAAGAGGGCAGUACAAGCUUCUCCACAAGACAGGUAAUAUUGAAUUGAAGCCCCUCGGUUUUUUAUUCGCAACACGUUGAAUUAAAAGUAUAGCGGGAACUUAAUAACCUAAGCACUUUUCCUACUUGGUCAGUUAUUAAGAUGAUUUUACAGAUUUAUGUGAUGUGAACGAAAUCUGCUACUGUUUGAUAACAUUGAAAAGGUUAAUGACAAAAGAUACUUAUACAAGGUUGAUGGUAACUUGGUAUUAUGUGAAUGUAUUCGUGGAAAAAUAUAAGAAUUUUGGUGAUCUUUGGUGUGAUAUCAAAGCAUUUGUACGUUGCGUUUAUAAUUGCUACUUGCACAUCAAGUUCAUUUUUCUCAUUGUCUGAGACACUGAGUUACUAGCUUGCUUUUUUGCUUUUCAGCGACGUGCUUGCUGCAUAUGCUAGGUUUCUCUGGCAAACAGAGGAAGAUGAAGACGGAGAAGAAGAUGAAACGUUAGGUGAUCACAAUGGAGCGCCACUUCUGCAAGGAGUCGCCUAAAGCCUGAUGUCAAAUGAAUUUCACAAUCCAGAUUCUAAUUCAUAUUUUAGUUUCUCAAGCUUUUCGCAUUAUCUAAAGACUUGGAGAUUUCUCUUGUUGUGGAGGAUCAACUAUUCUGGGAAAAUUUUUAGAUGGUAAGUGUUGUUUAAUGAGCAAUAAAAUGUGCACAAUAAUGUUAAAUUGACUUUGUACAAUGUUAUUUUUGGGAAUAAUGAUAGCAGUUGAAAGAGUUGAAUGAAAAAUUAAAUAGUGACUCUGCAUUGUAGUAAUAUACUGUUUUGUACCUCUAUUUGUAUACAACAUUCACAAAUGACAACAUGAUUCCUCUAUGGUUUGACAUGCUAAGUUUUAUACAUAUUAAGAAUGAGUCUCAAUGGACAAAGGCAUGAUCUAAUAGUCAAUGAAGUUGGAAUCGAGAAACACGAUUUAUGAUUGGACUUUUUCUACUUAUUUUAACAGCCCGCAAUCUCCCACUCCGGGGUACAGGCUAUCUCCUACCAGCACAAGUAUCAUAUAAUUCUAUCCACAAAGGACUCACAAUGCCUCUUAAGGGCCAAUGCAAGUGAUGACAAAUGAUACUUUGAACACAUAGCCAUCCAAUAUUUCAAACCACACCACACCAGCAUAAAUCAAGACCCUCACCGCCUCGUCCCCACUCCUGGAGAGAGUAUGUAUGCAGAACAAUCAGUAAAAAAGAAACAUAUCACAUGAGAAACUUGCGCAAAAUAUCGACUAGCAGGUCAGAACUGCAUAAAUAAUCCUUCAAGUAAAAGUCUAUUCAUGUACUGAAAACCAACACUUGCUAUUUCUGCCAAAAAAAUUAUAUGAAUUAGGGAUGCUUCCUUCCACAAAUCUAAAUUUUGAUGCUUCUCAAAGUAUACUAAUGUUUUGGAGAACUAUGAAGACAAAAAAGCUGUUGGCAACAUGGCUUGUACUGAAGGUGUAUUGUUUGUCCUUCAUGAAUUCAACUUCCAGCUUAUUCCCAUGAGUAUUGCUCAUUUCUCAAGCUUUGCUGAUUGCUAGGGUAAGCUCUUUCCUGCCGAGGAGUUUGUCUAUAAUAACCAUUUCCCCUUGAUCUGCCAUAAUCACGGUCACCUCCGUCUUGACCACCUCUCCCAAAACCACGGCCACCAUAGCGCCCCCUUCCGUCCAUGGAGUAGCUAACUCUGCCUCUACCCCUUCCUCCUGUGUCCACAUUUUAAAUAAAAACAAAACGAAUCUUAAUAUUUUUAGGAUGCAUGGCAAAAAAAAUAAAUUUCAGGACUUCAAAAUUUAAGUUAAGAGUCAGCUUUCAGACAAGGAACAGGCUUAGCAAAAUGAUACCUAAACACAGUUCUAUUUUGGCUAUUACAUGCACACAGGAACGAAAUAAUAAGCCUUAUUUACCUGAAGUAUAAAUGAAGGCCACUUGUUAUUUACUACUAUGAGGUCUUAAGUAAAUUCCAAUGAUACCAGCAUAAUGAUUUGUUUUGAGACUAAUACCAUGGUGAAGAUGUAGGAGCCAAAUAUUUACAUCAGUUGCAGCCUGACAAGAAUGCAAGUCAACUGGUGUAACAAUAGUCCCCCACUGAUUAUUCUCUACUUUCUGCGUUUCAUUAUUCAUCUCGAAAAUAAGUAUUGCAAGUAGAUCCAACAAAGUACUCCCUCUGUCCCAAUUUGUAUUGACUCGUCUUUUUAGUCAAGACUCAAAAAGAAUCGUAACAUUUUUAUACUUGGAAAUAAUUUGGUUUUAAAAUUCUCAUUUUAUCCUUCAUGAAAUGAUUUGUCACACAAAGAUCUACAACUUAUUUUAAACCUCGAGUUUGAAGAGUUUUUUUUCUAAAACUCUGAGUCAAGUCAAACUAACUCACAUAAAUUGGGGCGGGGGGAGUAGUACUGUUCACUUUAUACUGAACUGCUUUUAUGAAAACACAGCUCUCUCCAGAGUUAAAACUUCCCUCCGAGAAAAAAAAAAGAAGGUAUGAGGACAGGUUGGUUGAUCCAACUCUUUUACAUCCCUUAUCUUCCACCAAGUAGGAAUCAAAGUAAAUGACAUGACACUUGACAAAACAAUGUAGAAAAGGUCUCCAAACACCUGCAAGAAGAGUAUUUAAAAUUGUUCUUCUUGCAGGCUGGACAUCUUUUCUACUUUUGUUUUGUCAAGAGUCAUGUCAUUGACUUUGAUUCCUACUUGGUGGAUGAUAAGGGAUGCAAAUUGCUAAAGGUGUGUCUAGAGAUCACCAGUAGAAAAAUAUAAUGCUUAGGAAAAAACAAGAAUUUAGCUUGAAGAUGUGCUUGUUUCUGUGAAUGAGAAAUGCAGUAGUUUAAUUAUUGACCUACAAUUGAGAAGAUAAAGCCACUUACUUCCUCGAAUUAAGUUAUUUCUGUUCGGUCUCCUUCCUUCAAUGUACAACUGGUGUCCACCAAUCUGAACAGUAGAUGCCUGCAACAAAGUUUACAUAGAUUUCAGUAGCUACUCUGAAUGUAAAUGCAGUAAUUAGUCUUAGCUGAAGGUAUUAAUAACAAUUCAAUGAAGGAGAGAUAAAUAGAACGAAAAAGAACAUAUUCAUAACUCCCACAUAAUUUUACAUGGAAUACUUCAAACUUGUGCCAGUUUAUUACUUCAUUUGACCUCAUACAUAAAAUGUAGCAUCAUUCUCAAUUAAUCAAAUAACAAAAACAUAGGCUGUUAGUUCAACCCUCAAUUGCAUUGAAACUUUAACACGAAAAGGAUAAUAAAGAUGGCUCAAAAUUUUGAAAUGUCAAUUCAAACCUCAAUUGCAUUCUGAACCCCAGUUACAUCUUCAAAUUCGACAAAUGCAUAGCAUACAUCAAUGUCCUGCAUCACAUCAAAUUCCAAUUGAACUUAAUAUUGACCUUAUCUAGAUUUAAGAGUAUAGGGCAAAAGAAAGAUGAUAGAACAAACCUUUCGCGUUCUAAUGGCAACAGCAUCAGGCUUUAAUUUACCAAACUUUUUGAAUUCCUCCUCAAUUUCAUAAGCAGCCAUUGUGGUAGGAACAUUUUUGACAUAUACAGACUUGACUUCAACUGCAAAAGGUUCAAAAAGGAAAAUCAUAAAAGCAUAUCACUCAAAUGAGGUCCCUUAAAAAAUAACUCACAUCCCUGAGAAGACAGGAUGAGUACAUUAUGCCAAAGUACGAGAAACUAACCUUCAUCUUCAACAGCUGAAGCCUCUUCUGUUGCCUCAGUAUACCUCUCAAUAGUAUUAGUCGAAUGAACUGAUGGCAAAGCAGGAGGCUCUGGCACAUGUUGCCACUCUGAAGGAGGAGGUGUAGAUUUGUUGAGAGAAGACUGUGCCAGUCCUUGUGCAGAAUUCCCUUUAGUAACUUGUAGCUUCCAAAUUAGAAUCAACCAAAUAAAAUUAGUUGAUCACAAAAAGCAUACUCAAGACAAUAUGAGAAUGUAACCAUUAAAAGAAGGUAAAAGGGUCAUGGCAUACAAUAGAAGCAUAAGUAUGCUUUUGGGGCUCUGCAACAGGUUCCUCAACAGGGCAGGAUAAAUGGUCUUGUACUGCAUUAAUUGUACUCUGAAGUGGGCCGUUCGACUGAACCGCAAAAUUAUCUUCAAGGAUAUUCUCAGCUUCAGAGACAUGCUGAAGCCGUUCCUCCGGAAAACUAUAGUUAUUGACUGGCCCGUUAUCUUCAAUUUUAGGAGCAUCAACAAACUCCCUUGCUUGGAUUUCUCCACCAAACAUGUAGUUGGGCACUGCAAACACCAUCAUUAAUCCUUCAUAUAUGCACAUUCUCUUGUCUCGUUGUAUUGCAGCAUUAGCAUGUAGAAUUACAGAAAAAAAGUAUCGUGGUAUUGCAGCAUUAGCAUGUAGAAUUACAGAGAAAAAGUAUCCUGAGUCUUCUUUCAGAAGAAUUGUCAUUUAAGUACAUAAUUUCUUCUCACCAAUAUAUAGCACAUCACUUAAAACUACUUCUCACCAGAAAAAUAAAAGUACGAACAUAGGGAAAAUAGAGAGCUUCAGCACUUGAAGCUACUAGUAAUAUUCUCCCCCAAUGACAACUUAUUUUAGGGGUGAGGCAUUCACCAUGCUCCCCCUCGCAGCAUGGCUCUGUUCCAAUUUCACAACCCAGGACCCUCUCUCCUCCUCCAGAAAAGGUACAACAUACCCAGUGUCAUCCACAAGUGGGGUCUGGGGAGGGUUAGAUGUACAUAGGCGUUACCCCUACCUGUGUGGGGUAAAUCCUCCAAGAGAAAGGUAAAAAUGGCUUCACCAUUACAGGAAUGAUUUUUCUUUAAAAAAGUCAUUUUUUAAGGAUAGUAACACUAAUCUAAAAGACAGUAAUAUGAAACAAAAGAAGUUAGAGAAUCCCCCCCCCCCAAAAAAAAACAAUCAGACCAAUCUUAGGAUGAAAACCUUGAAGAUUGAACUCAUACCUUGCUCCUGAAGUGCAUUGGAAACAUUCAGCUUUGAAUCAAGGUUCGAAUGUGCUAGAUAGGCCAAUGGUUGCUGAAGAAUUUGCUCCUCAUCAACAUAGUGAAAGAUAUCAUUGAGGACAAAGUAUCCUUUUUCCUGGGGUGCAAGGAAAAAUGAUUGAACGAACUUCCUACUCCUAUUGAUACCUUUCACACUGACAGAACCUGAAACCAUCACAAGGACACCACCAUUCCAUGAUUCCAAGGAAUGGAGUGUUUUUAUCUCUAUUCCAGUGUACUGUAGCGACGUGACAAGGGUGUGAAUUUGCUGCAGAACACAGAAAGAGCAAUGAAAAAAGAAGUAGAAUGAUUUAUAUUGGGGGCUAAGGGAAUAAUACACAUCACGAACCAUGAUUAUUAGUUAGCUGAGAAUAAUAGAAAUUUUAUUACACUGAAAUAGAAUUAAUUAUAGAAGCGGUUCAAAGAUAAAAUCUCCCUUUAUUGUGACUUAGAAAUCAUGUAAUUUUAUUAGUAUAUUAAAGCAUGCAAGUAUCAACUCAAAGGUAUAGUUAUGAAUUCUUUUAGAUAAAGUAACCCACUGGUAUAUGAUAUUAAAAAGGAACUCGUCACAGCAGCAAAAUAAGAAGCUCCUCUGAUGGAAAUGUAUGCCUUGGGGAACUUGACACUCUUUCAGAUUUCAACUUCUAGCAGACAGAGAAAAAACACUAAUACAGCUGACUGGAGAGACAGAGAACUUGAUUGACAAGCUUCAAUUUUUGUUUUUCAGGAAAAACAACUUUUAACCUAAAAAUCUAGGACAUGGAUGUUAAGGCAGCCUCAUAUGAUACUUUUCCAUAUUAGGUGCUCUGUUUUGGAACAGGACUACAUCAUGAAAAAUCUCAAAACUAAUCUAGAACGUAUGGACACCAUAUAGAUGGCAUGACUGUAGACAUGAGGUCCCAGUUAAGGACAUGCAUCUAGAAAGAGCAACCAAUCACUGGUUAGCCAAUUACAACCCAUAUAGUACUAACAAUCAGUUACACAAUAAUUAGUGUUACAAAAUUGGUAAUGAGCUCCAAAAUUUGCUCAUGACAACAGAAAGAACUACACAGAAUCAAAAAAUGCUGGUCUAAUGUUAAAGUCAGCCACGUAUAACACAUCAAGAGCAACAAAAUGAAGAAUAUUAAUUAUCUAACUAGUUUAUGUGCAUUUGAGGUCCAAUCUCUAGAUAGACAAACUAGAGAAUGGUUAAGCUUUGUUGUUAAUCUAUUUUUUGCCCAAAAAGAUAGUAAAGGCACUAGAAUAAAAAAAUUGCAGCUAGGUUUCACCAGUGUAAAUUGAAUAAAUUUGGAUCAGCCAAGCUCUAGAAAAAAGCAACCAAAGUCCAACACAAACUCCAAAAGCACUUAAUUUAGAAAUAACUUCAAAGAAGGUUUUACUCAUAAGGAAAUUAAAGAAGGCACUUAAGAUAAAAUACCAGCAUUCCUGAAGCAGUCUCUCUGGUGCUGGAAUCAAUUCGAAGCACAGUACUAGCAUCACUGUAGAACUGGUGAACAAAAUCCGGUUGGGUCUGUAACAUCUGAUAAUACUGGCCCACGAAGUAUGUCCCCACCUGAAUCAUUACCCAAAACCGCAGAAAGAUGAAAUUCAAAUCCCAGCCAUUAAAAAUCAAUCAAACAACACUUCAAUCCUAAACAAGUUGGGAUAGGCAAUAUGAAUUCUUAAUAUAUUCCCCUCUAUUUAGACUAAUUUCAUUGUAACACUGAUAAGUAAUUUGACUUCUAAAGAAAAAGAAUGGUUCUAUAUGGAAUAAAUGAUCUCUAAAUCUCACACUUAUCCUUACCUAAUCUAGUGUAAGUCAGGUGAUAACAACUAACCUAGAUAGGUUAGUCCUAAUUACUCCAUAACUAACUGUUUCUUGGACCAUUUAUCCUUAACUAGCUGGUAGUUUUUAUAUAUAUCGUUUGUUUCUAUUGUGCUAUAUGCUUAAUUAAGUUUGCAUUUAUCACUAGAUUAGAAACUCUUUUUUCAGAAAACCUGUCUCCAUUUAGGAUAUUUAAUCACUACACCAUCACAACUACAUACAUACGCAUUUAUAGGAAAAUUAAACAAAAAAAAUUCCUCUAGUAGUUCCUAUAUCUCUUGAUACAGAAUAUACACACUCGUAUCCGUGAAGACUUUUUCUUGAAACAGGUAACAUCAUAAACAUAAAAAGUUCUUCUUUAUACUACAGAAAUGUCUUUUGGAACAAAAAGAUUUCAGAUUUACACUACAGAAAUUUUACAUUUCCAAGUCACUUAACAGCCACAGCCAAUUCGUAACUAGCAAAACAGGGCACAUGACCAUGGCCAAAAACCAAGGCAACCCCUUCAGCCAAAAAUCCGUUCAUAUAUAUAUAUAUAUAUAUAUAACCACAGAUAUAUAUAUAAAAUUAAAAAAAAAGAGCAUUCCUCGCUCCAUUUACAAAUGACUAAACAAGCAUGCGAGAAACAGCAAAAACACAAAUUUUCCUUCACAUUUCUACCCAACUUCUCUUCAAAUGACUUGUACAAUCAAAGAAUAAACGGAUAAAGACUCAGCAGAAGAGAUACCUGAGCAGCAGUGACUGGCAAGUGAAAAGGCGUCGCCAUUUCGUAAAACCCGGUGGCGGCGGCAGCUUAAACAGCGGUAGAAAUGAACUCGUCAAUCCAAUUAGAGUGAGAAUCUCAAGAAAAACUAGAUCUACCAAAAGAUCUAAAAUCCCCCCCAAAAAAAAACCCUAGAUUUUCACAGCAUUCACAUUUGCGCCGCAAGCAAAAAAGCAGCAACAGGGUCUUCUCCCAUUACACUCCACAAGCAGUAAAUAGCACUGAAUUCGUUCGUCACUGACUCUACAAUUUCUAGAGAGAGAAAAUGGAGUGACCGCUUGAGACCACUGGUUCUAGAGAGAGAAAGAGUGAGAGCUGCUGAAAUUUAUAAGGUGUUGCUGGCUGUGUUUUUUGGGACGGUGGCGCUGCUUUUUUAUUGGUUGAGUGAAUGUCCGUUUGUUAUCCACCGUUGAUUUAGACCUCAUGAUAGGGCUUCUUUUUAUUUUUUUAUAUUUGCUUAUAGGAUUAUCUAAUAACGUGAAUGUUUUCCAUGGAACAUGUUUUGGUAUCAACGAAAAAUGUGUUCUUGGAAAAUAAGUUGAUUUUAUUUUUAAAAAAAAUUAUAUUUGGUUGGUGAACGGGAAAUAGAAUUGGCGAAUGAUUUGUUUUUUUGAAAAUAUCUAUUAUUUUUGGCUAGAGGAUAGAAUUUUUAUUUUUUUAGGAAAAUAGUUUUUGACGUGAGAACCAACUCAAUAGUUGAUCUGGCACCGGGCUCCAUCACCUGAUAUAAGACCUUGACCUCUACUCUCGACAAUCGAACUAAACCUAAUCUUGACUAUGACUUGAAUUGGGUAACGAUCUCGAGAUCCAACCUAGAAUGUAAUCCCGACUCCUGAUUCGAGAACUCGUGAUGUAACUUUUGAAUUGGGUUCCAACCUUCCCGAUCCAAGACUCGAGACCUCCCAUAAACGAUUGUUGACUCUGACCCUAACAUCUGAUUCAAGAUCCAACUUUUGAAUCGGGAUAACCUGAAGACAACCAUCAUUUGAGACCUAAACCCGAUUUCGGCCCGAGACCUCAACACCCUAUCCAAACCCAAGAUCUUACCCAAACCUUGACACCCAACUCGAGACCCAACCCUAACACCGAUCCGAGACCCGACCCCCGAGUCCUCGACCCUAACCCCGAACCCAACCAUGAUCCCGAAGCGACCCUAAUUUUGUAAUUUUAUUAGUAAGACAAGAUAUGACUGAUAGAUAGCGAGGCAAAACAAGAAAUUACUCCAAUGAAGUGUUGUGAAAUAAAUUAAAAUUUUAUUUUCUUGAAAAGUACAUAUAGGGUGAGGUAGGGAAGGGAUGGAGGAAAUAAGACAGACGAUCAAUGAUCAUAGUUUUCUUGAAUCAUAAUGAUUAUAUAUACUUAAUAAUAAGUAAUUAUUAGAACCAAGCAGGAUUGACUAUAAUAUACAGGGGUGAUAUACGAAUUAAAUGAAGUGACUUAUAAUACAGGCUCACAUUUUCUUUACUUACUCUUUCACUUUCAAUUCAUUUAAAAUUCAGCCCGCUCCCGACUGUGGUCUAGACCUCUCUCGAACAAGGAAGGACAACAUAGCAUUAGUUUCAAUUAAACAAGCUCAAUCUUGAAAAGAAAAGAUUGCAGAGCAACAUUGAACACUUCAACUUGGCCACCGAAGAAGGUGAAAAUUAGAGGAGAGACUAGGUUAACUUACUACUGAGCAUUAGGCUCCAUAAUUGAAAAUAUAUUCCUAUUUACUUAGUAUAUUUCUACAAGAAAUAGGUCCCAAGCAUUAUCUAGUGAAGUUGCUUGUACUAAAUGACUCAAUAGUUUUCUAAAAUAUGAUAGAAACAAUUACAUUCUCUCUCUAAAUCAUAAAAUAAAGGAAAGAGAAGAAGAAGAAAAAAGAAAGCUCAUUGUAUGUGUGAUGUAAUACAAAUAGUUACAUCUCCUUUUGACCUAGUAAAAGCCUUUUUAGCCAUCUUAAUCCAUGAACUAAAAUUGUUCAUAUGUAGAUGGCAAAUUUCAACUUAUACAACUAAUAUACAAAGAAUUUUGUCCCAUCUUAUUGUUUCUUCCCUUGUGCUAAGCUAACUCGCAAUGCCCUUCCAUCCAAUUCCUGAUAAAGACAUAUACAAAAGGGUAAAAUUGUAAGUAGUUAUUUCAUUUUUCUCACGAAAUUGAAGUUUCGUGUAUCAACGAUAUACAAUAUUUAUGCAAUUAUAUCACUUAUGAUAUACAAUAUUUAUGCAUUCACGUGAGAUGCACUCAAACUGAUUUGAAAAAGAGAGUUCAAGAAAUGCAUACCACUCCAUUGAGAUUGUUAAGAGCAUUCUCCAUUUCUUCUCUAGUCUCAAAGCUCACAAAACCGUAGCCACGAGAUCUCCCGGUCUCACCAUCAUACAGUACCCUAGCACCAACAACAGUUCCAUAUUCUUGAAAUGCUUGCGCUAAACUUUCAGAUGAGACUGACCACGCCAAAUUACCAACAAAGAGUUUGUGUUCUGUUUCGGGGUAAAGUGGUUCUUUUGGUUUAGGCUUAUCCGAGAAAUUCACCCUUAGGGUUCUGCCACCAUACUCCUGAAAUCAGUAAAUCAUGCUUUAGUGCAUAGCCUCAGAUAAGCUCAACGUCAGAAAUAUUUUGUAAUAUUCAACAUCGAUUCACGAAAGCAAAUUGAAGUGAUCUCUUACUCUUCCAUCUAGAUUUUCGACGACUGUCUUGCAAUCUUCAAGAGUACUCAUUGUCACAAAUGCAAAUCCUCUGCUUUUACCUGUGUCCCUAUCAUAAAGAACCUGGAGAAAUUGUAUAAAUUAGCAUGUAAAAUACAUUUGGGACAUAUAUAGGAGGAACAUUUUGGUUUUGAUUAAGAGGAAGUUUUCUCGUAGCAUUAAAAAGAUGGUUAAAUCGGAGCAUACAUGCUUUUGUAACGUUUUAAUUAUGAGCACAGUUCCGUCAAGUUCAAUCCCAGCUUUUCAAACCUUUUUGCGCGCAAGUGAUCACCUUCGCUCUCAUUAUUUCAACUGACUUUCACUUAACUAACUCAGUCAAAACUGGAAAGUAUAAUUUUCUAAAUACAAUCACAGUGUUCAAUUGCGAACUUUCAUAUUCAAGUUCCGGUUCAAAUACUAGUCACUUUUGGAACUUAUUCAUGAAGCAAUACGCUGCACUUGUUGGCUCUAUUACAUGAACUUGUAGACGGGUAUGUAUCUACGAGUAUGUGUAAGUAUAUGGAAAGGUAAAUUCAUUUUUUGUUUUCUAUUUAGUACAUCUAUAGGGAUUUCGACAAUGCACCCAUCUCUAAUCACAUUUUUUCGACACAAAUACGUCAAGAUAUAUAAGUGAAGGAUCUACAUAACAUAGCUAAGGUGGUACGACGUACACUCAUAUUUUAGCACCUAUUUAUUCUACGAAUACUUAUUUUCCAUGAGAUAGUAAUCAAGAUCAUCAACAUCAACAACUCUAUGUAAACACCUAACGCGUCAAUGUGGUUCACAAAAUGAUAACACAAAAACCAGAGCAUAGAUCAAACACCUUAAUCUACUUAAAGAAGUAACUAUAACACAAUAAUAUAUCGAAAUUCAAUCCUCAACUAAACAAUUCAGUAAGAACACAAAUCCCACUAGUUUAGAGCCUAAUUACGAGUCUUCCCAUGGGUUUUUGAUAUUACCAUUUGUGCCAUAUUUUGGUCCUCAAAUACACUAUCUCAUUUCGUUAUCUCGAAUACAUAGAGUCAAAAAUCGAUGUAAUUUGUUUCAGAUACAUUGUAUUCAAAUGGAUUCGGAUGUAUUACGAGAUACGAGACGAAAUUGGCUAUACGGAUACUCAUACUUCACUCUAAUUUAUGUAAAAAUGCAUACCUCAACAAGUUCAGGACUAGCAUAGUCUUGAACAAUCCCAGCAAGUUGUGCACUAUCACAAAGAUACGGCAAAUUCCCAAAAUAAAGCUUAGUAUUAACACCUUCACUUUCACUACUCCCAUCGGAACCCUCUCCUACCUUCUCCUCCUCAUCCACCGCCGGCGCCGGCACCUCCUCCUCCGUCACCGCCGCUUCCGCCUCCUCUUGCGCCACCGCAGCUGACAGCCUGGGCAAUACCCUCCACUUCUUGUAAAUCGACGUCAGUUCACUUACCGACGAUGAAAUUAAAGUUAGAUUUGGAGUUCUAGCUGAUGAAAUUUUAAGUAGAUGAUCGGAAUUAGUCAAAUUUGAUUUAGUACGUAUAGAAUGAAGACUGGAAAACGAAGAAGCUAUUGCUGUGGCAGCUGCGGCCGCCAUGAUUUCGCCGGAAUUUCAAUUUUUGAUCGGAAAAAUUUUUCAGAUAGAGAAAGUAGAGAGAAAAAAUGGAGGGAUAUUAUUAGUGAGUAUUUUAUUUUAUUUAUUUGAGUGGUGAAAUGGAGAGAUGAAAAUCCAAAGAGAUAGGGAAAAAAAUAUAGAUGAGGUGGAUAUCGUAUAAUUGAUAAGGUUUUUGGAUUUUUGCUUUUAUAUUUUUUUUUAAUUGUUUUUAUUGAAUUGAAACUCUUUUUUUAUUGGCUAUUUUGGUUAAUCUUUUUUUGUAAUGUUGGUGUUUUAUUAGCCACACAAUAUGGGAAACAAAAGUACUAAACAUAUGUAAUGUCGUAACAGAGAUAGAGAAAUUAUUUUUAAAAGACCUAUAUAUUUAGUGCAUGACAGAUUAUCGUAGUUUUGAAAAGGAAAUACGAUAGUGAAGAGAAUACAAGAUUGUAUUGAGUAUUCAAAAAAAAAGAAGGAAUAGUAAUAAUAAGGAAAUGAUGCGGUGACUGAAAUGUAUGUCGAAACCAAAACACUACGUUUCUAAGAUAUCUUUUUUUUAUCGAUUGACAUCUGUUCUCCCAUAUUUAAUUCGUCAUUGAGGUUUGCUUUUUUGUUGAAGAGGAAGGAAACUGACGACUGAAACAUAUUAAAGAAACAGAUCCAACGCAGUCAACUGACGUGUCUGCAGCGAGUGUUGAUGAAGAAGGAAGUUGAAGACACUUGCUGCAGACACGUCAGUCAACUGCGUUGGAUUAAUUAUGAAACUAAUAAAAGAUGCAAUAUAUAAAUCUAAUCAUAUCAUAUAUAUUUGAACAACACAUUUUAUGUUUAGUACAAACUUUUCAUAACUAAAGCUUGUCUUAUCUUAUUCAAAGUUCUUUCCAUGACAUUAUUAUUAUAUAGAAAUUGGAAAGAACACACACUCUACAACAACAACAACAAAAUAAGUAUAAAAACUACUAAAACUCAAACCCCUUAGUAUGACUCUUCAAUUCAGAUACGUGCAAGUCUGAUUCUUUUUUCAUCAUUUAAGCGUAGAUGGAAGGAUUAGCGAGGAGGUAAUCUUCGACAGCCUUGAAAAGUUCCAUGGCAUGUUUUUUUCCUUCAUUGUGUUCUUCAUCCUUUAAAACAUAGUCACCUUUUGUGUGGUACUCAGUUUUAGUCUUGCAAACACAACCUCCAUUUCCAGCAGGUUCAAAUUUGACAUCAUGGGUAAUUGAUUCCAAUUUGUCUCCAAGAACAUCACCUUCUAUAAGUGAAUAUUUUGUUACCAAAUUCUUGUCAUCAAUUGCAUGAAUCUUGUGCUUCAAAUACUUUAUUGGACCACCUGAUGAUAUUAACAAAAAUAAUAUAUAAGUUUCGUAAUAUAAUCGAUGUAAACAUUUCGAAGAAUAUCUAUAGAUAUGUUAAAUGAACGAGUUGAAAUCUAUUGUAUUCUAUUAAAAACACAUUAAAAAAGUAUUUUGAUUUUUUGAGUUUGAGUUUUAUAUCUUGUAGUGAGUUUUAUAUCUAAAUUAUCAAAUGUGUGAAUUUCAUAUAUGAACUAUCACCAAAUAUUUAUCAAAAUACACUUAAACUAUUAGUUGUUCAGUUUUCUUAUCUGAACAAUAGUGAUAUUUUAGGUAGAAAAAAUAGUUCGAAUGUGUUUGGAGAAACAUUUGAUAGUCUACGUAGAAAACUCACAUACAUAUCAAAACACACUUAAAUUAUCAAUUGUUCACUUUUCUUAUCUGAACAGUAGUGAUAUUGACUGAUAGUUCAAACGUGUUUCGAGAAAUUUAAUGAUAGUCCAGACUUAAACACCUAACAGUUCAGCUUUGAACCUCAAAAACCUGAGAAUUUAUUUAGUCAUAUGCAUUAACGAUAUGUAAAAGAUAUUUACAUAAUCAGAUUAGAUCGUUCAUUUAUAUUAACAAGGUAGUAAAAAUGAUAAAUGUAAAAACUAAUUAUAUUACCUUCAACAAAAUUUAUCUUCUUAAUGCUUCCAUCUCCCUCAGUCUCAACAUUCUUAACAUUUGGCAUCAAUUUUGGAAUAAGAUUGUCACCAUCAAUAACCAAAGCUUUGAACAACCUAUUAGGAGACACUGUGCUUGUGUCUUCAUGUGUAUAGGUAGUGACACCCAUAAUGUUAAAUAUUUUUCCAAACUUGUAGUAAUAAAAUAAAGGAUAUAUAAGAAGUGAAAUUAAUGUGCUAGCUAGUUUUGAGUUGAGGGUUAUAAUGCUAAGUUUUAGAUGGUAUUUAUAGGCUAGAAAAUAGAGUGAGUUGAGAGUUUGAAGUCAUCACCAACCUUAGCUUUAAUGUUUAAUUUCAAUAUUCAAAGUAGGCCAUUCUUGACUUCUAUAUCCAUUUUUUCUAGAUGGUGAUGAUAGUUAUCAUUUCGUCUCGUAAAAAGCAAAUUCAGAAUUUAAAUUUUAUGUUUUAAAUUCAUUAUAUUUCAAUGUUAUGGAUUUAUGCUAUCUAUUAUUAGUUGCACACAACGUUAAAGAAUGAUAAAAGUUCUACUCCGGUGAUUAAUGAGAUGAGUGGACUCCUAACAAGGCUUAUACAAUCUUCCUCCCGUUAAGCUAGCUUUUGGGAUGUGAGUUAGGCCUAAGACCUAAUUUCACAUGGUAUCAUCAAAAUCGUCCACGCACCAAAUCUAAGCACUAGGUAGGAUGUUAAAGUUAGAUAAGGUGUGAGUUAGGCUUAAAACCUAAUUUCAUAAUUUUUAUGAAUUUAUUUUUAAAAAUAUUAGGUUUAAAUGAAUCUGUGAUAUUCACCUUUAUCAUUGCUCUAAAUCAAAGUUUUUCAAUUUUGAAUUCUAAAGAUGAAAACAACUUUAUUCUUAAUCACUUAUAUUUUGAAUGUUGAAUCCUAAAAUGAAGAUGAUUCUAUAAAGAAUAUUUUUUUUCGUUUUAACAAACUUUACAUCAUUAAUCGAAAUUGAAAAUAAUAUCGAAUAUCAGAUAAAAAACAAAAAUAUAUGUUUCAUAUUGCGCGUCACUUAGUUCAAAAUUAAUUUGUUGGUUGUGGCGUUGGAUAACUUCAUGACAAAAUGGUCUAACAAUGAGGCUUGAUGACACAUUAAAAGUAUACUCCAUAUCAAAAUUGUGUCAUAUAUAUCCAAAUCCUUUGUGUUUUUUCUUUGUAUUUUUUUUAAUAAUACACAAGAUAAUAAUUAUAAUUAAGAUAACAUAUACAAAUAACUUUAUCAAAAAAAAAAAUUGAUAUUAUAAUCCAUAAUAAAAAAUGAUUAUUGGACAUAGUUUUUUUGUGAAAGUGAAUAAUUUUUUAUAUGAUGAACGUUAAAAUUAAUAUUUUUUUUAUAUAUUUAAUAAAUAUAUAUCAAAAGAUCGAUUCAAUCUACCUUGCUCAAGCUUUACUAAUAAAUAAGCUUACUUGAGGUUUAUUUUUAGGUAAGUUUUGAAAAACAUAGUCCAAUUCUAUCAAAUUACGAAUUAAUUUAGAUUGAUAUAACAAGUCAACAUAGCUGAAUAUUAAAUAUAUUUUAAAAAUAAUUAAAAAUAUAAAGUAAAAAAGUUACUUUUACUCGAUAAUGUUUCCACAUAAAAUAAAACUAAUAAUAAUAAUAGGUUAUUGUUUGUUGCCUCGUAGUAAUUGGGUGUGUAGGUGGGGAGGAUAAUAUAAAUUAAUUAAGAAUAUGGUUUUAAACGACUUUCCACGUGUGUGUCUGUUUGUUUAAUUUUAUACAAGUUUAAGUGUCUAUUUGUGCACACCCAAAGUUGAAGAGCGUAAAUAUGAUUUGAAACCAAUUUAAAAAAAACAUUUAUGUAUUAUGUCAUUUUUAAAAUAUCUAUACUGAUUAUAUAUUAUGUAUGCUUGAGAUGUUACACAUGUCUAAAAACUAUAAUAUAUACAUGGAUUGUGAUAAAAAGAAUAAUUAUUGAGAUUUUUUUGUUUUUAAAUCAACUCAAGUUUAAAUUUUUGAAAAUAAUAAAAAUCUUGUCAAGAGCAUAUCUCUAGAAAUAAGCUUGAUAUUAUAUAAAUUUAAAUUUAAUCAAAUUCAAAUACGAAUAUAGAACCUGAAAAAUAUUUUAUUCGAAUCUAACUUGAUCUUUUUUAGAUUAUGUUCAAUUUAUUUUAUGAGAGUUAAUUAGUUUUUUUCAUUUGAUUAUUUUAUUUUAUGUAUUAUUAAUUUUUAUUUUAUCAUAGUAAAAAAAAAAUCUCUUUAUCAGAUUGUUGCUAGUCUAUUCCAUCUUUACCAACUCUUGUUGUGAUUAUAACAUCCAAAAUAUUUUCUACAAAUUUGAGACCUAAUUUUAAUGUGGAACUUUGACAAUGUCAAAGUACGCAAUGGCUAUCGACUUUAAAUCUUAAAUUCGUCUAUCUCGUUGAGAUAUUAGGAGAGAAAUAAUUAUGUACUCGAAUUAAUCAUCCACACUUAUUAUGAUGAUAUCGUAUGAAGUAAGGAAACUAUACUAUAGAUGGUCGGAAUUAUUUGUUUUAUUACUCCAUUCGUUUCAAUUUACAUGAUAUAGUUAGACUUGACAUAAAAUUUAAGAAAAAAUAAAAGAUCUUUGAAACUUUUGAUCUAAAAUAAGUUAUAAAUAUUUGUGUAAAUAUACAAACUCAGUGUUCCAAAAUUUCAACGCCUCUAAUUAAUUUUUUUGAGAUAUGUAAUGUCAACAAGGAUCAAGUAAUAUAAAAAAGGGGAAAAUAGUAAUAUGUCUCCUUUUAACGAGAGAAGUAUUGAAACAUCUUUAAACUAAUUGGCAUGAAUUACAAACUAGUUUCAUUCUCAAACUAUUGACAGCCCUAAAAACACCCUUUUACUCGACUAAUUGAACUUAAAUACGCCCCUAAUCUUGCCUCGUGAGCAAAAUACACCCCUAAAUUCUCUUCAAGGUUUGAGUGUUUUCAACACUUAAACUUGAUUAUUUAUUAAGAGUUUUGAGAUCACUUGUUAUGCUAUGUAGAAGAUUGAGGUGUAUUUAAGUUGAGCUAGUCAAAUAAAAAUACGUUAUAAAAUUAUUUAUAGUUUAAAGAUGAAACUAAUAAUUCACGUUAAGUUCAGUUGUGCCUUGGGCUUUCAUAUAAUAUAAUUGAAAAGGAUAUUUUAAGGCUUGGUACAAGAAAAAGAAAGCAAAAGCAUUCAAUAUUUAUUUAUUGGAAGUUCUUUCCAUGACAUACAAAUGGAAGGAACAAAACACACAAUAAAAAAAACUAUAACAAUAUAAAACUCAAGCAAAACUCAAGUUUAUGAUCUAACUUUUUUUUUAAUUGUCUCAGCUAAAAGUUUAAACUUUUUAGAAAUAGAACACACGUAUAUAUAAUUAUAUAAUAUCACAACACGUCAUGAUUAUCUCUCACGUGUGGAUCUUUGAUUCAUAUUUCAUCACUUAAGCGUAGACAGAAGGAUUAGCGAGGAGGUACGCUUCGAUGGCCUUGAAUAGGUCAAUGGCUUUCCCUUUGCCUACAUUGUGUUCUUCUUCACUAACAACAUGAUCACCCUUUGUGUGAUACUCAGUUGUUGUCUUGCAAACACAACCUCCAUCUCCAGCAGCUUCAAAUUUGACAUCAUAGGCAAUUGAUUCCAAUUUGUCACCAAGAACAUCACCUUCAAUAAGUGAAUAUUUUGUUACCAAAUUCUUGUCAUCAAUCACAUGAAUCUUGUGCUUCAAGUACUUAAUUGGUCCACCUGUCAUUAACAAAAAAAUUAAAUUAAGUUUCAUAUAUAUUAUCGAUGUAAAUAAUUUUUUACACUAUGAAAUCAUUCAAACAACAGGGUCAAAACAGGUUUAGUUAAUAAAUAAGCAGAUUACUGAUCCGUCCAAAAGUUAGACUGAAAUGUAGGUCAUAUAACACAACAUGUCCAAUUAUUACUAAUUUAGUUUUUUUUUUUCAUGUAUAUAUAAAUUUUUUGUAGUACCUUGUAUAUGUGUAAAGUAGUAACAUAUUAAGAGCCUGUUUGACUUAGCUUAAAAGCUGGUCAAAUUGACUUAAAAGCUGAUUUUUGACUUAUUUAACUGUUUGGCAAUACUCAAAAUAGCUUAUUUUAAGUUAAAAAAAACUUAUUUUAAGCCAAAAGUUAAAAACUGGGGUAGGGGUGUUUUUUUUUUUUUUUAGCUUAUAAGCUGUUUUAAGUUGAUCACAUCUUUAUCUUUUUGCCCUUAAUAUUUUUAUACAAUUUCCAAGUUACACAUAUAACCCUAACAUCUCUUUCUUCCAUUUUUCGCUUUUCACGUUUGGCAUAACAACUUCAGCACUUUUAUCCAAAUGCAUAACUGUUUAUUUUAGAAAUAAGUUUCAGCACUUUCAAAAGUACUUUUUUAAAGCUGUUUUUAUUAAGCCCAUCCAAACGGGCCCUAAAUAAGAAAAUAUUCUGACAAAAAUUCUCAUAAAUUAAUUUAGACUAUAUAUUAUUUUUAAUUUCUUACCCAGUAAACUAAUAAAUGAGUAGGUCAAUAACUUUAAUUUCCCAAACUUAGGUGGAUUAGACAUGUUAGGUUGAUAAACUAACUCUGUCACCUUUAUCUAUAUUUAUGUCUUUAAUAAUAUAUGAGAUUUGACUUCGUUAUAUAUAUCGAACAUCGAAUCGAAAAAAACUGGUUUAAGCUGAGAUCAUAAACAUAAAACAAACCUUCAACAAAGUUCAUUUGCUUGAUGCUUCCAGCACCACCAUCUCCCUCAACAAUCUCAAUGCUCUUAACAUCAUGUGACAACAAUUUAGGUACAAGGCUAUCAAAAUCAAGAACCAAACCUUUGAAUAGCCUUGUUGGGGCAAUUGUGGUUGUGGACUCAUGAGUAAAGGUGUUUACACCCAUAAUGUUUGAUUAAGUAUUUAUAUUUUGAAAGAAAAAAAGAUAUGAAAGAGAAAGGAUAAGAUGAAUAUAAUGCUUUGAAGUGUGUGUGAUAUAUUGAAAGUUUUAGAUGGUAUUUAUAGGACAAAAAAUGAAGUGAGAUUUUGGUUGAUUAUUAUGUAAGUUUUGUCCCUACCUUGAAAAGUCAUAUAAAACUCGAUCAUGUUCGACAAUAGUUGUUCAGUACUAUAUUAUUAUAAAAUGUCCAAUAAUACUUAUCCACGAUAUAUUAUUAGUUAUAGUCAUUUUUAUUACAUUUUUUAAAACGUUAUAUUUAUAAUCAUAUUCAAUGAGUGAUAUAGUAAAAUUAUCCUUUUAUUUAUAAUUUUUAAAAAAGUGUCCACCGUCAAUACUGAACAAAUAUUAUUAGACAGAAAAAAUAUAAACCUUUGGACAAAUGGUGAACAAUUACUCGUAUUCAGUACAAGUAGAGUGAAAGCUAUUAAAAUCUUUUGAAUUUAUCUUAUCAAUCAUGAUCGAAAAAGACGAAGAUAUCAAACAAAAUAUUAUCUAAUAAUUAUAAAAGUUAUAAUUAAAAUAAAUCGUUAACGCGAUCUAAAAGAUGUAUAAAUUGUUGCAAAAGUUAUAAUUAAAAUAAAUUGUUAGAUCGCGAUCUGGAAGGUGUAUAAGUUGUUGGAAAAGUUUGGUGAAAUUUUAGAAUUCUAGUCAUGAACAAUCUUAACUUUAGUAUUAAUUUCAACAUUCAAAGCAGUGCAUUGUUGACAAUUUUGUCCAUUUUUUAUUUUUAUUUUUUUCUACAUGUUGUGUCACUAUCUUUGAUAAUUAAUUUUGUUAGUUGUGACAUUGGGAGAAUUUUAUAUAAUAUGGUCUAUAAAAAUAAGGCUUGCUGACACGAUAUUAAGUUUGAUUGGACUUUAGGAACCUACCAACUUGGUAGUGCUCAUCAUGUUUUUUCUCAUCGAUAUUAUUCGUGUUGAAAUUCGAUUAAAUAUAAAUUUACACUGAAAGAUCUCGUAUAAUAGAGUUUAUUAUAUUUUCUAAGACCUCUCGUUAAGAAUAAAUUAUAAGUAUUAUCAUUUCAACUACGAUCCUUAAUAAUAAUAGUGUUCAUUAUAUUUGGAAGCUUAGAAGAACGUUCGUUUGCUAAUAUUAUUAUCCAUCAAUAUUAAUUUUUUGAAUUCAAAAUUAUCUAGUUUCACUCAUUAAAUUAUAUAAUAAGAAAAUGAGUAAUGAAAAUUACGGUGUCAUGAGUUUGAAUUUAAUGAUAUUUUGAUAGGUGUUUUUAUGUAUUAUAAAUAAAAAUAUAUUUUUAUAUUUAUUACUGUUUAUAUUAUGUUAUAAUACUUUAUUUAAUCAAACUUUAACUCUGAUUGCUUGGAAAAAGAAAAACUUUUCAAAAAAAUCAUUUUGAAAGUAACCAUUUGUCAGUUUAUAUUUAGGUAAUUAAUUUGUAAAAUAUUUUUGUCAAAUAUUAAUGUAGUAUAGCUUAAUGUAUUGUUUAAUUAAAUAUCUCGUAGAGAAGUAAUGGAAUUAUUUUUUAAUUUGAUAUAAAUUAUUAGUUUUAUUUUUAAAUUAUUAAUAGCUUUAUAAGAAUUUUUUUACUUAUCUAACUAAAUCUGAUAUACAAGUGGUUUCAAAUUCUUGUAGAAAAAUGAAACUUUUCAUAAAAAAUCGAGAGAAGGGUUGAAAACACUCCUAAAUCUGGUGAAACUAUAAAGAUGUAUUUCACUCAUCUUAUAAAAUUAAGGAUAUUUUUAAGUUCAGCUAGCCAAACAAAUGAAUAUAUUUGAUAUUAAAGAUGAAAUUAAUAAUUUACGUUAAAUUCAAAUGUAUUUUAAAUACUUCUCUCUAUAUCUUAUAUAGUUGUAUAAAUAUCGAAUACGAAUAAUUUUUUUUUUAAUACUUAUCUUUUUGAGAGGCUAGUUGGUCUUUGAUAAUUGGGUGGGUGGGUGUGAGGAUAAUGAUAUGUAGUGUAUACCAUAUAGUUUCUUCUCUAUAGAAAAAUCUUUUCAAUGUCUACAUCUAAUUGACUAAGCCAAACAUUGUCUUAUAGUAAAAAUCAUGGAGUUGAUGAAAUCUUGACUAAAGCCAUUUGGUAAUGUGAAAGUGGCAAUUUUUGUAUGCACUCUAACUUUUCUCCCAUAUCAUCAAUUUUUUUAAUUAAAAAAAAAUUAAAUUAAUUUUUAAAAAUUUUUUAUUUAAAAAUUAAUAAAAUGAUCGAAUUAUAAUUGGUCACGUCAUCAUUUUUCAAUAAAAUAAUUAAACUUCUGAAUAAAAAUUGUGUCACUUUUUUUUAUUUUUUAAUUAAAAAAUUUGAUAACGUGACCGAGUUACAAUUGGCCACGUGUCAAAAAUAAUUUUGCAAAAUCAUUGUUAAAAAAUAAUAGCAUGAAUGAGCAUUUACUUUAACGAUAAUAGCAUAAAAAUUCAAUGGCAUAUUUAAGUCUUUUCCCUUAAAAAAAAUUAACAAAGGUCAUUUUCAGAAUGUGAAAUUUGAUUAAUUUGAAUUUGUAUUUUGUAGAGUUAUUCUGAGCUCGUCAUCUUUAAUUAAAAAAUAAUUAAAUAUAAAAUUUAAAUCGAGACUUAAGAUUAAGAGUAAAAAGAUCUCAACCAUUCACUAUAACAAAAAUAAUCAUUGGCGACAAAAUAUAUUUCUAAAGCCUUUAGCGAUAUUGGUUCUAAUGGUACUUAACUAAUACCAAAAAAGACUUUAGCAUUCUUUAUUAAUAUUAAUAAUUAAUAUCGUUAAAAGUCGUUUUUAUUGUUGCGAUUAAAUGGGAUGUUUGAUUGCAUAUAAUAUUAGAAUAAGACAACAGUAACAUAGCAUGUUCAUGUUAUUUUAUAUAUUGAUGAGAAAGAAAUAUACAAUUUUUUUCUAAAAAUCUUGCUGCAACUAGGUAUAUGUAUUAUUGUAUUAUUUUAUUAUUCAUUUUACCUUCUAUUUAUCAUAAAAUAAUAAUAAUAAUAAUACAUGCCUCAUAAUUUAUGCAUGGUUCCCUCAACACAUAUAUUAAGAUGUAUGAAUUUUUAAAUCGUAAACUAAAUAUCGUAUUAUAAAACUUACUGUUAAUUAUUAUUAAAUAUGAUAUUAUUUAUAUAAAAUAUAAUAUUAAUUUCCACGCCUUUAAAAUAGAGGUGGAUAGAAAUUCCAUAAAAAAAUUUGCUUUCAAAUUAAAAUGGGAAAUCAAUCAUUUUUAAUAUUUCUUUAGCUUUUCAUCACAAUUUUAUUUUUAUUUUUUUUUGAAAGUUUUGAACUUCCGAAGAAUCGUAAUUUUUAUUACUCUAUCAAUAAUUGAGAUAUUGAGUUUGAUUCUCUUAAAAUAUGAAAUCGCAUUUGUUAAGAAGCGCUUUGCUUUCAGUAUGGGACUUUUCAACACAAAUUCUUUAUUAUUUAUGAUCGUAAUAGAUGUUUGAUUAGAAACAUAAAAGAACGAUGAAACACAAAUUUACAUGAAUUCAGUAUCAAAAUUACUACUAAUUAUUUCUAAAUAUCUAACUAUAAACCCACACAAAUAAUCAUUUAUAGCUAAUAUCACUUUAAAUCACUCUAGAAAUUCGUAAAAUUCAAAUCACGAAAAAUAAUAUUUGAGGAUUAGCUUGUGAUAAUAUUCUUUAUUGAAAGUUCUUUCCAUGACAUACAAUUGGAAAAUACACACACAACAUCAAUCAACUUCUACGUCUCUCAUUCGAGAGUUUAAACUUCUUAAAAACAACACACACAUUUUAAAUUAUUUAACAUCACAACACGUUCACGUACAUGCAUAAUUUCUCACGUGUAGACCUGAUUCUUUUUCAUCAAUAUUCAAGCGUAGACAGAAGGAUUCGCGAGAAGGUAUGCUUCUACAGCCUUGGAAAUAUUCAUGAUUCUCUCUCUGCCUACAUUGUGUUCUUCUUCACUAACAACAUGAUCACCCUUUGUGUGAUACUCAGUUGUUGUCUUGUAAACACAACCUCCAUUAUCAUUAGCUUCAAAUUUGAUAUCAUAAGUAAUUGAUUCCAAUUUUUCUCCAAGAAUAUCACCUUCAAUAAGUGAAUAUUUUGUUUCUAAGUUCUUGUCAUCAAUCACAUGAAUCUUGUGUUUCAAGUACUUUAUUGGACCACCUGUCAUUAAUAAGAAAUAAUAAUUAAGUUUCGUUUAUUAUAGAUGUAUAAAUAUUUUUUACAAUUAUCAGGUUAUUGAUAAAAGUAUUAAAUUAACUAGUUAAAUUGAAUUUAAGCAGGUUAAAAUAGAAUAAAUUUAUAAAUUCAAGAGUCAAAAGUUACUUGGGUUGAACUAGUCUAAAAUAUGGGUCAUAACACUAACUUAUUCAAUUAUAAAUAGUUUUAAAUUUUAUUCUCUUUAUUUGUUCAUUUGUAGCUUUUUUGUAGCUUAUAAAAUUAUUUUCUCUCUAUAUUAUGACUAUAUAAUGUCAAUUGUCAAAAGAAAAUAAUAAUUUUAAAAAAAAUAUUCAGACAAGAUUUCUUAUGAGUUAAUUUGGGCUACAUAUUAUUGAUAGGUUUAUGAGCUAAUAAAUAAGCAGGUCAAUAAAAAUGAAGUGAUCAGUUGGGCGGGUUAUAAUUUUAUGCACUAAUUUAUCAUGCAUAUCCACGGAUAUGUUUUCCAAUGAUACGAGAUAUAAAAUCUUGAAAGUAAGACGUAUUAUAAUCGCUAUCUAAGUAACCAGUAAGUAGAAUUUCGAAAAAAUAACAGACGCCGAGCGAAAGAAAGAAUCAUAACAAACCUUCAACAAAGUUCAUUUGCUUGAUGCUUCCAACACCACCAUCUCCCUCAAUAGUCUCAUUGUUCUUAACAUGUUGUGACAACAAUUUAGGUACAAGGUUGUCAAAAUCAAGAACCAAAGCUUUGAAUAGUCUUGUUGGGGAAAUUGUGGUUGUUGACUCAUAAGUAUAGGUAUUCACACCCAUAAUGUUUUUGAUUUAUAUUUGCUUUUAUAACAAAGAGGAUUAUAAGAUGAAUUAAUGUUUUGAGGUGUGUGUUUUAAUGAAAGUUUAAGAUGGUAUUUAUAGGGAUAUUGUAGGGUGCGUUUUGGUACAAAAGGAAAAUAAUUUUUUUUUAAAUAAUAUAAAAUAAAAUUAUUUAUUUAUUUUCAUGUUUGAUUAACUUAAAAAUAUUGUUUUUUUUCCAUUAUUUUCAACAUGGGUUUACUCACUAUUAUAUUUCCUUUUCAGCUUUGAAUUGACUAACUUGAGUCGAUGGAGGAUAAGGUAUUCGCGUAAAAUACAUUGAAAAUUCGAGAUUAAUACUUGACUUGAUAUUAUUAUUUUCACUCCCCGCUUCAACUCACUCAUAUAUAUAAUAUUUUUUUACUUAUUUAUUAAAUCGUCAUAAACUACUUAUCUUUUUAACAAAUAUUAUUUCAUAAAAAAUAUUUUAUUUCGUAUCAAACGCAUCAUAAGAGUUUAGUCAUUGACUCUAAUCUUAAUUUCUACAUUCAGAGCAGUACUUUGUUGACAUUCGUGUUUUUUUUUAAUUUUUUUAUCUAUAUAUCGUGUCAUCAUUCUCUAAUAAUUAAUUUAUUGGACGGUGGAAACCUAGUAUGUAUGUUACUAAUUUUAUUUUUAUUAUAUAUAUAUAUAUAUAUAUAUAUGUUAUACUAAAACAAAUUAUUACGAAUAAUAAUAUGAUAAUUAACAUACAAAAAGUAAUAAGGCUAUAGCUUAAAAUAUGAAAGGAUAAGCAAUAAUAUAACGUCUGAUUAAAUCAUUUUGUUUAUUUAAAUUGAUGUAAAAUAUCGAUCACGAAUAAAUAUUUUUUUAAUUUAUUUUUUUUGGGACUAUUUUUCCUUUGAUAUUUGGGUUGGUGAGAUAGAGGACAGGGAUAUAUAGUUUGUAUUCUCUGUAAAAAUAAAAAGUAUAUACAUUUAAAUUUUGGCAUCUUGACUAAUUAAGCCAAACAUUGUCUUAUAGUAAAAUCUUUAGUGUUGAUGAAAUCUUGACUAAGCCAAUUAGUAAUGUGAAAGUAUAAAUUUUAUAUGCACUCCGCCUUAAUGUUGAGGUUCGAUAAAUUUAAAUUUAUGUAAUAAAUGAUUCAUAUUUUAAGUAGGGUUAUUGUUUUAUUUUCUUUAAUGUUAUUGUCAUUUUAUAAUCUUCAUAUAUUUUCAAUCACUAAAAAAUAAUGAAAUAAAUAAAACUAGGAGUUAUUUGAUAACUGAUUAGAAUUAUUAGCUAUUAUACUUUCGAUUCUUUAUAAAAUAAUGGGAAACGACUCAAAAAUACUUUUAAACUAUGUGAUAAGAAUAAAAAUAUCAUUUGUUUAUAGUUUGGCUCAAAAAUGUCUUUACCGUCAAUAUUUUGAUUAAAAAAUAUCUUUGUAAUCAAUACUUUGGUUUAGAAAGACCCUUGUAGUUACAAAAUAGGUCAAAAAUGACCCUUUUCAAAUAAAUAUAUUAUGAUUUUCUUUUUAAACACAUCUUCUUCCUAAUUAAGAUAUUAUUAAAGAAGACUAUUUUCGUUUUCUUUCUUUUAAAAUCACUUUAACAAAUAAAAUGUAGAAAAUAUUUUAGUUCUUUUUAAUCUCAUUUUAUCAAUUAAAAUAGAAUAAUUUCGUGUACACAACAUAUAUAUAUAUAAAAUGAUAAUAAAAAAAAUCAUUCAUUUUGUUCUGAAUUGAAAUAAGAUAAACAGUUAAUUUAAAAAAUAUCAUUAAAAUAAAUGUGUUAAAAAGAAAAUAAUAAUAAUAUAUUUAUUUAAAAAGUGAGCAUUUUUGACCCAUUAUAUAUAACAAUACGUGUAUUUUUGGACCAAAGUAUUGACGGAAAGACGUUUUUAGACCAAACUAUAAAUGGAGGGCAUUUUUGUUCAUUUUGCUUAAUUUAAGGGUAUUUUUGAACCAAAAUAUUAAUAGCAAAGAUAUUUUUGAGUCAAACUAUAAACGAAGAUCAUUUUUAUAACUUUCACGUAGUUUAAUAAUAUUUUUUACAUUUUCCCCUAAAAUAAUACAUUUAUAGAACUUUUGAGGAAUAGAAGCUUCUAUUUGACUGAUAAAUUUUAAAAGCAAUUUUAUUUAAAAUUUAAUCCUAAAUUUUACAUUGAAAUACCCACCUAAAUGGAGGGUCAUUUCGGGCAUUCUAUUUAAAAGAAUUAUAAUAGUUUGAUUUGGUAAUUAAUAAAAAUGAAAAUAAAUAAGCAAAUAAAAAAUAAAAUCGAGUACUUGGAUAAAUCAAACAUUGACGUAUUAUUUAGGAUGUAUUUAUUUCGAAGAAAAAUGUUCUUAAAUUUUUUCAUGUUUAGUUGACUUAUAUGUUUUCUAAAUAGAUUUAUUUAUCAAAUUUUUAGAAAAUGAAUUCCCUUCGUAAAGUAAGAAUUUUUUUUCAAAACUAUCUUUCAACAUCACCAUUAAGUGUCGAAUAGCGGCUCUCAACCUCGACUUAGGAUUUGAAUCCUAGUUUCGACUCUAACUAUGGAUCCUGACACGGUUUAACUUAUUCACAACCUCAACCUUAUUUCCAACCCAAACACAGGUUAAGAUUAGGUCUCGAAUCGACAUCGAGGUUGAAUCUUGUAUUUGUCUAUAUAUAUUAUAUUUAUAUAUUUUUAAAUAAUAUAUUAAUCAAACAUGACCUACAAAAAUAGUGAGUGUCAUUAAGGAAAACCAAAAACCUUAAGUGUGCCAAAAUUCUCAUAUUUUUUUUUCUUUCAUAUUAAUACUUUAUCUUAACUUACUCAUGAAGAAUUCAAUUUAGAAGCAAGAUGAAGAAGAUUUAUUAACCACUAAACAUUCAUGUAUCAAUUUUCUAGCAUCCUUUAAAAAGCAUAAAUGUAAAUGAAUAUAUAAACUAAAAAUAAUCAAACUAGUCUUUUGAAGUGUACACUCUUAUUUGGUCUAUAACACAUACCUUAUAUAAUUGAUACGCUAAUAAUAGAGUUAAAAAACACAAAAAAAUUAAUUUUUUUUUGAAGGUUUGAACACAUAAUAUAAUAUACACAUAAUCAUGUGUUAGUACAGUGAAUAAAAUUACUUUUUCCUUCGUCAAAUUUUGAAUUCGAAUUCUGAAUCGAAGAAAAACAUAUACUUAUAAAAUCUGAAUUAAUCCGACUUUCAUAUGGAUACUAAACCAAAUAAAACUUAAAAUUCUCCAACAACAUUAUCUAAGAUAGUACUAUUAAUUUAAUAUAUAAAGAAUGUACAUUUCAAGAACAUCUAGAUAAAAUGACACAAAUGUCAAAAAUGGACUACUUUGAAUGUUGAAAUUAAGGUAAAAGGAAUUAAUUGUUGAUUUAAUUCUAAGAGUGUAACUUUUUUUUUUUCACCUAUAAAUACCAUAAAACAAUAUCUCAUUAUCACACAUUCUCACACACAACAUUUUAUAUAUCCUCUUUUUUUUUGUCUAAUAACAUCAUGGGUGUCACUAGCUAUACACAUGAAACCACAACACCAGUUGCCCCUACUAGGUUGUUCAAAGCUUUGGUUGUUGAUUCUGAUAAUCUUAUUCCUAAGUUGAUGCCACAAGUUAAAAAUAUUGAGGCUGAGGGAGAUGGAAGUAUCAAAAAGAUGAACUUUGUUGAAGGUAAUAUAAUAAUCGAUCUGAUUGUGUAAAUAUUUUUUGCAUCGUUAGUGGAUAGGACUAAUUAAAUUAUAUACUUGAAAUAUUAGACGUGUGAGUUUUCUAUCAAAAAUUCUAUUGCAUUGAUCAAAAUGUUUAACUUUUUAAAUUUUCCAAGAAAAUACUAUAUUUUCACAAGUGAGGUCUGGGGACUGGGGGAGCAGAGGCGGAGUUGUAUAGACCAUAACCUGUCUUUUGUGAAGUAAAGAGGUUAUUUCUGAUAGACCUACAGCUCGUUAAGUUCAUUUUUUUUUUUUUGGAAUAAUUGUAGGUUCACCAAUCAAGUACUUGAAGCACAAGAUUCAUGUUGUUGAUGACAAGAAUUUGGUGACCAAAUAUUCAAUGAUUGAAGGAGAUGUUCUUGGAGACAAACUUGAGUCAAUUUCCUAUGACCUAAAAUUUGAAGCUCAUGGAAAUGGAGGAUGUGUUUGCAAGUCUAUAACUGAGUAUCACACAAAAGGUGAUUAUGUGUUGAAGGAUGAAGAACAUAAUGAAGGCAAAAAACAAGCCAUGGAACUUUUCAAGAUUGUUGAAGCAUACCUCCUCGAGAAUCCUUCUGUCUACGCUUAAGUGAUGAAAUAAGAAUCAGGUCCACACGUGUUAUAUAACGUGUUUGUGACAUUAUAUAAUAAAGUAUAUACCCUCAUUAAAAAGUUAAAAAUCUUUUAAAUGAGAUUUAUGGUUUGAGUUUUCAUUAAUGUUAUAGUGCUUUUUGUUGAGUUGUGUGUUCUUUUUCCAAGUUUAUCAUUGGGAAUUAAGAACUCUUAAUAAUGUAGCAACCUUUAAUUUUGCUUAUCAAAUACUUAAUAGUAAAAAAAUAUUUUACUUUUCGAAAAUAAAAAUUGUGGUGAUCAGUUAGUGUUACUAUUAUAUUUGUAGAAUGUUUCGACUUAGUAUAUAUAUCGACUAAUUUUCGUAUUCAGUUAACUAAUAUCAUAUAAAUUGAAACAAAAGGAGUAUUACGAUUACGUUAGAAUGGUUUUUUAGCAGUGAUUAUUAGUAGAUAAAAUGUACACAUUAACAUUUCUUUUAGAGACUGAAAUGAAUUUAUACCACAUCGUUAUAAAAUAGGUACAUUUAGUUAUUUUUAAUAGAAUUAGAGAGAAUGUUGUAUGCCGAGCUUAGUAAUGUGGGCUUGUAACCCAAAUGGGGGCAUUAAUGUGGUGGAAUGUUGGGCUGUACCAGAUGGUUGGGCUUGGUGGGCUAAUUUCUGACUUGCCCUAUCCAAGCUUAGAGUUGGAUCAUGUGGCCCAAUUGAAGAAAUGGACUACUUGAUUCGUAAAGUGGGGCGGAAUGCGUGAGGCUGGUUUCACAGAGCAACGAUAAGUUUCCGCUCUAAGCGGUGGAAGGAUAACGAGUCGGUGUUCUCUGAGUCCAGUAACGCCUGAUGGGUUGCUCCAAUUAAACCACCAUUUUUCUUUUUGGAAAGUUACGAUAAACCACAACUUUUUCUUUUGAUGGGCUGCUCCAAUUAAACCACCAUUUUUCUUUUUGGAAAGUUACGAUAAACCACAAUUUUUUCUUUUUCAUUUGGGGGGAGUUACGAUAGUAGAUAGUUAAACGUUGUCUCACAUUCAUGCGGAUAAAGUUGGUGCAUCAUACUUGUUUUUCCUUUCAUACUAGUAAUACAUUAAACAUUAUUUUCGUUGUUUUUUACCCUUCGAUUAAUUCACAAUUUUAUUGUUAUUUUUAGUAGACUAAAAUGACUUUAACGUAAGUGGAUUAUUGAUGAUUCAUAUACCAGAUUCCAACUCGUUUAUGACCGAGUCCAGUAACGCCUGAUGGGCUGCUCCAAUUAAACCACCACUUUUUUUUUUUGGGAAGUUACGAUAAACCACAACUUUUUCUUUUUCUUUUGGGGGGGGGGGGGAAGAGUUACGAUAGUAGAUAGUUAAACGUUGUCUCACACUCAUGCGGAUAAAGUUGGUGCAUCGUACUUGUUUUUUCCUUUCAUACUAGUAUACAUUAACAUUAUUUUCGUAGUUUUUUACCCUUCGAUUAUUUCACAAUUUUAUUGUUAUUUUUGGUAGACUAAAAUGACUUUGACGUAAAUGAAGAAAUAUGAUUAUUGAUGAUUCAUAUACCACAUUUCAACUCGUUUGUGAUCGAAAUAUAACUAUUUUUAUAUAAUCGAAAUCUGAAAUAAAAAGACAUUGAUUAGUGAGAAUUUAUAUAUAUAUUUGUUUCUUAUUUGAGAUAUAAGCUAAAUCAUAAUUAUCGGUAGAAGAAAUCGUUGCUAAUAUACUAGCAGAAUUAGAAACGGAAAUAUAGUUUAAGAAGUAAUAAAAUUGUGUUUUCUUUAGAUAUAUAUAUAUUAUAUUAUUUGGACAUAAAACAUAUUUGUUGUAUCUUUUACGACAUAUAUCGUAAGAUAUUAUGAUACAAAUAUAUAAAAUUAUGCUCCUAUUAUACGUAUUUAUUUGUUAACUUUUGUAAGGAUACUCGAUAAUAGAAAAUUUUGAAACGAAGACUUCUUCUGCGAUUCCUAUUUUCUCUAUAAGGGUCAUUUGAUCAUGGAAAAAUUAUAUGAAUUAAUACAUUUUUAAAAAUAAAUAUUGAUUUUAGCGAUACUUUUUGUUUAUUACUAUGUACUGUGAUAAAUUUGUAAUAUGUAUUAAAAGUGAAUUAUUUAUGCAAUAUAUUUGAAGUAUAAUUGUAUUUGAAAUAUAUUAUGUUCGUUUGGUAAAAAAUUAUUACAUUAUAUUAUAAGUGUAUUAAAAUAUGAGAUAAAUGUAUUAUCCACCAUUAAAACUUGUAUUAUAUUUGAAUAAUAAAUUUAUCUUUGUAAUAUGUAUUAGACUUGUAUUAUAAAUGAGUUAAAAAUGGUCAAGUAAAAAAAAUGUUAUUGCUAUAAAUGGUAAAUAUUUUUUUUAUUAUAAUAUAUUUACGUAAAUUUCCCUUUGAUGAUUAUAAUUGAUUUGAAAUCCAAUUUAGUGAGGAUUCUUUUAAUUGAUUAAAACUUAAACAUUAGUAAUUAGAAACUAAAGAAAAGUUUGAGAAAUUAUGUUUGCCUAGAUCUAAAUUCAUAAUUAGUAAAUAAGAUAAUCUUUAAUUAAAGAUCCAAUAAAAUACUUUAUUCUAUAUUUUAUUAUUUUUAUCCACUCAUUGAAUAAAGUUUAAACUUUUAUUUUUCUUUUUGCAAGUACCACAUCGAAAAUUUAAAUCAAACUUUGGUACUAUAUAUUGACCUGAUGGACUUUAUCUUAUCGCCGAGCUCAGUAGCGUGGGCUUAUAACCCGAGUGGGGGCAUUAAUGUGGUGGAAUGUUGGGUUGACCCAGAUGGUUGGGUUCGGUAGGCUUAUAGUCUGGCCUGCCCUCUCCAAGCAUGGAGUUGGAUCACGUGGCUUAGUCGAAAGACCAGGUUGCUUGAUUCCUAAAGUGGGGUGGACUGCGUGAGGCUGGUUUCACAGAGCAACGAACAGCUUCCGCUCUGUGCAGUGGAAGGAUAACGGGUCAGUGCUCAGCGAGUCCAGUUAACGCCUGAUGGGCUGCUCCAACUAAACCACCACUUUUUUUGCAGAGCAUAUAUUAUUUUGGCUCGAACUCUGUAUUUGUGCUUAAAAAGCCACUUAAUAUGUAUACAUACAUAGUUUAUCGAGAAUCCAAUAAGCUAUGUUUUCUAUAUCCAGAACUCAUUGACUCAAAAUUUUACGUUUAGACUCGGUAUGUGUGGUUAAAAAGCCACUUAAUUAUGUAAACAUACAGUUUAUCGAGAACCCAAUAAGCUAUGUUUUCUACAUCCAGAACUCAUUGACUCAAAAUUCUAGGCUCGAACUCUGUAUGUGUGGUUAAAAAACCACUUAAUAUGUAUACAUAUAUAGUUUAUCGAGAAUCCAAUAAGCUAUGUGUUCUACAUCGAGAACUCAGACUCAAAAAUCAAGCUCCGCCUCUGCGCUGGAGCAACUCAAAUAGACAACAAAAGCUGUCUAUUUAUAGCAUUUUAGUCCAUGAAGCCAAGAAUGGGAACAUGGAAAUCAAUAAUCUUAACAAAAGGGGCGUAUCGCUAGUCGCUUCUGGUCUACUUAACUUACCUUUUUCCACAGGUAUUUUUGCUGUUUCAGCUGAUGAUUUAUCUGAACUUUUGCUAGAUUGCAUUUCUUGAUCAAGUUCAUCCCACCCUCCGAAUCUAGAUACCUCUCGGUCAUCCUUACUAGCUGAAACGUCACUGUUGGACACCCAUGAUUGAUAGCCCGUCUUUCUCUUUCGUGUCUUGGAGCUUCCUCCUCUUCUCCAAAAGUUUGUCUUGCUUGAGUUGGGAGCAGCGCGUUGUCUCUUCUUAGCUGUACUCUUGCGCGUUGGUUUGUUUUGUAUCACGUCCAGUAUCUUUUGGAUUGCAAAGAAAAGCGUAGACUGUCCAAUGGGAAGGGCGAAUGCCAUAGCAAAAGCUUUAGCUCCUCCAGUAGAAAUCAAUACUAUUAGAAUUGGUAUUAACACAAAACCGUAGGAGCAGAAGACCUGCACUGGCCAAGAACGAUAACUUGUAAGUUGUUUGACGAAAAUCAUCUUACCUACGUUUCAAUUUCUACUCGAGAACGUUGUAGCAAGACUAGUCAAUAGUUAGAUAGCUAUAAUUAGGAAGUCAGUCGAAAAUGUAGUGAAAAGAAAGCUAUUGAAAGUAUAGACGAACACAUCGAGCAUAGCUCUUAAAUGAUUAUAUUAACAGAUUUAUCAAGAAUCAAAGAGCCUUUCAAGUCCAAAGCCUCGAGAUCCUGGUUAGUAGUACUGCAGUUAGAUAAUGCACGAUUUAUACUCAUAAGUUGCGGUGGAGCCAGGAUAUCGGACAUGGACAGUGGAUAGGGGAAACUUUCGGAUUUUGGAAGAUUUGAUUGGGCAUAAGACUGGAAGAAAGGCUUGGGCCAUUGGGCGGGAGGACGUUUGAGGACAAAUGGUAAUACUCAACCAAACGAUAUACAGGAAGAACGUCUGAAACUGAUGGAAGAUCUCAGAAGAAUAAUUAGCAUAGGAAACUAGUAAAAUGUUGAAGUUCUUGAGUUUUGAUACUGAUUCACUUCAACGGAAGUUACUUUGGAGCCUAUCAGAAACAACCUCUCUACCUUCACAAAGUAGGGGGGGUAAGGCCACGUACAGUCUACACGUUGUUUCAUAACGGAAAUCUUGGAACAAUCAACUGUUCUAUACUAAAUUCACUAAGUUAGAAUCAUGUACUUCAACAAUUUGAACUCAAAAGAACACAACCUAUCAUUUCAAGAAAACAUUAUACUAAAUUCACUUAAUUCUAAAUCAAGCUAAUGUAUCUAAAUACACAAAAGCAAUCUGGUUCAGUCUCAGCAUAAUCCUAAAGGCAUCACUUUACACUAAACAUCUUAUUUCAUGAAAAAAAUACAAAACAAAAUAACAACAUACUUCCAUCUUUCUCAAAGAAAAAUAAAAUGGAUUCAGGUUAAAAGUACAGAUUCCACAAAAACCUCAUCUUCCUUCAAUCCAAGAAGUACCUAAAAAUGUCAAAACUCCAUAUCCAUGCCAAAAAAAUCCAAACUUUAAGCUGAAAACCCAAAAUUCAAGUACCCCAAAAUGUCAAAACCCCACAUCCAUGCAAAAAAAUCCAAACUUUAAGCUCAAAACUCAAAAUUCAAGUACCCCAAAAUGUCAUAACCUCAUAUCCAUGCAAAAAAAUCCAAACUUUAAGCUGAAAACCCAAGAUUCAAGUACCCCAAAAUGUCAAAACUCCAUAUCCAUGCAAAAAAAAUAAUCCAAACUUUAAGUAGAAAACCCAAAACUCAAGUACCCAAAAUGCCAAAAAGAAACCAAACUUCACAGGAAAAAAAAACAGGAACACAAGUUUAUAAUUCAAGAAAUAAAAGGGGAGAAGCAAGAAAAGCCACUACCUUAAAGAUCCAAAUACUUUCAAUAUACUCAGCAAAAAAUUGAGCUCCUUGUUCCAAGAAUUCCUCCUCAUCAAGCUCCUCUUCCUCAUCUUCAAGAUUAUUAAAAUUCUGGUUCUUGAUGGACUCAGCAUUUGAGUCCCACUUACUAGAAGGCCUACUGCAGCAGAUGUGAAGGGGCUGCUGCUGCUUCUGCAGCAGAAGAUGAGAAGAGAGUGGAUUUAGAGGGUUUAAAGAAAUGGGUUUUUGAGUAAAGAAAAGAAGAGGUGAAGGGCUGGGGUUUAAGGGUAAGUGAAGAUGAAGAAGACCACCAUCACCCCUAUUGAUGGUGGUCUUCAGUCCAUUCCAUUGGCCAAUAUUACUCAUCACAUUAUCCUCUCAAAUAUAUGACUAUUUCAAUAAAUGAAUUGUAUAUAGUCCCCAAUAUUUGUGUUGUUUGGUUUUAACAUUUUAAAGUGAUGUAAAAUACAUGUCAUGAAUAUUCGAUAUUGAAGUUCUACUCUCUUUAGCGAAUGUUUCUUCAUACUCAAAAGAAACUUUAAAUUCGAAAUCUCUAAAUAUGGACAAAGGAAAGGAGAUGAUUGGCCAAACUUUAAAAUCUAACUCAAUUAGAAGACAUUGAAUAUCUCUAAAUAUAAUUUUCAUAGAGAGAACCUUAAACUAAACACUUACAUAUUCGCAUCCUUCGUUUCAAUUUAUUUAUUGUGUGUCAAAUCAAAAUUAGACGAGCAAAUGAUAGAAGUAUUUUAUAUUACCCUACUUUAUAUUCCCCUUUCCCAUCUAAUGAACAUAUACCAAUUGAAGUAGAUUAACUAAAUAAUUUUGUCAAAUCAAACUUGAUAGAAUUCAAUUAAUAGUAAAAAUGGAAAAACCAACUCUUUUCUUUUUCUUUCUUUUACCAUUAGUCUACAAAACAGAAACCAUUAAAAAGUACAAAAUGUUGAAUACAUAAUAUAUAAACACUUGCAUGUUUGUGGCUGGAAAUUUUCUUUUUUUUCUUCUUGAACCUUCACUUGAAAGAAAACCAACUAGUCUAUUUCAAUUUCUGAUGUACAUUUGAAGCCAUAUAUCAAUACAACGAAAUGUCAAACUUUGCAGAAACAGCAAUCCCAACUUUUCGACGACAUUUCCUCUUCUAUCAUGUUAGUAUUUUCUCAGCUCUCCUGAAGCCACCUUAAGCACAACGAUUUUUGCACUCUCUUGUAGCACGAAAAAGAUCAGUCAGUCUGUAAUGUCUAACGUAAGUACACAACCGGAAGUAAAAAUCCUCUCUUUGCCACCAGUGGCACACAUUCAACCAACUAUACAGCAAACCAUCAGCAACACACUCAACUUUGAAGCCACCAGUCAUUGUCCUGAUAUGUGUAUUUUCGUUACAGCCUGAAUAAUCGGAUGUGUUAGACAAACAAAAUGUUUCAGAGGAACAUCAAAAGAGCAUAAUCAAGAGGUAUAACCCUACUCUCUCAUGAAAAAAUGGUUUGACGGUGAUGAUAAAAGAUGACAGAACAUGACUCAGGACUGAAAUUAAAACAAAUGAAGAAUUGGAAUUCAUGCAACACGGUGGCACUUGAAUCAACUUUCCCGGGUGAAUUUGACUUUCGAGUUCCAUCAGUUUGGUACUUCCCUCCAAACUGUUCUUUGUUGUAUUUUCUAUUAUAGAUAGUUGUUUCGACAAAUCUCAGGGUUAUGUCAAAACACAAAUUGGUCCAUAGAUUGAAAAUAAAAUAGACAUAAAUCAUGUACUAUUUAGUCAUAUGUUUCCUCCUAUCAAGUAGAUCAACGAACAAAUAUCUAAAUCUAAGUCAACCACCCCCAAUCCAUAAGGGCCCUUCAUCCAAAAUCGGUUUCAAGAAGCAGGCUUUCAACUCAUAAGGAUGUAUGUGAAAGCAUAGGAAAGAAGCCAGAAGCAUCAAUAUGGCAACUAUUGACAGAACCAUGGAAAAGAAACAAGAUAAUUACCGAGUUUUACAACUACAACCAUCUGCUGACAUCAAUAGUUUCUAGCCUUCUAAAGCAUAUGUUGGGACCUGCAUCACAUUUGCAAAAUAACAGUGUCAUUAGCAGAAAUGAAUAUCCCACACCAAAACCCCCCAGGGCAUCAGUCAUGGACAAUUAUUAUUUUUUUGGUUAAAGAUUUUAGUUCUAGUUGUCUAUAAGAAACAACCUCUCUAACCCGUAAGGUAGGAGUAAGGUUUGCAUACAUCGCAGACCUCGCUUGUAGAAUUGCACUGGGCAUGUUGUUUUUGUUGUAUUACAGUUCUAGUUGACACAAAAUUAUGCAAAUAAACUUGAUGACUGGCUUCGGUUCCCAAAGGUGCAACCACAUCACUAGAGGAGUUGGUACUUGUCAAUUAACUGGAGUGUCCACAUCCGGAUACUCUCUUUCCGCCCUUGAUUCAUACAAAGCUAGCUCAAUCUUUGAACUACUAUUCUUCCCCAUUUCAUUUUCUGUCUGUUACCUUUAAUGCUUGUUAAGAGUGUAUGUGAUCAGUCAUGUUUCCGACUGAUCUUCAAAUCCCCACACCUUCCAACAACUUAAACUAAAGUAUAUUAAGAAAGAGAACUAAUGAUAUCAAAUACUCCUGACUGUACCUACCAACCAAUCAUCCCCCACCCCACCCCACCCCACCCCCCCACCCCAAAAAAAAUUCAAUUGGUGCAGCAGGAUCAAGUUGUUGCUCUACUAAAGUCAUGAUUUAUAGAAGUCCAACCAGAAUUAAGAUAAACUUUAAAAAGCUUUAGACUACCUCGAGCAUGUCUUCAUCAGGGGAACAGGAUACUGUAGAGUCCAAACCAUUUGAUUUAUCAAAUUGCAGGAUCCUCAAUUUUCCUUCCUGCACAAUUUAAUGUUAAAAAAAAGAAGACGAAUACUUUUGAGAAUAUGAACAAUUUUAUAGUUGUAACCAAAAAAUGAGAAACUCAUACAAUGUCUGCAUAACUACCUUAGUUCCAUAUACUAGGCCACCACCAACCAAAGGAUGGAAACAAGCAACGUUAACCUCAUCCUCUGCACUGGGAAGAACUCUCACAAGUUCCAUAUCCGAAACUCUAUAGACCUGAUUCAAAGACUCACAAUCUGAAUUAACUAGAGAAAACAAAUAUAUACACCGACAUUGUGAACAAACCAAAUUCAUUCUUCUUGCAGGUUCAACCAAAUAAUCUCAGUAAAAUGUGAGCGAAAGCAUAAUUCUCCCUUUUUAAGUUUUAUGAAGUUCAAAAACAAAGUGCAUCAACACAAAAGAAAUUAUUUUGACAUACUAGUAAACUAAUUGAAUUGGGCCUCUUCAACCUUAAAAGUGUCCUAAACACAUUGUCACUGCACUUGCAUAUCAAGCUAUAGUAGCUCCAGUUUAUCUAGCCCCAUUUUCAUCAACUUAAAUCCAGUCUUUCUAAAGUUAAACAUAUCCUGCAUCACUUUGCCUAGCCCACCCCAACUUGUUUUGGACCAACGUAUAGUAGUUGAGGUUGUACUUCUUCUUCCCUUUUUAAUAAGGAAAUGAGGUUGUGCUUCUAAAAUUAGUUUUUGGUUGCACUGCAAUUGAAAAUAGCCUCAACAAUCCAUUUAUGCCAUACUAUUUGACAGGUACAGGAGAUUAAAUUAGAUCAAUCAACAUGUCAUGUGACCGAUGACUGAUGUGAAGAAGAAAAUGGCAAUUUGAGUUUUCUGUACAAAGAGAAGAAAAACAUAGUAGCAUGAAAUCAAAGGUAAAUUCUUCAAAGUUGUGAAAUGUAAUUUAAAUUCAUCUAAUUUGUAAAUAGUGCACAACAUAUUCUCGUGCCAUAUCAAUUAUCAAACCUUCAUGGACAUACCAUAGUGAAACAUGGGUGACACAACAUGGGUCAGAAGGAAUUAUAUGGCUAACCCUCUGUGAUUAACUAGACUCUAGAACCAACUGUCCAUAACCUAGAUUGAUUGGCUCAGAGGUUAAGAAGUCAAAAACCCUUGCAUGUUUGCAAAGAGUAAAUGAAAUAUUUGAAGAACUUCUUAGAAAUGUAAGUGACAGAACAAAAACCUUAUCAGGUUUAAAACCAAACUUUUGAAACUUCCGUAUGUCAUAUAAUUAUGUCAAUCAUUUUCACGAUGUUCUAAAAUAAGAAGUGUGCUACCAUGACCCAGUCUUGGUGGUGGUGAAAAACUGACAUUCCAUAAGAAACCAGGAUAUAAUCAGGUACUCACCUCAAGAAUAGUGUAGACAGGUAGAGUUGUAUCUCCAUCGAUCACAAUACUUUUCAGAAGUGAUCCAUGGCGACGUCCAUAGGCAAGUAAAAGAUGCUCAGAAGUUGGAGAGAACUGCAUUUUCAAUAGAUGUGGAGCAACAAUCAGUUUCCCAUAUCAGAAAGAUAACAUUUCAGUCUAUAAGAGCAAUUAUUACUGCAAUUUAAAGGUGCAUUUCAUAAAAUUGCCAUUGUGAACAUCUCUUGACUAGUGAAAUCACUUGAGACACAUUUCUUUAUCCAGGAAAAAGUAGGUUCUUUUUGUGCAAAUAACAAUGCACAGAACGAUCUACAUUUAUAAUUAAACAGUAAGCAAAAUCAAAUAUAACGAAGUAUAGAAGUGAACGAAACAAGAUAAGGUACAACACCAACCCAUAGGAACUUUAAACAAAAAAAGAAAUUCUACUCUCUAAAGGAAGGAUCAAUAUUUGUGCCCAGGAUUUCUUAUUGAACAAGUGCUCAACCAGUUUUAAACUUCAUAUCCAAACAAAACAACGAGAGAGCACUUCCCCUUCAUUUUUGUUCUCAUCUAACAAUUCAUAUUUUGCUUUUACUUCCUCAAAGGAUUAAGACAAAAAUGCUACAACAAGAAAACCAUCUAUAGUUCAUACUCCCAGAAAACCAAAAAAUCUUACCACAAAACAUAAUUUAGGAUUAUAAACCAAUAUGUGCAGAGCCCGAGGAGUACUAACCUGAAUUGAAGUCAAACAAUGAGCAGCUCUAAUUAGUCGAGAUGCAAGCACCCUACCAAAACUGCAACAGUGAAAUAGAGUUCCCAAAUGACCACCAAACAAAGACAUGAAAAGAAACAAAGAAUGAAGGACAAAAAGAGUAGCAAGUGUAAGCAGAGAGGAAAAGGAACAAAGACAUUAGAAUUGGUAUUUACUUUGCCUCCUCCAAGGAAUAUAUACGUAGCUCAUACAUAACCGGGUGGGCUGCAAUUGGAUGUCUGGUAGGUGAAGUUGCAGCAUCGUGACGAAAUUGUCCAUGGAAACCAGGAUCAGCUUCCAUGCCAUGACUAAUACAAGCAACACAAGCUGCUAAAAAUCUUCCACAUGGUGAAAAGUGGGCACCCAUUUCACUGAAAUAAAUAAUGUAUAUCAUGUAAGCACUAAGGACAGUUAAUUGCACGUGAUGUCAGGUUUUACAAUGAAAUAACAAUUAGGAAUUGUCAAACAACGGUAAGAGGAGAAUCAUCAAUUAUCCCUUAGAGAAAGUUAGAUCAAGCAUCUAGAACAACAUGAGAACAGCUAAAUAGCCCAUUAUCCUUGAAGGCAUAUGAAAACCUCAAGCCAAAGCUUUGAAACAAUAGAAAUUAUCUCAUCUACAAAGCACAGCAUGUGGUAUCAUUAAGCGACAACAGAAAUUAUCUCACCUACAGAGCACAGCAUGUGGUAUAAUUAAGCGACAUUUUUCAGCAUCAAGCGGCGCACAUGGAACCUUAAUAUCAUAAGGCCACACUCUGAGUUUCACAGUACAAGGUAAUUCAGAAGAAGCUGCUGCAGUCAGGGAAGUAGCUAUCUCUGACUGGAACCGACUCAUAAGAGCUUGAGAAUCACUUUCAUUAUGUGCAAUGUUAAUGGGAACAGCACUAUCACCAGAUCCAGCAACAGGUAUUACUCUAGAGCGUGAAGAACGGUGCCGGGAACCAGAUCUUCCAGACCUUGGAUGAUUACCGUUUGAAAUGAUGGACGGAACUGCAGGACGAUGUUCUACUUCACCAUAAGCUGAUACAAUGUUUGUGGCACCACUAUGCUCAGAAUGAAUCGCUUGUCGGCCUGCUUGGCUUUGGCCAAUCAACCAUCCUUGCAAGAAUGGUAAGUCCCAGUAUGCAGGGUCACUGAAAGGAAAAAACUGAUUGUUUCUCUCCUCAGUCGGCGCAUCAGUCUCCAUAGGAUCACCAACAGGGUUAGAUGCAUUCUCUGUAUCCCUAACAGAGGAACUAGUCUGAGCUUCUUGCGCAGGAGAUAAAGUUGGCUCAACAGGGGACAAUAAAAGUUCAUACUGGCCAGAAGGAGUUGAGUAAGUGAGAAGUCUGACAGAGGCAGAAGUGUCUGCUCUGUUCUGUGUACUGUCAGAACCCAUGUCUGCAUUACUCUGCUGCAAAGGCAUUCUAGGAUCACCUCUAGCGAUUGAUGGCCAGAUCAUGAACGGUAGAGACAUGAUAGGCAAUUCAUUCGCUGAAGCAGAUCGAUAAGUGGAGUGAGCAUCUGUCAAAUACACAGUAGGAGGAGGAUACCGCAAGUUACCCAGAGAAGUUGUAAAUGUCAUUAAAGGAUCUGAUGAGUCCAGAUCAUUGACCUAAAAACAAGAGGGUUGAUAAGAUUUACAGGCAUUCAUAAGUUAAAACUCAAUGUAACAGCACCAGAAUGACACCUCAGCUGUUAAAAGAUAUGGGGCGCCAUGUGGGUGGAAAUGCACAGCACGAAGUGAACGUCUUGUCUUUAGUAUGAUAGCUGGUGAAGAUGCCUCCCCUCUUCUGUUGUAGUGCCACAUAUACAGCUACGAUAUAUUGAAACAUCGUCAUACAUCAGAACUUGCAACGAACAAACCACUAUGUAUUGCCAAAUUUCUUACCUUGUGCCCUGAAGCAACAGCGAGAACUUCCCCUUGGGCAUGGAAGGCAAUGGAUGCAAUAGGUCGGUCUGGAGGAUAAAAUUCCCAUAUAAUGUAUUAAUUAAACAAAAAAAAUGGUAAAGAGUAAUUAUUUUUGUUCAACCAUUAAGAUGUUACAGGUUAUUACAAAAAUCACGUGAUCCUAUACACUCGGCGGUUUUUGCAUCCCAUAAACGAACUUCAUGGUCCAAACUUCCACUUGCAACUAUCUCAGAGUAGAGUGGAUGGAAACGAACCUGCAGAAGUCCCAACCAUAAUGCUAAAUAUAAUUGAGGAAUGAGAUUCAAAGGCAAGAGAAGAAAUAUCAAUACAGCCAAGACGUGUGGAAAAAAAAAACACCAGAGGCUUUCAAAAUAGAACUACAGACAACAGAAAAAAGCUUCAUAAAGUUCAAUCCUCUUCCAUAAGUGUGAGGUUCAAAUGAAAUGAAUUAGGCUUAGACCUGUGAGCACACAUCAAACAUUUAUCUCUCUAUUUUUUAGAUAGAUACCAAUCAUUUAUCUGCAUUAAUAUUUUAACCAAAUAAGAUAGUUUAGCCAUCUUAGAAGAACAUCAAUAAGCAUUAAGUUAAAAGAAUAUAAUACUUCGACAUUUUGUAAAGCCAACUAUAUUGUCAAUCCAAAAUCUCAGCAUUUUAAUUGCCUAGUGGACUGGAAUAUAUUUCCCAAGUAGAUAAUCCAAGAAUUCAGCACAACUGUUUAAGAUGACUGAAGAUGUCAAAACAGUCUUACCACCCAAGGAGUCCUGCGAUGUCCACUUAACACCUUCAAGCAUUUCCCGCUUUGGCAGUCAAUUAUCUUUACUGUGUGAUCUCCACUGACACCAUGGUAACAGAAUACGUCAACGAACUAGAUACAAGCCAAAAGAAAAAAUGGACAGCACGGAAAAAGUGGAAUGUUUGCCUUUGUUCUCAAUUCAUGAAUAUUGACAACGGAUUGCAUUUUUUUUUCCUUUUUUAUGAUAUGAAUAUAGUCACUGAGGAUUUAGAAAUGUGUGUAUAAUGAAUACUUGGACUCAAAAGAUAUUGUUAGAUAAACAAUUUCAGAUCUGAGCAGCGAGACACUACAAUGCAUAACAUAACAGAUUGUACAUGUCGAUGUAUUAAAAGAGAGACUGACUGAGUAGAAGCAAGUGUCUUCCCAUCAGGACUGAAUGCCGCAGCAAUUGUAGACCUAGGCGGAGGCAACAGUGGACAAUACUUAGCUGAAAAAUGUCUCAAUGAUUCUGCCUCUACCCUGAUAAAAUUAAACUAGCCGAAGUCAGAAAGCAAAAUGAAGAUUUGCAACUAUAUUAACUUCAUGGGAAAGAGAAAAGCUGACAAAACAUAACUACCAUGAUAUAAGACCCCGUCUCGGGUCUCUUGCUACUUGGCUUUUUAACUUCUCAUAGGAAUGAGCACAAUAUUUAGAAUUCUCAUCCCAUAACUUCUUAGAACUACGUUUAGCUCGAGGAGAUACCUCCCUCUUCGUUAGUAGCUGAAAGACAUUACCACAUCUGGCAAACAAAAUAAACCACCUCAGCAACCAAAAUACAACCUUAUUUGUGCAAUCUAAUUUACAAACUUCGCACAUAACCACAAAAGUUAAUCUUUGAGAAAACACUAACAACACUUACCCAUGUGUAUCAUAAACAUAUCUUUUUUUUACAUAGUAAACGCCACCAUCCCACCCCACACCAGAACCCACUCAAGGCGAGAAGUUGAAGGUCAUUUCCGCUAUGCUACUCCGCAAUUACAAUAUAAUUAAAUACAACAUUAAACAAUUAAAAACUGAUAUAUUUCCCAUCUUUGCAAAAAUAGUUUCAAACUAAACUCACCCCAAUUAAAGCUUACGAUCAAUCAUUUUAUGCAAAGACAUAUUCCAACAGCAACCAUAUCAGAAGCAUUACAAUUAUCCAUAUCACCAUGAACCCUUUUAAGCUAACAAUAAGUAUGCCAACAUAACAGAUAAAACUCACAUAUUUUUUGGUUAAGAUUUUUAAUUAAACCAAAAAAAAAGAAGUUGUUUUCAGCCUCAACCCUUCUCUGCUUAAAUACCAAACUUAGUUCACCAGACAAAACUCCAACUGGAGGUCUGCCUCUGAGUUUAUAAUAUUGUGUAAUACAGUUUCAUUAAUUAAAAGAUGCAAAUAUCAUAAUUAUAUUAACUCAGAUAAAUCAUGAAUUUCCAAUUCUAAAACCAAUCAAAGCCUCUUAAUCUAGCAUCGAAUAAGCUGAAACUAAACUAAAUUUCAGAUCUUUGAAUGACAUUAAUCAAAAUCAAUAAAAAUUCAAUCUUUAGGGUUUCAGGAUCAAAACUAUGACCUGUUUUUGCAAUUAGGGUUUUGCUCAAUCGGAAGAGCAGGCGAAUUCCAUCCCGGCGGCGGCGGCGGCGGCGGUACAUGAAUCGGAUUUGACGUAGAUGAAUCACUACUUGAAUUCUCCGGCCAAAGAGAUCCCCUCAUAAUUCUAUCCCCACAAACGAAUACCUCAUGCCCCAAUAUUUCCCGUCAUUUCCAAUGGAACUUUUCCGGCGAAAUAUUAAAAAAUCGAUAAAAUUAUCCGAAAAUGCCCUCAAAUUUGGUGGAAUUUACACCGGGAAAUAUAGAGGGAUGGAGGAUAUAGAGAUCUUGUAGAAGGGCAAAAUGGGAAGAAAAAAAAAUUUAGGGGAAAAUGAGAAAAAUGAAGAAGACGACGGAAGGUAUUUUUUUUUUUGAGAGUUUGGAGGAUUUUUCCGGCAUCGGACAGUAAUAUGUUUACUUUAAUGUAAAAUGACAAAAAUAACCUUGGCGCGUGAGGUACAAAUAUUGUGAUUUGUUAUUAAUAAAAAUGAAAUUUAUUUUUAUUUGUAGAUGUUUGAUUUAUUAAACUAAUAAAAAAAUAAAUUAAAGAAAAAAUAUUUAUAAAUGAGGAUAAUAUAAAAUUUGUGUUUUGGUUUUCUAAAAGAUUGAUUAGGGUUAACUUUUAACUGAUAUUUUAUAUGGAAUGGAGAAUAUUUUUCUUCGCUUUUUUUUAGUUGUCAUGAUAAGCUCUGUUAUAAUCUCUAAUAAAGAUUAAAAAAAGUUGUUUAAUCAAUAUAUGAUUAUUAAAUUUUUAAUCUUUGUUAAUAUAUAUGUCUUUUAAACUCUAAAAUAAUUAAUGUUAUAGGUAUAGUUAGAAAACAAUAACUAAUUUUUUCUUUGAUUUGUUUGAAUUGGCAACUAUUUGAAAUAAAUAUGUUUAGUAUACAUGACAACUGAAAAGAACGGAGAAAUGUAUUAUUAUAAUUAGAAGUAUUCAACAUCGAUUGUAACUCAUAAGUCAAUCGCACGAUUGACUUAUUGGCUUAUUGAUAUUAGUGUUUUUCCAUAAUAUAUAAUUAUAUAUAAUCAAAAUCUAAGGUCGUACCGCAAAAAAAGCUUGAAAACAUAUUUUUAACUAUUAUAUUAUUAUUAAUUUAUAUUCUUUUUUGUAAUUAGAAGAAUGUUAUAAUUUAACUGUAUUUAAAAUAGGAAAACAAUUUAUUUUUACGUUAUUAUCAUAAAAAAGGAUACAAUUCGCCAAUACAAGUGUUAUUCAUUAUGAAACUAAUCGAUAUUUUAUAAAUUAACUAGCAAAUUAGUAAAUUUAAAAAUUAAUAUCCAGUAAAUGAAUUCGAUAAGGGCCUAAUUGUAAUAUGAUAUUCAUAGUCCUAAAAUAGAAAAUUUUAUCUAGUACUAUAUAGGAUAACCUAAUCCUUUUUUAAGUCUGAAAAUAUUAUUCAUUAUCUCUAAAAUUUAUUAAGUCAUGCUAGUCGAUAUUUUUUUUUUUAAUUUGCAGAACAUUGUUUAUCUCAUUUAAAUGACUUGUAUGUCUCAAUUAAAAAAAAGGUAACUAGUACAAAAAUUAAAAAAUAAACUCGAGAGUGUACUUAAUUCUCAUUAAAAAAAAAUUACAUUAUUUAAAGAGAAAAAAAUUAGACUCAAACAAUUAUGUAUUUGAAUAAUAAAUCCGUCUUUGCUUCAAUUUAACAAUGGUUGUCUCAAUUUUCUGUUAGUUAUAAAUAGAAAUAAGAUAAAUUUACCAUUUUUUUUUCAAAUUUAACUCAAACAGUCGUCUACUUAAUUGCUUAGAUUGUUAUAAAAUUUAAAAUUGUUAAAAAGGGUCUGUUCAACCUCAUCCGGCUCAAUUCUUACGGGCUAAUGACUUUGAAGGAUUAGGAUUGACUGACCCUUCAUUUGGAAGGACCUAAUUAAAAAGGGUUGAGGGUUAGGGCGGGCGAGAUAGCUUCUUCUUCGUUUUUUUCAAAAGUUUUAUAAUAUUAAAAAAACGAAAGACUUCUAUAUCAAAUAUGACAAAAAAAAAGGUGUUGUUUCAACAACACUAGCAAAAAAUAUAGAGUAAUUAAAUUAAUAUGUAUCUAGGAUACUAUAUAUGCGAGACGCAUGUAUCUUGUGUAAUAUGUUUCAUAUACGCGAGUGAGAUAAGAGAGUGGCAAGCGAGAUGAGAGGGAGACGAGGGUGUGAUAUUUGUCUAUGUAUCCUAGAUACAUGUGACUCCACUUUUACAGAGUAUUUCUAAAACAAAUUAACUUAUUUUGAGUCCAUAUUCCUAAGAUACAAAUAUCUAGACGUACAAAAAUCUGAUAAGAUUCAUAAAAUUACAGCUUAUAUACAUUUAAGUAAUUAACUCUAUACUAGUGGAAUUAUUUUAAGUUACCCCUGAAAUAAAUAAUUUUGAUUCAUGGGCUAACUCUCAUCUGAUUCCGCUCAAGCCUCAAGGGCCAAAAACUUGUAUGUAUUGAGCUUAUAAGCCAUACUUCUAAAUAAACUUUAAUUUUUUUUAUCCCAAUCCUGCUCCAACAAAUAAGUUGGGUUGGCUCGAUAUGGAUUAAGUCUAUUUUGACGGCUCUAAUAAAAUUAAUAAAUAUAUGAUAUAUGUAUAAAAUGUAUACAUAAUUAUGUAUUAUUUUCGUAUAUAUAUAUAUGUAUAUCAACUCGGAAAAAAAAACUGCAAAUUCAAGAUUGUAAAGUUUUUUUCUUUUAUAUUAUUAUUGAUAUUAUUUCUAGUUUCUAUUAGGUGAAUAUAAAUAAUAAAUAAAUUCAAUUAUUAGAUUCCUUUGGUAUGUUCCAUAUCCAAUAAUCCAUUGAUUGGAUAUCCACUGAAAAAUCAUUAUCCAUUAAAUCAAAAUUAGAUAAACUUUCUUAUAUGGCGGUCAAAAUUAGCAAUUGGUCCACCUUUGACCAUUAUGUAUGCAAUGACAUAAUUAAAAAAUUCAAAGAAUUCACGUUAAAAUAUUUAUUAAUUUACGAUAUUAAAACUCUCGCAAAGUUUAUGUGUCUUAUUAAAAAACAAACUUUUUUUAAUAAGGUAAUUAUGUAUUUUCUUAGUUAGAAAUAAAAACAUCUCUCUCGAAAAAUAUUUUAUCCUUUUGUGGAUUAGUUUAACAAGUUUUUAUUUUUUAAAUAAAUUUAUCUCAUGUGAUUACAAUUUUAUCGAUUUGAUGAGUUUUUAAAUAUCAAAUGCCUAAAACCAAAAUCAUUAAUUAAUGACAUGAUAUAUGUUAUUCUCUUCGUCUAAUAAUAAUUGUAUAUUGAAGUAUAUAUUUAAAAUAGUUGUAUAACAAUAAUUGUUUAAUUUAGAAAAUUAAGAGAUGAUUUAUUAUUGGGAAAAUUGUAUACAAUAGCAAACUAAUAACCUAAAUUAAAUGGAAUAGCUAGGGUUUGAUUUAAUUGUGCUCCAUAGCAAACAUUAACUAAAAUUUACCAGCGUCUCUCUCCCAAAAAUCUCGCUCGCCACUCUCCAUUCUCGUUCGCCUCUCUCGCUUUAUACACAGAAGUGUAUAAUUCUGUUUCUGUUUUGUAUAAAGCGAGAGAAAAUUGUUUAUACACAUGAAAAAAUGUAUAUCUUCGUGUUAUACACUUAAUUAUACAAUUUACAAACAUUUUACUUCAAAUAUUGCAGAGAAAAAGGCCAACGAAUUAUACAAUUGCAGUGAAAUACAAUUUUCUCUAGCUUUAUACAACAGAAGUGUAUAUAUUGUGUUUCUGUUUUUGUAUAAAGUGAGAAAAACAUAUAUCUUCUUGCUAUACACUUAUAAUUAUGCAAUAUACAUACAUUUUAAUUCGAUUCAACUGUAUGCAAAAUAAAUUAUACAAUUGCAGUGAAAUAGGCCAGCGAAUUAUACAAUUUAGGCCAGCGAAUUAUACAAUUGUAUAUGUAUAGUAAAUUAUACAGUUUUAUGUUUGCUAUGGAGCGCAAUUAUGCAAAGUUUGCUAUAACAUAUAAAUAUGAAUUUUUUGUUUGCUAUAUGUGAAAGUUACCCUUUAUUAUUUGUGUUCUAUUUUAUUCUUACUAUUCAAAAUUACUUAUCACUGACAUAUUUUUUAAAGCACUAAAUUUAAUAAAAUCAAAAAAUAAUAUAAUGAUAUUAUCUUUUUAUUUAUUAUUUCUCAAAGAAUGUACAUAAUUAAUGGUAGACAACUAUUGUAAUUUAGACUAAAUUUUUAAGUUAAAAAUGAAACUUAACACAUUAUUUUUAAGUUUCACAUACAAUAUAGAAGGUUUAAGCGUAUUUUUUUUUAACCAAAAUAUCCCUUCUUUUAAUGUAUCUCAAUUGUGUUUUAUUAAUAGAUAUAUCUCUUUUUAAUGAAAUUAUUAUAUAAUAUAUGGAGAAUUUUAACUUAAUAGACGGUAUUGAUUAUUUAUCAAUAUGAAUAGCGAUAGCGCUUGAUUCAUUCAAGUUUAAUUUAUUCGUUUAAGAUUAUAGAGGUUCAAUUUUACGAAUUUAAUAAUAUUUAAUUUAAAUUUUUAAAAAAUAAUAUAGAUUUUAGUAAUUUUUUAAUCAAAUAACUUAAGAAAUGUUAUUCUCUUUUAAAAUCAUUUAAUUGCACUAGAGUAUAAACCUGAAAAAAUUUUAAUAUGACUCGAUUCAUAUCGAUCAACAAAUGAAUAUAUUUUUUUUAAUUAAAAUUCCAAAAGAUAACAUCUUAUAAUUCCAUUAAAUUAUAAGACGUUUUAAAUUCGAAAUCUAAUGUUAAAACAAUUAAUAUCCCAAUAGAUGAUACAAACGAGUAUAUUUUUAGGGAAAAUUGUAUAUAAUAGCAAACUAAUAACCUAAAUUAAAUGGAAUAGCUAGGAUUUGAUUUAAUUGUGCUCCAUAGCAAACAUCAGCUAAAAUUUGCCAGCGUCUCUCUCCCAAAAAUCUCGCCACACUCUAUUCUCGCUCGCCUCUCUCGCUUUAUACACAGAAGUGUAUAAUUCUGUUUCUGUUUUGUAUAAAGCGAGAGAAAAUUGUACAUACACAUGCAAAAAUGUAUAUCUUCGUGUUAUACACUUAAUUAUACAAUUUACAAACAUUUUACUUCAAAUAUUGCAGAGAAAAAGACCAACGAAUUAUACAAUUGCGAAUUAUACAAUUGCAGUGAAAUACAGUUAUCUCCAGCUUUAUACAACAGAAAUGUAUAUAUUGUGUUUCUGUUUUUGUAUAAAGCGAGAAAAAGAUAUAUCUUCUUGCUAUACACUUAUAAUUAUGCAAUAUACAUACAUUUUAAUUCGAUUCAACUGUAUGCAAAACAAAUUAUACAAUUGCAGCGAAAUAGGCCAGCAAAUUAUACAAUUUAGAACAGCGAAUUAUACAAUUAUAUAUGUAUAGCAAAUUAUACAGUUUUAUGUUUGCUAUGGAGCGCAAUUAUGCAAAGUUUGCUAUAACAUACAAAUAUGAAUUUUUUGUUUGUUAUAUGUGAAAAUUCAAAAAUUAAUACUCAGAACAAAUUUUGAAUUCAAUAUGAUUAUAUUAUAGUAAUAGUAAAAUAAAAGUGAUAAAUUGAAAAUAUUUCUAAUGCAUUUUAUGAUAUUUCCUUUCUUUUUCCAUAGUCAAUAUCAAUUAUUUUCGAGGACCACCAAUAAAUAAUAAAUAAAUUAAAAAGUGUAAAAUAAUGUGAUUAAUAUAACUGAAAGAAAAAAUAGAAAAAAAAAAGAGAGAUAUAUAUGCCAAAUUUUACGUGGCUCCUUUUAAUAAAUUCACCGUCCAAAAACCACCACGUGUCACAUCAAAAUUAUCUUCUUUACUUUCUUCCAAAAAUAAUUUAUAUUUUACGUUUCGUGUACCUAAAUGUAACCAUAAAAAAAAAAAAAAAAAGGGACAAAAUACUUCGUUUUCCAUUUUCACCGGCACCUUAUUCUUUAUGCCACGUGUCCAAUGACGAAUAGUAAAUUUUUUUAAAAUAAUAAUGCCUAAUUGAAGAAGAGAUGACAAUUAAAUGAAAAUAUUAUUAUACUUUUAUUUAGUCAAUUAACACUAUUGGAAAGUAACGUCGAUAACAAUAAUAAUAUAUUCAGUAUUAUAUUAUUGAGUUUUUUUUAAAAAAAAUUUAGACUUUUAUAUCAAAGAUAUAUGAUGAUUGAUUAAAAAACAAUAACAAAUGGUUAUUAAAUAUUAUUAUAAUUAAAUUAUAUAAAUAAAAUAUAAUAGAAGAGAAAAAAAUAAGAGUAAUAUUAAGCCCCGGACAAAACAAGACAACAAGUCCAUACACUCCCGAGUCUCAUCUAUUAACCUUUUAACAUAGUUAAUAUCUUACACGCUUUACUAUUUAGGUAUACGUCUUUGAUAAAUUGUAAUAUUAUCGUGUUUUGUUUAAUUACUUCAUAAAUUACUAUUUUUUCCGCCUAAGUACUCUACUUUUUUUGAAUUCGUUCAUAAUCUAGACCUUUCAUAUCUCCAUAUCGAUGCAUUCGUGUAUCUGCUCAUCACAUACUCCAGCCAUCUCGAUAUUAUUUUCCGUAUCUUAUUUUCCUCCGACUCUAUGAAGUUAAAAUCAAAUCUUUCUGUUAACUUUCUCAAUUUAUUCGUGAAUAAUAAUUCACGGACGUGAAGUAAGUAACUCUAAAACACCUUAUCGCUCCAUUACUCUUCCCAUACUUGAGCUACAUGAACCUUCACGCGUCUCCAAAUAUCCACCGUCCAUUUCACGUGAUCAAAAGCAAUCUUAACCGUCGCCUCCGCCAUCGCUCGUUCUUCGCCACGUGUAGUUACUUACACGUGUCAUUAAUUUAACGGUCCUAUUUAUCUUUAUAUAUCUUAUUAUCUAGAGUUUCUAUUUUUUAUUUUUACUUGUAUACUCUAUAAAUAAUCCACAAUUUCAACUCCUCCUUCUCCAUUUUUCUCCAUCAAUUUGGUGAACAAAACAAAAAAAAAAAUUAAAAAAAUUCAUCAUUUUUAAUCUGCAAAAAAAAAAAUUAGUUAUAAUAUUAUUAUUAUUAUGGCAAUGAGUCUGCCACACCAGAUCGGUGCCUUAUCAGGAACAUCGCUCACGGCGGAAACCGGUGGAGUUUCAUGCGAAGUUCCGGCGAAGGGGAGUUCAGCUACAUCAGCUAUGUGGAGAACACCGAUGACGAAUUUAAAAGUAUCGGUGCAAAAAACAGGAAAUGAAAUUGACAGGGUGUCGCCGUCGCCGUCGCCGCCGAUGAGUCCGAUGAUGGGAGGAGGAAUGCGACCGGAUUUAUCGGUAGCGUGUCAAGCGUUGAUGGAGGCUCAGGUAGAGGAGGUAGUUGAGAGAGAAUAUAAGGUUAGGAAUUCGUCGGAGAAAGAGAAAGGUGUUCCGGUGUUUGUUAUGAUGCCGUUGGAUAGUGUGAAAACGGAUCAUACUGUGAAUAGAAAAAAGGCGAUGAAUGCGAGUUUACAGGCGUUGAAAAGCGCCGGUGUGGAAGGGAUUAUGAUGGAUGUGUGGUGGGGAUUGGUGGAGAGAGAUGCACCGGGAGAGUAUAAUUGGGGCGGUUAUGCUGAGCUUAUGGAAAUGGCGAAAAAACAUGGACUCAAAGUUCAAGCUGUGAUGUCUUUCCAUCAAUGCGGUGGUAACGUCGGUGAUUCCUGCACGUAUGUAUAUUUUCUCCGAUGCUAUUUUUAAUUCGUUUUAACUGCAAAUUUGUGAUUACCAGAUUCAAAAUCUAGAUCUGUUAUAAUGAAUACCGUCAAAUCAAACAUGAUAUAACUCGCAUCUCAAAAGCUAAUUCGAGAUAUUUUCACAUCGGAUGUGGCCUGACUAUCAUAACAUGUCAAAUUAGUAUUUUAUCGUAGUUUAACCUCACAAAAAGCUAACUUAAAAGGGAGAAGCAUUGCUCGAAACGAGUGGAGAGAUAUCAUUCCUCGUCGAGGUGGUAAAUCUCUUCAACAAAUACUUUUAGAUAAAAGAUUCAUAGGAUCUGGAAAAGAUUAAAGAAGAAAGUUCAAAAAAAGGUUAGUGGAUAGUGAGAAUAUGCUCCUUUAUAUGUGUGCUAAAUGAACUAUUUAAAGUAACUAUAUUUUAUCUGGAAAGAUAAAUGACUUUAUAAUAGAUUGGAAUCAACCUGAAUAGCAUAAAAUGGAAUAUGGAAGAUUCAUGAAUAAUUCAAUUAUCUUUGUUUAAUUUUCAUUCGAGUUCUGUUAUGCGUUUUGAUUUCUACUAAUCGCGAUGUAUAGGCGUUGCUUAAGUAGAUUUUUGAAAUUUCAGGAUCCCUCUUCCGAGGUGGGUUGUUGAGGAGAUGGAGAAGGAUCCAGAUCUUGCAUACACAGAUCAGUGGGGAAGGAGGAAUUUUGAAUAUGUAUCGCUUGGUUGCGAUACACUUCCAGUUCUUAAAGGAAGGACUCCUGUUCAAUGCUAUUCUGAUUUCAUGAGAGGGUUUAGAGAUAGAUUUGAGAAUCUCUUAGGUGAUACCAUUGUGGUAAGUGCUAUGUUUUUUUCGAAUUUUUGAUCGAAGAGUAGAAGACUCACUUUUUUAAUCCAAAUGACGUGUGAUAUAGGAAAUUCAAGUCGGGAUGGGUCCAGCUGGUGAGCUCCGUUAUCCAUCCUAUCCCGAAAAAGAUGGAAUAUGGAAGUUCCCUGGAAUCGGUGCUUUUCAGUGUUAUGAUAAGGUAUAAAGCAAGUUCUGUUUUCUAUGGUGUGUUUUAGUGUUUAACGUCGUCAUUAUUACUGAUGAUUUGUUCUGUUAAAUGUAUUGUAUCGCGUUGCAGUACAUGAUCGGUAGCUUACAGGGUGCAGCGGAAGCAUUUGGUAAGCCUGAAUGGGGACACACCGGUCCAACCGAUGCUGGUGAGUACAACAAUUGGCCAGAAGAUACAAACUUUUUCAAGAAGGAAGGUGGUGGAUGGGAUAGUCAAUACGGGGAGUUCUUCCUCACUUGGUAUUCUCAAAUGCUUUUGAACCAUGGCGAGAGGAUACUGCAAUCAUCCAAGGCGAUAUUCGAGGACAAAGGUGUGAAGAUUUCAGUUAAGAUUGCAGGUAUCCACUGGCACUAUGGAACAAGGUCCCAUGCCCCUGAGUUGACUGCUGGAUACUACAACACUCGUAACCGAGAUGGUUACCUUCCCAUCGCCCAAAUGCUUGCCCGCCACGGUGCAGUUUUCAACUUCACAUGUGUUGAAAUGCGUGACCACGAGCAGCCACAAGAUGCACAAUGUGCACCUGAGAAGUUGGUUAGGCAGGUGGCGUUAGCAACUCAGGAAGCUCAAGUUCCACUUGCUGGGGAGAAUGCAUUGCCACGAUACGAUGAUUAUGCUCAUGAACAGAUCCUUCAAGCGUCCUCGUUGAGCAUCAACGAUCAAUCAGGUGAUAGAGAGAUGAGCGCGUUUACAUACUUGAGGAUGAAUCCUGACUUAUUCCAUCCUGAUAACUGGAGACGAUUCGUUGCCUUUGUGAAGAAAAUGAAAGAAGGAAAAGACGCUAACAAAUGCCGCGAACAGGUAGAGAGGGAAGCAGAGCAUUUCGUUCAUAUAACUCAGCCGUUAGUACAAGAAGCUGCAGUAGCCCUAAUGCACUAAGCAAAUCGUUGUCAAAUAGUACUGUUUUAAUUUGAUCCUUUUAGCUAACAUGAAGUUUUUCAACAUGUUACCUGGAUCUUAUAGCUCGUUAUCGUUGUUCUUAAAUGUUUGUAAAACUGUUCAUCGUGUAGUUUUUUUAAAGCUAGACAUUAUGUCUUAAUGAAAUGAUACAUAAUUCAGUAGUAAAUACACCUCUUCAAUCCAAAUAUCACAUAUAUGAUUCUUCGUUCAUUUGUUGACUGGUUGAUGUUCGUUCGUUCUUAAUUUUAAAAUAACUGGAGAAUCAAAGAUACGUCUUUUUAUACUUAUUAUAAAAAUUUAAAUUAAUCGAGACGGUAAAAAGUUUAACAUUGUUGAUUGUUACAUGAUUUUCCUAUACUUUGGUAUGACAUUUUUUUAUAUGUCAACCCAUACCUUCUAAGCACAUGAUACGUGCACAAACUCGAGAAUUUAUUUUGUACUUUGCUUUAAGUAAUGGCAAGUAUUCAUGUCCAUAAGGUCUUCAUGUGCUAGUGAAGUCUCUUUUACUUUAAAAAAAUCGUUACGUUGCUAUCGGAGAUGAAUUCAAAAUUUUAAUUUUUACAAUCUAUUAUUUGUAUUAAUCUAACGUGUUUUACUACACAUUAAAGCCAAAAUUUCUAGAUAAACUCACUCGUUACAUUAUAAAUCUGCAUUGAUAGUGAUUGUUGUUAAAUAUGAUACGUCUGUCUAAACGUCACAUAUUAUGUUUAAAAAAUCUAUUUUUUGUUACUUAAUAUCGUGUCUAAGUUUUGUGGCCAAGAAGAGUCAUAAAAAAGUGUUUCACACGGAUUUCCAUUAUAAAGUAAUAAGACAAUUUAUAAUAGCUGACUUUUAAUUUUAUUUCACACGACUCUUAUGCACAAAAUUAUAAAAAUCGUUUUUUUCCCCGUAAAUAUACAUACACACUAUUUCAACGUUUAAUUAUAUUAACUUUUUUUUUAUUUUCUUAAAUUUCGUAUUGAAUCGUCGUCACAUACAUGCAUAUAAAGUAAAGUAGAAGUGGACAUUAAUGUUCAAUAAGAUGGUUAAGGACCAUGUAAAAGUUAGGUAUAAAUUUUUUUUCCUUUUGUUUUGAUUUAUUGUGGAUGAGAGGGUCUGAAUAUUCUAGUGUAUGUUAAAAAGAUGCCACUUUAAUCACAUAAUUUAAUUUUGAUAAUGAAAAAUUAAAGCAAAAUUUUUAUAAUAUGACUUAAUCAUAAGAAUUUUUAUAUAUUUUAUUUUGUUAAAUAUUAUAAUUUAUAAUAUCUUUUACAUACUUUUAAAAUACAUAACAGAUAAUAAUUAAAAUAGAGAGACUAUUAAAUUUUCAAAAAUACACAAUUUUUUUGAUAUAAUAUACACAGAUUGAAUUAUAAGAUAUAAUUUUUUUAAUUAAUGUAGUUUGAUCAAUAAGUUAUGAAAAUAAUAUCUUAAAGAAAUAUAAAGUAUAAUAAGUAAAUUUUUAUGAUCCAAUUCUCACGCAUAGCGAGAACUUAAUAUUCUGUCCCUUUUUUGUUUUACAAUUAAAAUUAUAAUUGUCAUUACCAAAGUUUGUAUUAAUUAACCACACGAAAACCAAGUCCAAUGCAGAAAAAAAUGGAUCAUCAAUCAAAUAAACCAAUAAACUCUAUAAAUAGGUCUAAUUAACCUAUAAGAUACUCAAAAAAUAUAUAAUAUAUCAAAGGUUAAAAAAACCAUUUUUUUCUACUAUUAUUUUAUUAUAAAUAAAUUCUUUAAAAUCAAUAAUCAAAAUGUCAAAUGCUCAACAAGCCGGUGAAUACCACGGCCAAGCUCAGGUAAUACUAUAAUAAAUAUUUGUUACGAAUCAAAAUUAUUUUUAUAUUAUCUAGACUUAUAGUCUAGUAAUAUCAAAAUAACGUAACCUAUCAAGCCACGAUCCCAUGUGGUGCAAAAUUAGAGUCAUCAUUAUUAUUAUUAUUGUUAUUAUUCUUUAGAAUAUCGACUUAAAUUCUAAUCGUAUCAGUAAUAAUACUUUUUAUAUAAUAGGUGUGAAAUUUUUUUUCCAAUUCUCGUUUUCCCUUUCCUUCGAUCUUUUUUUGAAUAUAAGAAAAUCAAUUCAAAAUUUAAAUUUAACGAAUAAUAAAUGAAACAGGCUAAGACCAAACAACUAGCAGAGUCAGCAAGAAAUACAGCACAUUCAUUGGCUGAUAAGGCUGACAAUGCUACCCAAAAUGCUCAACAAUCUGUUCAAGAAAACAAAGAUCAACUCAACCCUGGAUUUCUUCAACAGGUAAUAUAUUAUCGAAAUUUCGUUAAGAACGUUCAAAAUUUAAAAAUAUAUAUGUAAAAAGUAAUUGUCGCAAAGUGUAACUUAACCAAGAUAAGUACAUGUUAGCUACCUGACAUAAAAAGUGAAAAUAUAAAAACAGUAUAGAAGGUCUCUAAAUUAUCAGUAUAUAUAAAUUAAAUUGCUUGAAAAAUUAUUAACACAUUUUAUACUUUUCACUUUUUUAUUUUCCAAAUUAAUGAUACUAUGUCUAAUAAUUCUCUUAUUUUAUUUUAUUAUAAUUAUUCAGACUGGAGAGCAAGUGAUCCAUAUGGCUCAAGGUGCAGUUGAUGGAGUGAAGAACACACUUGGAAUUGGAUCAGACAAAAAGUGAAAAAGAGAAAAUGAAAUUAAUUAAUUAAUUAAUUAAUUAAUUAACACAUUUAUCAAUUUAUAUAUCUCAAUUUUAAUUAAUUUUUCAUUUAAUUCUAUGAUUUUCACAUAUGCUUUAGAUUAUUAAGCAUAAGUGAAAAAACAUAAUAUUAUUAGUUUGUGAGAUCUCUCACCAAAAGAAUUACAAAAUUUAAUUCUUAUAAAGUGAGAUGAUUUUCAUAGGUUUGGUUUAAUUAUUGUUUAACAAUUCCAUGCACCUUAUAUUGGUGUUAUAGUGAAUUUUGUUUUAUUGAUCGAGAUUUCUCUCGUUAGAAAUUCUCAUUAUAAGUACGUAAUAAGAAAGUUUUAUUUUGUUUUUGUUAAUUGAUAUUUUUUGUUAUUUGUUUUUGACUCGAUUUACUGAUUGAUGGUGGAGAUGCUCAACCACUUGAACAAGUCUCACUUAUUUCAGAAUUAAAUAAUACACUCACUUUUCUACUAUCCUUUUUCAUCUAAAUGCCAAACGUAUGUUGAGAAACAGAGUUUAAAUUCGUGACGUGUAUCUAAUCGACACAUCUUCUGCUGUACUCUUAUGAUAUUAUCAUUAUAUUGAGAUUUUUGACCGAAAGAAAAUUAUGAGAGACAAUUUAGUUUUAGCACGUUCAAUUUCUAUCACAAGAUUAAAUACCUAUAUUUGUUUGCAGGUAAUUUUUUAGAAAACCAUUAAUAAAUUGAAUUAAAACGAUUAUAAUAUUGAGAAUCCUUCAUAUAUUAUUAGAAUUUGCCUACGAUUUAUAAAUAACUAUAAACAAUGCAUCACCACCCUUUUCUAAUGUUGCUAUUAUUAUUUUUUCAUUAUGUGAUAUAUAUGAUAAUUUGUAAAAAAAACAAAAAAUCAUUAUAUAAUAAGUAGAUAUCGUUAUAUAAUAUACGAACAUAUGCAUCUUUUUAUUUAACUUUAUUACAAAUAUAAGUGUUUAUAUGUGGAUAUUUAAAAUUAAAAAAUGUAUAUAACGACUGAAGUAGAGUUAAAUAAUACGUUUAUUACUAUGCUGAUUCAAAAUAAAUAUAUUUUUAUAGGAAUUUUUUGUAAAAACCAAGAAAAUUGGAUACUCCAUAUGUUAGAUUAUAUGAAUUACUUAGAUAUUUUAUAUUUAGUAAUAAUUUAAUUUUAAAAUAUUUAGCUUAUCUUAAAUAAUAUAAUAUAUAGGUAAAGAAAUAUUUAUCAUUUGGUUUAGAUAAAAAAAUUUCUUUUUUUCUUCUUUUUAAGGGCCCGUUUGGCCAUAAAUUUUCCAAAUAAUAUUUGGAAAAAAUUUGGCAAAUAAUGUUUGUCCAUACAAUUUGCCAUUAUUUGGCAAAUAUUUUUGGGAAAUAUCCCAAAUUUCUAAAUACUAGUUUUUUCUAGUAUUUGGGCCAAAUCUCAUUAUUUGGGAUAUUUUAAAAAUUAAAAAUUUACCCCAAUCUUUUAUCUUUUACAAAAACACCCUCUCUAGUAGUUGUUUGCGUUGUAUUACAUCAUUUUUUACGUGAACACCAAAAUAGUGAUGAAAUAUGUAGUGAAUAUUAAAUAAUGAUAUGAUUGUUGAUGAAAAUUAUUAAAAAUUGGCUUUAGGUAACAAAGUCAUGUACUUUGUCUACUUCACGAUGUAUGAAAUAAUUCUUGUUGCACUCACUCCAAAUUACCACAUUGCUUUAGUGUCAUGGACAUUAUUUGUUAUUGUUGUAACGAACAUUCAUUGACUUGUAAUACAAACUUUUAGUUAGUUUUGAUAGUUUUUAAAACUUGUGUGUAUAAAUCAUAUUAUUCUAAAAAGGUGAAAUAUAUUUCCCAAAUUUUAUGGCCAAACACAUGGUGAAAUUUCACCCAAAUUUUCACUCAAAUAAUAUUUGCCAAGAAUGUUUGGAAAUAUAUGGCCAAACGCUAGCUAAAUUUCGUAUCAAAUCAAACUAACUCAUAUUAAAAUAAAAUCAAAAAAAAAAAAGAUAUCUGGAAGAAACUGGAUAGUUUCCCAUAAAAGAAAUAAUAAAAAAAUCUUCUCUUAGAUUCUUUUGCUUUAACACUGGACAAUUUUUUCUUUCCCAAAAUCUCCUCAAAUCAACCACUUAAUUACACCUUACUGCCACUUCAUCUUCACUCUCCUCCCAUGGCUACUCUGCAAACUCAUCUCCAGUUUCCCAUCUGUUCUUCACCAAGAUUGUUUCAUUUCAAGAACCCCAAUUCAGUUUCUUUCUCAAAAAAGCUUUUUUUCUCAAGAAAAGUUAAUGGGUUGUUUAGUUAUUCUAAAUUUGGUGCAAAAGAUUCAUUCUUUUGUUGUAGUCAAACUAGUGGUGAAAUUUUACCCCUUUCAUCAGCUCAGAAGGAGAAGGAGACUAGUGAAAGGCCUCCUUUUGAUAUCAAUUUGGCUGUCAUUCUUGCUGGUUUUGCUUUUGAAGCUUAUACUAGUCCUCCAGUAAAUUCUCAAUCUUUAUAUGUUCAUUUUUAUGUUUUUCUCUGCUCAGUUGGUUGGUUAUCAAACUUGUUGAGGGACUCAAUUUUUUACCCUGUAAGCCCCUACCUUAUUUUGAAAAUUGAAACAUUGAAAUAAUAAAUUGAAAAAUAGAUUCUGAUAGAUAAGGUCUUUCGGGUAUAGUCUCUCUACCUCUACGAGAUAGUGGUAAGGUCUGCAUGCAAGGGGAAAAUGAAAGUGCAUUCCUGUGCACCAGUUGAAAAAAGGAGCUUUGGAAGCUUACCUUAUUAUUAUAUUAAAAUGGGAAAUCUACCCUCCCGGACUCCUCUUGUGGGAUUUUGUUGUUGUUCAUUGUAUUCUGAUAGAGAAAAUGGUAUUGAGGUGUAGUUGAUUGGCUAAAAAAAUCAUAUCUUUUUUGUAAAUAAGAGUGUUGAUAGGUAUGUAGUUGUUCAUUUUUCUGUUUCUUUCUUUAUUAAUUAAUUGAAAAUGGACUUAAAUAGAGUGUAUGGAUAUUGAGGAUUCUUGUAGUAGAUAACUCCAACUAGCUUGGAAUUGAGGUGUAGUUGAUUGAUUGGCUAAAAGUUUCUCUCUUUUUUGUAAAUAAGAAUGUUAUGUAUGUAGCUGUUUAUUUUUCUGUUGCUUUUUUUUUAAUAAAUUGAAAAUGGACUCGAAUAGAGUAAAUGGAUAUUGAGGAUUCGUAUAGUGGACUCCAACUAGUUUGGGGUUGAGUUGGAGUUGAUUGAUCGACUGUUGAUUCAUUUUUUGUAUAUAAGCAUGAUGAUAUUAGCUGUGGAUUGGAGGAAUUGCUUGCCAAAGUAUCUUGCAUUGUGGGUUCUUUCGGUUUGGCAGUGUAGAAGUCAUAGCGGACAUGCUUGUAAAGUAUGAUUUUCUGCUGCCUUAAAGUUGUGAUCUUUGAGUGUCAGUAAUUCGUUUUCAUUCGUAUUAUUGUUUUGGCAUCUUAUCACUCUGUUGUGAUUCUAGUUUAGAAAUGAACAUAAAUGUGCUUCCCCUAUAGUAGUCAUACCCCACAUACUCAUGAUAGUAAAUGAAGGGAAUAUUUUCAUUAUAAACAUAUAUAAGGUGAUGAUCACUUGCCUAACUGGAUUUUCGUUGAACUAAAUUUUGCUUAGAAGUAAAUUAGGCUUGCAAGUAUUCUACAAAUCUAUAAAUGUUUAUGUAGCAAAUGGUAAUUAAGCAGUUGAAUUGUUUUCCAAGUCUGAUCCAAUUUGCUUUGUUUGACAUUGCUUGUCAGGACAAUGUCGGAAAGCUUGAGGUGGAUGCGGCUAAUUGCAAAACCAUAUUUCUUUCAGAGUAUGUAGUUGUUUUCUUUCUACUGAAAUAGUAAACUUAAACUGUAGGAACUUGAGUUAUAGGUUAAAUUGGUCGGAUCAAGUAAAGGGCACACGUAUGUUCCACUGGUGAAGGCUAUGAAGAGUGCUCAUAUCUGAUUGUUUUUGUCUCAUUCAGCUAGUGUGAUUUUCUUUUUCUUUUAAAUCAAAAUCAACUUAGACAAUAUUUCAGUUUGCCGAAAACUAGAUUCAUGCAUGUGCAACUGCAAAUGAGUUGGAUAUGCCUGUUUCAUUCGAAGGUAGUAGGAUUUGGCGUGGAUCAUGAUUGAUAAUUCUCUCUCAUAAUUGACAACCAUCUUCCAGGUCAUUUGUGCGUGAAAUUUAUGAUGGCCAGUUGUUCAUAAAGCUAAAGAAAGGUCUCAAUUUACCUGCUAUGGAUCUUUGGGUAAGGUUUCUACCAUUUAAUAUUAGCAAAUGAUCAAAUUUCAAUUGAAACGUGCCUUACUGUACUUUCCUUAUUCAAAUGAUUGCUUCUUAUGCAUUUAUUUAAUCUGCUGACUCCUGUUUUAAUUUAAUUGCCUACUCUAACCAAAUUUCAGGGAACGAGUGAUCCGUAUGUGGUGUUACAGCUAGAUAGUCAAGUUGUCAAAAGCAAGGUGAAAUGGGGGUAGGUAGUUGGUCAUGUGUUAAACUGCAACCUUCUACUCUUUUCAGUCAGAACUUCUCUAGAUCUUGUAGGUUUACUUAACAAUGAGUCAGGUUCGUUGCAUGUCGUCAACGUGUUCCUGUGCAAGUAUUGCUUGCAUAAGCCGAAUGAUAAAGUAACUAAUAUGAGAGUCUAUUAUGGUUACUAAAUUCAGUCUUCUCUUCUGUUUGAGCAACGUAUCAAAUUUUUAGCAAAAACUUAUUCUGGAUUUAGUAAAAUACAAUUAUUUUUCAUCCAUAACUCAUAUUCUAUUGUUAUCUUGAGUGUGAUUAUUCCACCAGUAUCUUAUUUGAAGUUCCAUGCUUCUUUAUCCUUUUAAUUUGUCAUCGAGAAGGCAAAAGGUCUACAAUUGCUAUUUUCUGUUGGAGAAUAAAGCUAUCCUUUUCUUUGUUCAAAUUAUGCACUAUUUCAAUCUUGAAACAUAAUCCAAUAACGGAAAAAAUGUUAAUUUCAUGAAUUAAUGUUUGCAGGACAAAAGAGCCAAUGUGGAAUGAGGAGUUUGCUUUAAAUAUUAAGCAGCCACCUCUGUAUGAUCUUCAGGUUGAUAACUUGAGUUAAUCCUUUCUCUCUAAUAGUUUAUUAAUUAAAGGAUAGCAUUCCAGAAACUGUAACAUUUUGCUUUUGAAAUACGACUUCAAUUUGCUGUAACUUAGCUCUUCCACAUUAGGAAGUUUACGACACGGUAUGUGGUACACCAAAUCUCCUAAUGAUAAAUGAGCAGUUCUGGUAAGAUAUGCAACUUGAAAAGCUUUAAGCUAACACUGCUAAAUUAACUGUCUUCUGACUGACUGCUAAUUCAAUUAUGAACGUGUAUGUGAACUUCCCAUAUCCAACAAUGUCUUUCUUGCUGAAUGCUAGUUUUUCAUUUCUACUUCCUGCUGAGAUCCAUAGUAUUAACCAAAUUGGAACAAACAGAAUCAGUCUUUUAAGGUUAUCGGCCUCGGACUAGAACUUACGGACUCGGAACUGCACAUCUUGCUUUAUGUUGUCUAAGAUAUCCAUAAGAGUCUGCUUCUGUCUUUUUAGCUGCAGUCUUUAAAAUGAGGAACAACUUAUUUUUUCGUUAUUUUUACCGUUAUCUGCUCAUUAGAGGACUUUCGGAUGCAGUAUGCUGGCAUGACAUGUUUUUAGGUGCUCUUAUUUCUCGAUUCCAGAUCUGAUGAAUUAUUCAUUACUACUGUCAGAUUGCAGCUUGGGAUGCAAAUCUGGUGACUCCACAUAAACGCAUGGGAAAUGCAGCAGUUAAUUUGGAACAUCUCUGUGAUGGUACGAGCUCAAGAAAUGGUUCUCGUGAUAUAUUGUGCUUCAAAUAAUUGUCUAGUUAUCAUGUUGGCUAAAAUUUCAUUCAUGUAAAUAAGGUUUGGCUUCCUUUCCAACUUAUCCCAUGAAAAUGGGGGAAGAAGUUAAGAGUUCAUUUUCAGUAUGCAUUUUGGUUGUGUUUUGAUGACUACGUUGAAGGUGUCUCAUUGCUCAUAAAACAAAUUGACAAAGGAAGAACACUUAAAGGAACCAAAUUAGUUUCAAUAGUUAUAUACUUCUGAAUACUGUCAUAACUGAUAUGAGAGCUGACAUAAGGAUUAGGCUGAUAUACAAACAUUGAUGUUUUAAUUUGUGAAAAUAACAAACAUGUGUUUUCUAGGAGAUUCUCAUAAACUGCUGGUUGAUUUGGAUGGAAUGGGCGGUGGUGGGAAGAUAGAGAUAGAGGUAAGUUGAUUUGAAUCUGGAGGCAUAUUCAAGGUUCAAGAUCGCUAAGACCUUCAUUUUACGAGGAUUUAUCAGACCAUCACAUUAUUUUGAUGUGUACACUCUAUAGCUGAUUAGUAUGCUAAUCUUAACUUCAGAAUAUCCUUCUUAAAUGAUACUCAAUUUGACCAUUGUUUAUCCAAUUCGAGAUUCCACUAAUUGUCCUACUAACAUGAUACAGAUUAAGUACAAGAGUUUUGAGAAAAUUGAAGAAGAAAAGAAGUGGUGGAACAUCCCAAUCAUUACAGAAUUUCUAAGAAAAAACGGGUUUGAGUCUGCUUUGAAGACAAUUCUUGGUUCCGAGACUGUUCAAGCUCGACAAUUUGUACAGUUUGCGUUUGGACAGAUGAAGCUACUUAAUGAUGCAUAUAAUGAUUCAAAUAGCAGCAGCAGUCCUGUCCUGGAAUCAGAUGUACUACCGGAGUCGCAGCAAUCAUCCAACUUGGAUGACUCAAGCAUGCCCCCAGCAUCAGAAAUCUCAAAUAAUUUGAAAGACACCAAAGUUGAUGGUGAAGUGAAGCUUAAUCGUGAUGGAAGUGACGUAACCGAUGAACAUGAUUCCCCUGGUACUAAAAUUUUAGAGAGCUUUCAAUCAGAUAAACAUUUCUGGAAGAAUUUUGCUGAUACCGUCAAUCAAAAAGUUGUUCAAAGACUUGGUCUCCCUGCUCCUGAGAAAAUAAAGUGGGAUAAUCUUGACUUGUUAAAUAAGAUUGGAUUGCAAUCACGAAAAGACGCGGAUGCAAGUUAUGUUGAAUCUGGUCUUGCAACUCCUGAUAAACGAGAAAAUGUUAAUGGUAGUGCAUCAACUGAAUCACCUAUUCUUAAUAACAUUCAGUCAUCACUUCCAGAUAUCAAGAAGGUGACACAAGACUUAUUGCGUCAAACUGAUACCAUUUUGGGAGCAUUGAUGGUUCUAAAUGCCACAGUUUCUCAAUUCAACAAAGGAGCAGGCCUUUUCGGAAAGGGUGAUGCUAAAGAAGAUUCUUCAACUGGACUGGAAAAUGACAUCCUUUUAUAUCCCAUGAAUAAAGAUGGAAUAGUGUUGGAUGAGAAGAAAGCUGAGGAGAUGAAGUCUCUUUUCUCAACAGCGGAGACUGCCAUGGAAGCUUGGGCACUGCUAGCUACUUCAUUGGGACAUCCGACAUUCAUCAAAUCUGAAUUUGACAAAUUAUGCUUCUUAGAUAAUGAGUCAACUGACACAGAGGCAAGUUCAUAUGUUGCUGGCUAUGAGUUCUUAGUUUCUAAUGUAUCUUAGAUCUGAUUCAUUUGAUCCAAGGAAAGCUAUUCUACUGAUUUUGGAUUCUGUAAGACUUGCAGGUAGCGCUCUGGCGUGAUUCAGCAAGGAAACGGUUAGUUGUUGCUUUCAGGGGAACAGAACAAGUAGGUUCCGGUGUUAAACACAUCUUUAAAACUUGUUGAUUUAGCUUAGUUGUGGAUAACCGGUUUUUCUUUUAUCCAGACAAAAUGGAAGGAUCUUGUGACGGACUUGAUGCUAGUUCCUGCAGGGUAAAAUCACAAAUCUGUACAAGCACAGGCUGGCUUUAGUUUUUCUUUCUUUCUCUACUUUGCCCUUCUGGUUUCUCUGUACUACUAAGAUGUUUUUCCUAUCACAGUAAACAGAUUCUCCUUCCGUUCAAUUUGUUUGUCUUACUUUCCUUUUUAAUCCGUUUCGAAGAGAAUGUCUCUUCCUUUUCUGAAAACUCUUUCAUUCUAACUUUCCACAUGACAUGUUUAAGACCACAAGAUUACAGUCAUUUUGGUACAUUCUACAUAUCAUAAUUUAAGACCACAGUAUUCAAAAGUCUUCUUUACUUUCUUAAACUCUGUGCCAAGUCAAAACCAGUCAAACAAAUCGAAACGGAGGGUGUAAUUUUUUCUUCUCUAAGUCUCUGAAAGUGUACUUUUAUUGAAAUACAACUCUUUACUAUGCUGAAAGAAACAUUUCCUUUUUCUUAGAGGAAUAGGAGUAGAAGAUAACCUUCCAUCCUACAUUAUUAAGUUUAGACUGCAAAUACCAUCAUAUCUAAAGGUUUUCCUGAAAAAAGUUUUAACUUCGAACAUAAUUUGAAACAACAAGAAAUAGCCAAACACUUUGGUAAUUUUGAAUAUGAAUUGUACGUUCUUGCAUCUUCAUUAUUCGGAUGUUGUACAGAAACUUUAGAUGGUUAAGCAACCACUGUCCAUUUUAUUUCGCAUCCUGAGUUGUCUCCUACUCUGCAGGUUGAAUCCUGAAAGGAUAGGCGGGGACUUCAAGGAAGAAGUUCAGGUGGCACUGAAAUUCUUACUUUUCUAUCUCUUAGUGCCUGAAAUAUGAAUGUAUUCUACUUAUAUUUAUAAUUUUUCUAAUUAUCAGAACCAGAGAUUAUUUUUGUAGGUUCACAGUGGUUUCCUAAGUGCAUAUGAUUCAGUUAGGAUUAGGCUCAUCUCGCUUAUCAAAAAAGCAAUUGGCUACCAGUAAGUGGACUGUUAAACAAAACUGUACAACAUUGUUCCUCCUUUCCUAUGUCUCUUUCGUACCUUCAAGUAGAAGUCGUGUCAAAUAUUUCUACAAGUCUAUACUAAGUGGACUCGUGUCAUGAGCUUAGUGUUACACUCCCAACUCUUAAAACUUGUUAUGCGCUUUUGCUUUACUGAGAUGUCUAGACCUGGCUUAGUCUUUUUUCUUCUGUUUAUCCUUCUUUUCGUGUGGGUCUUGUUGCUGCUACUGUACAUCUUAUUCUUUGCCUUCUUCGCGGUUUCUUCUUUUUCUCUGUUUAUGAUGUACUUACUUCACCACUAAACAUUGACGUCACAUCGCUUAUUACAAUUUUAAUGUAUUUUCCAGGGAUGAUGAUCUUGACACGCCAAACAAAUGGCAUGUUUACGUGACUGGCCAUAGUCUUGGUGGUGCAUUGGCUACUCUUCUCGCUCUUGAACUAUCAUCAAGUCAACUAGCUAAGUGAGCUCCUCCUUUUCUCUGCUUGUAUCUGUAGCUUGUUUCCCAUCCAUUCUAUAUAAUUUACCAUUUACCAGCAUCUCGCCAAUAGGGCAUGCAUGUUUGGUUUUCUGCUUUGUAUUUAACAUGUUUGUAGUGUUCUUUGAGAAUUUGAAAUGCCUUACUUGAGCAGAGGGUCUAUGGAAAACAACCUCUCUAUCUCUACGAGGUAGGGUAACGUUUGCAUACACUCUACCCUCCUUAGACCCCACCUGUGGACUGUUUUUUUUUUUUUUAAGAGCAGAAGUUGUAGAAUUGUUGGUAGAAUCCUAUCAAAUGUAGUUUCGAUGCUAGUUACGUAAAUAAACCUAACCAUGGACUUGUAUUCCAGUCUUAUAUCUAUACUGAUCAGUAUUUGAAUGUGUGACAUUUUGUACCCAAAACUAAUGUGCUACCAAGCUGCAGCACAUCCCUUCAAUUGUUCCAUGUUGCCACUUUGAUAUCUUCUCUUGAUGGUUUCAUCCUUUUGACCAAAUUGGACUUGUAGGUCCCCAAGUAUUGUGAUUGCUAAGUUGCUUGCUGCUUGUUCCAUCAUAAUAGAACAUCUUGCAAAUUAAGGAGUUAGUGCAAAAAGAACGUCUGCAAUUGUUAAAUACAAAUUUUCGGGCUGCCCUUGUUCUUGAAGUACUUGUGGAGAAAAACCAAGUCCUCCAUCUCUAAUCAUGCUAACACUACAUACGUGACCGUCUUAUCUUUCUUGUUGGUUGUGUUAGGCGUGGAGCUAUACGUGUGACCAUGUACAACUUUGGAUCUCCAAGAGUUGGAAACAAAAAGUUUGCUGAAGUUUAUAAUGAGGUAUUAUUUACUCUCUGCAGAAGUGAAGUGCUUAUGUUGAGACUAACUAUAUUCUAUAGCCAUUUUGGUCUCACCAUUCAUUUAUGACAAUCUUUUGUAGUUAUAAAUUAAACGAUCUUUAUUUCUGAAACAAGUUAACAAAGGCAAAAUAACAAACAAGAACCAAGAAAAGAAAGAAUAUACCGACACACUAAUAAAUACAUACAAGCUGGUUCACAUACUCAGCCUUACCUAAUUAGCUCUCCUCAAUAACACUGGAUGAAAAUGAUUUUUGAUGUUCUCUCUCGGUCUCUCCUAUGGAGGUGGCUUGUCAUAAAUGAAGUGUGAAACUCUUGAACAUGCUAUUGAAUAUGCAUUGGUGCGUUGUCUAACAUGUCAGACCAACUUUUAGCAAGUUUGAGCCAUAAUCAGAUGCCUUAUCACAUUGUUUGCCGAUAGUUCAUGGGAAUUUCUUGCCUGUUCUUCUAUUGUGACGUGGUGAACGGCUGUAACUAAAUCACUUUCGCCUGCUUUGGAAUCAUACUGAGAGCUUAAUUUUGUUAAAUUCUGAGUGACUCUAUAUAAUUAAGUUGCUUCUUAUAUUGUAGAAAGUUAAGGACAGCUGGAGGGUUGUAAAUCACAGAGAUAUAAUACCAACAGUUCCUCGCUUGAUGGGCUACUGCCAUGUUGCUCAACCUGUUUAUUUGGCAGCUGGAGAUCCGCAAAACACAAUGGUGAGUAGAUUUCAUUUUCUCACUUUUUACACUAUAAAACGUUGGAUUGGCAGAAUGUUGGCACUGUUAAGGAAGUUGUGUUUUCCCGUUAGAGAUUAAAGUGGAAAAAUGUGUCGGAUGGUUAGCUUAACCUGAAGGAAAUCACAGAAGGUUCAAAACAAUUGACCUUUGUUAUUUCUUCUAUAAAACUAUUAACUCAAUUGCUCGAAGUAACUUUUUGAUAUUUUCUUCAUAGUGUAGGUAGAAAGUAUCAAGAAGUACUAUGUCAUUCUUACUUAUUAUGUAUGGGAACCUACUAUCGUUACCUCCCUGGAAAAAGUCGGAAAGAAAAUAUGAUCAUUUUUUACAUCAUUCCUUUUAUACGUGAAAGGAGCUUGUUGUUUAACUAUAUAUGUCUCGGCACAUCACAUUUCAGGAUAAUGUGGAACUCUUGGAAGAUGGUUACCAAGGUGAUGUUAUCGGAGAGGCCACACCUGAUGUUAUUGUCAGUGAAUUUGUAUGUUUCUCCACCUUUGUUCUCCUGUAUCUUUAGUUCCUUCGUUUUGGUUCUGUGCUCCAUUUCAUCCAUUCGUGAUUUGUUCUAUUAAGAUCUUCAACUGUUAAAAUUGUACUGCUACUUACCGUACAUUUGACCAAUUGAGACUUCUGUUUAUUCAUUUUGUUCAAUACUUCGCCUAAUGGAGAGUCUCCUUGAGGCAUAAGCUUAUCAAUUCACUCCAUUAGGUUGAAGCCAUGUUGCUCGGAGUUUUGUGUUGGAUCCUUCAAAAGCUAUGCAUUGUUAGGGGAUCCGAGACAGGUUUGGCAACAUUUUUGGGAGGUCCGAGCAAGAAUUGCGGGAGGGGAGCUUGUUCUGAGUUAUUUUUGCUAUAUGGAACACAUUUCCUUUUUAUUUAAAGGUAAAGAACUCUUGAUAAUCUCGCGAUUACUUAUCGUAACGUUUUGUGCAGAUGAAAGGUGAAAAGAACUUAUUGAGAAAAUACUGAACACAGAGAUUAACAUAUUUCUAGCAAUUAGAGAUGGAAGUGCACUUAUGCAGCACAUGGAAGACUUCUAUUACAUCACUCUAUUAGAGGUAUUACCAUUCUUGUAGCUAUGUUGCUCGAACUCGUCAAAAAUGUCGACACGUACAUGUCAAAUCCUCCAAAAGUAGUGGACUUUUGAGUAUCCGACAUGUGUGCUGCAACAUUUUUGAAGAGUUUGAGUAACAUACGUAUCCAACAUGAUAUGUACUUAAACAUUUUUUUUUCUUUAAUGUUUUUCUAAUUCUUUUUUCCAGAAUGUGAGAUCAAACUACAGAACUGUUCCAAGGCCACAACUGACAGAAGAGAAGAACAUAUCGAUUGGCUAAAAUGGAAAUUAUCCAAAUUCAUUAAUGUUGAUGUUUUAAUUUCCAAAGGUUGUAAAUAACAAUAACACCAAAAAAUUGGCUACAUUUAUUGUAUAUAUGUACUGAUUUUUAUCUAUGUCAAUUGUACAUUUCUUUGGUCAUUUAUGUUAAUUGUUACAAAAUUUUAAAUGAUAGAAUAAUGAGAACAAGUAAUUGUUCUAAAAUAAUUGUCUUGAACUAAAAAUAGAAGGAAAAAAAAAUACACUUCACAAACAAUAAAGAAAUGGCAUGAAAGAAACAUACAAUCUAGAGAACCACCACUUCUUCUAUAUUUUACUAACCAAUAGUAUCAUUACUACCUAGAUCUUUGACAGAUAAAAUCGUUCGAUCAUUAAUCAGAGGUUUCGAGAUUUAAACUAUGAGUAUAGUGAAUAUCUCGAUAAGGAGUUCUAGUUUCACUUAAUGUUGAAUUAAAAAAAAAAAAACUAAUACUACCUUUUACAUAUGCAAGCUUUUUGAAAGAUUCUUAGAAAAAUUUGUUGCUUUCAUAUUAUAGCUCAUGAUUUUCAAACUUUGCCUUAAAAUGUCAACUUCCCUUUCCCUCUUGAGCUCUUGUUGUUCCUUUGAAGCUAUUUCCUCUUUUAGAAGUGCAAUUUUUUCCUCUUUUUCUUUCAACUCUUUAUGCAUCUCCUCUAAUAAUUCCAUUUGUUCUAUUUUCCAACAUAGUCCUCUUCCUAGUCAAACAAGAUCAAAACACAUUAGAAGGACAAAACAAGACGACUUGUAGACAUAACAACUGUUCGUUGAGUGACUAAUCUGAUGAAAUUCAAACGUACCUUGAUUUGUCCUAUGAAUAAGUUCAUCAAGCUCAAUCUUGAUAGCAAAAUAAAGUUGUUUCCACUUCUCUAUUGCUUCAUCUCUUCUAGCUUCUUCAUUCCUAAUUUGCUCCAACAAAUAACUUGUUGCUAAUUCAUGCCACUCUUUAUCUUCUUUUACACACAAAUUCUCUAUAGCUUUACACUUGUCUUCUUCAUCUUUUUCUUCCAAGUUUUUCUUCAACUUCUUCACUUCCUCUUUUAGCUUCUUCUUUUCCUUCUUCCAUUCUGCUUCUUUCAAUGCAAAUAUGAUCAUCUCUUGUGCAUUGACUUGACUCUCAUAUUCCCUCAUACACAUAAUUUCAUUCACCUCACCUUGAAGAAACCUUACAUUGUAUUUCAACACUUCAACCACUUUGUCUUUUGGUUGGCUUUUGUCCUUGGUUUGAAAACUUCCCAUUUCUUAUAAUCCCUAAAAGUCUCCUAUACUUUUAGUAGUUCUAGUUUUGUGUAUAUAUAGAUAGUGUGUGUGUGUGUUGGGGGGAGUGUUGUAAGAUGUAUGUGUGAUAAAUUAGUCACAAAUCUUAGGUAAGGAAACUUCUUUUUUCAAAAUUAGGUGGAGUCUUGUAAAAUUCGAAGACUGAAACACGAUACAAGUAAAAGUCUGAUAUUUAAGUGAAGUAUAUAAAGCGCGAUCGACUCUAGGAGAUUUCUAUAUUAUCAAAAAAAAUACAAACACUUGGUACAAUACAUUAACAAAAAUGCAUUAAAGGGUAUGUUAGAUCAAUAAGAAUAGAGUAUGGGACAACAUGAUUAUUAUUUUUUUUUAUGAAAAAAGGAGGCUCCUACCAUGCAAUAUGAAGUGAUGGCACUAAAUGAUACAAAGAGAGUUUUGUACUGAUUUUUGUUUUGUGGCUCUUGCAUCAAUUCAAUUAUUAUUAAUAUACAUACUGUGAAAGAUGCCUUGUAUGAAAAAAACAAAUAAAUUAGAGAAGUCACAUUUCAAGAUAUUGACAUGAAUGAAUGACAUAAUGUGUCUAUUGGGGAAUAAAAUCCACAUAUUCCAAAAAAUCACAUGUACAUCAUUUUGGAGCCUCUUCAUCAAGGUGGGGGUGGGGUGGGGUGAUUGGGUGGGUGGGGGCUUCAUUUAAAAUUUAAAAGGAAUUUAAGUUAUACGCGCUAUCGCAAUAAUCACUUAUAACAGGUUAUUCUUUUAUUUUUUGAAUUAUAGUAUUAUGCGUGAUUAAAGAUUUAAAACUUAUAUAUCAUCUAUCGACGAAAUUAUACAUUUCGAAAUUUACCAAAUAAAAUCUAGGUUUUAAAAAAAGUUGUGUGGGGGGUAGUAUGGGGGAAGAGUUUUGGAGCCUCUUGAUAAUCGAAUUUAAGUUAUAUACAUUAUCGCGAUAAUCACAAUAUUAUACUUAAUCAUAGAUUUAAAACUUAUAAACUAACAGUGUAUCGAAGUUAUACGUUUCUUAAAUUUACCUAUUUUUAAAUAUGUUGUGGGGGUGGGGUGGGGGAGGGGUAGCAUGGGGAAAGAGUUAUUGUAUUAUACAUCAAAUUUUUGUACAUAUUUUGCCAGCUAUUAAAGGGGCCUGCAAUCUUUGCUGAAAACAUGGGAAACAUUAUUGACAAAAGAAUAUUUCUUUGAAUAUUAUGCCUUUGUAUUCAUCUCAAACUUUGACCACCAGAUGGAGCAUGGAUUUAACUAGUUCAGUAUUUUCGAUACGAAAUAUAAAUAAUAAAGUCCGAAGCAAAGACAGAUGACAAUUAUUACACGGUAAAAUUUAGCAAGUUAUGAAAAAUUAAUAUAAGCUUCUUAUAAAAUAGAAUAGGAAUAAUAAGAAUUAAUCAACAGAUCGUGUGUCGAUGAGAUUAAGUAUCGUUCUAUUAUUUCAGACAUAAUUUAUUGUAUUUUCACUGUAGUUGGGAUCUAUAAUCUUGCAAAGAAUGACCCCUUUCCUUUUCUGGCAAUAAUUUAAUUUUAACUUUUCACGUGGCAUGUUUAAGACCACAAGAUUAAAGGACAUUUUGUUACAUUCGAUGAAAUUUUAAUUCAGAACCACAAGAUUAAAAAAUUCUUCUUUCUUUUCUUAAACUUUGUUCCAAGUCAAAUUAGAUAUAUCAUUUUUUAAACGCGGGAAGUAUUUGAUAAAUGAUCAAAUAAUAAUUAAAGUAUUGGAUGUACUAUUGGUCUUGGAAUAUUUUAUUUAUUAACUAGGCAAUUCUUCAACAUUUAGGUAUUUCUAGGUAGAGAAAAAAAAUGUAAUUUUAUGUACCAAAAACAAAAGACUUUUGUCAAGUCAAAUCAUCAAAUUUUGUUUUAGCGUUGUUUAAAUGAGAAAAAAAAGAGAAAAUAAAAUAAAAAAUCAUUUAGUUUGUGUCUAAUUUUUUACGUAGUAAAAAAUCUAGUUUUUUAUUUGCAUCUAUAUUAUUUUUACAAAGAAAAUAAAGUCUUUAACUUAUUUAAAACGUGGCUCAAAAAUAAAAAUUGACAUGCAUUUCUUUGACUUUGUUAGAAUAUAUAUUAUUUUUUUUAUACAAAAACGAAUACAAAUGUCUUAUUUAUGAAAUUUUUGUUUUUAUUUUCCCUUUCUAGUAGGGGAAAUUCAUCAAUUUUGGUGUUUUUUUAAUUAACAGAAAUCUAAAUUGUUUAUUUAAUAUGCCAAGUUAUAUUUGCUUUAAAAUUGUUUAAUUGUUUCCCCCUUUUAUUAUAAGUAUAUAAAAGAAUUUCAAUUGGACACUUUUAAUUUAAAUUUCAAAUUCUUUUUACAUAUGUUUUUAUUUAUCUAUUAGUAAUUUAAGUUUAUCAUAUAAAAUAUUUCAUCUCUUUAGUUCAUCAAUCUUAAGUAAAAAAUGUUUGAAAUUUUAGGACUUAUCAAAGCGAACACAACAUAAUUACAUGAGACAAGUAUCAAAAACAACCUUGUACUUGACUAACUAAACUCAGAUACACCCCCGAUACACUCUCAAUACGUGAAAUAACAUGUGUCUCAAACCCUUUUAGGAGCAUGAAAUUCUUAAUAAAAGUCGAGAGAAGUGUUGAAAAUACUCCUAAACUUGACGAGAAUUUAGGGGUUCUCACUGAUGUUACAAGUUCGGGGAUGUAUUUAACUUCAAUUAGUCAAGUAAUAAAGGGGUGUUUUAAAGGUUUUCAAUAGUUCAAGGAUGAAACUAAUAAUUUGUGCCAAGUUCAAGAGUGCUUUUGACACUUCUAUCUAAUUAGUUCAACGCAUAUACGUAAAACUACUAGAUAAAUAAGAACAAACACACAGAAAAAAAUUCAAAAUUUAACUGAAAAUGUUCUAUCACUGUGUUUUUAUUAAGAAACAGAAGUGUUCAAUUUAAACAAAACUUAAAUUUAAGUCAUUUAAUUACAAUUAACCAAUAAUAAUUAUUUAGUACAUAUCAUAUUAUUAUAUAUUUAUUGAUAUGAUGUAAAUAUCUCGUCAUAUUUUAUUGUAUUAAUUUUUUUAAAAAAAUCAUUAAGGUUUUAUUUUUUUUUCACCAAGUGAAAAUGACUAUUUUACCCUCUUUAUACAUAUCUUUGUUUUGGUAAAACUCCUUCCCCAUAUCUUCAGGAACAUUCUUAGUUAUCUGCCUCGGAACCUCCGAAUUUUAUAAUCUUAUAGGUAGAAGUGAAGAAAAAAUCAGUAAAAAUUCUGAGAAUUUGAGGUAAUUUUUUAUUGUGAUUAUAUAUGAUUUCCUGAACUUUUUUUUAUUGAUUUUUUGUUUAUUUUCUUGUGCCAUUUUGGUGUAAUUUGUCAAUUUUAUGUAGAGUUUUGCUAUAUUUGAUGUUCUUUGUCUGUGUUAGGCUAAAGGGGGUUCUUGAAAAAUGAAAAGAAGAAUAAAGUUUGAAUCUUUUCAUUUGAUUAUUCAAUUGAAGGCUGUAUUUACCACAAAGAAAGUUAAUUUAUUUAAGGGGUUAGCUUGAUUUGUGAUUUCUUCCAAUGUGUUCAAGCUUUGGUGGAUAGGGUUACUUGGUACCUAUAUUGGUGGGAGGUAGUAAGUAGCGGGGGAAUUAAUCGAGGUGCGUGCGAGCUGGUUCAGACACCACAAAGAAAGUUAAUUUAUUUAAGGCAAUGUGUCUAAGCUUUGUUUGGUGGAUACUGAAUAGGGUUACCUGGUACCAAUGAUGGUGGGAGGUAGAAGGCACCUGUGGAACUAAUCGAGGUGUGUGCAAGCUGGUCCAGACACCACAAAGAAAGUUAAUUUAUUUAAGGCAAUGUGUCCAAGCUUUGUUUGGUGGAUAGGGUUACCUUGUAAGGAUGCUGGUAGUAGGGUACCCGAGGAAUUAGUCGGUUGCAUGCAAGUUGGCGUAGACAUCACGAUAUUUAAAAAAGAAAGAGGAUAUCCCAUUCCUAGCAGCCUUAACAGUUGACUGUGGCAGAAUUCUCUCUCUGCUGUUGGUCCUUUUAGGAUUUCUGCAGAACUGUUCAAUUACACUUCGAGGUAUCUCACGCGAAAUGUUAGGACGUAUGUGUCUAGUUGUUUCAACUUUAUACAAUCAGGUGCAUACCCAAAGUUGGAAGGCAUAGAUGUUAGCUGAUGCCAAGUUAAAGGGAAACGUUUAUUUAUUAUGUCUAAUAUGAAUGAUACAGUGAAUACUUACACUUUUCCUGUCAUCAAUCUUUCAAAAUCGCUGAUGCUGUAUUUUUCCUGUCUUUUCUGCUGAGCUGAAUAGUUGGCUUAUAUGUUUUACUGGUGUUCCGUGCAUAUGAGAUGAUUUAGUACAGUUGUUUGCGAAUGUAAACAUUUCAAAACGUGUCUUCUAUAGCUUGAUUUGGAUAAUAAAUGUAUGAACUUGGAUGCAUUGUUUGUUAAACAACUUAUUUGACUAUUUUUCUUUGUUAGGCUCAAACUCCUUUUCGAUGAUUUUACACUAGUCGGAAAUUUCUUUCUUUUUCCCUGGUUUAGGGGGUCGUGAAGCAAUGAACUCCCUUUUCUUUUAAUUUUUUCGACAAAUCUUAUUAACAACCGAAAAAUAGACUUUGCUGGUUUCUAAGAGUGAAGUUUUAAAGUGUCCAUUUGGGGACAUCCGAUGAAAUUGGAACAAUAAGAGUAAAUGCUUAAGUAGAUCAUUAUAUACUGUGUUUGGUAGAGAGUGUUCACAACAUGUUUUAGAAUGUAGAAUAAGUGCGACACUAAGUAACCCGUUGUUCAUCUAUUCGUUGUGGUUUGCAAUAAAUAUUCAUCGAUUAUCAGUGUAAAAAACUCCUGAAUUUCCUCCCAUGUAUGUUCUAAAAUCGUGUCUUACAAUGCAUAGAAGAAAUUAAUGUCAGCGAUCCUUUUUGCAGUCGGUGAAAUGGCAGCAGCAUCAGCAACUACUCUCUCAGUUGGUUCCGCCACAUCCUUUGGCUCCAUAGUGAGCCCAAAAUUACAAUCAAAGGCCUUUAUUGCGAAAUGCAAUACCAGGGACUACCUUAGGAGUUUCAGUGGCCUUAAGGCAGAGGCAUUUGUACGAUGUGAAUCCGAGUCGUCAUUUCUAGGAAAUGAAAGCAUUGCAGCUCUUCGACAAUCCAUUACUCCUAAAGCCCGAAACCAAAAGCAGAGAUCUUCGAACCAUGUUCAGCCUCAAGCAUCUUAUAAAGUGGCUGUUCUCGGAGCCUCUGGCGGUAUAGGCCAGCCUCUAGCUCUUCUGAUUAAGAUGUCACCGCUAGUAUCAUCGUUGCACCUUUAUGAUAUUGCAAAUGUCAAAGGAGUCGCAGCAGAUCUCAGCCAUUGCAACACUCCCGCUCAGGUUUUUGACUUUACGGGAGCUUCUGAGUUGGCCAAUUCUUUGAAAGGUAUAGAUGUAGUUGUCAUACCAGCUGGCGUUCCGAGAAAGCCUGGUAUGACACGGGACGACUUGUUCAACAUAAAUGCUAAUAUUGUGAAAAGCUUGGUUGAGGCUGUUGCUGACAAUUGCCCAGAUGCCUUUAUCCACAUUAUCAGCAAUCCAGUCAACUCCACAGUGCCGAUUGCUGCCGAGGUUCUGAAGCAAAAGGGUGUGUAUGAUCCUAAAAAACUCUUUGGUGUUACCACCCUGGACGUUGUCAGAGCAAACACAUUCGUCGCGCAGAAGAAAAACCUGAAACUCAUUGACGUUGACGUCCCCGUGAUUGGUGGGCAUGCAGGGAUAACAAUUCUGCCAUUGCUGUCAAAGACAAGACCAUCAACUACUUUCACGGACGAAGAAGUGCAGGAACUAACCGUGAGGAUCCAAAACGCUGGGACCGAGGUCGUUGAAGCAAAGGCUGGAGCAGGAUCUGCAACACUGUCAAUGGCAUAUGCUGCAGCUAGAUUUGUUGAAUCCUCACUUCGUGCCCUUGACGGUGAUGCUGAUGUUUACGAGUGUUCUUACGUUCAAUCUGACCUGACGGAACUUCCAUUCUUUGCAUCACGAGUUAAACUAGGAAGGAAUGGAAUCGAGGCAUUGAUUUCGUCUGAUCUCCGUGGAUUAACUGAGUAUGAACAGAAGGCAUUAGAAGCUCUAAAGAUAGAGUUGAAAGCUAGCAUUGAGAAAGGGAUAGCUUAUGCUCAAAAACAAACAGUGAGUGCUUAGAGAAAGAGUUUAGUUUAGAUUAACUAUAGGAAAAGAUUCUCAACAUGACAAUUUUUGCAUGGUUUGAACUUACUAAGCCCUUUAUUCUUUUUAUUGGUCUGAACUCUACUAGUGUUUUGUUAUUGCUUCCUUUUCAUCUCUAGUCGAGGUUUAUCAGAAACAAUCUCUCUACCCCUGUGAGGUUAGGGAGAAGGUGUUCGAGAACUCUAUUCAAGGUUUAUCAGAAACAAUCUCUCUAUCCCUGUGAGGUUAGGGAGAAGGUGUUCGAGAAAGCACCGACUACAGGUGCUCAUUGAGUCGGUCCUCCGGUGGAUAAAAGUAUCUGCAAACACUUUACCCUCUUCAGACUUUUUCGACUUUAAAAUUUCAUAUAUGAAAGUCUAGAAUAGUUAUUGGUGGCUAUUUUUGAAAAAAAUAAUAAUCUAGAAUAGAAGUGGAUGAUUAAAUUUUUUCCCCCCAAAAAUCUCCUUAAAAUUUAAUAGAUAAAAGUUGUUAACAUGUCAUAUAAAUGGAGAUAAAUUAAAAAUGCUAAAUUUUUUAAUAUUUAAUAAAUCAAAAUCACUCAAAAGCAUAUUUAAGGAAUUAUUUUAAAUCUACUCGAGUCUCCAAUAUAAGUUAUUUCUUUUGUCAUAUUGUCUAGAAAAUUUGUAUGUCCAUUUUAUCUCAAGUGUUUCGUAUAUUCACAUUUUUUGGAGGUCUAUGUAUUUGGUUCAGAUUGUGAAUCGGACUUUCUUAUUCAUGAUUUUGAUAAUUAAACACUUAAACUCGAUGAACCCAACAUAUUAAACUCCUCUAUGAGAGUAUGACCAAGAAAGAUAUGACUCGCUUGCCAGUUAUACAAAUAUAUGCGUAUACCAUUUACAUAUAUACUAUAAUCCGACAGAUAUACAUAUACAAUUUGUCUCUCCACUCUCUGCCUAGUCUCGCUCAUCUCUCUCCUCCCUCUCCCAAUCUCGAUCGCUAAAUACACAUAUAUAUAAUCUGACAGUUAUACAUAGACAAUUUGUCUCUCCACUUUCUGCCCUCUCUCAUUCGUCUCUCUCCCAAUCUCGUUUGUCUGAUAUACAAAUAUAUAUGUAUAUCAAUUACAUAUAUACAAUUAUUUGAUAGAUAUACAUAUACAAUUCACAUUUCUUCACUUUCUGCCCUCGCUCGCUCUCUCCUCCCUUUUACAUGGAGAUAUAGUUUAUAAUUAAAAAAUUAUAGCUGUGAAGCAUAAUUUAAGUUAUUUUUAAAUGACUAUAUACAAAAAUUCCCCAUAUUGUGUUAUAUAAUAAAUUCUCGUUGUUUACUUCUGUGAGAACAUCCAAUGCACUCAAGACAAUCCUAUAAGAUAAAUCCAACUCUAAAUACAAAAGGACUAUUAAAAAUAAAAAAUACUUUCACCAUAAUAUUUUAAGUUUGUUUGUAGUAAAUUAAAUGUUGAAUUAUAAUUUACUAAGGAUAAACUAUAUAACUACACAUACAUCACUACCAUAUAUACUAUAUUUUAUCUCUAAUUUAAAAUAAUUACUCAUACUAUCACUUUUAAUAUUUAUACAAUAUAUUUUAAAAGAUUUAAUUAAAUACACAAAACCCUUAAAUAAAGAAAAUGAAUAAUUAUCUUAAAUCUAAACUCCUUAGGGUUCAUAAUGUUUUUGAAGUUCAAUUUUAAUUUUUUUUUUUUACAAAUUAGGUUUUAUAUUUUUUGAUUUUGUUGUUUCUCAAACACUUUAAUGGUUGAACAUCUUGAAAUCGGAUGGUUCGUUAAAUGUAUCACACACUAACAAUAUUAUGCUAAAUCAAAUAACUUUUAUUUAUUCAUUUUCACUCAUGAAUUUAUUAUUGCAGGGACCGACUCUUCAUACGCCAACAUUCACAUCGAGAAUAGACCUACGUAUAGAAGCAACUCCAUCAAGAUGAUAGAAUUAUGCCAAGUUUUAAUUAACAAAAAAAUAAAAUACACCAUUAGAUGCACACUCAAGUGUAACGAUGUUGGAUACACAUUAUGUUUACAUGUAUCUAGUGAGAGUUCAUGUAUAUAAAAAAAAAAAUUCAGAUCCUUAAAGAAAAAAGAGAAUUUUGAAAAUUUCAAACUUUUUUUGGAUUAAUGAUAAGGCCACAGUUGUGAUUUGUUCCUAAUUCGUGUGUUUCAACUACAUUUCAUAUUUAGAUACACAUAAUUAUAUGUGUGUUUACAAUGUAUUUGAGAUACAUGAUUUUAAAUAUAAUAUAUGAAAUUAAUGCUUGGUACAUCGAAUUAAUAAUAGAUACAUAUAAAAUAUACAUGAAAUUAAAUUUGGAUUCAUACUACACAUAUAAUAAAUACAUAAAAUUAGUAUUAGAUACUUCCUUCUAUGAUAAUUGAUACAUAUGAAAGCACUUGUAUGAUACUCAUAGAUCUUGUUGUUUUGUUUGUUGGAUACAUCAUAUAUUUAUUGUUUUGUUUGUUGGAUACAUCAUAUAAUGAUAUAGAUAUAUCAAGUUGAUAAAUUUUAUUAUUUGAAGAGUAAUAAAAUGAAAUUAAUCAAUUUUCAACAAGAAUCAAAAUAUGCAUGUUUUUGUCUUUUAUUAAUAAUAUCAACGAAUUUAUUAUUUCAAAUAAUAAGAAAAUGAAAUUAAUUAAAUAUAGAUACACUCUUUAGAUUUUCGACGUAUAAUAACAAACACAACACACACAAACCACGAAACUCACCAUAUUCUCUAAUACUCAUGAUGAAGCAUAGUGUAUCCCUAAAUCGCUUGCAACUAGCCUGGAUAUCAUUAGCCAGCAAAAAAUAGUAUUAUUGCUAGUAAUGGGCCUUAACAUCAUUAGCCAGCAAAAAAUAGUAUUAUUGAAUCCAUGACAAUAAAUGGUAUUACUGAAUUCAAUGUCACAAUGCCGUGAAACAAUAAAGCAACCAUAAAUCAUAGAGCGUGUUCUUUCCGUGUCUACGACAUGCAUGCCGAAAUUUUGCUUUAUUUACUUGUGUUUGAUGAAAGUCCCACAUUCUACCUUAUACCUAGAGUAUAAAUUGAACAGAAAAAGGUAAGUUUAACCCUCCAUCCAUUUUUCGCCCUCUCUAUUUUUACUUUUUGGUUAAAAAAUUCUUCUUCUAGUCUAAAUAUACUAUCAAGGUCUAUGUUGAUAUAUAUUUUUGUAAUUUAUUUUGUUUUAACACUUAUUAAUUUUUUGUUAAGCGUUGUUGGUAGUUAUUGGUGUUUAUUUUUGAAAAAAGUUUCGCUCUCUAUAAUAUUAAUCAAAUUUUUAAGUUUUAAUAUGAUACUUGUAUUAUUUAGGGUAAAGAGGAGGUACUAUAUUUAUAUUCUCUUUGUGCGAAUUGGAUGAGCUAAAGUGUCAUAAAUUCAAGAAGCAAAAAACUAUGCAUACAAUAAAUAAUUGAAUUAAAUAUUUUGCAAAAAAACUAAAACAUUUUAAGUAUAAUUUUAUAUUAUUAUAUAUGUUUUGUAUUUAACUAUUAUGUGUGAUUAUUUAUUCCAAAAAUCAUGUUAUUAGUUGUUUAUUUCAGAUUAGAUGGUUAUAAUAUUUUUAUACCAUUAAAAUGUUGUUCACUAAUUAUAUGAUCCGUUUCUUAAGUUAAGUUGGUUUGUGUUUUUCAAAUAAAUAUACGUAAUAGGUAUUAAUUAUAUGAUUAAAUAUUAAAGAAAAAUAAAAUUAAUUAUAUUAUGUAUUUCACGGCCUAAACCAAUGCAAAACUAUACCAUAAAAAUUCAAUAUUAUUUUCAUUUCUAAUAUUAGAAUUGAUUCUUUUGUUAAUAUGAAAUCACAUUUGUUAUUAACACCUUCUUCGGACUUUUAUUUAUUCUUACUCGUAUAUUAUUGCGUAAUAUUGUUUAAAUUCAUCGUUAAUUAAUAAGAGAAAGUCCUAUUUUAUAUAAUAGUUGUUCGUUUGAUUAUAUAUUUUUCUUAUUUUUUCUUUACUUAUUAUUUAAUAAUCAUAUUUUAUCCUUUACUUUACCUUAUUAUAGUAGCUCUAUUUUUAUCCAACAUUUUCUCUUAGAUUUAUCAUUCAAAUUAUAAAUAUUUGACGUUGUUUAACGACUUAGAAAGAUACCAUCUAUUCAAAUAUUGUACUUACUAAAAUACAGUGUAUCAUACAACACAACAUACAUUAUCAAACAUAUGUAACAACUAUUAAGUAUAAUAAUUUAUGAAAAAAUUAUUUAAAUACACAACUUAUUUUAUCAAAUUUUCUAAAAUUCUCUUAUCAUUUGAAAAAAAUUGUAAAAAAUCAUAUUCUCGGGUACAUCACUUUACAAGAUAUGUAUCGAGACGUUCUGUGAUGUAUUCAAAAUCUAGACGCGAUAUAUCGGGACGUUGAGGAAUGUAUUCGAAAUAAUUAAGACGUGAUAUAUUGGGACGCAUCCGGAUUCCACCAAAUUCAAAAGGGAAAAAAAGAUAAAUAUACCUCUGAACUAUCAUAAAUGACAUGCAGAUACUCUGUCAUACUUUUUGGAAAUUGAUGCUCUUGUCAUUCAAAAACUGGAGUACAUAUACCAUUUAUACUAACGAACAUACACGUUUCAUAAUCUUAUUUAUACACCGACCCGACAUUUAUUAAAUAUCAGCUUGAUAGAUAACAUUGUGACACAUGUCCCUAUUUAGUCUUUCGUUAGAGUGAAGGGUAUACAUGCUCCAAUUUUUUGACGACAGAGGCACCAAUAUUCCAAAAAGUAUGACGAAGGAUAUCUACAUAUCAUUUACAUCAGUCCGGAGGUAUAUUUGUCUUUUUCCCAAUUUAAAAAUAUAUUUGUAAUUUGAAAAACAAUAGAGAUAAAGAUAUAAUUAAAUCUUAACACUAUGAAAUUUAUGUCAAAAGUUUCCGAAUUAAUAUAUAUAUGGGAUUGAACAAAAGGGCAUUAUGGGAAUUUUGAAAAGAAAUGAUCUCUCUCUCCUUAGACACAUUCGUGUUGUGGAUUCUCCCUGCAUUUUGACGUGAACAGAAGUAACCAACCUUAGAAACCUCAAAACAAAAUUCCUGAGCAAAACAUUAAUAACAAUACAAUCAUUGGCAUUGUGAAAAGAGAGAAAAAAAACAACAAUUUUUCAUAGGAAAAGGAAAAGGAAAAGGAAAAGGAAAAGGGGAGAUUUACCAAAGGGGUUGUUUGUUUUCUUUUCCUUUUCAUUCAUAUUUUUUUUUGUGAGAAGAAAAGAAAACAAAAAUAUUGACUGAUUGAUUUCAUACCCCUUACUCAUAUUUUUCUUUCCCAUUUUUCAUUUCUAAACACUUACCUUUUCAAUUUCUUCAUUUUCUUGGAAUUUUGUUGAAGUGAAGGCCAAAGGUCACACCUUUAAAGGCAUUUUGGGAUAUAUAUUACAUAAUGAGGUGCAUUAUGGGUGUUUUAAAGGAUAAUAUAUCAAUGGUUUUUGUGGGGUUGUGAAUUUGAAGGGAAAAGUUGGAGUCUUGAUAGGUCUCCAUUGUGUUUCUUGAGAAAUGGUAUGGCAUUCUUGAAUUUUUUUUGAAGAAUUUCUAUAGUUUGCAUGUUGGGUUUUGCUUAAAGUUUUGAGCUUUCUCUUGAAAUAGUUGACAGUUGUGGUUGGAUUGUAUGAGUAUUGUUUUCUCUUGAAGGAGUAUAGAAAGGUGGUAAAAGCUAAACUAUGUGUUGUUCUUGUGAAGGGUUAUUAUUGCUUCUUGAUAACAUAAUGGUGAGGUAUAAUUCAGUGCAUAUAUGUGUUCUAACAACUGGUGGCGAACGUAAGAUUCUUUUAUUAAGGGGUUCAAACUAUGAAGAGUAAACACACGAGGAACCCAAAGAGGUUCAACAUCAUAUACAUAAAAUAUAAUUUUGUUUAUAUAUAAACAAUGUGAUUUUUCACCGAAGGGUUUUUGAAGAACCCCUUGGCUUUACCUAGCUCUGUCUGGGCUAACAACUUAAGCUUUUAGACGAGAUGAGUACAUAAUUCGACAUGGUUCAAUACUCGUCUCCACCGAGUAUCAAGAAGAAUUUCCACGUGUUAGGCUCUUGAACAACUUAGGUUUAUUCGUUUGGAUACAAUAGCCAUAUAGUUUGUAGCUAUUAUCUAGUUUCAUACAUUUUCAUGAGAGGGAAAUAUAACAUAUUUUUCAGCAGGUUAAUAUUUAUUAUAAGAGAGUGGUAGUUUUAUAGCUGUCCACAUGAAGGUGCAAAUGUAUUUUAACUUGGCCGUGUCCAUCUUGUUGAUUGACUAAUGAGUGCAUAAGCAACCAAACUUUCAUCACUCAGAGAAGAGUUUUUUCACUUUCUACUGUCGAGUGCUGCGUAUGCACCUUCAAGUUGGAGAUUUUUGAAAGAUUAAAGCAGCUGUCCCUGAAGUUUCUAUUUUGAAACAAUACGGAAGUACACGUAUGUGUUUUGGCUUUACUCACUGCGAAGUAUUUUUUUCUCCAGGCCUAAUAAAUAACUUUGUAAAAAAUAUUCCGUUAGACCGACCUUAGUAGACGCUUCAUCUUUCAGCUUUUAAAUCAUUAUGUUACUGAGAGUCAAAUUGGCUUAUGCAAGAGUAAAAUAUGUAGACAAAUUCACAUUCCAUGUGUAGUAUACAUGAUGUCUCUUAUCUUCUUUUUUUCCUGAUUCUAUGUCAUGUUCUUUUGUUCUUUUUGCUUAUGAAAUCUUCUCUCUAGUAUAUACAGCAUACUUUCAACGUGCAUCGUUCUUUAUAAUGCACAAAUGAUUUUGAUGCUCUGACUGAGACUUCCACAAUUUUAAAUGUUGUACAGAGUGUUUCUGCCAGUGUUGUGGUUGGAUCUCAUGUAUGGGUUGAGGAUCCAGAGGUAGCUUGGCUAGAUGGGGUCGUUGUUGAAAUCAAUGGGGAAGAGAUCACUGUGGACUGCAACUCAGAGAAGACGGUAAGUUUUACACUAGUAUACGCCUUAAUUGGCUUACUAUUAUUUAUCAUUCAGUGUACCUUUUCAUUGGCUUUUAAGCUUUAAUAUUCUGUUGUAUCUGUAUUGUAUUUAAUCAACAUGGAUGGUGCCCGUGGAGAAUAAUUAAAUGAUAAUGUGAUUCUGUUUAUUUGUUUCCCGCUACAAAAACUACUAAUGUAGUCAAUUUUUUUUAUCUCAGAAGAAAAAUUCUUGCCACAAUAGGCAAUAUUAUUAACAAGAUUAGAUGUGGUUAUACUGAGUGAAGGUCUGUUCACUAUGUUGUUUGUAUAGAGAUUUUUGGGAAAGCCUUUAUGAGUUAAAAUGGUGUCCAUUUUUAGUGUUUGCAGCAUGCUUGCUACCAAACUCUGGAUUACAUCUUUCUUUUUUCUGGUAUCUGAAUGUGUUUGAAAAAUCUCCCUGAAUUUCCUUUGUAGGUUACGGCCAAUCUAUCCAAUGUGUACGCAAGAGAUACCGACGCGCCUUCUUGUGGCGUGGAUGAUAUGACAAAACUUUCUUAUCUGCAUGAACCAGGAGUAUUGCAGAAUUUGCGAAGUCGAUAUGACAUGAAUGAAAUAUAUGUAAGAACUUUAAGGACGAUUCUUAUGCAUUUUUCUAAUCAACUGUAUUUCUUUUUUUAUCUUGAUAAUAAUAAAAUUCUAGUAUUAAUGUAUUUUGCUUCAUGCUAGUUAUGCGGGGAACUGUAGAGUAGCGACUGUUUAAGCUGUGAAUAAUAAUGAAAGGGUUGAUGCCAGAAAAUAAUGCAGAGAGUGUUAUAUAAUGACUGUUUACUUAAAGGGAACUUUUGUAUUAAUAUAUUUUUUCUCUGUAUGUUAAUACACAUUCUUGUUCUACAUUAGAAGGGCUGUUUGGUUCACAUGCUAGUUAUGUGAGGAUUAUAACGCAGAGAUUGUUUAUUCAUGGAAUAAUAAUGAAGGAAUUUUGUGCGAUGAAUAAUAAUGUUGCAGUUGUAUGCGGUGAAUUAUAAUACAUGACAUAUUAUCUAGGGACUACUUACUUUAAGAAUUUUUGUUUCAAGUACUUUUAUGGACAUGUUGCUAUUUACGUGUUCUUAUUCCUCUUUCAGUCUAGCAUAAAAUAAUACAUAAGUUCCAUAUAAACUCAGUGCAGAUAUUUUUUAAUACUGUCAAGAAAAUGUUAUGCUAGUUAUGUCAGGGAUAAUAUAACAAUCAAAUGCUAAUUAAUUAUGCAUAGACUAUUUUCUAAUUCCUCUGGCUUACACUCUAUUUAUUUUAUGCAAGAUUUUUUGUUGGGAUGAUUUUUGCUAAUCCUUUCAACCAAACAAUUCCUCAAGUUUUUUUUUUUUUGUAAUAUUUUGAAUAAACUGGUUAAGAAAGCUAAGAUAUGAUUGGAUGCGUUCAGACUUACACUGGGAGUAUCUUGAUUGCCGUGAAUCCCUUCAAGCGGUUACCCCAUCUAUAUGCUAAAAGUGUGAUGGAACAGUACAAAGGAAUUGCACUUGGGGAUCUGCCCCCUCAUCCUUUUGCUAUUGCUGAUUCUGCCUACAGGCAAGAUUCAUGUUUUUCGAGUGGCUUUCAAAUAUCAAAUUACUAUAUAAUCUUUAACAUUGUUCUUUUUGAAUGCAGGCAGAUGAUUCAUGAGGGGAUAAGCCAGUCAAUUUUGGUAAGUGGAGAGAGUGGAGCGGGCAAGACAGAAAGCACAAAAAUGCUUAUGCAAUAUCUUGCGUAUAUGGGCGGACGAGCUGCAGCUGAGGGAAGGAGCGUGGAGCAGCAAGUCCUUGAGGUAUGGUUAACUUUUGGUAAAUUUUCGCUGCUCGAUUUUGUUUCAAUUAAUUUUGCUGUUGGAAUUUUGAGAUAGCCACUUUCUUGUCAAGACUGGCUUUAUAAAAUCUGUUCAAAAUAAAUAUGGAUCAAUCAACAAUACCUCAAAACAUUUCUGGAUAUAUGUACAUUUUUAACUUUUGCUUUCUUCAGUCAAAUCCAGUUUUAGAAGCCUUCGGUAAUGCUAAGACAGUCAGAAACAACAACUCAAGGUGAGGAGACCAGAAACUUAGAUGCUUGUUCCUAUUCAUAUUGCACAUUCUGUUUAACUAAUACUUUGGCUUCACCAACAUGUAUUUUGGCAGUCGUUUCGGUAAGUUUGUGGAGCUCCAGUUUGAUAAAAGGGGGAGGAUAUCUGGUGCCGCCAUCAAAACAUAUCUGCUGGAAAGAUCCCGCGUUUGUCAAGUUUCUGAUCCUGAGAGAAAUUAUCACUGUUUCUAUUUGCUUUGUGCUGCGCCACCUCAGGUAAUUUCACUGUGCCUUUAUGUUUGCAAAUGCCUUCUUCUAGUAUUUGGGGUUCACUUUACCUGUAUUAGGAUUUACAUCAUUCUUAUUGCUUGCUCCUCUGGAUACAAUUUGUCUAUUUUCUAAUUAAGCACCAUUAAUAUGUUAACAAAGAGAAAGAAGUUUUUUGUUUUUUUCAUUUAUUUAUUUACUUGUUAUUUUCGUUAUUUUUGAAGAAUUACAAAGUAAGCAACAUGGAUGCAUCCUCUUGCAAUAAUAAAAAGUAAAGUUGUGUACAAUAGACCUAGUGUGGUAUGACCGCAGAAGCCGUAGCAUUAGGUGCUAUGUUCUAUUUUUCAUUUUAAGGACUAUUAAGACCAGAAAAUAUUCUCGUCUGAACAUGUUCCGUAGCAAUAUGUCAGAUCUUAUUAAAUAAAUAGAUGUGACUCCUCUUAAACCAUAUAAGCAUCAAGAUGAGCUAUCACAUAGUUCAACAGGUUAGGAUCAUACAAUGUUGUUCUAAGUUGGAGCUACUUGGUUUCUUUCCUUCUCUUUUCUUGCAGGAUGUUGAAAAAUAUAAAGUAGGGAACCCAAGGACAUUUCAUUAUCUGAACCAAUCAAAUUUUUUUGAACUAGCUGGAGUGGAUGAGUCGGAGGAAUACCUGGCAACGAGGAAAGCCAUGGAUGUUGUAGGGAUAAGUCACGACGAGCAGGUAUUAGCAUCACUGCAUCUUCGAUACAUGGGUUACUUCAUGAAAGUCUCUAGUUUUAAUAUUCAACUGCAGGAUGCUAUUUUUAGAGUAGUGGCUGCAAUUCUUCACUUGGGAAACAUUGAAUUUGCAAAGGGAACAGAAACUGAUGCUUCGGAACCUAAGGAUGAUAAGUCUCGGUUCCAUCUAAAGAUUGCAGCUGAACUAUUCAUGUAAGUGGUUUCUUCUAUUUAUAGUCUCCAGAUACCAUCGCGUUCCUUUUUUUUUUUUCCGAAGGAAAUUUCAUUUUGGUGAAAUUUUGUUUAGGUGUGAUGAGAAGUCCCUUGAGGACUCCAUGUGCAAACGUGUCAUGGUCACUCGUGAUGAGACCAUUACAAAGUCCCUUGAUCCAGAAGCUGCAGCUCUCAGUAGAGAUGCUCUAGCCAAGAUAGUUUACUCAAGACUGUUUGAUUGGUUAGUUGAGUUCAGGGUGAUUAAGUUGUAUUGCUUGUUUAGUUGUACCAAAGAUAUUUGACCCAAGAUAAAUAUUGUAUUAUUGUUCAGGAUAGUGAACAAGAUCAAUAACUCUAUUGGCCAAGAUCCCGAAUCAACUCUCUCAAUUGGUGUUCUAGAUAUCUAUGGAUUUGAGAGUUUCAAGACAAACAGGUGCUUAACCGGUAUGCUUUUGUUUUCAUCAUUCACAGAGGUUAAGUUCUUGCAGAGUGCUGGAUGAAAGUUCUGUUCUUCCAUUUUGGAUUUUUGGAAUUGAAUGUUCAUUUUCCUCUCUGAUCCAACUUAACCAUAAUUUUUUUCUCUAUCAACAUCUUCCUCUUUUACCAGAUUUAUCUUGGAUACGAUUUAUUGUGCCUGCUAUAUUUAUUGCUGCCUAUACACACAUUCUGAUUCUUAAAGCACUUUAGGUGUUGAGUUCACAUUUAGAUGAAUAGCCUUAAUAACUACUCGUGCUAGUUUAUUCAAUUUGCUUUUUGGUGCUCUUUCUUUGGUUAUGAUUAUUGAUUUCUUCUAUGCAGUUUUGAGCAAUUUUGCAUUAAUUUGACCAACGAAAAACUGCAGCAACAUUUCAACCAGGUUUGUGUAGUCAUUAAUUUGAUAGUCUCUCAUAGCUGAGAAAUGUUAAUAUAAAUACUAAAACCUUUUAUUGUUCCCUUUGCCAGCAUGUUUUCAAGAUGGAGCAAGAAGAGUAUACCAAGGAGGAAAUUGACUGGAGUUACAUAGAGUUCAUUGAUAACCAAGAUAUUCUUGAUCUUAUAGAAAAGGUGAUGUAGAACAUGAAUAUAAUUUAUCACCAUCUUUGACUUUUCUCGGAAAAUGUACAGAGUAAGAUUUAUUGGCAGAAAAUGGGAUAAGAGCAUAUACAAGUGUAUACACAUAAAGAGUUCUAUACAAAGUAGAUCUGUCUACCAAUUAUAUUUAAUCAUCAAUGCAUGUCAAAUUGUCUUAUGCUGGUUACAUUACUAUUUGAUUCACUUCUUUCCUCCACAGUUAUUCUGGUAAAAAAGGAAAACAGUAUAUGUGCUUUUAUCAUCAUUUUUCUGUGAUGUCAUAGAUUUUAAAUUUUAUUGAUAUGUUUUGGUUGCACUUGAGCCAAGGGUCUUUUGGAAACAGCCUCUCUACCUCCACGAGGUAGAGGUAAGGUCUGUGUACCCUCCCCAGACCCCACAUAGUGGGAUUUCACUGGAUAUGUUGUUGUUGAUGUAUUGAUAUGUUUUGGUUCCAUUUUGCCAUGCUUAUGUUCUGAAUACUUUGGUUCUUUCAGAAACCUGGGGGGAUAAUUGCUCUUCUUGAUGAGGCUUGGUAUGCAGGCACUUCAAUUCUUUAAUUUACUCUAAUUUUUCUUUCUCUUGGUAUAAUUGUCAAAAUUAAUCACAAAACUCAUUGGCUGUGGUGUUUACUACUUAUGUGGCUCUUCUGCCAGUAUGUUCCCAAGAUCAACACAUGAGACCUUCGCUGAAAAGCUAUAUCAGACAUUUAAAGAUCAUAAGCGGUUCAGCAAGCCAAAGUUGUCUCGGACGGAUUUUACUGUUUGCCACUACGCUGGUGAUGUAAGUAUAAAAACUAGUUCAUCAAGAUAUAUUUAACAUCACAGAAUGAGGGUUAUGCAAUUAUUGCCUAGAAUAGCAAGUGUCGCUCAAAGCUGUUUUGACUUCUUUCAUGUCAGGUCAAGUACCAAACUGAGUUCUUUUUGGAUAAGAACAAGGAUUAUGUAGUUCCAGAGCACCAAGCAACACUUAUUGCUUCAAAGUGCCCCUUUGUUUCUGGCUUGUUUCCACCUUUACCUGAAGAUUCUUCUAAACAAACCAAGUUUUCCUCUAUUGGUGCUCGAUUUAAAGUAUGUUUUCCUCUAGCCUUUGAUCAACCUUUUUACAUUAUUGCUUCAUGCCUCUGAAAUAUCUUACCCUGUACCUGAUGUAGCAACAAUUGCAAUCAUUGCUUGAGACUCUUAAUGCCACAGAGCCUCAUUAUGUUCGUUGCGUGAAGCCAAAUAAUCUUUUGAAGCCAGAAAUUUUUGAGAAUCAAAAUGUACUCCAGCAGCUUCGUUGUGGGGUACUCUUGAACAACUCUGUCUAUUACAAAUUAUACUGUCUCUGCAAAACUGGGUGCUUCACAAUUAAAUCUUUUCUAGGGAGUUCUGGAGGCUAUUCGUAUCAGUUGUGCUGGAUUUCCUACUCGAAAACCAUUUGAUGAAUUCUUAAGUCGGUUUAAGGUCCUUGCUCCUGAAGUUUUAAAUGGAAGGUAUUAUUUGCAUUAGAAUUUAGCACAAUUCAAAGAGUUCUCAAGGUUUCUAUCCAUUUCUUUCUUUGGUCUGUUAACAUUUAGAAAUUUUCUGCUCUCAUGUUAAGUCUUCUCCUUGAUAGAAUUGACGAGGUUGCUGCUUGCGAAAGACUUUUAGAGAAAUCUGGCCUCAAAGGUUAUCAGGUACUGAUUGUCAUUCUUCUGGUAAUGGUUAAUCAUAAGUAGAAAAAUCAUUAAGAAUUAUCUAUUAAAGAGAGAUUAUGUUUAUGUGCUGAAUACUUCAGCCAGAAAUCAAGAAACAAUCAGUAAAAUAUCUCCCUAUUCUUCUUUCCUUUAGGCAAGAAAUUACAAAUAAAUUACCUACCUAAACUAAUAUAGAAUCUCUCUAAUGUAGAAACAAAAUAAAAUCCGGCUUCCUAGUCUAAGAACAGUUUCUUAGCCCAUUCAGGAUCUUUGAGAUCCAUCCCCAGAAUUAGGACAACUCGAAAUCGUGCUUAUUCCUUCUGCUCUGAAAGUUCAGUGCCUUUUUUCUUUUUAAUUGGAGUAUUUGGUCAUUUAGUUGCUGCGAUUUAGUUGAGAAUCUUGUGGGAAACCUGUAAUCAAGGUUUCCUACUCUCUUGUUACAUCAGAUUUUUGUUUGUAUUACAUAACUCAAUUUUGGUAUCAUCUGUUGGUAUGAUUCUGACUUCUGUUUAAGUUUAUAAAAAUUUUACUUGUGACGAUCAUUCUAUCUAUUAUUACGUAAUUGUAGGUUGGAAAAACAAAAGUGUUUCUUAGAGCUGGUCAAAUGCCAGAAUUAGACACUCGCCGAAAUGAGGUCCUUGGCAAGUCAGCUAUCAUAAUCCAGGGAAAAGUUCGCUCAUACUACGCUCGAAAAAAGUUUUUGUUGUUACGAGCUUCAGCAAUCCAAGUCCAAGCUGUUUGUAGGGGUAUGAACCUGCUUGAUUUCUAUAUUAGUUAUACGACCACAUGCCAACAAAAAGCUAGAUUGGCAGUGAGUACAUCCUGGGUCCUGCGCACACCGUCUGUGACACUGGGAUUUGUUUUCCUUUAAAUUCAAUAAUGCCUCUAAUGGUUCGCUUAUGCAAUAAAAAAAUGUAAUAACUGUUUCAUGAUGCCUAUGCAGGCCAGACCGAACGGGCUCUCUAUGAGUGCAUGAGGAGGGAAGCUGCCUGUCUGAGGAUCCAAAAAGAUGCACGCAAGUACAUUGCAAGGAGAUCUUAUGGAUUUCUGUGUGUUUCAGCUGUUUCCAUUCAAGCAGGACUGCGGGGCAUGGCUUCUCGAAAUGAGCUUCAAUUCAGAAAGCGAAAAAAAGCAGCUGUCUUUAUCCAGGUAAUAGAGGGACUUUGUACUGUCUUUUCUGAAUUUUUACAUACCAUUUCAGAGCCAGAUUUUUAUCCUGAUCUGGUUCAGCAUUAUGAUAAUUAGAAUUCAAGUAACGAAUCCAUUUUACAUGUUUUGACUGACACUUAGCUUUGCUGUAAUUUUUCUUACCUUGAUUAUAGAGUGAUUGGCGGAGAUGUGUGAAACGUCGGCAUUAUAGGAGGAUGAAGAAAGCAGCAGUUGUGUUACAAUGUUCCUGGAGAGCUAAAUUGGCCCGUAAAGAACUGCGGAAGCUAAGGAUGGUGAGAACUUCUCUUUCUGUUGGCCUUUAUUGUUCACAAUUUUUUUUGUAUGACAUGCUAGUUUGUUAUGCCCCUUGAUCUGUGUAACUUGUAUUUAUCAUUCAUUCUCCAAGUAUGAAGUUAUGACAGAAUAACAACUAGUUCUGAAUCAUUCAACGCGAAGCAUGAAUAUGUCAAAGUUAAAUAAUUGAAUAUCCAUGUCUUGUACUUGAAUUGCUGAAUGCAGGUCGCCAAUUUAUAUAUUCAACUGUUAUCUUGCAAGAAAACUCUCUUCAGUCAUUUUCCUCCUUUAAAUUGAUUUAAGAUUCUUUGAUGAAAUUCACAGGAUAGUACAUGAGAUUUCCCCAUGUUGAACUUGCAAAUCUAUAUCUGCCAUUGUUGGAUUCGUGUUUCACGGGGUGGAGUUCAAAACCUUGAUAAGUGCAUUAAAUGUCUUGAUUUUCUUUUCUGAUUCAGGCAGCUAAAGAAACUGGAGCUCUCCAAGAUGCCAAAAGCAAGCUGGAAAAGGAAGUUGAAGAGCUGACACAGAGACUACAGGUGGAGAAGCGCAUGAGGGUAAAUAAAUUUCUUUUAAUUUUCAAGAUAACUACCAGUAUUAUAAUUGAUAAUUAGGUUCUAAAAGUUUCAUUAUCUAUAAUGUCGUCCCUUCCACUCAGUUUGACGAAAAUGAGUUCAUCUUAUAUUUGUUCAGGCCCGUCUUUUCUGCACAUCACCGUGAGUUACAGGUCCUACACUUGAUAAUUGAGACAUAUAUCCAAUAGUAUUCCUAAACUUAAGGAAUUGAAAAUAGAUUCGAUUUACUGCAGCUUUAAUCACUUAGGCCUAUCAAAGGCAAAAACACUCCAGAAACUACUGAGGAACUAAUGGUUCACUCCCAGAUUCUCACUCAGAAAUCAAUACUCCUUGAAAUGAUGUACCUGAAGGAUCACUUUUUUGAAAAGAAGAAAGCUCGUAGCAUUUAAGAAUGUACAGAAUAUCUAAUGCAAGUUAAGAACCUGGAUGGGAUAUGCAUUUCUACAUGUAUAUAUCAAUUAACUUUGUUGAAUGAUUCUCAUGCAAACCAUUUUUUGAAGAGAAUGUCCAAUUUAGAAAUGCCUAGACAAUGGUGAAGUACUUUUAUUCUUUGAAUGAAUUAAUUUCACAAUGCAAUAAAGAAACAUGGAAAUGAUAAAGAGAUGCUAGUUUAUUAUGAGGAGAACUUGUUGACAGUUAGCGGAAAACUAGUAUUAUCCUAUAGUAGGCGUUGCUAGUUGAAAUGGUGUAAGUUGCUUAGUGUUUAAUCAUGAUAUGCAGGCUUCUGUUUGCGACCUAAUGUUGAACUAUGAUGCAUGAUAUUUCCAACAUGAUGAGCUACAAUGUUUAAGCACAAUGCUAGACUUUUCAUUGUGCAUCUUUUCCAGUACCCCAUUAUAUAUAUGGCAUAAUUCUGUUCUCCUCUAUAGCUAACAAUGAUCUAUAAACUUUUUCCGAAAAUGCUUCGGUUAUUAUUUUUUAUAUGUUUAGGACUCUGAAAUUCUGCAAACAUUUGUUUGUUGAAACAAAAAAAGUGAACUGGUGAUCGCCUAUCUUAGUGCUCAACUUCUGAAUCAAAAGAAAGCAUAUACUUGUUUCUGCUUAUGAUGCAUACAUGAUUGAAUUGUUGAUGAAAAUUAAUUUCACUAUGAAGUUGUUAUUGUUGGACUUUGGAGUUGGACCAAGGUAAAACAAGAUUUGGAAAAAUUAACAGAAAAUGUAAUGUGAUUCUAUUUCAUAGUAGCAACUUCUUUCUGUACCACUAACUGACAAAAAACUAUAUUAUAUAGGACAAACUUGAGGAAGCUAAAAUCCAGGAAACAAUGAAAUUACAGUCUGCAUUGGAAGAGAUGAGGCUUCAGCUUCAAGAAACUAAAGAGCUGCUCAAGAAGGAACGUGAAGCUGGCACAAAGGUCGUGGAUCAAGGGUCCGUUAUACAAGAGGCCAAGGUUAUAGAUCAGGGGGUGGUCACAGAGGAACGUGCGGCUUCCACAAAGAUCGUGGAACAGGGAUCAGUUGUAAAAGAGGUCCAGGUUAUAGAUCAGGUGCAGGUCAACAAGCUUACAGCUGAAACUGAGAAGCUUAAGGUUAGAAUGUGAGGUUUAACUUUGUUGUAUUACUUAAUGGAUAUUGGAUACUUUAUUUGAAGUUCAAAAAGUAUAUGAAGUAAUCCUGACAGGGAAAGUUUUUCUAUUGUUUCAAAUUUGUUCUUUUAUCCUCUGUUUUCUCACUCAAGAUUAUAUCCAUUACAGCUUCUGAUGCAUAAUUUUCAUAGUUCAGUUGUCGAACUGGCUUUUAAUAUCUUGUCAAAUUCGUCGCAGGUUCUUGUUAACUCAUUGGAAAAGGAAAUUGACGAAAAAGAGAAAAAAUAUGAGGAGACAGUCAGAGUAAGUAGUGAGCGACUGAAGCAAGUUCUGGAGGCCGAGUCUAAGAUAAAUCAGUUGAAGGAUGCCAUGCAAAGGUAAUGAAAUUUUACUUAUGUCAGUUUCUUUGUUUGAAACAGUCUUCCCUUACUUGUUCUACCUUUAUAUGGUUUAGUAUUAAUCUGGGAUUAUCAAUCAUAGUUUCUCUAAAGCAGAAUGUCAAUUAUGACAUCGUCCUUCGUUCCGCAUAGUUGAAUGGUCCAACAAUAACAACUACGCCUCAGUGCCAAAUAAGUUGGGGAGUUGAAUGGUCUAAGUUUAAUAUUUUUAAUUCAUGAUAUACCUACUAAAAAUUAACUGCAUAAACCUCCUAGCAGAUUCAUGGUUCAAUUGUUUCAAUCCACCUUAGCUUCCUCCAAAUUGAAUCUAAUAUGUAGUUGACCCAAAAUUGCAUUUUGAUCUCCGCUGAAUCCAGAUCCUCUCAUAACUUUUGCAAUUGUUGGUAUUUUGUUGUCAAUACAGUUCUAAGUUAGUUUGAAUUUCGCACCAAUUUAGAUCCUUAUUUUCCCAUCUUUUUCAUUUGAUACUGAUUGAGAGAACCACAGUUCGAAAGAGCUGCUAAUGAAGGAUCCUGAGGCUGCCACAAAGUUGUUGGAAGAAGUAGAGUUCCAGGUUGCAGAUCAGGACGUAUCGGGCAAGAUUAGCGCUGAAAAUGAGCAGCUCAAGGUGAAGAUGUUAGAUUUACAUUGUGAUGUACUACUUAAUAGAUGCUCUUCUUGAAUUUCAAUAAUUACCAGAAAUUGUGGUCGGGACCAGUUUUCUUGCUGCUUCUAAUUUUCUUAUCUUGUUUACUUUUUUCUUUCAUAGGAUUAUAAAUCCAGGAUUGCAGUCUCGAUGUGUGAUUAUCAUAAUUCAGUAAUUGAACUAGCUUUUAACAUGCUUAUUAUAUAUGUUGCAGGUUCUUGUUAGUUCAUUGGAAAAGAAAAUUGAUGAAACAGAGAAAAAAUAUGAGGAAACAAGCAAAAUAAGUGAGGAGCGAUUGAAGCAAGCUCUGGAUGCAGAGGCUAAGAUAAUUGAGUUGAAGCUUAAUAUGCAAAGGUUGAAAAGUUUUUCAUAUAUGGCUUGGUUUCUUCAACAGCUCUGGCCUCUUAUCUUAUUUGUUCUUUUCAAAAUAUGGUUUUGUAUGUCAUUUAAAUAUGGUAGCUGUUAGUCUUAAGCUGGAACUGAAUCAGUAUUUUAUCGUCGUACCCAUACCUAUGUCACAACAUGUGGAUCAAGCUUGAAAAAUGCUUGUUAUAUCAAUCAGCUGUUAAGUUCAAAUUGGUAACUACAGACAUUAACGAAGAACCAAAUCAUAGAUUGCCUAUGAUUUGCAUUGAAUAUGACAGCUGGUUUACUUGGGGUUCAUGAAUAUCAAUAGCCAGUGUUCUUGAGAGGUUUUUUAGCUUUUGUAAAGAUUUGAACUUUUUGGGUAAAAAUUCAAAUUGUAGUUUAACCUAGUCAAAUCUGUUCGACUAAAGCAGAUGACGGAUCCAUGUAUAUUGCUUCUGUGUGUUCUCCAAUAUUUCUUUUAUAGCUUCUCUUCUUCUUAGAGCAAAAUUUCAACAUAAUCCAUCAUAUUUGUACAAGUUAAAUUACAGGAUUCUUUAUCAUGUGAAAUAAGUUAGUUUGAAUAUCUUUUUUAACUUAACAUUUGUAUCUCAGGCUUGAAGAGAAACUUUCGGAUAUAGAAGACCAGCAGAUUCUUCGACAGCAAGCGUUAAAUUUACCAACUGGAAGAACUUCAAGUCGUUUUGCAGUAAAAACUCUGCCUCUGAUGCCAUAGAAAUGCCAAUCUUUUUUUCAUAGCUUUCUUGUGCGUUUCCUCACUUUUUUAAAACUUUUUUCUGUUUUCCUCCUGCAGACUUCUGAAAACGGUCAUCAUGUAAGUGAAGGAUUCACCUAUUUAGUGCUUUGUUAUAUACUUCCUCUUUCCCAAUGUAUGAUACUCUUGUCAUUUUAGUACAUCCCAAAACGUUCGACACCAUUCCAUUUCUGAACAACUUUCACUACUUUUAAGAAUUCAAAUUCAUUUAAGUGUUCAAGUUUUAAAUAUUGAGAUGAUGUUUUCUCUAUCAAACUAACAUUUUAAAUAAUACUCUAAUGUUUUCUUACACUAUCACUAGUAUAACAUAUAAGUUAAAUUAACAUCUUAAAUACUGUGUGCACUCGAAUAGUCAUAUAAACUGGGAUGAAGGGAGUAACAGUCAUGUUGGUGCUUUGCAUAAUGUCUGUUCUGACAUGAUGACCGUUUUCAGGAACCACUGGCUGCAGUACCAUCAAGAAGGUUUGGUACAGAUUCAAUGAGGAGAUCCAAUGCGGGAGCAACAAAAUGGUUUGGUACAGAGUCUAUGAGGAGAUCCAUGGCUGAUAGGCAGCGGGUAUGUACCCAGGAAGUGAUUAAAUAUUUUUCAAUCAGAUUUCUUUUUCUGUUUGCCAUCUUUCUCCGAUUUCGCACUUUUUGGGAAUAUAUGGAACAAGAUAUCUUAAAAUUGGAGUUCCUAAAACAUGCUAUACAAACAUUUAUUUUAAAAGGCUUGUGGUUUGAACUCUAUUGUAUGAGUGAGAUUCACAGAUACCGAGUUGAUGGCUUAGUCAAAAUCUUUCCCGAAAGAAAACCAGGAUUAAACAUUAUCUUUGAUUUAAUGAGAAGUGGGGAAAAGAUAAGGCUGAUUGAAUUUCUUUUCUCUGAUGUCGCUAAGAGGUUGAUACAGCUGAACUUUUUCCUUUUCUGGUGGGGGAUGGGCGUUCAAACCCUUCCAAUUUUAUAUUUCUUCUUCCUUAUCUUCACCCUCAUUCCUGUAUUAUACCUUGUACUUCCUUGUUCACUGUCUAUAAUGAACAAAUAAAGAGUGCUGAUACACUCCAAACUUCUCUUGAUGCAUCUUGAAAACUACCUUCCUUAGCUUUUUCUUUCUCAGAAGUUAUGUUAUACCUAUAAAAAAGAGAAAAUCUACUGCAGAAGAUAGUAUCGGAAGGACAUAGCUGCAUAUGUUUAUCGAUGGAGUUCCCUUUUAAUCCUAAACCCUGGGCAGAAUGCUUUUUAAUUUUUUUUUUGAUACCGAGAAAUCCAACUGUAGCCAACCUUUAGGACUAGCCGCUACCUUGGAAACUCAGGGAUAAUAGGACUUCCCCUCUACCCUUAUCAACUUGAGUAUUAGGCUUAGUUAUCUUGGCGUCAGGCUUGAACUUGUGACCCAUGCCUCAAAUUGCUGUACCUUUUCCAAGUGAGCUAAUCCUUGGGGACUGAAUCAAAUGAUUUUAUGUGUGUAUGCAAUGCUUAAAGAUGUAGACAUGCAUAUACUGUUCUGCAUGAGUACAAAAACAUUGAGUUGUUUUUCUAAUUUCGUGUUACUAGUUUUUGAGAAGUUUUAUUCACAGCGGCAUAAUACAUCAGCACAGUAAAUAUUCCUCCACUUUAUUGUUGUAUGAAUGUGGUGAUCCCGUGGCUACUAAUUCUAAUAUCUUCUUUAACAUUAUGUUGCAGGAGAGUGUGGAUAUUCUUAUCAAAUGUGUCAGUCAAGAUCUAGGGUUCAGUGAAGGGAAACCAGUGGCAGCAUUUACCAUAUACAAAUGCCUACUUAAUUGGAAUUCCUUUGAAGCAGAAAAAACUAACGUGUUCGAUCGUCUUAUUCAGAUGAUUGGUUCUGCGAUAGAGGUAACUUUCAAUAUCAUGUCGAAAUCAGCGAUCAUGUUGUAUUGUUCGUAGGAGUUCAUGAGUCAUAACAUAAGUGUAAUACACAUACUAGCCUGUAUUAUACUGCUAUGUCAAAAAUGCUGUCUCUCUAACUCAAUGACAAACAUAUAUACUCAUUUUAUAUCAAUUUCAGGAUGAGACAAACAAUAAUCACAUGGCGUAUUGGCUGUCCAACAGUGCAACUUUGUUGUUUUUACUUCAGCAUACACUGAAAACUACUGAUUCAGCUCCAAGUAGACCGCCCCAACCAACAUCAUUUUUUGGUAGAAUGGCACAGGUACUUGAUUCUUUCUUUCAUCUCUAUUAUUAAAUGUGCUCCUAAAGCUAUUGAAUUGAAGUUUCUGUUGGCUAUACAUUUUGCAGUAUUACUUUGUGUAUUUGAAAGCACUUCUAUAGAAAGUUUCUGCAGCUAUUAUUUGAGUUCCCUGUUACUUAACAAAAUUGAACAUGUCUCUGAUGCUACUAUUGAUGUUGAAGAUCUGAGGUGGAAAAUAGAAAACAGAGAGAAAUAACUGUAUUGAUAUGUGUCAUAAACUGUUUCAUAAGUAGAAGAAAACUAGGAACACAAUAUACAAAAUACGGUGGUGCAUUUAUUGGACUGCUAUGUAUUAAGUUGGAACCAGUCCUUGACGACCGAACACGUCCAUCAAACUCAUAAUGGUGAACUCACUUGAGGUUGAAAAGUAAUAGUGUAAGAUCCUUGUCUGUCUAGUGUGUGAUGGAAGGCUGAAGCAUGCUCUUAGUAGUUGUUAAAGAUAGAUUGCGGAACAAGCAGAGAUUGGAACAUAGUUCCUUUAUGUAUAUUUUGGAUGAUUCGAAUUGAAAUCAAAUAUCAAUGUUUUGUGGGAACAAAGCAUACUUCAUAAUUGAAGUUUAGAUAUCUUCAAAAUAAAAAAGAAACUGAUGGAAAGGAAGAGGAGGAAGUGAAGCUGGAGCAGAUGGAAACUACAAUAACAACAUACCCAGUGUAAUCCCACAAGUGGGGUCUGGGGAGAGUAGGAUGUACUCGGACCUUACCCCUACCUUUUUGAGGUAGAGAGGUUGUUUCCGAUUGACCCUCGGCGUAGAAGAAUUGCAAGAAUAAUAUAACAACAAAAUAGCAACACCAAAGCAAAAAGAGAUUCACAUAAUAUUAAAGAAGCAUAUAAAUCAAAUAAGAUGACAGACUGAACAUAUGGCUAACAGAUCGAGAUACAAAUCAGUCGAAAUCAUUCACCAUACAAGAAAGAUAAACGAUGGAGUAGUGUCCCAAGACCUUUAUAUAAAUCCCCUUGGAAGUCCUUACAUAACCUAUGCGAGACAACAAACAAAUCAACAUCCUUUUGCACAUUUAACCCAAUACUUGGAGUUCAGUGAUCUGUAUUACUGACUUACCAAUGGCAAAUAGGUUUGUCAAAGGUUGACUCUGAUAGCAUGUCAAAGAAGAUGAGCUUCCAACCUAAUACAUCAAGGCCAUGAGUGGAGUAGUCCAAGACCCUUAUAAACCUUUGAGAGCCCUUACAGAACCGAUGUCAGACAAUCAGAAGAUUUCAGAAGGCAGAGUCGGUAGAAGUUAGGAGGGAUAAUUUUCUAUAGUUCAUGAACUAAUUGUAUAUAUAUUCUGUGCGCUGAUCUGAAAAUGGUACCAUGCUUAAUAUCUGUGAUGAAGAGGAAGUGAAUUAGAUGUAACACCGCACCAGUAGGCGGAAAUAAUUUUCAAAUUCUCAUACAGAUUGAAUUGGAUCAUAUAGAGUGAUGAAGAUCUGAAUGACGGGGAAGGAAUAAGGAGAACUAGCCAUAUUGAUUCUAACUUUAUUAAUAUGAUAUACAAUAUUCACUUAUAUAUAGGUGUGAUGCACUAUGUAAGAUACAAUCCUGCAUUUAUUUCACCAUUGAUUUACUUUUUAGGUGACCUCCUGUGUCCUAACUUUCUAGUAGUUUUUCUACUCUUAUCCUGCGAAUUUCCAAGAUAGACCAUGUAACUGUUACUUGUUUACAGCUGCAUUGGUUGGACAUUAGUAAAUCUCUCUCUGUAUAAAACAUACUAGUAGCCUAGAAUGAGGUAUAUGCAGGUUAUUUAAAACAGAAUUCCAACACAUUUCUUCAGAAAAUUUAUUGAUUAAAUGAUUGUACUUCUUUUCUAGAGUUUCCGGUCUUCAUCUGUCAACCUUGCAAUUGGUGGUCUCGACACUGUACGUCAGGUUGAGGCAAAGCAGCCAGCUUUACUUUUUAAGCUACAGCUCAGUGCUUAUGUCGAAAAGAUUUAUGGAAUUGUUCGAGAUAACUGGAAAAGAGACCUGUCUUCACUGCUGACUUCAUGUAUCCAGGUAAAUCACCAUGUUUUCUAGAAGUUCUAUGAGGAUGUUUUAUAUAUAUGUGUAUGUUCUGUACAUAUAUGUAUGUAUUCUGAACAAUAUGAAUAAUAUCAUUUGAUGCUUGUUAAUAAAAGAAUAUCUCUCAAGUAAGUCCUCUUCUCAAAUGGCACUUCUCCCUAGCUCACAAGGACUAACUGCACCAUAUUCACUGUUGCUUUCAUUAGGAUUCUGGUUUAUCUUGAUUUCAUGGCCCUUUCAAAAAAAUUCUGUUGGAUCUCAAAAUUGUGAUAAGCCGUUGUGCUUGUAACUUAAUUGUAUUUUGACUCAAAACUUCUUCGGGUUAUGGUCUUUGUACUUCAUAUAUUCAAACUUCUAAUUAUACUUGCACUUCCCAUCUUAAUUAGGCAUCUCAAGCAUCAAAAGGUGGAUCCUUGCAAUCACCACGGAAGUCCGUUGAUGGUUCUUCUCCACCCACUCCCUGGGAUGGAGUAAUUGAGAGCCUAAAUGGGCUUCUCAGUACACUGAAAGAAAACUGUGUAAGUUUCAUUGUAGGAAACAGUGUGAUGUGCUAAUAUUACUAAAACUGAUGAGUGGACUUGUGAAAUUUUUCAGGUUCAUCCAGUUUUCGUCCAGAGAAUUCUAAACCAGAUAUUCUCUUACAUAAAUGUUCAGCUGUUCAAUAGGUACAUUCUUUUCGUAUCUCAUAGCAGGAAGAUUAGAAAGAAACUCAUAGAUACUCCACUUACCAUUCUAUUUAAUCAUCAUUGCAGCCUUCUCCUUCAAAGAGAGUGUUGUACAUUCAGCAGCGGGGAGUAUGUGAAAGCUGGAUUGCAAGAAAUAGAACUUUGGUGCGGCAAUAUGAAAGAAGAGGUACUGUAUCAUUAGUACUGUAAGGGUACAUUGUUCGUAGAUUAAUAUAUAUGAACUGUAUUUACAUAUAAUUUAUCUUUUCCUUUCGCAGUACGUUGGUUCUUCUUUGGAUGAAUUAAAGCAUGCAAGGCAGGCAGUAGGAUUUUUGGUAUGUUUCUCCAAUGAACCUUUUUUUUUUUUUGGAAAAAUGUCGCUCUGCUUCAUAGCCUAAUAAUGCUCGUCUUACAUUUAAGUAUGAUUUUACGGGAACUCUUUUCUGUUACUUGCAAGUGACACCACAUAUAUGGAUAUUUAACUCCCAUUUUGAGAUUAUCUAUCACCGAACCCCUUCCAUAUAUUUUUCCCUAUCUAAAUAGCUCCUUUACAGGUUAUUAAUCAGAAGUCAAGACUUACAUCUGAAGAUCUAACAACUGAUCUCUGUCCCGUAAGUUCAUCUUCGUAGUCUUCUUAGUUGUACUUAAUUUAGAGAUUCCAAAUAUUGAUAAUACAUGGCGGUUCCAGGCUGCCACUUCUGGAAGUCGUGUUCCUUUGUUAGUUAUUUGAGUGCUAAAACAAAGAAUCCUAUUGGAGAAUUUUAUGAAGUGUAUAUAGAUCGACAGGGACUUAACCGAAUUAUUUAUGGUGUUAAAAUAUUGAAGUUAAUUUUCAUGCUACGAUACGAGUCCUUGACAUUUAUCUUGUCACAUUUGUGCAUCUGUCACUGAAUGUCUUUUUUCUGUUGGGAUCAUCUUUUCAGAUUCUGAGUAGUCAACAGUUGUAUCGGAUAUGUACACUUUACUGGGACGAAGAUUUUAAUACUCAAGGUGUAUCCCCAGAGGUAAGUCCUCCUUUCUUCAUUUAUUUUAUUUCACUCAAUGUCUUCUAUUGAUUAUGUGUAUAAGGAAUGCUCCUUCGAGACGAUCUGUUAGUCGACUAAUGUAUAUCAAUAUAAGAUAUUGGUUUGCAUCCUCCAACUGUUUGUCUUUCUGAUUAUUUUCUUCUUUCGGGGACGCUAAACCUUAGCUUUAACGUUUCCCCCUCUCUCUCUCAAUGGCAAAUUUUAACUGAACUUUUCUGCAUUUGGAUCCUAAACCAUACUGCUCGGAACAGGUCAUUUCCAGUUUUAAGGAUCAAGAAAAAGAAGACGCAAAGAAUGCAGAUAAUGCAAAUGAUGCAGAUAACAACUUUAUAUUGGAUGAUAAUUCCAGGUACUUCAUUAAUCUCAUUUGCUAUCAAAAUCUAUGUUGCUCGGACUCUUCAAAAAUACUGACAGGUGCAUGUUGUAUCCUCCAAAAGUAGUGCAUUUUUUGAGAGUCCGAGCAACAUAAGGUCAAAAUGACAAUAGAUCCUAUUCUAUCAUUCAUCUAUUUGCUACCAAUGCAGCAUUCCAAUCUCUGUUGAGGAGAUUAACAGUUCCCUCAAGGACGUUGAUUUCACCGGUGUAAAACCUGCAAAUGAACUGCUUGAAAAUGCAGCCUUCCAAUUUUUACGCGAAUAAGGCUGAGUUUUCUCCAGCAUGAAAUGCAUGUUUUGUUGGAACGACGUUGUCCAAGUCUCCACGCCAUGAAUACCAACUAUUGUACAUCCAUCAACCUAUUCAUUUUCCUUCCAGACGCGUCUGUUCGUUAUACUGUAACAUCCAAUGCCCCUUGUAAAGUUGCUCAAAAUGUAGUCUUCUUGUAAAAUUGUAGGUCUAGUUUUAGAUAGGAGAAAAGGGGGGAUAAAAGUGAGGAAAUUUUCCAACUUAGAGCUUGUUCCAUUUAGUCUUUUUGUCAUUCAUUUUAGAGUUGUCAUUAGCUAGAUUUUUUGUAACAAGGACUAAUUGGAGUACAAUAUUAUUGUAAAGAGCAAAAAUGGCCAAUUCAGUGUCUCUUUUUUCCCUCUCUUUUCAUUCAAAAUUAUCAUUUCAUACACGAGUCCCAGACUCAACUUGUGAAAUUACACUGAGUAUAUUGUUAUUUUUACACGAGUACGCGAUUUAAGUGGCAAAUUACUAUUACCUCCUUUCCAUUAUAUUAGUUGCAACAUUAGCCAGUGUUGAGAGAUCUCUUGAAAGUCAUCUUUUUUUUGCAUAUGGACACCUAGUAGAGGCUAUAUAGUAAAGAUUCCUAUAUGAAAUUCUUUUUACUCCCCAAAAGAGGGAGACAUGCGACAGAGGCGUAUCAAGGAUUUCGAAAUGAUGAAUGCACUAUUAUGAGAAGGUGGAUUUAAACGAUUUGACAUUUAGGUUCUUAUCAUUGAAAACAAUUGAAAAUAUUAAAUUAUAGGUCCAAAAAUUGAAAUGCUUGAUUAAUUAAAACGCUAAAAGUACUAUCAAUAACCACUUAGAGAGGUUUAUCCAAUUUUAGAAAGGAAAUGAAGAUAGAUAUAAAUUUCAAAGGGAAAAGGGUCUGAUAUACCCCUCAACUUUGUCAUUUGGAGCUGAUACAUCCCUCGUUAUGAAAGUGGCUCAUAUAUGCCCUUACCGUUAUACAAAUGGCUCACAUAUACACCUACCGUUACAAAAUGGCUCACAUAUACCCUUCAUUUGACGAAAGUUAAAUAAUUAGUUUUAAAUUUAUAUUUAUUACUUAUAAUUUUUAAAAAAAAAUUAUUUAGUGGUACAUAUGAUUCUUCUAUAAAAGUUCAAGGUAUAUUUUUUAAUUUUUUUCAUACAUAAAUUAUUUUUUGACUUCUUUUAUUAUAAUUAUUUGAGUUUCUUAUCCUUAUUUUGUUUUUUUCUUUCAUUCCUUAGUUUAAAGAAAAAAAAUUAAACUAUUGUUUUGUGUGUAUUGUAAUUUAAUUUCGUAUUCGGAAAAAAUUUGGUCAUCUACAAUAAGUUUUACAAGAAUAUUAGUGAAACAUAAAUAAAUUUGAUUAUCAAAAUAAUAAUUAUAAAUUAGUCAUUGAAACAAAAAAAAAGUCAAAAAAAAAUAUGUUUGACGAGGAUUUAUUUUACUCAUAUGGAAUUAUAUUUUUUAGAAAAAAAUAAUAAAAAUUUAGAUUGAAAAUUAUUAUUUUUUCAUUUCCGUUAGAGGAAAAGGGUAUGUGUGAGUCAUUUGUUUACAAGUAGGGGUAUAUAUGAGCCACUUUCAUAACAAGUGGUAUAUCAGCUCUAAAUGACAAAGUUGAGAGGUAUAUCAGACCUUUUUCCCAAUUUCAAAUUUCUACCCUCACUAAUAGGUGCACCUAAUCAUAGUUGCAUUAUAUGAUACUCCGAGUGUGGAUUUACACAUCUAAAUACAAAAAAUUAAAAAUAUAACACUAUUAUAUAUGAUUUUGGGAACGCGGUGACCCCCUCCUCAUACACCUCUGUGCCGAUAUAUACAGUUUGCCCAAAUAUGGUUGAGAUAUACAAAAUCUAUACAUUGAUAAUGUAUAUUAUAUGUAUAUGAUACUAAUAUAUACGAAUUAUAUACAUUUUUUCUGGCUAUUUUGUAAAUUAGAUCGCCUAAAGACGUUGAACUCUAACUAUUAUCUCAUAAAGCUCAAAGAAAUGGGCUUACAUUUGAGAAGACUACUUGGGAUUGGGCUCAGUGUGAGAUUGGGCUUAAUGUAUUGGGCUUCAUUUCUGUUGCUAUUGGACUGAACACAAUCCAAACAUAAGCCCAAUAAAACAACACCUCAUUUGUGUUUGGUAAGAUAUUACACGCAACGACGACGUUAAAAAUGGAUAGUCUUGAACUUUUGACCCGCACUUUUUCCUAUGAGCAAACCUUCAAGAUCGGAAGUCAAAAGUUUAGCCAUUGACCUAACGCCAACGAGGUAAAAAAAUUCAACAUCGCUCAUUUCACUGUCAUUACUUGUGAAUCUUCCGUUCUUUGUUUAUUUGUAUCAGAAAAUAUUUCGAUUCAAUAAUUUCAUUGUCGGAAAUGGGACAUGCUUAAAAUUUCAUAAAAUACAAUGAUUUUUUUUCCAAUUCUCUAAGCUUAUCUCGAUUUAUAGGGAGAAAGUCGAAACACAAUAAAAUCAAUAGACCCGCUAUCUAAUCACCUAUUAAGAAUAUUCUUUAAUAAAUCAUCAUUUGGUAUGAUUAAUGCAUGAUCACCAUUUAUGAAUUAAUUAUCAUAAUAUUAAUUAACACAGUACUUAACUUAAUUUUUUUUAUGAUUUUGUUGUGUAUUUAUGUGGUCCUAAAAUGGCUUGGGAUUUCAUUAUGAGAUUUGUUUGUCUAAUAAUUAUGAAUAUUUAAUAUAAUUUUUCAUCAUAUAACUUUCAAUAAUUCCCACUGAGCAUGUCAAUUAUACAUGAUUAACUUCUUCAAACUUCUAAUAUAUAUCUCAAAAUUUAAUAAAAAACUAAUUUAUAAAGCAUGGAAGGUGAAUACAAAAAUCUAUUAGAAAUUCAACCGUUUAUAUAAUAACAAUAUAUUCAAUAUAAUUCUGCAGGUGAGAUCUAAUAAACUUAGAAUGUAUGCAUAUUUUAUCUCCGCGACCUAUUUAUCUGCUCAAAUUCGAUAAUCACAUCACAUUAAAAAAUCAAAAUAAAUUAAUUCCAAAUGGGAUAAUUUGUCACAAUUAUUAAUCUUAAUUAAUUUAACUUUAGCUGCAAAUGCCAUGUUAAAUUUUGUUAAGAAAUCCAUUGACUAAUUAAUUUAAUUUUAGUAAUGAUCUAAAAGAUUAACUAUUCUUAGGGUCAUGUGUAAUCACAUGAAUUUCCAUGUUUUCUAAUUGAUUCCUUUAAUAUCUUUAAUUAAUUUGACUUAUCACAUGAUAUAAAUAUAUCAAAUAUUUUAAUGGGUUUUCAGUUAUUACAGUUAUGGAGUUAGUUGCAUUAAAAUCAUAUAAUUUUAUAGUACAAUCACACAACUGAAUAUAAGAAAUUUUUUAUUAACUUUUUUUUUUGUUAAUAGCACUUUUGGUCCUUCAAUUAUUAAUAAAUUCUAAUUUUGAUCCUUGUUAUAUUUGACUCAACACAUUUGAUAUUUAACUGAUUGAUAUGUGUCUUUGAUUCCUUUAAAUAUUCAUAAAUAUAUCAUAAAUAUUAGCCGUUCCACGAAUUAAUUAAUUAUCAGUGCGUUAUGUUAAGCUUGUAUUGUUACUCUAUAUUUAACGAUAAUAUAAUUCUUUCUUGCCUAAUAGGACUAAAACAUACAUUUCGAUUUAUUGAUGGUUAAAUGUACAAUGACCGCACUCAAAAAUCUAACUGAACACAUUUAACCUUCAAUAAUUGAAAUGUGCAAUUUUUUUCUAUCAUGUUGCUUGUUAAUAUUCACAAAUAAUUCAUCGUAAUUAUUAAUCGUUCCACCAUUUAAUUAUUCACGUGCUGUGUUAAAACUUUUACUCUUAUUAGUCCAUACUUCUUACAUACACUGGCUAAAAAAUACAUUUCAAUUAAUUAAAAGUUAUAACAUAUGCUUCGUCAGAUAUCUCAAAGAAUCGAAAUCAAAAUAUACUUAUAAUUUGAGGACACAAUUAUAUUAUCCCCACUUAUUUAUUUAUUUAUUUAUUGUGGGACAAAAUGUUCUUGGGAAAUUAAAUUGAAUCUAAACUUGAGAGUUUAUUUAGGUUCUUUGGAUUGAGUCAUAUUAUUGAUUAAUUAUUAAUUAAAAGGAUCUGUGAAAACUUUGUCCUUUGAACAUGAAAUCUAGAAAUGGCUUCACAACAAAGUUAAAAAAAUCUAACAUCUUAAUUCAAUGAACUAUUAAGAGAUUUAAGACAUUAUGAUGAGACCAAAAAUAUAAAAAGUACUUUUCCCAAGAAAGGAAAAAAAUGAUUGAAGAACAAGUUAUUAUAAUAUGGUCUUGUUUACUAGCAUUUAUGACAAAAUUGUAUUUAAUGGACUAUGUAAUUUGUGAGAAAAAAGGAAAAAAAUGAUUGAAAAUGCAUUAAGCAAAAGAUGUAAAAUUAUUACGAUAUAAUUGCCUAGCUUACAAGUGAUAUUGUCUAUUCUGGAUAGUUACGAAUAGUAUAAGAAUCAAUUUUAUGUCAGUUUUGUCGAUGUAGAGUUCAACUAAGUGAGAACUACUUUAAAAUUAUUUUUGUUAUUAUCCGGCUUAUAAAUAACAUUAUCUAUUUUAAAUCGUUAUGAAUGAUAUUAGAGGCAAUAAUUUGUUUUGAAUAAUGGCAAACGUGGUAUAUCUCAAACUUACGUUUUUGAUCGUCAAUUUCAAAUAAUGUACCAAGAUUUUAAUUACUCUUUUAUUAAAUAAUAAAUUCAUCCUAAUUAGCCUUUAUAGGUGUCAUCUGUCAACCAUGAAAAUUCAGUAUUUACACAGAUUAAAUAAAUACAUGACAUAUUUUUUCAUAAUACAUAUAUACAUAUCACUAAAUCAUAUGUUAAUAUUUAACAUGUGUGUCACUAUAAUAAAAAUAACUUUUAGCAGCAAUAAAUAUUAAUAUUAAUGUAGAGUGUUAUAGUCUUUACCAGCAUUAGUUAAAUGUCAUUAGAUUCAAUUUCGAUAAAUAUUUUAGGAAUAUAUACAAAGAGUACUAUUAAAUAAUUACCGCUAAAAAUACAUAUUUAACAUCAAUUAAGAAUUAAUUGCCGCUAAUUUUUUAAUAUAGUGUGUGUGUCUUAACAUUUAAUUAACUUAAAUUAUGAUAAAUUAGUAUGAUUUGAUAUAGACGUCAAAUACAUGUAAAUUUUAUCAUAAAUUACAAUUAAAAGACCGUUUAGUCGAAUAUUAUAAAUAACUUUUCUGAUAGCAAACAUUUUAUUCAGUAGUUUUUUUCGAUGCAAAUUCAAUUUAAUCAGAACGAUGACAUUAUAUAACGUACGGAUACUUAUUUAAAGAAAAACAAUAGCGAGAAAAAAACAAACAAGACAUUAAUCUAAUAUGUAUAGUAUUUAAACACAAGUUGCGCCUGAAGUCAUUAAGUCGAUAUUAUUUUCUAAGUAAUGUUCUUAUCUUUUCAUUAUUCAUCAAAACAACAUAAGAUGUACACACAAAGAAAACAUCAAAAUUGAGGACAACAUGAAGAUCUUAAGGGAAGUUGGUAAAAACAAGAAAAGAUUUUUGAGUAUUCCCUAGAUAAUUGCUUAACAUAAUUAUUGAUAGAGUUUAUAGACAUUAAUUUGACUUAAUAGAAAAACAAGUCUUCAUUCAUUCAAAUUCAAAUAUCAAUUGACCUCAUUAACUGAAUCUAAUUAUUGGAAAAACUGCCUCAAUUGAAUGUGCAAAGAAUGAUUCAUAACUAAUAUUAACUAAUUAAUUAUGUGCUCUUACACAUGCACUUCUUUUUGAAUUACUCAGGUCCGAUUAAAUCUGAAUUCACGCAUUAUAACAUGUUCAUUUCUAAGAGAUAAUACUUUUAAUAUGGUUUUUUUCUUUCGUGUCCAAAAUCUCAAAUCUAAAACCUCUGUGAGUAAAAAUACGUUAAAUCAUUCCGCCACAAUCCAGAUUAGUUAGACAUGCACUUAAUUAAUUCCAUGGUCAAUGCCAUUCAUAAGUGUAUCAAGUUUUAAUUUAUUGUUUUGAAUUAGUGAGGUUCAAUUGAAUCUGAAUUCACGCAUUAUAACAUAUUUAUUUCUGGAAGAUAAUACUCUCAACACAGUUUUUUUUUAUAUCCAAAAUCUCAAAUCUAAAACCUUUAUGAGUAAAAAUACGUUAAAUCAUUCCACCACAAUCCAGAUUAGUUAGACAUGAACUUAAUUAAUUCCAUGGUCAAUGCCAAUCAUAAGUGUAUCAAGUUUUAAUUUAUUGUCUUUUUUUCCCCUCUCUUUCUUGUGUCUUUUGACCAUGGCUUCUAUAAUUAGAACAUGACAAAUGAUUUAGGUACCAACUUGUGUUUGUUAAUUCUCAAAUCACAUGAUUAAUUAAUAUAAGAAUAGAUUAAGCUUAUUUAAUAUGUUAAAUCCAAUUUACUUAGUUUUUUUUUAAAAAAAAAUUAAUGUUGGGUAGGGCUACACCAUGGAAAAAAGGAAAUGAUUAUUGGUAGUUGUGCAUAAACAUAUGAAUAUAAAAAGUGGUAGAGAAUCUGAUGCAUGUUCUAAAGCUACUUAUAAGCAUGUAAUUAAACAAUAAAUAUAUAUUAAUCAGAUCAAAGGCGUAUUUAGAAUUUAAAGUUUAUAGGAUUUAGAUUUAAAAUUCUAUCGCGACUUAUCUGCUCCUAUAAUUUAGUGGUUUUGAAUUCAAUUAUUUGUAUUUAUUUAAUGUACUUUAACACGUAAAAAAAGCGAAUCAAAUUAAGUUAUUAAAUUCAUCGAAACAUGUAUAUAUCUCACCUUCUAAAUUCGCGCUUGUUUAGGUCUAGUUAUAAACAAAUCAAUUGUUUUAUUGGUUUGCUUUGUCUCAAGAAUCUUGAUCAAUUGCCUCAAAACAAACAUCGAUCGAUCUCAAUAAUUCAUAAAUUAAAUAUUCAGAGGUGAAUUCUGGAUAUAAAUUUUAUUCAGGAGGUAAUUAUAUUAUAGUAAGCUUAUGGCAUAUAUUAAUGUCUAGUUUGUCCAUGUGAACUUGUGUCAUGUCUCGUAAAUCUCUUUCUGCUUACAUUCCAAUAUGAAAUUUGCCUAAUUAAAUGUCUUUACCCCUAUUUUUUCCUAAUUUACUGAUUUUCGAUAAUCCUUGAUUUUAUACGAUCAAAUUUUUAUUAUUUAGUGACAUAAUAUACUCCACGCUAACUUAUUUUCUCCAUUUUUUUGUAAUAUUACGAGAUAUUAGAAAUGUAAUUGAACCUUCCUAUUUAUGACUUUUGUUAGUAAUUUUAAAAUUCAAUUAUUAGUAAUAUCUACUAUAGAGUUGACUUUUUUUUUCUAUUGAAUAAUUAAGGGGUCAAAGUGCUUUAAUUUUGACUCUACGUGGAAACAUCAUAAAACAAAAUUUUACUAAUUAAGUAGUAUUAAAAAUUGAUCAACGCGUUUGCUUCUUUAUAUCAAGCAAAAAUAAUAAAAUGUUGCCUAAAACAGAAAGUAGGAUUUAUAAGAUCUUUUACUAUUUUAUAUAUUUAUAAAAGUGGUUAAAUACAUUAAAUAAAUGAAAUUAUCUUUACAUUGAUUGAAUUAAAGAAGCAAUGUGAAUAGAAGAUUUAUGAACAUUCUAUGUGCUUUCUAAUUUUGAAAAGUUGCAAUAUUUAGGCAUAGGAAAAAUUCCAUUUCUAGGGGACGGUGGCACUUUGUUUUUACGGUGUUCGAGUUUUUUCACGUAUUUUGAUUAAUUUUUAUGUAUUAAUUUAAUAUUUAAGUUUUUAUUAUUUCGUUUUUGUUUGAUGAUUGAAAUUUGCUUUGAAGUUUGAUUUAUUUUGAUCCAUAUUAAAAAAUUCAGUUUUUGAAGGUAAUACAUUCAUAUCUAAGUCGACUAUAUAAUACUCACAACAUCUUGGGGCCUAUUAAUUUGCAUUAUCGCGCCAAGAAGUCCCACUUAAAGUGACUUCAUAAUCAUGUCAUUUUAGAGUCUGAUGAAUCUAGAUUUACAUCAAAAAAUUUAACUUUUAAAGAUAGCUCUUUAUCAAAAAUAAUUUCAUACUUAAUACAUAAAUUUAAAAUUUUUACUUAAAAUUAAAAAAAUAUUUAUCAUUAUAUCCAUUGUCAUCCAAGUUUUCUUCAAAAGAUAUGAUAAGUCAAAAAUAGGGAAAAUAUCCAAGUACCCCCUCAACCUAUGCCCGAAAUCCCAGAGACACACUUAUACUAUACUAAGGUCCUAUUACCCCUUGAACUUAUUUUAUAUGUAAUUUUCUACCCCUUUUUAGCCUACGUGGCACUAGUUCGAAAAAAAAGUCAACCAUCGUUGGGCCUACAAGAUAGUGCCACGUAAGCUAAAAAGAGAUCAAAAAUUAUUAAUAAAAUAAGUUCAGGGGGGUAAUAGGACCUUAGUAUAGUAUAAGUGUGUCUCUGAGAUUUCGGGCAUAGGUUGAGGGGAUACUUGGACAUUAUCCCUCAAAAAUAAGUAAAAGUUGUACAUAUAAUGCUUGUCAGAGGGUCGGAUUCACUAAGGGAAGGCUUUAACUUAUUUAAUUGCUUAUAUUAAAUUUUGAUUGAUUUAAAUUUAUAUAUUUAAAUUCGAUUAAAAGAAAGUGUUGUUUUAAGAAUAAAAUUCAUCCUUACGCUUUGAGCCUUAGACCUUUAAUUAAGGAAGAAUGAAAUCAAAUUUCGACAAUAAAAAUUUAUAUGAUAGAAAAAAUAUAAGAUCUUUUACUAAAAUUAUUUUCAGAUCAAUAAUUUUGUCAAGCCGUCUCAACAUUAAUAUUAUUUAGGAUAUAUAAAUUAGUUGUCAUGAUAAAUUAAGUUAUAACUGCGAUACUCUUCUUUCAUUUCAUUAAGAAAAUAUUAAGCAAGAAAUCAUCAAAAUUAUUUUAUAUCGUCAAUUUUAUCUUCUUUCAUUUCAUUAAGAAAAUAUUAAGCAAGAAAUCAUCAAAAUUAUUUUAUAUCGUCAAUUUUAUUGAGCCGUCCUGAAUAAAUAUAAUUUAGGAAAUAAAAAGUUGUCAUAAUAAUUUUAAAAAUGAUGAUGUUACUCUUCUUCCAAAGCCCUUGGAAUUAUCUAAACACAAUAAGAACAAACACUAACUUGUUAUUUUUUGCAUGAAAAGAAUAGAUUUCUUUGUUACCUAAGGUUCCAUGCACAUGCAACUCUUCUUUCCCCCACAACAUUUUUAUCUCUUUUAUUAUAUUUUAUUCAUAUAACCUAUGAUAAUGAUACGUAUUCGUUUACAUAUAUGCUUUGUCCCGUUUGAUUUUAUAUGACAUUCUUUUCAAAUUCAUGUUAGAAUGAAUGAUCUCUUUUUUUAACAUUAAUUAAUUUAUAUAUUCAUACGCCUGACGACUUAUUGAUAAUUAUAUUGUAUAUAUAAUUAAAAUGAUAUAUGAAAUGAUUAAAUAAUAUAUUUUAAAUAUUCUUAACUCAAUGAGUUAUUGUAGUUCAGUGAUUAUAUCUCUUUUGAAUCAGGUAGUACUCGUGUGAUUAAAUCUCACUAAUUCUAUUUUUUGAAGCAAAGCUUUUAUUGUGCUAUUUUUGGACAUACUUUAUGAAAUUUCUGACUCCGUCAAUAUUAACUACUGAAAACUUCUAACAUGUUUAGAACAACAAGUACUCGAAGAGUUUUAUUUUUUUAAUGCAUGAACUAGAAGUCUUUUUUUUUCUUGAUUAAACUUCGUGUUCAGUCAAAUCAAAAUAAAAGAGAAUAAAUAUUUAGUAUAGUUGAUUUUAGCAAGAACCAAGAAAUGAUUUUUUUCCUCAAUUUCUUCAUCAAAUUAAACUAAUAGUAGUGAAUGUUUGUCAUGCUACAAAAUACAAUGGUUCUAGGAUUGUGAAGAGGGUAGGCAAAUAGUUGGACUUUGGGGAUUAAUCAACAUGUGUGUAAAUCUCAAGGCUAAUUAAGUGUAGGUUAAUUAUUUGGAAUUUAAUUUAAUUUAAUUGCAACCUAAAUAUUAUAUGGUUUAUAUAUAUAUAUAUAUAUAUAUAUAUAUAUAUAUAUAUAUAUAUAUAUAUAUAUAUAUAUAUAUAUAUAUAUAUAUAUUUGGUUCCAAAUUCCAAAACAAAGAAAUAUGAGUCCUCCCAAGACACAACUAGCCGCUCUUCUUCCACCUACUCCAUGUGGAUGGUUUUGUCAACUUUUUCUCGUAGAAACGAAUUCAAAAUUUAAAUAAGAUAAAUAUUUAAAAAAAUUCGUAUAUAAAACGUAUACGUGUUUAUAGAUGAUUUUAAGAUUUAAAUGUGAUAAAUUCACCGUUAAGGUUUUUAGUGCAUUAAAAUAUGCAUAUAAGUUUACAUUAUUAUUUUUUUAUAUAAUAUGUUCAUAACUUCAUAUAUGUUUGAGAGAGUGUAAAUGAUCGAUCGAGGCACAUGUUAUUAGUCUUGAAAAAUACAAAAGUUAUUAUUCCAACUUCGAAUGAUAAUAUAAUUUUGGUUACUUUAAUUUUUAAUGCAAUUCUUAUCCAAGAUAUUUCUAUUUCUACCAUGUCACACGUGAGUUUAUGUCUCUUUACCUCAAAAUUAGUCGUUUAAUCUUGAGUCAUUAAAAUCUUUCUGAUUUAAUUCGAUUACAUUAUAUGCAAUCGAUAUGUUAUUAUAAGUCAUCAAAAUAUUUUCAAAACGACAUACUUUUUAAUUUGAUAUUCAUUAUAUUAUGUUAAGAAAUGGAGGGCGGAUUAAGUUAUGCUCCGUUUUAAAGCUCGUUUUAAUUUAAAUAACUUUUGAAUAGAUAAUCAAUAACCUACCUGCUCAUAUCUACUAAUUUAAUUUAUUUUGAUCUGUUUAAAUUCAACUCACUUUGUAUUAAGCAAUUGUAAUAUAAUACUUUAUCCCUUGAUAAUAUUGAUGUGUUAUUGUGACAUGCAUAGAGAUAAUACUUGUAGGUACAGUGGUUCACCAUGCAUUUGUCUUUGGACCAGUACCAAAUGGAAUAUAAGAUUCAAAUUUAUAAAAUUUAAAUUAUGAAUUCGCCUUCAAUAAUGAUAAGUUAGUUUGAUUGUAAGCUCCAUUAUCAAUCUUUCUUACCAACACGUGCUUUAUUUAGAUCGUAAAUUAGUCAUAGAACUUUAAUUUUUAAAGUAAAAUUAAAAUGAUUGAAUUAAGAUGAUUUAUUCAAACCUUUUUAUGAGAAAAUUAUAUUGUACAUAGAAAUUUCUAUAAACCAAUAAUGAAUAUUUGUUUCUGAAUGCCAAAUAAAUUACAUAUUUGUUGGAGUAAUAACGAAUAAUGCUAAAUGGCUAGAAAAUUUAGUUAGAAAUUUAUUAAAAAAAUUAAUUUAAAAUUAAUUUUUUUUAAUUUUAUAAUUAAAGUGUAUUAAAAUUACAAGAAUAUAAAUAUUUAAAAAAUAAAACAAAUACCAUUCUUAUCAAUCAAAUUCUAAUCAAAUUUUCUGGCGAAUUUUUUUUUUCUAUUUAACAAUAUAUUUUUUUGGAAGAGCUAUACUUAUUUCAUCGAAGAAAACAUUCUUUUUUUUUGUUCAUUUUUUUUUUGGGAAUACCAAUAAUUAGAAAUAAAAUCUUGGAAAUGCAAAACCUCACAUGUCUCUUGCAUUUUAUCUUGUUAUUUUAAUUUUUGUGUACGUUGGAUAUCUAAAGGACAAAUAAUAUUUAGAAAUAAAAUUUUGUGUUAUUUUUAUUAUUAUAUUUCCAAAUUCAUAUAGUUCUAGAAAUAUAUAUAUAUUACGAUUUCUUCUCCUUUAAGAAUUUUUCCUUAAAAAAAUUAUAUAUAUAUAUAUAUAUAUAUAUAUAUAUAUAUAUAUAUAUAUAUAUAUAUAUAUACCAAUAGUACAAAAAAACUGAGCGUAAUUUAAUACGUGAGUAAGUUAAUUUAUUAUUUUAUCAGAUUAUCAUUGAUAUUUAUUAUAAAAUGACUUAAUUAUAUAAUUAUAAUAUUUUUAAACCUUCAAAGCAUAAAACUUAAAAUUCUAGAAUGAUUAUUAUAAUAUUGACUUUUCUCUUCUUCCUUUUUCCAUCCAAUUAUAUUUUCUCUUUUUUUGCCUUUUUGUAUAUUAAAUUUGGUUAAAUUAAUUUUUUUUUCUUUUUCCCUUUUUGUAUAUUAAAUUUGGUUUAAUUAUCCACCGCCCAUUUAAAAAGCUAAAAUAAUUAACGAACUUCCUCGUGAUUUCAUAAAGUUAUGGAAUAUUUCUUUUACUUAUUUUUUUCGUAGAGAUCAAGUACGUUUAAGUAUUAAAAUUAUUACAACUUGAAUUAAUUUUAAUUAAUCCAAAGAUAAAGUUUGUUGAAUAAAUCAAUAUUAAAUUCUAUAAUCUCAAAAGCUAAGCAGAAAGUUACGCCGACUAAAACAUAUUUUAUUCUAUUUUCUUAUGUUUUUUUUUUUUAAAAAACAACAACUAAAUAUAAUAUAAUCAUUUAUUCCCACAGGCUUUUCACUGUACUUUGUGGGUGCGCUUGGUAGGAAGAAAAUAUUUUUCGCGAAAAAUAUUUUUUUAAGGAAAAUAAGUGAGAUUGUGUCUAAUACGUAAAUAAAAUAUUAUCUUAAGAUAUUUAUAUGUUAUUUAGAUAUAGAAAAUGUAUUAAAAAGUCGAAAAAUAAAGAUAAAAGUGUAUUGAAGGAUUCAAAGGUUAUAUUUACUAUAAAAUGUAAUUUAUGAAACUUGUUUUUCUUAUAUUUAUUAUGAAAAUUUGGUUUUUACAAUUUUUUGAUUAGUCGAGCGCUUUUGUUUAUCUCUUUUAUUAUUUUCGUUUCAGUUCAUGUGAUACAUUUUUUCUCAUUAAUUAUGUUCUAAAAAGAAUGACACGAUAUUUUUAUCUAAAUCAAUAAAUAGUUAAUUUUAUAUAUUUUUAAUGAGAAAAAUUUACUAUCACACAAAUAUUAUGAUGCAUUUAAUUUAACAUGUAUUAAAGUAUUAAUUAUCAAAAAAAAUAAAAUAUUAAACUGAUUAAAGUUAAAUCACAUAAAUUAAAACAGGAAAAGUAUCUGAAUAAUGGUUGCAUAUGUCUAUCAUUAUUUUUAUAAAUUAAAGAGAAAGAAUAUACUCCAUAUAAUCACACACUUACAUGCUCACAAGACCAAUUAAUUAAUCUCAUAUAUUAUAUAUAAUCACAUGAAUAGUAAUGAUUUAUUUGCCUAAUCAUUAUGAUACUUUUGAUUAACAUAAAGUGAUUAAGAACCAUAUUUUCAAUCCUUAAUUAAUUAUCAUAUGAUUUAAUUAUAUCAGAAAUAAUUAGUCCUGAUACAUGAGUAUAACAAUCUUUCUAAUAAUUUUAUGCACAUCUUCCAAAGUUUGGAAAAAAAAAACACAUAUAGACUAUAUUAAUUAAUUGAGAUUAUAUAUUUUAGUCAUGUAGUAUUACUUUAAACCAUAUUUGUUAGGAAUUAAUCUUUAAUUUAAUUAGAUAUAUAUAAUUUAUUAAUUAGUAUAAAUAUAAAGAUUUUCUAGUGUUCAAGAAACUAAGAUUUUACAAUAUCGAUCUUAAAUAAAGUAGCGACCAUGUUCAACUUGCUUAGAACAAAGAGCAAUCAGUUAAACACAGCCUAUCAAAAACUAAAUAAACAUAUGAUGCAUAUUGAUCAAAUUAAGACUUAUUAUGCAUAUAUAAUAUCUGAAAUAUCACUUUUAAAUAUCUUUUACGAAAUUUUUAAUUCUGAUAUAAUUUUUAGAUACGAUGUUAUUGUUAUUGUAGUAUUAGUUGAAACCAAAUAUUUUUUUUUUUGGGAUGUAUAGACAUUUGAUCAACCUAGAGUAACUCAAGCUUUGAUAUGUGCGUUGUCCUAAGAUGAUAUGAUGAGAUUUCACUACAAUCAACUUUGCCAAUAUUCUUCAAAAAACUAAAAAUAUUGAGAUUUUCGAUGGAAAAUUCUUAGAGAACAUUUUCUUUUACGAGUGUUUUUCAAACUGAUAAGUGACGAUUUUGAAAAACUUGUGCUCUUAGGGCAUGUAGACAACUCAAUAUGUUUGUUUUUUUUUUACUAUAAGAAACUUCCUAUAAAAUUUUAGUUGAAAAUUAGAAGAUAUUGGGAAAUAGCUACACCUCAUGUUUUUUGUUGGUUUUGUUUGUUUUUUUGAAGGGUGUGAUUAUGGGUUUUCAUGCUCAAUGGUACUUUUAGGUGGAAAAGAAUGGAAGUGAGAUAAUAACAAUUAAAAAAAAAAAAUUGGAAUGUAGUGUAAAAUUUUAUUUUAUUUUUAGAAAAUAUAUAUUUUAUUUCUUGGAAGAAAAUAAAUAUAAGGAUAAGGAGGAGAAGACAUAUUUACACACACUCUCUUUAUCUCUCUCUCUCUCCUCACAUGAAUAAAACUAUAUAAUAAGUAUCAAAAAAUAAAUCGAUGACUUUUAUUUUAUUCGAUCGAAUUUAAAAUAAAAGUCGAAUUAAUUAAUUUUAAUUUUAAUCAAAAAGUAUGAACCUCUAAUAUAUGAUAUCAAAAUUCAUAAGCAAUUAAUCACUAUAUCCAAUUCAAUUUAAUUUUAACUUUUCUCUCCGUCCAAAUAACAAACAAAUGAAGCAAAUAAUUUAAUUGCUUCCCUUUUUUUCUUUUUAUUUUUUUGGUCCAUUUUUAAAAUAAGAAAACUCAAGCAUUUGUAUCAAGUCAACACAUUAAUUAAGCCGUGUGAUGCUUUUUACUAAAAAUAGGGCAAAUUGAUUUUUCCAAAAAUCUUAAUUAUUUUGCUAUUCCAAAAUCAAUUUAUGUGUAAUUUAACCAAAAAAACAUUAUGUGGGGGUGGGAGGAUAAAUAGCUGCGGAGUGAAAAGAAUAAUAAACUUGAAAUAUUAGUUAUAAAAUUAGCGAAGACAAUUUCCUCGUUUUUAAGGAAGAAAUGUAUGUUUCAAAAGGGGUCAUAAAAUGAACUCGGAAGGGAAGCUACAAGAGCAGGAGGAACACUUUGAUUAAUCGUAGUCAAGUCGAGUGAUCAAUGAUAUAGAUUGGGUACAAUUACUGAUACUCGUUGGUGGAAAGAGACAAUAUCUCAUAAACAAAAUGUGUGCAAGAAGAUCCAGACAUCAAAAUUAUUAAAAAAACAAAUUAAUUUACCAAACAUGAAAAAAUUGAAAUUUGAUAGAUUGGAUACCAUUACUGAUACUCGUUGGUGGAAAGAGACAAUAUCUCAUGAACAAAAUGUGUGCAAGAAGAUCCGAACAUCAAAACUAUAAAAAAAGAUAUUAAUUUACCGAACAUGAAAAAAUUGAAAUUUGAGUCGGAGUCUUUUGACUAUCAUAUUUACCCUCAACUUGAUAUAUCUUAGCUGGAGCAAAUAUGUAACAAAGUGCAAUUCAAAUACAUGAAAGCUCAAAUUUGUAGGUUGACUCCAAAUAUGUGACAAAUUUAUGACUUAUUUUGGUUGCAAAAAAUAAUAAAUUAUAUUUAAUGUACAAGUUAGUUUGAGUUCACACAGGCCAUACUAUAUAGUAGCAUAGCAUGCAUAGCUUGGACAUAGAUGAAAUACUUUAUAGAAGUCUUUACAUUGAAUGUGGGGUCUCUCAUUAAUAAUAUACUCCCUCCGUCUCAAAAUACCUGUCAUAAUAAAAAUUCAAGAAAAAAAUAAUCAAUUUUCUCUCAUUUUACCAUUAGCGUCAAUUGUUCUUAAAGACUAUAAAUACCUCGACUACGACAUGUAAAUAGAGUAUAACAUUCAGAUAUAAAUAAGGAUGCAACAACAACAAUAUAUCCAGUAAAAUCACACUAAGCAGGAUUUGAGGAGGAUAGAACGUAACGCAGACCUUACUACUUCCUCAAUGAGGUAGAGAGGUUAUUUAUAAUUAACCCUCGGCUCAAGUAUAAAAGGACGAAAAUAAGAUUAAAAUAAUCAAAUACCCUUCUUAAUUAAUAUUUUCUUAAGCAUGUAAAUGAAAAAUACGACAAGUAGUUUGAAACGGAGGAAGUAUACAGAUUUAGUAGUCAAAUACCUAUUCUGAUUAAUAUUUUCUUAAAGGUCGUGUAAAUGAUGAACACGAUAAGUAUUUUGAGACAGAUGGAAGUAUAUAGGUUCAAAGGGAGUUAAAACAAUUUUAUAUAGUAUAGCUUAUAGGUAGAUACAUUAAUUAAAAGAAUAUAUGUUCAUAUCAAAACAAAGUAAGGGAGAAGACCACAAACUUAAUCAUAUGAAAAGGACAAUAAACACAUCAUUUUCAAAUCCUAAUUACAUCCCCCACACCCCUACCCAACCCCCACCCCUCUCAUGGCCAACUUCCCCCUUAUUUAAACCUCUCUAUUCCUCUAAACCCUCUCCACACAAUUCAUUGUCAACUUGAAAACUCAUAAUAUUUCUCUUUUCUCCUCCUUGAUCUUCAACAACAACAAAACAAAAAAAAAAAUUGCAAGAAAAACAAAAGUUGAGUUCAUUGCAUAUUUCUAGAACUUAUCUUGAUGAAUCAAUAUUGUAAUAGUCCUUGUUCACCACUAAUGGUUCAUGAACUUGAACAAGAAGACUUGUUUGCUGGUAGAUGUAUACUAGUAAAUGGUCCUGUUAUUAUUGGUGCUGGUCCUUCAGGACUAGCAGUUGGCGCGGGCCUUAAACAACAAGGGGUUCCCUUUGUGAUCUUAGACCGCGCCAACUGCAUUGCAUCCUUAUGGCAAAACAGGACGUAUGAUCGCCUUAAACUUCACCUCCCGCGACAAUUCUGUGAAUUGCGUUACUUCCCAUUUCCACAAAACUUCCCUGAGUAUCCUACCAAGUAUCAAUUCAUUAGCUACCUUGAAUCUUAUGCCAAGAACUUCGAGAUCAGCCCACGAUUCAAUGAGUCGGUCCACUCUGCUAAGUAUGAUGAAACAUGUGGUUUAUGGAGGGUGAAGACAGUGUGUAGAAAUGGUUCAGUCAUUGAAUAUAUAUGUAGGUGGCUUGUGGUGGCUACAGGAGAGAAUGCAGAAAGAGUAGUGCCCGAAUUCGAAGGAUUAGAAGAUUUUGGUGGACAUAUUAUGCAUGCUUGUGACUAUAAAACAGGGGAAGUUUAUGAAGGGAAGAAUGUGUUAGUUGUUGGAUGUGGUAAUUCAGGCAUGGAAGUUUCACUUGAUCUUUGUCACCAUAAUGCAAGUCCAUUCAUGGUCGUUCGAAGCUCGGUAAGUCUCAUUCAUCUAAUCCAAAAUCUUUCAUGACUUACAUCUGCUAAAGAAGAAAAAAAAAAACACUCAAUUUCCUUCAUAAAUCUGCACACGACAUAUCGAAUUCCUCAUGACACAUACAUAAGAGGUCACUCCUUUAAUAAUCUACAUGAUUUACGUUUUCUAAGAGAAAAAAACACUCAAUUAACUUGAGCGCGUUUUGUCUAUGUCCUUCAUUUGCCAGAAAAUCUGCACUUGACAUCUCUAAUUCCUCAUCACAAGUCUAUAUAUAUAAUCAUCAUAUGAUAUGUAAUGAAAUAAUCAAUCUAGAAAAUCUGCACCUGACAUCGCUAAUUCCUCAUCACAAAUAUAUAAUCAUAUGAUAUCUAAUGAAAUAAUCAAUCUUUUCAUGAAACAGGUUCAUGUUUUACCAAGGGAAAUACUCGGAAAAUCAACGUUUGAGUUAGGAGUAUCAAUGAUGAAAUGGCUAUCAAUUGAUGUAGUUGACAAGAUAUUACUAGUUGCAGCAAGGUUACUUCUUGGAAACAUAGAAAAGUAUGGUUUAAAAAGGCCAUCCAUUGGACCUUUACAACUCAAGAAUACAGAAGGAAAAACUCCAGUUCUAGACAUAGGUGCAUUACAAAAGAUUAAAACAGGAGACAUAAAGAUAGUUCCAGCAAUCAAAAAAUUUUCUCAAGGAAAAGUAGAAUUUGUCAAUGGAGAAAUACAAGAAAUUGAUUGUAUCAUUUUGGCAACAGGAUAUUGCAGCAAUGUUCCUUCUUGGUUAAAGGUAAGAAAAAAAAAUAUUUUUUUUAUUUUUAUUUUGGUUGUGUAUUUAUUUUUUAAUUUAUGGAUUGUUGUGACAGUUAUGGAAGUUGGUUUUUUUCUUUGUAGAUUCUCUGUUCCUAUUUCUUGUAGCAUUGUUAUGUAUGAUCAGGUGGAUGAUACACGUAUUCUUUUAUACUAUGGUAAUUAAUAUUUUCAGAAACAAGAUUGAGCUUUCCAAGAAAAUAGUUGAAUGGAUUAGAUCAGAGAUCUGAGCAGCAAAUAAAAUUCUGUUUUUUGUCCUUUUUUCUAUGUUCAAGAAUAUUUUCAUUGAAUUUUGGUAUAAUGAGUUUGUAUUCAUUUUUAAAAUGCAGGAAAGUGAAUUCUUUUCAAGGGAGGGAUUUCCAAGAAGUCCAUUUCCAAAUGGAUGGAAAGGAAAAGCUGGUUUAUAUGCAGUUGGAUUUACAAAGAGAGGACUUUCUGGUGCAUCUUUGGAUGCAAUUAAAGUAUCACAAGAUAUUGGAAAAAUUUGGAAAGAAGAAAUUAAACAGAAAAAUCAAUCUGUUGCUGUUGCAUGUCAUAGAAGAAACAAGUUAUCUUCCUUCUAGUAAACGACAACAACAUACUCAGCAUAGUCCUACAAGUAGAAUCUGGAGAGGGUAGUGUGUACGCACAUCUUACCUCUAUCUAUUGUUUCUAAUAGACCCUCCAAGUUACCCUUCUAAUAUAAUUUUUUUAUAUUUUUUUUUUAACUUUUUACCUUUUCUUCCUGUAAUUUUUACUUGCAAAGUAACCAAAAAAAAAAAAAAGUAAAGACCAUUUUGUGACAAGAGACAAACACAGAAAGCAGCCCUGUCCAGAGAAAUACCCAAAUUCUUCUUUGGGCAUUUUAGUAGGAAGAAGAGGCUUUUUUUAGCAUCUACUUCUAAGGAGAAAUUUGUACAAAAGGUUUAUUAAUAUAUGUACUAAUAGAAAAAAUGUGACUAUAUAUAUAUAUAUAUAUCCUUUUCUUGGUAAGUAAUUUAACCAGUAUCUUUUAAAUAGUAAGGGAGGUUAUACAGUAGUCCCUAGCCAAUAUAUAUAUAUAUAUAUAUAUAUAUAGAUUAUACACAAUUCCACACAUAUAUUAUGUAAAUCAUGAGCUAAGUUGUAGAGACUCUUCAAAAAGAUCGAUGGAUAUGUAUCGUUGGGGGAAUCUAACAUAGAUGUGACAACAUUUUUGGAGUCCGAGCAACAUAAAUAAUGAGGGCUUCAAGGCCUGUGAAGGGAAAUUAACCUUCUGAUAUUGUAAAAGUUGGUUAAAGAAUGGUCAAGGGUAAUAGGAAGGUUCUCUCACUCAAUAAAUUUUGGUCCACCUAAGUCAUUUAUUCUACUGAUGGGAUCUAUCUCUAGAACAUGGUCCACCUAGGGGCCCCAUUAAAUAUGGUGGACCAAAAUAUCCAUAAUUCCACAACAUCCAUUCUUUAAAUUUAAAGAUGACAUAGACUUUUCACUAGUUUAGUUCAAGAAAAUACCUAUGCAUAACUCUUAGAGCACCUCCAUGUUGCCAAGCACAUGGAUAGAGCCCACAGAGAAGAGAGAAACAUAGGGGGUAAAAAGAUCCCCUUGCCUUCAAGUCAAACUUGGAAGGUAUUCUGUCUAUAUUGCUAGGACUCUUUAAAAAUGUCACUAUGUGCAUGUCGGAUCUAUCCUCCGAAAGUAGCACAUUUUUUAACCAGUCUUAGCAACAUACAAUUCAAUGGUAAAAGCACAACAUGUUAUGAGUGUUUUACACUUUGUUGUGGACAAUAACCUGGUAUAUAGAAAAGGUAAAGGAACAAACUCACUAUUCAUUGAGUUUCGAACCAUGCACCAGCUAACUAGCCCUCAGAAAUUUCUCGAUUAUAAGAACGAAAAAGUCAAACUUGGAGAAUAGUUUGAUACUAUUUGAUCUUUCUAAAUCUUUCACAUGUAUAAUAUAAUAUACUUUUAAGAGGUUUCUCAAAUUGGAUAGAAUUUAGAACACCAUACCUCAGACCAAUGCCAUAUGAGUCUAGCUAGCUCAGUCAUUGUCACCUAGUAAAGUGAGAAGAUUAUCUUGAACUUUAUAGGGGUACAACUUCAUGGAUUGGAUAGUUCAAAGAGUCAUCCUGAAGUUAUCAUAUUCCCCUCUUCACAAGUCAAAAUAUUUAUAACAUUGACUCACAAUAUCUCAUUAUAACAGAUUGCCUUACCAAAAAUAGAAAAAUAUGAAAAAUAGAAACAAUGAAUAAUUUUAUCCAUCUAGCCUAGCCACACCUAUCAGCAAAUCCUAUAUGAAUCAUUGCCAUGUUAGCAUCCUAAAUUUUUUUCUCCUGUAUCAAUCUUCUUUAUUUGGUUCCUGUACAAUGUCCAUAAACUGAAAUGUCCUAAGAGCAUCACAUUGUAACAAUAGAUGCCUCGUUCAUCAUUCGAAUUUUUAAUUCUCUCUAUCUUUUCUAAUAAGAAUCUAAAAGAGAUAGGAUGAGGGAGACAGAAUAUACAUUUGAUAGUCAGUUCGAUGAAUAAAAAUCUCGAGAAAACUAUUCAAUUGAAUCAUUGGGGAAGGGGGAAGAAGAAGGUUGAUUAUAGGUUCAGAGGAGUGGUCCAUGGUUGUCUCCUUGGUAACAAAUAUUAUUUCCUGUUAUGUAACAAUCUUAUAAUAUAAAAAAAUGGGAAUUGAACUUCUUUUCAAUGAGAUCCAACAUGACUUAAAUUUCCCAUUGCACAAUGAACAAAGAACAUAAAAAAAAUUCCACUGACAGAAAAGAUUUAAACAAAAAGAAGAAAAUCCAAAGAAGUAGUACAUAUAUAGACAACCCAUAUGAGUUCCCAUGCUGUUGAAUCAACCAUGCAGCAAACCUUUAUCUACUGUCCCAUCUAGAAUUGCUUCACCACCACAUAAAAAAAAUUCUUGUAAAAACAAAUAUAGAUAUAUUAUAUACAAAAAAAGACAGUUUCAAACCUUAAAUUAAUGAAUGUAAAACACACACAGCUCAUGUUCCUCAACUUGAUCCAUGCAAAGUGUUUGAAUUUAACACUUCUCUACCAGGAACCUACAGUUUCUAUUAUGUCUUUUUGCAGUGUAACUUGUAUUUUUUUCCACACCUUGCAACCAGGGGCAGAGCUACAGUUCUGCCUACGGAUUCGACAUUAUUGAGAAAUACAAGUAAAAGCUUUUAGAUGAGAUGAUCAAACACUUCAACAGACACAACUCAAUAGCUGUAUUUGUGUUUUAAAAUUUAUUUACUACGAUUAGAUAAGAGUGUAAUCCCACCUGCAAGGUCUGCGGAGGGUUUAGUGUUUGAACACCUUACCUCAUCUCGUGGAGGUUAAAAUUUAUUUAAUAUGUAUAAAUAAUAUAUCCAUAAAUCAGUAAGCUACAUUUUCUAGAAUUCAGAACUCGUAAACUCAAAAUUCUUGUUCCGCCUCAGCUUGCAAACCUAUUAUUAGAUAUCACUUUUACCGAGAGAGAAAUACACAUGGCCUGGGUCACUAACUAUAUCCUCAAAGUUCCAUGAGAAAGCCCAUUCCUUCAUGCCCUGAUAAGCAGUCAAUUUGCAAGUGUUAACUUGAGUUGGAUGGUGGACACUACAUCUUUGUAUCUUACUGUUGCAUGUCCUACUAGAAGAGUGUGUAUCCUGUGAUUGGUGAAGUUAAAAUAUAUGAAGCUUAUAUAGGUGUCCCAUAUAAAACAUGAGAUAAUAGUGGUGGAGCACCCUUGUCCAAGGGGUGUCAAUUUGUUGAAAAAUCACAUUGUAUAGAUAGAUAAGAAAAUUCAUAUAUACUAUAUGUUGAAUCUCCUUUACUUCUUCGUGUAUUUUUACCGACUUCCCUUGGUGAAAUCACAGUCCACCAAUCAUCUUUCAUAAUCAUUGACUAAUACUUUUAACCAUUUCCAAAAGAAAUUUGAAAAAUGAAUUUACAUAUCAUAGUACUUUGAACAUGGAUUGAAACGAUGUUUCGAAAAAUAUAAAUCAUCUUUCAGACUUCACACUGGAGAUAGGUUGAAAUGACUCUUGAUAAACUACAUAUCACAUUCAGUUUGAACCAGAAGACAAACAGAACAAUAUCUUAAGCAAAGCUAAAUCAAAUGUGAUAUCAUGGAUUUACUAUCAAAAGCACAAGCAUUUGAAACUAAAUCACAUACAUGAAGAGUUGUUUUUACCAAUGGUCAACAUAGUUAAUUAUUAUAAAAGGAAUUACAAUUCUAUCAAAAAGAGUUAAUUCUGAUGUGUGUUUAAUUAGACACUAUACACGUACAUGAAGAGUUGCAAUCACCAACAUUUUUUUGAUAACCAUGGUGUACGGGUUAGCUCGCACGCACCUCGACUACUCUAUGGGAUACUUGCUACCUUCCACCAGCAUAGGUACCGGAUAACUUUGUUCACCAAAGCUUGAGUUGCAAAUGCCAAAGUUCUACCAUCAAAUUAUUCACUUUUUGGAAAGCAUUUGAUCAAUUUCUCCACUCUCGUUGUACAUGCUAACAAUUUUCUUUGCAUAUUCAGGCAUAUGUCUGUCCGCUCUGCAAUUACACAAAAAACACGUGUGAGAAAAAAUUAAUGUAAUCCAUCAUAAUGGAACAAAUAUGAAUUUCUACAGACCUUUCUUUUCCCCAUUUGCGGACUACGUUUAAGUAAUUUCUGAUUGUGUGAUAAUCUAGCGAGUAACGUGCAAAUUCUAGACCCUUCGGUCCGACCUGAACCAAGACAAACAAGUUUAAGCACAGGGAAUUUGUUGUCCUUUCUGAAAGUAACAAGUCAGUGAACAAAAAGUUCUUACUAUGUUGAGAAGAAAUGCUAUUAAAUUUCCAACAAACUUUGGAGCAGGUUGAGAAGGACCUCUUCCUGGAAAUUCAGAAAGUUUCUGCAUAAGUCUUGUGAGAUUACUGAGAAGUUGUUCAACAAAAAUAUUUACUUCAAGAACAUGUCAGAAAAGGAUUUACUUCUCGGGGUUCUGCCUUCAGCAUACUGUAAUCAACGGGGAGUAUCAUAACAAAUGAAGUAAUUGAAGCAACUUAAAUAGCUAAAUUCACUUGACUUACAAGGAUUAAAACAAAUUAAGGUUAAUCUUAAAUAAACAGUCGAUGAGAUGUGUAACAUUUCAUACUUUUUAACAGCAUUCAAAGCGAAAAGGGAUAGGGAAAAAGGUCAGAUGUUUGAUACUUGCACAUGGACCCAACAAAGAACAGUACAAAACCCGAGAGCAGAUAUCUAAUUCUGAACCAGCAGCAGUAUGUGUACAGAGAGAGCCAGCUUAGUAACAACUUAUGAAAUGAAUAAAUAUCACAAAAUACCACAUACCAAAUUUUGCUUCAUCAUCUGCCUUCACGGUUUCCACGACAAAUGGACGCCGCUUACCCUGAAAAAAGAUGCAUGCUUUGAAAUAAGUAUAUCACAAGAAAGAGUUAAAAGAAAAAGUUGUGAGAUGAAGCAUCAUGUAUUACACUACUUAUCGUCGGAGUAAUUUCCAAGAGGUUCUCGAUAAGGUUUAGCAUUUCUCUACCACGUUCAUUUCUGCAUUUGGAAUGUGCAAAAGUAUAUCUUAAACAAGAUUAUUUAAGGGUAGAGCUAUCAGCAUGUCCUUUUAAUCUGUCAACGGCUUAUAAGAUUUGGCAACACUUUACCUGACAGUAACAUACUGGGGAUGCUGCAUCAUGCUGAUUCCACUGUAUUUCGGCACACCCAUGUAUCCCACCACCAAAUCCUGACAAGUUCCUUGAAGGUAAGAUUUGAAAUGUUGGCAUAUGCACCGGGAUUAUCAAGCUUUGCUUUUAUUUAAACGAAAUAAUCUGUCACGUUAAUGUUUGGAAACUACUGUAAUAGAGAAAGACAUCGACUAAUAAAUCUUCCAAGGAGCAAAAAUACUUAAUUUUCAUGGAUAAUAAGAUAUGCAGCAUCGAAUCUUCAAUGAUACGAUUCUAGAAACCUUAAAGAGUAAACUUAUGACGGAACCAUAAUGCAUUACCAUCCAAGACCAAAAUGAGUUUGCUAAAAGAUCCCCCUUGGACCUCAACCACUGAAUCUUAUCUCCAGAUCUGUCACAAGCUUUCACUUGAAAACAGUUGGAGCAAAUGAGUGGCCAGGUCUAGCUCUAGAACCUAUAAAUUCCUCAAUGAUCGAGGCUGCCUUUGCAAAACCUCUUUCCCUGUCAGAAAACUACGCACUAGAAAAAGAUCUGUUUGUGAGACAUAAAGAGAGAAGAGAUCUAUUCAAGAUUAACGAUUUGAUGACUAUAAUACAGACCUAUUUAUAAGUUCCAAACAUAGUAGACAAAUAGACAUUUGCAAAUGCAGGAAAUUACACCAGUAAAAUUUAAUAUUCCACCAGUAACACAUCACCUUUCAGAAUCUAAGACUAAUCAAAGUAGCAUUUAAGAGUAUGCUUUCCUUUGCUAUUUGAAAGUCUAACACAUGUGUAUGUACUGUGCACAUGCUUCUCUUGGAUGUUUAUUUUGUCUGUUUCUUUGUGAAAAUUGUAUUGUGCAAUAUAUCAGGGCCUUUAAUUAUGAACAAAGAACUCACCGCCAAGCCAUUUGUGUAGUCAAAACAGCUGUAAUAGAAGGAAAUAACAGUUUACAGAUCAGCACAAGUUCAUAUUCUGAAGAAUGAGAGACAGGAAUGAAAUAUAUGAUAAAUGCGAAUGUAGGAAACGUGAAGCUUGUAUAGAAUGUUCAUUUAGACUUCUCCAACUGCAUAGCAUCUUUACAUUUGUAGACAAGCUGAAAUCCAUGUUGACAUUGUCUAAAAGAAUGUGUUAUUAGUUUGAUUGAUUUCUUUGUUGCCUAAACUGACACGGCAGGGAAUGCUACCAUAUGCAAUAAACCCAACGACAAGUAUAGUUUUACAUGGCUUAUCCAACUUGAUUUAACCCAAUUGUCCAUAUCAGAGCGACAACUUACAAGUGAGAACCAGAGAUCACAUAGAACGUAAUAAGCCCAUGACACUACCUUCGUGCACAUACUAACAUACUUAUGUAUACUUCUCCCUAGUUUAUGCUCCACAAGUGAAGGAAUUUCUCAAUACGAAUGUAACUGAAAAAUAAAUAUAUUAACUAUUAGGAAGAAAGACGGUUCCUGAAGAUUUUGUUUGUCAUCAAAUUUGUUAAUCUACAUAAUCUUUGUCUGCACACCAAAUUUUCUUCCACAGAUUUUCACCCUUACUCCAUGAACAAAGUAUCUAGAAUAGUUUGACCAAGAACGGAUAUUACGAGCAUUAUUGAGAUCAUUGUUUCUUUUGAUUCAUAAGUGGGUCCAAAAAUGAGAUGGGAAGUUACAUUUCUAUGAACUUCAUAAGAAAAAUAGUUGGCAUGCAAUAAUUUUUCGAGUAAUUAACACAUUUUUUUAAAAAAGAAUAUCCAGUAGAUCGUCUAAGUAGCUCACUUAGAGAAUGUCGCCUACGACGGUUUGACUACAUCCCACAUAAACUUCCAUAUCCAUAUAGGUGAUACCAACUAGAUAGGAUGCAGUCAUUGAAGCAUAGUUGUUGCUACGCUUGCAUAAGUGCUUGUCAAGGGUCUUUUUAUUCUUGUUGAAAACUAGUAUAUCCACGUAGGGAUAAGGGUGAUAUUUCACAUCUUUAGUUUGCUACGGUUCCCUGCGGUCCAAACCCGGUGCCGCUUUAGGUUAGGGAGCUGGACGAUACCUUAUAACACGAAUUAUUAGAUAUUGGAAAAAAAUUGACCUAACAGAGCACAAUGGAUGCUGAGGAUACAUAAAGCCACCCAAACUAAUGUAGGAUUAAUUUAUAGUUGAUUGACUAAUUGGAUCAACUCAUAGAGGGAAAGAAAGAAUCAUUUCCAUGAGCACAAAGAGAUGGAACAAAAAAAUUAUAUUCAGACUUGUCCACCACCGACCUCUGACCCAAAAAGUCUACAGGUUAAGUAUGCAGAUAUUGUUUAAAGGCUUCAGUAAAUCAAUAAUAAGCAAUUGAAAUACCUGUAACAAGAUGGUGCAAUAACAUCAACCAAGUCAUUUGCUGGUAAACAGAAAUAGGGAACCUGCUUAGUGAAAUAUAGAUCUGAAUAAACAGCAUUCAAAUAAAACAAAAGAUACGAAAAAGAAGAUGCUAUUUUACCUCUUCAAUAUGGCCAUCCAAAUGCUUCAGAUGGACCUGUUGAAAUGUAGAGCUUAGACAGAUGCUUCAACUGAUUAGAAAACUAUCACAUGCAAUUCAAUAGUAUAUCCUUUAAAUCAUAGUAAAAGAAGAAAGCUAUAAUAUGGUUUACAGGAUUAACUGUCAAAUGUUUUCAUCUAUAAGGUGAUGAAGCACAUGUGAGCUUAAUUUAGUCUUUCUCAUUUGCAAGAUCCUACUUAUUGGUAAAUUUCUGAUCCAACAAAGGAUAGUAACCCUCCAUCAAAUUCAACACGACACCAGCGGACGAGGCAUGGUACUUGAGAUAUUAAUUUGAUUUGUGUAUUUUAUAGGUAGUAGUUGAGGAAAAUUUUAAAAUAUUUUUGUAAACGAAAUUAGGUUGACAUAGAAAUGCCAAAUCAAACCUUAAUAAUUUGACUAUUCAAACAUAUUAAAAUUUGAGAAACUGAUGAAGUUGUAUAAAGUUAUAUUGUUAGUAAGAUGGUGUCAAAGAUUUUUGUACGCCCAAAAUAAAGAUGUGUCAUAUAAAAUUUAUCAGGAUGGAGACAAUAUGAUAUAUUGAAGUGCAUCUUCAUGAGUGAACUUACCUCACCAACCAAAUGAAAACAUAUUCUAGAAAAGCACCCUAGUUAUCAGACUAAGAAAGGCUGUUUACUGAUGUUUUAGAAUACAACAGAAGCAGAAAACAUAUCGUCAUGACAAACACAGAAUGUAGAAGUUGGUUUCCUUGUUCUUAUACUUGAAUGGAUAGAAUUCCAAGAUCACAGAGGUUAUGCAUAAGUUGUCUCACAAUGAAGCUCAGCUUGUCAUAAAAGAGUAACAGGAGCUUACUUUUUUUUCUUUAUGGAAGAAAUAUAACAGUAGCACACCUUGUAGUCUUGCAUAAACUCAUAGUGGAGAACUGUUUCAGGUUCACUGCUAGCAGCCUUCAGAAAUUUAUCUAAACCUUCUCGUGGUCCAUUAUCCACUGUUGAGAAAUGACAGUUAGUAUAGGUCUAUAUUGACUAAAAAUAUCUAAGAGGGGAAAGGAGAUUCUAAUAAAAAGCAGUUUAUAGAGCAUCCCUCUUACUAUAUACUCCCUCCAUUUCAAUUAAUUGUCUUAUUCCUUUUCAGUCCGUUUCGAAAAAAAUAUUUCUUUCCCUUUCCUGAAACUCUAUAAUUCCAACUUUCCACAUAGCCUGUUUGAAACCACGAGUUAAGAGGUAUUUUGGUACAUUCUACAUAUUUAUAGUUUAAGAGUUAAGACCACGAAAUUCAAAAAGUUUUCUUUACUUUCUUAAACUUUGUGACAAGUAAAAACCACACAAACAAGUUGAAACAGAGGGAGUAUCAUAAAAGAUUCCAUUGAAUCUUUGUCCAGUUUGUCCACUUACUAUAUGUCUUAUUUUCUCUCCCUGCUUCUGUGGUGGACAAACUGAAAAAAUUAAGUUGACUCUUUUUUGAGAUACUAACAACAAACAAGUACUCCUACUGGUGAUGUUAAUAGAUCAAACUUUUUGUUAUUUAAUUUAAAAAAAGAUCAAAAUUAGAUCUCCAAACACACGUAAUUACAAACAUAAUCAAAUUUCAAGCAGUUGGUAGUUAUAUUAGAAUUGAUCAAAGAUGUAGGAAAGGAGUCUAUGAAUACCACCGACUACUCACCACAGUUAGUGCCUAGAACAUAAAGUUUUUCCAGAUUCAAAUAUUGCUCCACUGAUCUUAAAGCUGCAAGUUAGGAAAUUGUUCUGCUUAAAAUACAGAGAUGUAAAUUGUAAUGACAACAUCAAGUUUGAAGCAGAGAUGAAGAGAUCAUAACAACUUGGAUACCUUGAACUUGGCAGCCAACCCCGCAGAAGAGAAGGCGCUUUACACCAGCUGCCUGUUUCCAGGAAACAAUACUGCUUACUUCAACAUUUGAACUACAAGUUAUACUAUACACUUGUGUGACAAUCCUCAGUGAAAACUGGAAUCUCUUAAAGCCCAGUUUUUAAUGCAUUAGAGCAUGCACGACUAGAAAGUGUGAAAUUCCAUGAUUGCAUUGUUAUGAAAAGAAAUAACAAGAAGCCUACCCUUACAAGUGUGAUAUGCAGAUGGUUGAUGCUUACCAAAAGAAAGGGAGAAAGCAUUUGGGGAGAAAUAAGCUCAAAUAGUUAAAAUAAAGUCAAAAAAUAACCUACGACCUUCAAAUGGAUAGAGAGGAAAAAUUUGGCAAAAAGACUCUGAAAUUGUCAGGAAAGGAAUUCAGCUCGAACCAUAAUAUGGAACAAAUCAGAAAAUCAAAAGAGCUUAUCUUAAUAAAAUCCCCGAUUGGGGCAAUUACAGUAUUAGAUUGUGGUGGUCUGACGGGGGGAGGGGGGGUGAUAGUAAAGCUAAUUUGGUGGUGUGGUGAAGAAUAAGAAAGCAUAGCUACACAAGUUCCAAUUACCUAUUGAGGAGAGAUAUGGCAUCUUCAAUCCAUGACAACAUGCUCCAUUAAGAAUUCAAUAGAGUUACACAGAUUAUAAAUGCAUUGAUGACAACAGAACAAUCAAAGAUUCUGAUGAUAAUGGAAGUGAAAGAAGAAACCUCAACUAAGGCAAGAGUAUUUAGAUUAGGAGACAGUGUCGGCUUAACACCUUUAGCUGCUAUAACUUCCUCUGGAGUCCUAUUAGAAACAUAAAAUUAAAGUUGAAGAUCGAAAUGGUUAAAUUAACAGGUAAAAAAUCAACAUGAAUACAAAUAGCUCAGGAAUUCCCAGUCACAAACCUUGCCAGGACAGGUCGAGGAGCAAAUCGAUCUUCUGGAUCACUAAACAACAUAAAAAAAAGAAGGUAAAGAGUCCAUGAAUUGCUGGGUAAUAAGUAGAAGAAAGAAACCAAAAUUUCAAGUGCAUAACUCAUGUACAGUGAAAUUAACCAGGAGGGAGAACUAAAUUAUUUUUAACCAAAUUGGAUGCAAGCCAUACCUCUGAACACAAAUAACAGCUUCCACCAUCCCAGCUUUUAGCAUCUCCACGGCAAUAGUUGUCACUAUCCCCGUCCAUUGAGCUCCUGAAUGCCAGAAAGAAAAAGAUAGGAAUAUGACCAGAUGAUUCAUAGAAAUUGGCACAUUCUUUUAGUGAUCUAGAGAGCACAAGAAAACAAGCAACAGUAAAUUGAACUAGAAUACUACAUAAGAGCAUCCAAAGUUGUACCUUCCACAGGCUUAGUUUUACGAGCAUACAAUAGAUUCUCAUACACCCCCAUAUAAAUCUCAUCCAAGGAAUCUUCUUUCCGUCCUCGUCCAUGGACAAUAGGUUCCAAAGCCUAAAGAAGAUGAUAAGGAACAGUCAACAUCAUCUGGUCACUUUACCAUAAGAAAUACUAUCUGUACUUUGAGCUACUUCAUAUAAAUUUGACCAAAAGAGAAGGUCCUAAUAGCAUAGCAUGACUGAGUUGAGAACGCAUUCCAAGGAACUGCUACUCGUAGCAAGCACUGAAGUUUUUUAGUGAGUAAUCAAAUCAUUCUUUCUCAUAAAAGAACUUACAUGCACCCCCUGUCACCCUCCACCCACCAGUCAAACUAAAGACGGAAUAAUUUUCAAACUUUACCAAGUUCCUUUGGACAAUAACCAAAAAAAAAAAAAAAUUGUAUAGAAUUGGGGAAAAAAGUUUGACCUGUCACGAGAUUACGUUGUACCUGUAAACUAUGCUAAGCUGUAUGAAAUUAUUAAACAGAAGGUAGAAAAAACAAAGAAAAGAGAAAAGAGAAGAGGACAGAUGUACACCAUAGCGAAGACUUUGAUGGAGGUCUAUGAAUGUUUUCCCAUCGCCCUAUGAGGAGUCUGAUUAGAGUCCGACCAUACUGUGUUUCAGUAUAACAUUAUCAACCCCAUAAAUUUCAGUAUGUCGAGAUUAUGUUAACAACUAGAGAAAUCAUUCUUAUGAAGAUCCACUAUACGUGUCUUGUACCUUGUGUAAUUUAUAGCUCUAUAAUAAUGCCUAAAACUUCAUUUAUUCCAUAUCUUGUCAACAUUCAAAGCAGCAUACCUUUUACCCAAGAGAGUGAAACAGAAAUAUAAAAUUCAAACAUGCUUGUCAAAAGAACUAGUUGGGGUCGGAGGCGAGGACCAGUGAACCCAUCAAGUUCUAGUAUGCAACUUUUCCUAAUAACAAAGUGUUAAAAACUCUCAUGCUCCCAACAGAAGGGAUUUUAAUGGAAGUGGAGUGACCAAAGAAAGAUGAAUUCAAUUGCACACGAGCUAAUAGUGGAUUACACGGUCUCAGAGAACAUGAACCAGUACUCUCUCUGAGCAUCUUUCUAGCUUGCAAACUUUUCUUAUGACUUCCACAACACACUGCAAUAUCACAGCCAAGUCUUGUUUCACUGCAUACACUGUACAUAUUCAUAAGAUGUAAAUCCAUAUGGAUGAGAUAGCUUUUCAAAGGACACAAAAGACAAAACAAAAUUCACAGGGAAAAUCUGCAUGUGACAAUGAAAGCAUGCAAUAAUCAAACUCCAGUAGGUCAUUUAUGACAAACUUAAGGAACAAAAACUAGGCAUAAACAAUAAGAACUGCAACUAAAAGCAACAGUAUCUACAUGUACUAAAGUAGAGAAAGACUCACUUCAACUCUAGACAUGCCAUCCCCAAGAAAGCACAUGCAUUAUUCACAUGAGCAAUGUAGUAAGUGUCACACAAACCACAGUGGCUGCAAACCAGAAACAAAAACUACCAUCAGACAAAAAACUACUAUAAUGAUUACGAAAUAGUCACAAAAUAUACAAGAAAUUAAUUUAAAUAAGUAUGAAGAUGAGUGAUUAAAUGAUACUAACUUAUAAUCCUCAAAAACAUUGAAUUAGUAUAUAAAUAAUGUUAAUUAUUAUUUACCAAUUUCAAAAAAAAUGCUAAUUAAUAUAUAUGAUAUUCUUGUGAACGUCAAAACUUAUAUUUCAGUCUUCCAAACAAUACUUCAUCAUUCAAGCUCCUUUUUUUUCCAUUCUACAAAAUUUGACCCAACUUAGGACGAAUUGAUAUGGAAAGCUACGAUGCUUCAAAGACCCAAUGAAAUGCUUCCUCCAUUUCAAAUUGAAUACUUCAGGUUCUUUUUUAUACUUCAUGCCAAAUUAAUGCCCAAUCUCCCUCAUAUUUAUAGUUCUUUCACAUUUACUAUGAAAAUUGAACCAUUAUAGUUUCCGAAAAGGGAGAACUCUUCAAACACAUAUUAGUUUAAGACACUCUCUCCGUCCGGUAUUGUUUGUCAUGGUGUCUAUUCAUAGAGUCAAACUAUAAAAACUUUGACUAACAUUUUAAGGUGUAUUUUUUCAUCGUAUUAAUAUGCAAAAAAUUGCAAUUUAUAGUACUUUUCAUAUAGUUUUAAAAUAUCUAAUUAUUUUGUUUAAAAUAUCGAAUUAAUGUGAUUUAAUUUAACUUUGAAAAUUAGUCAAAUUGACUUUCAAAAAACACAACAUGACAAACAAUAUUGGACGGAGAGGGAGUGAUUCAUAAAUAGACACCUUAACUUUGCUUAACUAACAACUAAAUACUCCAACUUUAAGAAUGCACAUCUAGACGGUCUCCGAGACACCCGGCACUAUAUGUCUAGAUGAUCAUUUUGUACGUUGGGAGUGUUUAACUCACACAGCCAAGACCAGUUAAGAUGCACACUUUGAGUGUUCAGUUGCCAAUUGAGCCCAACCUAAGAUAUCUAUCUAUGUAUUUAUGUCAUAGUUUAAAGAUAACAAAUAAAAAUAACAACUUUUUCACUAGUCUAACUUACAAAAACUAAAAACUUCAAAAAAAAAAUACAUAGAAAAAUGAUCAAGCUACGCAAUUUACCUCCCAUUACAGCAUUAAAAGCUAAAAUUUCAAUUAUAUUAAGAAAAAAAAAAGCAGAAUUAUGAACCUGCAGUGGUCUUUAGCUGGAUAAGUCCCACCAGGAGGAAUAGGUCGAGAUUUUUUCCUCCAAUCUUCUCUAAUUUUCACUGAUUUCAGGUUUUGGUUUGCAUCUGUUGAGUAAUUCAAACAACAUCAACACACAAAGUUUCAAUUUUUUUUAAAAAAAAAACUCAUAGCAAAAGUUUGUCAUUUUUUGUAAAAAAAAGUUCCUCUAAGAGGAUUUUGUUCAGUGAAUGUAGAAAUGGAGAGAAACAAAACCUUGUUGUUGUGAAGAAGAUGAAACAGUGUAAAAUUUGAAGGGUAAAGUAGAGAUUUUUCCAGUAAGAAACGCCAUUGUUGCUCUGUGUAUCUGCACAAGUGUUUUGCGCCACAAAUAUAUAUCAAAUGAGAUUCUUUUAAGGGUGGAACCAAAACGGUGUCGUCCGGUAUUUAAUUAAUUUCUACUUUUUAUUUUUUUGGAUGAGUAAAAAAAGUGAAAUAUUAAAUAUUUAGAAAAUUAAGAAAUAAUUUUAAUUAUUUAUAAACAAUGAAUCGCUGAAAGUGAUUCGAACGAAUCCUUUUGGUCCUACCUAGCUUUGCUCCUGAAUAAGUACUCGAUAACAUAUUGUGUUGAAAUUUUGAUGAGAUAAACAACACAUACCAUAUCAUUUCACUGAAGUAAAAUCAUAUAGUCGUUCAUAUGAAUACUCAAAAUAGGGUGGCUUUUAAUUUUUGUUCGUCGGAUCAAUAGUCUUUGAAAAUACAAUCGUAAGGCAUAUGUUAUGUCAUACAAAACUUAUGCCUCUGUAGACAUAAGUUCAAUUUCAAAACAUUAUACCUUAAAAAGUUCAUAAAGUCACAAAUUAUAUCUUAUAAGGUAUAGACGUAAGUCCUACAUAACAUGUCGAUGGGAGUAUAAGUUCCAUUUUCAAAACUUGGAAGAUUAAACCUAGAGAAGUUCAUUACUCGCUAUAUCUUAUAAAUCAUAAGUCCCGUUUACAAAACCAGCAAAAUUGAGAAGUUCAUGAGUCACUAUAUCGGAAAAAAAGUGGUGGUUUAAUUGGAGCAGCCCAUCAGGCAUUAAUGGAACUUGGAAGGCACCGAUAACGAUAUAAAUCAUAAGUCCCGUUUACAAAACCAGCAAAAUUGAGAAGUUCAUGAGUCACUAUAUCGGAAAAAAAGUGGUGGUUUAAUUGGAGCAGCCCAUCAGGCAUUAAUGGAACUUGGAAGGCACCGGUCCGUUAUCCUUCCACUGCACAAAGCGGAAGUUUUUCGUUGCUCUGUGAAACCAGCCUCACGCGGUCCACCCCACUUUAGGAAUCUAGUAGCCCAUUCUUUCAAUUGGACCACAUGAUCCAACUCUGUGCUUGGAUAGGGCAGGCCAGAAAUUAGCCCACCAAGCCCAGCCAUCUGGGACAGCCCAAUAUUCCACCACCUUAACAUCCCCACUUGGGUUACAAGCCCACGUUACUAAGCUCGACAUACAA